rnacentral:lncRNA from 1 species
CAUACUGCUGAGCCAAUCGGGCAAGGCAACGAUGAGGUUGAGUCCCAAUAAGAAGGUGCAAGUUUCCUAUCAGCGGUAAUUUUGGAGGACCUGGUGGUAGCAUUGAUGGAAGGCCACUAAAUUUGGUAUUCAUCCAUGUCCUCAAAGCGCUGAAUGUGACGAAGAAAAAGGUAAGAAGGAAUAAGAAAAAGGGGAGUUGGUUUUCCAUGCAAGCAAUGGGAAAGAAUUCAAUGGAGGGGAAAUUUCCUUUAUUGAUUAUGAAUCUCCUCUCUUACUUGGAAAUUUUGGUUGGAAGGGUGAGAUCUGGGGUGAAACUAUGGGGACAAUGCAGUGCCAAAAGUAUUUAAUUUGCUAUUAGUGGUCUCAUUUCAUAUAUCUUGUCAACAGCAGAACACUGCUGUUAUUGAUAUUUGCAUGUUAUAUGUCCCAACCAAAUGACCUUUCGCGCUUUGCUUUACUGGAAUUAGCAAGAAGCGUAAUGGAAAAAAGUAAGUUUUAUUUCAUAUAUCUUAAGAUUUGCCCAUGGCUCGACUUGUAGACCAGAAGAAUAAAAUCCUGGUGUUAGUCGUGCCCGACAGCUGUUGCAGCGUGGAGAAGAAGGAUUCACAUGCUUCAGCCACGUGAUUGAUUAAAGUCUCUAUCAUUAGCUAUUUUUUAAUAUUGUAGUGUCAGUUUUUUAUUCAACUUUGCAGUUAGUACAAUAUUUUUAUCGGGGUAGUUUGGCUCAUGACUUUAAAGGCCACUAAGUACUAGGCACUGAUGUCUUAAAAAGUGGUCAAUUACAAAUCCCAUCACUUAGUAUUUUAUGGUUUUCUGUCUCUUGUAAUUAGAAAUAUUAUAUUUGCUUAAUGAAAAGUGACCUGUGACUUUGUGUAGCUUCUGCAAUCCCUCUCAUCUCUCACGUGUUUUUUGUUUUUCUCUCUCUUGUAAUUAGAAAAAUAAUAUUUGUUUAAUAAAACGUGAGCCGUGACUUUGCAAGGCUCCCUGCAAUUCCUCUCAUCUCUCACGUGUUUUUGGUUUUUGUUAACUCAGUGUUCCUUGUUCAACUCGUUCAUUACUCAAUGAAUUCAUAACCUUUUGAUUUUUGAACAAUUUGUUUGGUAAUCUUACUCCAAAAUUGAGCAAGUGAAAAAGAUAUUAAAUAGCUUGUCCAAGUCAUGGGAGGCCAACGUGACCAUCAUACAAAGAGUUCAGAGUCUUCGUAUAUUACAGUUAGAUAAAUGUACUGAGUUCUCUUUUAACCUAUGAGAUGAAUCAUGAAAAGAUUCCAUUUAAGAAGAUGAAUCAUGAAAGUUUGGUUGUAGAUGGAAAUCAUGAGGAGACGAAGCAGUGUCCAUGCUCAUAAGAUUCAACAAGUUCAUGAGAAAGAAACAAAACCCACGGAAGCAAAAGAAGAAGACAAUGGUCGAGACAUGGAGUGAUCAUGAGAACGAAAUCUUCGAAGAUGUGAUCUUUAUCUCUAAUGAGUUCUGAUUCAAUUAUAUAUAUAUAUAGGGACAGGUCCAGAAAUUUUUUUAGUGGUGUCAUAAUUAAAGUAAUAAUUAAAAAAAUAAAUAUGUUACAAUUCAUAAAGUAGAAGUUUUAAUGUCAAAUUAAAAAAAUAUAAAUUCAAUACAUUUAUUUAAUACUUCAAAGUAAAAAUAUCUAAAACAAUUAUAAUUGUUCACGACGAUUUUUCAUAUUUUGAAAACGUUGCAUGAUAGUAUCAGUAGACAUACUAUCAAAUACAUCUUUUUCAAUAUCUAUCACUAAGCAAUCAUUUUCCAUUCGUCACUCAUUUAAUUGCGUAGCUUGUGCUUUAUAAUUAUAAAUCCUAACUAUCAAAUUAAUCAAAAACUAUUUAGACAUUAAAUAUUUAAAAACUUAACUUGGAUUGAAAAUUACUUACAAUUAAAACCUAGUUGAGUUGUUUUGAAAGAGUGAAAAAACACAACCAAGGACCGAGAAAAGGAAAGUCACCGUAAGUCUUAAUAGUAAACCUUGAAUUUUUAAGAAAGGUGACUAGUUUAGGUUUUUAGUUUUUUAAUAAAAUCUUAAAUUAUAGAAGGAAAUUUUUUUUAUCUUUCCAUGUAGAAUUUAAAUAUUAAUAUAUAAAUUAUUUUUUGAUAAAUAUACUUAUUGAUAAUAUUUAAAUAUUAUUUUCAAGAAGAAUAUUUAAAUAUUAUUAAUAUAUAAACGUUUUUAACAAAAUCUACCUUUUGACCCACACGUUUUACAAAAUUGCAAAAAAAUUAGUGGGUUCAUAGUAUUAUUAAAUAUAUAAAAUUCUACAAAAUAAUAUAACAAAUAAUUUUUUUUUUUAACAUGACACCACUCUCAUGAAUAUGGAUCCGUCCAAGUAUAUAUAUAUGCAUGUAUUUGAAAUAUAAGAAAACGAUCACCUCUUAACUUAAUUUUGAUAACUAAACUUGAUUGAGCAUGCCUAUAAAAUCGAAACAUAAGUUUAGAAUCCAUGAAUAAUAUUUGUUUAAAGUUGGUAAAAUAUCAAGACCAAAGAUUAAGCACAUAAGCACAUCCAAUGCUCUAGCUAAUAACAAAUUUCCAAACAUAUCAUGAAUAAUUAAGCUAUAACGUUCUUGAUUAAGCAUAAAUCAUUACAGGCAUAAAUGAUAGCCAAUCAACUCAAGUUUUACAAAGAAAUGAAAAUACAAAAAAUAAGAAAAAAAAGGAUGAAAAUAAGAGAAAAAAUAAGGAUUGUUAUCCUUCCUCCAUAACUUUCGCCACUAUUUUGUGUCGACAGGUGAGAAAAUCCAUAAGAAAUCAUUUGAUAGUUAGGUAGUAUUUAAUUAUGUGUCACACCCCAAAUCCUGGGCCAUGACCGGCGCAUGCACCUAAUAGGCGCGACCCACUAGGCCCAAGCAAGUCUUUCUAUGCAAGCUUGUCCAUUAAGCCAUUUGUCCCUCAUUUAUCUCUAAAGUUCUUAAUUCAUAGUUUUCAAAAAUAAUCACUUCUCAAUAAUAAAUCAUGGCAACUGAAUAUAUAUCAUUCACAAAAUAAUAUUACCAACUGCCAACCUAUGGCGACAUUAUCACUUAAACCAAACAUACAGUGUUUACAGCAAAUCUCAUGAAUUAUAUUUAAAUAACCAUAUACACAUACAAAAGACCUUCACUAUCAAUGGAGUGACUCUAGCAUGGAUACUAUCAUGGGGUGUGCUGGUAAACCUACCGUACGAUGAACAAGAGGAAGCACCUCUACCUAUGUCACAACUUAAACCUCGAGCCAUAAUCAGCGCAUGGGCCCAAUAGGCAUAGCCCACCAAACCCAAGCAAGCCUCUCUUUCUUUAAGAUCUCAACUCAUAAUCUCUAAUAAGAAUUCCUUUGAAAUUAGAUCGUGAAAACCCAGUAUAUGUAUAUAUAUAUAAAUCGUUCUCAAAAUAAGGUUAUUGUUGGUCAACCCUAAAUGACGUGGUUAAUCAAACCAACAUACAGAGUGCACAACAAUCUCACAAUUUACAUUUAAGCAACUACAUACACAUGCAAGAGACCUUGACUAUCAGCGAAGUGACUCUGGGCAUGGGUACUGUUACUGGAUGUCAUGGUACGAACCAAGUGGCAAAAACAAAUGGACUCUUUGACCUAGGUCCCAACUACCUCCAAAUCUGAAAAACAUGAAGUUGAAAAGAGUGAGUAUAAACCCAGUGAGUGAACAUAGGAAGGGAACAAGCAAAUGAUAAGGAAAGUUUAGAAAUCAUGACGCACUUAUAUUAAAAACAAUGCAAUUUAGUUUAAUUCCUCGUAAAGCCUCUCAAUUUGACCUUUGAUUAUUUAACCCCUUAGGGUUGAAGGAUCUAUGAUCCAUAAUCAAAUCGAAAAGUGAAAACCAUAGUAAAUAUUCGAGCAAGACAAGCAAGACAGAGAGUUUUUUUUUUCGUUGCAUUGAAAAUCAAUUUGGAAAUAAUUAACAAUUUCAACAUUCAACAUUCAUUGCAAUCACAUAAUAUUUUCUCUAACAUUUCUAUGAUAUGUGUAAACAUGUAUACAACCACCGGCUCAUCAGCUAAUGUGCACUCCCACACCACACAUAGUUGGAAUCAUCAUCCACCGGUCAUCAACUCAUGUGCACUCCCACACUGCACAUAGCUGGAAUCAUCAUCCAUUGGCUCAUAAACUCAUGUGCACUCCCACACCGCACAUAGCUGGAAUCACCUGUCAUCACCGGCAUGUGCACUGCAACACUGCACACGCGCAGUUACAAUUAUCACACAAUAUUAUCAUUCAAAGGAUAACAUAUAUAUUAUCAUAAUAUAGAAACACAUGGGUUCAUCACAUUACACAUUUUACAACAUAAAACGUUUCAUCAAGGGUUUGUUCCCUGGCAUGAUUUAGAGAAAAAAAUUAAAUAAAAUCAUUUAAGUGCUUUAGACCAAUACAUAUGUGUUUCCCAAAAAUAAUUUAAUGCAAGUUCACUCACCUUAACAAUGCCACCUUACAAGACUAGCACCCACAAGAUCUUAAUCUAGGUAGUCCCGAAAUACCAUUAAAACCUGUAAUUGCCAAUAAACAAUAAUAGCUUCAAAUAUACCAUACUUUAAACUUAAUAAUUCUAGUAGGCAUACACUUGAUAAACUACAUUCUAGCCUUAUUUUUAACCUAGAAUUCUAGUCUAAUUCUCAAACCCAUCAUCUCAGCUAUUCCAAUUUAAAGGUUCUUGACCUUGGUGAGCUUGGAGGCAUAAAGAUCAACAAAAUCUUAAUAUUUCCAAGAAAAAGAAUUUGAAGAAAUUAGGAAAUAAAAUCUAAAAAUAUAACCCAUAAAUUCAUAAAUUCCAAGAGUUAAAAAUAUAUACUUUUUAGCCUUAAAAAAGGAGAUUUAAAGUUGAAAAUUCAAGUGUCGGUGAUGGUGGAGUAGAAAUAGAAAAUAAAGGAAAGAAAGAGAGAUUUUUCUCCUUCUCUCUCCUAGGGUUUGGUUGUGCUAGAAAAUGGUUUUAGAAGCUGCAGGUUUGGUGCCCAAGCAAUUAAGACAAGAAAGAAGUAAGAAAAGAAAGGAAAGGAAAAGAAAACAAAGAAAAGAAAAUUGAUUUUUCAUUGUGGAGGGGGAAAAUGGCGUUAGGUGGGUGAGGAAGACGAAGAAAAUAUCUUUGGGUAAAGAUAAGAACCGGUUAUGGCUGAAAAAGAAAAGAGUCAAAGCUUCCUUUGAAAGCUUUGACCAAGCUAAUGGCAAAAUUACCAUUUUGCCUUCCAAGGUUUUCACCAUUUUUAAUAAAGUCCUCCCACAAUAUUUUAAUUCCAAUUUCUUCCUAUUUUUCUUCCUUAACACUUGUACCAAUAAAAUAUCAAGUUUAUACUUCAACGCGGUAUCACUAUAAUAUUUAAAUAUUUACUUACCAGCGCUAGCUUUAUUUGAUAAAGACACGCGGGCCCUAUUAAUGUCAUUUCUCUCUGAAAUUUUCUCGUUCUUCUUCUCCCCCACUUAGAUUGACCAUAUACUCCUUCAUGAAAACUUUCAACACUGAACAAAAUAUUAAUAUUUUAAUAUUAUUUUAUUCUAAAAUUUUUCACUUGUCUCCCUAGUACCCAAAAUGUCUUAUUAUGCCUCGAUUCACUUCUGAAUCACUUUUUAUCUCGUUAAUUUAUGCUCAAUAAAAAUAUUAUUAUUUAAUUGUUAUUGCUUCACAUGCUAAAUAUUUUAUUCCAAACUAUUCCUUUCACCCUUCAUCACUUUUAAACAUUCUAAUUAACCUCAAUUGGCAUCCGAUAAGCUUUAUUAGCCACCAUAUCAAAGUACGAGGUAUUACAGUCUUCUCCACUUAAAUAGAAUUCGUCCUCGAAUUCACGUCGAUGUCGGGUUAUCAAUCUUACUCUAUGAUCUUAUUCCAUUCCUCCCUUUAUAGGGAAUUUUGAGUUAUUCACAUCGUUUACCUCCAAUUCGACUAGAAUACUUCACUUAUGUCUAUUAUCAUCUUUGAGAAUCAAAUUGGUGGUACCCUUCACAAUCAUUAUCUCUUAUAUUAAAACGCCGAGUAUGUCUUUAUCACCAUCAUUAAAUUUGAACCAUAACUCCAUCUCAAUCAUACCUAUUUUGAUCAAUAUGAUACUUACUUAUGUAUACCUAAUCACCAUCUUAUUACUUCAUUCCUUGUCAAACUUCUCGACAUUCAUUCAUUCAUCUUAUCCCUAUACACUAUUAUAUAGCUCACAGCAUUAUAGACAUGCCAUAUUCAUUCCUGCACGUAUUUCUUAACGUUGGGAGGGAGGUUAAUUCCUUCAAUUAUUCCCACAUACAUCAUGUUUAUCUUUCACUUACGUAACUUUUAUCUUCUUAAUCAUAUUGGUCCAUCUUGUAUGGCUUAACCACGCUAUAGAUUACAAUUCCUUGAUACCAUUUCUUUGACUAUUUCUCCAGAAUUUCUUAUAUCAACAUAGCUCAACUUCCGACAGGAUUUCUUAUCGUUGUACUAUCUAUACAACUCAUCAAUUAUACUGAGUUCAAAUCUCGAAUCACUAAGAACAAUUAUUCACUUUAGUUGGACACAUCACUAACUCCACACAUACGUGUGUACACGCACAUUUAAAUAUCAACAUUCCUUAUUAUGUGUAGGACUCCUUGUAUUCAAGUGCCUUUGGACUAAAUUUCACUUUAUUCAUUCCUAUCUAUAACCAAGAUUCUAUAUAAUAAUCCUCAUAAUGCAUGUCAACACUCUCAUAUUUAAUCUACAAGCAUUGGGGUAUAAUCAAUCUCAGACUGCCCUCUCUAGGUAUUUAAAUUAUCAUUCCACUUGCAUCUAACCAUAAGUUAUCCUUUACGUAAUCCAAAUGAAUUCUCAUUAUGCCUAUGCAUAGCUUCACAUCAUUCAUAUGACUUACUCAUUUCUUAUCAUUUCCAAUCAUAUGCUUAAGUUUCAUUAUACUUUAUAUCCUUGCAUCAUAAUGUCAUUAAUCACAUCUCACUUGCUAAAUGUCAUUUUGAUUAUAUUGCAAUCCAAUAUGCGUAUAUGCUUUAUAAUCUUAUUGAUCCUUCGAAGAUUCAUCUUUACUUGAUCAUUGCAUCUUAGGCAAUACCACAAUCCCUAAAAGUCAUCCUUAUUUCUUAAGUCUCUUUCAUGCCUCUAACAUAUAUAUUAUAGCCUUAUUGUAUUUCGAUAUUAACCGGUCACUUAAGACUUAGAUUCAUUUGACUCAUGCAUGCCUCAUGCAUUUUCGAAUUCCAUUUUCCAUCAUACAUUAAGAGGUUUUCAUUAUCUGACUUCAUUAUCAAGGCUACCUUCAAUCAUCUUUUGCACUACUCUUUCACACAAAGAUAACAUCAUUCUCCCUUAGCCAAUUGAUUAUAUGUACUUGAAAUUAUAAGACUGGAAACAAGGUUCUUCUCAAGUACCUCUCAAUGUCAAUGUGAGUAUCACUUUCAACUUACAACUUCCCUUUUGUAACCACGUAACUUAAUGCUUGUUUUCAUAAGAUUCAUAGCAGGAUUCCUCUUGAGUAUUUCCUUGGGGAUACCUAUCUUAAAGUUAUGUCUCAUUGUAUAUGAUCACAUAACCCGUGCUUUGGCCAUUAGGCUUCUCAGCCUAUUUCAAAUUUUUAGAUGUUAUACUUGCCACGUAUGAUUGGUAAUUCCUCUUCAAGGAUGUUUAUGCAUUCCUGAAACACUUAAUCACUUGUUGGCUCUUAAACAUUCUAAGCAUAUCAUUCCAAAAAGGCAUGCACUUAUUCACCAAGAUAUUUAAAUGCAUGCUUAUCUAUUCAUACUUUAAUUUAUCUUCAUGGGUUUCUAGCAUGCCACAUAAUUGGCCUUGUUUUGUUACUAAUCCUCUUCAUUCAACUAAAUCAAGACAAGAUUUGUAAAUCCUCAUAGCAAUACUUUAUAUUAACUCAUUUGCUAUGCCGCUCUUGUAAUCCUUUAUUCACAAUUUCAUCACUUGGUAUUGACAUCCCUUGUCAAUGUCUCAUACAUUCAUCUAAUUUUUCACUCACUUUUUCCUUAGCCUUUAACAAGGCAUAAUCUCUUGUCUUCUUUAUUUCUUAGGAUUUGACUUUAGUCAACAUAUUGUUCAUCUUAAUACUUCACAUGGUAGUUUAUCUCAAUGUAGCCGUCUCGAGAACUCUCAAACUUCUCUUUUACGUACAUGCCAAUAUAUAAGGUAAUAAAGAAACUUUUCAAUUCACUCAUAUAAGCACUUUCCCAAUGCAUGUAAAACUUUGAAUAACAAAGCUCAAAAUCAAGAUUAAUGAACAUAAUUCGGCUUGUAAAUGUAUCAUCAUGCCACUCACAAUCUGAUCGUACUUUUUAGCCAUGAGGGGUUCUUAACGCGGCAGGGUUAGGUAGUCAGCGCUGCAACAUUACAGCUGCUAGAAUUUACUUUAUCAAAUUGAUUCUUCUACCUUUAAGACUACCACACUAAGCUUUCUCAACUGCAUGGCUUUCCUUUAAGUCUAUACCACAAUUUCCAUAAGCACGUGUAUCUUCUUUUUGCUUAUCAUAUGUACUAGGCCAAGUCAAUACUUUCAACUCAUUUUAUCCUUUAAGACUUAUCAUCAAUCAUUAAGUCCCACCUUAGGGCAUCCUUUCCAUAUUGUAUAAUGACUUCACAAUAUAUAUAACACCACACACACACAAUUAUUCACUAUUUAUGGCAUCCCACAAUUCUUAUCAUCCAUAAUUAAUUCUCUUUUAUGUCUUGUAACUCAAAUAGUUUAUUAACAUUUCAAUACAAAUGACCAUGAAAAUAGUUCAUCUUUUCCACACCUUAUACUCACAAUCCUUACUAAUCAAGAAUUCAUCUUUCUCAAGUUCCAUCAUUUACCCCAAAUGGUCUAUAUUUGUGCCAAAUUAUCAUUUUAUAAUGUCAUGGCACCAUGUGCCUCCAUUCUUACCAUCAAUCGUACUUCAUAAGAAACAGUUAAAAAACUUACAUACCUUUUUCUUCUUUUGUGCAUUGCACAACUCUUUAGGACCUAUCUACAGACUAUAGACACUUAACCAACGAAUUAUCCUUUUUGACCCUUUUCUUGUUUAUCCGACAUAUACCCUUAACAUUUCUCAUCCACAUGAAUACUUAAGUUUACAAUCCUCGACUUAAUCACAUUAACAAUUCAAAGUGUCAUCUAUAGUUUCAUUAAUUUCUCUCAUAUCCUUCCAAAUUGUAACUGCAAUUGAGAUUUCAAAUUUCACAUUUCCACGAUUAAUCGGUAAUCGUUUGUCAGUUUUUGUAGUUGCCUGAACCAUUAUUGACUUUUUAUGUAGACCUUUAAUAAUUAUCUAAGGUGACCAACCACACCACUAAGGUGGAUAUCUAUCACAACCCAAAUUCCGGACCAUGACUGGAGCAUGGGCCUAAUGGACGUAGUCCACUAAGCCCAAGCAAGCCUAUUAAUAUGACCUGUUCAUCACUCCAUCAAAAGUUGCUAAGUCACAUUUCAUAACUUCGAAUCGCAAUAAUACUAAGCAUUGCUAACUCAUAGUGGCAUACCAAUCAAAGUGUACAUAUGUUGUCUAAAACAUAUAUUUUAAUAAUUUACAUUGGUUUGUCUAUACACAACAAAUGAGUACUUGAUUUCCAGCAGAGAGACUCGGACAAAAGUACAGCUACUGAAUAUCGAGACACCUACCAUGAGUUGAAUCUAUAAGGACACCUCGACCUAGUUACCGACUGCCUCCUGAUCUAAAAAUAUGAAGUUGAAAACGGUGAGUAAAAACUCAGUGAGUGAACAGAAGAAGGGAACAAGCAGACAAGAAGGAAAGUUUAAAGAAAUCAUGAUGCAUUUAUUUUCAAAACAAUGCAAUUUAAUUUCAUUCUUACUAAAACCCCUCAUUUAAACCCCCAAUAAGUCAAUCCAUUGCUGAAAAGGGUCCAUGCUCAACAAAGAUUUUGAAGAGUGAAAACUUUAAUGGCAUUCAUGCAAAUCAAGCCAAGUAAACAACGGGAAUGCCUUUAAUAGCAAGAAUGCCUUUCCGCUACAGCGAAGUUUGGCUCAAAUUAUUAGCGGGAUGAGGGUUUUCUCAAUUGGCCUAGGGUUUCUCUUUAAACUCCUCAUUUUCGACCUAGUUAAUUAAUUCCUUGCUAUUGGAAGUCAAUAAUUCACUAUGAUGUUAAACGGGUGGAAAAUGUGGCAAAAAUCAACAAGGUAGCCAAGUGGGACAGAAAGUUUCUCGCUGUAGUGAAAUUUGGCUGGCUAAACAGAGAGUUUCUCACUGCAGCGAAAUUGCAUUCUCGUUGCGGCGAGAACUAGCAAAAUUGCUUUCAAGCCAGAACUCACACUUGGAGAACUUGGCAUACAAUCGAUGUUCUUUCAAAGUUUGGAGCACUAUCUUAAGAUGCUGCUUGUGCUCCUCCCUACUCCUCGAGUAGAUCAAGAUGUCAUUAAUAAACACCACCACGAACUUGUCCAAAUAGGGCUUGAACACUCAGUUCAUCAAAUCCAUAAAAGUCACAGGGGCAUUCGUAAGCCCAAAUGACAUCACCAAGAACUCAUAGUGCCCAUAUCUUAUUCGGAAUGCAAUCUUGGGUAUAUCUUCAUUCCGGAUUCUCAACUGAUGAUACCCAAAUCGUAAAUCUAUCUUAGAGAAACAUUUUGCGCUUUGUAGUUGAUCAAAUAAAUCAUCUAUUCUUGGAAGAGGAUACUUAUUCUUCACCGUCACUUUAUUAAGCUGUCGGUAGUCAAUGCACAAUCGAAGUGACCUAUCCUUCUUUUUCACAAAUAGCACCGGUGCUCCCCAUGGUGAGAUGCUAGGAUGGAUGAAUCCUUUAUCCAAUAAAUCCUCCAACUGAUCCUUAAGCUCUUUAAGCUUCACAGGUGACAUUCUAUAUAGGGGUAUGGAUAUAGAUCUGGUGUCGGGAAUUAAAUCUAUGCACAAUUCAAUCUCUCGCUCGGGAGGUAAACCCGGUAGCUCCUUGGGAAAUACAUCCAUGAACUCAUUCACUACCGACACUUGACUUAUAUCUCCAACCUUCGCUUGAGUAUCCCUCACAACAGCAAAGUAACCUAGACAACCCUGUCUGAAUAACCUUCUGGUAGCCAUGACCAAUAUCAAAUUGGUUGGAGCAUUGCUUUUAUCUCCCUGAAUACUAAAUGGUGGCUCAUCUGGGAAAUCAAAUCCAAUCAAUUUAUGGUAACAGUCCACACUAGCAUGGCAGGGUGAUAGCCAAUCCAUCCCCAAGAUCACGUCAAAAUCUAAGGUGUCUAACACUACAAAAUUAACCAAAGUAUCCUUAUCCUUGACUCGAAUUAUACAGGAUUCAUAUUCCUAUUCAGCCAUAAAUAUCUCCUUUAAAGGAAUAGACACCACUAAUUGUUCUUAUCUCCUUACACGAUCUUUACCCAAACGAGAUGCAAAGCAUGGAGAAAUAAAAGAGUGGGUAGCACUAGGAUUAAACAAUACCUGAGCAUUCAUAUUGCAAACUAAGAGAAUACCUGAUACCACGACAUUAGAUGUUUGGGCCUCUUACUAUGUUAAAGCAAACACUCUUGCUUGACCCCUACCGACGGAACUCUGACGUCCAGACCCAGAAGGCCUGCCCUGAGAGGAAGUAACAACAUCUUUCCCUCUUGAUCCGUCAGCCUCCCGAUGAGAUGAAGCAGCUACUGAAGGAGCGGACGAAGUUGGCUGGGUGGAGCCACGAGCAAAACCUUGCGAUUGACGAGCCAUUGGGCAAUUCCUUUUAAUAUGUCCAGGUUGAAUGCAUAAGAAACAAAGUCCCGUAGCACGGAGGCAUCUUCCUCUAUGCCGUCCUCCACAAGUAUGGAAAAGAUGGAUAAGUUGACUUCCUUACCUCGAAUCUUGCUGUUUUCCAGCACUGAAGGUUCUCUGUCCCGACCCAAUACUAGCACUAGGUGAAUCACUCCCCUGUUGGGGUAAUCGUGAGUCCAUUUGUGGACCCUAAUGGCUAGAAGACGAAAUACCACUACUGAAAUCUCUGCGACCUUAGUAACCUUCUGUCUUGGCCCUUUUUGCUCUAUCCCUAGCAGCCUUACUCUCACUAGUCCUCAUCUCAAUCCACUGAGCGUAAUCCACUGCUGUGGAGUAGGUAUUGAAAUCUUGGGAUGCCACAGCCCUAAACAAUGGCUCCACUACCCCAUCCACAAACCUCUGUAUCUUCAUCUCCUCUGCAGAAACUAAAUAUGGUGAAUACCGAGACAAUUGUGUGAAUUUUAUGUCAUAAUCAAACACUGUCAUACUCGAGGUCUGUACCAAAGCCUUAAACUCCCUGGCUCUAGCAUUACGUACACCGAGUGGUAAAAAUCGAUCUAAAAAGGUUGUACUGAACUCACUUCAAGUCAACAGUGAUGUAUCCAUUGGUCUGACUCUACGCAAGGAGCCGUACCUUUCUUGCUCCACAUCCUCUAAUCAGAAGGCGGCCAACUCUACUAAUUUAGUACUAGAGCAUCCCAAGGCUUCACAAAUUUUCUCCAUCUUUUUUAGAAAAAUUCAGGGCUUUUUCAAUGCAUCAAAUCUUGAAAAUGAUGGAGGCUUAAGCUUGAAAAAAUCAGGAAGAGAAAUCUCUAGAUGACCCAUUUCGACCUCGUGAUGUUGGUGAUCGGGUUGUCCUUGAGAGCUAGGGGAUUCUUGUACUGUAGGUCUCCCCUCUACUAUCGUUUGUAUAUCAUCCAUAUGGGUAGCCAUCAUCUAUACAACCCGGUUAACUCCCUGUAGGCCUGCGACCAAAUCUUCAUUGGUAAUACCCCGGGUUGGUUGCCUAUUUGCAUCACCCGAAGACUGUCCUUCCUCUCGCCCACUUACAGGCGUAUCUGCCCUCACCGGUUUGGUGGCCCUGCCACGUCUACCUUGUCCCCUAAGGGUGGAUGCUUGUGGUCUAUCUGUCAUUUCAUUAGGAGCAUCUAGCUCCCCCAUCCGGCUUGAGGAAACUUGUGUCUUAGGUGGCAUUCUUACCUAGAAAAGAGCAAACACCUAUUAUUAAACACAUUUUUCUAUAAUUAUAUAUAAAGGAAAAGGUGGUUUCUAAGAUAGGGAAUCUAUGCAGUCCCCUGGUUGUAAAAUGUGCCAUGGUUCACACUUCACAACUGAAGUUCCCAGAUAAAGACCCGACACUCUGUUGGACCAACAAAAGAAAGUCCUAUAACCUAGACAACUUGGCUUUGAUACCAACACUGUCACGACCCAAAUUCGAGCUAUGACCGGCACAUGGGCCCAAUAGACAUAGUCCACUAAGUCUAAGCAAACCUAUUAAUAUGACCUGUUCAUCACUCCAUCAAAAGUUACUAAGUCACAUUUCAUAACUUUGAAUUGAAUAAUACUAAGCAUUGCUAACUCAUAGUGGCAUACCAAUCAAAGUGUACAUAUGUUGUCUAAAACAUAUAUUUUAAUAAUUUACAUUGGUUUGUCUAUACACAACAAAAGAGUACUUGACUUCCAGCGACGAGACUCAAAUGAAAGUACAGCUACUAAAUGCCGAGACACCUACCAAGAGUCAAAUCUACGAGGACACCUCGACCUAGUUACCGACUACCUCUUGAUCUGAAAACAUGAAGUUGAAAACGGUGAGUAAAAACUCAGUGAAUGAACAUAAGAAGGGAACAAGCAGACAAUAAGGAAAGUUUAAAGAAAUCAUGAUGCAUUUAUUUUCAAAACAAUGCAAUUUAAUUUCAUUCUUACUAAAACCCCUCAUUUAAACCCCCAAUAAGUCAAUCCAUUGAUGAAAAGGGUCCAUGCUCAACAAAGGGUUUGAAGAGUGAAAACUUUAAUAGCAUUCAUGCAAAUCAAGCCAAGUAAACGACGGGAAUGCCUUUAAUAGCGAGAAUGCCUUUCUGCUGCAGUGAAGUUUGGCUCAAAUUAUUAGUGGGAUGAGGGUUUUCUCAACUGAACGAGGGUUUCUUUCUAAACCCCUCAUUUUCGACCUAGUUAAUUAAUUCCUUGAUAUUGGAAGUCAAUAAUUCACUAUGGUGUUAAAGGGGUGGAAAAUGUGGCAAAAAUCAACAAGGUAGCCAAGUGGGAUAGAAAGUUUCUCGUCGCAGCGAAAUUCGGCUGGCUAAACAGAUAGUUUCUCGCUACAGCGAGAACCAGAUCCAGUAAAAACCCUCACAACCUGAGAGUUUCUCGCUGCAGCGAGAAACAGAGCACCAAGAAAAAGUUUCCAUUCCCCUCAAGAAAAGGCCAUCCUGCUGGAAUGACAAAAGCAACAUGAAACACAUAUAAAUUCCCAAAAUUCAACAUAUCAAAUUUUCACAUGCAUUACAACCAUAUACCAUAUAUGUAUAUAUAUAUAUAUAUAUAUAUUAAUCAUCAUGCACACCCUCCCAUCAUCAUCAGCUCAUAUGCACUCCCACUAGCACAUAGCUGGGUCAACAACGGCUUAUGCGUACUCCUACUCGCAAGUAGCUGGGUCAGCAUCGGCUUAUGCGCACUCCCUCUCGCACAUAGCCGGGUUAGCUUUGGCUUAUGCACACUCCUACUAGCACAUAACUAGGUCAAUAUCAUUACACAACAUUAUUCGUAUAUAUAUAUAUCAACACAGUAUAGGAGCCUAUAGGUCCGUCCUUUUACACAUUUCACAUUUUAGCAACAUCAAACCAUUUUAUCAAGGGCUUGUUCCCCGACACACAUUUUUAAAGAAAAGUUGGUUAAAAUCAUUCAAAUGUUUUGUGCAAAUACAUUCACAUUCCCAAAACAAUUUUAAAAUGCAAGUUCACUCACCGGUAUUUCGUUGAACCUUUAGUCGACUCUAACUUCUCUAAUGGUCCAAAUGGGGCGAUGGGGCUUCGUUGGAACCUACCAUCACAUUAGUAUCAUCAUUUUGUCAAUUCACAUGCUUAUAAAUUCUAAAAGCUUUCUCUUAGCUAGCUUUCAAUUGCCAUUUAAUUGGCUAUCUAUUUUCACUGUCCUAAUCACUCUAAAAGCUCCCUCCCUCUCUCUCUAAAACACUUAGCUAGUGAGAGAAAGUAUGGAAAUAAGAUUUUUCAAGGGUUUUAAAAUGAAAGAGUGAAAGAGUACAAGGGUUCCAUGCAAAAGUGCGCAAAAGCUUGAAAUUAAAGCUAUUUUGAGGAAGGUUAUGGAGCUUUCCUAUCAGGCUUUCAUGGAGGGUGGAAGCAACGUGAGAUGGAAGGAAGAAGAAGAAGUUGCUAGAGAAUGAAAAAGCUGUUGGAAGAAAAAGAUAUUUAUAGCUAAAGUUUAUCCAUCUCCAUUGAAAUUAUGGAAAUGCCUUUAGCAAGUUAACUUGUUCUCUUUCAAUCCUUGGUGCAAUCAUUUACUCUUUUGAUAGCAAGAUAAGGUUCACAAUGGUCUAGAAAAGCUCGGGUUCAUGAAACUUAAAAAUUUUGACCUCGAGAUGAAAAUUGACCAUUUUGCCCCUAUUACAAAAAUUACUAUCAUUCUUGUUUCCUACGUGUUUUUAAUCAUUAUAUGUCAUUUAUUUGUUCCUAAAGACCACUUGCACUUAAAUAACAUUAGAAAAUCUACUUUUGGGAGAAUAUUAAGGGAAAUGAUGAAAAUACCCCUAACCUAUGUUAUCGGGUCUACUUCUAUUUACAAGUCUAUAGAGGUUGAGGUCUCACAUUGCUCUUCAAGGCAAGCACCUAUAUUCUAGUUCCAAGUAUCUCUAUACUUCAAUCUAUGAGAUCGAUUGCUUACUUUUAAAGUAAGGAACAUAGAAUAUACCAGUCUCUAAGCAUCAUUGAUGUCCAGUCUCAAUGAUACAUUGAUCAGGAGCAUUUUGAGAUUAUGCUUUGAUGCAUAAGGAUCUCAUAACUGCAACCCAUUACAGUUCCCUUGCAAGGCAUAUUAAUCUCAUGGACUUCAUCCAAUUAGACUUAUAACUCAUUAUAAUUGAUGUCUUAUUGAUGAAGGAAAACUUUUAAUCAUUCAACAUGAAUGAUACCAUUGAAUGAUUGGAAUCAAGCCUUAACCAAUCCCAAUUGGCUGUAGGGCUCAUCCCAACAUAUGGUUGAUGGAGUCAGCUUUCAAUGAUAUCACAUUAAAUGUAGCCAAGUAUAUGAUUGAAAAAAUCAAGGCAACAUUUUUGGGAGACAAAGCUAAUUUGCCAUAUGGCAUUGUUAAUUAAAAUUCUACUAGCAAGUAUACAUAUCGAAUAGAUAGUAUAUAAGCAAGCAGAGUAUCGAUCCCACAGAGAAUUAAUAUAAAACUUUACCAAGUACUAAAAUUAGAACAAUUUAAAUUUAUCCAAACAAUCAAUAUCAAAUAACUAAAUUAACCAACUAAAAUAUUUAACAAAAAUUUAAACUAAGAAAAACCAAAAUAACGAUAACUUGAGUAAAUAUCAAAUCAAACAAGCUUAGGAUUACAAUAUCCCUCACACUUCAUCCAAAUCUUAUGUCACGACCCGAAACCUUCCUCAGGCCCAUGACAAUAGCCGCGACGUCUCGAUUGACACUCAUUAUCCGGAAUGCCAACCGAAACCCCGCAAGGCUUGCAUAUCAGUUUCUUUCCUUUCAUGUGAGCAAUCGUUGUUAAAUAUCGAGUUUUUAGAGAAUAUACACUAUUUUAGAUCAAAAACAAUCAAAAUAAAAUUUUCGCCACACAGGGAUAUUUUGGUCAUUUUUUCUCAAAAAUUUCGAAACUGGCUAAAACAUAAUAUACCAGUACAAAACACAUAAUUCAUAUUUAAAAUGAGUUUAAAAGUCUAAAAUCUUCAUUUAAAACGAAAUUAUGGUUAUUUGAAUAUAAUAAGAAAAUAAAAGAUAUAUUAAGGGAAAUAUUCUAUUUUCUUAUAAAACAAUAUUUAUAGAGUUAUACGUGAAUAAUUUUUAUAGCGUAAAAGCUAAAUAAAUUUAUACAUACUGAAAUACAGUAAGCCAAAAUAUUUAAUUUAAUUUACAAUAACAAGAGGGCCCCCGAAUAAACAAAAGUAAAGAGGACUGUGAACCUACGGUUUGNNNNNNNNNNNNCGUGAAUAUUUUUAUAGCGUAAAAGCUAAAAAAAUUUAUACAUACUGAAAUACAGUAAGCCAAAAUAUUUAAUUAAUUUACAAUAACAAGAGGGCCCCCGAAUAAACAAAAGUAAAGAGGACUGUGAACCUACGGUUUGGAAAAUGUAGAUCCAAUGGUAGUCCUCGAUGAGAUCAGCUAUCUACAGUCUAUACUGAACCUGAAAUGGGUGAAAAGAAGGGUGGUGAGAUUAUAAAAUCCCAAUGAGUAAACAGACAUCAUCAUAAAUAUCUAAAGUUGAGUAAAAUGGAGGCAAGUUUAAACAACAAAUUUCAACUCAUUUCAUAAUGUUUUCAAUUUCUUUCUUAAACCAUAAAAUAUUUGUAAUUUACUAAAACAGUUGUUAAGGCUUAUGUCUUUUAUUAAAACAAGGCUCAAGCCAAAACUAAUCCUCGAGGAUACCUUGGCCGAGGCAUCUAACUAAGUCCGCCAAGGGUGUUAAAAUAUUCACACGUGAAACACAUUUUUAUUUUUAAAACAAGCCGUUCCUUGGCGUUGGCCGAGUUACACAUUCACGUGGGGGUUCAACGUGAAGUGAGCUCUAAUACUACCCCAGGAGUUACCCUCCUCGCCUCUACAACCGGAGUAACUAUAUAACUGGGUUUACCGUGCCCUUCUAAUAGGCAGUCCACGAAAACCCGUCACUGUAGUGACUAACCCACCAAUUUUAAUAAAAUUUCGACAAUAUAAUGUGGCUUUUAUUUAUUUAUCCAACCUGUAUAGUAAAAACAGCUUACAUAAAUUUCCUAAUGCACUCACAAAAUAUAGUCACAUAUACUCAUUUCUCAUAAGCCAUUCAUAGGAAAAUAUAUAUUUUUCAAGUCAAUUUGUAGCCUCCAAUUACUCAAUUUCAUAAUCAAUACAAUAUAUUUUUAUUUGUCACAUUUAUUCCUAAAACAUCAAAAAUCCCGUUUUAAUCUUGUUUUCAUUUCAUAAAAUACAUAAAGGGCAUUUAAAAAUAAACUCUAGAUAAUUUACAAUAAUAAUAAGUUUAGUCACCGUUUGUACAAACUAAAAGCUUUCUAAGUGCCCCGAUAACUACUCGUCGGGCAUGAUUUCCUUGCCUUUUCCGGAAGGCUCUCCUCCUAGACACAUUGCAAAAAUUUACACAAUUCAUCACAUUGAUGCUAAAUCACUAUAUAUUUGACUUAAAUCCUAUACUAAUGCAUGGUAUGAAAUGCAAUAGCCUAAAACGGCUUAAACGCGGUAUUAACUUAUUUUUGGCACUUUGCCCGAUAAAUUGCUAACGCGCUCCAUUUUAACUCUAAAUCAUCCCAUUCUCUCUCCAACAUUUCUAACCAUUAAAUAUCAGCCAAUAACCUUCUAAAAACAACAAAAUCAGCUCACUCCCUUCCUUGGAAAAUUCGGCCAAAAAUGGGACAUUAACUCGGUAAAUUUUCUACUUUGUUUUUCUAUUACAUUUAAUCAUUUUUCAUCAUUUUCUCUUCAUUUCCCUUAGAAUAAAAAUCAAUUCAUCAUCAUUGUACAUCAAUACAUAUUCAGCCAAGGGUGGGCAUUGUGAAAAUUUCCUGCUUUCUUGCCCAAUUUAAUUUCUAUACACAUUUAACUAACUAAAACUACCAAUUUAACUAAAAAUCAAAACCUAAAAAUUCCAAAAUCUCUCCCUUAGAAUUUCAUCCAGCCCUUGAUAUAACUUUUUGAUCUCUCUCCUCAAGCAUGCUAAAUGGAAAUAAAGACUUAGGAAAGGUAGAAAUCAAGCUAAAGUCGAAAAAUCUUACCGUUAGACGCGUAAACGAUCGAAAACCGCGAAUUCCCCUUUGAAUUUUCUUGUUUCUCUUUGGUUUUUCUUUUUUUCUUCCUUUCCUCUCUAUUUCCUCUCUUGUUCUUCCUUAUGGCCGGCCAGCACUUAAAAUGGGGUUUAAAUGGGCUGCCUUUUCAUUAAAAUAAUAUUAUAUCAUUAAAAAAAUACCACGUGUCACUUUCCCAUUGGCCCAUUUUUAAAAUUUCAUCCAUUUGUUUCCAAAUUUUCACCAUACACUUGUCCCAUAUAUUCCUAGCUUAGAUAAAAUUCUCAGACUUAUCCAAAGUCUCGGUGGAGUAAUUUUUGAAAUUUACACUUUUGCCCCCGUAAAAGUCAAAAAUUACAUUUUUGCCCCAAAAAUUGAAAAAUUGCCCAUAGACAUAUUUUUCAUCCCUUAUACUCAUACCAUUCUCCAAUUUGUCAAAUUUGAUCUAAAUUCUCUCAAAAUCUCAAAUUUUGUCCGUGGGUGGCAAAAUUACGAUUUUGCCCCUACACUCCAAAAAUCACCAGAAUUAAACUUUUUCACUUCCUAUCAUUAAAUUAUACUCCAAAUAGUUAAUCUUGGUCAAAAAUUUCACUCCAUGAUCAAAUUAUUAUCUUAGGUGGCAAAAUGACGACUUUUAGCCCUAAACAUCAAAAUUUUCGAUUUUACCCCAAAUGAACCCUCGAACUCCGAACAAUCAUUUUUAGUCAUUCAUUGACUAUAAAAUAUUAAAUUUCAUCCUACAAUUCCUAUUUGAACUAGUUCGAGGUUAAAUCAAUUUAAGUGUAUCGUUAGGUACAAUAUUGGGUUUCGUCUAUUCUUAUGUGCUUUUCUAGCGUAAUAACAUGCUACUCAGUGCAUGUAUGUCAUGACAUGUGUUUGUAGGGUCAGGUUUUACAUCUUACUUCUCUUUCUUAACUUAUUUCAGCGGGUUGAAUUGCUAACCUAGAAUCCUAAAUCAUUUAUAAGGGUCUCUCGACUCAUCUUAUAAAAAUAUUUAUUUUAAGCAAAACACUAUAUCCCUAUGUGAAUUGAAAUUAAAACAGACUUAUUAAGCUCAAGCUCUAAUCUGCCUACAUAUGGCCUAUAGGUAUAUCCCUAUCCUAUACGCAAUUUUAGUUUACACUAAACUCUCUUUCCCAAUUUUGUUUAGGUUCCUAAAUCAAUUUAAUUAGUGGCCAAGCAAUUAAAAGCAUUAAGAACAAAUUGGAAUAAACAAUUCAAAUCCCAUUAAAGAUAAGUAAAAAAGAGAUUAAAAAUUUAGAUUACAUGUGACUUCAAUUGCAAUCGUAGAAAAAGAAAAUUAGCUACUUAUGAUUGAAAAAACAAAUAACAUUACAAUAAAUUCAACCAUUGAGAGUAACAAGAAAAAUAAAAGCCAAGGAAGAAAACAAACAAUAUUUGCCGCCUUGAUCACUAAGUUUCAGCCUCAACUCUUUGCUUCUUGAGUUUCCCAAAAGUUGUCUCCCCUAAUGUUCUUCAAACUAUCCUAUUUAUACUAAUAACUUAACCUAUACUUCCUUAAAUUGAACUAGGGUUUAAUUGGGCUUAAAAGUGUAAUGAGAGGCCCAAAAAUCAAAUGUCAAUCUCUAUAAAUUCCCAUUCCCGGUACAGUACAUCUAGCCAUUUUUUGAUGCGAUUUUCUCUAUAUUCGAGGCAGAACUAGGCAAAGUAAUCUACAGAAAAGUUGUAGCUCCGUCUCUUAGCUUUCCAAUGAUCAAAUAAUUGCAUUAUUUGGAGUUUUUUAGCUCAAGUUAUGGCUAAAAUACUAAAACAUAUGCAAGCAGAUUCUAUGUCUUUCAACACUUUACUUUCCAAAAUUAAGUCUAAUUUCGUUUUUCCUACAAAAAAAUUAAAAACUAAUAAAUAACAAUAAAAUUGAAAGAAAUAACAUAAAAUUAAAAUAACCCACUUAAAAAUAAACUAAUUAUAAAAACAACUAUAAAUAAAUAACUUAUAAUUGAAAAUUUAGGACUUAACUAAUAUUUCAUAACAAAAUUGGACUAAAAUAAUUCUAUAAAAUAGAAUUAUCACAUCCUUGUCAAGAAAAAAGGGUUUGAAAGUAUCAGAUUUCAAGCAGAUUUAAUGAAAAACAAAGACCAAGGAAUCUUCUUGGGUAGUGUGUUGAAAAUGGGAUAUAAGUUGGAAAGAAAAAAAUGUAUCAAUCCAUAAGAGGCACACCAUUCCCCUUAGACAGUGAAACUCCAUCUACCCCUUAUUCAAGAGUCAGCCAACCCCCAUUUCAAAGUGAAAUGGUGCUUAGUCUCUUGAUCAGAACUAAUGGGAAGUUAACAGAACAAGUUGAGAAGAUGGUCAAAAUUGAAGAAAAGCUAUAACACCUUGAAGACCUCAUCUUCAAAGAAAAGACAUUUAAAUCCCCUGUUUCAUAAAACCAAGCAACAACUGCAAGUCCUUCAAGUGAAAGAAUUGCCAUAGAGUAGUUUGCAGUCCCUACGUUUGACCAUGAAGGUGAAUCUAGGAAAGAAAAAGUUCAAAAUGAACACAUGAAUCAGAAUGAAUAAGGAAAUUUUGAAAAAGAAAAAGCUGUGGAAGUAGGGAAAGAGAAAGAAGAAAAGCAAACAAUAGAGAGAAAUGAUCAAGAAAAAAAAGUAGAGAAAGAACAAGAAGCUGGAAAAGAGAAGUUGAAUGAAGAAGAGCCACCAGUAGCAAGAGGAUAUAGCAAAUCCCCUACAAAAUCUAGAGAAAAGCCACCGAUAGCAAGAAGAUAUAGUAAAUCCUUUCCAAGAUCUGAAAAUAUAGAGGUGUCAAAAUUCAAUGCUAAAUUACCCAAAGAGGUUGAAGUUGAUUGGCAAAGGGACAGAGAAAGGAUGGAGCAAGACACACAAUUAACUCAAAAGAAAUUAAAGGAGAUUGUCACACCACCAGUUCAAAACAAAGGUAAAACAGUAGUUGCUGGACCUACCUUUUAGAAAUGUGACUCCCAGUACCCACGUAUAGAAGUCAAUAUGACCUUAUCAACGAGACAAAGGGUCAAUGGAUGCUGAUUUAAGUGUCAAAGGAUGGAAACGGGUGAAAAAGAGUAUUUUAAAAUAAAUAUUCCACACGCGAAGAAAUAAUAAUAAAAUAAUAAUAUUUUUAUCAAGGAAGAAUUUGGAGAUAAAAGGUUAUUCGGAUGUGAAUCGGGGCAAAGCAAGAUGUUUUAGAGCUUCAGAAGACUAGUGAAAAAUUUUGGGAUAAAAUAAUAUUUUAUUAAUAAAAAAUAAAAAAAAUAUUAAUAUUUUAUUCGAUGUCGAAAUUUUCCAUGAAGGAGAAAUACAUGGUCAAUCUAAGUGGGGAAAAAGAAAAAUGAGGAAAUUUCAGAGAAAAAUGAUGCUAAUGGGGCUCGCGUGUCUUUAUUAAAUAAAGAUAGCACGAGUAAAUAAAUAUUUUAAAUAUUAUAGGGUCACCGCAUUAGACUACAAACUUUAUAUUUCGUUUGUACAUGUAUAAAAGAAGAUAAUAGAAGGAAAUUAGAAUUUAGAAGAGGGUUGGGAGGACUAAAUUGAAAAGAUGGGGAUCUAAGAGGGCAAAACAGAAAUUUUUCUAUCAAGAGGAAGCUUUGACCCUUCGUCCUUAUCACAUGGCCGGUCAUCAUCUCCAAAGCAUCAUCUUCCUUCUCCUUCUCUUCCAAAUGCCAUUUUUGUUCCUCCACCAUAAAAAUCAAGAUUUUUCAUUUUCUUUUCCUUGUUUUCCUUUUUUUUCAUUAUUUUUCUUGCUUCUUCCUUCUCCUAACUCCUUGUGCACAAAAGUUACAACUUUCAACUCCAAUUUUUAGCAUAAUCAAACCCUACGAGAGAGAGAAAAAAAUCUCUGUUUCUUUUCUUCAUUUUUCCAAUAUACUCUACUUUCAUCGCUGCCUAAGCUUUGUAGCUUCAUACUUGCGCUUUUAAAGCCAAAAAGUAUAUUUUCAACUCUUGGAUUUUGGAAAUUUAUGGUUUUAUAUAUAUUUUCAGAUUUUAUUUCCUAAUUCUUCAAAUUCUUUUUCUUGGAAAUAUUAGGUUUUUGUUGACUUUUAUGCCUCCAAGCUCCUCAAGGUAAAGCAACUUUAAAUUUGAAUAGUCAAUUUAAUGGGUUUGUGAAUUAGACUAUAAAUUUAGGUUAAAUGUUAGGUUAGAGUGUAGAUUGCCCAAUGUAAAUUUAUUAGAAUUAUUGAGUCAAUUUAUGACACAAUUGAGAUUGUUAUGGUUUACUGAUAAAUAUAGGUGCUAACGGUACUUAAGGACUUACUUGGAUUAGGACCUUGUUGGUGCUAGUUUUGUAAGGUGAGUGAACUUGCAGUAGAAUAUUUUGGAAUAAAUGAUUAUAUGCCUAAUUGAACCACUUGAAAUAUUUUGUUGGUUUUUCUUUAAACUUUGCAUGGGAACAAGCCCUUAAUGAAACAUUUUUAUGUUGUGAAAUAUGAAAGUGAUGAAUUCAUGUGCUUCUACAUUAUGUUAACGUGUAUGUUAUAAAUUGAAUGGCACUAUUGGGUGACAAUUGUAACCAUGCGUAUGUGGUGUGGGAGUGCACAUGAUGGUGAUAGUGGUGUGCUAUGUGAGUGCACACAUGAUGGUGAUAGUCGUGUGCUGUGUGAGUGCACACACUGAUGAUAUAUGCCAUGUGCGUGAUAGUGGUGUGGCGUGUGAGUGCACACACUGAUGAUAUAUGCAAUGUGCGAGGUGGGAGUGCACAUGAUGAUAUUGCCUUGUGCGGUGUGGAAGUGCACAGGAUGAUUCUAGCUAUGUGCGGUGUGGAAGUGCACAUGAGCUACUGAGAUGGAAGUUGUAUACAUGUAUACACAUACCAUAUAGAUGUUAAAGAAAUAAAAUGUGAUUGUAUUGCAUAUUGAAUGUUGAAAUUUGACAAAUGCUUUCCAAUUGAUUUUUCAUUGCAGCAAAAAUGGAUUUUCAUUGUGACAAGAAUUCUUUAACUUGAUAGCCUUGGUUUUCACUGCAGCAAAAUUUAUUCUCGGUACAGCGAGAAACUCUUAUGUGCUGGGGGCUUGACUAGCCCAGAAUUUCGCUGCUGCGAGAAUGCCUUUCCGCUGCAGUGAGAUUCGCUCUACUAUGCUUGCCUUGCUUGAACUUCCUAAAUGUUUUAAAAUGAGUUGAAAAAUAGCACGACAUCGAGUUUUGUUCAUAAUAUACAAAAUUCCAUUGUUUUUAAAUGAGUGCAUCAUAUUUUUAAAAAGCUCUCCAUAUUGUUUGCUUGUUCCCUUCCUAUGUUCGCUCACUAGGUUUAUACUCAUCCUUUUCAACUUCAUGUUUUAGUUUUCAAGUUUGUAGAUAGUUGGAUCUCAAGUAAAGGCGCUUCUUCCUGUUCAUCUUAUGGUAGGUUUACCAAAACACUCCAUGAUAGUAUCCAUGCCAGAGUCACUCUGCUGAUAGCCAAGGUCGUUUGGUAUGUGUGUACAGUGGUUUAAUUAUAAAUCAUGAGAAUUCUUGUAAGCACCGUAUGAUUGAUUUGAAUGAUAAUGUCGCCACAGGUUGGCAAAUGGUAGUUUAUUUUGUGAAUGGUAUUGUUCAGAUACCAUGGUUUAUUUUCGAAAGGAAAUUAUUUUUGAAAACAAUGAAUUAAGAACCUUAGAGGUAAAAGAGGGACAAGUGGUCUAAUAAACAAAUUUUCAUAAAAAGGCUUGCUUGGGCCCAACGGGCCAUGCCUAUUGGGUCCUUGCGCUAGUCAUGGCUCAGGAAUUGGGUUGUGACAAGAAACCCUCUAGGGAAGGCAAAAAAACAAUGGCUAUUAAAACCACCACCUUCAGAAGAAGAAAAUCAGCAAGACUGGCCUUGACCACUACUAAACAACCUUCUAAGCCUAAAACCCCUCAGAUUAUCUAAUCAACUUCUACUUCUUCAUCCUCUUCCUUUGACUCCUCAUCUAACUCCUCUCAUAAGCAUCUAAAAGUGCAUUUUGGCAUUAAUGAAUCCUCACUCUACUCAAAUUCUUACUAGGAUUUUCCUUUAUGAAUGAUGACAAAAAAAGAGGAAAAGAUUAGAGAGUGGAGAGUAGAAACCAGCUAGGAAGUAAUCUAUUAGGAAAAACAAACUCAGUCUUUAGCUAUGAUUUUGUGGGUUUACAUUUAUGACUUUAUGAGACCUUAUGACUGUGCUAUGUGUGUUUGGUUUAUUUGAAUUUAUAUUAACUUUCAUAAAUCGUGGCAUGCUUUCACUUACUAAUUAUAUUGACUGAAGUGUACUGUUGAAUUAUUAUGUGUCAUUGAUGAUUGAUUGUUGAUAAGUGUAAAAAUAUAUGAUUUUUUUACAGAUGCUUUAUUUUUUAAAUUCACAUAUUUAUGGGGAGCAUAUAUCUAAAGGGAUCAAUCUGCACAUUGAUUUUAUUGUGUUAAAGACAUUACACUCUUAGUCUAUGAGUGUUUUUUCAUCAUAAAAAAAGGGGAUGAAUGUUGACUCCAUAUGUUUUUUAUGAUAACAAAACAUUCCUUAUUCAUUAAUGUCUAACUUUAUUAUUUAAGUGUGUAGGAUAUAGUUUAAUUCCCCUAACAAAAUUAGUAAUUAAAGGCAAGUCAAGAUGCUUGCUAAGUCUAAAGAAAAGUUAAUCAAUUAAAAAAAGAAAGAAGAUAGUGAUUAAUGAAGACAGAACAUUAGUAACUAAUUAACAAAGAGCCUUAGCAAGUUAAGGCAUCAUUGAGCAUUGGGUAAAAACAAGACAAAAAAGCCUUAAUAAGUUAACACCAAGCUUAACUCAUUAAAGAGGUGUUGGAGGUUAAAACCAAAGUCAUGCUAAUCGGUUAAGGAGUUUGGUUAAUUGGUUAGAGCACAUUACCAUAGUACCUUCUAGAGUCAAAAUCAAAUUUAAUAGAAGGUUGACUAUUGGAGAAAGCCAGAAUGGAGAAAUUCAAUAGUCGAAGAUUUUCUAAUUGAUUAAAGCUAAUUUUAAUCAGUUAAGGUUGAAAAAAGUGAAGCCUCAACCAGUUAAAGGAAGAGCUAACCAAUUAAAGGAAUCCUAUGUAGAGGAAAAUGAAAACAGAAAGUUUAUAAUUAGUUAAAGUUUCCUCUAAUCGAUUAACACAGUGUACACAGCUAUAAGAGAAUGCAAGGUAGAGAAGUUGUAAUAGGUUAGAGUUUUCUUGUAACUAGUUAGCCAAACUCUGCCUGCCUAUUUGAAUUUAAAAACUAGAGGAUAAAAUAACGGCUAUAAUGGCAUCAGAGUUGUUUCUAAUGGCUAGAAUCCAUCCUAAACAGUAAAAUCUAACUACCCAAGUAUAAAAGGAAGCUUCAACGGUCAAAGGAUGUAGUGAGAAGCAUAAAAGAACCAUUUUGAGCAAAAAGCCAAAUAACCUUCACCAAAAACGCUUGUUCUUCAUUCUUAUUUUUGAAAAACUAUUUGAGCAUGAUUGUAAUCUUUCUAGAUCUGUAAAGGUGAUCGGUUGUACUUCUUUUUCUUAAGGAAUUAGAGUGUGUGAAGCACUCUAAAGCAUAUUGCAAGGGAUUAGAGCUUAGGUUGGAAGCUUACCUUGUUAAAGCUUAAUGGAGGUUGUUAAUUCCACUUGUAUAGUGAAAUUGGGUUGAAAAUCCUUGAUUACGAGAUCAAGGUAUUAGAUGUAGUCAAGGGGAUCGAACCACUAUAAUUACUCUUGCAUUGUCCACUUUUCUCUACUUUUCCUUACUUUAUGUCUUUUAAUUCAAACAACUUCUAAGCCUUCCUUCCUCUAGAUGAUUAAGAGCUCUACAAACAAAAAGUAAAUAUGAGCUCUAUAAACAAGUUCUAAACCUUUUUAGUACUAUCCACCCCCUUCUAACACUCCAACGAGACCAACAUGAACUUAAUGAGUCUAUUUUAAUUUCAAUUCACAUAUGAAUAUACUGUUUUGGUUGAAAUAAAUAUUUUCUAAAAGAUUCGGGAGAGCAUUAUAAAUAAUUAAGGACUCUGGAUUUGCAAUUCAACCCAUUGCUAUAAGUUAAGAGAAAAAGUAAGAUUUAGAUGAAGUGUGAAAGAUACUGUAAUCCUAAGCCUAUUUAAAUUUGCUUAUUACCCAAUUAUCUUUUUGCUUUAAUUUUUAAUUAGAUUUAAUUAGAUUAGUUUUAGUUGAGUAAUUUUUAGUUUAAUUAGAAUUUAGAUUUUAUUUGUUUGAAUAAAACUAAAUUGUUUUAAUUUUAGUAAUUAAUAAUAUUUUAGAUCAAUUCUCUGUGGGAUCGAUGCUCUGCUUACCAAUAUAUUAUCUUUUCGAUACACAUACUUGUGUGGGUAAAAUUUUAACUAACAAUUCUUAUCUAUGCUAUUCUGACUCAUAAAUCUAUAGACAUCGGGAAGGUUAUUUUUCAUGCUAUGCUUCACACAAGUCGAGUCAAAUAAGAUGGUAUAAGAUUUCCUUUUUCGAGAAAUGCUUUGUGUAGAAAAGCUAGUGUAUGAUGGAAUGAUAGGGAAGAGUUACAAUAACCUAAAAUCCUAAUCACCAUGGGAAUUUUGAGGCAAUUUGUAAAACCCGACCCUAUAAACCCAUGUCAUGACAUACAUGCACCGAGUAGCAUGUUAUUAUGCUAGGAAAGCACCUAAUAAUAGACGAAACUCGGUAUUGUACCUAACGGUACACUUGAGUUGAUUUAACCUCAAACUAGUUCAAAUAGGAAUCGUAGGAUGAAAUUUAAUAUUUUAUAGUCUACGAAUGACUAAAAAGGAUUGUUCGGAGUUCGAGGAUUCAUUUGGGGUAAAAUGGAAAUUUUUGAUGUUCAGGGGUAAAAUCGUCAUUUUACCACCUGAGAUAAUAAUUUGAUCAUGGAGUGAAAUUUUUGACCAAGAUUAACUAUUUGGAGUAUAAUUUAAUGAUAGGAAGUGAAAAAUUUUAAUUUCGGCAAUUUUCAAAACAUAGGGGUAAAACUGUAAUUUUAUCGUUUCGGGGUAAAAACCGUAAUUUUCACCACCCAAAACUUGUCAAAAUCAUAGGAUUUAUUUAUUUUGGGUAUGAAAAACUAUGGUAUGUUAAGUGGUGAAAAGUUGAAGUUUAAAAGAUGAAAUUUUAAAAACGAACCAAUGAGAAAGUGACACAUGGCAUUUUUUUAAUGGUUUAAUAUUAUUUUAAUGAAAAGUCAGCCCAUUUAAACCCCAUUUUAAGUGAUGGCCAGCCAUAAGGGAGAACAAGAGAGAAAAUAGAGAGGAAAGGAAGAAAAAAAAGAAAAACCAAAGAGAAACAAGAAUAUUCAAAGGGGAAUUCGCGUUUUUCUCCCGUUUACGCGUCUAACGGUAAGAUUUUUUGACUUUAGCUUGAUUUCUACCUUUCCUAUGCCUUUGUUUCCAUUUAGCAUGCUUGAGGAGAGAGAUUCUAAAGUGACAUCAAGAGCUGGCUGAAUUUCAAGGGGGGAGAAAUUGAAAUUUUUAGGUUUUGAUUUUUAGUUAAAUUGAUAGUUUUAGUUAGUUAAAUGUGUUUAGAAAUUAAAUUGGGCAAGAAAGCAUUAAAUUUUCACAAUACCCACCCUUGUCGAAUCUGCAAUAAGGUACAAUGAUGAUGAUCUGAUUUUUAUUCUAAGAGAAAUGAAGAGAAAAUGAUGAAAAAUGGUUAAAUGUGAUAGAAAAACAAAGUAGAAAAUUUACCGAGUUAAUGUCCCAUUUUUGGCCGAAUUUUCCAAGGAAGAAAGUGAACUGAUUUUGGUGAUUUUAGAAGGUUAUUGGCUGAUAUUUAAUGGUUAGAGAUGUUGGAGAGAGAAUGGGAUGAUUUAGAGCUAAAAUGGAGCGUGUUAACAAUUUAUCGGGUAAAGUGCCAAAAAUAGGUGAAUACUGCGUUUAAGCCGUUUUAGGCUAUUGCAUUUCAUACCAUGCAUUAGUAUAGGAUUUAAGUUAAUUAUAUAGUGAUUUAGCAUCAAUGUGAUGAAUUGUGUAAAUUUUUGUAAUGUGUCUAGGAGGAGAGCCUUCCGGAAAAGGCAAAGAAGUCGUACCCGACGAGUAGUGAUCGGGGCGCUUAGAAAGCUUUUAGUUUGUACAAACGGUGAGUAAACUUAUUAUUAUUGUAAAUUAUCUAGAGUUUAUUUUAAAUGCCCUUUAUGUAUUUUAUGAAAUGAGAACGAGAUUAAAACGGGAUUUUUGAUGUUUUAGGAAUAAAUGUGACAAAUAAAAAUAUAUUGUAUUGAUUAUGAAAUUGAGUAAUUGGAGGCUGCAAAUUGACUUGAAAAAUAUAUAUUUUCCUAGGAAUGGCUUAUGAGAAAUGAGUAUAUGUGGCUAUAUUUUGUGAAUGCAUUGGGAAAUUUAUGUAAGUUGGUUUUACUAUGCAGGCUGGAUAAAUAAAUAAAAGCCACGUUAUACUGUCGAAAUUUUAUUAAAAUUGGUGGGUUAGUCACUGCAGUGACGGGUUUCCGUGGACUGCCUAUUAGAGGGGCACGGUAAACCCAGUUAUAUAGUUACUCCGGUUGUAGAGGCGAGGAGGGUAACUCCCGGGGUAGUAUUAGAGCUCACUUCACGUCGAACCCCCACGUGAAUGUGUAACUCGGCCAACGCCAAGGAACGGCUGGUUUUAAAAAUAAAAAUGUGUUUCACGUGUGAAUAUUUUAACACCCUUGGCGGACUCGGUUAGAUGCCUCGGCCAAGGUAUCCCCGAGGAUUAGUUUUGGCUUGAGCCUUGUUUUAAUAAAAGACAUAAGCCUUAACAACUGUUUUGGUAAAUUACAAAUAUUUUAUGGUUUAAGAAAUAAAUUGAAAACAUUAUGAAAUGGGUUGAAAUUUAUUGUUUAAACUUGCCUCCAUUUUACUCGCCUUUAGAUAUUUAUGAUAAUGUCUGUUUACUCAUUGGGAUUGCAAAAUCUCACCCACCUCCUUUCCAAAUAUUUCAGACUUGUGGUAGCUUGUAGAUACCCUAUUUUGUCGAGGAUUCCAGUUAACAUCUCUAUCUCACAGACAGUAGGUUACUAUCACCAACACUUGGUGUAGUUUUGGGCCACUUGUCAUUGUAAUUAUUGUUGUAUAUUAUAACUUUGUAAAUUAUUGUAUGCAUGAAUUUAUUUUGUUCUCACGCUACAAAAAUUAUUUAUGUAUAGUUCUAUAAAAAUUGUUUUAUAAGAAAAUAAAAUAUAUUAUCGAAUUUUUUAUUAAGUCUAAUUAGCCAACUUUUCACACUAAAUGAAUGAUUUAGAUUACAAAAAAUUAUUUUUAAUUGGCAAUGGAUAUUUUUUUAUCAGGUUUCACAAUUUGCUGGUAAAAAUGACCAAAAUACCCUUGUGUGGCGAAAAUUUUAUUUUUGAUUGUUUUCGAUCUAAAAUAGUUUAUAUUCUCUUAAAACUCGAUAUUUAGUAACUAUUGCUCACAAGGGAAGUGGAAAACUGAUAUGUAAGCCUUACGGGGUUCUAGUUGGCAUUCCGGGUAAUAAGUGUCAAUUGGGACGUCGCGGCUGUUGUCAUGGGUCCGAGGGAGGUUCCAGGUUGUGACAACUCAGUUGGUAUAAAAGCUUUUGGUUUAAAAGUUUAUGGUUUUGAAAGAAGUUCUUGAUUUUUAAAGUUCUUGGAUUUAAAGUUAUUUUAAAAAUAAUUUACAAUGUCAGUGUGGCCUAGUUAAGAUUAGUUAGUUGCAUAUAGAGUCUUAAGUCGUCUAAACCAAUUUCAUUCUUUUUUGUAGAUCAUUAUGCCUCCUCGACGUGAGCUACCACCUAUCACUAGAUCUACCGGUAGGGGAAGAGGUCGCCCCAGACAGAGUUGGCUAAAUUCCAUAGAAGAGGAGUCGGCUACGUCUUCCUUUAGAGCAGCUCCUACUGCUGAGUCUAGGACAUUCCUGUCUCUCCUCCAUCACCUGUUGCUGCUCCUAGCGUACCUGCCAUGUCACCCGAGGUAGCUCAAGCAUUAGCUGCUUUUCUCGUUGCUCUUACGGGCUAGGCUCAUGUUGGUCUAGUUCCACCCACUGAUUCCUCUAUAACAACCCCAGUACCACCACCCCCUAUUCUACCCCAGACACCGGACGUCUCCAUUUUUAAGAAAUUGAAGGAAACUAGACAGUUGGGUUGGGUCUCGUUUACUGGUGAGUUGGAUGCGAACGCGACUAAGGAUUGGGUUAAUCAAGUUUCGGAGACUCUUUCUGAUAUGAGAUUAGAUGACGAUAUGAAGCUAAUGGUGGCUACUAGAUUACUAGAGAAAAGGGCUCGUACUUGAUGGAAUUUGGUGAAGUCCCGUUCCACUACUCCUCAAACAUGGUCUGACUUCCUCAAAGAAUUUGAUGGUCAGUAUUUUACUUACUUUCAUCAGAAAGAAAAGAAAAGAGAAUUUUUGAGCUUGAAACAAGGAAAUCUAACUGUAGAGGAGUACCGACUCGUUUUAAUGAGUUGAUGUUAUAUGUGCUAGAUCUGGUGAAAUCUGAGCAGGAUCAGGCUAAUUAUUUCUAGGAAAGGCUCCGUAAUGAGAUUAGGGAACGAAUGACAGCGACUAGUAGGGAGCCACAUAAGGAGGUCGUGCAGAUGGCCUUGCGGGCUGAGAAGCUCGCCACUGAGAAUAGACGGAUCCGAGUUGAGUUUGCAAAGUAAAAGAAUCCGCCUACGUUCACGGGUCAGUCUUCAAAGAGAGGUAGAGAUUCGACAUCUACUGCAGGAAGUACUACCUCAGUGUCUGUGGCAUCCAUUAGACCUCCAUCUCAGCAGUCACAGUCGAGAUCUUCUAGAUUUGAUCAGCCAGUGAUGAGUAGACAGGGGGGGACUUCAGAAGGAUUGGACAGAUGCCGUAAUUGCGGAGGAUUUCAUGUUGGGUCAUGUAGACAGCCUGUAAAGUGUUUUCAAUGCAGCCAACAGGGGCAUAUCAAGAGAAAUUGUCCUCAGUUAAGACGGGGUACAGUAACUACUUCUACUCCUCCGACUCGUCCUAGUGUACUGCAGAGAGAUAUUUUGGGAUCGCAGUCCAGACAGGGCCCAGUGAUACGGUCAGGCAUGGGGAGUAAUACCCCAGAACAGCCAUCUUCCAAACCACAGCCCCAGAUUUCCACCAGGGUCUUUGCAGUGACUGAGGAUGAAGCCUGAGUUCGACCUAGCAUAGUGAUAGGUACUAUGAUUGUGUUUGAUAGAGAUGUACAUGUUUUGAUAAAUUCGGGCUCUGAUAGAUCAUACGUGGGCAUAUCAUUUGCAUCAUUCUCAUAUAGGAACCUGUCACCAUUAGAGGAAGAGAUUGUAGUGCAUAUUUCUCUAGGCGAGCGGUUAGUAAGAAAUACGUAUUAUAGAAACUGUGGUAUUAAAGUUAGGGAAGAAAAAUUUAUGGGUGAUUUAAUCCCUUUGGAGAUUCGGGACUUUGAUUUAAUCUUAGGUAUGGAUUGGUUGUCCACUCAUCGAGUAAAGGUGGAUUGUUUUAAGAAAGAAGUGAUACUCCAGAGUUUAGAGGGAGUAGAAGUUCUAUUUACGGGGGAGCAUCGAGUAUUACCGUUUUGUGUAAUCUCGGCCCUCAAAGCUUUGAAAUUGGUGCGAAAGGGAUAUCCAGCAUACUUGGCUGACGUGAUUGAUAUAUCGAGGGAGGAACCUAAGUUAGAGAAUGUCCCCGUAGUAAGUGAGUUCCCUGAUGUAUUUCCUGAUGAAUUACCGAGACUUCCUCCCGAUCAUGAGUUUGAGUUCACCAUUGACUUACUUCCGGGUACCGCACCUAUUUUUAUUCCUCCAUAUAGAAUGGCUCUGGUAGACUUAAAGGAGUUGAAAGUACAGUUGCAAGAGUUAGUGGACAAGGGUUUUAUACACCCUAGUAUAUCUCCUUGAGGAGCACUAGUUUUAUUUGUGAAAAAGAAAGACCAUACACUUCGGUUAUGUAUAGAUUACCGACAGCUUAACAGAAUGACCAUUAAGAACAAGUAUCUGUUGCCGAGGAUUGAUGAUCUUUUCGAUCAAUUAUAGAGAGCUACAGUGUUUUCUAAGAUUGAUCUGAGGUCUGGGUAUCAUCAGUUGAGGAUUAAAGAACAAGAUGUAUCCAAGAUAGCAUUUAGGACUCAAUACGAUCAUUAUGAGUUCUUGGUCAUGUCUUUUGGGUUAACUAACGCACCGGUAGCUUUUAUGGAUCUCAUGAACAGGGUGUUCCACCCUUACUUAGACAAGUUUGUUAUUGUGUUCAUUGAUGACAUCCUAGUUUACUCGAGAGAUAAUGAUGAGCACGCUGCCCACUUGUGUAUAAUAUUACAAACUUUGCAGGAAAGACAGUUAUAUGCAAAGUUUUUGAAGUGUGAGUUUUGGUUACAGGAAGUGGUAUUCUUGGGACACGUAGUAUCGGGAGCUGGAAUAUAUGUUGAUCCCAAAAAGAUAGAGGCAAUUUUACAAUGGGAGCAACCUAAGUCAGUGACGGAGAUUCGUAGUUCCCUCAGAUUAGCCGGUUAUUAUCGGAGGUUUGUUCAAGGGUUUUCCUUAAUAACAGCUCCUUUGACCCGUCUAACUCGUAGGGGAGUUAAGUUUGAGUGGGAUGGUGUUUGUGAGAAUCGAUUUCAAGAGCUAAAGAACCGGUUAACCUCUGCUCCCAUUUUAACACUUCCUGUGAGUGGUAAGGGAUUUGUGGUGUACGGUGACGCAUCUAAGUUGGGGUUAGGGUGUGUGUUGAUGCAAGAUGAGAAAGUAAUAGCUUAUGCUUCCCGGCAGUUGAAGAAGCAUGAAGCAAAUUACCCUACCCAUGAUUUAGAGUUAGUAGUAGUGGUGUUUGCUUUAAAAGUCUGGAGGCAUUACUUGUAUAGUGAGCAUUGUCGGAUAUUUACGGAUCACAAGAGUUUAAAAUAUUUGCUCACUCAGAAGGAGCUUAAUUUGAGGCAAAGGCGAUGGUUGGAGUUGAUAAAAGAUUAUGACUUGGUGAUAGAUUAUCAUCCGGGAAAGGUGAACGUUGUAGCUGAUGCCUUAAGUCGUAAGUCUUCAUUGUCUUUAGCAGCACUUCAGAGUUGUUAUUUUCUAGCAUUAUUAGAGAUGAAAUCUCUUGGGGUCUAGUUGAGAAAUGGUGAGGAUGGAUCCUUAUUGGCAAGCUUCAUAGUGCGACCUUCGUUACUUGAUCUGAUCCAGGAUAUUCAGAGGUAUGAUGAUGAGUUAAGAAAAAAAAUUCAGAAACUGAUUCAUGAGGGAGUCAGUGAGUUCAAAUUCGGAGAGGAUAACGUAUUGAUGUUUAGAGACCGAGUUUGUGUUCCUGAGGGAAACCAGCUAAGACAGGUGAUCAUGGAAGAAGCCCAUUCAUCUGCCUAUGCAUUACAUCCUGGAAGCACCAAGAUGUAUAGGACUAUCAGGGAGAAUUAUUGGUGGCCAUGUAUGAAGCGAGACGUAGCAGAAUUCGUAGCAAAGUGUCUCGUAUGUCAGCAAGUUAAGGUGGAGCAUCAGAGGCCAGCAGGUACACUUUAGUCUUUACCUAUUCCUGAGUGAAAAUGGGAGCAUGUAACUAUGGAUUUUGUUUUGGGAUUGCCGCGGACACAGAGGGGAAAGGAUGCAAUCUGGAUGAUCGUAGAUCAAUUGACUAAGUCCGCUCAUUUUUUAGCUGUCCAUAGUACAUACUUUAUUGAGAAGCUGGCUCAGCUCUAUAUAGAUGAAAUUGUGAGGCUACAUGGAGUUCCCAUUUCUAUAGUGUUAGACCGAGAUCCUCGAUUCACUUCUCAAAUUUGGCCGAAAUUUCAAGAAGCUCUCGGAACCAAAUUGAAAUUUAGCACUGCUUUUCACCCAUAGAUGGAUGGUCAAUCAGAGAGGACUAUCUAAACUAUGGAGGAUAUGUUGAGGGGUUGUUUCAUGGAUUUUCUUGGGAGUUAGGAUAGACACUUGUCGUUAGUGGAAUUUGCUUACAACAACAGCUUCCACUCUAACAUCGGUAUGGCACCGUACGAAGCUUUAUAUGGAAGGAAAUGUCGUACUCCACUUUAUUGGGAUGAAGUGGGUGAAAGAAAGUUAGCUAGUGUGGAAUUGAUCGAUUUAACUAAUGACAAGAUCAAGGUUAUACGAGAGAAGCUAAAAGUAGCCCAGGAUAGGCAGAAGAGCUAUGCAGAUAAACGGAGAAAAGACUUGCAGUUUGAAAUCGAUGAUAGAGUUUUUCUUAAGGUUUCUCCUUGGAAAGGUAAUAAUCUAAAUGCUUUGUGGUAUUAAGUUUUAUUUUAUUAUAUUGUUAUGGUAAAUUAUGAUAUCUUGUUGGAUAAUGAAAGGUGUAAUUCGAUUCGCGAAGCGGGGAAAGCUUAACCCGAGGUAUAUUGGACCAUUCCGAAUCAUUGAGAGAAUUAAACUAGUGGCUUAUCGGUUAGAACUACCUCCGGAGUUAGAUCGGAUCCACAACGUUUUCCAUGUCUCCAUGCUUAAGAAAUAUGUACCAGAUCCGUCUCACAUCCUCGAAGCACCUCCGAUCGAGUUACAUGACGAUUUGAAGCUCGAGUUGCAACCUGUAAGUAUCUUGGAUCGAAAGGAUCGAGUACUAAGGAACAAGAGUAUUUCAAUGGUCAAAGUGUUGUGGAAAAGUGCUCGAAUGGAGGAAAUGACAUGGGAAGUAGAUCAUCAGAUGAGGAACCAAUACCCACACCUAUUUGUCGAAUCUGGUAAGUGAAAUUUUGAGGUCAAAAUUUUAUUUUAAGGGGCGUAGAAUUGUAAAACCCGACCCUAUAAACACAUGUCAUGACAUACAUGCACUAAGUAGCAUGUUAUUAUGCUAGGAAAUCACCUAAGAAUAGACAAAACCCGGUAUUGUACCUAACGAUACACUUUAGUUGAUUUAACCUCGAACUAGUUCAAAUAGGAAUCGUAUGAUGAAAUUUAAUAUUUUAUAGUCUACGAAUGACUAAAAGGGAUUGUCGAAGUUUGAGGGUUCAUUUGGGGUAAAAUGGAAAAUUUUGAUGUUCAGGGGCAAAAAUGUCAUUUUGCCACCUAAGAUAAUAAUUUGAUCAUGAAGUGAAAUUUUUGACCAAGAUUAACUAUUUGGAGUAUAAUUUAAUGAUAGGAAGUGAAAAAUUUCAAUUUCAGCAAUUUUCGAAACAUAGGGGCAAACGAUAAUUUUAUCGUUUCGGGGUAAAAAUCGUAAUUUUCACCACCCAAAACUUGUCAAAAUCAUAGGAUUUAUUUAUUUUUGGUAUGAACAACUAUGGUAUGUUAAGUGGUGAAAAAUUAAAGUUUAGAAGACGAGAUUUUAAAAACGGACCAAUGAGAAAGUGACACAUGGCAUUUUUUUUAGUAGUUUAAUAUUAUUUUAAUGAAAAGUCAGCCCAUUUAAACCCCAUUUUAAGUGAUGGCCCGCCAUAAGGGAGAACAAAAGAGAAAAUAGAGAGGAAAGGAAGAAAAAAAAGAAAAACCAAAGAGAAACAAGAAAAUUUAAAGGGGAAUUCGCGUUUUUCACCCGUUUACGCGUCUAACGGUAAGAGUUUUCGACUUUAGCUUGAUUUCUACUUUUCCUAUGCCUUUGUUUCCAUUUAGCAUGCUUGAGGAGAGAGAUCUAAAAGUNNNNNNNNNNNNNNNNNNNNNNNNNNNNNNNNNNNNNNNNNNNNNNNNNNNNNNNNNNNNNNNNNNNNNNNNNNNNNNNNNNNNNNNNNNNNNNNNNNNNNNNNNNNNNNNNNNNNNCCAAAAAUAGGUUAAUACCGCGUUUAAGCCGUUUUAGGCUAUUGCAUUUCAUACCAUGCAUUAGUAUAGGAUUUAAGUCAAUUAUAUAGUGAUUUAGCAUCAAUGUGGUGAAUUGGGUAAAUUUUGCAAUGUGUCUAGGAGGAGAGCCUUCCGGUAAAGGCAAGGAAGUCGUACUCGACCAACAGUGAUCGGGGCACCUAAGAAGCAUUUCAUCUGUACAAACGGUGAGUAAACCUAUUAUUAUUGUAAAUUAUCUAGAGUUUAUUUUUAAAUGCUCUUUAUGUAUUUUAUGAAACUACAAUGAGAUUAAAACGGGAUUUUUGAUGUUUUAGAAAUAAAUGUAGCAAAUAAAAAUAUAUUGUGUUGAUUAUGAAAUUGAGUAAUUGGGGGCUACCAAUUGUCUUGAAAAAUAUAUUUUCUUAUGAAUGGCUUAUGAUAUAUGAGUAUAUGUGGCUAUAUUUUAUAAUUGCAUUGGGAAUAGAAUGUAAGCUGUCUUUACUAUGCAGGCUGGAUAAAUAAAUAAAAGCCACGUUAUACUGUCGAAAUUUUGUUAAAAUUGGUGGGUUUAGUCACUGUAGUGACGGGUUUCCGUGGACUACCUAUUAGAGGGGUACGGUAAACUCGGUUUCAUAGUUACUCCAGUUGUAGAGGCGAGAAGGGUAACUCCUGGGGUAGUGUCGAACCCCCACGUGAAUGUGUAACUCGGCCAAUGCCAGGGAACGACUUGUUUUCAAAACUAGAAUGUGUUUAACAUGUAAAUAUCUUAACAACCUUGGCGAACUCGGUUAGAUGCCUCGGCCAAGGUAUCCCCGAGGACUAGAUUUUGGCUUGAGCCAUGUUUUUAAUAAAAGUUAUAAGUCUUGACAACUGUUUUGGUAAAUUACAAAUGUUUAAUGGUUUAAGAAAGAAAUUGAAAACCUUAUGAAAUGGUUUGUGAUUUGUUGUUUAAACCUGCCUCCAUUUUACUCGCCUUUAGAUAUUUAUGAUAAUGUCUGUUUACUCAUUGGGAUUGCAAAAUCUCACCCACCUCCUUUCCAAAUAUUUCAGGCCUGUGGUAGCUUGUAGAUACCCUAUUUUGUCGAGGAUUCUAGUUGACAUCUCUAUCUCACAGACAGUAGGUUACUAUCACCAACACUUUGUGUAGUUUUGGGCCACUUGUCAUUGUAAUUAUUGUUGUAUAUUAUAACUUUGUAAAUUAUUGUAUGCAUGAAUUUAUUUUGUUCUCACGCUACAAAAAUUAUUUAUGUAUAGUUCUAUAAAAAUUGUUUUAUAAGAAAAUGGAAUAUAUUAUCGAAUAUUUUUAUUAAGUCUAAUUAGCCAACUUUUCACACUAAAUGAAUGAUUUAGAUUACAAAAAUUUAUUUUUAAUCGACAAUGGAUAUUUUUUUAUCAUACGUUGUAUUUUUAUCAAGUUUCGAAAUUUUCUAGUAAAAAUGACCAAAAUACCCUUGUGUGGCAAAAAUUUUAUAUUUGAUUAUUUUCGAUUAAAAAUAGUUUAUAUUCUCUUAAAACUCGAUAUUUAGUAACUAUUGCUUACAAGGGAAGUGGAAAACUGCUAUGUAAGCCUUGCGGGGUUUCGAUUAGCAUUCCGGGUAAUAAGUGUCAAUCGGGACGUCGCGGCGGUUGUCAUGGGCCCGAGGGAGGUUUCGGGUCAUGACACAAUUGGAAAAGUCCAUAGUAAUGGCUAGUUGUUCUUCUCAGGCUACUCUUUAACCUCCAUAGUGAGCUCCAACCGAUAGUGUAACUCAAUGGAUGGGAUUGAUCAUCGUAUGGAAUGCCAAAAAAGGCAGAAUCGAGGCACUUAAGCAAAUGAUGCAAGCCUAUGCAAUGCAUAUCGGGAUGGAUAUGGCUACUCACCCUUCGUUGCCUACAGAUUCAGACUCUAAUAAGAAUUUUGGUAAGGAUGAUGAGGAUGACUAGUGGGGUGCAGCUACAAUUUAAAGGAGUAUUUUCUCUUCCUUACUUUCCAUAACAUCAAGGACAAUGUUUACUGUAAGUUUGGGAGAGAAGUUUUUAAAUUUUUAUUUUUAUAAUUGUUAUGUUUUUUAUUAUGUUUUGAAGCUAAGUUUAGUUGUUUAGCAUGAUAAUUUAGGUGUAUGUUAAUUUAAGAAAAUGUUGAAAAACUAAAGCUAAAAUUAGUGCACCAAUGAAAUUGAUUUACCUAUCCAAUGAUGAUCACUAAUUAUCUUGUUGAUUUUUUACUCUUAGUAAUCACGAAUAUUGUUUGAAUGUCAUGUGAAGUCUUAUCUUAGCAUCAUGAUCGAAUGAAAUUUUCAUACUUGAGCACUAUAUCUCUUGCAUUGAAAUAUCAUUUCUCUUUAGAGAUAUUUUAUGUAAAUGAAGAUUUUAGAACUAUGUUUAGAGUUUUAGAAUUUGUUUAAUUCUUCCUUGAGGUGAAAUCGUAAGGCUAUAAGUAGUCAGGAAAAUGACUUAGGCCAUCCUUUGAUCGAUUGAGCCUUUCAACCCAACCUAUUUACAUCUUUAUCCCCAGUAUGCCAUUUUGAGCUUAAAUUGUCCUUUCUUUGAUUUAACCCAUAAAUAACAUUAGCUUAGCCUUUUAGAAAUUUCUCCCAUUUUUACAACCCUCACUCCUAAGCAUAUAUAUUGUUCUAGGAAAUAUAUUUUGAGCUAUUUGACGAGAAAAGUGGAAAAUAUGAAAUGUAGAGAAAAAUGCAAAAGUUUUGUAAAGGAUUCAUCCCACUAUUAAUGAAAGAACCAAGUUUGGGGGUGUUGAAAUAAAAAAAUUAUUAUGUUUGACAAUGGAAAAGUGAAAGUAAAAGAAAAAGGAUGUACUCGGUGAAGAAAAAUAAUAAGGCUAUAUAGGUCCUAAAACAAUUAUGUGUUUAGGGUGACUUGAGCUACAUAUUAUCUCGUGUCCUACCUCAACCCUAGCCACGCAUUACAAGCUGAAUAAAGUCCUAAGGAUCCUUAAUUUAGUAUUAGCCUACAUUAGUGGAGAAUGAAAUAAAAAACAAACUUAUGAAAUUUUAAACUAGUUUGAGGUUUGCAUGAGCAUAAACCUAUUUGGAGUGCAUGAGAUUCAUGGCAAGAGAUUUCACACACACACACACACAAGAAUUUAUCCAAAAAUGAGCUUGCAUUUGAACGUAAUGUGAAUUUAGAUAAUAUUUAUAUUUUACUUUGAGUGGAGAAAACAACAUAGUUUAUGAGGAAAUUAGAGGUUGUCAAUGAAUUAUUGCAUCUGAUUUUGUUAGUUUGAUGUUUUCAAUUAUGUUAUUUUGUUUUCUUAGUUUUUGCUUGAGGACUAACAAAAUAUUAAGUUUGAAGGUGUGACAACUUUAUGAUAUAGAUUUAUUUUGCCACAUUUUGAUUAUAAAAGAAUAGCUAAGUCCUUGUGUUUUCAAGUUAAUUUUAGGUAAUUUUUAUAUUUCUUUUAUUUAGUUUAACACAUGUUGAAUUAUUUUUAAUUUGAGUAAUUUGUUCUCAUUUUCAUACCAAAAGUCUUAAUUUGAGAAAUCACUGAUUUACUCUCUAUUCUAAAGGUUCUCAAGUGUAAAAUGCUUCAUGAAAGUGAAAUGUGCAAGAUGGUUAUGUGCAGAAUUUGCUGAAUAUGUUGUGGUAUUUCUACCAUAACUCUCUCUAAAGAACUCCAAAUGAGGUGAUUCUUAGACCAAUAGAAAGCUAAGAGAAAGGGCUACAACCUUUUUGUUUAUCACUUCACCCAGUUUGGAUUGGAAGGUGGUCAAAAUCUAUGUCAAAAAGAGUAUACUACAAUAAGAGAGUAAAACAAAGAAAGAACACUUGAGAGCCGCAUCGUUGAAAGGAAUUUGUGGCAAACUUCAAACUCAGAAUUGUUGAGAGCCAUGGCUCUCAAAGUAAGAUUCGUGGCACUAGAGCUUGUUUCGAAAAAUAAUUGUCUAACGGGAAAUUUGGAAAUUAGGUUAAUUUUUGUGCUUAUUUAAGAGACUUUUUCAGAGAAUUUUAGAGAGAAGAUGAGAACAGCUAGUCUGGAGAAUUGGAGCUAAGAAUCAAGCAAGAGAACAAGAGACAUUGAAAGAGACUCGAGAUCAAAAAGCUUCAACAUUAGUUUAUUUCUCUCAUUUGUGUUUUUCUUAUUUUCUUUGACUUGAAUUCAUGGCUAAAUUUCUUUGGAUAAUAUUUUAAUUAGAUAUGAUGAACUAAUUUGUUUUUUGAGGAAUAUGGUGGAUUUCAACCUGUAGUUUAAAUAUCAGUUUCUAUUUUAUUUAUUAUGAAUGGAUAUAGUUUUGCUUAUUCAAAUCUAUUCUUAAUGCUUUUAAUUGUCUUAUCAACAAUUAACUGAUUUGUGAAUCUGAUUGAGACUCAACUGAAAGAUUUAAAAUUGGACUAAGAUUUGAAUAGUGUAUGUUCACGUCACAAAGAUGAUUUUAUUCGCAAUUUGGGUAGACAUACACCUAUUACCAUACAUAACCAAAUUAAGAUACUAGCUUAAUGAACUUAAUUUAAUUGAUUCCUAUAGACAUAUAGUGAAUUAAUUAAGUUGGGUAUCUGUGCAAGCAUCUCAAUAGAUACUUGCACACAACUUUCCAUUCUAGGUUAGUGAAAACACCUAGGGCGGUAAAUAAUAGGAGAAGCUAGUAUCAAAUGAAGUGUUGAAUGAACCCACAAUCCUAGGUCUUUAGUCUAUUGUCUUUCUCAAGUAACUUUAAUUUCUGUUAGUUAAUUUAGUGCUUGUUUUAACUUAGUUUUAAUUAAUUUUCUUACAAUUUCAGUUACUUAAAUAAAAUUGAUUUGUUCUAAAAUUUUAAUACUUAGUAAAACUUUAGGAGCAAAUCUCUAUGGAAAUGAUACUCUACUUGUUACUAUAUUACUUAUUUGCGAUAAUGUGUACUCGUGAGAAAAAUCAACAACACUCAUAUAAGCACCUUGUGCUAUGGGGAUCGAUCUACCUAUCCAUGGGGGUUGAUCCUUGGCUAUUCUAGUAGCUAUAUCAAGCUUAAAACCUAUAAGGAUCGACUCCUCCUUGGCUUAGGAUCAACCCUUCAUGCCUUAUUGCUAGCUCUAUUAGUUUUUGAUGAUAAUAAAACAUUCCCAUUUAUUUGUGUCUAAUACCUUUACCUGAGUGUGCAGGAAAUUAAUAUAUGAAAUUAAUUUAUUAACUCUUCAAAGAGUAUUUUUGAUAGGAAAAGAGGGAUAAAAUUAACAAGAUGUAACUGAAUAACAAGGAGGAAGCUUAUUGGUGAAACAAGGAAGAACAUUAGUUGACCAAAUUUCAAAUUGGAGAAAUGAUGGGCUGAAGAGUUUGAAAAGCAAAAUCAAUUUAGUCAAGCAAGUCAGUCGACUAAGUGCUCUCUAUCAAAAUUUGCCAACUAAAAACAGAACCAACUUAGUCAACCAAGUUAGUCGACUAAAAGCUCUCUAUCUGUAAUUUGAACCAGAGCACUACAAGAUAGAUUAAUGGCUAGAACUCAUUCUCAACUAUUUCCAAGGGAUAUAAACUACCAAAUUGCCAUCAGAGUUGAAUCUCCAAGUAUAAAAGGGUCUUCCAACCAUUAGAAACAAGUUUUUGAGAAGCCUUGAAUGAGAUUUGAGCUGUAGAAAGUAGAAAAACCAAAAAAGCUUCACUGCACUUGUCUGCACUUAAACGCCUACUCUUUGCAUUUGUAUUUAGUACUCAAUCUUGUACCAAUCAGAUCAUCCAGUGAUCAUAAUUACUUUUUUUUACUAGUUCUCUCGUAUUCUUAGAGUGAAGGAGUCACUCUAAGGGGUUGUUCAAGCUUGGGAUAGCUUGAUUGUUAAAGGUUGUGGUUGAGCCUUAGAAAAUCACUUUGGGUUUUAGUUGAGCCUGUGAAAAACGAGUGUAAAAGGUUGUGGCUGAGCCUGGUAAAAGCCAUUGUAAAAGCUCUGUCGAAGCUUGUGAAUUUCACCGAUUGUUAGUGAGUUUGUGAGAAAAUCCUUGGUUGGAUAAUCAAGGUAGUGGAUGUAGGUCUUGGACCGAACCACUCUAAAUUGCUGUGCAUUUUAUACUCUAUGUUUGUUUUCUUAAGUCCUGGAAAUUAGUUUCCAAUAUUGUUAAGAGCCAAAUUGUGCUAUUCACCCCCCUCUAGCACAUAUUAUAGGGACCAAUAAUUGGUAUCAGAACAAGUUCCCUACCAUUAAGGCUUAACAUCCUUUAGGAGGAUCCAAAUGGCUCAACAAAAAUCAGUAGUGGCUAAGGGACAAUCAACAAAUAGACCACCUCUGUCUGAUGGUUCUAAUUACCCUUAUUAGAGCUCUAAAAUUUCAAUGUACAUUAGAGCUAUAAACUAUGAAAUGUGGGAUGUCAUAACUGAUGGACCCUUUAUACCCUCAAUCGUGAAUGUAGUGACAAAUAAGUUGAUGCCUAAGCCAAUGUCUGAAUGGAUUGAGGUUGAAACUAAGAAAGUUCAAAUAAACUUUAAGGCCAUCAACACAUUACAUUAUGCCUUGACCCCCAUUGAAUUUAACAAAGUCUCAAGCUGUACAACAACUAAACAAGUGUGGGAAAAACUUAGAAUAAUCCAUGAAGGGACUUCUCAAGUAAAGGCGUCCAAAAUUGCUCUCUUAACACAUAGUUAUGAAAUGUUCAAAAUGGAGCUUGGUGAAGACAUCACCAGCAUGUUUGUUAGGUUUACAAACAUCACAAAUAAAUUAAGUUAGCUAGGCAAGCCUAUCCCUGAACAUGAAUUAGUUAAGAGACUACUUAGAUGCCUACCAAAAUCUUGAAAACUAAAAGUGACUGCCAUUAGACAGGCUAAAGAUCUGAACAUCAUCACACUUGAUGAGAUUUGUGGUUCUCUUCUUACUCAUGAGUUAGAGCUUAAGGAAGAAGAAGAAGAAAACCGAAAUGAAGCAAAGGAAAAGAAAAAGAGCAUUGCACUUAAAGCCAACAUCCUUGAAGAAGAGCUAAAAGAGCUUUCUUGUGAUGAUGAUGAAGAAUUAGCUCUAGUUGCAAGAAAAUUCAGAAAGUUAAUGAGCAGAAGAAAUCAAAGGCUAACUAGAAGAGGUUUCAGGAAAGACCAAGGUGCUUCAUGGAAAAUAAGGAACAAAAAUGACUCCAACAAAAGGGAGGAGAUGAUCUGCUACGAAUGCAAGAAACCUGGUCACUUCAAGUCUGAGUGUCCAUUGCUACAAGAUCAAACCCCUAAGAAAAAUAAGAAAUCCAAGAAAGCAAUGGUGGCUGCUGCAUGGUCGGAUAGUGACACAUCAAGCUCUGAAACUGAUGAUGAAAACUCUGAGGAAAGAGCAAACAUCUAUUUAAUGGCACAAGAGGAUGAAAUAAAGGUACCCUCAUCCCCCUGCAUUAAUUCAUAAGAUAAUUUACAAGAUGAGGAUGAGUGCUUGUAUGAAGAAUUUGAAAAACUUUUUUCAAAAUACAAAUCAUUAAAGAAAAAGGCUACAUUACUUGAAAAUGAUUUGGAACAAAUCAAACAAGAAUUCACUUCUGUUUUUGAGCAAAGAAAUAUUUUGCAAAUUGAGAUAGAACACUCAAAAAUAGACUUUGAGGUUUUAAAACAAGAGCUGGAAAACAAGUUUGAAGGUUUUCAAAUAACUCUUAAUGAAAAUACAGUUCUUAAAUGUUUGAAAAAUGAAUCUUGAAAAAGAGAUGUAUACCACAAUAAAAAUUCAGCUAAAGCAUUACCUAGAUGUUAUAAUUAUGGUAAACAUGGUCAUUUAUCAUAUAAGUGUUUUAAGAAAAGAACAGUGUAGAAAGUUAAGAAAAUCUGGGUUCCUAAGGAAUCCUUUGUUGCAACUAACACUCAAGGACCCAUCAAAGUAUGGGUACCUAUAAAGAAAAAUUGAAAUUCUAUUUUAUAGGUUGUGCUGGACUUAAAGGAGACAUGUUCAAAAGCUCAACUCAAGAAGAAACAGCCUUGGUACUUGGACAGUGGUUGUUCACGGCACAUGACAGAACAUGAAAUACUGUUUGCUCAAUUGGAUAAGAGAAAGGGAGGAACCAUAUCCUUUGGAGAUGAUUCAAAAGGAAGAAUACAUGGUAUAGGUAUGGUUGGUAAGAAUUUCCAAACUCAAAUUGGUCAUGUGUUGUUGGUUAAAGGCUUAAAUCAUAAUUUAUUAGUCAAUUAUGUGAUAAAGGAUUUAAAGUGUGCUUUGAUUCAACUAAGUGUGAAGUGAUAGAUAUGAGCACAAAUAAAAUCUCAUUUAUAGGAAAUAGAUUGAAGAAUAUGUAUGUAAUUUUUCUUGAAGAUCUUGAAAUAAAUAGUGAAGUUUGUCUUGUUGCAAAUGCUGAAAAUGAUAGUUGGUUAUGGCAUAGGAGAUUAGAACAUGUGAGCAUGCAUAUUAUGCCAAAAUUAAUUAAGAAGAAUCUUGUUGUCGGACUACCUGAGUUAAAAUUUGAAAAUGAUAGGAUAUGUGAUGCUUGCCAACUAGGAAAACAAGCUAGGACAUCCUUCAAGUAUAAGAAAAUUGUGUCAACAUCUAGACCUCUUGAAUUGCUUCAUAUUGAUCUAUUCGGUCUAAUAAACACAACUAGCUUGGAGGAAAAUCUUAUGGCUUUGUAAUAGUUUAUGACUAUUCUAGAUAUACUUGUGUGUAUUUUCUUGCUCAUAAGAAUGAUGCUUUACAAGCAUUCUUAAGUCAUUGUAAGAAAGUAGAAAAUGAAAAAGAACUAGCCAUAGUUACCAUAAGGAGUGAUCAUGGAGGAGACUUUGAAAAUGAUGAGUUUGAAAAGUUUUGCAAUGAUAAGGGGUUGGAUCAUAAUUUUUCUGCACCUAGAACACCUCAGCAAAAUGUAGUUGUAGAGAGGAAAAACCGAACCUUGAAAGAAAUGGCUAAAACCAUGCUCUAUGAGAACAGCCUACCUAAAUAUCUUUGGGCUGAGGCAGUAAAUGCAGCAACUUAUAUUCUUAAUAGAGUCUCAAUAAGGCCCUUGAUUUCAAAGACUCCAUAUGAACUUUAUAUAGGUAGGAAACCAAAUAUUUCUCACCUUAGGAGUUUUGGUUGUAAAUGCUUUAUAUUGAACAAUGGAAAACAACCCUUAGGGAAGUUUGAUGCAAAAAGUGAUGAAGCAAUAUUUUUAGGAUAUGCUUUAAACUCAAAGGCCUAUAGAGUUUUUAACAAAAGGACCUUGACCAUUGAAGAAUCAAUUCAUGUAGUUUUUGAUGAGUCAAAUGCAUUGCAAAAAGAAGUUCAUGAUGAUGAUGAUGAUGAUGUAUAAGUCCUAGAAAACAAAUAAAGGAAAUGAGCUUAGAAAAUAACAAAAAUAAUGAAGAAAGUUCACCUAUAAGAGAAAAUGAAACUCCACCUCUAGAAAAUUUACAAAGAGUAGAAAAUCAGCAUGAUGAUCUACCAAGGAGUUAGAGAUUUCUGAGAGAUCACCCACAAGACCAAAUAAUUGGUGAGAUUUCACAAUGAGUCAUGUAUGGUCAUUGGUACCUAGACUUUCAAAUCACCCUAUUGUUGGUACAAAAUGGGUAUUUAGAAAUAAGGUAGAUGAGCAAGGAAAUGUAGUUAGAAAUAAAGCUAGGUUGGUAGUAAAAGGAUACAACCAAAAAGAAGGAAUAGAUUAUGAUGAAACUUUUUCUCUGAUUGCUAGGAUUGAAGCUAUAAGGUUGUUGCUAGCUUUUGCAUGUUUCAUGAAUUUUAAACUGUUCGAAAUAGAUGUCAAAAGUGCAUUCUUAAUUGGAUUAAUUCAAGAGGAAGUAUAUGUAGAACAACCACCUGGUUUUGAAGACUUUGAAAAAUUUGAUCAUGUUUUCAAACUUCAUAAAGCCUUGUAUGGAUUGAAACAAGCUCCUAGAGCUUGGUAUGAAAGGCUUUCAAAAUUUCUAGUUGAGAAAGGGUAUGAUAGAGGCAACAUCGAUACUCCAUUGUUCAUUAAGCGAUAUCUAAAUGAUUUAAUUGUUGUGCAAAUAUAUGUGGAUGAUAUUGUAUUUGGUGCAACUAAUGAAGCUUUAUGCAAAAACUUUGCAAAGGAAAUGUAGGGUGAAUUUGAGAUGAGUAUGAUGGGAGAGUUAAAGUACUUCCUUGGUAUUCAAAUCAAACAAAGUGAGGAAGGAAUCUUCAUCAACCAAGAAAGAUAUACUCAUGAUAUGCUCAAGAAAUUUGAUAUGUUAAAGUUGAAAUCAAUUUCCACACCAAUGAGUCCAUCCACCAAACUCAACUUAGAUAAAAAAGGUAAGGAUGUAGAUCAAAAGCUCUAUAGAGGUAUGAUCGGCUCUCUUAUCUACUUAACAACAAGUAGACCAAAUAUUCAAUUUAGUGUGUGCUUGUAUGCUAUAUUUCAGUCACAGUCUAAAGAAUCACACCUAACAGCUGUUAAGAGAAUUUUUAGAUAGCUCAUAGACACUUAAGAACUAGGAAUAUGGUACUCUAGAAACUCAACUCUUAGCUUAACUGGAUAUUCAGAUGUUGACUUUGCUGGUAGCAAAACUGAUAGGAAAAGCACUAGUGGAACAUGCUAAUUUUUAGGAAGGAUGCUUGUGUCCUAUUCCAGCAAAAAGUAAAACUCAGUGGCACUGUCUACAAUAGAGGCUGAAUAUGUAUCAUUAGGUAGCUGCUGUGCACAAAUCCUUCAGAUCAAGCAAUAAUUAAAAGACUAUGGAAUAGCUAUGCAUAAUGUACCGAUAUACUGUGAUAACACAAGUGCAAUCAAUAUAUCAAAAAAUCUUGUGUAACACUCUAGGGUAAAGCACAUUGAAAUUAGACACCAUUUUAUUAAAGACCAUGUGAUGAAAAAUGAUAUUAAGAUAGAAUUUGUGAAUACUUUACAUCAAUUAGCAGACAUUUUUACCAAACCUCUGAGUGAAGAUAGAUUCUGUGAGAUUAGAAGAAAUUUAGGGAUGAUUAGUGUGAAGGAAUUAUAAGAAAACCUUAGGCUUUCUCAUAGAAAAUAAAAUGCUUUCAGUCGACUAAGGAUUUCUUAGUCAACUAAUAAGACUCAGUGAGUAUAGAGAAAAAAGAGUAAAAUGUGGUAAAAAUAUGUGUUUACCUGGUGCAAAAAAAAUGAAGAAAAAUUUUCAAAGGUAAAUAACCAAAUUUUAGAGGGAAGUUUAAAAUUAUAAAGAAAUAAAAUAAAGCAGUACUUAAAGGAAGGUGAGUAGUUUUUUUUGCAAUAACUACUGACUACCUCUCCUCUUCUCUCCCUUGAAAGCCAUUGCUCUAGAAAAAAAAACCUAAAUCUCCCUGUUUGCCUCUGAAAUCGACUCAAACCCUCAGAAAUUUCUGCAACCAACAUGGCUAGAACAUCUCAAAGCAAAGAGAUAUCAGAAAAGAAGAAAGGGAAAAGGCCAAUAGAGGAAGAAACAGCAACUGAAAGUGUAAAGAAGAAACUGAAAAUCAUGCCUGGUUUAGUGAAAGAUAUAUUCGAGAAACUUAGAGAAAAAAAGCAGAAAACUAGCAAAAAGAGAGAAACAAAGCCCUCACUCCACAAAGGUACCAGUUCUUCUUCUUCGAAAUUUAGGAAUAAGUUGCAUGAGCAUAGAUUCAAAAAUAUCGAGAAUGCACCAAUCUCUUGUGGAAAAUUCAUUGACUGGAAGAGUUUUAAGGAAAAUGUAGAAAUCUAGACCAGUCUAUCUGAGUACUUUGAUGAACUAAAACUAAAAGGUUACAGCACCUUUAAGAAUGGGUCUUACAGUCUAAGUCUGGUCAAAGAGUUUUGUUCUGGAAUUGCUUUGAAAGGAAAGGAAUUAAUAGAUUUUGAUGAUUAUGUAGAAGAUGGUUUGAAUGUUUUUCUAAAUGGAAAAAAGUUUGUUAUGACUGCUGAGGAUUUAGGGAACCUGCUGAAAAUAAAGUAUGAAGAAGGUGAAUUUGAAUUGCCUGAAAACUAUGAUCCAUCUUCAUUGUGGGAGAUCAUCAUUGGAAAGAAAGAAAAAUAUUCUUCAAAAAGUAAUUCUGGUUUGAUAACUAGCCCUCAAAUCAGAUUUCUACACUAUUUCAUAGCAGCAAAUAUACAAGGCAAAAGUGGAAGCCUUAGCUACAUUAGCCUCCAGAACCUUUGGUUGAUAGAGCAUGCUUUUAAUGGAUUGUCUCUGGAUUUGGGAAAAUUUAUGAUUGAGAAAAUGAGAAGUGUCUGCAGACUUGAUAAGGUAAAUCCGCCGUAUAGGACUAUGAUUACAUCCCUUAUGCAGAAGAAGGGAAUAUGGACAAAGAGGUAUGAUAUGGACCUGGUAAAAACCAAAGAUUAAGCUAUUCAGUAUGGCAGCUUAGUUAAAAUGAGGUAUGUAAUCGAUGGAGAAAAGUUCAUUAAAACCUCUAAAAUUGGCCCAAGAAAAGAACACAGUCUGCCUGCUCAACCUGAAGAAGCUCCCUUCAAAAUUUCAGAUGAAGUGAUUUUUAAUCUGCUCAUGAGGAUUGAUGGUAAGCUGACUGACCAAGGAGUUAAGCUACAAAAAAUGGAAGAUAAAAUCACUGAGUUGAAAAACAAACUGAAAGAGAAGGAAAACAUGAAAUUUGAACUUGUGGCUGUAGACAGUUCUGCCACAUCCAGCAUUGCACCUGCACAACAAGGUGCUAAAGUUCAGCUAAGUUAGCAGAAAAAUCAGCUCCUCAUGUUGGAAGUUCUGGCAUUCAGGCUGAAGGUUCUACCUAUAAAUCAUCAGUCCUACUCUGCAGACUGAAGACUCUCCCCAAAGUGUUGAUCAACCAGCCAAGACAACCUCCCUUGAACCUCAAAGCAAAAAUGAUUCAGAGAUAGAGAAACACCAGGCCUCUCCUCCAAAUUCAGAGGAAGUUUCUAUCAUGAAUAUCUUCCACCAAAUGGUUAAGGAGGGACAAGCUGAAAAAGAAACUGCCAAGAUAAAAACUCAAAAGGAUGGUGAAGGUGUAGGAAAAAGAAAGAAAUCUGCAUCAGCUACUAGAGUAAAGACAAAAACAAGGAAAGCCAAAGCCACUUCAGCUCCACCAACUGAAGCAAAACUACGAACCAAAGGCAGGAAGACAAUGGCAACUAAGACAGCUUUUCUCAAGAGAAGAAAGUCUUCCAGGUUGGCAAAGAAAUCCAAACCAAUUUCAACCUUCUCUCCAAUCCCUGUCUCAGACAAGGCCUCCCCAAAACCUUCCCCAAGACAGUCAUCACCUCUCCGGGAGCCUUCUCCUUUUCCUCUCAACCCUUUCUACAUCACUGAAUCCUCACCCUCUGACACAUCAGAUGAAUAGAAGCCCCUCCCUUUGAUGCUACAAAAAGGGGAAGUAGAAUAGAAUGGGUGCAAGAACCAGGAACUAGAAGAAUAAAUUUUAAAGAAAAUGUUAGGGUACAGGAACCAAGAAGGAACCCAAGAAAGGAAAGAAGACAGAAUCAAAGGUGAAUGAACUUAGAAAAAUAGGAGAUAGGAAGCAAAAAUAGUCCAAGGGCAGUAUCAUAAUACUUGUUAAUUAACUAUUAUUUGUGCCAUGGUGGCACUUAAACACUCAGUUUUAAUUCUGUUAUUUAUGUGGUUGUAUGUGAAAAAUGAAUGCUGAUGUAACUAUGUUGCUUAAUUGCUAAAAAUUGAAGUCUGCUGAUAUUUUGCUAUUUUGGUAUUUUGACUGUCAUGAACAAAAUCUGCUGGUGCUAUGUUGAUAUUGAUUUACAUGCUGAUAAAUGAUUUUUGUUAUGGCAUUGUGGAUAAUUUCUGUUUGAAAAAUAGAUAUAGAUGGUAUGAAUAGUAUAUAAAUUGAAACAUGAAUGAUGUGAACAAAAUCUGAAAUCAAUAAACUAUUGACAACUGCUGGAACAGUGAUGAAAAUCUGUCAAUACUUAAAGCUGAAAGUUUAAUGAUGAUCUACUAAUACUUACUUGCUGCAAAUCACUCUAUGUUGCUGAACAUAUGUAUACUCUAAAUGUACAAUAUCAUUUUCUAUAUGACAAGAAUAAAAUUGGAUAAAAUAAAAUAAAUAAAAUAUGCACACACUAAGGGGGAGCUUAUACUUAGGGGGAGCAAUCUUCAAUUUUUGUAAAAAACUAAAAAAAAUUAAAAUGACACUAUGCUGUUAAUUAAAGAGUGUUUUGUCAUCAUCAAAAAGGGUGAGAUUGUUGGCUCCAUUAGUUUUUGAUGAUAAUAAAACAUUCCCAUUUAUUUGUGUCUAAUACCUUUACCUGAGUGUGCAGGAAAUUAAUAUAUGAAAUUAAUUUAUUAACUCUUCAAAGAGUAUUUUUGAUAAAAAAAAGAGGGAUAAAAUUAACAAGAUGUAACUGAAUAACAAAGAGGAAGCUUAUUGGUGAAACAAGGAAGAACAUUGGUUGACCAAAUUUCAAAUUGUAGAAAUGGCGGGCUAAAAAGUUUGAGAAACAGAAUCAAUUUAGUCAACCAAGUCAGUUGACUAAGUGCUCUUUGCCAGAUUCUGUAAACCAGAAACAAAACCAACUUAGUCAACUAAGAGCUCUCUGUUUGUAAUUUGAACCAGAGCACUACAAGAUAGAUUAACGGCUAGAACUCAUUCUCAACUGUUUCCAACGGAUAUAAACUGCCAAACUACCUUCAGAGUUAAAUCUCCAAGUAGAAAAAGGUCUUUCAACAAUUAGAAACAAGUUUUUGAGAAGCCUUGAAUGAGUUUUGAGCUAUAGAAAGUAGAAAAACUAGAAAAGCUUCACUGCACUUGUCUGCACUUAAACGCCUACUCUUUUCAUUUAUAUUUAGCACUCAAUCUUGUACCAAUCAGAUCAUCUAGUGAUCAUAGGUGCUUUCUUUUACUACUUCUCUUGUAUUCUUAGAGUAAGGGAGUUAUUCUAAAGGGUUGUUCAAGCUUGGGAUAGCUUGAUUGUUAAAGGUUGUGGUUGAGCCUUGGAAAACCACUUUGGGUUUUAGUUGAGCCCAUGAAAAACUAGUGUAAAAGGUUGUGGCUGAGCCUGGUAAAAGCCAUUGUAAAAGCUUGCUGGAAGCUAGUGAAUUUCACUGAUUGUUAGUGAGUUUGUGAGAAAAUCCUUGGUUGGAUAAUGAAGGUAGUGGAUGUAGGUCUUGGACCAAACCACUCUAAAUUGCUGUGCAUUUUAUACUAUGUUUUUGUUUUCUUAAGUUUUGUAAAUUAGUUUCCAAUCUUGUCAAGAGCCAAAUUGUGCUAUUCACCCCCCUUCUAGCACAUAUUCUAAGGACCAACACUUAUUUACAAACAUUACUUUUCUUUGGUUUCCUUAUCCAAUCAUACUUUCAUCCAUUGAUACCACAUUAAUCCAACAACAUCAGAGUAGGAAGUUCAUGUCAAUAUAGUUGGGAAAACUCAACCAACAUUCAAAUUAUUUAACAUAUAAUUCGUUCCAACUAGACAAACAUUUACUUAAGUUUAAAGAACAUCAUUUCAUUGAAGGUUGGAGUUUCAUAAUAUGAAUGCAAGAGGCUUACUUGGGUCAGCAGGCUAUACUCAUCUAUGUUCUUGUGCUGAUCACAGACCUCCAAAAACGGAUCGUGACAAUAUCGUUGAGGGUAUUAUUGAGAGAGGUAGCAGACAAAGUUGUAUGAUUACUACUGUAGAUUUAUUUUUGCUCAUCUGAAGAUUUUAAGAUCACAGGGGAAGGCUAUCUAGAAUAUCUUUAUGUGUUUUCUUUUGUUGUUCUCAUCAUUAAUACAAAGUCAUCACCUUUAAAAAAAAAUAGGUAACUUUUUAUAAAGUAAAUUCAAAUAGGUGGUCAAUCACACCUAGAAAAAAAAGAUUAGUAAUAAUUCUAUUUUACAUCGUGCAGUCGGGUUUCCAAACCCCACAUUAUGACACACACAACCAGAUUAUAGAUGUAAGUAGAUAUAUAAUGAGAAGAGGAAAUUGUGAGAAAUAGACCUCUUGAUAAGGUGAUUUCAAAAAUAACCACCCAUAUAAAGUUAUCUAUUUCUAGCCAAAAAGAAGCAUGAGUAGACCAAAAUGCCCUUAAAAAUAUCAUUUCAAAUUAGGGUCCCGAUAUCUCCUUCCCAUCAGAGAGAAAAUAGAAAUAAAUAAAUGCUCAGUUGUUUAAGCUCGCUCAUCUUUCUCUUUUAACUUUCUGAACUGUCUCAACUCUAUCAACUCUUUGUUGAGUACCAUAAUCAUUAACUCUUUCAGCUCUCUGAACUAUAUGAGCUCUGUCAACUAUCUGUUGAGCACUAUCGUCAUCGGGCUGUGGUCUAUUUCUCGACAUCUGGCCAUGUUAUUGUAGAUUAAUAGACCCUAUCGCAGAGAUGACAUCAAGGUGUCUUAUUGGGUUUAUUACAGCAAUACUUAAAAUUUUAAAACAUUUGGUGUAAAUUAGAACAUGGAUUAGAAACAUUGCUCAGAGUUGUUACAUGCCAUGCAUCUAUGAUAUGUGUUAGCAUUAUUUUAGCGUGUCACGACAUUGGCUAUUUUAGGGCAGUUCGUGUAACGAGUCACUAAUUACACUGAUUGGUGUGUCACAUGCCAUGGGUAUUUUAGUCCAGUUCAUGUAAGGACACAGUAAUUAUAGUCAUUGGCAUAUCAGCGUUGGCGUGUUAAAACAUUUUACGUUAUAUGCAUGGCGUGUUACAAAAUUUCAUGUUAUAUGCAUGGCAUGUUACAACAUUUUUACGUUAUCUGCAUAGCGUGUUACAACAUUUAACGUUAUACACAUGGCAUGUUACAAUAUUUUACAUUAUAUGCAUGGCGUGUUACAACAUUUUCCAUUAUAUGCAUGGCGUGUUAAAACAUUUUACGUUAUAUGCAUGGCGUGUUACAAAAUUUUAUGUUAUAUGCAUGGUGUGUUACAACAUUUUACGUUAUCUGCAUAGCGUGUUACAACAUUUAAAGUUAUAUGCAUGGCAUGUUACAACAUUUUAUGUUAUAUGCAUGGCGUGUUAAAACAUGACUGACAAAUUCUAGAACACAGCAUGUCAUGUAAUCUGUUAAAUGAUUGACAAAUUAUUGUUGUUUUCAAAAUUUCAAUGAGGUUCAAAUUGUGCGACUUGUGAUAAGACACUGUGGUUAGUGGGUGGAUGGCAUUUACAAGGGUGGUGAGUCACGAAUGUGCGGGGUUAGGAGUGAUUUGUUGUUUGUGGGAUUGAUGAAGCUAGUUGAAGAUGUUGUUGGGGUAAACUCAAAAAUUGAAGAAAUUGAGUUACAUGCAUUGACCAGUACACUCGGAGAGCUAUCACGGCCAAUUAUCAAGGACGAUGAGGAUGUUGCAUUAAUUCUGCUACAACAGAGGAAUGUUCCGACUGUGUAUGCCAGCAUUAAGGGACGCCAAACAAAUGUUAUGUCACAUGAAGAAGCUGAACAACAUGGUAAUCAGCUCAAUCAAAAUGAGAUAUACAAUGCUUCACAAAUACCACAACAUUUGGUCCGUAACCCACAACAAUGGCAAUUGACAUAUGCACAAGAGUUUGUGCAGCCCGGUAAACAAAUGAUAUUCAUAGAACAAUUGGCUGCACAAUUCUGAUCAGGAUGUGUAUUAAACCAAUUAGUUACUUGUGUCCAACAAAUGCAAUAAUCGGGUGAAACUGUAUAGGGUGUAAUGGCAUUUUCAAAUGAGAAUGUGACACUUGAGGACAACACUGCGACGUUGGAGGGUGGCACUGCGAUGCUUGAGGAUAAUACUGCAUCUGAUGAAAGAAAUGAGGAUUUGUUCCUUGCUGGUGAAGAUAGAUUUAAUAAUAAUUCGGAUGAUGGGCCUGAUGAAUGGCAUGAUGAGAGUUCAGACAAGGACUAGCUUUAUGAUAGUGACAUUCCAAUUUGCAAUAAUGUUGAAGGUGAAACGAAACCUAUUGGAGGUGUUGAUGUAGGAGAUGUUCAGUGUGAUGAACCCAUAUACAAUAACCUCAUCACUGAUGAGAACGGGAUUCGUUCCCCUAGUACAUUGCUCCAUCACAGUUAUCAGGAAAGGGGAAAUGCAAGGAUAUCUCGUACGUGGGUAAUUCGAAGUGCAGAAAGGUUCUCCUUCUAAACAAUUACAGCUGAAGAGUCAACAUGUGUCGAUGAUCGCUUAUACAAAGGAAGAAUAUUUUCCUUGAAGGCCGAGUUGAAACAAGCUUUGAACAUGUUGGCUCUAAAAGAGCAAUUUGGGAUAAGAGUGAAAAGGUCAUUUAAAGCUCAUUAUAAGGUUUACUGUCGAUGGUUUGCAAGUGCGAUUUGCAACUGCGAGUGAGAAGAUAAUUGGUGAACUUAUGUCACACAAGCUUCAGGCUAAUGGAGUAGCAUUGAGACCUAAGGACAUAAUUGGUGAUAUGAGGGUUCAGUGGGGAUUGGAAUGCUUGUAUUGCAAGGCCUGACAAGUAAAGGAGUAUGCGGAGAGGCUUGUUUUCGGUCCCUCAGAAGAGUCAUUUCAACUACUACCCUCGUAUUUUUAUAUGUUGGAAUAAGAAAAUCCUGGCACAGUCACUGCAAUAGCUACUGAUGAGAUAGAAAGAUUCAAUAUUGUUUCUGGGCAUACAAGGCUUGUAUUCGGGGGUUUAGGGAUGUAAUGCAUCAUACAGUUGCAAUUGAUGCAACACAUCUGAAAGGUAGGUUCAAGGGAGUUCUGGUUGUCGCUGUAUGCAAAGAUGCGAACGAGUGCGUAUAUCCAGUUGCGUUUGGCAUCGGCCAUGUUGAGGACGAAGACUCAUGGACAUGGUUUCUUAGCAAGCUGCGUAUGCGGUUGGUUGUCUUGAAAACACUAUGUUCAUUUAUGAUCAGCAUCUCGACAUUAAGAAAGCAAUCCAAAAUGCAUACCCAAAAGUGCACCACAGUUGAUGCGGGUACCACUUGAAGAAAAACUUUAAAAACAAGUUCAAGUGUGACGACGUUUCUAUGAUUUUCACCCUUGCUCGAGAUUGCUAUAAGGUUUUUGAUUUCAAUAGACAUAUGAACCAACUCAAGCAGAUUCACGCGAGACCUUACGCUGACCUUAUGAGAAUAGAGCUUGAGAGAUGGGCACGUGUUUAUUCACAGGCAACACAAUACCAAAUGAUGACAUCCAACAUUGCAGAAUGUGUUAAGUCAUGCUUGAAGCAUGCAAGACAAAUGCCAAUCAUUGUUUUGAUCGAGUUCAUCAAAGACAUGUUUCAACGUUGGUUCCAUGACCUAUACGAGAAGGCCAUCAAGGUGACCACGCCCCUCAGCCCUUAGGUUGCCAGGAAGUUGAGCAAACGGUUCAAUGAUGCACAUCGCUUUGUGGUUAUACCUAUCAAUCAAGUGGAGUUUGAAUUUAAAGAUGGGAAGAUGGACAGACUUGUAAACGUGUCCACAAAGAUGUGUUCAUGUUGUGAGUUCCAAAUAGAUUUACUACCAUGCAGCCAUGCCAUUACAGUAAUAAGAUUAGAAUAUUUUAUUUCUUAUUUGAACCCUAAUUGACAUAGUAUUUACAUUGUGCUUGAACAUUGAGUUCAUUAUAUUUUUCAAUAAAUGCAAAUAUGACGCCAUUGAAUUUUGCGCUGACUACUACAAGACAACCAUUCGCCUGGUAGGGCAUCCUAGUGAGUGGGACAUCCCCCCUCAUGUGAAACAAAUUGUCGUCUUGCCACCACCUUAGCGAGGCCAAGCAAGAAGACCUAGGAGGAGAAAGAUUCCAUCGGCUGGUAAAGGCAGUCGAGCACGAAAAUGUUCGCAAUGCAAGAGGUACAAGCAUAACAAACAAAAUUGUCCAUCCUUAUUUGCAAUUCCAUCCACAAAUCCGACACUAUCUCCAAGUCAAUUGGCACCUCCACGAGUGUGCUAACCAAAAGCAUGUUCAAGUUGCAAGCAAGCCAGUCACACAUGCAACUAUUGUCCAGUACGAAGGACAAUGUCUGAAAACGUAGGGUGUCUUGUGGAUGAACACAGCUUGUCAGCCUGACUAAAUGUGUAACCCAUAUGCAAUACCUUUGUCACAUUUUGCUCUUGCAGUAUCUUACAUUCAUUCAUAUUUGGAUUUUGUGUUUGUUAGUUUCCUCUUGUAGAUGAGUUUUUAUUUUUCUUAUUAAUUUUGUAGAUAUAUUAUUUGAUUAUUCAUUUCAUUUUGUCCAUAGUUUUGAACACUGAAUAGACUUGCGAAGUCCCUAUACUGUUAUCCCCUUUCUCACAUUUUAUUACGACUUGUAUUAAACAAUUAAUGAUUUAUUUUAAUUCCUUUCUAUUUCAUUUGAUUUAACCUUUUAUGUUCACACGCUAACUUCUUGCAUUAUUGUGGGGUGACACGGCACGCCCCAUCUUGUGGUGACACGCUUAGUAGAAUUAGAUAAUUUGCGUGACACGCUGAGUACAUGCAAAUUUUUAUGGUGACACGCUGACUUCUUGUAGUAUUGUGGGGUGACACGGCAUGCACCAUAUUGUGGUGGCCGCUGAGUGGAACCAGAAAGUUAGAGUGACACGCUGAGUGCAUGCAGAUUUCUAUGGUGACACAUUGACUUCUUGCAUUAUUGUGGGGUGACACAGCACACCCCAUCUUGUGGUGACAUGCUGAGUGCAUGCAGAUUUAUGUGGUGACACAUUGACUUCUUGCUAUAUUGUGGGGUGACAUGGCACGCACCAAUUGUGGUGAGAUGCUGAGUGGAACCAGAUACUUGGUAUGACACGCCGACUUGUUCCAGCUUUCAGGGGUGACACGCCAUGCCCCAAUUGUGUGACACGCCAUGUGGUUGCAGUAUUAAUUUAAAGGCACUAUGUUGGAAUUGAGAAAGAAAAAGUAAUGUAUAAAAUGUACAAACAUUAAAAUUAAUAAAAUUAAUUGUAUAUACAAAAAAUGUACAGACAAGGGUUGAUAUGUUUAGGGUUCGCUCUCACAACUAUUAGAAAAAAUUUCUAGAGCGUAUUGGCGAUGCAUAUUUGUAAUCAUAUUCUGCUUAACUCUGAUCAAUUCCAGUUGCAAAAUAUCGUCAAUGUACCCUAUCAUGAACAUCCCACAGCUAACAAUAUCAUUUUGUCGAUGCACUUUAGCUUUUGGCAAAUGAAUUUCCAAUGGCAUCGGCAUUAAAUCUCAUGCCUUUCAGUAUGUUUUGUUGAAAUAACUGGGUUGAUGGCAGAUGAUUGGCAUAAUUGUCGUAAGGGGUGUCAUCUGAGCAGCUCUCACUCCGUUAUCCUUAGCAUCUAAAGUUCUUGCGGAGUCCACCACCUUGAUUGUGUACCUCACCAAGUUGAUCUUCACUGCCACCCAAAGCCCACCAACAUUGCAAGGUGCGAUGAUGAAAUCGACAUCUUCUCAUUUUUUGUCAUAUGUCGGCUUCUCACUCUCCACGUAUGCCUGCAACUCAUAUGGAAUAUCCAUAGUUGACCUGGCAUCUUCAGUUGGAAAUAAGGUGUGUAGCAUAUGGAUGGUGUCUUGUGAAGCAUGUAUACAGUAGCUUACACUUAAUGCAAUAAAAAACUUAGUAUUUUCAAAAUUGAAAAAUUUUCAAAUAAACUUAAGAAGAAUAUCGUGUCAACCUCGCAUGCACAGGUAAUGUACAGCUUCAACUUCGGCCUUGUCAUUCGCUUACAAAGUACGCUGAGGCAUGUGUCUAUAUGUUCACUAGUCCUUUCUUCUUUGGGAUCCUCUAAUGUUGUGAAAAACUCAGCCCCUUGAUCCUCUAAGAUCACGACGUUACGCUUGCAUAUGUAACAGAAUGAGUUUGAAAUGCCUUGGUGGAUUAAUGUUUCAUUAAAAAAUAAUAUUUGCAAUGUUAUUUGUGAGCUUACCUCGCGCACUUGCCUUUCUUGAAAGCUUCAUACACUUCAACCGUUGUGCUAUUUACAUCCCAACGGCUCACUGAAGGGUCAAUGUAUGGGUUUGCCCUGUAUUUGCUCGCCAUUUUCACCUGUGCUCACUUAGUUGGAUUUGAAAUUUAUGCUGCACGAUGAUGAACAUCAGAUGACUCUAAUGACAACAACUGUGAGCCGCUAGCUUUAAGAGUGCUUUGAGGAAGAUGGUCCCCUCCUACUGCUGCCUCCACUAAUGCAUCGGCUUGAGGAAGAUGCUUUCCUUUAGCCACAAUUGAGUAAAAGUUCCCCUUCCCUCCCGCAGAUGCAUCAAUAACCAGAUCAACCUUAAGAACAGGGUCUCCGUUAGCACCAGCAACUUCAUCGUGAAUGUACACACUAGGUUCAUCAGGGUGCCCAUCAUCAGCAUCAUCACGGUCCUCACCAGCACCGUGAGAUGAAGGACCGCCCUACAAAACAAGACAAAUGGAAAAAUCUGUUAGGUCAUAUAAUGCCACAAACCAUAAACCGAGAAUAAAAAAUAGAACUACACCUACUAAACGUAAACGACCAAUAUAUGAGCGAAGAUAAAAUAAUAUACCUGUGAUUUCAAGCUGCUUAGAAUCCGAGCAAUGGCACGAUCCUCAACCCUUUGCAUUGCCAGAGUCAACAAUUGAAUUGAAGCCUUCAGCUCCAACAUGUCUUUUUUAUACCGGUGCAUGAUCCAUCACAACUGACACUUCGUGACUACUUCGUCAUUGACUCUUGUCGAAUGGGUCAACUACAAAACAUAUAUUACUGUGUUAUUCAAUAAUCAUAUAUGGAAUUGUUGAACAUUACCCGUUAGAACUUUAAUAUCCUUACUGAUGGCUCGUUACCAUCUUGCGGUUGAGUAGGACCGAUUCGUGGUUAAGGAACUAUGGUCACCUCCCUCAACUGCAAUAACAGAAAUUAAUGUGUUACUCGAUAAACAUAUGUGGAAAUGUUGAACACAAACUGUUAAAACCGAUCUUACCAACGAGUCAUUAACACUAUAAGUCUAAGGAGAACCUCUUAAUGGUUGAGGAGCUGCCAUCGCAUGGUCCAAUUGCAAACACAGAUAUGUUAUUCAAUAAUCACAUAUGGAAUUAUUGAACACAAAUCGUUAUAACAAUCCUUACCGGCUCCUCGUUAGCAUUGUCAGUCUGAGGAAGACCUAUCGGUGGUUGAAGAGUUGUCAUCGCAUGGUCCAACUACAAACACAGAUAUGUUAUUUGAUAAUCACAUAAGGACUUGUUUGUCAAACCCUGCUUUGUAAAAUAAUUAUAAUGUCAUUCACAUGGUCGAUAGAAUGUUUGUAUAUUUAGGAAGUUCGAGAAAUCGUUAAAAGACGAUAUUGCCCCUAAUGGUAUCAUUAAGUCGAUUAAGCCUCGAACUAGUUCAAAAAGGAAUUUUAAGGUGAAAUUAAGAGUUUCACAGUUCAGGGAUGACUCAAAAUGGUAAUUAGGAGUUCGAGGAUCAAUUCGGAGUCAAACCGGAAUUUUCACUAUCUAGGGGCAAAAUUGUAAUUUUUCCACUCGCGGACAAAAUUUGAGAUUUUGAGAGAAUUUAGAUCACAUUUGACAAAUUGGAGGUUGGUAUGAGUAUAAGGGAUGAAAAAUAUGUCUAUGGGUAAUUUUUCAGUUUUUGGGGUAAAAAUGUAAUUUUUCACUUUACAGGGGCAAAAGUGUACUUUUUAAAAAUUUGCUCCACCCAAAACUUGGGAAAAGUCUAGAAAUUUCAUGGAAGACAUGGAUAAGUGAAGAAGAUUGAGUGGUAGAAAAAGAAAGUCAAAAGGAUGGCUAGAAAAAAUAAAAUAAUAAAAUAUUCAAAAGGUAAUAAUAAUAAUAUUUUUAUAUUAAGCCUAUUAAAAGGCUUGAAAAUUCCAGAAUUCUUCAUUGGGAUGGUCAGCCCAAACCAGCAGGAGAGAGAGAGAAAUAAGAACAAACCCUAGAGUGAAGAAAUUCAAAGAAAAAGUGUGAUUUUUCAAGGAAUCAAGUGUUUAAAGGUAUGAUUUUUCAAGCUUAGCUUAAGAUUUAUCAUUUCCAUGCAUUUCCCAUCAUUUUCCAUGGUUGAAUCAUGUGAUUUGAGGAUGAAUUCAAUGCUGAAAAAAUGGGUUAGGAGAGAGAAACUUGUUAUAUUAAUUUGAUUCUCAGUUAUGUUAGUGUUUUAAGUUAGUUUAGCAUAUUUAGGAACAAAACAAUAAGAAAAGAAUUCAUUUUCCUCCAUUACCAUUAUUGGCUGAAUUUUUUAGGGGAAUAUUGGCUGAUGAUCUUGAUGUUUAUUUUAGGAAUUAUGAUGAAUAAUGAUGAAUUAUGAGUCUAGAAAAAUAAAGGGAAUUUUCAGAGCAAAAAUAUGAAUUUUUACCCAUUAGGGGUAUUUUCGUAAUUUGCUAUCGGGACUGAUAAUUUGCACCACACUAAGGGAAAUUAAGUCAAUUUGGGUGCAAUUGAGGUAUAAAAACUGAAAAAAAUUAAUUUGGAGUUUAUACGAAUGCGUUAGUAAUUUAAUCGGGUAAUAGGCCGAAUUAGGUCAACAUCGCAUUUAAGUGGUAGUCGGAUAAGUUGCAUGUCAUAUCAUGCAUAUAUACCGAGCUUGAAUUGAUUUUAUAAUGGCCAAGAAUUGAUGUGGUGAAUUAUGUAUUGUACAUUGUGGAUAGGUGGUGAGCAACUUACAUUGGUAAAAGUACAGAAAUUGUGCUUGAAGACUAGGAUUAGGAGUACAUCGACUCCUAGAACUGUGAGUGGAUAAUUUAUCAUCUUAAAUAUCUAGAGUAAUUAUACGUGUUUGAUGUUUUUAUUGAAUGGUGAGUUUGAAUUAUAAAAUAUUAUAUUUUUCAAUUAAAAUGUUUUUUAAUAAAAAUGAAAUUUAUACUAGUUUUGAAAUCAAAUAUUGUUUUGGGAAAAUUGAGUAUAUGGAGACUGUGUUGAAAUUUAUGAUUUUAUAUAUUAUUGAAAUUGGGGCUUAUGACAAUAUGGUAGCAUGAUGGCUAAAUUUUUGGGGUUGGCAUGAAAUAUAUGAACAGUUUUGGAUUGGUCUCGAUAGACUGGAUUAAAUUUUAUUUGCCAUAUUAUGCUACUGGAAAUGUUAUGGGUCUGGUGGUAUAUUAAACGGUCACUGUCGUGGUGGGGGUUUCCGUGGACUACUUAUGAGAGGGGCACGGUAACUCAAUUAUAUACUUACCUAUGGGGGGAGAUGUUAGGUGAAGUGUUUCCUGAGGUAUGAUUUGAGUGCACCUCACGUUCGGGCCACCACGUGAGAGUGAGACUCAGCCAACGCCAAGGAACGGCUGUGUGUUAGAUGUGAAAAUAUGUUUAUGGGUAUAGGUCAUUGAACAGCCUUGGCGGUCUUAGUGGGAUACCUUGACGAAGGUACCUGCGAGAAUGAUUCUGGCAGGGGUCAAGUUUAAGAAAUUCAUAAGCUAGGAAAUUUUGAUGAAAAGAAAUUAUUUUGUAUAGAUUGAAACGAAUUUUGCGUUAUGAACAUUGUUGAGAUAUAAUGUUUUUAUAUUAUCUCCAUCUACUCGGCUUUAGAUACUUUUGAUGGUAAUUGUUUACUCACUGGGAUUAUUUUAUCUCACCCCUCUUCCUAUCCAUUUUACAGGCUUAGGACAGUUUGUUGAUAGUUGAUUAAGACGAGAAUUAAUCUCGGAGUUGCAUCAUAGGAAGUAAGGGUUCGUAGCUCUACACCUUCUUGGUUAGUUGGGGGCCCACAUGUCACUGUAAACGAAAUUUCAUACUUUAAUUAUCUUUAUUACUAUAUGAAAAAAUUUAUUUUACUCUUACGCUACAAAAGUUAUUUUAGGAAGACUUUGAAAAUAUUGUGUUUUAAGAAAAUAGAAGAUUUUAUUUAAUGUUUUUAUUAUAUUCAAAUAGCUAUAAUUUUUCUUUAAACGAAUGUUUUAGACUUCAAAAUUUAAUUUAAAUCAUGAAAUGUGUGUUUUCCACUUACAUAUUACAUUUUUAUGGAUUUCGAAAUUUUGAAAAAAAAAAUGACGAAAAUGCGUCUGUGAGCUAGAAAAUAAUAUUUUAUUGUUUUGAGUUGGAAACAACUUAUGAUUUCUUGAAAUGUGAGAUUUAAUAACUGUCGCUCACCGGGGAGAUGCGAAAGUUGAUGCUAAGCCUUGCGGGGUUUCGAUCGGUAUUCGGGGUAAUGAGUGCUUAUCGGGACGUCGCGACGGUUGUCACUGGCCCGAUGGGAGUUCCGGGUCGUGACAAUUAAAUUGGCAUCAGAGCAUAGUUUAAAGAUCAAAGAUUUUGAUUUUAAAGCUUUGGAUUUUAAAGUUUUUAGUUUUAAAGUUGUUUUAAGAAAUCCACACUGACACUGCGUGUCCCCGAGUUAAGUUAAGUCAAAUAGAAUGCAUGAGUCUGCAUAUAGAGACCUGUUUGUUUGCAGGGUGUAUAAGAGAUUAAGUGAUUUUUUUUUGAUUUCAUAUAGGCUUUGAAGUGUGUUGGAUUACACUUAACAUGUCUAGGAGGGACAGUGAUUCUGAUAUUUCACAGAGUGUUAGUGAAGGACCAACAGAUUUUACUGCUGAAAGUCGAUGGUGUCCUGAACUUAAUAAUCUAUAAGGAGAUCCGUUUAGAGUACCUACUAAUUGGGCUCCAUCAGAUUUGGGAACGAAAGUUAAAAUAAGGGAAAGUCCUACUGACAAUGAGACUGAUGAGAGCGUUGAUAGUAAUGACGUAAAUGAAGGCAUGAGAAACUUUCUCUUAAAAGGAAUUGAGGAAUAUGCCAAAGGGAGGAAGAAAAUAAGGAUAGCAGAAGAAGAAUAUUAUAGUGGGAAAACAUCGGCAUUGGUCGUUGACAUUCUCCCCCAGGCUGUGGGAGCGAUGUAAGUACAUGGCAAGAGAAGAAAAAGGGAAAACUUAAAACAGACUCGAAAAAAAUCAAGAUGAUAAUGAUCCUAUAGAUGUUUAGUGCCUUGUUGAAGCUUGUAAUAAUGUAAUCCUAGGCAGAUGUAGGAUAAGAAGGAUAAUAAUCCCUUGUAUAAAAGUCUUAAGAGUUGACUUUUGUCUUGUAUAAUAUAAACGGAUGAUAGAGUAGUUGUUUAAAGGACAAAAGGAGUAUAAAAAUCUUUUAGUAUGACAAAGGUAAAUUAGUAAUAUAAGUAUUGAGGAUGAAUAAUUAACUUAGUGGCAAGAUCGAUUAUUUUAAAUAAGUACUGAAGGUUGAAAUAGNNNNNNNNNNNNNNNNNNNNNNNNNNNNNNNNNNNNNNNNNNNNNNNNNNNNNNNNNNNNNNNNNNNNNNNNNNNNNNNNNNNNNNNNNNNNNNNNNNNNNNNNNNNNNNNNNNNNNNNNNNNNNNNNNNNNNNNNNNNNNNNNNNNNNNNNNNNNNNNNNNNNNNNNNNNNNNNNNNNNNNNNNNNNNNNNNNNNNNNNNNNNNNNNNNNNNNNNNNNNNNNNNNNNNNNNNNNNNNNNNNNNNNNNNNNNNNNNNNNNNNNNNNNNNNNNNNNNNNNNNNNNNNNNNNNNNNNNNNNNNNNNNNNNNNNNNNNNNNNNNNNNNNNNNNNNNNNNNNNNNNNNNNNNNNNNNNNNNNNNNNNNNNNNNNNNNNNNNNNNNNNNNNNNNNNNNNNNNNNNNNNNNNNNNNNNNNNNNNNNNNNNNNNNNNNNNNNNNNNNNNNNNNNNNNNNNNNNNNNNNNNNNNNNNNNNNNNNNNNNNNNNNNNNNNNNNNNNNNNNNNNNNNNNNNNNNNNNNNNNNNNNNNNNNNNNNNNNNNNNNNNNNNNNNNNNNNNNNNNNNNNNNNNNNNNNNNNNNNNNNNNNNNNNNNNNNNNNNNNNNNNNNNNNNNNNNNNNNNNNNNNNNNNNNNNNNNNNNNNNNNNNNNNNNNNNNNNNNNNNNNNNNNNNNNNNNNNNNNNNNNNNNNNNNNNNNNNNNNNNNNNNNNNNNNNNNNNNNNNNNNNNNNNNNNNNNNNNNNNNNNNNNNNNNNNNNNNNNNNNNNNNNNNNNNNNNNNNNNNNNNNNNNNNNNNNNNNNNNNNNNNNNNNNNNNNNNNNNNNNNNNNNNNNNNNNNNNNNNNNNNNNNNNNNNNNNNNNNNNNNNNNNNNNNNNNNNNNNNNNNNNNNNNNNNNNNNNNNNNNNNNNNNNNNNNNNNNNNNNNNNNNNNNNNNNNNNNNNNNNNNNNNNNNNNNNNNNNNNNNNNNNNNNNNNNNNNNNNNNNNNNNNNNNNNNNNNNNNNNNNNNNNNNNNNNNNNNNNNNNNNNNNNNNNNNNNNNNNNNNNNNNNNNNNNNNNNNNNNNNNNNNNNNNNNNNNNNNNNNNNNNNNNNNNNNNNNNNNNNNNNNNNNNNNNNNNNNNNNNNNNNNNNNNNNNNNNNNNNNNNNNNNNNNNNNNNNNNNNNNNNNNNNNNNNNNNNNNNNNNNNNNNNNNNNNNNNNNNNNNNNNNNNNNNNNNNNNNNNNNNNNNNNNNNNNNNNNNNNNNNNNNNNNNNNNNNNNNNNNNNNNNNNNNNNNNNNNNNNNNNNNNNNNNNNNNNNNNNNNNNNNNNNNNNNNNNNNNNNNNNNNNNNNNNNNNNNNNNNNNNNNNNNNNNNNNNNNNNNNNNNNNNNNNNNNNNNNNNNNNNNNNNNNNNNNNNNNNNNNNNNNNNNNNNNNNNNNNNNNNNNNNNNNNNNNNNNNNNNNNNNNNNNNNNNNNNNNNNNNNNNNNNNNNNNNNNNNNNNNNNNNNNNNNNNNNNNNNNNNNNNNNNNNNNNNNNNNNNNNNNNNNNNNNNNNNNNNNNNNNNNNNNNNNNNNNNNNNNNNNNNNNNNNNNNNNNNNNNNNNNNNNNNNNNNNNNNNNNNNNNNNNNNNNNNNNNNNNNNNNNNNNNNNNNNNNNNNNNNNNNNNNNNNNNNNNNNNNNNNNNNNNNNNNNNNNNNNNNNNNNNNNNNNNNNNNNNNNNNNNNNNNNNNNNNNNNNNNNNNNNNNNNNNNNNNNNNNNNNNNNNNNNNNNNNNNNNNNNNNNNNNNNNNNNNNNNNNNNNNNNNNNNNNNNNNNNNNNNNNNNNNNNNNNNNNNNNNNNNNNNNNNNNNNNNNNNNNNNNNNNNNNNNNNNNNNNNNNNNNNNNNNNNNNNNNNNNNNNNNNNNNNNNNNNNNNNNNNNNNNNNNNNNNNNNNNNNNNNNNNNNNNNNNNNNNNNNNNNNNNNNNNNNNNNNNAGUUAUGUUAGUGUUUUAAGUUAGUUUAGCAUAUUUAGGAACAAAACAACAAGAAAAGAAUUCAUUUUCCUCCAUUACCAUUAUUGGCUGAAUUUCUAAGGGAAUAUUGGCUGAUGAUCUUGAUGUUUAUUUGAGGAAUAUGAUGAAUAAUGAUGAAUUAUGAGUCUAGAAAAAUAAUGGGAAUUUUCGGAGCAAAAAUAUGAAUUUUUACCCAUUAUGGGUAUUUUCGUAAUUUGCUAUCGGGACUAAUAAUUUGCACCACACUGAGGGAAAUUAAGUCAAUUUGGGUGCAAUUGAGGUAUGAAAACUGAAAAAAAUUAAUUUGGAGUUUAAACGGACGCGUUAGUAAUUUAAUCGGGUAAUAGGCCGAAUUAGGUCAGCACCGCAUUUAAGUGAUAGUCGGAUAAGUUGCAUGUCAUAUCAUGCAUAUAUACUGAGCCUGAAUUGAUUUUAUAAUGGUCAAGUAUUGAUGUGGUGAAUUAUGUAUUGUACAUUGUGGAUAGGUGGUGAGCAACUUACACUAGUAAAAGUGCAGAAAUUGUGCUUGAAGACUGGGAUUAGGAGUACAUCGACUCCUAGAACUGUGAGUGGAUAAUUUAUCAUCUUAAAUAUCUAGAGUAAUUAUACGUGUUUGAUGUUUUUAUUGAAUGGUGAGUUGGAAUUAUAAAAUAUUAUGUUUUUCAAUAAAAAUGUUUUUUAAUAAAAAUGAAAUUGAUACUGGUUUUGAAAUCAAAUAUUGUUUUGGGAAAAUUACGUAUAUGGAGACUGUGUUGAAAUUUAUGAUUUUAUAUGUUAUUGAAAUUGGGGCUUAUGACAAUAUGGUAGCAUGAUGGCUAGAUUUUUUAGGUUGGCAUAAAAUAUAUGAACAGUUUUGGAUUGGUCUCGAUAGACUGGAUUAAAUUUUAUUCGCCAUAUUAUGUUGUUGGAAAUUUUAUGGGUCUGGUGGUAUAUUAAACGGUCACUGUAGUGGUGGGGGUUUCCAUGGACUACCUAUGAGAGGGGCACGGUAACUCAAUUAUAUACUUACCUCCGGGGGGAUAUGUUGGGUGAAGUAUUUCCUGAGGUAUGGUUUGGGUGCACCUCACAUUCGGGCCACCACGUGAGAGUAAGACUCAACCAACGCCAAGGAACGGCUGUGUGUUAGAUGUGAAAAUAUGUUUAUGGGUAUGGGUCAUUGAACAGCCUUGGCGGUCUUAGUGGGAUACCUUGAGGAAGGUACCCGCGAGAAUGGUUCUGGCAGGGGCCAAGUUUAAGAAAUUCAUAAGCCGGGAAAUUUUGAUGAAAAGAAAUUAUUUGGUAUAGAUUGAAACGAAUUUUGCAUUAUGAACAUUAUUGAGAUAUAAUGCUUUUAUAUUGUCUCCAUCUACUCGGUUUUAGAUGCUUCUGAUGGUAAUUGUUUACUCACUGGGAUUAUUUUAUCUCACCCCUCUUUUUAUCCAUUUUACAGGCUCAAGACAGUUUGUUGAUAGUUGAUUAAGACGAGAAUUAAUCUCGGAGUUGCAUCAUAGGAAGUAAGGGUUCGUAGCUCUACACCUUUUUGGUUAGUUGGGGACCCAUGUGUCAGUGUAAAUGAAAUUUCAUACUUUAAUUAUCUUUAUUACUAUAUAAAAAAAUUUAUUUUACUCUUACGCUACAAAAGUUAUUUUAGGAAGACUUUGAAAAUACUGUUUUAAGAAAAUAGAAUAUUUUAUUUAAUAUUUUUAUUAUAUUCAAAUAGCUAUAAUUUUACUUUAAACAAAUGUUUUAGACUUCAAAUUUUAAUUUAAAUCAUGAAAUAUGUGUUUCCACUUACAUAUUACAUUUUUAUGGAUUUCGAAAUUCUGAAAAAAAAAAUAAUGAAAAUGCCCUUGUGAGCUAGAAAAUAAUAUUUUAUUAUUUUGAGUUGGAAAGAACUUAUGAUUUCUUGAAAUGCGAGAUUUAAUAACUGUCGCUCACCGGGGAGAUGCGGAAGUUGAUGCUAAGCCUUGCGGGAUUUCGAUCGACAUUCGGGGUAAUGAGUGCUUAUCGGGACGUCGCGGCGGAUGUCACGGGCCCGAUGGGAUUUUCGGGUCGUGACAUUGUUGAACACAAACCUUUAGAACCGUCCUUAUCGGCUCUUCACUGCCAUUGCCAUGGUCGUCACCUUCCUCCAUCAAGUUGGGGACCGACAGCAACGGCUGUGCGCCUCCACUUCAUGGAACUAGUGGCUCUUUUGUGCUUCAAGUUUCUCUUCUUUUCCCUUGCACCUAAGCCUCAGUCCGCACGAUCCUCCAUGUGCCCUAUUGGCACGUAUUGGUAGCCCUCAGAUAACGGGACAUCAAUGUCCAGAAAAUAAUCUUAACUGGCCUCAUUCGGGGUGGGCUCCAAGGUCUCCAUUGCCCACAACUGCAAAAUAGGGAUCGUGAUUAAAUUUUAGGAAAAAUUAUUAUACAAAUUCACAACAAAAAUUAGUAGUUGUUCACUCACCUAUUAAGAUGACUCCAACAUCUCAACUACCUUGUAGAAAUCUUUUGGCUUCUGGUUGCAUUGCCAUAUACACAUGCGUGGGUAGACGUCCUUCAAAGAAGAAGGGGCAACUAUCUUUCACAAGGCCAGAAUUGCCUCCAUUGCCCAAAACUGCAAGUCAAAUAUAACCAUUAUCAGACCGUAAAUGAUAAACGAUUGCAACCAUAAACUAUUAUGUCAAAAGGAUAGUAAAAAAUGUUAUGUGACAAUACCUGUAUCACCCACGCAAUCCGUAAAUGUUGUACCAUAAAUGAUCCUUCUGCACGUUCGAGGAAGGCACUUCCAACCCCUUGAAAAGGUAGUCCAAGGUUAGCCUCCAAACAUAGUGACCCCAUAGGAAGUCAUUCCAAGCACUAAUGUCUUCCACCAACAACAAGAGCCAAGGUGUCACCUGUCUAUGGUAGCCUUGACCAAAUAAAAUGUUAUUCGCAAUCAAAAUGAGUGCCAUCUUGGUCGUGUCUCCUGGUUGCUGAAAGUUGCCUUCGCAUAACGUUUCAAGCAAGGCCUGUAGCUUAAAGCUUUGUUGCUUGUUCUAUUAUCGCACACGAAUUCCAUCCACAACAACCUCAUACAAUCGUGUGAACACAUCGGGCAUUCGACCAAACUUCAAUUUGGUGAUAAGGCAGAACUCUUGCUUUGAUAUGCUCGCGUUGCUUUUGCCAAUGGCAAACCAUAGCUCAUGCUCCAUUAAAUCUAUCACACUGAUUCGAUGAAUCAUGAUGUUAUGUAGGAGACCAACGAAGAAGUAGGCUUGUGGAUAUACGUCAAGCAGCAUUCUGAAGCACGUACGCUUCACUGCAUCGUACUCCCCUUUCUCUUGGAGAGUCUUGUUGAUGUAAUGCAGUUGCGACCACUUACAGUGGGUGUUAAUAGCGACAUUGAAUGCACACUUCUCCCUCAACAUAAUAAGCAAACUGUCAAGAUCCUCAUAUUGUCUAGACUGCAUCUGUAAAACAUGGCACACAUGCACGAGUGAGUUAACCCAUAUUGCGAAAGCACACCAUGCAUAUAACGUUAAAUGUGGUAACACGCCAUGCAUAUAAUGUAAAAUGUUGUAACACGUCAUGAAUAUAAUGUAAAAUGUUGUAUCACGCCAUGCAUAUAAUGUAAAAUGUGGUAACAUGCCAUGCAUAUAUUGUAAAACGUUUUAACACGCCAUGCAUAUAAAGUAAAAUGUUGUAACACGCCAUGCGUAUCAAGUCAAAUGUUGUAACACGCCAACACUGACACGUCAAUGACUAUAAUUAUUGUGUCCUUACACAAACUAGCCUAAAAUACCCACAGCGUGUGACAUGCCAAUCAGUGUAAUUAUUGACUCGUUACAUGAACUGCUAAAAUAACCAAUGUCGUGACACGUUAAAAACCCUAAAAAGCAGUUUACCCACUACACGCCAUAUUUGUUGUAGUUCAAAACUUUGGUAUGACCAAUAAACUGGGAAGAAAACAAUUUAAACAUAACAAUUGAGAAAGAUUGAAAAAACACGAACAUACCACACAAACGCAGCAAAAAAUCAACAAACAGAAGAAAGUUUUAAAGGUUUUAUUUUCAAACUAACUGACCUCUUCACUAAUAACCGACAUUGUUGCUGCGGUGUCGUCAAGCUUGCAAAGAAGAAAGUCGAACACUCUAGUAUCUUUAGGAAUGAGGAAUGAGGAAUGAACCUCUUCACACAAACGUUUGCGAUUUUUGAAAAAUAUUUAAUUAAAAUGAAAUGGCCUCACAAUUUCCUCUAAAAUAUUCAUUUAUUGAAUUCAUUCAGUUGAAGUCCAAUCGAUUUCCUCGUUAUUUGCCUACUUUUUUUUCUUUUUUCAAACCAUGUCGUGUCACCUAUAAAUUGCCAUGUCGUGUCACACACUCUAUACCCUGUCGUGUCACGGAUCUCCACGGAGUCUGACAAACUCUGAACCCUGCCAUAUCACAGAUUCCCUCCAUGGCAUGUCACAAACUCUGAACACUGGCAUGUUACAGAUUACCUCCAUGGUGUGUCACGAACUCUGAACGCUAGCAUAUCACAGAUUCCCUCCAUGGCGUGCCAUGAACUCUGAAUGUUGGCGUGUGUCACAGAUUCCCUCCAUGGCAUGUCACCAACUUUGAACCCUGGCAUGUCACAGAUUCCUUCCAUGGCAUGUCACAAACUCUGAAUGUUGGCGUGUCACAGAUUCCCUCCAUGGCGUGUCACAGAUUCCCUCCAUGGCGUGUCACAAACUCUUAACCGUGCCGUGUCACAGCCAAGUCACACAUUCCAACCAUGUCGUGUCACAAACUUUAAACCCUACCAUGUCAUAGCCGUGUCACACAUUCCUAUCAUGUCGUGUCACACAUUCCCAACAUGCCAUUUCACAAACUCUAAACCCUGCCCUGCCACAACUGUCUCACAUAUGGCCUGUUAUAGCACGAGCAUUUCGUGCUUUGGAUUCACAUAUUUCUCCUUUCGAUUCACCAUCGUAUCAGAGAUUUCUAGUUUCACAUCAUUCUCUAAGCUUUUGAUUCAUCAAGGUCGGUUCCUCGUUCGGUUUAAUAUCACUUUUCUCCUAUUAUCUGAAUGCCAUGUCCCAAAUCUCUGAAAAACCAUCUCAUGCAACAUUAUUUUGCUUUACACAAGCUUCGUGAAAAAAAAAAUGGAUGUUUUGCACAAAAUUAGAUGUUCGCAAAUUCUUUGUAUAUUUAUUUUUCCAUUUUCCACCUGUUUGAGAGUGUGCGUUAACGAAGAUGGCUCAUUAAGGGCAUUUUUGUCUCCAAAUCUAUUCUUGUGGCUAAAAACAGUUAAAAUUAUUUGGAGGCUUAUUUACAAAAGCACGUUAUUUUUAAGGGUUAAAAAAAAUUUUCUCCUAAUGAGAAAAUUUUUAUGGUUAGUAGUUCUUUUUCUAAUUACAACAAAAUUGCUAAUAGCAAGACCAAAUAUCCAUUUCGAAAUGGAGAUUGCAUUUAAUAUUUUGAUUCAAUAUGUAUUACAUAGGACCCCUGCUAGCUUUAACAAAUUUUCCUUCAAGUAUAGAUAUAAUUGAUUAGAAUUAAGUGCAAUAAAUAACACAAGAUAGCGUAAUAGCAACAAGCAAGACUCAGCUAGAAAAAGAUAAGCAACCUCUUGUUCAAAGACCACAUAAAGCAUAAACUCAACUUAUUAAGCCACUCUUUGGCUGAAAUUUCAAAAUCUUAUUUCAGUAAAGCAUGAUCACAUUGUUCCAUCAAAAUGGGCUCAAGGAUUGACAUGACACAAUCUUUAUUUUCUUUGCUUUGAAUGCCAAACCAAUUGCCAUAUUGGUACAUCCGAUGAAUACAUCGUGUCAUUUCGAUAGCUACUUUGACAAUGUCGGGUGCUCGAAGAGAAUCCUUAACUAUUACUUUGUUCAAUUUUUUCAACAAGUUUCCUAUUAAGCCUUUCACAUGAUCACGUGCUUCUUCUACCGAAACACCUUCUUAAGUCAUGUAAAUAUGGAUGAAAUUCAUCGAUUCUCCUCUUUUUAUUUCAACCUUCAAAAGAUAAGCAAUAUGUGACUUAACAAAAAAAUAAUUUUAUUAUUUUAUAAAAUAAUAAAAAUAAUUCCCUUGCAAAUCUGCAACAUGAUUAAAUCAAUAAAGAGAUUUUGAUUACAUUUAUGAUUCGUUUUUGGAGUGGAAAAAGAGAUUUUGUCAGCAAGUGUCAGCAGCUGACAACAAUAAAGCAAUAGCAACGCAUGUAAAAAACAAACCUCGGUAGUGUUUAAAUCAUCAAUGAGUCGAAUAAUGCCUAUCCGCUGUGAAACCAUCUUGCUUCUUUGAGAUAUCCUUUAACAUAACACAACCACUACAAAAACUGAAUGUCACCUUGUCAGCAUAAAUUAUAAUUAAUAAAUAAAGUUCUCAUUAUGUAUGUACUGCCUGUAUAAUUUUCAUUUUUUCUUUAUGUAUCUUUCUUUAAAAUUAAGUCAUAUUUUUAAAUAUCUAAUAUUCUUUUUAUAUUUUAUAAAUUAUUAUUAUGAUUUGCUUUUACUCCUCAGCAUUAAAAAUUGUAAAACAUCAAGUAAUUUACAAAAUUGUUUUGAAAUUAUUUUAACAAAUAGACUAAAACUAAAGGUUUUUUUUUCUUCAUUUCCAUAAAAGUUCAAGAAAAACAAAUAAAUAAUAUUUUAUUUGGCCAUUCGAUUAUGUACCAUAACUUUUACAUUUUUUUUUAAUGAACGUACCGUUUCCUUAAUAUAGGGUAAAAUAUCCAUGCCAUAACCUUUCAAGGCAUCUUGGACCAUUUCACUAACAUGGUUGUAAAUGGCUGAGAAGGAUACUUUCAUGUACUUUGGAAGUUCCUCCAUUGCCUUAUUAAGAUCCCAUCUUAUGGUUGUAAACGGUUGUAAAUGGCAAUUUGGGAAAAGUUUGUCAUUUUUACCUGAAAUGUUGUCCAAGAAUGAACACAAAAUUUCGAAAGUUUUAAAUAGAAGUUGCUAAAAUCUAAACUUCUCACGUAUUGACUGCAUCCGUGUACUUCUCAAGCUCAUCAAGUGAGCCAAGGAUCCAAAUUUCGCGAGGUUCCUCCUCAAUAUGGGUAAUUGGGGCCUCGGAGGGCAACUCCCCAGUGCCCAAAAAUAACACUCAGUUAGCCAAUCCGAAGCAAAAGGUAGCCUUUCCUUAAAGUUCAAGUCCUUCCACCACCUGCUCAAUCAAUUGAAAAAAUGUCAAAAAUUUGACAUACAGAAAUCAACUUAAUUCAAGUUGUAGGCUUUAUUACAAUUUACAAGAGAGACAAUACUACCUAUUUGAGAUUUAGGAACAUUUUCCAUUAAAUCAUAUAUAUAUAUAUAUAUAUAUAUAUCCAUUUAACAGCAAUGCUAUUUUGUAAGAAUUUAAAUUAUUUAAGUUGAUGCCAAAAUUAAAUUUCUUAACUGUCGCAUUUUCAUCUUUAAAAUCUUACUUAUUUUCAAUCUAAUUUAACUAAUGAUAUCUUGUAAUAGUAAUUUAAAAAUCUGAUUUCUUACCAAUGUAAUUUAACUAAUUAAUUAUAUGAAGUAAUAGUAAUUUAAAAAUCUGAUAACAAUAUUAACUUAACAGUUUAUUAUUCAUUUCUUUUUAAGUUUAUUUAUUUUAAUUGAUCUUACUACACUAGUUCCUGCAGCUCCUUCAGAUAAACAGAUUGCAUGAUAUCGAAGUUCAACUUGGGAAGCUCCAGCAAAAUCCAGGGCCUCAUCUAGAACAUCUUCUUCUGGCAUCCCAAGGUAAGAAGCUUUGUAUAAACUCAAUAGCCCAAUAACAUCUUCUCAUAAGCUGUCCACGAAUUUUCCGUCUCUCUCCAUGAACUUGUUAAACACAUCUGUACAUGUAAUUUAGAUGAAUAUUUAAUGGGCUUCCACGUGGACUCAAGUGUUGAAAGAAGCUAGCUACAACCACAAAAGGAUUAAAGAAGUAUUGCAAAGUUCAAUUUGUAACCAAACACUUGAAACAAUAUUAAAAGGAGAGAAACACAUUUUCUGCUAUUUGAAAUCAGAGCUCUAAUAUCAUGUCACUACAAUAAAAUUGAGUUUUAAUUACACUUUUUUAAGUAACCUUUUUUUUGUAUAGUGAAAUCCUAAAAAUUGUACCCAUUUAAAUUUUUAAUUUCAUUUUUUUCGCAUUUAAUACUAAUAUAAAGUAAUGCAACGUUUGCUGGUGUAUGUAAUUUCUAUUGUUACAUUUUAUUCAUAAUACAUCUAAAAAUUUAUAUAGUGAAGUCAAAUCUGCAAAAAUGUUCUAAAAAAUAUAAAAAAAGUGUUAUUAAAAAUAUUUUUAAUACAAAUUUUAAAAAUGUGCUGUUUUAAGUCAAAUUUGUUGUAGUGUGUUAAGUUAGGUGUCCAAUUAUUCCAAACCUUUAGUUGAUUAGUUUAUUUAAGUUUUAAGUUUUAACACAGGGCUUGAUUAGUUUAUCUAGGAUGAAAUGACAAACUUUCAAAUUUGAUUAAUUGCAUAAGUAAAAAUAAGAAAGGAUGAUCAUAAAUUAAAUAUAGCAAUAACAUUAUUCGCAUAGAACCUGUACUAAUGAUGAAACCAUUUUGACGUAUAAGUCCAAAUUGCAAGGCAACAGUGUAAAGAUCAGUGGCAAUGUUGGCAUCAAAAAGUUUAGCAAGAAUAUCCUUGAUAUCCUUCUCAAAGUGUUAAGCCACUCCUAAGUGUUGCAUUGUGUUGAUCAGAUCCAGUUGGUCACGUGGUUCUUUCAUGCUAGCAAGUAAAUCGCCAGCACCUUGCUUUAGUUCCUCAAGACGACUACCAUGGCUCUCGAACUCUAAGGUGGUGCAGGUUAAACACAAAGUAACUCUAAGGUGAUGAAGUUUGGGCAUCUAAUGAAAGUAAACUUACUGAGCAGGGUGUGGUGUAGGACUUGACGAGUUCAACAUCCCAAAUAGUAGGAAGGUGACCUGCAGAUCACCGUUCAAUAGCUUUUGCUUCCAUGAUAGUACUAAAAUUAUUAAUAUUGCAUUGUAACUCGACCACUAACAAGUAUUAAUGGAUUGACAUUACUCAACAUCUGGCUAAUGAUACAAUAAAAGGGUUGGCAAUCUAUCGGUAACUAAUUUAUGUAGUUUGGGGUUUCGCUAUCAAGUGUAGCUAACAAAAAUUUUAGUUAAAUAUGAUUUAAUCACGAAAUUGGCUAGCCACUAAGCCCUCCAUUUUUGUUUAUAUUUUCCUGUGCGGUUGGAGUCUCCUUGAACUCCAACAAACACAUUUAAUGUCUUGUUUGACUACAAGAAUCAUCUAAAAUGAGAAUGGUAAAGCUUUUGUUUGAUUUUUCUUAGAUCAAGGGUCUUUUUUUUUUUUUUUUGGGGAAAGCUAGUCUGAUUAAAGAUGAGAGGAGGUUGAAAGGAAGAAAGUGGCGUUAUUUGGUUGAAAAUGGCCAUCGGUGAGCAAAGAUCUUUUACUAAAGCAAUAUGGUUCUUUUUAUGCAUCUUUGUUUAUCCUGUAGGGAGCCUUUAAAUCCGAACAAAGUGGGACAUAAAGAACAAGAAUUAGUACUAAAGGUGGCAGAGCAACACUAGCCAGAAAGAGACUUUUCAUUUUAUUGCAGCUUCCAACUGUGAUUUUAUGUAUUGUACACCAAAUCAUGAUGACAUAUGUUUAUCUGGAGCUAGAAGGCGUCGUUAUUUGUCAGUAACCCCCUAACAGACACAAACAAAAGCAAUGGGUAAAAGUUUUAGCAUUUAUGUUGAUAUCAUGAUAUAAAACUAUGACUUGAGAAAGAAAGAAAUAAAGAGAGAACUAGUAAGCUGCUGGACAAAAGUAGAGCAUUCUUCUAUAUGCAUGAUGAUCACAUAGUGAUCAUAUAUAUAUUACAAAAUGUUAGUGUAUGUAACGCCUAUAACAAACCGCUUAACAUGUGUUCAAAUUACAUGCAAACAGCACAACAUUGUUCUAUUCUAACAUCAAAAAUAUUGACAGCUAGUAAGUAUAUAGAUCAUGCUGUCCAAAAGCUUACACGUAUCCAUGCAGGGGUUAUCCUCUAAGACUCCCCCUUAACACUUGCAAUGGAGAGAUUUAGUUUAGUUCUGAGAGAUUCAACUCUUGACUUCUGAAGAGGCUUGGUUAGGAUAUCAGCUAGCUGUAACUCUGGAAGGCAAUAUUGGAUAUUUAUCUCAUUCUUUUCCACUGUAUCUCCAAUGGCAUGAAAUUUCACAUUUAUGUGUUUAGUCUUGCCAUGCCAGAUAGGAUUUUUUACAAUAGCAAUGGCAGACUUAUUGUUAAUAAACAAAUUUGUAGGAAACUUUUGCUCCAAUUUGAUGUCCAUAAGUAAUUUCCUCAACCGAAAAGCUUGAUUUGCAGCCUCAGCAGUAGCAACAACAUAUUCAAAUUCUGCUAAAGAUUGAGCUACAACAGGUUUUUUAUGUGAAUUCCAAGAAAAAGGACCAUUACCAAGUGUAAAUAAAUAACCUGAUGUGCUCUUUGCAUUUUCACUGCUUCAUGCAAAAUCAGAAUCAGUAUAUCCAAACAAUUCAAAUUUUGUUGACUUGGUAUAAUGAAUCCGAUAAAAUUCUGUUUUCUUCAAGUAUCUUAGAAUUCUCUUGGUAGCAAUCAUAUGCUGAUCAAUUGGUACUUGCAUAAAUCAAGAGAAAAAUGCCACUGAGAAUUGUAUAUCUGGUCUUGAAGCACAAAUAUAAGCAGGCAUCGAAUUAGUCUUCUAUAUGCAAAAGGGUCUUCAAGUUGGUUACUAAAAUCUGCACAAAGCUUGUUGUUUACAACAGAAGGAGUUGACACAGACUUGCAAUCUGACAUUUGAAAUUUCUUGAGCACCUUAAAGAUAUAAUUUUGCUGAGAUAACCAAAUACCAAUUCUCAAAUGAUGAAUUUCAAGUCCAAGAAAAUAUCUCAUAAGUCCUAAGUCAGUCAUUUCAAAUUUUGCUUGCAUCUGAGAUUUAAAAUUUUCCAAAGCCUUUUCACAAUUUCCAGUAACUAACAGAUCAUCCACAUAUAAUGACACUAUCAAUAGCAAUUUGUUACCUGAUUCAAGAGUGUACAAUGUGGCUUCAUUCUGACUUUUAACAAAGCCUCGAUGAAUCAAGUGGUCAUUGAUUCUACUGUACCAUCUCCUUGGUGCUUGCUUCAAUCCGUAUAAAGCCUUGUGAAGCUUAUAUACCUUGUUCUCACCUGAUGAAAGUUCAAACCCUUCAGGUUGUUCAAUAUAAAUUUCCUCUUUUAAGAUGCCAUUGAGAAAUGCAAAUUUUAUGUCUAAAUGAUAGACAUUCCACUUAAGUGCACCAGCCAGAGCUAACAAUAAUCGAAUUGUGUCAUACCUAGCUACUAGAGCAAAUGUUUCUCCAUAAUCAACACCAGGUAGUUGACUGUAGCCCUUGGCCACUAACCGAGCUUUGUAUCUAUUAAGAGAACCAUCAAGAUUUAACUUCUUCUUGAAUAUCCAUUUGACACCAAUGAUGUUUCUAUUUUCAAGUCUGUCAACCAAAGACCAGGUGCCAUUUUUCUAGAUCAUUUGAAGUUCUUCCUACAUAGCUUUAAACCAAAUAGAAUCCUUAUCAGCUUUAGUAUGGCAACUAAGUUCUUCAAUAGUCACCAAGCUAUUCUGAUAAAUGUCUUCAAGUGAUCUGGUUCCCCUAACUGGCAUAUCAUCUAUACUCUCAUCUUCUUGAAUUUCAAUUUGAGUAUCAAAAGCAAAAAUUUUAUCAUGUUGGCUUGGAGAUGACAGUUGAGGUUGAGGUUCAUUCCUGUUCCAGCUGGAAUCUUCAUCAAACACUACAUCUCAACUCACAGCAACUUUAUUUUUGCUUGGCAAAUAGAUUCUGUAUGCCUUAGCUUAAGUAAUAUAGCCUACAAAUACUCCUGAUUCAGCUUUUUCACUCAAUUUGUUUUACAAGAUAUUUGGUAUGUGCCCAUAACAUACACAACUAAACACUUUCAAAUGAGUAACUAAGGGCAUGAAACCAUACCAUGCUUCAAAAGGGAUUCGGUUAUUCAGGGCAUGAGUUGGUAACAAACUCUGUAAACAUACAGUAGUAUUUGCAGCUUCUACCCAAAAAUUUUGAGGCAUCCUCUUCUGAUAUAACAGAAAGAUGCUCAUAUCCAUGACUGUCCUAUUUUUCCUUUCACUGACUCCAUUUUGCUGAGGAGUGUAUGGAGCAGUAAGUUGAUGAACUAUCCCUUGCUGAUUGAGGAACUGAGUGAAUUCAUUAUAAGUAUAUUCACCACCAUAAUCAGUCCUCAAUAUUUUGAUUCGAUAACCAGUUUCAAGUUCAACUUUGGUUUUGAAGUUUUUGAACAAAGCAAAGACUUCUGACUUGAAUAUCAUAAAGAAAAUCCAACUCCAUUUGGUCAUAUCAUCAAUAAAUAGAAGAUAAAACUUACUGCCAUUUAGUGAUUCCUCACUUAGAGGUCCACCUAUAUCAGAGUGAAUAAGUUCAAGCUUUGACUUGGUUCUGUUGGUACUACUCAAAGGAAAGGUUUCCUUGAAAUCUUACCAAGCUGACAUACACUGCAUAUUGAAGCAUUAUUGGAUAACUUUGGAAGCUUAUCAAGCAUAACUGAGUUGCUGACUUGUUCCAAGGUCUUGGAAUUGUAGUGACCAAGUCUUCUGUGCCAAAGAUCAAUUAGUGAAACAGAUUGUUCCUCAACUUGCAAGCAUAGAUGUUUAGGUUUAAUAGGAGAACAUCUAUUCCUCAUUGGUAUAGUCAUAAGAUAUGCACUUGAGGGGUUAUAAAUUCGGCAAGCUUUAUCUUUGAAAACAGAACAUAACUAUCUUCUAACAAUUGUUCAACACUCAGAAUUUGUGCAAAAGAAAGUAUAAACAAAAAAUUAUAUAUGUACUUGUGUCCAGUUGAGCUUUGUAUUCGAACCUUCCCUAUACCAUAUGCUUGUAGGUAACCACCAUUCCUUAUUCUGACUUUUGAUCAAUGGUUCUUAUCAAGAUCAACAAACAUAGCUUCAAAAAGUACAAUAUGCCGUGAGCUGCCACUAUCAAGGAGCCAUUCACAGUUACCAAAGUCACUUGCAAAAUCUGACUGAGCCAUGAACAACACUUCUUCAGCUAAUUCUGAGCUUUCAUUUGUUUGUGCAGGUUUAUCUUCAAUUGUUCUGUUCUUGCAUAAUUUAUCAGUGUGUCCUAAUUGACUACAUAUUUUACAUUUUGCAUCUGGCCUAAACCAGUAGUAAUCAUCAAUAUGAUUCCUUUUCUUGCAGUAGGAACAUGGCUUGAACUUAUUUUUCUUGUUUGAGGAUUGACCAGAUUGAGUAAUCUUCUUAUUUUUGUCUUUGUAAUUUUUCUUGGUAAAAGCCUCAGCUUUGGCUUUGCCUUUUCCUUUAGCAAGAAAGGCUUUCUCCCCAAAAGCUUCAUCUCUUGCUGAUAUUCUCAGUUCUGCAGCUUGCAAGGCAUUGACAAUUUUUGUAAUUGAAAUGUCAGACAGGUCCUUUGAUUGUAAUAGGGAUGCUAUUGUAGGUUCAAACUUCCUUGGUACAUUGUUGAUAAUCUUCUUAGCUACUCGAACUUCUUUAAGCUCUUCACCAAACAACUUUAUUAGGUUAGCAAGCUUAAGAAUUUGGUCUAUAUAUUCUUUUAAAGACUGACUUUCCUUCAUUCGCAUCAUGUCAAAGUACCUUCUCAAGUUCUGUGCCUGCAUAUGCCUUGUUCUAGAGGUCCCAACAUAUUCUUCAUGUAGCUUUGUCCAAGUUGCCUUAGCUGUUUCACAUUCCAUGAUUCUGUUGAAAAUAUCCUCAAAGAUAGCAGACUGAAUGAAUGAAAGAGCUCUAAACUUUUUUUGCAAUUUCUUUUCCAUAUUGCUUAACUUGAGCAACAGGAGCAUUCUCCCUUGGUGCUUGUGGUUCAACAUCUUGUUUUAUUGCAUUCCACAGGUUAUAACCUUUCAAGUAAGUCUUCAUUUUCACGGCCCAAACUCCAUAAUUGGAGCCAUCGGAGACUGGUGGAGGUUGAUGAGUUAUGUUUGGAGUUGUCAUUAUAAAAAGAAACUAAUUCUUGAACAAGAAGUUAAAGCAGAACCACUAAGAACACAUGAGUAUUGAAAGGAAGUUAUCUAAGGUCCUACAAGAAUCGGGAGGUGCUCUGAUACCAUGUUAAUAUCAUGAUAUAAAACUAUGACUUGAGAAAGAGAGAACUAGUAAGUUGCUGGACAAAAGCAGAGAAUUCUUUUAUAUGCAUGAUGAUCACACAAUGAUCAUAUAUAUGUUACAAAAUGUUAGUGUAUGUAACACCUGUAACAAAUCGCUUAACAGGUGAUCAAAUUAGAUGCAAACAGCAAAACAUUGUUCUAUUCUAACAUAAAAAAUAUUGACAAUUAGUAAGCAUACAGAUCAUGCUGUCCAAAAGCUUCCACGUGUUCAUGCAGGGGUUAUUCUCUAACAAUUUAUUUGUUAAUUAGUUGCCUUCUUUUCUUCUUUAUGGUUUUGCUUGAAUUAUGAUACAGGGAGAUGCCUCCCAGCUAUUUAAAUGCUUGGUAGAGGUUCAUAUGGUAUUUUAAAAUGGAUGAAAGUAGUUGGCAUACAUUCCCUCUCAGGAUGUUGUUUACUUAUUUAUCAUUAUCAGGUGAAAUUCAUAUUAGAUUGACAAUAGCACAAACAAUGCUGAGAUGAAGCCCAACUUUAAGGACUUGGCAGAGUUAAUUUGGCAGGGAACUAUUUUCUUGUACUCUGAUCACUUCCCUUAUCUAACUAAAGUUAUAGAAAAGACCCUACUGACUUCAGUGUGAGGUUAUGUAACAGUAAGUUUUCAUUCAACUUGACAACAAAGGAGAGACUGAUUGAACUUUUGCUUCCAAAGCAAGUGAUUAUUCAAUUACAUUUGAUUCUUUAUCGCUACAUCUACCAAUUAUAUUUCUGAUCUGGCAGUUAGUUGUAAUUGAACAAUUUUUAUACCAAAUAUUGGCAUAUUCAAGGUUUCCAUUAAACAUUUUCCCAUAUGUUCUUUCCAACAUUGAUCUGAACCUUCUUUGACCUUUUGUAAUCCAAAGUAGAGAUUUAUUCUGUGCUGUUGGAAACAUUAGGAUGCAGCAUCCUGAAAGAUAUUGAAAUUAUAAGUUGGUUGAAUGGAAUGUUGAACCAAAAUGUUAGGUUGCCUCAAAUGAUAUUUUUUUCAGUUUGGACAAUUUGAUUAUGGAAUGUGUUGUAUUUGUUUGCUUAAACUAAGUGUGCAAAUGCAUAUAUUAAACUCCAAAAAAUUUGGAAGCUAGGUCUUUACUCUAUGGAGUCCAUAAAGGCUAAAUGAGGGUUUGGAGAGAAAGAGAAAGUGUGUGGGAGUUAAGGGAAGUGAAAAAUGAUUGAAGAAUGACGACUAGCUUUUAUAUUUUUUUUAACCUAGAGCCUUAGGAUCGACUCAUUAUCCUUGGGGGUCAAUUUGUAGGUUUUUAUUUUUUUGCCUAAUGGUGUAGGGAUCGACCCCUUGACUUAAGGGGGGUCAAUCCUUGUGGGUUUUAGUAGCCUAUUUUGAAGUUUAGCUUGUAGGGAUUAAUCUUUUUGUCAUUGGAGGUUGAUCUUAGAGUUUACAAAAAUCUUUUUAAGUGUUUUCCCUUGUUGGGAUCAACCCUCCUUUCCAUGGGGGUCGAUCUUAGUCAUUUCUAAAGGCUACUCCAAGAGCUUUACAUGUAGGGAUCGACCCUCCUCUAAAAGGGGGGUUGAUCUUGGAUAAUUCUAGAACCUCAUUGAUAACUCUAUGAUAUAGAGUUAUGUUGCCACAUUUUGAUUGUAAAAAAUAGCUAAAUCCCUACGUUUUCAAGCUAGUUUUAAGUAAUUUUUAUACUUUUCUUUAUUUGGUUUAGUGCAUGUUGAAUUAUUUUUAAUUUGAGUAAUUUGAGCUUAUUUUCACAUCAAAAGUCUGAGUUUGAGAAAUCAUUGAUUUAAUCUCUAUUUUGAAGUUUCUUAAGUGUAAAAAGCUUUGUGGAAGUGAAAUGCGCAAGAUGGUUAGGUGUAGAAUUUGUUAAACAUAUUGCGGUAUUUCUACCAUAAUUCUCUCUACAGAACUCCAAACGAGCUGAUUCGUAGACAACUAGAAGACGAGAGGAAAGGCUACAACUUUGUUGUUUAUUACUUUUCCUAGUUUAGAUUAGAAGAUGGUCAAAAUCCAUGUCAAAAAGACAAUACUACAUUAGGAAAGUAAAACAAAGACAUAACACUUGAGAGCCAUGGCACUAAAAGAAAUUUGUAGCGAACUUCAAAGUCAGAAUUGUAGAGAGCCUCGGCUCUCAAGUGAUAGCUGUGACACUAGAGCCUGUUUCAAAAAAUAAUUGUCUAACGGGAAAUUUGAAAAUUAGGUUAAUUUGUGCUUAUUUAAGGGACUUCUUCAAAUAAGUUUAGAAAGAGUGUGGCAGCAGCUAUUUUGGAGAACUAGAGCUAAGAAUCAAGCAAGAGAACAAGAAAAAUUAAGAGAGAUUUGAGAUAAAAAAAGCUUCAACAUUAGUUUCUUUCUCUAUUUUGUGUUUUUAUUAUUUCCUUUGACUUGAAUUCAUGGCUAAAUUUAUUUGGAUAAUGUUUUACUAAGAUAUCAUGAACUAAUUUGUUUUUCUAGGAUUAUGGUGGAUUUCAAAAUGUAGCUUGAGUAUUAGUUUCUCUUUUAUGUAUCAUGAAUAGGUAUAGUUUUGCUUAUUCAAAAUUUUUUUUAAUGCUUUUAAUUGCCUAAUCAACAAUUAACUAAUUUGUGAAUCUAAUUGAGAUUCGACAAAGAGAUUUUAAAUUGGACUAAAAUUCGAAUAGUGUAUGUUUACGUCACUUAGGUGAUUUGAUUUACAACUCAAGUAGACAUAUGUCAAUUGCCAUACAUAACCAAAUUAGGACACUAGCUUAAUGAACUUAAUUUAAUUGAUUCUUAUAGACAUAUAGUGAACUAAUUAAGUUAGGUAUUUGUGCAAGCAUCUUGAUAGAGACAUGUACAUAGCUUUGGAUUGUUGGUUAGUAAAACCACCUUAGAAAGUAAAUAAUAAGAGAAGCUGGUAUCAGAUGAAAUGUUGAAUGAACCCAUAAUCCUAGGUCUUUAGUCUAUUAUCUUUCUCAUGUUACUUUAAUUUCUGUUAGUUAAUUUAGUGCUUGGUUUAAUUUAGUUUGAAUUAAUUUUCUUAAAAUUUUAGAUACUUAAAUAAAAUUGAUUUGUUACAAAAUUUUAGUCCUUAGCAAAACUUUAGGAACAAAAUUCCUGUGGGAACGAUACUCUACUUUUUACUAUAUUACUUGUUUACGUUAAUGUGCACUUGCAUGAAAAAUCAACAUGUUUUUGGUGUCGUAGCCGACAAUUUUGUUGUUUCUAUUUGCUAAUAUUAAAAUUUCACAAAUUACUCAUAAUUUAAGUUUUUCUUCUUUCUUUUGUAGGUUUGUUUCAUCAUUGUAUGAGAAGGGAAAAAAGCUUGGAGAUUAUACCUUAUGAUCCAAAGAUUAAGAGAACAUUCCAAAGACUUCGAAGAGAAAAUCAACAAGGUUUUGCUCAAACAUAUACAAUGGAUGAUCGACAAGUUGAGCAACAAAUCCAAGAGUGAGUAGUAGCUGAAAAUCAUUCUUAAGGGAUUAUGAUGUACCAUUGGUGCAAGGAGUUCCAUCCAGCAUUCGAAGGUUGGCUAUUCAAGACAACUAUUUUGAGAUCAAAUUGGCCAUCAUCACCAUGAUUCAAACUUCAAUCCAGUAUGGGAGUCUACUAAAUAAUGAUCCAAAUGGCCAUAUAUCCAACUUCUUGGUGAUAUGUGAUACUUUUAAACACAAUGGUGUCACAGUUGAUGUAAUUCCUUUAAGGCUUUUCCCUUUCUCAUUAAGCGAUAAAACUAACGCAUGGCUGAAUGUGCUCUCUAUUGGCUCAAUAACAACAAGGGAUGAUCUUGCUCAAAAGUUCCUUGCUAAUUUCUUUCCUUUGGCCAAAAGAGCAAAAAUGAGGAAUGAUAUCACAUCAUUGAUGUAACAAGAUUCUAAAUCAUUGUACGAGGCUUGGGAAAGAUGUAAAGAAUUACUUUGGUGUUGUCCUCAUCAUGGCUUCCUAAAGUGGCUUCAAGUGCAAACAUUUUACAAUGAUUUAAGUGGUCAUGUUUGAACUACCAUUAAUGCCAUGCAAGAGGACUUUUAAUGGUUAAAUCAAUUGAUGAAGAUAUGAUUUGUUAGAAAAUAUGGCUGCAAAAUACUACCAAUGGCCAACAGAGCGAUCAAUGCAUAGGAGAGUAAUUGGAAUUCAUGAUGUAGAUGCCACUUUGGCACUAUCUGCACAGGUAGUAGUUUUAUCUAAAACACUUGAAUCUUUUGGUACUAACUCCAUUCAAGGUCUUUUUGUAGCUUGUGAGUAUUUUGGAGAUGAUCAUGCAAGCCAUCAGUGUCCAAGUUUGAUAGAACUAGUGUAAUUUGUGGGGAAUAGACAGCAGAAUUACCCAUACCCUAACAUUUACAAUCCAAGGUGGAGGAACUAUCCAAACUUCUUUUGGACCAAUAAUCAAGGAUCAUACUCAACUUCAAGGUUGAAUGCAUUUAUAGGAUUCCAGCAACAAGCAAGAAUGCUUAUCUUAGAUAAAAAACCAAUUGUAGAGGAUUUACUAAUGCAGUACAUGACAUAACAUGAUAGCAUCAUUCAAAGUCAAGCAUUUUUCGUUCAGAGUCAAACAACAUCAUUGCAAAACAUUCGAGACUCAAGUUGGUCAACUUGCCAAUUUAUUAAACAACUAAGUUCAAGGAACACUACCUAGUGUUAUAAAAACAAAUAUAAGAAGAGAAAUUAAGGAACAUGUCAAGGCCAUCACUUUGAGAAGUGGUAAGGAAGUUGAAAGUGAGCCACAACGAGCUGAACAGAAUGACAACAGUGUUGAGAGUGACACAUAGAUUGCAAGUUCUAGUGAGCAGUGUCAAGCAAAAGAGAUUAAGGCAAUUUUACCACCACCACCUUUUCUUCAACGUUUCAAGAAGCAACAAGAGGAAAGUUAGUUUCAGAAAUUUAUGGAGGUGUUUAAAAAGCUUCACAUCAAUAGUUCAUUUGCAGAGGCAUUUAGAGCAAAUGCCUUCAUAUGUUAAAUUUCUUAAAGAAAUUUUAUCCAAGAAAAUGAGGUUAGGUGAAUUUGAGACAAUAACAUUCACUGAGGAGUGUAGUGCAAGCAUUCAGAAUAAACUCCUUCCAAUGCUUAAGGCAAGUAGCUUUAUUAUUCCAAGCAUAAUAGGUGCUUUAUUCUUUGCCAAGGCUUUGAGUGAUUUAGGGGCAAGUAUUAAUUUGAUGCCUUUGUCAAUUUACUAUAAGUUGGGCUUGGAGGAGAUUAAACCCACGACUAUGACUCUACAUUUAGCAAACAGAACUUUCAUCUAUCCAAAAGGAAUAGUGAAAGAUGUGCUUGUAAAGGUGGAUAAAUUCAUCUUUCUGAUGGACUUUAUAUAUCUUGAUAUGGGGGAAAAGGUUCCUAUUAUCCUUGGGAGACCUUUCUAACACACUACUAAAGCACUUAUUGAUGUUGAGAAGAAAGAUUUCUCCUUGUGAGUACAAGUUCAAGAGGUAACAUUCAAUAUUUUUAAAUCUUUAAAGUUUACUGAUGAUCAUGAUGAGUGUUUUGCAGUUAGUGUGACAGACAAGGCCAGAAAUAAAGUCUUCAUGGAAAGUCAUCCUAUUGACCCACUUGAAGUAUCAUUGAUUUUUGAAUCUAAGUCAAAUGAUGAGGAUGUCAUAAAAUGUGUUAAUGCAUUGAAUGCCCCAUCUCUUGUGUUGGGAACUCAAUUUAAGCUAUUAAAUUUGUCUACAUCUUCAUUUUCACUAGCGAAGACCUUAAUUGAAGAAUCUUAAAUUGGAACUCAAACCAUUGCAUCAUCAUUUGAGGUAUACAUAUCUUGGAGACUUAUAUACUCUUUCGAUUUUUGUUGCAUCUAAUCUUACUAACAAGUAGGAAGAUAAGCUGCUAAGAGUUCUAAGAAAGCAUAAAAAGGCACUUGGUUAGACAAUAGCAUAUAUUAAAGGUAUAAGUUGUUUAAUAUGCAUGCCCAAAAUUUUGUUGAAGGAUAAUCACAGAGCCACUAUCGAGCAUCUAAGAAAAUUGACGUCAUAGCCUAAAAUCUCAGGCCAUGACCGGUGCAUGGGCUCAAUGGGCAUAACCCACUAGGCCCAAGCAAGCCUCUUUAUGAGAUCCUAUUCCUCAUUCCAUCCAUCAUCUUGAAAACCAUGUGUUGUAAUUCUCAACGAUGAAUGUUUCAGUAAUAUUUUAUAGCAACCGAAUAUUCAUAUUUGUAUUAUCUCAAGGUACUGUCAUUCAUUGCCGUCUCAUAAGGGCAUCAUCAUGAAUCCAACAUAUACAUACUUCAUUUAUUACAUGACUCCUAGUAGUUCACAUUACAUAUACCUGUACACAAACAAAUGACUCUCAACCGUCAACGGAGUGACUUUAAGUGAAGGUACCGCUACUGAGAUGCCAUUGUACCUACCAAGAAGACGAGCAUACGCGGACACUCAAUCUAGGUCCUAACUACCAACGAAUCUGAAAAUGUGAAGUUUAAAAAUGUGAGUAUAAAACUCAGUGAGUGAACAUAACAAGGGAACAAGCAAUCGAUAAGGAGAACUUGGGAAUCAUGAUGCAUUUGUUUCAAAAAACAAUGCAAUUGAUUUAAUUUCUUAUUAAAAACCCUUCAUUUUAAACUUUGAUUAAUAACCUCAUAAUGUUGCAAAAACCCAUGAUCAAUCCUUGAAGUUAAAUGGGUGAAAAAUAGGUCAAAAUCAAGCAAGGUAGCAAGCAUGACAGCAAGUUUCUCAGUAGUGAGCAACAGUCUUAGUUUGCAUAUGUUUCAGUUUUUGAAGCAUAUAUCCCACUAAAAAAGUCCAAUUGACAUGAUUUUUUGACCAUUAGAAAGAUAAGAGGCUGGGCUACAACUUUUAUGUUUAGCACUUUUCACAGUUCUGAAUGAAAGUUGGUCAAAAUCUUCGUAAAAUUGAGAGCACUGAUAUAGAAUUUUGGAACCACCAGCGAGAACCAGGCUAGUGUAACCCUCCCUAACCCGAAAGUUUCUCGUUGCAGCAAAAAUGAACCUCGCUACAGUGAGAAAUAGAGCAAUCUAGUAAAAAAGGGUCUUGUUAUAUCAAAAGCCAUUUUCUUGUUGAAAUGAAAAGCAAUUUGGGAGCAAUUAACAAUGCCAACAUGCAACACAAUCACAAUUAUUUUCAUAAGCUUUUAUAACAUAUAUAUACAUACAUACAUACAUAACCACCAAUACCACCACUGCCUCACCCAACUCAUGUGCAACCCCCACAUCGUGCAUAUAGCUGGAGUCGUCGUGUGCAUCUCCCCACAUCGUUCACAACUAAUACUGCCGCGUGCAUCCCCCACAUCGCGCACAAGCAAUAUCAUCAUCCACACUCUCGCACCCGUCAUCAUCGGCACGUGCUCCCUCACAUCGUGCACAUGUUUUGUUAUAAUUACAAACAAUAUUACUGUCAAUACAUAUCAUAUAUAUAUAUUUAUAUAUAUAUAUAUAUAUAUAUAUAUAUAUAUAUAUAUAUAUAUCAACAUAACACAGGGCACAUGGAUUCAUCACAGUCGCAUUCCACAACGCAAAACGUUUCAUUAAAAGCUUGUUCACAUGCAUAUUUUAAAGCAAAACAGAUAAAAUAUUUCAAUGGAUUUAAUCAAACACAUGUGCUCUAAUCCCAAAACAUUUUAAUGCAAUUUCACUCACCAGUAUUUGUUAAAUCUUUACCCAACUCUAACUUCCUCUAAUGGUCCAAAUGGGGCGGUGGGGCUUCGUUGGAACCUAUCAUCACAUUCGUAUCACAAAUCAACUCAACUCACAUAACUAUAAUUCUAAAAGCUAUCUCUUAACUAGCUUCCACUUACCAUUAAGUGGCUAUCUAUUUUCUCUACUUUAGUAACACUGGAAAUAAAUAAACAAACUUUAACAAUAAAACAACUCACAACUCCAAUUAUUAGCCAUUAUCAACAACCUAAAAUCAAUCCUCAUUCAUUACUCACCUUGGUGGAUUUAUAGUUGAAUUCCUUCUUAAGAAUACUCAAGCUAUCAUGGAAAGUCUCUCUUUCUCCCUCUCUCUCUCUCUACUAAAUUUCCAACUAGUGAGAGAAAGUGUGAAGGAAAGACUUUUGAGGGUUUUAAGAUGAGAGAGUGAAAGAGCACAAAAGGUUAUAUUAAAAAGUAGCUCAAAAGACAUGAAAAUUAGAAGCUAGAGAGAGAGAGAGUUAUGGAAGCUUUAAGGGAGGCUUCCAUGGAAAAUGAAGAUAUGUGAGAUGGGAGGAAGAAGAACAAGAAGCUGCUGGAAAAAUGAGGAAGUUGCUGGAGAAAUGAGAUAUUUAUAGCCUAAACUUAUCUAAACUUCAUUUAAAUUACGAAAAUGCCUUUAACAAGUUACCUUUGUCUUCCUCCAAUCCUUUUUGCAAUCUUUUUACUCUUUUGACAAUGAGAUAAAGUCCAUAAUAGUGUAGAAAUACUCGAGUUCAUGAAAACUUAAAAAUUUCAACUUGAGUGAAAAAUGACCAUUUUGCCCCUACCUUGGAAAUCAUUAUUAUUUCUAUUUCCUUCAUCAUUGUAUCCUUAUUUUCAUCAUUCAUUUAUGCCUUGGGCCUACUUAGGCCUUAAUAAUGUUUGAAAGCAUACUUCAAAGGGCUCACGAAAGAAAUGACGAAAUUACCCCUAGUCCGUGAUAUCGCGUCUACUUUUAGCUAUAAGUCUAUAAAGAUCAAGGUCUCAUAAUUGAAUCCAAUCAUGAAAGAAGUGGUAAAAAAGGAAAUAAUCAAAUGGCUAGAUGCUGGCAUCAUUUAUCUUAUUUUGGAUAGUGAGUGAGUAAGUCUAGUGCAAUGUGUACCAAAGAAAGGUGGGAUGAUAGUGGUUACAAAUGAAAACAAUAAGCUCAUUCCCACAAAAAUAGCAACUGCAUGGAGAGUGUGCAUGGAUUACUUGAAGCUAAAUAAGGCUACAAGGAAAGAUCAUUUCCUAUUACCAUUCAUUGACCAGAUGUUGGACAAGUUAGUUGGAAAAGAGUACUAUUGUUUCUUGGAUGGGUACUCAAGAUAUAAUCAAAGUGACAUAGCACCAGAAGAUCAAGAGAAAACAACCUUCACAUGUUCCUAUGGUACUUUUGCCUUUAAACAUAUGCCACUUGGAUUGUUCAAUGCUUUAGCCACAUUUCAACGAUGCAUGAUUUUUAUCUUUUUUAAUAUGGUGGAGAAAUUAUUAUAGGUAUUUGUGGAUGAUUUCUUGAUUUUUGGUAAUAAUUUUGAUGAAUGCAUGUUAAACCUUGAUAAGGUGUUGCAAAGAUAUUAAGAGGCAAACUGGGUAAUAAUUGGGAGAAGUGCCAUUUUAUAGUAUAAGAAGGCAUCUUGGUCACAAGGUGUCAAGCAAUGGAUUGGAGGUGGAUAAAGUGAAGAUUAAGACCACUAAAAAGCUUCCACCAUCAACCUCAAUAACAGGUAUUAGUAGUUUCCUUGGACACGUUGGUUUUUAUCAGUGAUUCAUUACAGAGUUUUCUAAAAUUAUUAAACCUUUGUGCAAUCUCUUAGAAAAAGAUUUCCCAUUUAAAUUUGAUGAUGUGUCAUGUUGCAUUCAUAGAAUUGAAAAAAAAAGUUAACAUCUGCACUAAUUAUUGUAGUUCUUGAUUGGUCACUCCUAUUUGAGCUUAUAUGUGAUGCUAGUGAUCAGCUACAUUGUAACACCCUGUACUUUGAUAUGUUGGCUAAUAAGGCUUAUCGAAUGCCAAUUAAGAUUAAUUAGAGUGUUUAAAAGUGAUGAAGGGUGAAAGGCAUAGUUUGAAAUGAAAUAUUUUGCACGGGAAACAAUAGUAAUUAAAUAAUAAUAUUUUUAUUAAGAAUGAAUUAAUGAUAUAAAAAGUGAUUAGGUAGUGAAUCGGGGCAUAAUAAGACAUUUUGGGUGCCAACGAGACAAGUGAGAAAUUUUAAAAUAAAAUAAUAUUAAAAUAUUAAUAUUUUAUUCAGUGUCGAAAUUUUUCCAUGAAGAAGGAGUAUAUGGUCAAUCUAAGUGGGGGAGAAGAAGAACGAGGAAAUUUUAGAAAAAUAUGAGGUUAAUGGGACUCGCUUGUCUUUAUUAAAUAAAGUUGUCACGGGUAAGUAUAUAUUUAAAUAUUGUGAUGAUACCACGUUGAAGCAUAAACUUGAUAUUUUAUUGAUAAAAGUGUUAAGGAAGAAAAAUGGAAAGAAAUUAGAAUUAAAAGAUUGUGGGAGGAUACAAUUAAAAAGGGUGAGAACCUUCUAGGGUAAAAUGGUAAUUUUACCAUUAGUGGUCAAAGCUUCCUUCAUUCUUAUCCCAUGGUUGGUUCUUAUCUUUAGCCAAAAGAUAUUUUCUCCUCCACCUUCAUGCUCCCAACGCCAUUUUCACCCACCCAACGCCAUUUUCAAGCUUCCAUGCCAUUUCACCUUGCCACCAUGCAUUUGAAAGGAAAAAUAGAGAGAAUUGGCUAAGGAAAGAAAUGAGAGAAAAGUGAGAGGCUUGGGUAGUGAGUUAUUCAAGAGUAAUUGAAGAAAUAUCAAGUGGGUCUCAGGAUUCAAGAAACAUAAGGUAAGGAUUUUUGUGUUUUAAGCUCAUGGUUGGUUAAAUCUUCGGAGAAAUAAUGUGUGAACCAUUUUGUGGUAGCUAUGGUGGCCAUGGGUGUGAGGAAAUUAUGAAUUUUGUUGGGUCAAAUUUGAGCUAAAACCAAGUGGUAAGCUUAAUUCUACAAUUUGAAGCAUAUGAUUGGUUUAAUAUGGUGAGAAUGAUUGUGAGCAAUAUGUAGGGUUAUCGUGAUGUCCUGGGUAUGGAUGAAAGGCAAUUAUAUUAAUUGUAAGCUUGGAAACAAUUGAGUGAAAGUGAGGAUGAUUGUUGCUGCCAUAUAUGCGGAUUAUGUGUGGAAAUAUAAGACGAAUUUGAAUGAAAAUGGUUAAAAAAGGUUAAUAUGGGUGCUACAGUCAUAACGAAGUUGCCGAUAAUUAUAAUUUAAAGAAUUACGCAAGUAAAGGAUAAAGGCAACUAUGGUAAAAAUGUGUCAAGAUAUAAGUUAGUUGAAUAAGGAUUCAUGAUUGUUGCUAGGAAGUGCAAAAGUAAAGAUAGUAGACUAUGGUGGCAUGCUUGAGGAAAUAACGAGCGAUUGGCAAGUAGAAAUAGCUAGAUACGGCUCUGAACUAAUAGCGAUGUAAUAUCCCGCUAUCGUAAGGUGAGUGAACUUGCAUUAAAAUGUUUUGGGAUAAAUGCAUAUGUGUUUAAUUGAAUCACCUGAAAUGUUUUAUCGAACUUUUCUUUAAAACGUGCAUAGGAACAAGCCCUUGAUGAAAUGUUUUUAUGUGGUAAAAUAUGUGAUAUAAUGAAACCAUGUGUUCCUAUAUUAUGUGGGUAUGUGUGUUAUGCUUUGAGUGAUAAUGCUGUAUAAUAGCUAUAACCGUGCAUGUGCGGUGUGGGAGUGCACGUGACGGUGCCGGUGGUGUGUUGUGCGGGAGUGCACAUGCUGGUAAUGAUGUGGGCAAGAGUGCGUGUGAUGAUAUUGAAAUGUGCGUGUAGGGAGUGCACAUGAUGAUAUUGAAAUGUGUGUGUAGGAAGUGCACAUGAUGAUAUUGCCUUGUGCGUGUAAGGAGUACACAUGAGCAGAGUAAGGCGGCGGUGGUGUACAUGUGUGUAUAUAUAUAUAUAUAUAUAUAUAUAUGCUAUAGACAAGUUUUGAAAAUAAAAAAUGUGAUUGUACUAUAUGCUAUAGAAUGUUGUUCCGCUAUAGCAAGAUUCUCUCUGCUAUGCUUACCUUGCUUGAAUUUCCUAAAUGUUUUAAAAUGAGUUGAAAAACAACACGACAUCGAGUUUUGUUGAUAAUAUAUAAAAUUGCAUUGUUUUUACACAAGUGCAUCACGUGUUCAAAAAGUUCUCCAUAUCGUUUGCUUAUUCCUUUCUUAUGUUUACUCGCUAGGUUUAUACUCACUCUUUUUAACUUCAUGGUUUCAGAUUUGGAGGUAGUUGGGACCUAGAUUGAAGUGUCCAUUUGUAUUCUUCAUUUGAUAGGUACCAUGGUAUCCUGUAGCGGCACCCACACCCAAAGUCACUCCACUGAUAGUCAAGGUCUUUUGUUAGUGUGUAUAUUUACUGAAAUGUAAAUUAUGAGAUUGUUUUGCACUUUGUAUGUUGAUUGAUUACCCCUAUCGGUUGGGUUUGAAGAAUGAUAACCCUAUGUUGGGGAUGUUAUAUAUAUAUAUACUUGGUUCUCACUGUUUAAUUUUGAAAAAACAUUCAUUAGAAAUUUUGAGUAAUAGAUCUUAAAGAAAGAGAGGCUUGCUUGGAUCUGGUGGGCUAUGCCUAUUAGGCUCUUGCAUCGGUCAUGGCCCUAGAAUUGGGUUGUGAGAUACAGGUACAGUGUUAGGGUAGAUAAAAGAUAAAAUUUUUCAUUCUAUAUAUUAUGCAAGUAAAACCUUGAGUGAAACUUAGAUGCACUACACCACCACCGAGAAAAAAUUAUUAGUUGUUGUGUAUGCAUUUUACAAGUUUCGUACAUACUUGAUUGGCACUAAAGUUAUUGUUGAUACUAACCACUCUGCAACUAGGUAUUUGAUUUCUAAAAAGGAUGCCAAGCCAAGGUUAAUAAGAUGGAUUCUAUUGCUACAAGAAUUUGAUUUGAUAAUUUAAGAUAGAAAAGGUUCAAAAAAUUAAGUAAUAGACCAUUUGGGAAGGUUAGAGCAUGAUAACCAAGGUAAGGACUUCAUUUUGGUCAACGAAACUUUGCCGGAUGAACAAUUGUUACAUGUUGGUCAAAAGAAUUUACCAUGUUAUGCUGACUAUGUCAAUUUCAUCGUAAGUAAGUUUCUCCCUCCAAAUUUAACUUCUUAGCAGAAAAAGAAAUUUCUACGUGAUGUUAAAUUAUAUAUGUGGGAUGAACCAUUUUUGUUUAAGCAAUGUGCUGACAAAAUGAUAAGAAGUUGCAUUCCAGAUGAGGAAGUUGAAAGUUUGUUGAAACAUUGUCACUCGUUAAAAUAUGAGGGCCAUUUUGGAGGAAAUAGAGAAGUAGUCAAAUUUCUUCAAUCAGGUUUAUAUUGGCCAGCACUGUUCAAGGAUGCUCAUAAGGCUGUUUUGCAUUGUGAUAGAUGCCAAAGAGUGGGGAACAUUUUCAGAUGACAUGAGAUGUCGUUCGACAACAAUUUUGAAGUAAAAAUUUUCAAUGUUCAAGGAAUUGAUUUCAUGGGACCAUUUAUAUCCUCAUUCAAUAAUCAUUACAUUUUGGUGGCUACUGACUAUAUGUCAACGUGGGUGGAAGCCUCAUCUCUACCUAAAACUGAUGCUAAGGUGCUGAUGAAAUUUUUGAAGAAGAGCAUCUUCAUUAGAUUCAGUACACUAAGAGCUAUUGUGAGUGAUAAAAAGAGUCACUUGUGUAAUAAGUAUUUUAUAGCAUUACUCACUAAGUAUGGAGUGACACAUAAGGCUGCCACGGCCUAUCACCCUAAUGCAAAUGGACAAGUUGAAUUGUCAAACUAAGAAAUCAAGAGAAUUUUAGAGAAAGUGGUAUCACCAUCAAGGCAUGAUUAGGCCAGAUGACUUAAUGAUGCAUUACGGGCGUAGAGGACUGCUUAUAAAACUCCGAUAGGUAUGUCCCAUAUCAAUUGGUUAUUUUGAAAAACGUGUCACCUCCUAGUUAAAUUAGAGCACAGUGCAUUUUGGGCCAUCAAGAAAUUAAAUUUUGAUUUGGAGGCAAUGGGUGAGAAACAUUUGCUUCAAUUAAAUGAGAUAGAUGAAAUUCCAUUAGAUGCUUAUGAAAAUGCCAAAUUAUACAUGGAAAAGACGAAGCGAUGGCAUUAUCAAAGGAUUGUUGAGCAGUAUUUCAAGCCAGGCCUGUAUGUGUUAUAGUUCAAUUCAUGAUUAAACCUAUUCUAGGCAAUUUCAAACGAAGAUGGUCCAGAUCUUUAAUUGUAUCCAAGGUGUUUCCCCAUGGAGCAGUAGAAAUAGUAGAUAGGUCAACAAAUGAGACAUUUAAGGUGAAUGGGCAACAAUUGAAGCACUACUAGGGAGGAAAUAUUAAUUGUCAACAAUCUUCCAUCUAUCUCUCCUAUCUUAAAUAAGCUUAAAAGAGUGCAACUAAUGACUAUAAAGGAAGUGCUUCCUAGCAGGCAACCCAAGUUUCUCAGCCUAGUUUACUUUAGUAUUUUUUUUUUAGUUUUAGUAAUUUACAAUCUUUUUGCUUAUCAUUUGAUGUUUCCUUUCUAUUCUAUGUUUAAAUUUGCAGCUCUUAGAGAUACAAUAGAGUAAAGUGAUAAUCAAAAAAAAAAAAAAGAAAGCCACGACCCUCACAUUCUGAGUCGUGGCUAUGAAAGCAGGUAACAUACUAUUCAUAAACAGAAUGGUUAAGUGUCGCGGCCCUCACUACUCAGAGUCGCAAAGCUAGCAAUGAAGAAAAAAAUGUCCAAAAUAGAAUGGUUGAGAGCCCCUACCUUCACAUUAAGAGUUCAGGCAUUGGAAUAAGGAAUUAAGUUUGCUAGAAAUAGAAAGCUUGAGCGUCACGACAUUGAAACCUGAAGCUUAAUGCUUUGAGUGCAAACAAAAUGAGAGCUAUGGUGUUGGGUUGAAGGCUAACACCAACCUUGUUUAAAACAUGUUUUUCAUCAUUCCUUUUUCAUUCUCCAGUCACCUAUGCAUUUAACCUAAGCUCCCAAAAACUCCUGCUUCCUUAGUUUUUGCCUCCAUAAUACUCACCCACUUGUGCUUUCAAGUUGUAAGUGUGUGCAGUCAUCUUAUUCACCAACUCAUUCACCAUUCCUUAUUUUUCCAUAUAUUCAAUCAAGUAAGUGUUUUCUUCAACAAUUUUCAUUUGUUUUGAGAAAUUUUUUUAUAGUAAUUGCCUUUGCUAGAUUCCAUAGAUUUUACAUAUUGAAUGGGUAAUUUAUAUGUGGUUGAUGACAGGAAUGAAGAUUUGCUUCUUGAUUAUGCUUUGGGUGGGGUGAAUUGUUGUUUAAUUGAUAAUGAUUAUAGUGAAAUUAUUGUUGAUUAUGGGUUGGAUUCAUAGAAUUUUGUGUGCUUGAUAAUGCAUAUGUUGAAAGUCUUGUUGCUUAUGGUGUGAGUUGGCAGAAAUUUGCUUGGUGGAUGAUGGGCAUUGUAACGACCACUCCUCGAUUGCUAUCGACGUCCAAGACUUUCGGGAGAACCCGUCAAGUUCUGAACAAGCCUUACUAGAAAUUCUCAUUAAUUCACUAUACUUGUUCACCAAACUAUGUUAUGGCUUUAGAUCGUAUAACUCCUAUGACAUGAUUUGAACAAUAGACAUAAGAAAUCAACUUGACCUUUAUUCCAUAUAACUGGGAGUAAAUACAUCAUAGUCUAAAACUCCCAAUUGAAUAUUUAUAUUAAGUUCAGUAUCCAUUUACAAAAAUAAAAAACAUUACAAUGACUUGACCUCUAGCAGUAGAGCGACACGAAAUAAGAUGAUAUGAGAUGCCUUUACCUAUCUGUGGUGGUCAAUGAUCGUCGAUGUAUGCUCGCUAGGCUGAUCACUAUUUGCAAAAGGGAAAUAUGGGGGUGAGUCUCAUAGACUCAGUGAUCAUUGACUCCGUUAGUAGGGCGUAGAUGGGAAACAAGCAUAAAGCAGACAAAUUUGAAUAGUAAAAUUAGAAUAAAAAUGAUAAUCUUACAAAACCAAUCACAAAGAGGGUAUUUGUGCCCUGUAAAAGUGAUGCUGUAAAAUCAUAAUACAAUAUCUUUCGUGGGAACACAAUGCUGAAAACAAGCAUAGCAAAAUAAAACUUUCAGUCAUUGAAAUCAUCUCUUUUUAUUAAAAACAAACAACCGUAUAAAAGUACACAUGCUCCCAAAAUGAGUGGUAUGUCAAAAAUAAUCAUGUACGACCAUGUGUAUCAACUCAAAAUCAACUUAUAAAGCACUGAAAGCUUGCAAGUAAUAAAGGAGUUGCAGAAAAACAUUAACUCUCCACCAUGCAAAAGAGUACGAGUUCUAAAAACUCUCAAGGCUCUCGAGUAAGUAAUCAUUAUAACCAACACGUGGACCCACUUCCACGUAUAAUCACAAACCAUGGCCCCAACCAUGUCUAACAACCCAUCAGUGACCCAAAGGUUCUCUGGUUAUAGCUCACUUGUACACAAGGGUCACACUAUCCUGAUGUGACAUUCGACCAACUCUUUACACUCUGGAUUUGUCAAAACUGUUUUCAAAAGUAAAUCAAGUUUUUUGAGGAUUUUCCUUUAAAUCGUUUGAAAUCAAGGUUCAAUAACCCUUCAGCUUGCUUUUCACAUUAAAUGGCAUGGUGUAAACAUUAGUAUAAGAGUCAAACUACAACUGGUUCUCAAAAAUUUUAAUUUUAGACCAUUUAAUGAAUGCAUAUAACUAUGUAUGUCACACAAAAAUACGAGGCACGGAGUUUUGAUGUAAAAUAAUGCAGAAAGGCUUGUUUCCCGAUUUUUAAAACUCUUUACAUACGUAUAUAUAUAUUCUACACAAACAAUUUCCAAAUCACUUACAUCCACAAUUUCCUAUGGUUUCCACUAGCUCCUACUAUCCACAAUUGCAAUUAAGAAAACUGGAAACAUUUGUUAACAUAAAUCCAUAUAUAGUGUGGAGAUUUUGAAAUAGACACUCCUUACUCACCGUACAAUGGCGAGAUAUCACUUUGCCACUUAUCUGGUUAUGUUUCCUCCUUUAGUUAACUGCCACGAUAUUCUUUUCCACUUGCACACUUCCUAGCAAUAAGCGAAGCUUAAUAUACUUAGUGUUCAUCAUUCCCAUUUAUCUUUCUUCUUUAAGCAUCAAUCAUCAUUUUAAUAACUUACAUCUUGCUAGAAUCACCAUUCUUUCUCACUUAACCUUGCAUAUUCAUAUACAUCUUGACACAUUUUUACUAAAGGUAUUCUUAUCUUUUGCUUGCGUAAUUCUUUAUAUUAUAUGCACCGGAAACUUAUUAUUUUCAUACUAUUAUUCAUGCAUACGAUAACAACUGUAAAUCUAAUUUCACCAAGCAUUUUCUAAGCUUAUAUGCACCACUAUUUACAUUUACAUGCUGCCACCAUGCACCACAUCAAUGCUCAUUAAUGCGCACCAACAUUUUUAAUCUUUUAAGCCUUUUACAACAACACAUGUCCGCACAUUUCAUUUUUCCAAGCUUUCAACUAACAUAAUUGCUUUCUAACCGUACCCAAGGCAUCACAUAAACACUACACAUUGCAUGCCUUACCUUUGUUAUGGAUUUAACCUUGCAUGCAACCUCAUUGGUCUUCCAAGCUGCCAACAUUUUGCACAAUUAUUUCUUCACAAUAUUUAACUAACCGUAGGCCUUAAAUUAUAAUAUUAUGCUUACCAUUUCUUAUCCACUUUGAGUCCGUCAUGCACCCACGGGUUUGAUGGCUUGCAUGUCACCAAAUCUUCUCCAAUCAAGUCAAUUUUUGCUACCACAAGACAUUUCUCUUAGUCACUAACUCAUCUUCAAAGAUUACUCAAGCUAAAACCAAAAUCCUUACCUUAUCUUUCUUAUUUCUUGAAACCGAGCUCUACAACUUCAUCAACCCUCCGUGGCUUCUUUCUUGUGUAUUUAAGACUCCUUGGGUGAUGAAUUAGCACAAAUCUACAAGAUGAGGGAGGAAACCUCACAGUUCCUCUUGAUUUUGUGCAAAACCGAGCCUUCCCUUUCUUUCUCUCUUUUCUUUCUUUUUUUUCUUCUUCUCGGGUGGAACCUUUCAAGCUUCAUUUCCUUUCUUUUCUUCUCUAAAUGCCUGGCCCUCAAGUCUCACCAAAGCCCUCUUCACAUUUCUCCUUCACUCUUGCAACUUAAUAUUUAUAUUGUCGCCCAUUGGAACCAAUCACAUUUCAUGGACAAAUUUUCCUUUGUUUUCAUUUGGCCACCCUCACGAGCCAAUCAAAACACACAUGCAUUCUUAUUCUUCUUAUUUCAUUUUGCCACUUUGCCAUCCAAUGGUGCUUCAUGCACAAAUUUCCUCCCUUGCCCAUUGGCCCAAAAUCCAUCCUCAUUCUCUCUCCAUCUGCCACCUCACUCUCUCAUUCUUUUUUUCUUCAUUUCUUUAUUCCUGCACCACCUUAUUCCUCCAAUCACAUUUCAUGCACAAACUUUACAUUAUAUUUUAUUUGAUCAUUCAUUAAAUUAUUUAAGUCACAUGCACCACACAUCUUUCUUUCCUUAUUGGCCACCUAAUGAACCAAUCUCAUUACAUGCAGAUAGAUUUAGUCUUAUUCUUCCUUUUACUAUGUAUGGUGGGGUUCCCCGCAUGUUCCCCACUAACUUCCUCCUUUUUGCAUGCUACAGUUUGCAUGUAAUAGUGAAUUUACAUGCACCUCUCAUUAUCCCACAUAAUCUAACUUUCCUUAGUUAGUUAAUUUCCAUUUAGCUUCAAAUGUUGCAAUUGCACACAAGUCCUCAACUUUUCCUUAUUUACCAUUCGACCCUCCGUACUUUUCAUCCUUUACAAUUCGGUCCUUCAAUCCUUUCUUUUAAUUCCAAUUUCCUUUUAUCUUUCUUCCUUUGCACAAGUACAAAUAAAAUAUCAAAUUUGCACUCCACCAAUAUAUCACCAUAAUAUUUAAAUAUUUACUUACCCGCUCUUACUUCAUUAAAUAAAGGCACGUGGGCCUCGCUUAUGUCAUUUUUCCUCAAAAUUCAUUCUUACUUCUUCUCCCUCACUUAUAUUAACCAUAUACUCCUCCUUUCUGACUUAUUUCUACAACAAAUAAAAUAUUAAUAUUUUAAUAGUAUUUUAUUAAUAAAAUAAUAUUUUAUUCCAAAAUUUUUCACUUGUCUCCUCGAGUUUCAAAGUGCUUCACUUUACCUUGAUUCACUUCCAAAUCACCUUUUAACUUGCUAAUUCAUGCUCGAUAAAAUUAUUAUUAUUUAAUUAUUAUUUUCUUAGGUACAAAAUAUUUUAUUUGAAAAUAUUCCUUUCGCCCAUCACCACUCUUUCGCACUUAAAUUUACGUUAAUUGACCCUUCGUAUUGUCGAUAAGUUCACAUUGUCUUCUAUACGAGGGUACAGGGUGUUACAAGCAUGUAGCAAUAAUUGCAAUUUUAGCUUAGGAAACAAAUAGACUAUGGCAUUUUACACAUGUGGUGAUUUUGAAAAUAAUUUGUGUUGAAACAAAUUGGUUUGGUUUCUUUUACACACUUAUUAUAUUUUAAGCUCAAAUUCUUUUUAGAUUUUGGAAAUACUUAAACUCUUGUUAUUUUGGUUGGAUUUUAUCUUGGUUGGUUUUUUGGCAUUUCUAUAGUAACGGCACCUACGUUUUCAAAACCAAGUUCAAGUGGCACGUUCAAAGGAAUGAAGUUUGUCUCAGCUGAUGCUUCAACAAGAUAUUAUACUUCACUGGUUAACAAGGUGCCCAUCCCUAAAUGAGGUUUAAAAAUUCCUCUAAUCCAUUAUGAGGAGAUAUAUCAGAUGAUUGAAGAAUGACACUGGCAACGAUUUUAUGCCUAACCUGAAGCUACAGUUUUGCUAGUGGUAAGGAAGUUCUAUUCAAAUGUAUUUAAGCAUGUUGAUGAGGUUGUUUUUGUCUAUGGCAAAUAGGCACCAUUCCACAUUUAAGCCAUCAACGAAUUCUUUGGAACUCCAAAUCUUGAAAAUGAUGAAUAUGGGAAAUAUAUAAGGUAUCAUCAAGAUUGUGAUGCAAUCAUCUUGGAGCUUUGUGUUGCGAUAGCCUAAUGGAAUGUUGGGAUGAGCCCUGCAGCCAAUUGAGAUUGGUUAAGGCUUGAUUCCAAUCAUGCAACAACAUCAUUCAUGUUGAAUAAUUAAAGGUUUUCCUUCAUCAAUAAGACAUCAAUUAUAACAAGUUAUAAGUCUAAUUGGAUGAAGUCCAUGAGAUUAAUAUGCCUUGCAAGGGAACUGUAAUGGGUUGCAGUUAUGAGAUCCUUAUGCAUCAAAGCGUAAUCUCAAAAUGUUCCUGGUCAAUGUAUCAUUGAGAUUGGAUAUCAAUGAUACUUAGAGACUGGUACAUUCUAUGUUUCUUACUUGAGGAGUAAGCAAUCGAUCUCAUAGGUUGAAGUAUAGAGAUACUUGGAACUAGAAUUGAGGUGCUUGACUUGGAGAGCAAGUUUACUGAACAUGACCUACCAUGAGAAGUGCAUUUGGUAUUUCACUCAAGUGUCUAUGCAAUACUUCUCAUGUGUCAGUUGUGUAAAUACUCCCUAGACUUGAGACACCAGGUUAUCUUAUGUGUGGACCGCUAUGCUUUGAUUUCAUCCCUACGGGUGCCUAACCAAGGAUGCCGAAACAGGAUGCUUUUGGGUAUAGCAUGAAGCAUGUGAAGGCAAAUGAGUGGUCAAGAUAGGAAUCAUCACCCCAAGUGAUGCAGGGGACAUAUCCUAGUUGUUCUUGGUUGAUAUUAGCUUAUUGAAGUCCUUGGCCAAGGCGAAUUAAGGAUUUUGAAAUGAGUUUCAUAAGUCUUUAUAAAGCUGAUGAUCAAACUUUAAGAAUGAAUAUGGAGAUCAAUAAGAGUAGACACUACACCAUGCUUUUAUCAUUUCCGAGAUAUAUGACGAGGGAAUGAAUUACAUUAAAAGGCUGAUCACUGAAAGGUUGAGUCAAACCAUCUUGACUCUUCUAAUAUUUGGGUGGCCAUGAUGGAUUGCUAGAUCCCAAUCUUGGUCUAUGAACUCUAGGUAGUUAACUUGAUUAAUGAUAAAUUUAAAGUAGUUUAAAUUUAUUUAAUUCUAAGUUUAGCUUAAGAAUUAUAUGUUGAGUUCAUUGCCAAUAUGUUAGAAGUCUAAUGGGACACACACCUAAAAUGAAUGUUGAAAAUAAAAUGGGAGAGGUGAUUAAGUUGGACUUAAUCAAAUUAGAAGUUAUGAACUUCUCAAGCACUUGAUUAAAAUUGUUUAAUUAAGUUGUGUCUAAUCAACUAAAUUGUUUAAUUUAAUCAUUGGGCCUAAUUAAUUAAAUUCUUUAAUUAAGUUAUUGGGCCUAAUUAAUUAAAUUAAACAAUUAAGUUUUUGGGCCUAAUUGAUUGAAUUUGUUUAAUUAAGUCAUUAGGCCUAGUUGAUUAAAACUGUUUAAUUAAAUUGUUGGGCUUAAUUAAUUAAAUUGUUUAAUUAAGUUAUUGGGCCUAAUUGAUUAAAUUAGACAAUUAAGUUAAUUGGGCUUCUUAAGGACUUAAUUAAAUUAUUUAAUCAAAUUAUUGGAUUAAUUGGAAAUUACAAAAUAGUUUUAUAAUUAGGGUUUAAAAUUAAUCCAACGUAUAAAUACCUUGCUAUAGCCUGCAAACAAGAGUGUGGAAAACAGCUGAAAAAAAGAAAAGGUAGUGAACGGCACAUUAGAAAUUCUUUUGUCUUGCCAUUCAUUGUGUAAAGAAAAAUAGUUUUUCAUUCGCUUCAUUUUUUGUGUGUUCAGCUCCAUAGUUUUGUGUGGAUUUUGAGUUUAUGAAACUCAUCUUUGCUAUCACAUUGUCAAGGCUUAGCACUCCUAAUCCUUGCAAAAAGAUUUUCUUAUUCAUUGGUGUGGAUCACCAUUAGAAGCUGCACAAGGAUUCCUUGGGCAGCUUUGGUUUGCAACAACCGGGCUGAGGUGGUUGAGCUUUUUGAAGGCUGAUUUGGUGGUUUAACAAAAGAUUCAUCAAUCUUUGCUAUUUAGGUAAAGUGAUCUGAUCAUAUACUUUUAUUUUUUAAUUUAAUUCUGUACUCAAUAUAGCAUGAAAGAGAUCCUAUGAGGGUCAGGCGUAAAUUUAAUUUUUAAAUUUAUUUCUGUUGCGUUUUAUUUGCAUUUGAUGCAUGAUUAGCCCUCACCCAACAGUGGCAUCAGAGCCCCUUUCAUGCCAUUUGAGUGCUUGUUCAUGUUCAAUGGAUGCUUGAUUAACAAAUAUUUGUUUUGUAUUUUGAUUUGGUGCGAUUUUGCUAAAAUCGAUUUUUCAAAAAAAAUCUGCUUUGCCAAUUUCAUUUAAUUCUGUCCAGCAACCUUUGUACCCUCCUUUAAUCUUAACUUAUUUGAAUCAUAUAUAGACUUAACUAAUGUGUGUUUUACAUUGUGCUAAGGAAGCACAAGAAAAAGGGACACCAUAUGGCACGGUUUUGGAGGCUCUCUUGCAAGGCAGCAGACAUACUGUUUUAGGUGUAGAAUUUUGCUUCGAUUUGUGCUUAAUUUCCAGCAAAUAAAAUAUGUAAUCAUUACACAUUUAUUGCUGGAUACGUGGACAGCAAAUCAUGAAAUGUUCUUGAUUGAAUAGGCUGAUUUUAAGCAAGAAAUUGGAGCAAAAAGUGAAAGCAGUCCAGCUCACUGUUAUGACAUGAAUUUCAGUUUUAAUUAACAAGAAAGUCUUGGAAAUUAAUUCUGAAAAAUUCCAGGAAAAUUAUCUUUAUUAAAAUGUUCAAUAAAGAUUAUUUCUGGAAAAUAUCAUGUUCAAACAUGCUGAUUUCGAGCAAGAAAAUUGGUGCACAUAUAAUUCUAUCCAGCUCACUGUUUUGGCAUGAAUUUCAGUUUUAAUUGACAAUAAACUCUUGAAAAUUAAUUAUGAAAAAUUCCAGAAAAAUUAUCUUUAUUAAAAUGUUCAAUGAAGAUUAGUUCUGGAAAUUUUCAUGGCCAAACAAACUGAUUUAGGCUAUUAAUUAUUGAAAGUUUGAAAACAGUUUACAGAAUAAUUAUAGCUUGGAAAUCGGUUUUGAAUGGCAAGAUAAUCUUGCAAAAUUAAUUCUGAAAAUUUCAGAAUAUUAUCCUCAUUUGAAAGGUUCAAUUAAAGGAUAAAUUUUGGAAUUUGAAUUAAUUUUUGAGUGGCUGGACACUUAACUAAAUUAAAGGAAUGUCCUUUACAUGUGAAACGGGCACUCAUGACAAAGUUUGUGCAUGGUGCUGCCACACAUGGAUGCUUCACCUUCCAUUUCCAUGGAUGCAAUCGCUUUAUGGAAAGAGGUUGUUUCCUGGAGAAAUUGGACACUCAAUGAUCAGGAAGGAUUCUUUCCUUAGCUGAUCUUGCCUCCUAAAUGUUAGCAAUACAUGCCUAAAAUCAAGGAAUUUGAAUCCUUGGUGGAAUCAAUCAAUUUUAAAUUGAUUGAUAUUAAAUCUCCAAAAAUAUUAAGUCUUCCUCAUUUGAUGAGGACUCCCUAAAUUAAGGGAUUAUGAUUUAAAUUUAUCCACAUCUAAUUAGAUUAGAUAAUUUUAAUUAAAAUUGAAAGUCAACUUGAGUUGAUGACAUCCUAAUCCGAUUAGGAUAGAUUUUUAUUAAGAUAAAUUUACUAAUAAAUUAGUACUUCUAAUAAUGAUUAGAACUCUACAAUUAGUGAAUGGAUAAUACAAGAUUAAAAAGUGGAUAAGGACCUUCCUAAAAUAUUUAGGACACAUGAUUUGAAUCUUGAAACCUUUUAAAAUGUUUUAUGAUACAUACUCAAAUUAGGAAGUUUUCUAAAUUGGUUUAGAUUUCUAAUUAAAGAAGUUUAAUUGGAAAGAACUUACUAAUAGAAUUAAUUCAAAUAUGAUUUGAGCAAGUUAAAGGCCUUGAUAUGAUCAAUUCCUUUAUUAAGUAAUUUUAAAAAAAAUUACUAAAUCUUUUCAAACCUAAGCACCAAAUGAUUUGAACUAUGAUCCUCAAUUGUUGAGUGACAUUUUUCAAAUGAAAUGCAAGAUCAUCAUCAUAUUGAGCAUGUUUACUUUAUAUGUUCAUAACUAGAGUGGAAAAGUCCAUAACCAUCUUAGUAGAACAGCAUGUGAUAGAUUUAAUUUUAUGCGAUAUAUUAAAUGCUAUGCAUGCUAAUCAAAUGAGACCUUAAUAAAACGAAAAGGAUAAAAUCCCUCGGUAAAUACUGAGUCACAUGCCACAUAUGAUUAAGUUGCCUUCCACCAUAUAGCAAGAAAACCUAGCUACUCUUUUAAUCGGAGGCUUGUUGAGCACACUCAAGGCCACACUUUUACACGAGUAUGUUUGAGCUAUUGGUGGGUCUUACUUAACUAGUUUCAUAAAAUCUGAAUGCUUGGAAACUUGAUUAUUAUGGAAACUAGAGGCAAAGGCUAGGCGAAACAUAUACGAUAUGUUUGGGCAAUGUGUUGUCACCUAGCUGAUUUACGAGUUGUAUAGAGAUACAAUUUAUAAGCUCAGUAACCUACCUAAUCUACCUAUCAUGGUUUGUUGAGCACACUCAAGGCCAUGACUAUGUGGAUGGGAUCGUAGCCCACUAAGAGAAUCCUAGUAGAGAACUCUUGAGGUGAUAUGAAGGGUUAUCAUCUUGUAGAAAAUAGUGGGAGAACUAUUUAAAAUUUUAAAACCUUGUUUUAAAUAGUUUAUGCAUGAUGUUUACUUAUUGCUUUAAUUUAUCUAUUUAGGCAUAAUUUAUAUACAUGGCUAAUAAUCUGUCACUGCGUAGCAUCUUGGAUGCAAACAAACUCACUGGCCGAAACUUCCCCGAUUGGUUUCGGAACCUCAAGAUCGUCUUGAAACAGGAGAAGAAAUCCUAUGUCCUUGACACUCCUAUUCCACCAGUCCCUGCUACUGAUGCUAGUGCUGAGGAUAAGGAAGCAUAUCAACGUCAUAAGGAUGACGGUGAUCAGGCAGCAUGUGUGAUGCUAGCCAGUAUGACCCCUGAGCUCCAAAAGCAACAUGAACAUAUGAAUGUCCAAUCCAUGAGUCUUCACCUUAGAGAACUGUUCGAUAAGGAGGGGCGCACUGAGGGAUAUGAGAUCUCUAAAGAACUAUUCCGAUGCAAGAUGGCAGAAGGCAGUUCUAUUAGACCCCAUGUGCUGAAGAUGAUUGGACUCAUCGAAAGACUUGGACAAUUGGGAUUAGCAAUGGAUCAUGAGCUAAGUAUAUACUUAGUUCUACAAUCUUUUCUUGAUAGCUUUAGUCAGUUCGUGUUAAACUUCCAUAUCAAUUGAUUGGAAGCCACUCUUCCCGAACUUUUGAAUUGCUAGACACAACAGAGAGGUCCAUCAGGAAAGAUAAGGAAUCAUUGCUUCUUGUUUCUUCUUCCAAGGCUUAUACGAAGCAACAGAAGAAGAAAGCCCAAAAAGGGAAGAAGGUAAAAUCCCAAAAUGAGGAGGCCUUGAAGCCUAAGGGAAAUGUGAAAAAAGUCAAAGAAAAGGAUAUUUGCCAUCAUUGUGGCAAACUUGGACAUUGGAGGAGGAACUGCAAGGAGUACCUAGCUACUGUGAGCAAAAAAAAGAAGCUUAUUGAAGUUUCUGAUUCAGGUACCAUUUGCUAAAUAAUUCUACAUUGUCUAUUAAAGGUAUAUGAUACCUCAAAGUUGGUUGUCAUAUGUUUGACAUAUUGUAGGGACCAAAGAUAAAGAUAAGUAGGAUCUUGGCUAAGGAGGUGACCACAUGGAUGGACCUAAAGCAUUAGAUGCCACAUUGGAUGGUUACAUUCCUAUUUAUAUUGACAUGUUGGAUAAUUUAUUUAGAUGUUUUUGAAACAUUAAUUAUUUGAUUGCCAUGGGAAUGGCUGGUGAAACAUUUGUCUUUAGCAUUUGGAUGUGGAAGCUUAUAUGUUUCCAGUUUGAAUAAUUAUUUGGAAUAAUUAUGUCAUAUUUAAUUAUCCUAGCUUCAUGUUUAUCCUUGCAAUGAUAUUUGAUCAAUUAUGAAAUAUGUUCAAUUGAUCAAACGAUUGAAUUUUGAUUCAUAUAAAAUGGAACUUUCUUAAGAGCAAAACAUAUAGAUGAAUGUUCAAGAAAGAAAGCAACUUCAUAUUACAAUAUGAUUUGGUCCAUAUCUCUCCAACGUAAAAGCCCAUUAUGAUAUUCCAAACCAAUAUGAUUACAAGCAUACAUUGAGAUGUAUAUACAUCAUGGGAUGUUUAAAAGAGUUUGAAUAUUAUUCUCAUAAAAGAUCUUGGAUUUAGUGGGAGCCCAAUGACAAUAAAAAGUUUAAAGGGGCCAAAUGGCAUAACAUAGAGUGACGCAUGCAUAUGAUGCAUACAACAUAGUCUAGUUGGAAUGGUCCCAAGAAGCAAAAGGGAUUAUACGUGUAUAUAAAUAAAGUCAUAUAAAUCCUAUUAUAAAGGGCUCAAAUAGGAAGAUAUUUAGAUCGCUAGUUCAUGGAACUAAUAAAGGGUUCUGAACAUUAUUAAUGUAACAAUGGAGCCAUAAUAGUAGAACCUGGGUCUCAUUGGAUCUAGAUAUAGUAAUAUGACAUGAUGUGAUAUGUGGACAUCAUGAAGAUAAAUAAAAGCAAUUAACCACAUUGAAGGGCACAAGCGAGUCUAUAUGGAGACACGAUUGAUAGAUGGAUUUGAAUCCAUAUACGAUGAGGUAGCAAUUGGCUUUGUGCUAGUGGGAGAUGUUAGGAUGAGCCCUGCAGCCAAUUGGGAUUGGUUAAAGCUUGAUUCCAAUCAUGCAAUAACAUCAUUCAUGUUGAAUGAUUAAAGGUUUUCCUUCAUCAAUAAGACAUCAAUUAUAACAAGUUAUAAGUCUAAUUGGAUAAAGUCCAUGAGUUUAAUAUGCCUUGCAAGAGAAUUGUAAUGGGUUGCAGUUAUGAGAUCCUCAUGCAUCAAAGCGUAAUCUCAAAAUGUUCUUGGUCAAUGUAUCAUUGAGACUGGACACCAAUGAUACUUAGAGACUGGUACAUUCUAUGUUCCUUACUUGAGAAGUAAGCAACCAAUCUCAGAGCUCAAAGUAUAUAGAUACUUGGAACUAGAAUGUAGGUGCUUGCCUAGGAGAGCAAGUUCACUGAACAUGACCCGCCAUGAGAAGUGCAUUUGGUAUUUCACUCAAGUGUUUAUGCAAUACUUCUCAUGUGUCAGUUGUGUUCCCUAGACUUGAAACACUAGGUUUGUGAAACCUCGACCUUCAUAGACGCGUAACUCAAGGUGGAACUUAUGUUUAAAGGUUUAAUUUGAGCUAAUGAUGCUAGUUUUACAUUACUUAUAAUUAUUUUACGUCGUUAUAGGAGUAGGAUUCAAAAAUAUAGGAGUAGGAUUCAAAAAUAAUUUCAAUUGGUGAAGAAAGGUGUAUAAUGGGCUGUGGCUUUAUUUGCAUAUAUUUUGGUUUUUCAAGAAUAUCUCCCACUACAGAAGUCCAAAUGACAUGAUUUUUAAGCCAUUAGAAAGCCAAGAGGUAGGGCUACAACUUUGAUGUUCACCAAUUUGCCCAGUUUUGACAAGAAAAUGGUCAAACUCUUUGUUGAAAUGGAAGUACUGGGAUAGGAGAACAGAUUCAAACAGAACAUUUGAGCGCCGCAGUGCUGGAAAUUGAGAACCGCGACCCUCACCGUAAUUUCCACAAAUAACAAGUUUAGGGGAUUUUUUAAGCUAAGACUUUUGGGGGCUACUUAAGGGUCCCUUUUCAAAGGAUUUUGGACUUUUUCCAAUGUCAAAAGAGUAAAAGAUUGUACAAGAAAAGGAGGAAGACAAGUGGCCUUGUUAAGGGCAUUAUUAUAAUUGCAUGAAGAUUUAGAUAAGCUUUAACUAUAAAAAUCUCAUUCUUCUAGCAGCUUCUUCACUUCUCCAGCAACUUUUUCUUCUCCUUCCUCCCAUCUCACGUUUCUCUCCUCUUCCAUGAAAGCUUCUCUCAAGCUUCCAUCACUCUCCCAAACUAACCUCAAUUUUUGUGCUUUACACACCCUGUUGUAGGGUUUUUCAUACUCUUUUACUCUCUCACCUUAAACAAACACUUAAAAGUCUUUCUUUAAUACUUUCUCUCACCAGCUGAACUUUGUAAAGAGAGAAAGAGAGGUUUCAUGAUAGCUUGAGAACUCUUGGGAAAAAAUUUCAUUACAAUCUACCAAGGUGAGUGAUGAAUUAGGACUGGUUUUAAGUUGUUGAUAAAGGCUAAUAAUUAAAGUUAUGAAUUGUGUAUUGCUAAAGUUGUUUAGCUAUUUCUAGUGUUACUAAAGUAGAUAAUUGAAUAGCCAAUCAAAUGGUAAUGGAAGAUAGAUAGGAAGGGCUAGUGAAGCUUGAUUUGGGAAAAUAGCAUUUGGAGUGAUAUUAAUGUAAAUUGGAUUGGCUAUGAUGUUUUGUGCAUGAUAGGUUCCAACGAGGCCCUCAACCCCAUUUGAACCAUUAGUCGAAGUUAAAGCCCACCGAAACAUCAAUAAAGUUUGGUGAGUGAACUUGCAUUUCAAAAUGUUUUGGGGAAAUGUUUACGUGUUUCAAUGAAUCAUUUGGGAAUUUUAUCGAUUUUUGCUUUAAAAUUGCCUAGGAACAAGCCCUUGAUAAAAUGUUUGAUGUUGUGAAAUGUGAAAUGUGUAAAAGGAUGAAUCCAUAUGUUUUUGUAUGAUGGUGAUAUAUAUAUUUAUACUAUGUCAGAAAUGAUACCAUUGCGUGACAAAUGCAACCGUGCAUGUGCGGGGUGAGUGUACACUUGCUAGUGAUGACGGUAGUGAGGGAGAUGGAUGGUGAUACUGUCCGGCUAUGUGCACGUUGUGGUGGGAUGCACAAGAGUUGGGUGAAAUGGAAUGAUUGCUGGAAAUUUCCUCUCUUUCAAAUUUCAUGCUAAAUAUGGUUCCUUCAUCAUUAAAUGAUUUAAUAACCAAGGGUUUAAUGGAGGGAUUUUAAUAAGAACUUGAACUAAGUUGCAUUAAUUUCAAAUAAGUGCAUCAUGAUUAUCAACUUUCCUUAUUGUUGCUUGUUCCCUUCUUAUGUUCACUCACCGUUUUCAACUUCAUGUUUUCAGAUUAAGAGGCAGUUGGAACCUAGGCUGAGGUGUCCAUGUAGUUUCAUCUAUUUGGUAGGUAUGUUGGCAUUCAGUAGUCAUCCCCUCACCUUGGUCAUUCCGUUGGAAGCCCAGAGUCAUUUUGUUUGUAAAUACCUACAUGUGAUGUAAAAAACUAAAAUGAAAGCCUUAAAGCAUAUAUGAAUAUUCUGAUUGGUAAGCCACCAUGAGUGGCAAUGGAUAACAUUAUUUAGGUUAAUGUGAAAUGCAGUUUUGAUUGCUAUAGCAUAUUAAUUAGGUUCUUAUAGAUUGAAAGUAUGAAAGGUGACUUUAAGAAUAGUUGAUGGAACGAUGAGCAGGAUUAUAUAAGUAGGCUUGCUUGGCCUUGGUGGGCUAUGCCCAUUGGGUCCAUGCGUCAGUCAAGGCUCGAAAAUCGGGUCGUGACAAGGGUUUCUUAUGUGUGGAGUGCUAUGCUUUGAUUUAAUCCCUACGGGUGCCUAACCAAGGAUGCCGAAACAGAAUGCUUUUGGGUAUAGCAUGAAGCAAGUGAAGGCAAAUGAGUGGUCAAGAUAAGAAUCAUCACCCUAAGUGAUGCAGGGGACAUAUCCUAGUUGUUCUUGGUUGAUAUUAGCUUACUGAAGUCCUUGACCAAGGUGAAUUGUAGAUUAUGAAAGGAGUUUCAUAAGUCUUUAUAAAGCUGAUGAUCAAACUUUAAGAAUGAAUAUGAAGAUCAAUAAAAGUAGACAUUGCACCAUGCUUUUAUCAUCUUCGAGAUAUAUGAUGAAGGAAUGAAUUACAUUGAAAGGCUGAUCACUGAAAGAUUUAGUCAAACCAUCUUGACUCUUCUAACAUUUGAGUGGCCAUGAUGGAUUGCUAGAUCCCAAUCUUGGUCUAUGAACUCUAGGUAGUUAACUUGAUUAAUGAUAAAUUUAAAGUAGUUUAAAUUUAUCCAAUUCUAAGUUUAGCUUAAGAAUUAUAUGUUGAGUUCAUUGCCAAUAUGUUAGAAGCCUAAUGGGUCACGCACCUAAAAUGAAUGUUGAAAAUAAAAUGGGAGAGGUGAUUAAGUUGGAGUUAAUCAAAUUAGAAGUUAUGAGCUUCUCAAGCAGUUGAUUAAAAUUGUUUAAUUAAGUUGUACUUAAUUAACUAAAUUGUUUAAUUCAGUCAUUGGGCCUAAUUAAUUAAAUUAUUUAAUUAAGUCAAUGGGCCUAAUUAAUUAAAUUAAACAAUUAAGUUAUUGGGCCUAAUUGAUUGAAUUUGUUUAAUUAAGUCAUUAGGCCUAGCUGAUUAAAAUUGUUUAAUUAAAUUAUUGGGCUUAAUUAAUUAUAUUGUUUAAUUAAGUUAUUGGGCCUAAUUGAUUAAAUUAAACAAUUAAGUUAAUUGGGCUUCUUAAGAACUUAAUUAAAUUAUUUAAUCAAAUUAUUGGAUUAAUUGGUAAUUACAAAAUAGUUUUGUAAUUAGGGUUUAAAAUUAAUCCAAGGUAUAAAUACCUUGCCAUAGCCUCCAAACAAGAGCGUGGAAAACGGCUGAAAAAAAAAAGGUAGUGAACGACACAUUAGAAAUUCUUUUGUCUUACUGUUCAUUGUGUGAAGAAAAAUAGUUUUUCAUUCACUUUAUUUUUUGUGUGUUCAACCCCACAAUUUUGUUUGGAUUUUGAGUUUAUGAAACUCAUAUUUGCUAGCACAUUGUCAAGGCUUAGCACUCCUAAUCUUUAUAGAAGGAGUUUCUUAUUCAUUGGUGUGGAUCACCAUUAGAGGUUGCACAAGGAUUCCUUAAACAGCUUUGGUUUGCAACAAUCGGACUGAGGUGGUUGAGCUUUUUGAAGGCUGAUUUGGUGGUUUAACAAAGGAUUCACCAACCUUUGUUAUUUAGGUAAAGUGAUUUGAUCAUAUACUUAUAUUUUUUAAUUUAAUUAUGUACUCAAUUUAGCAUAAAAAAGAUUCUAAGAGGGUGAGGAGUAAAUUUAAUUUUUAAAUUUAUUUUCGUUGCGUUUUAUUUGCAUUUGAUGCAUGAUCAGCCCUCACCCAACAAUGAAAACGUCUCAUGGAGAGCCUGUUUCGUUAAAACAAAGUGCAAUGAAGAAGUUGCUAAAAGUGCAGUUACAUUUUAUGGCAACGAGAUUGCUCUCAUGUACCCACAUCAGCAAUGUUACAAAGGAUUGCGUAAUUCAUGAUAAUUCUAUUUUAUAGAAUUAUUUAGUCCCAUUUUGUUAUUAAAUGUUAGCUAAGUCCUUAAUUUUCAAUUAGAAUUUAGUUAAUUUUUGUUGUUUUUAUAAUUAGUUUCUUUUUAUUUAGUUAUUUUUAUUUUAUGUUUUUUUACUUUAAUUUGGCUAUUAUUUAUUAGUUAUUAUGCUUUUGUAGGAUUUAAGGGCAUAUGGUUUAAUUUUGGAAAGAAAGGUGUUUGAAGGAUCUAGAAUUCUACUUGUACAUGCUUUAGUUUGUUGACAAUAACUCGCACUCUAGAUGUCCAAAUGAUGCAUUGCUUGAGCCAUUAGUAAGCUAAGAGACAGAGCUACAAUUUUUAUGAGACUUUUUAAAAUUGCUUAUUACCGAAUUGUCGUUUUGCUUUAAUUUUUAAUUAGAUUUAAUUAGAUUAGUUUUAGUUGAGUACUUUUCAGUUUAAUUAGAAUUUAGAUUUUAAUUGUUUGAAUAAAACUAAAUUAUUCUAAUUUUAGUACUUAGUAAUAUUAUAGAUCAAUUCUCUGUGGGAUCGAUACUCUGCUUAACAAUAUAUUAUCUUUUGAUACGUAUACUUACAUAGGUAGAAUUUUAACUAACAAUUCUUAUCUACGGUAUUCUGACUCAUAAAUCCAUAUACAUCAGGAAGGUUAUUUCUCAUGUUAUACUUCAAACAGGCUAAAUCAAACGAGAUGGUAUAGGAUUUCCUCCUUUGCUAAUUGCUUUGUGUGGAAAAGCUGGUGUAUGAUGGAAUGAUAAUGAUUAGUUGCAAUAACCUAAAAUUCCAAUCACCAUUGCAAUUCUAAGGCAAUUGGAAGAAUCCACAGUAGUGGUUGGUAGUUCUUCUUAGGCUGCUAUGUAACCUUUACAAUGAGCUCCAACUUGUAAUGUAACUCAAUGGAUGGAACGGAUUGAUCGUCGUAUGGACCACCAAGAAAGGUAGAAGUGGGCACUUGAGCAACUGAUGAGUGCCUAUGCAAAGUGUCAUGAGCUAACCUUGAAUCGGACUAUGAUAAGGGUAAAGUUGUUUGAGAGACUAAGUCCUUUGUACUUGUAAGGGAAAUGUCCCUUUUUCGAACAUUGUAAUGGCUCAUGAUGACAUCUUUAAAAAUACAUGUUAAGUCAUUAAGGGCAAAAACCCUUUAAGAAAGGACUAUCGUUAUUUCAAGCGUUGUAAUAUCUAUUGAUAGAAUAUGUGUAAAAUCUUGUAAACUCUUUAUAGGGGGUGAGUAGUAGACGGAUUGUUGGGCUGCCUCACUAGUAAAGGUAUGUUUGUAGUGAAUUAUCUAGGGCUACCCCUAUGGCCCAACGAUGGUGUGUCUUGGUCCUUUUGUAAUUAUUUUCAUAUUAACAAAAUAGUUUUCCUUUUUAUGGCUCAGUGGUUACAUAUACGGCAUUUUGUAUGCCCUCUUAUUUUGAUGCAGAUUCUCUAAGUCUAAUUUGUUGCUAUUAUUGAUGUUUCAUCGAUGUAACUAAGUAUCGACUAACUUGCGUGGUAGCAUCCAUUCAAGUGCCACAGGGACUAUCGCAUACUUCGGCGAAGGAGCGUAAUUUGUGACAGUUGGUAUCAGAGCAUGAGCAAGACAUGCUGAUCUAAAGAGUAAAAAUGGUGACCACGCGAAGUGCACCAGAGGUGCAUUAGAGGAUUGAUAAGCUAGAGGCUACGAUGGCUGCAGUAAAAGCUCAGAUGGUUCCACGCAAGCAAAUAGAUGAAAUUAAGACAGUCCAGUAAAAAGUGUCCAAGAUGAUUAAUACCUUGAGUAAUGAGACCAAGGAUGCAUUGAGCACUCUCUAAGGCAAGAUUGGAGAAUUGAAAGCUCAGAUAAAUCUUUCAGUUAUUACUACAGGUAAUGCUUGUGGAAGUUUAGGAGAUCGAGGUAAAAGGGCCAAAGUGCCAAAACCUAAGCGAUACGAAGUGGAAAAAGCUGCUAAAGAGUUGGAUAACUUUCUUUUUGAUAUGGAGCAAUAUUUUUGAGCUGUGCACAUGGCGUCAGAGGAGGAAAAAUUGGCGAUGGCUUCAAUGUAUCUUGCUAGGGACAUGAAGUUAUGGUGGCGUUCCAAAUUCAUUGAUGGUGAGCGCCACAUCAACACUUGGGAGGACCUAAAGUAGGAAUUGAAAAACCAGUUUUUCCCUGAGAAUGUUGAGUGUAAGGCACGACGAAAGUUGCGAGAGUUCAUGAAGAACUUCUUCACUUUAAUGUUAGAUAUCAAGGAUAUGAUUGAAAAAGAUAGAUUGUUUUAUUUCCUCAAGGGUCUGAAACCAUGGGCGCAGACGGAGUUACAGCGAUAGAAAGUACAAUAUUUGACUUUUGUGAUGACGACUAUUGAGCACCUUACUGAUUAUAGUGAAAACUCCAAUAAAAUAAAGGACCCUUCAUCCAGGACUAGUAGCUCGAGCUUAAACAAUGUGGUAAAAUUUUCGAGAGCAAGAAGAUUCUUAAGUAUGGGAGGUAAUAGAAAACCACAUGCUAGAGACUCAUCCCAACCAAGAACAAACAAGCUAUGGAACUUCAAGCCACGACCUUCGGUAUCUUGUUUUUUAUAAAAUGAACCUCGUCGAGUAGCUGACUAUCCUCACCGAGCAGCUCUCAGUACGAUAUGCACUACCGAUGUUGAGACAACCCCACCCUACACCACAAUCGAAGAAACUGAGAAACAGCCAACAUGAGUGGGAUUUAUUCAUUUCCUCAGCACCUUACAAGCACAACUAGUAAAGAUGGAGAAGAUGCCUCAAAAAGGUUUAAUAUAUGUAGAGGUGUUGUUGAAUGAGAAAAGUACCAGGCUUUGCUCGACAUGGGGGCCUCAAACACCUUCAUCACCUCUAAAGAGGUAAAGAGAUGCAAUCUUAAAGUUAAGAAGGACUUUGGAUAGAUGAAAGUAGUCAACUUGCCAGCUUCGGCUAUCAUGGGAAAUGCCAAAAACGUAAAGAUUAAGAUUCGUUAUUGGGAAAAGAAGAUAAACUUGACUGUAGACACUAUAGAUUACUUUCAUUUUGUCUCGGGCUUGGAUUUUAUGACAAUAGCACAAGCCAUCCUUUUCCUUGCUACAAGUUGUUGAACUUCUUUUGGAGAACGACCAUGUGUGGUACCAACUACAAUUUUACCUAAAAGUGAGAAGAAGAUGAUAUCAGCUAUACAGUUUAAGAAAGGGAUCAAGAAAGGUAAGCUCUUUUACGUGGCUUGCCUAUCUACAAAGGUGAAGAUGACACAAAUGCAAUACCCAAAUAAGUGAAAUGGGUUUUGGAAGAAUUUCAAGAUAUGAUGUUAAAACAACUACCAAGGGUCCUACCUUCUCGAUGAGUUAUCGAUCAAGGGAUAGAAUUACUUCCAAGAGUCAAGUUGUCGAUAGAAAGGCCAUAUAGGAUGGCUCCUUAAGAGUUAGCGGAGCUAAGGAAACAAUUAAACUAGCUAAUUGAAGCCAAAUUUAUUUGACCAUCUAAAGCACAUUUUAGAGCCCCAGUACUUUUUCAGAAAAAGGAAGAUGGGAGUUUAUAAUUGCGCAUGCAUUACUCAGCUUUGAAUAAAGUCACAAUUAAGAAUAAAUAUCCUAUGUGCAAAGCACUUCUCCAAAGUAGAUUUGAAAUUAGGAUACCAUCAAGUAAGAGUAGCAGAGGGAGAUGAGCCGAAACCAUCUGCAUAAUGUGGUAUGGCGCAUUUGAAUUUCUUGUUAUGCCUUUUGGACUAACCAAUGCUCUGCUACCUUUUGCACACUAAUGAAUCAGGUGUUCCAUGAUUAUCUAGACAAGUUUGUGGUAAUCUACUUAGACGAUAUUAUGGUGUACAACUCGACCUUAUAGUAGCAUCAACGACACUUAUGGCAAGUCUUCCAAAGGCUAUACGACAACCAAUUAUAUGUAAAAAAGAAGAAAUGUGCAUUCGCAUAAACCUGAAUCUAGUUCCUUCACCACAUAAUUGUACAAGGGCACAUUUGGAUGGACAUGUAGAAGGUAAAAGCUAUCAAAGAAUGGGCCACCCCUAAGAAUACAACUAAGCUUUGCUCUUUCUUAGGGCUAACCAAUUAUUAUUGAAGAUUUGUCAAAGAAUAUUUAAAAAGGAUAGUAACACUGACAGAAUUGUUGAAAAAAGGACAAAAGUGAAGUUGGAUGCUGUAGUGUCAAGAAGCCUCUGAAGGUUUGAAAGACAUGAUGAUGACGGUCCUAUUUUAUUACUCCCCGAUAUUACAAAGCCUUUCGAGGUAUAGACAGAUGCAUCAAACUUUAUCCUUGAAGGAGUGUUGCUACAAGAAGGACACCCGAUUACAUUCAAAAUUCGAAAGUUGAAUGAAGUUGAGAAGAGAUACAUGGCACAGGAGAAAGAACUACUUGCAGUGAUUCACUGUUUACGAGCCUAGCGACACUACUUGCUAGGAUCACAAUUUGUGGUUAAGACUGACAAUACAAUCGUAAGUCACUUCUUCAUAUAACUAAAACUUACAGCUAAGCAGGGGAGAUGGCAAGAGUUCCUAGCCGAGUAUGAUUUUUCCUUCAAACAUAAAGUUAGAAAAGUGAACUGUGUGGUAAACGCCCUCGAUAAGAAGGUCGAAUUUGCAACUCUAAGGGUGAUCACACCUAUGACAGCUAGUAGAGUAACGACAAAUAUCCAUAAUUUGAUUGAGAAAAUUUUGCAUUGAGAUCCCCCAAGUAAUGGCCAUUAGAAAGUUGGUGGAGAGUGGAAGGUCAAAAUACUUUUGGGUGGAAAAUGGACUCCUAUUAACGAAGGGACCACGCAUAUUUGUUCCAAGAGCAGGAAAGCUUAGGUAAAAAUUAAUGCGGGAAUGUCACGACACUCCUUGAGCAAGGCAUCCAUGUUGGUAAUCGAUCAUUGUACUACUAAAACAGGGUUGCUAUUGGCCUCAUAUGUGACAGGAUGUAAUGGAUUAUAUGAAGAUGUGUCUCAUUUGCCAAUAGGACAAAGUAGAUAGACAGAAACCGAUAAGGAUGCUCAAACCUCUACUAGUGCUAACCAAACCAUGAGAAAGCAUUUUUUUUAGACUUUAUUGUAGGACUUCCUAAAGUGGGAGAUAUGACAACGAUCUUGGCAAUGGUGGAUCAAUUUUCUACGUACUGAUGUUCAUUCUAGUGCAGAAGUUUGGCUUCACAGAAGAAAUGGCUUGCAUGGUUUUUAAACAUGUGGUAAAAUAUUAGGGUGUUCCUAAGAGCAUUAUCAACAACAGAGAGUCAAGGUUUACAGGCUUUUUCUGGAAAGAGUCGUUCAAGCUAUUGGGGUUAGAACUCAACAUAUCUUUUAAUUAUCACCCACAAACAGACGGUCAGACAAAAUGCUUCAAUAGGUCAUUGGAAGCAUAUCUGUGACACUUUGUAGAGGCGAACCAGAAGAAUUGGCCCACCCUACUAGAUGUGGCUCAACUAUGUUUCAACUCAUAUAAUAGCUCAACCACCAAUCGAGCCCCUUUCGAGGUCAUCAUUAGACAACAACCUCAGCUUUCUCAUACUUCAAUGGGAUCAUAUAACAAGAAGAGUACACGAAAAUUCAACAUUGCUAAAGAGUGGAGAUAAAACACUGAAAUCGUCAGAGCUUAUUUAGAGAAAGCCUCCAACAGCAUGAAGAAAUGGGUAGAUAAAAGUUGAAGGGAGCAACACUUUAAGGUGGGAAACCUGGUGCUAGUGAAAUUGGUACUUGAAUAACUUCGAUUCCUAAGGAAAAAAGAUCGAAGACAAAUACGAAAGUAUGAAGGUCCAAUAUCGAUUGUAGCCAAGGUGGGGAAGACUUCUUAUAGGAUUGAUCCACCCAAGUGGAUAAAGGUACGCCUCAUGUUUUACGUUAGCAAUUUAAAGCUAUUCCAUGCAAAUCCAAUAAAUGCAAGUAAGUGUCAAGCCACAAGAGCUAUCACUAGCAUUAAGCCACCGUCACAGUGCUUAAUGGGGGAGAUUUUGGCAAGGAGGAUGACGACAAUCAACCAACGAUCAACACAAGAGUACCUAGUGAAAUGGGAAGGUUUGGGGCCAAAGGAGAUCACUUGGGAGAAAUAAGUCAACUUUCGUGCCUUCUAAUAGAAGAUUAAAGAAUUUCAAGCCUACCAUUCAACGAGGACAUCAACAGAUGGAGUGUGGGAGGAUGUCAUAAGCCAACCGUGUAUAAGACUAUGAUAGAGUAGAGUUAUCUAUGAGAUUUAGUCUUCUGUACUUGUGGGGAAAAUUUCCCUCUUUCAAACAUUGUAAUGGCUCGUAAUGACAUCUCUAAAAAUACUUGUUAUAUCUUUAGGGGGAAAGACCUUUUAGGAAAUGAAUGUCUUCAUUUCAAGUGUUAUAAUGUCUAUUGGUAGAAUACAUGUAAAAUCUCAUAACUCUUUAUGAGGGUGAGCAAUCGAUGGAUCAUUGGGUUACCUCACUAGUAAAGGUUUGUUUAUAACGAAUCAUCUAAGGUUGCCCCAUGGCCCAACUAUCACGACCCGGAACCUCCCUCGGAUCCAUGACAACAGCCAUGACAUCCCGAUUGAUACUCAUUACCCGAAAUACCAAUCGGAACCCCGUAAGGCUUACAUAUCAGUUUUAAACAAUUUCUAGUCGUUUUCGGCUCAGGUAAAUCAAAAGACAAAAAUCUAGCAUUUUUAUAUAAAACAAUAUUUAUAGAAACACGUCUAAGUAAAAUAAAUUCAUACAUACAAUAAUUUACAAAGUUAUAAUACACAAUAAUAAUUACAAUGACAAGUGGCCCCUAAAUACACCAAGUGUUGGUGAUAGUAACCUACUGUCUGUGAGAUAGAGGGGUCAACAGGAAUCCUCGACAAAAUCAGUAUCUGCCAACUACCACAGGCUUGAAAUAUUUGGAAAGGAGGUAGGUGAGAUUUCGCAAUCCCAAUGAGUAAACAGACAUUAUCAUAAAUAUCUAAAGGUGAGUAACAUGGAGGCAAGUUUAAACAACAAAUCACAAACCAUUUCAUAAGGUUUUCAAUUUAUUUCUUAUACCAUAAAAUAUUUGUAAUUUACCAAAACAGUUGUUAAGGCUUAUAGCUUUUAUUAAAAACAGGGCUCAAGCCAAAAACUAGUCCUCAGGGAUACCUUGGUCGAGGCAUCUAACCGAGUCUGCCAAGGUUGUCAAGAUAUUUACAUGUUAAACACAUGUUAGUUUUGAAAACAAGUCGUUCCUUGGCAUUGGCCAAGUUACACAUUCACGUGGGGGUUCGACGCGAAGUGAACUCUAACACGACCCCAGAGUUACCCUCAUCGCCUCUACUACCAGAGUAACUAUAUAACCGGGUUUAUCGUGCCCUUCUAAUAGGCAGUCCACGGAAACCCGUCACUGUAGUGACUAAACCCACCAAUUUUAAUAAAAUUUCGACAAGAUAACAUGGCUUUUAGUUAUUUACCCAACCUGCAUAGUAAAAGACAGCUUACAUAAAUUCCCAAUGCAAUUAUAAAAUAUAGCCACAUAUACUCAUAUAUCAUAAGUCAUUCAUAGGAAAAUAUAUUUUUCAAAACAAUUGGCAGCCUCCAAUUACUUAAUUUCAUAAUGAACACAAUAUAUUUUUAUUUGUCACAUUUAUUUCUAAAACAUCAAAAAUCCCAUUUUAAUCUCAUUUUUGUUUCAUAAAAUCCAUGAAGAGCAUUUAAAAAUAAACUCUAGAUAAUUUACAAUAAUAAUAGGUUUACUCACCGUUUGUACAAACUAAUUGCUUUUUAGGUGCCUCGAUCACUGUUCGUCGGGUACGACUUCCUUGCCUUUACCGAAAGGCUUUCCUCCUAAACACAUUGCAAAAUUUACCAAAUUCUCCACAUUGAUGCUAAAUCACUAUAUAAUUGACUUAAGUCCUAUACUAAUGCAUGGUAUGAAAUGCAAUAGCCUAAAACAGCUUCAACGCGGUAUUAACCUAUUUUUGGCACUUUACCCGUUAAAUUGCUAACGCGCUCCAUUUUAGCUCUAAAUUAUCCCAUUUUCUCUCCAACAUUUCUAACCAUUAAAUAUCAGCCAAUAACCUUCUAAAAUCACCAAAAUCAGCUCACUUUCCUCCUUGAAAAAUUGGGUCAAAAAUGGGACAUUUACUCGGUUAAUUUUCCACUUUGUUUUUCUAUCGCAUUUAACCAUUUUUCAUCAUUUUCUCUUCAUUUCUCUUAGAAUAAAAAUCAGUUCAUCAUCAUUGUACAUCAAUGCAUAUUCACCCAAGGGUGGGUACUGUGAGAAUUUCCUGCUUUCUUGCCCAAUUUGAUUUUUAUACACAUUUAACUAACUAAAACUACUAAUUUAACUAAGAAUCAAAACCUAAAAAUUUCAAAAUCUCUCCCCUUGAAAUUCGGCCAGCCCUUGGUUUCAUAUUUUGAUCUCUCUCCUCAAGCAUGCUAAAUGGAAAUAAAGGCAUAGGAAAGGUAGAAAUCAAGCCAAAGUCAAAAAAUCUUACUGUUAGAUGCAUAAACGGACAAAAAACGCGAUUUUCCCUUUGAAUUUUCUAGUUUUCCUUUGGUUUUUCACUUUUUUUCCUUUCCUCUCUAUUUUCUCUCUUGUUCUCUCCUUAUAGCCUGCCAUCACUUAAUAUGGGGUUUAAAUGGGCUGACUUUUCAUUAAAAUAAUAUUAAAUCAUUAAAAAGUGCCAUGUGUCACUUUCCCGUUUACCUGUUUUUAAAAUUUCGUCUUUUAAACUUCAAUUUUUCACCACUUAAAAUUCCAUAGUUAUUCAUACCAAAAAUAAAUAAAUCCUAUGAUUUUGACAAGUUUUGGGUAUUAAAAAUUACGAUUUUUAAACUGAGACGAUAAAAUUACCGUUUUGCCCUUAUGUUCUGAAAAUUGCCGUAAUUGAAAAUUUUCACUUCCUAUCAUUAAAGUAUACUCCAAAUAGUUAAUCUUGGUCAAAAAUUUCACUCCAUGAUCAAAUUAUUAUCUUAUGUGGCAAAAUGACGAUUUUGCCCCUUAACAUCAAAAUUUUCAAUUUUUCCCCAAAUGAACCCUCGAACUCCGAACAAUCAUUUUUUCUCAUUCCUAGAUUGUAAAAUUUUAAAUUUCAUCCUACGAUUCCUAUUUGAACUAGUUCGAGGUUAAAUCAACUCAAGUGUACCGUUAGGUACAAUAUCGGGUUUCGUCUAUUCUUAGGGGCUUUCCUAGCGUAAUAACAUGCUACUCAGUGCAUGUAUGUCAUGACAUGUGUUUAUAGGGUCGGGUUUUACAAUUCUACCCCCCUUAAAAUAAAAUUUUGACCUCAAAAUUUCACUUACCAAAUUCGACAAAUAGAUGUGAGUAUUGGUUCCUCAUCUGAUGCUCUAGUUCCCAUGUCAUUUCCUCCAUUCGAGCACUUUUCCGCAACACUUUGACCAUUGAAAUACUCUUGUUCCUCAAUACUCGAUCCUUUCAAUCCAAGAUACUCACAAGUUACACCUCGAACUUGAAAUCGUCAUGCAACUCGAUCGGAGGUGCUUCAAGGAUGUGAGAGGGGUCUGGUACAUAUUUCUUAAGCAUGGAGACAUGAAAAACGUUGUGGAUCCGAUCUAACUCCGGAGGUAGUUCUAACCGAUAAGCCACUGGUCCAAUUCUCUUAAUGAUUCGAAUUGGUCGAAUAUACAUCGGGUUAAGUUUUCCCCACUUCACAAAUCGAAUCACACCUUUCCACAGAGAAACCUUAAGAAAAACUCUAUCAUCGAUUUCAAACUCCAAGUCUUUUCUCCAUUUAUCUGCAUACUCUUCUGCCUAUCUUAGGCUACCUUUAGCCUUUCUCGUAUAACCUUGAUCUUGUCAUUAGUUAGAUCGAUCAAUUCUAUACUAACUAACUUUCUUUCACCCACUUCAUCCCAACAAAGUGGAGUACGACAUUUCCUUCCAUAUAAAGCUUCACACGGUGCCAUAUCAAUGCUAGACUGGAAGCUGUUGUUGUAAGCAAAUUCCACUAAUGGCAAGUGUCUAUCCCAACUCCCAAGAAAAUCCAUGACACAAGCCCUCAACAUAUUCUCCAUAGUCUGGAUAGUCCUCUCUGGCUGACCAUCCAUUUGUGGGUGAAAAGUAGUGUUAAAUUUCAAUUUGGUUCUGAGAGCUUCUUAAAAUUUCGGCCAGAAUAGAGAAGUGAAUUGAGGAUCUCGGUCUGACACUAUAGAAACGGGAACUCCAUGUAGCCUCACAAUCUCAUCUAUAUAGAGCUGAGCCAACCUCUCAAUAAAGUAUGUACUAUGGACAACUAAAAAAUGAGCGGACUUAGUCAACCGAUCUACGAUCACCCAGAUCGCAUCCUUUCCCCUCUGUGUUCGCGGUAGUCCCAAAACAAAAUCCAUAGUUACAUGCUCCCAUUUUCACUUGAGAACAGGUAAAGACUGAAGUGUACCUACUAGCCUCUGAUGCUCCGCCUUAACUUGCUGACAUACGAGACACUUUGCUAUGAAUUCUACUACGUCUCAUUUCAUACCUGGCCACCAAUAAUUUUCCUUGAUAGUCUUAUACAUCUUGGUGCUUCCAGGAUGUAAUGCAAAGGCAGAAGAAUGGGCUUCUUCCAUGAUCGCCUGUCUCAGUUGGUUUCCCUCAGGAACACAAACUCGGUCUUUAAACACCAAGACGUUAUCUUCUCUGAAUCUGAACUCACUGAAUACCCCAUCAGUCAAUUUUUGAAUUUCUUUUCUUAACUCAUCAUCAGACCUCUGAAUGUCCUUGAUCUAAUUAAGUAAUGAAGGUCGCACAAUGAAGCUUGCCAAUAAGGAUCCAUCCUUACCAUUUCUCAACUGGACCCCAAGAGAUUUCAUCUCUAAAAAUGCUGGCACAUAACAACUCUGAAGUGCGGCUAAAGACGAUGAAGACUUACGACUUAAGGCAUCAGCUACAACGUUCGCUUUUCCCGGAUGAUAGUCUAUCACCAAGUCAUAAUCUUUUAUCAACUCCAACCAUCGCCUUUGCCUCAAAUUAAGCUCCUUAUGAGUGAGCAAAUAUUUUAAACUCUUGUGAUCCGUAAAUAUCCGACAAUGCUCACCAUACAAGUAAUGCCUCCAGAUUUUUUAAAGCAAACACCACUGCUGCUAACUCUAAAUCAUGGGUAGGGUAAUUUGCUUCAUGCCUCUUUAGCUGUCUAGAAGCAUAAGCCAUAACUUUUUCAUCGUGCAUCAGUACGCAUCCUAACCCCAACUUAGAUGCAUCACUGUAUACCACAAAUUCUUUUCCAUUAACAGGAAGUGUUAAAACGGGAGCGGAGGUUAACCGUUUCUUUAGCUCCUGAAAUCGACUCUCACAAACAUCAUCCCACUCAAACUUAACUCCUUUACGAGUAAAACGAGUCAAAUGAGCUGCUAUUAAGGAAACCCCUGAAAAAACCUCUGAUAAUAACCGACUAAUUCGAGAAAACUACGAAUCUCCGUCACUGUCUUAGGUUGCUCCCAUUAUAAAAUUGCCUCUUAUCUUCUUGGGAUCAACAUAUAUUCCAGCUCCCGAUACUACGUGUCCCAAGAAUACCACUUCCUAUAACCAAAACUCACACUUCGAAAACUUUGCAUACAAUUAUCUUUCCCGCAAAGUUUGUAAUACUAUACGCAAGUGGGUAGCGUGCUCAUCAUUAUCUCUCGAGUAAACCAGGAUAUCAUCAAUGAACACAAUAAACUUGUCCAAGUAAGGGUGGAACACCCUAUUCAUGAGAUCCAUAAAAGUUGCUGGUGCGUUAGUUAACCCGAAGGCAUGACCAAGAACUCAUAAUGACCGUACCGAGUCCUGAACGCUGUCUUGGGUACAUCCUGUUCUUUAAUCCUCAACUGAUGAUACCCAGACCUCAAAUCAACCUUAGAAAAUACUGUAGCUCCCUGUAAUUGAUCGAAAAGAUCAUCAAUCCUUAGCAAUGGAUACUUGUUCUUAAUGGUCAUUCUGUUAAGCUGUCGAUAAUCUACACAUAACCGAAGUGUACUGUCUUUCUUUUUCACAAAUAAAAUCGGUGCUCCCUACAAAGAUGUACUAUGGAGUAUAAAACCCUUGUCCACUAACUCUUGCAAGUGUACUUUCAACUCCUUUAACUCUGCCGGAACCAUUCUAUAUGGAGGAAUAGAGAUUGGAGCAGUACCAGGAAGUAAGUCAAUGGUGAAUUCGAACUCACGAUCGGGAGGAAGUCCUGAUAAUUCAUCAAGAAAUACAUCAGGGAACUCACUUACUACGGGGACAUUCUCUGACUUAGGUUCCUCCCUCGAUAUAUAAAUCACGUGAGCCAAAUAUGCUGGAUAUCCCUUUCGCACCAAUUUCAAAGCUUGAGGGCCGAGAUUACACAAUACGGUAAUACUCGAUGCUCCCCAAUAAAUACAACUUCUACUCCCUCUAAACUCUAGAGAAUCACUUCUUUCUUAAAACAAUCCACCUUUGCUCAAUGAGUGGACAACCAGUCCAUACCCAAGAUCAAAUCAAAGUCCCGAAUCUCCAAAGGGAUUAAAUCACCCAUAAAUUCUUCUUCCCCAACUUUAAUACCACAGUCUUUAUAAUACGUAUUUCUUACUAACCGCUCGCCUAAAGGAGUAUGCACUGCAAUCUCUUCCUCUAAUGGUGAUAGGUUCUUAUCUGAGAAUGAUGCAAAUGAUAUGCUCACGUAUGAUCUAUCGGAGCCCGAAUCUAUCAAAACAUGUGCAUCUCUAUCAAACACAAUCAUAGUACCUGUCACUGCGUUAAGUCAAACUCGGGCUUCAUCCUCAGUCACUGCAAAAACCCUGGUCAAAAUCUGAGGCUGCGGUCUGGAAGAUGGCUGCUUUGGGGUAUUACUCCUCAUGCCUGACCGUAUCACUAGGCCCUAUCUAGACUGUGAUCUCGAACUGUCUAUUCAUGGUAUACUAAGACGAGUCGGAGGAGUAAAAGUAGCUACUGUACCUCAUCUCAACUAAGGACAAUCUCUCUUGAUAUACCCUUGUUGGCCGCAUUGAAAACACGUUAUAAGCUUUCUACAUGACCCAACAUGAAAUCCUCCGUAAUUACGACAUCUGUCUAAUCCUCCUGAAGUCCCCUCUUGACUACUACUCACUGGCCGAUCAAAUUUAGAAGAUCUCAGCUGUGACUGCUGAGAUGGAGGUUUAGUGGAUGCCACAGACGCUGAGGUAGUACUUCCUGCAGCCGAUGUCGAAUCUCUACUUCUCUUUGAAGACUGACCCGGGAACGUAGGCGGAUUCCUUCUCUUUGCAAACUCAGCUCGGAUCCAUCUAUUCUCAGUGUCGAGCUUCUCAGCCAGUAAGGCCAUCUGCACAACUUCCUUAUAUGACUCUUUGCCAGUCACUAUCAUACGUUUUCGUAUCUCAUUACGGAGUCCCUCCUCAAAGUAGUUUACCUGGUCUUCCUCCAAUCUCACUAACUCAGGUACUUAAAGCAUCAGCUUGUUAAAACAAGUUUCAUACUCUUCAAUGGUCAUGUUCCCUUAUUUCAAGCUCAAAAAUUCUCUCUUUUUCUCUUUCUGAUGGAAAUAGCUGCAGUACUGACCAUCGAACUCUUGAAGGAAAUCUAUCCAAGUCAGCGAUAUAGAAGAGCGAGACUUUACUGAAUUCCAUCAGGUACGGGCUCUCUUCUCAAAUAACUGUGUAGCCACCUUUAAUUUCAUUUCAUCAUCUAAUCCCAUAUCUACCAGUGUCUCCGAUACCUGAAUAACCCAAUCUCGAGCUACGGUCACAUCCAACUCACCAGUAAACGAGACGUAACCUAACUGUCUAGCUUCUUUCAAUUUCUUAGAAAUGAAGACGUCCGGUGUCUAGGGUGGAAUAGGAGGUGGUGGUACUGGGGCUAUUACAGGGGAAACAGCGGGUGGAAUUGGACCAGCCUGAGCUUGACUCGUAAGAGCAGCAAGAAAAGCCGCUAAUGCCUGAGCUGCCUCGGGUGACAUGGCUGGUACGCCAAGAGUAGCAACAGGUGGUGGAGGAGGUAUAGGAAUGUCAGUAGACUCAACAGUAGGAACUGCUCUAAAAGAAGAUGUAGCCGACUCCUCUUCUAUGAAAUCCAGCCGACUCUAUUUGAGGUGACUUCUUCCCCUACUGGUAGAUCUAGUGAUAGGUGGUAGCUCACGUCGAGGAGGCAUAAUGAUCUACAAGAAAAACGAAAUUGGUUUAGACGACUUAAGACUCUAUAUGUAACUACAUGCAACUAACUAAUCUUAACUGGGCCACACUGACAUUGUAAUUUAUUUUUAAAUAACUUUAAAUCCAAGAACUUCAAAAAUCAAAAACUUCUUUUAAAACCAUAAGCUUUUAAACCAAAAGCUCUAAUAUCAACCGAAUUGUCAGGACCCAAAACCUCCCUCAAGCCCAUGACAACCGCCGCGAAGUCCCGAUUGAUACUCAUUACCCAGAAUACCAAUCGGAACCCCGCACGGCUUACAUAUCAGUUUUAAACAAUUUCCAGUUGUUUCCAGCUCAAGUAAAUCAAAAGACAAAAAUAUAGCAUUUUUAUAUAAAACAAUAUUUAUAAAAACACAUGUAAGUAAAAUAAAUUCAUACAUACAAUAAUUUACAAAGUUAUAAUGUACAAUAAUAAUUACAAUGACAAGUGGCCCCUAAAUAUACCAAGUGUUGGCGAUAGUAACCUAUUGUCUGUGAGAUAGAGGGGUCAACUGGAAUCCUCGACAAAAUCAGUAACUACAAGUUACCACAGGCCUGAAAUAUUUGGAAAAAAGAUGGGUGAGAUUUCGCAAUCCCAAUGAGUAAACAGACAUUAUCAUAAAUAUCUAAAGGUGAGUAACAUGGAGGCAAGUUUAAACAACAAAUCACAAACCAUUUCAUAAGGUUUUCAAUUUAUUUCUUAUACCAUAAAAUAUUUAUAAUUUACCAAAACAGUUGUUAAGGCUUCUGACUUUUAUUAAAAACAGGGCUCAAGCCAAAAACUAGUCCUCGGGGAUACCUUGGCCUAGGCAUCUAACCGAGUCCGCCAAGGUUGUCAAGAUAUUCACAUGUUAAACACAUGUUAGUUUUGAAAACAAGUCGUUCCUUGGCAUUGGCCGAGUUACACAUUCACGUGGGGGUUCGACGUGAAGUGAACUCUAACACUACCCCAAGAGUUACCCUCCUCGCCUCUACUAUCGGAGUAACUAUAUAACUGGGUUUACCGUGCCCCUUUAAUAGGCAGUGCAUGGAAACCCGUCACUGCACUGACUAAACCCACCAAUUUUAAUAAAACUUCGACAAUAUAACGUGACUUUUAUUUAUUUACCUAGUCUGCAUAGUAAAAGACAACUUACAUAAAUUCCCAAUCCAAUUAUAAAAUAUAGCCACACAUACUCAUAUAUCAAAAGUCAUUCAUAGGAAAAUAUAUUUUUCAAGACAAUUGGUAGCCUUCAAUUACUCAAUUUCAUAAUGAACACAAUAUAUUUUUAUUUGUCACAUUUAUUUCUAAAACAUCACAAAUCCCAUUUUAAUCUCAUUUUCGUUUCAUAAAAUCCAUGAAGAGCAUUUAAAAAUAAACUCUAGAUAAUUUACAAUAAUAAUAGGUUUACUCACCGAUUGUACAAACUAAUUGCUUUUUAGGUCCCCCGAUCACUGUUCAUCAGGUACGACUUCCUUGCCUUUACCGAAAGGCUCUCCUCCUAAACAAAUUGCAAAACUUACCCAAUUCACCACAUUAAUGCUAAAUCACUAUAUAAUUGACUUAAAUCCUAUACUAAUGCAUGGUAUGAAAUGCAAUAGCCUAAAAUGACUUAAACGCGGUAUUAACCUAUUUUUGGCACUUUACUUGUUAAAUUGCUAACUCGCUUCAUUUUAGCUCUAAAUUGUCCCAUUUUCUCUCCAACAUUUCUAACCAUUAAAUAUCAGCCAAUAACCUUCUAAAAUCACCAAAAUCAGCUCACUUUCCUCCUGGGAAAAUUCGGUCAAAAAUGGGACAUUUACUCUGUUAAUUUUCCACUUUGUUUUUCUAUCACAUUUAACCAGUUUUCAUCAUUUUCUCUUCAUUUCUCUUAGAAUAAAAAUCAGUUCAUCAUCAUUGUACAUCAAUGCAUAUUCGGCCAAGGGUGGGUAUUGUAAGAAUUUCAUGCUUUCUUGCCCAAUUUGAUUUCUAUACACACUUAACUAACUAAAACUACUAAUUUAACUAAGAAUCAAAACCUAAAAAUUUCAAAAUCUUUCCCCUUGAAAUUUGGCCAGCCCUUGGUUUCACUUUUUGAUCUCUCUCCUCAAGCAUGCUAAAUGGAAAUAAAGGCAUAGGAAAGGUAGAAAUCAAGCUAAAGUCGAAAAAUCUUACCUUUAGAUGCGUAAACAGACGAAAAACGCGAUUUCCCCUUUGAAUUUUCUAGUUUUCCUUUGGUUUUUCCCUUUUCUUCCUUUCCUCUCUAUUUUCUCUCUUGUUCUCUCCUUAUGGCUGGCCAUCACUUAAUAUGGGGUUUAAUUGGGCUGACUUUUCAUUAAAAUUAUAUUAAAUUAUUAAAAAGUACCAUGUGUCACUUUCCCAUUGGCCCGUUUUUAAAAUUUCAUCUUUUAAACUUAAAUUUUUCACCACUUAAUAUACCAUAGUUAUUUAUACCAAAAAUUAAUAAAUCUUAUGAUUUGACAAGUUUUGGGUGGUGAAAAUUAUUGUUUUUACCCUGGAACGACAAAAUUAUCGUUUUACCCUUAUGUUCUGAAAAUUACCGAAAUUAAAAUUUUUCACUUCCUAUCAUUAAAUUAUACUCCAAAUAAUUAAUCUUGGUCAAAAAUUUCACUCCAUGAUCAAAUUAUUAUCUUAGGUGGCAAAAUGACGAUUUUACCCCUAAACAUCAAACUUUUCAAUUUUUCCCUAAAUGAACUCUUGAACUCUGAACAAUCAUUUUUAGUCAUUCCUGGAUUGUAAAAUAUUAAAUUUCAUCCUACGAUUCCUAUUUGAACUGGUUCGAGGUUAAAUCAACUCAAGUGUACCGUUAGGUACAAUAUCGGGUUUUGUCUAUUUUUAAGGGCUUUCCUAACGUAAUAACAUGCUACUCAGUGCAUGCAUGUCAUGACAUGUGUUUAUAGGGUCGGGUUUUACACCAACGAUGGUGUGUCUUGGUCUCUUUGUAAUUAUUUUCACAUUAAUAAAACAUUUUUUCUUUUUAUGGCUUAGUGGUUGCAUAUAUGGCAUUCGAUAUGCCCUUUGAUUUUGAUGUGGAUUCUCUUAGUCUGAUUUGUUACUAUUAUUAAUGUUUGAUAAGAUAUAACCAAGUAUCAGGUGACUUGUGUGGAAGUGUCCACUUAAGUGUCACAUAGACUAUCACAUACUUUGGCGAAGGAGCGCAGUUCAUGACACAGAGCAUGUCGGGAUAGAUAUCACAACUUUCCCUUCAUUGCCUAUGGAUUCAGACUCUGAUGACAAUUUUAGUGAGGAUGAUGAGUGUCAUAGCUCAAAUCUUGGGCCAUGACCUGGGCGUGGGCCCAAUGGGCAUAGCCCACUAAGCCUAAGUAAAGCUUUUUUUUUUAUGCAAUCCCAAUCAUCAUUCUCAACCGUCAUUUCUAAAACCACAUAUUUCAAUUCUCAAUUAUAAAUAUUUCAAUAACAUUUUAUAGUGACCCAAUACUUACCAUUUUAUUAUAUCAAAAUAAUGUAACCCGUUUGCCAACUCAUAGUGGCAUUAGUAAUCAAAUAUACAUAUUUGACUUAUGACAUGGAUCCUUACGGAUUACACUACAUAUACAUGUUCACAAGUAACAGACUCGUGAUCGUCAGCGGAGUGACUGUGAGUGAAGGUACAACUACUGAGUUGCCAUAGUACCUACCCAGAGGACGAGCACACGUGGACACUCAAUCUAGGUCCCAACUUCCUUCAAAUCUAAAAACAUGAAGUUUAAAAAUGUGAGUAUAAAACUCAGUGAGUGAACAUAAGAAGGGAACAAGCAAUCGAUAAGGAGAACUGGGAAAUCAUGAUGCACUUGUUUCAAAAACAAUACAAUUGAUUUAAUUUCUUACUAAAAACCCCUCAUUUCAAACUUUGAUUAAUAACCUCAUAGUGUUUCAAAAACCCAUGAUCAAUCCAUGAAGUUAAAUGGGUGAAAAAUAUGUCAAAAUCAACUAAGAUAGCAAGCAUGACAGCAAGUUUCUUGUUACAGCGAGAAACAGUCUUAGUUUGCAUAUGUUUCAGUUUUUUAAGUAUAUCUCCUACUACAGAAGUCCAAUUGACUUGAUUUUUGUACCAUUAGAAAGACAAGAGGAAGGGAUACAACUUUUAUGUUUACUACUUUUCUUAGUUAUGAUAGGAAAGUGAUCAAAAUCUUCGUAAAAGUGAAAGAACUGCACUAGAACCUGAGAGUUUCUCGCUGCAACGAGAUUUAUUUUCGCUGCAGCGAGAUUCUUUUUCGCUGCAGCGAGAAACAGGGCUGGUUUGUGUCCCAACCACUCGAGAGUUUCUCGCUGCAGCGAGAUUCAGGGCAGAUGACAAUUAAGGGAUUUUCACAUGCCACAAAAUCCAUUCCUACCAUAUUGCACAUCAAAGUGAACACAUUGACAAUAAUCAAGUUUCUCAUUAUUCAUUUCAAUCAAAUAUUAUAAUCAUAAACUUCUUAUCACAUAUACAUAUAUAAACAUAUAUAAACAUGUACACCACCCCACUUCAUUCAUCAUCAUAGUCGGGUCAUCAUCAUCGGCUUAUGUGCAGUCCCUACUAGCACAUAGCUAGGUCAUCAUUGGCUUAUGCGCACUCCCUACUCACACAUAGCCGGGUCAUCAUCAGCUUAUGUGCACUCCCUACUCACACAUAGUCGGGUCAUCAUCGGCUUAUGUGCACUCCCUACUCGCACAUAGUCAGGUCAUCAUCAGCUCAUGUGCACUCCCACAUCACACAUAGUAGGGCCAUCAUUAUCACACAACAUUAUUCAUCAAUGCACAAUACAUAUUCAUAUAUAUACAUACCAACAUAAUAUAGGAGCAUAUGGAUUCAUCUUUUUACACAUUUCACAUUUUCACAACAUCAAAACAUUUAUCAAGGGCUUGUUCCCAUGCAUAAUUUAAUGAAAACCAAUUAAAAUCAUUUAAAUGCUUCAUCUCAACACAUAUGUAUUUCCCAAAAACACUUUGAUGCAAGUUCACUCACUGGUCUUGUUGAUUCUUUUGCUUGACUCUAACCUCAACUAAUGCUCCAAAUGGAUAUGUGAGGCCUUGUUGGAACCUAUACAAACACAACAUCACAACCAACCCAAAUUGGCUUUAAUAUAAUUCCAAAAGCUCUUCCCAAAUCAAGUUCUACUAGUUAUUUCUAACUAGCUUCCAAUUGCCAUUAAGUGGCUAGUUAUUCACACUUCUCUAGUCACCCUAAGAGUGAAUAAACAACCUCAAUGAUAAAACACUCACAAACCCCAUUGUUAGCCAUUAUCAACAACUUGAAAAUUAAACCUAAUUCAUUACUCACCUUGGUGCUUUUUCUGUAGUUGAAUUCCUUUUCAAAAGCUUCCAAGCUAUUGUGGACAAUCUCCCUCUCUCUCUCCACCCGUCCAGCUAGUGAGAAAAUAUACCAAGGAAAGACCUUUAAGGGCUUUUAAGGUGUAGAAGAGAGAGUAUGAAAAACUCUAUGAAAAGGUGUAGAAAACACAAGGUUUAGGGUUACCAUGGGAGGCUUCCAUGGAAGAUGAAGAAAACAUGAAAUGGAGAGAAGAGAGGGGAGGAAGAAGAAGAAUUGUUGAAAGCUACUGGAAAUUUGCUAGAGCUUUGGAUAUUUAUAUCUAAAGUUUAUCCAUUUCUCACAUAAAUUACCAAAAUACCCUUAACAUGGUGACGUUGUCUUCUUCCCAUCCUUUGUGCAACCUUUUACUCUUUUGACACUAGGGCAAGGUCCAUAAUAGUUUAGAAAUACUCAAGCACAUGAAAAAAUAAAAAGUUAGACUCGAGAAACAAAAUGAUAAUUUUGCCCCUACUGUGGAAAUUAUCAUUAUUUUUAUCUUCUUCCUUUAUUUUACCAUCAUAAACAUCAUUCAUUCAUUCCUUAGGCCUAAUUAGACCUUAAUAGCAUAAAAAAAGCCCACUCGUACGAGCUCACCAAGAGAAAUUGCGAAAUUACCUCUGGUCCGCAUUAUCACGUCUACUUCUAGUUAUGUGUCUAUGAAGAUCGAGAUUUCACAAGUUCACUUCUGAAUUACCCUUUUUAACUCGGUAGUUAACCUCAAUUGGCAUCUGUAAACUUUAUUAGUCACCAUACAAAAAUACAGGGUACUACAAUGAGGAUGAGCAGUAGGGUGCAACCACGAUUUAAGGGAGUAUUUUCUCUUCCUUAUUUUUCAUAACAUUAGAGACAAUGUUUACUUUACGUUUUUGUUGGGAGGGGGGGGUUUAAAAUUUUUAUGUGUAAAAUUUAUAUGUUUUCAAGUUAAAAGUUGUUUAGCAUGAUAAUUUAGGAGUACGUGAAUUUAGGAAAUUGUUUAAAAAUUAAAGCUAAAUUAUUGCACCAAUAAAAUUAAUUCACCUAUCCGAUAAUGAUAACUAAUUAUCUUGUUAAUCUUUUACUCUUAGUAAUCAUGAAUAUUGUUUCAAUGUCAUGUGAAGUCUUAUCUUAGCAUCAUGAUCGGAUGAAAUUUUCAUACUUGGGCACUACAUCUCUUAUCUUGAAAUAUCAUGUCUCUUUAGAGAAAGUUUAUGUAAAUUAAGAUUUUAGAAAUAUGUUUGGAGUUUUAGAAAUAGCUUAAUUCUUCCUCGAGGAAAAAUCAUAUCGCUAUACUUAGUUAGGGAAAUGACUUAGGCCAUCCUUGGACUAAUUGAGCCUUUUAAACCAACUUUUUUACAUCUUUAUCCCUAGUAUGCCAUUUUGAGCUUAAAUUGUCCUUUCUUUGAUUUAACCCAUAAAUAAAAUUAGCUUAACCUUUGACAAAUUUCUCUCAUUUUUACAACCCUCACUCCUAAGCAUAUAUAUUGUUUUAGGAAAUGUAUGUUUAGACUAUUUGAUAAGAAAAGUGAAAAAGAUGAAAUGUAGAGAAACAUGCAAAAGGUUUUUAAUGUAUUCAUCCCACUAUUAAUGAAAAAACCAAGUUUAGGGGUGUUGAAAUAAAAAAAUAUAUAGUAUGUUGAAGGAAAAGUGAAAUUGAAAGAAAAAGGGUGUACUUAGUGAAGAAAAAUAAUGAGGCUAUAUAGGUCUUAAAACAAUUAUGUGUUUAGGGUGACUUAAGUUAUAUAUUAUCCCAUAUUCUAGCUCAACCCUAGCCAUACACUACAAGCUGAAUAAAGUUCUAAGGAUCCUUAAUUUAUUAUUAGCUUACAUUAGUGGAGAGGGAGAUGAAAAACAACCUUAUGAAAUUUUAAACUAGCUUGAAGUUUGCAUGAGCAUAAACUUAUCCAAAGUGCAUGAGAUUCAUGGCAAGAGACUUCACACACACACACACACUUCACUUANAAACUAGCUUGAAGUUUGCAUGAGCAUAAACUUAUCCAAAGUGCAUGAGAUUCAUGGCAAGAGACUUCACACACACACACACACACAUAAGAACUUAUCCAAAAAUCAGCUUGCAUUUGAAUAUAAUGUGAAUUUAGAUAAUAUUUAUGUUUUACUUUGAAUUGAAAAAAUAAGAUAGUUGAUGAGGAAAUAAGAUGUUGUCAAUGGAUAGUUUAUGAGGAAAUUAAAUGUUGUCAAUGAAUUGGUGCAUCCGAUUUUGUUAGUUUGAUGUUUUCAAUUAUAUUAUUUUGUUUUCUUAGUUUUUGCUCAAGGACUAGCAAAAUAUUAAGUUUGGGGUGUAAUAACUAUAUGAUAUAGAGUUAUUUUGCCGCAUUUUGACAAUAAAAAAAUAGCUAAGUCCUUGUGUUUUCAAGUUAAUUUUAGGUAAUUUUUAUAUUUUUCUUUAUUUAGUUUAAUGCAUGUUGAAUUAUUUAUAAUUUGAGUAAUUUGAGCUCAUUUUCAUAUCAAAAGUCUUAAUUUGAGAAAUCACUAAUUUAUUCUCUAUUUUGAAUGUUCUCAACUGUAAAAAGCUUCAUGGAAGUGAAAUGUACAAAAUGAUUAGGUGCAGAAUUUGCUGAAUAUGUUGCAGUAUUUCUUCCAUAACUCUUUUUAAAGAACUUCAAAUGAUAUGAUUCUUUAACCAAUAGAAAGUUGAGAGGAAGGGCUACAACGUUUCUGUUUAUCACAUUGCCUUGUUUUAAUUGGAAGGUGGUUAAAAUCUGUGUCAAAUAGAGAGUACUGCACCAAGAAAGUAAAACAAAGAUAGAACACUUGAGAGCCGUGGCACUGAAAGGAAUUUGUGGCAAACUUCAAAGUUAGAAAUGUUGAGAGCUGGGGCACUAGAGCCUAUUUCCAAAAAUAAUUGUCUAACAGGAAAUUUGGAAAUCAAGUGAAUUUGUGCUUAUUUAAGGGACUUUUUUAGAGAAUUUUAGAGAGACAACAGCAACAACUAGUUUAGAGAAUUGGAGCUAAGAAUCAAGCAAGAGAACAAGAGAAAUUCAGAGAGAUUUGAGAUCAAAAAGCUUCAACAUUAUUUUCUUUCUCUAUUUUGUGUUUUUCUUAUUUCCUUUGACUUGAAUUCAUGGCAAAAUUUCUUUGGAUAAUAUUUUACUUAGAUAUCAUGAACUAAUUUGUUUUUCGAGGAUUAUAGUUGAUUCUAAAAUGUAGUUUGAAUAUUAGUUUCUCUUUUAUUUAUCAUGAAUGGAUAUAGUUUUGCUUAUUCAAAUAUGUUCUUAAUGCUUUUAAUUGCUUGAUCAACAAUUAACUAAUUUGUAAAUCUAAUUGAGACUCGACAGAGAGAUUUUAGAUUGACUAAGAUUUGAAUUGUGCAUGCUCAUGCCACUUAGGUGAUCAUGAUGCGGGUAGACAUAUGUCAAUUGCCAUACAUAGUCAAAUUAGGACACUAUUUUAAUGAACUUAAUUUAAUUGAUUCCUAUAAACAUAUAGUUAACUAAUUAAGUUAGAUAUUUGUGCAAGCAUCUAGAUGGAGACUUGUACAUAGCAUUGGAUUUUAGGUUAGUAAAACCACCCAGGAAAGUAAAUAAUAAGAGAAAUUGGUAUCAGAUAAAGUGUUAAAUGAAACCAUAAUCCUAGGUCUUUAGUUAGUGGUCUUUCUCAAGUAACUUUAAUUUUUGUUAGUUAAUUUAGUGUUUGUUUUUAUUUAGUAUUAAUUAAUUUUCUUAAAAUUUCAGUUAUUUAAAUAAGAUUGAUUUGUUAUAAAAUUUUAGUACUUAGUAAAACUUUAGGAACAAAUCCUUAUUGGGAACAGUACUCUACUUGUUAUUAUAUUACUUGUUUACGAUACCGUGCACUCAUGUGAAAACUCAACAACACUCAUACAAGCACCUUGUGCUGUGGUGAUCGAUCUACUUGUCCAUGGAGGUUGAUCCUUGGCUAUUCCAAUAGCUAUAUCAAGCUUAAAACCUCUAUGGAUCGACCCGUCCUUGCCAUGGGAUCAACCCUUCAUGCCUUAUUUGCAAAAAUUACUUUCCUUUGGCUUCCUUAUCUAAUCAUACUUUCAACCAUUGAUACCAAUUAAUCCAACAACAUCACAGUAGGAUGUUCAUGUGAAUAUAGUUGGAAAAACUCAACCAACAUUCAAAUUACAUUAACAUAUAAUUCAUUCAAACCUGUCCAACAUUUACUUAAGUUUAAACAACAUCAUUUCAUAAAAGGUAAGAGUUUCAUAAUAUGAAUGUAAGAGGCUUGCUUAGGUGUAGUGGGCUAUACCCGUCUCUAUGUUUUUGUGCAAGUCGUGGACCCCUAAAAACAGAUAGUGACAGUAUCAUAAAGGGUAUUGUUAGGAAGAGCUGUUGACCCCUAAAAAUAACACUCAAGUAGCCUAUCCCGAGCAAAAGGUAGCCUUUCCUUAUAGUUCAAGUCCUCCCACCACCUGCCCAAUCAAUUGUAAAACAAUAACAAUUUCAAUGAUUUAAGUUGAUGAGAAAAUUAAAUUUCCUAACUAUCAGAUUGUUAUUUUUACCCAUAAAAAAAACUAUAACAUUUUAAAAUCUUAUUUAUUUUCAAUCUAAUUUAACUAAUGAUAUCUAGUAAUAGUAAUUUAAAAAUAUGAUUUCUUACCAAUGUAAUUUAACUUAUUAAUGAUAUCAAGUAAUGGUAAUUUAAAAUCCUGAUAACAAUCUUAGCUUAACAGUUCUUAUUUUUUUCUUUUUAAGAUUUAUAUUUUAAUAAAUCUUACUCCACUAGUUCCUGCAGCUCCUUCAGAUAAACAGAUUGCAUGAUAUUGAAGUUCAACUUGGCAAGCUCGAGCAAAACCGAAUUCAUCUUAGCAUCAUAUUGGUAGAUAGCAAUGAAAUCUCGUGCUUCUGUCCAGGGCAUCCUCCAGUGCAGUGGAUAUUCCAGUGAUUGUUGUAUUUGCUCAGCUUUAUUUCCAUCCAUCUUCUUCCUUAACACUAACAGAUGUUUUGUACUAAAAUUCAGGGCCUCGUCUAAAACAUCUUCUUCUGGCAUCCCAAGGUACGAAGCUUCGUAUAAAUCAAAAUAAAUCAGAUUUGUCAAAAAUGAUAUAUAAAUAAAUAAGGAGCAAAAUUAAAAAUAAAAAAGAUGUUAACAUGAUCAUUUGAGCCUUGUUAGUCAAUCUGACAUGUUAAAUUGAAUGAUCAAUUAUUUUAAAAGGUUAAAUUAAUAGAAAAGAACUUGAUUAUUGUAUUUAAAUUCUAACACGCUCCUUCACAUGUAAUUCAUAUGAAUAUUUAAUAGGCUUGCAGGUGGACUCAAGUGUUGAAAUAACCUGCGACCAAAAAAAAUUACAGAAGUAUUGCAAAGUUUAGUUUGUAACCAAACACUUGAAACAAUAUUAAAGGGAGAAAAAUACAUCUUUUACGAUUCGAAAUUAGAGCUCUAAUAUCAUGUUAAGUUAGGUGUCGAAUUAUUCCAAAACCUUAGUUGAUAGGAAAGGGACAAUUAUUAUAUUUAAGUUUUAAUAUGGGGCUUGAUAACGUUAUCUAUGACGAAAUGACAAACUUUUCAAAUUCGACUACUUGCACAAAUAAAAAUAAAAAAAAAAUGACCAUAAAUUAGAUACAAUGUCCUUUAAUGAAAUGCUAUUCUAAAAAUUAAAAAAAUAAAUUAAAUAUAACGAUAACAUUUUGCGCAAAUAGCCUGUACUAAUGAAGAAACCAUUUUGACGUAUUAGUCUAAAUUGCAAGGCAACAGUGUAAAGAUCAGUGGCAAUGUUAGCAUCAACAAGUUUAGCAAGAAUAUCCUUGAUAUCCUUUUCAAAGUGGUAAGCCACUCCUAAGCGUUGCAGUGUGUUGAUCAGAUCCAGUUGGUCACGUGGUUCCUUCAUGGUAGCAAGUAAAUCCCUGCCACCUUGCUUAAGUUCCUCAAGACGAGUGCCAUGGCUCUCGAACCGCAAGGUUAGCCAAAAUAAAGUGGUGCAGGUUAAACACAGAGUAAUUCCAAGGUGAUGAAGCUUGGGCAUCUAAUGAAAGUAAACUUACUGAGUAGGGUGUGGUAAAGGACUUGACGAGUUCACCAUUCCAAACAGUAGGAAGGUUACCUGCUGAUCGCCGUUCAAUACCUUUUGCUUCCAUGAUAAUAUUAAAAUGAUUAAUAUUGCAUUGUAACUCGACCGGUUACAGGUAUUUAUAGAGAUGCAAUGAAGAAUUUAUUCAUAACCUAAUAGCAGAAAUAGCUGAUCUUGUUUAGCAAUUGGAAAGUAGGAAAUGAUAAAAAAUAUGUCUUUCGGUUUUGUUAAUCAAAUAAUUAAUUUUUAAAUUAUUUACUUAUAUAAGCAUUAUGCCAACAAAUAGUAGAACCCAUGUGUAAAUCAUUUUGAUGGAUAUGCAACAUACAUCAUUGGAGAUUUGUACUAGGGAUUGAAAGAUGGAUAGAGCUAGCCCAUUUGAUCUAAACUUGAAAAAUUGAUUCGACACUACAACAAAUUUGAUUUAAUGCAGCGUAUUUUUAAAAUCUGUUGUUAAAAAUAUUUUUAAGAAUAUUUUUUUUAUGUUUUCAAGAACAUUUUUGUAAAUCUGAUUUGACCAUAUAAAUUUUUAGAUUCAUUAAGAAUAAAAUGUAAUCAUAGAAAUUGCAUACACUAACAAAGGUUACACUUUUUUAUAUUACUACUAAAUGUGAAAAAAGCGAAGCUAAAUAUUAAAUAGGUGCACUUUUUAAGAUUUUACUAUAUAAAAAAAUAUGUCGCCUAAAGAGAUGUGAUUAAAACUCAAUAUUGUUGUAAUGUCACUCAAAUUCGAACCGGUUCUAACUCGAUUUGACUAGAAAAUAUCAGCGAUCAAAAUUUUUUUAAAGGUAUGCAAUUUUAUUAGUAAUUGUCAAAGUAGAAAACUUUGGAUUUUAUACUUACAAUAAAAUAAAACUAUAGAAAAAAAACCCCAUAAAGCACUAAAUACGGACUUAAGAAUAUCUGGAAGCCCAAAAGGAAAAAACCUGAUCAUAAUUCAAAGAAAUUGACUAAGGAAAAUAUUUUGUGAAAACCACCAGUUCUUGGUCAACUCAAAUUCACUAUGGAUGGAGCUUCUAAAAGUUGUCCCGGUGAGACUGGGAUUAGUGGUGUUCUUAGAGAUAGUGAAGGUAGAAUAAAGAUGCAAUUCUCUAAAUCUACAGGUUGGGGAGAUGUAAAUAUGUCUGAGUUACUCGUUGUCAGAGAAGCAUUUCUCCUUUUUACUGCUUUAACAUGGGUGAGUUCUCAUAAUCUUAUUAUUGAAAGUAAUUCAAUGAAUGUGGUUAAGUGGAUUCGUGAUCCAUCGACUGUUCCUCGGCAUUUUCGCAACAUUAUGUUUCAAACUAAGAGCAUCAGUUCUAAAGUGAUCAAUUGGGAGAUUUUUCAUUUACCAAGGUCUGGUAAUGGCAUUGCUGAUUGCUUGGCUAAGGAGGGGGUCGGCAUAGUUUCUGAUUUCAUCAUGAUUUUUGCUGCUUUUCUGUGCCUUGUUGUUUGACAAUAUUGAUUCUUCGUGUUUCCCUUGUUGAUGGGCAUUUUUUCUUGUGCCUUCUGGUUCAAGUUCUUGGUUGUUUUCCGCAAGGCUGUUUCUUGUUAUUUUUUCCUAUUUUGGCCAAGAUGGAUUCGUCUGUUGUGUUUUCUCAUCCUUUGGUUGAGUUGUUCUGUUGUUUUGCUGUUUGCUGGUGGUUAUUGCACAGGGAUUCCUUCCUUUCCUGUUAUAUUAAUAAUAUCUUGACCUUUAAAAAAAAAAUUGUGAAAGAUAAUCUUUCUCAUAAGUCCAAUUCAAAAAAAUCAUUUAUUAUAAUUUUAAUUAUUUUUAGCCAAUUUUUAGUAUGACUGGACAAUAAUGCUUUUUAAAUAAUUUCAGAUAAAUUAAAAUAGCUUCAGUUUUUUCUAUCCCCGUCAUCCAGAUAAAAAUUUCAAAAUUAAAUCCUGAUUUCUCUUUCUUGCCAAAUACUGUCUAUCUAGCCAUCCAGCUCUUUCUCGCUAUCCCAAAAAGUAAAGAUGACAUCGAAGUAUAUGUUCUAGGUUCUUGAGUUUAUUGGUUUAUAUUCAUUAAAAUCCCAAAGUUAAGGAGUUGAAAUUGAUUAGACAUAUCUGUAAAUUAGAAUACUGUAUGACUUUGGCAACUUAAAUCUAGUUGUGAGUAAGCAAAUCAAUUAGUUAUUAGCUAUUUAAUUACUGGUUUUUGGAUAUUGUAUCACUAAUUUUUAAGUAUUGUGAGAUGGAUUUUAAGUAUUGUGUGAGUUAAUUAUUGCGUCUUUGGCUUUUAGGUAUUACGUGACUGAUUUUUAGGCAAUGCCUAAAAACUAGUUACGCAAUGCCUUACUAAUUAAUCACGCAAUGCCUUACUAACUAGUCACGCAAUGCCUAUCAACCAGUCACGUAAUACUUAAAAAUUAGUCACACAAUGCUUAAAAACUAGUUACGCAAUGUCCAAAAACUAAUUACGUAAAACUUAAAAACAACCAAAACUACUGAAUUCCAUUUUAUAAAAUCAACAAUUUUAAACAACACAACAUAUUCCAUUUAACAAUAUAAUCAACAAAUAUGCCUACUUGGCGAAGAAUGCUUAAAAUGCUUAAAGGCUUUUCUUCAUGUAUCAAAAAUCACUCCAAAAUGCUUAAAAUGCUCAAAAUGUUCAAAGGUUUUUCUUCGUGUAUCAAAAACCACUCCAAAAUGCUCAAAAUACUUAAAAGUUUUUCUUUCUGGUAAGAAAUGCUCUAAAGAUGAAUGGUUUAGCGAAUAAAGCUCAAAGGAUAUGAGUCUGUUUGAGGCGCGAACCUAAACAUAUGAGUCGGUUUUAUUAAGGAUAAUUUUAUCCAAAAUUAAUUUCUUUUGACAAAAAAUAGUUAAAAUUAUAACGAGAGCUAUUUUCAAGAUCACCUUAUUUAUGAGGGGUAUUUUUGAAAUGAACCCUUAAAACAAAUAAUAUGCAUUAAAUCACCUUAUUAUCUGCAAGUUUAUUUGUCCAAUCACGCUCCUUGUCCAGACCGGGCCAAAUUUCUGUCCGAGAAAAUCUCUUCCGUCAGAGAAAAUUACUAGUUACACCGUAGCUGUCCGAACCGUAGCAGCCUCAUUACAGCUGUCUAAGAUCUCCACUAGUUAUACCGUCCGAAAUCAAGACAAGGCUCUUAUCAUAGUAUCGCAAUAAGGCUGCUCUAUAAUUAUAGCUGACAAAAAUUUUACUUGAAUAUGAUUUAAUCACGAAAUUCUAAGCCCUCCAUUUCUGUUUAUACUAGGUUUGGCUAGCUACCUGUGGCGGCUGGGGUCUCCUUGAACUCCAACAAACACUUUUAAUGUCUCGUUUGACUACAAGAAUCAUCUAAAAUGAGAAUGGUAAAGCUUUUGUUUGAUUCAUGGAAUAUUUAGAAGAAAUAAAGAGAAAUAGGGAUAUAUACCAAAUUUGCCACUAUAUUAUGGUUUAAUCUUCCCACCGUCCUUAAAUUGCUUUAAAUUUUGCCAUCCUACGUUUAUUUUGAUUAAUUUUUGAACAAAAAUUAAUAGUGAAAAAAUAUUUCAUUUAUACAGUUGAAAUAAGUUUUCAAAAACAAUGUGUCAUAAUUUUUUUUAUUGCCAAUUGUCAUUUCUUUUAUUUUUUGUUCAUAGAAAAAUACCCGAGAUAAUGGUCAUGGAACCUCAUAUGUACUAUUUCAUUAAUUUUUAUUCAAAUUUAGGCUAAAACAUAAGAUCUCAGACCGAGCCAAAUUCCAAAUUCCAAAACCUGGUCAUAAAUCAUACACAUUAAAUCACCAGAUUGUCUCCAAUUUUAUUUAUCCAAUCACGCUGCUUGUCCAGACCGAACCAAAUUCCAAAUUCCAAUACCUGGCCAUAAAUCAUAUUAUACUGUCUAAAUUCCAAAUUCCAAUACUAGUAUUCCAAGUUCCAAAUUAAAGCUGUCUUAAGAUCUUGUUACAGCUGUCUUAAGAUCUCCACUAAUUAUACUGUCGGAAGCCAAGACAAGGCUCUUUAGGCAAUAAGGCUGUCCGGGUUCAGAGCAUGUUCAAAUCCUUAUAAAUUAAAGCCGACAUUAAACAGCAUUCUUACAUUAAACAGGUAUUUAUAGGAAUGCAAUGAAGAAUCUUUCGACUACAUAACAGAGAAAGGAUAAUAAUUAAAUAGUGAUCAACAAUUAACAGCGGGAAUAAAACUGGUCAUGUUUUAGCACGAGGAAAUUAAAUAGGAAAUGAUAAAAAAAAUAGGUGUUUCCGUCUUGUUAUUCAAAUUAUUAAUUUUCAAAAUUUAUUUACUUAUAUAAGCAUCAUCCUACCAAAUAGUAGAACCUAUGGAUAUGCAUGUUUAUUGAGGAUUUGAACUACAGAUUUAAAGAAGGAUAGAGCUCGCAAAGUUGAUCCAAACCACAAAAAAAUGUUUUGAUUCAUUCAAAUUCAAAUCAAAUCUAAUUCGAUUUCAUCACAAAAAUGUUGAAGAAAUGACCCUUUAUCUACAAAUUCAAUAGCAGAUAAAUAUGGCGGGAAUCAACUAAUGACUGAAUAUUCAAGAAGGCUUAGUUGCAUACGGUAUCAUUUGUUUCCUUGUUAAGUUUAAAAGUGUCUAAACAUUGGUUAUUAUGUUAUUUUAUUUCUUUUAAUUAGUUGUGGUGAAACGAUAGACAGUCAAGCUGUUUUGGUUGUCUUGUUUAGUUGUGCAACACUUUUUUGUGUCGUUUUAAGUCAUGUUCGUUUAUUUUCCCUAUAUGCACAUUAAUGCUAUCAUUUUGUUGCUUCUAUUAAAGGCUUAACAACCAUAUUUGCUAUUCCGAGUUUGUUAUUGUUUUGUGUUGUCAUUUUGUGCUUAGCCGACUUACCUUGAUUUAGUCUCCCAAGGCUAAAUCUAAGGGCUUUGCAAAUAUUUUGGAGAGUAUAUAAACGAAAAAUGCAACCGUUAUGGUGUGGUUGCCUCUGAUUCUCUAGUUCAUAGCUUCUUCUUUAUUUUUCUCUACUAUUCUAGCUUUUUCAAUUUUUAUUCAGAAAGUUUCUCUUCAAAACUUCUUCAUGGUAUCAAAGCGUUAUUCUUAAGGGACCUAUUGUUUGUUUUGAAAAUCAGCUCUUGAAAGCUCAUUAGUUGAUUAGAGUUAAGUGUCAAUGGCUAUUAUAGGCUUUUCAACUUCAUCACCACCAAUUUUCUCAAGUUUAAACUACUAGAUAUAGGCAGUAAAGAUGAGAUCGUAUCUCAAAGUUUUGGAUAUUUGGGAAAUAGUUAAAACUGGAGAACUUCUAGUACAAAGGCACGCAGAUCCUACACUAGCACAAAUGAAGCAGCACAGUGAGGAGGCUGCAAAGAGGCAUAAGGCUUUGUCUUGCCUUAAAUCUGCAAUUUUUGAUGCUAUAGUUGCAAGAAUUAUAACUUUGAUGAUCCUAAACUUGUUUAGGAUACACUAAGGGAUGAGUUUCAUGGGAAUGACAGAACCAAGAUCAUUUAGAUACUAAAUCCAUCAAAGGAAUUUGAGCUUAUAAAGAUGAAGAACGAAGAAGGAAUUCAGGCUUAUGCAAACAGAGUAUUAAAGGUUGUGAACCAAUAAAGACUUCUUAGAGAAGAAGUGACUGAUAGAAGAGUAGUGAAUACGUUUCUUAUAAGUCUACUAGAGGUUUGAAGUUAAAAUAUCCUCUCUAAAAGUCUCUAAGAACUUAACGAAAAUCUCAAUAAAUGAGCUCAUAAAUGAUCUAUUAGCCCAAGAGCAAAGGAAAGCUCUUAGAGGAGAAGAGUUGGUUGAAAAUGCCUUAGUGGCAAAGACUAAGGGUCUAAAAGUCAGAAGAAAUAACUCCAAGAAGGCUUAAGCAAAAGGUAAAAAAACUAGUGAAAGGAAGCAGGGUAAGUUAGUAGAUAAAUACCCACUUUACCUUAACUGUAAGAAGAGGAAUCAUACAAUAAGAUAUUGUUGGUAUAGGCCCAAUGUUAAAUGCAGGGCAUGCCAACAAAUGGGACAUGUUGAGAAGCUCUGCAAAGCUAAAAAAUCAGAAGGUGUAGGUUAAACUGUAGUAGUUGAACAGAAUGAAGGAGCUGAAAAAGUCCUGUUCAUGGCCACAACAGGUGAGGAUUCUGGUAAAACAAGUAUUUGGAUGAUUGAUAGUGCUUGUUCACAUCACUUUACUAGCAACAGAUCUUUGUUCACAAAACUUGAUACUAGUUUUGAAUCUAUAGUUGAAAAUGGAAAUGGUGAUUUCUUGAAAAUCAUUGGUAUUGCUACUAUGGCUAUAGAAACUGUAUUAGGUACAGAAUACAUCACCAGUGUUCAUUAUGUCCCUAGGGCAAGUCAAAAUUUGCUAACUAUAGGUCAAUUGACAGAUAGUAAUCAUGCGUUACUGUUCAAGGGCAAAUAUUGUACUAUUUUUCAUCCUCUGGGUAUUGAGUUGUUUACUGUUGAGAUGAAAAACAAUUGUUAUCCUUCGAGCUUAUGUAAAACCAAUCAUUUAGCUUUCUAUAGUCAAAGGGAUGUAUUUGAACUCUAGCACAGAAAGUUAGGACAUGUGAAUUAUAAUUCAUUGUCACUUAUAGCUUCAUAAGAGCUUGUUGAAGGCCUACCUGGAAUCACAAAACUAGACAAACUUUGCCAAGCAUGUCAUUUUGGUAAGCAAACAAAAAAGCCCUUUCCCAAGAAAAGCAAAUAGAGAGCUACUCAAAAAUUGGAUUGGAUUCAUACUAACAUAAGUGGUCCAAUGUAGACUCCAUCAUUGACUGGUAGUGGAUUUUAUAUUCUUUUUAUUAAUGAUUUGACAAUAUUUUACUAGGUUUACUUUAUGAAACAGAAGUCAAAGGUCUAGUUCAUUUCAAAAAAUUCAAGGCAUUAGUUGAAAACUAUACCAAUAUGAAUAUUAAAACAUUAAGAAGUGACAUCAGAGCUGAGUACACAACAAAGCAGUUUGAGACAUUUCUGGUAGACCUUGGUGCUCAACAUUAACUCACAGUGACUUAUAGCCUACAACAGAAUGGUAAGUCAGAAAGAAAGAAUAAAACUUUUGCUCAAAUGGGUAAAUGUUUGUUAUAUCAGAUGAAUCUGCCAAAACAAUUUUGGACAGAAGUAGUAUACUGCUAAUUAUAUAUUGAAUAAGGUUUACACAAGAAUCAUAACUCAGAAAACUCCAUUUGAGAUGUGGUAUGAACAAAAACCAUUUAUUUUAUACCUAAAAACUUUAGGGGAUGUAUGCUUUGCCAAAAUUCUUGAUGAAAAGAAAUCCAAAUUUGAUUCUACGUUUGUUACAACUUUGGAUAUUGGCUAUAAUGAAUUGUCUAUAGGUUAUAGACUUUAUGACCUUGAAUCAAAAAGGUGUUCAUAAGUAGGGAUGUCAUUUUUUAGGAAGAAAAAAGUUGGAAUUGGAAAAUUGGAACUGUAGAAAGCUUAGAAAAUGUAGUUAUGUAUGAUGAAAGUCAUGUGCAGAUUAAAACUAAUGAUGACUUAUCAAAUAUUGAAGCUGAAGGCAAUACAAUUAGAGGUACAAGAUCAUUGGAGGAUAUUUGUAACAGAUGUAACAUGGCCAUAUUAGAACCUACUAGUGUCAAAAAGCCAAUUUUGACAACAACUAGAAAGUUGUAAUGGAUAAUGAAAUGAAAAUGAUUACCAAAAAUGGAACAUUAAUCUUGGUUGAUAAGCCAGAAGAUAAGAAUGUGAUUAGAAUGAAGUGGAUAUUCAAAACAAAACUCAAUCUAGAUGGCUCAACAAACAAAUUCAAAGCAAGACUACUUGUUAAAAGAUAUGCUCAAGUGUAUAAGGUUGAUUAUAUGGAAAUUUUUGCUCUUAUGCCAAGACAUGACACCAUUACGAUGCUUGUUGCUUGUCCAAUUAAGGAGGGAUGGAAAAUAUAUCACUUGGAUGUCAAAUCAGCAUUUCUUAAUGAAUACCUAACUAAGGACAUUUAUGUGGAACAACCUAAUCGCUAUGACGUGAAAGGAGCAGAAAAUAAGGUUUAUAAAUUAGUCAAAGCCUUGUAUGGCUUGAAGCACGCACCUAGAGCCUAGUAUGAAAGAGUUGAUAAACACUUCAUGAACCAAGGGUUCCAAAAAAGUGUAAAUGAGUCUACAUUAUAUAAAAAAAGCUCAAAGGAUUCCGUGUUACGUAUAAUAGCACUUUAUGUUGAUGAUCUUUUGAUCAUUGGUCUUUGAGGUGAAUAGUUUAAGGAAUUUAAAAUUUAAAUGAUGAAUGAGUUUGAAAUGACAGAUUUGGGGUUGCUGGCAUACUUUUUGGGAAUGGAAGUUGUACAAGCUACUGAUCAGGUUUGUUUACAUUAGGCCAAGUAUGCAAAAGAUCUAUUAAACAAACUUAAUAUGAGCUCUUACAAAGUUGUCAAUACUCUACUUGCUUUAAGGUUAAAACUAUGCAUAGAAUAUGGUUAUUUCAAAGCAAAUGGACUAAUUUACAGAAGUAUUGUUGGUUCUCUUCUUUACUUAUCAGCAACUAGGCUUGAUACCAUAUUUACUACAAGUCUAUUAUCCAAAUUUAUCUAAGACCCUUCAAAGUUACACUUUACUACAGCAAAAAGAAUCUUUAGGUAUGUCAAAGGUGUGAGACCUCAACCUCUAUAGGCUUGUAACUAGGCAUAGACACAAUAACAUAGGCUAGGGGUAGUUUCGUUAUUUUCUCUAAUAAGCUCCCAGAAUAAAGUUUAAUGAUAUUUUAAGGUCUAAAUAGGCAUAAGACCGCAUAAAUGAUGUGUAAUGAUGAAAACAAGAAAACUAGAAAUGACAAUAAUUUUCAUAAUAGGGGCAAAAUGGUCAUUUUGCACCCGAGUCAAACUUUUAAAAGUUUCUCAACCCCGAGCAUGUUUAGACCAUUAUGGACUUAGUCUCAGUGUUAAAAGAGUAAAAAGAUUGCACAAAGGGUUGCAUAAGAACAAGCUAACUAGUCAAGGGCAUUUUUGUAAUUUCAAAGGAAUGGAUAAAUUUGAGCUAUAAAUAUCUUCUCCUUCCAGCAACUUCUUGAAAUUCCAGCAGCUUCUUCUUUUUUUUCUCCUCUCAAUUCACGUUACUUCCAACCUCCAUGGAAGCUUGAUAUGGAGCUUGCAUAAUUUUCUCUCUAGCUUUAAUUUUCAUACCUUUGUGCCCUUUUAACUAAAAUCUUUGUAUUCUUUCACUCUUUCACUUCAAAACCCUUGAUAAAUCUUAUUUCCAUACUUUCUCUCACUAGUUGGGCAUUCUAGAGAGAGAAAGAGAGAAUUACCCCAUUUGUUUGGAAGCAAUUGGAAGAGAAUUCAACUACAAAGAAACCCUAGGGUGAGUGAUGAACUAAGCUUUGUUUUUAGCUAUGGAUAAUGGCUAGUAAUUGGGAUUAUGAGCUACUUUAUUUUUUAUAAUGUUCAUUCAUUUUAUAGUGAUUAAGAUAGUAAACAUAGAUAGCCAUUUAAAGUGGCAAUUGAAAGCUUUCUAAGGGAUAGCUUUUAGGGUUUAUAAGUAUGAAUUGACAUUAUGGUAAUGUUAAUUUGAUGGUAGGUUCUAACAAAGCCCCAUCACCCCAAUUGGAUCAUUAGGGGAAUUAGAGUCAACUAAGGGCUCAACAAUAUACCGGUGAGUGAACUGUCUUCGAAACUUGUUUUGGGGAAUAUAAUGUAUUUGCCACACAUUUGAAUGAAUUAUCAAGUUUUUCAUAAAACAAGUGCCUUGGGAACAAGCUUUUGCUAAAUGGUAUUAUGUUGUGAUAUGUGAUUGCUAUGGAUUCAUGCAUUAUUGCAUUAUGAUGAUAUAUAUAUAUAUGUGUGAUGUGCAUGAUGAUCGAUAUUGUGUAUGAUGACUGUAACCGUGUGUGUGCACGAUGUGGGGGGAUGCACAUGUCGAUGAUGAUGGUGGCAUGAGAGAUGGAUGAUGAUAGUGCCCAUGUGCACGAUGUGGGGGGAUGUACAUGAGCCGGGUGUGAUUAUGAUAAUAUUGAUGUUUAUCUAUAUAUUUAUGCAUAUCUAUGCUUACGAAAUGAAAGCUCAUGAACAUGAUAUAUGAUGGAAACGCAUGUGAAAUUGAUAUGUUGCACUUUAGGAAUUUUCAUGUGUUUCAUGUUGAUUUUGUUGGUUUAGCAGAAUGGCCUUUUAUUGAGUAAAAGGAAACCUUUUUCUUGAUGCUCUAUUUCUCGCUGCAGCGAGAUUCAUUUUCGUUACAGAGAGAAACUCUCGGGUUUUUAAGGGGUUGGCUGACCGAAAACUCGCUGCAGCGAGAAAGGUACUGUAGCUUCUCACUGCAGUGAGAAAUUUUCUGUUUUGUGACCAAAAUUUCGCUGCAGCGAGAUUGAAUCUCGUUACAGCAAAAAACUUUCUGUUUUGCUCCUCCUUUGGUUCGAUUGUUGCCUUGUUUUCCACUUCUUUGAUACCAUAGUUGAGCAUGGACUUCCAACAUUAUAGAAUCAAUGAUUUAAGUUUAAAAUGAGGAGGUUUGGUGAGAAACCCUUGUUCGGUUAAUAACUUAAAUCCCAACGUCACUGUAGCGAAGAUUCGUUGUCACACUUGACUUGUUUGCGUAUCACUAAACCUUCAUUUUUCAACUUAUUUGUUAUGUAUGGGUUCAUCAUUACCAAGUGAUUAAUCAUUUAAGGGUUUGAUAAGGAGUUUUUAAUAUGAAUGAAAUUAAAUUGCAUUGUUUUAAAACAAAUGCAUCAUGAUUUUAAAUUCUUCCUUAUUGUUGCUUGUUCCUUUCCUUGUUCACUCACUAGAUUUAUACUCACUAUUUUCAACUUCAUGUUUUCAGAUCAAGAGGCAGCCGGUAACUAGGACGAGGUGUCCUCGUAAACUUGUAUUCAUCUUUUGGUAGGUGUCUCGGCAUUCAGUAGCGGUACAUUCGUCCGAGUCUUUUCGCUGGAAGUCGAGUAUUCUUUUGUUGUGUAUAGGCAAACCUAAUGUAAAUUAUUAAGAUACAUAUUCUAAACAAUGUAUAUACACUUUUUUGGUAUGCCAGUAUGAGGUGGAAGUGUUUAAUAUUAUUUUGAUCCUAAGUUAUGAAAUAUGACUUAGCAGUUUAUGAUAGAAUGAUGAACAUGUCAAAUUAAUAGGUUGGCUUGGGCUUAGUGGACUACAUCCAUUGGGCUCAUGCGUCGGUCAUGGCCCGAAAUUUGGGUCGUGACAAAAGGUACACCCAAUUUUGGCUUGAGAUAUUUAAAACAUGAAAGCAGUUGGUUACUAGGCUAUAGUGAUAGUGCUUGGGGUAGUUCAUUGGAUGACUCAAAGAGCAUAGGAGGAUUCUGCUUCUCAUUGGAUAGUGUCGUCUUUACAUGGAAUGUGGAAAAAAAAGUUAUGGCAGCACAAUCUUCAAUUGAAGUAGAAUACAUUUGCUUGUGUUGCUAUUGCAAAUCAUGCCUUGUGGUUGAGAAACGUACUAUUGUUCAAAUAGAAGAAAGGUACUCUGAUUUAUGUUAAUAAUUUAUCUACAAUUGCUAUAGUUAGAAACCCUAUUCAGCAAGGCAAAACAAAACAUAUCAAGGUUAAAGACCACACAUUGAGAAAGGCUGUGAAGGAAAAUGAUAUUGACCUACAACAAUGUCAUAUUGAUGAAAAACGAACUGAUAUUUUCGCUAAGGGCUUGGGAAGAAAGAGGUUUAAGUAUUUGAGAACAUGUUUGGGAGUUCACCUGAUCAAGGAUCAUGGGCCAUGUUGAAGAAAUGACCCGUCAUUUGGAAAUUCAAUAACAGAUAAAUAUGGCAGGAAUCAACUGAUGACUGAAGAUUGAAGAAGGUUUAGUUGCAUACGGUGUGGUUUGUUUCCUUGUCAAGUUUAAAAGUGUCUAAACAUUGGUUAUUAUGUCAUUUUUUUUCUUUUAAUUAGUUGUGGUGAAAUGAAAGACAGUUAAGCCAUUUUGGUUGUCUUGUUUAGCUGCGCAACACUUCUUUGUGUCGUGUAGGUCAUGUUCUUUUAUUUUCCCCAUAUGCACAUUAGUGCUGUCGUUUUGUUGCUUCUGUUAAAGGCUUAACAGCCAUAUUUGCUAUUUUGAGUUUGUUACCAUUGUUCUUAUACAAAAAACAAUACAUUGUUUUCUGUGCUUAGCUAACUUACCUCAAUUUAGUCUCCCAAGGUUGAAUUUAAGAGCUUUGCAAAUAUUUUGGAGAAUAUAUAAAUGAAAAUGCAACUGUUAUGGUGUGGUUGCCUUUAAUUCUCUAGUUCAUAGCUUCUUCGUUAUUUUUCUUUAUUGUUCAAGCUUCUUUAAUUUUUUUUUAGAAAGUUUCUCUUCAAAAAAGUCAAUAAUCUAAAUAGGAACUCGAAUCUAAAAUGACUCAAACUUGAAGUGAGUUAAACCCUAACAACUCGAAUAAUUAACUUGAAAUAACUUAAGUCUUAAUAAUUCGUCCUAAUCUAAUUCCAUUUCACUUUAAAAUACUCAACAACUUGAACUUGAAAUAACUUGAACAUAAAACUGACUCAAACAGAAAGAUGACUUGAAUUUAAGGUCAUUCCAUCCUUAAACUCUGAUACAAAAUUACUUAAUUAAUUUAGAUUUGUUUUACCACUAAAUUCAAUCACAGUAAGUAAACUAUCACAAUUCAUGUCACAAAUUUGAUUACAAUUAGAAAAAGAACUGUAACAAUGCUGUCACUAAUUUUGGUCUAAAAAUUGAAUAAAUGUCUCAAGUCCCAUGACAAUUGUUGGUCACAAACAUCCACUUAAAACAAUCCAAACUAGAACUCCAUCGAACUCGAAUGGACCAAAAAGUCUAAGACCUUAAUCUAAAGAAACCCAAAUUCGAGAAAACUUGAAGUUGAAAGAAUUUGAACUCGAAAUCACUCGAAUCCAAAACCGAUCAGAUCUAAAGUUGUAAUAAUCUAAACACCACUAAAAAUCCAAAUUUUAAUUAAUAAUUUUGUUCUAACUUGAACCUGAACCUAAAAUGAUUCGAAUUCAAAUUCAAAAUGAAAUAAGCCCCGAAUGACUCGAUUGAAUUAUUUAACAUAUUUUGAAUGGAAGUAACAUAUUUAUAUAUGGUCAAAGUACUUAAAUAGUCCCUAUACCUAUGCAUUUUCUUCAAUUUAGUCCUUGUGCUCAAAAUCUAGUCAAUUUAAUCUCUCAAUUUUGGAAAUUGAAACAAUUUAGUUCUUACACCUAACUCCAUCCAAUUUUAUAGUUAAAAGUGAUGUCAUAGAUGCUAAUGUGGCACUAAAGUGGUAGAUUUGUUGACAUGGCAAUGCCACGUGACACCAACAUGAUGACAUUGUAGUGCCACGUGGCACUGACAUGAUGACAUUAUGGUGCCACGUGGCAAUGCUAACAUGGCAAAAUGAGAAAACAAUUUAAGAAAAAAUCUAUGCCAUGUGAUAGGGACUAAAUUGAGCAAAAAUAUACAAUAUAGGAACUAAAUUGAACAAAAUUGAGGUAUUUAGGGACUAAAUUGAAAAAAAAUAUUUUAAAAAAUGUAAAUCUUUGAGUAGAUGACACAUAUGCUUAUUAAUAAGCCAAAUGUUUAAGUGUAAAAGAUUUAUGGUGUUAAGAAAUAUAUAUAAAUAUUUUCUUACCUGAUUAUUUGAUUCCAUAGUAGGUACACUAAUUUAUAGUCAAAUUACCCAUAUAGUACUUGUACCCAUGAAUUUUUGUCAAUUUAGUCCUUCUACUCAAAAUAUGAUCAAUUUAGUCCCUCAAUUUUUGGAAUUGGAACAAUUUAGUCCCUGCCCCUAACGUCGUCUAAUUUUGCUGUUAGAGGUGAUGAUGUCAACAUUGACAUGGCAGUGCCAUGUGGUACUAACAUGAUGUUGGGAUAAGCCCUACAACCAAUGAGAUUGGGCAAGACUUGGUGCCAUCAUGCAAUGAUAUCAUUCAUAUUGAAUGAUUAGAGGCUUUUCUUCAUCAAUAAGACAUUAAUUAUAUUGAGUUAUAAGUUUAAUUAAAUGAGGUCCAUGAGAUUAAUAUGCCUUGCAAGGGAACUAUAAUAGGUUGUAGUUAUGAGAUCCCUAUGCAUUAAAGCAUAAUCCCAAAAUAUUCCUUGUCAAUGUAUCAUUGAGACUGAACAUCAAUGAUGCUUAGAGACUAGUACAUCUUAUGUUUCUUACUUUGGAAGUAAGUAAUUGAUCUCAUAGAUUGAAGUAUAAAGAUACUUGGAACUAAAAUGGAGGUACGUGCCCAAGAGAGCAAGUUCACUAAACAUGACCCGCCAUGAGAAGAGCAUUUGGUAGUACACUCCUAUGUCUAUGUAACAUAACUCAUGUCUCAGUCGUGUAAAUACUCCUUAUACUUGAGACACUAGCUUGUCUUAUAUGUGGAAUGCUAUGCUUUUAUUUCAUCCUUACGGGUGCCUAACGAAGGAUGCCUAAACAGGAUGUUUUUGGAUAUAGUAUGAAGCAUGUGAAGGCAAAUGAGUGUCAAGAUAGAAAUCAUUACCUCAAGUGGUUUUAGAGGACAUAUCCUAUCAAUUCUUAGUUAACAUUAGCUUAUUAAAGUCCUUGGCCAAGACAACUUGGAGAUUAUGAAAAAUGGUUCAUAAAUCUCUAUAAAGCUAAUGCCAUAACUACAGGAAUGAAUAUGGAGGUCAAUAAGAGUAAACAUUGUACGAAACUCUUACUAUCUCUAGGAUAUAUGAUGAUGGAAUGAAUUACACUGAUAGACUAUACUCUGAAAGGUUGUCAAAGAACCCUUUGACUCUCUUAGCAAUUGGGUGGCCAUGAUGCAUUGCUAGAUGCCAAUCUUGGUCUAUGGAAUUGAUUAUAAAUUAAUUGAUUGAAAUUUAUAUUAAUAAAUUAAGUCAUUAAUCAAUUCCAUUGCCAACAUUUUAGGAACCUAAUGGGUCAUAGGCAAUGAUUGCAUUUGAAUUAAAUUAGGAGAUUGCUAUUCCGAUAAGAAGAAUGUUGGCAUGGUUGGCUUAUGAUUUUAUGAUUUUAUAUGCCAUUCUAUGUGAUAAAAUAUUACCAUGGUGAUCCAUGGGUGGAGGUAUGUUUUGUUUUUAAAGUUUUAAUUUUUCUUUCCGCUACUUAUUUUUUACCAUGUCGUCCAUAGCCAAACCCAACACAUGAUGAGGUGGUAGUGUCAUGUGGCAUUGAAUGAUGAUUUGGCAUUGGCAUGCUAACAUGGCAGAUCAAGAAAAAAGUUUUUCCAGAAAAAUAUGUGCCAUGUCAUAGGAACUAAAUUAAACAAAAAUGUAUAAUACAUGAACUGAAUUGAAUAAAAUUUAGGUGUUUAAGGAAUAAAUUAAAAAAAAUUAAAAAAUAUAAAUCUUUGAAUAGAUGUGAGACCUUGACCUUUAUAGGCCCGUAACUAGGUGUAGAUGCGAUAACACAAGCCAAAGGUAAUUUCGUAAUUUCUUUAGUGAGCCCUUGGAAGUAUGCUUUCAAACAUUAUUAAGACCUAAGUAGGCCUAAGGCAUAAAUGAAUGAUGAAAAUAAGGGUAAAAUGAUGAAGGAAAUAAAAAUAAUGAUGAUUUCCACGAUAAGGGCAAAAUGGUCAUUUUUCAUCUCGAGUCAAAAUUUUAAGUUUUUGUGAACCUAAGUAAUUUUAGACCAUUAUGAACCUUGUCCCAGUGUCAAAAGAGUAAAAAGAUUGCACAAAGGAUUGGAGGAGAGCAAGCCAACUUGUUAAGGGUAUUUUCGUUAUUUAAGAAGAGAUUGGAUAAGCUUUAGCUAUAAAUAUCAUUUGUUUCCGUAGCUUUUUCAUUUCUCCAACAGCUUCUUCUUCUUCUUCCUCCUAUCUCACGUUACUUUCAUCCUCCAAGGAAGCUUGUUUUGAAACCUUCAUAACUUCUCACAAGCUAGCUCCAAUUUUCGUGCUUUUAUGCACCCUUUCAUAGAACCUCUUUUGCUCUUUCACUCUCUCACUUUAAAACCAUUGAAAAGUCUUACUUCCAUACUUUCUCUCACUAGCUAGGUGUUUUAGAGAGAGAAAGAGAGAGCUUCUAUAAUAGCUUGAAAUUUUUUGGAAGGAAUUUCAAGUACAAAGCUACCUAGGUGAGUAGUGACUUAGAGUUGUUUUUUAAGUGUUGAGAAUGGCUGGUGAAUAGACUUGUGAGUGUUUUGUAGUUGAGGUUGUUUAUUCAUUUUAGAGUGAUUAGGAUAGUGAAAAUAGAUAGCCACUUAAUGGCAAUUGGAAGCUAGUUAGGAGAUAGCUUUUAGAAUUUAUAGUUAUGUGAAUUGAGUAAAUUGUGAUGUUAUUAUGAUGAUAGGUUCCAACGAAGCCCCACCGCUCCAUUUGGACCAUUAGAGGAAGUUAGAGUUGGGUAAAGAUUUUACAAAUACCAGUGAAUGAACUUGCAUUUCAAAAUGUUUGGGAAGGUGCCUACAUGUUUAAAUGAAUCAUUUGAAAGUUCAUUUUUUUUUGCUUUCAAGAAAUAUACCUGGGGAACAAGCCUUUGGUGAAAUGUUUCUAUCUUGUGAAAAUAUACCAUAUAAAUGGUUCAUGCAUUAUCACAUUAUAUUGAUAUGUAUAUUAUGCAUUGGAUGUUCCUUUUUGUGUGAUAAUGAUGACCCAGCUAUGUGCGAGUGGGAGUGCAGAUGAGCUGAUGAUGACCCAGCUAUGUGCGAGUAGGGAGUGCACAUCAGCGGAGUGUGGUGGGAUGGUACGCAUGAUAAUGUGUAUAUAUAUAUAUAUGUCAUAGAAAGUUUAUGAACAUAUUUGUGAUUAUGUUUUAUGUUGACAUUGUUAAUUACUCUCAACUUGCUUUUCAUUUCAGCAAGAAAAUGGCUUUUGAUGUAACAAGACCCCUUUUAACAAAAUUGUUCUAUUUCUCACUGUAGCGAUAUUCAUUCUUGCUGCAGUAACAAACUCUCGGGUUGGAGGGAGGUUACACUAGCUUGAUUCUCAUUGCAGCAAGAAAUUUUCUGGAGAUUCUUGCUACAGCGAGAAACUCUCAGGUUCUGGUGCAGUGUUUUCACUUAGACAACUAUUUUGACCACCAUCCAAUCAGAACUGGGCAAAGUGGUAAACCUCAAAGUUAUAUUCCAGCCUCUUCGCUUUCUAAUGGUUCAAAAAUCAUGUCAAUUGGGCUUCUGUAAUAGGAGAUAUACUCGAAAACCCGAAACAUAUGCAAACUAAGGCUGUUUCUCGCUGCAGCAAGAAACUUGCUAUCAUGCUUGCUACCUUGCUUGAUUUUGACAUAUUUUUCACCCUUUUAACUUCAUGGAUUAAUCAUGGGUUCUUGCAACACUAUGAGGUUAUUAAUCAAAGUUUGAAAUAGGGGUUUUUAGUAAGAAAUUAAAUCAAUUGCAUUGUUUUUGAAACAAAUGCAUCAUGAUUUCCAAGUUCUCCUUAUCGAUUGCUUAUUCCCUUUUUCACUGAGUUUAUACCCACCUUUUUCAAAUUCAUGUUUUCAGAUCAGGAGGUAGUUGAGACGUAGAUUGAGGUGUCCACGUAUGUCCAUCUUUUGGUUGGUAUCAGUGGCAUUCAGUAGCUGCACAUUCACUAUGGUCACUUCGCUGGGAGUCUGAAGUUCUUUUUGUUGAACAUACAUACCCUGAUGUAAAUUGUUAAGACAUAUAUAUAUCUUAAGCAAUAGAUGUUUAUGUUGAUUAAUGUUGCCAUUACGAGAUGGCACGGAUGACAUUAUUUUGAAUCAUAUAAAUGUGAAUAUAUGAUUUCGAUAGAAAAGUAUUGAAAUACUCGUUGAUAAGAAUUACGAAAUACGGUUGUAAGAACGAAUGAUAAAAUCGAUGAAUGGAGUCACAUAGAUAGGCUUGCUUGGGCUUAGUGGGCUAUGUCCAUUGAGUUCAAGCGCCGGUCAUGGCCCGGGAUUUGGGUCAUGAUAGUAGAUGAUAUAUAUACAUAUUAAUAAGCCAAAUGUUUAAAUGUAACAAAUUUAUGGUGUUAAAAUAUAUAUAUAUAUAUAUAUAAAUAUUUUCUUACUUAAUUAUUUGAUAAGUUUGAAUUCUCCCACUAUAAAAAAAAUCCAAUAUUUCAUAGAGUUCUUUUAGAAAUAUCAUGAUUAAAAUCAUUAAUGAUCACUUAAAUUUUCUUUCUCUAUUAAACUUGAUAUUAUUUUUAAUGAGAUUAUAUUUGUGAAAUCCCACCCUAAGUAAAAGGAUAAGUUAAGAAACCCUCAUGUGAGCAUAUAGAUUUCAUGUUUUGAACAUCAAAUUAAGUUUCAACUUUAAAAAAGAAUUCAUUGUCACCUUAGUUGUUUGUCACCAUUGAAGCAAAAGAUUUUCUAAGUCCGAAUGGGGUCAAAUAUGUGAUUUUAUAGAACAAUCUUUUUGAAAUAAAAAAAAUUAUGGUAAUAAUUCCAUCGAUAUUUAUAUGACAAAAAAAUGAAUUUUUCAUAAUUUUUGGAAUAUGUUUGCUAUGGUAAAUGGGAGCCACAAAUUUAAAGUUAGUCAAACUUUUUUCAAUUUUGUUCUUGAAACCAAAAUUUAGAUUUUGAUUCCUUCAGAGUUUGAUUUUGUUGAUAUUUUAAUUGAGUUCAAAUAGGGGUGCUAAUUGAGAGUAAAAAGCAAAGAAGGAAAAUUGAGGACAUUUACUAAAAUUGUAUUUAAUCUAAAUAAGCAAACAAUAGGUUUUAUAGGCAAUCUGUCUCAAAAAUUGUAUUCUGUCUCAAAUGUAUCAAUACAUGUUCAUGAUGUAUCGAUACAUUUAGCCCAAAAAAGGGUUCUAAUGAACAUGUAUCGAUACUUGUUCAUAAUGUAUUGAUACAAUUUUCCUACAACCAAAUAUAUCAAUAACGGGCCAAAUGUAUUGAUACAUUUCGUCGUUUUCCAAAAAAUAAAAGAGGCAAAAAGGUAUUUUCACCCUCAAAACUAUAAAUAACUAGCAUGUUCCAACGGUUUGCAACCUUCAGACAUUUUUGCAAGGUAAACCCUUAACUCUAAAGCUCUCUCCACCCAUUUUUGGUCCAAAUCACCAUUUUUUAUGACUUAAAAGCUUUGUUUUGAGUUUUUAAGGGAAAAAAUGACAUUUUUAACUUCGAAAUCUUUAAAUCUUAAGCUUCUAGAACUAAAAAUGUUAUUUUGAUGCCAGAUUUUUCUGUGGGUUGUUAAAGCUCAAGGUUUUUGUGGUUUUACUAAACAUCUAAGCUCACCUAAGGUAAGGAUGAAGGACUUAUGGGUUUUUAGGGAUUUAUUUGGUUAAGUAGCAAUGUGUUUAAUUUUGAAAAUUAGAUUUAGCUGAAUCUGAAUAAUUUUGAAAAUGUUGGAAAUGAUUAUUGCAAAUUUUUGAGUCGAGAUAAUGAUUGUCAUGAUUGUUGUAUGCUAAGAAUGGUUGAAAACUCCAAGGAUUUUGCCGCAUAGGAGUAGUGAUUGGAACUAGAGGUUAGGUUUCCAAUUAGGUGAGUGGAUAUACAUUUUCAAGUAUUUCAAUAUGUAAAGUGAACAUAAUUUCUAUGGAAAUGAAUGCUUAUGCAUGAUAAAAUGUUAUUUCAAUAAAUGAUUUAUCAAAGGAUUUGAGUUUCAAGGUUUUCAAGUGGUUUUCAAAGAAUAUGAUGAAGAACUUGAUUUGAUAAUGAUUUGUAAUAUGAGAUGAUACAAUGAUUUUCAACUUGUUUCAAAAUCUACUAUGUAUGUAAAUAUUCUAUUAUGUAUUAGUUUUCAAUAGAGGGACAAAGCCUUUCAAUGAUUUUAAACUCUCUCAUUCAAUCACUUUGGCUUUUAGGCUAGUGUAGGUAUAUCGAGAUGCAUGUAAUGCCAAGACGAAUGAUAUGAUGUACAUGCUUGACAUGAUGUGGCAUGUAAGGUUUAAUGGGAGCAUUAGUUCCAUUUAUGAGUUUAUGACAUGUAUGCCAUGAAUUGUAUGCGUAAAGAAUAUCAUGUACACUAUGGGCUAAGCAUGAGAAUGUUUUAUGAGUUUAUGACAUGUAUGUCAUGCGUUGUAUGUGUUGAAGAUAUCAUGUACACUAUGGACUAAGCAUGAGGAUGAUCCAUGAGAUUAUGGAAAUAUAUGCCAUGAGAUGUAUGUGUUGAGAAGUCAUAUACACAAUGGGCUAAGUAUGAUGGUGAUUUAAGAAAUUUUAUGUGUUUGUGAUGUAAGUUAAGGAAGAGAACAAUCCUAAGAUUAAGGAAUCUUAUGACGAUAGUGGGGAUUGAUCAUUAUCUGCUUGAGUGAGGUGGAACCACUCAAAGAUUGUGGGUGUGGCUGAUGUGCCACUCACGCAGCUAAUGAUUGUUCAUGUGAGGUGAACUAGACGGUAAAAGAGACUUUGUGCACUACCUUCCUAAAUAGGGUGUUGGAGAUUUGAACUUCAGAUUUAAAGAGGGAUAGUUUGCAAAGUUGAUCCAAAGUAAAAAAAAAAUGUUUCAAUUCAUUCAAAUUCGAUUUCAUCAUAAAAAUGUUAAAAAAAUGACUCUUUAUCUAGAAAUUCAGUAGUAGAUAACUAAGGCGAGAAACAACCGAUGCUUGAUGAUUGAAGAAGGCUUAGUUGCAUAUAGUGUCGUUUGUUUCCUUGUCAAGUUUAAAACUGUCUAAACGUUGGUUAUUAUGUUGUUUUAUUUCUUUUAAUUAGUUGUAGUGAAACGGUAGACAGUUGAGCCAUUUUGGUUGUCUUGUUUAGUUAUGCAACACCUUUUUGUGUUGUUUAGGUCAUGUUCUUCUAUUUUCCCUGUACACACAUUAGUGCUAUCAUUUCGUUGCCUUUGUUAAAGAUUGAACAACCAUAUUUGCUAUUCUGAGUUUGUUAUCGUUCUGUGCUAUCAUUUUGUGCUUAACUGACUUGCCUCGAUUUAGUCUCCCAAGGUUGAAUCUAAAGGCUUUGCAAAUAUUACAUAUAUAAACAUAUAUAAACACAUACACCACCCCACUUCAUUAAUCAUUAUAGCCGGGUCAUCAUCAUCGGCUUAUGAGUAGUCCCUACUAGCACAUAGUUGGGUCAUCAUCGGCUUAUGCGCACUCUCUACUCGCACAUAACCGGGUCAUCAUCGGCUUAUGCGAACUCCCUACUCACAGAUAACCGGGUCACCAUCAGCUCAUGUGCACUCCCACAUCGCACAUAGUAGGGUCAUCAUUAUCAAACAGCAUUAUUCAUCAAUGCACAACACAUAUUUAUAUAUAUACAUACCAACAUAAUAUAGGAGCACAUGGAUUCAUCUUUUUACACAUUUCACAUUUUCACAACAUCAAAAUAUUUAUCAAGGGCUUGUUCCCAUGCAUAAUUUAAUGAAAACCAAGUAAAAUCAUUUAAAUGCUUCAUCUCAACGCAUAUGUAUUUCCCAAAAACACUUUGAUGCAAGUUCACUCACCGGUCUUGUUGAUUCUUUUGCUUGACUCUAACCUCGGCUAAUGCUCCAAAUGGAUAUGUGAGGCCUUGUUGGAACCUAUACACACAUAACAUCACAACCAACCUAAAUUGGCUUUAAUAUAAUUCCAAAAGCUCUUUCCUAAUCAAGUUCUAUUAGUUAUUCCUAACUAGCUUCCAAUUGCCAUUAAGUGGUUAGUUAUUCACACUACUCUAGUCACCCUAAGAGUGAAUAAACAACCUCAAUGAUAAAACACUCACAAACCCCAUUGUCAGCCAUUAUCAACAACUUGAAAAUUAAACCUAAUUCAUUACUCACCUUGGUGGUUUUUUUGUAGUUGAAUUCCUUUUCAAAAGCUUCCAAGCUAUUGUGGACAAUCUCCCUCUCUCUCUCCACCCAUCCAGCUAGUGAGAAAAUAUACCAAGGAAAGACCUUUAAGGGCCUUUGAGGUGUAGAAGAGAAAGAGUAUGAAAACUUUAUGAAAAAGUGUAGAAAAACACAAGGUUUAGGGUUACCAUGGGAGGCUUCCAUGGAAGAUGAAGAAAACAUGAAACGGAGAGAAGAGAGGGGAAAAAGAAGAAGAGUUGCUAGAAGCUGUUAGAAAUAUGCUAGAGCUUUAGAUAUUUAUAUCUAAAGUUUAUCCAUUUGUCACAUAAAUUACCAAAAUGCCCAUAACAUGGUGACUUUGUCUUCCUCCCAUCCUUUGCGCAACCUUUUACUCUUUUGACACUAGGGCAAGGUCCAUAAUAGUCUAGAAAUACUCAAGUUCACGAAAACAUAAAAAGUUAGACUCGAGAAGCAAAAUGAUAAUUUUGCCCCUACCGUGGAAAUUAUCAUUAUUUUUAUCUUCUUCCUUUAUUUUACUAUCAUAAACAUCAUUCAUUCAUUCCUUAGGCCAAUUUAGACCUUAAUAGCAUCAAAAAAACCCACUCGUACUAGCUCACCAAGAGAUAUUAUGAAAUUACCCCUAGUCCGCAUUAUCGCGUCUACUUCUACUUAUGUGUCUAUAGAGAUCGAGAUUUCACAGGUUCACUUCUGAAUUACCCUUUUUAACUCAGUAAUUAAUCUCUGUUGGCAUCUGUAAACUUUAUUAGCCACCAUAUCAAAAUACAAGGUACCACAAUGAGGAUGAGCAAUAGGGUGCAACCAUGAUUUAAGGGAGUAUUUUCUUUUCCUUAUUUUUCAUAACAUUAGGGACAAUGUUUACUUUAAGUGUUUUUUGGGGGGGGGGGGUUUAAAUUUUUAUGUGUAAAAUUUUUAUUAUUGAAGUUAAAUUAAGUUGUUUAGCAUGAUAAUUUAGGAGUAUGUGAAUUUAGGAAAUUGUUGAAAAACUAAAGCUAAAUUAGGGCACAAAUAAAAUUGAUUCACCUAUCUGAAAAUGAUAACUAAUUAUCUUGUUAAUCUUUUACUCUUAGUAAUCAUGAAUAUUGUUUCAAUGUCAUGUGAAGUCUUAUCUUAGCAUCAUGAUCGGAUGAAAUUUUCAUACUUGGGCAUUACAUCUCUUAUCUUGAAAUAUCAUGUCUCUUUAAAGAAAGUUUACGUAAAUGAAGAUUUAAGAACUAUGUUUAGAGUUUUAUAAAUUAUUUAAUUCUUCCUUGAGGCAAAAUCAUAUCGCUAUACUUAGUUAGGGAAAUGACUUAGGCCAUCCUUGGACUGAUUGAGCCUUUUAAACCAACUUUUUUACAUCUUUAUCCCUAGUAUGCCGUUUUGAGCUUAAAUUGUCCUUUCUUUGAUUUAACCCAUAAAUAAAAUUAGCUUAACCUUUGACAAAUUUCUCUCAUUUUUACAACCCUCACUCCUAAGCAUAUAUAUUGUUUUAGGAAAUGUAUGUUUAGACUAUUUGAUAAGAAAAGUGGAAAUGAUGAAAUGUAGAGAAACAUGCAAAAGGUUUUUAAUGUAUUCAUCCCACUAUUAAUGAAAAAACCAAGUUUAGGGGUGUUGAAAUAAAAAAAUAUAUAUUAUGUUGAAGGAAAAGUGAAAUUGAAAGAAAAAGGGCAUACUCAGUGAAGAAAAAUAAUGAUGCUAUAUAGGUCUUAAAACAAUUAUGUGUUUAGGGUGACUUAAGUUAUAUAUUAUCCCAUAUCCUAGCUCAACCCUAGCCACACACUACAAGCUGAAUAAAGUCCUAAGGAUCCUUAAUUUAUUAUUAGCUUACAUUAGUGGAGAGGGAGAUGAAAAACAACCUUAUGAAAUUUUAAACUAGUUUGAAGUUUGCAUGAGCAUAAACUUAUCCAAAGUGCAUGAGAUUCAUGGCAAGAGACUUCACACACACACACACACACACACAUGAGAAUUUAUCCAAAAAUCAGCUUGCAUUUGAAUAUAAUGUGAAUUUAGAUAAUAUUUAUGUUUUACUUUGAAUUGAAAAAACGAGAUAGUUUAUGAGGAAAUAAGAUGUUGUCAAUGGAUAGUUUAUGAGGAAAUUAAAUGUUGUCAAUGAAUUGGUGCAUCCGAUUUUGUUAGUUUGAUGUUUUCAAUUAUAUUAUUUUGUUUUCUUAGUUUUUGCUCGAGGACUAGCAAAAUAUUAAGUUUGGGUGUAAUAACUAUAUGAUAUAGAGUUAUUUUGCCGCAUUUUGACUAUAAAAAAAUAGCUAAGCCCUUGUGUUUUCAAGUUAAUUUUAGGUACUUUUUAUAUUUUUCUUUAUUUAGUUUAAUGCAUGUUGAAUUAUUUUUAAUCUGAGUAAUUUGAGCUCAUUUUCAUAUCAAAAGUCUUACUUUGAGAAAUCAGUAAUUUAUUCUCUAUUUUGAAUGUUCUCAACUGUAAAAAGCUUCAUGGAAGUGAAAUGUGCAAAAUGAUUAGGUGCAGAAUUUGCUGAAUAUGUUGCGGUAUUUCUUCCAUAACUCUCUUUAAAGAACUUCAAAUGAUGUGAUUCUUUAACUACUAGAAAGUUGAGAGGAAGGACUACAACUUUUUUGUUUAUCACAUUGCCUUUUUUCAAUUGGAAAGUGGUUAAAAUUUGUGUCAAAUAGAGAGUACUGCACCAAGAAAGUAAAACAAAGAUAGAACACUUGAGAGCCAUGGCGCUGAAAGGAAUUUGUGGCAAACUUCAAAGUUAGAAAUGUUGAGAGCUACAGCACUGGAGCCUAUUUCCAAAAAUAACUGUCUAACGGGAAAUUUGGAAAUCAAGUUAAUUUGUGCUUAUUUAAGGGACUUUUUCAAAGAAUUUUAGAGAGACAACAACAACAACUAGUUUGGAGAAUUGGAGCUAAGAAUCAAGCAAGAGAACAACAGAAAUUGAGAGAGAUUUGAGAUAAAAAAGCUUCAACAUUAUUUUCUUUCUUUAUUUUGAGUUUUUCUUAUUUCCUUUGACUUGAAUUCAUGGCUAAAUUUCUUUGGAUAAUAUUUUACUUAGAAAUCAUGAACUAAUUUGUUUUUCGAGGAUUAUGGUGGAUUUUAACAUAUAGUUUGAAUAUUAGUUUCUCUUUUAUUUAUCAUGAAUGGAUAUAGUUUUGCUUAUUCAAAUAUGUUCUUAAUGCUUUUAAUUGUUUGGUAAACAAUUAACUAAUUUGUAAAUCUAAUUGAGACUCGACAGAGAGAUUUUAGAUUGACUAAGAUUUGAAUAGUGCAUGUUCAUGCCACUUAGGUGAUCAUGAUGUGGGUAGACGUAUGCCAAUUGCCAUAUAUAGCCAAAUUAGGACACUAGCUUAAUGAACUUAAUUUAAUUGAUUCCUAUAAACAUAUAGUUAACUAAUUAAGUUAGUUAUUUGUGCAAGCAUCUAGAUGGAGACUUGUACAUAGCAUUGGAUUUUAAGCUAGUAAAACCACCCACGAAAGUAAAUAAUAAGAGAAACUGGUAUCAAAUAAAGUAUUAAAUGAACCCAUAAUCCUAGGUCUUUAGUCAGUGGUCUUUCUCAAGUAACUUUAAUUUUUGUUAUUUAAUUUAGUGUUUAUUUUUAUUUAGUAUUAAUUAAUUUUCUUAAAAUUUUAGUUAUUUAAAUAAGAUGAUUUGUUAUAAAAUUUUAGUACUUAGUAAAACUUUAAGAACAAAUCCCUAUUGGGAACAGUACUCUACUUAUUACUAUAUUACUUAUUUACGAUACCGUGCACUCAUGUGAAAACUCAACAACACUCAUACAAGCACCUUGUGCUGUGGUGAUCGAUCUACCUGUCCAUGGAGGUUGAUCCUUGGCUAUUCCAAUAGCUAUAUCAAGCUUAAAACCUCUCUGGAUCGACCCGUCCUUGCCAUGGGAUCGACCCUUCAUGCUUUAUUUGCAAAAAUUACUUUCCUUUGGCUUCCUUAUCUAAUCAUUCUUUCAACCAUUGAUACCAAUUAAUCCAACAACAUCACAGUAGGAAGUUCAUGUGAAUAUAGUUGGAAAAACUCAACCAACAUUCCAAUUACAUUAACAUAUAAUUCAUUCAAAUCUGUCCAACAUUUACUUAAGUUUAAACAACAUCAUUUCAUAAAAGGUAAGAGUUUCAUAAUAUGAAUGUAAGAGGCUUGCUUAGGUCCAGUGGGCUAUACCCACCUCAAUGUUUUUGUGCUAGUCAUGGACCCCUAAAAAUAGAUAGUGACAAUAUUGUAAAAGGUAUUGUUAGGAAGAGUUGUUGGCGAAGCUAUAUAAUUACCAUAGCAGAUUUAUUUUUGCUCAUCUGAAGUUUUUGAGAUCACAUGGGAAGGCUAUUUAGGCCACGCUUAUGUGUUUUCUUUUGUUGUUCUCUUCAUUAAUUCAAAGUCAUUAGCUUUCAAAAAAAAAAAAAGAGGUAACAUUAUAUAAAGUAAAUUCAAACAGAUGGUCAAUCAAACACAGACAAACAAGAUUGGUAAUAAUUCUAUUUUAUAUCAAACAGUCGGGUUUCCGAACCCCCACAAUAUGACACACACAACCAGAUUAUAGAUGUAAGUAGAUAUAUAAUGGGAAAAUGUUUAUAGUUAGUAGUGCUUUUCCUAAUUACAUCAGAAUUGCUAAGAGCAAGACCAACUAUCCAUUUGGAAAUGGAGAUUGCAUUUAAUAUUUUGAUUCAAUAUGUACUACAUAGGGCCCCUGCUAGCUUUAACAAAUAUAAUUUAUUAGAACUAAGUGCAAUAAAUAAUACAACAUGGCAAUAGCAGCAAGCAAGACUCAAUUAGAAAAAGAUAAGCAACCUCUUAUUCAUAAGACCUCAUAAAGCAUAAAAUCAACUUAUGAAGCCACUCUUGGGCUGAAAUUUCAAAAGCUUAUUUCAGUAAAGCUUGAUCACGUUGCUCCAUCGGAAUGGGCUCAAGGAUUGACUUGACACAAUCUUGAUUUUCUUUGCUUUGAAUGCCAAACCAAUCGCCAUAUUGGUAGAUCCGAUGAGUACAUCGUGUCAUUUCGACAGCAACUUUCACAAUGUCGGGUGCUCGAAGAGAAUCUUUAACUAUUACUUUGUUCAAUUUUUUCCACAAAUUUCUUAUCAAGGCUUUGACAUGAUCACGUGCUUCUUCUUCCGAAACACCUUCUUGGGUCAUGUAAAAAUGGAUGAAAUUCAUUGAUUCUCCCCUUUUCAUUUCAAUCUUCAAAAGAUAAGUAAUAUCUGACUUAACAAAUUAUUGAAAUAUAUAAUAAAAUAGGUAGCCACUAGUUUGGUAGACAAGCGAGAGAGAUUUGCUGAAAUGUUAAAUUGGUACAGCAAUAAAGCAAUAGCAAUGCAUGUAAGAACUAACCUCGGCAGUGUUUAAAUCAUCAAUGAGUCGAAUAAUGUAGGCAGGCAACCUAACUAAGUCAGAGGCAGACCAAUGCUCCACAAAUUCUGACAAAUAUUCGUUUAUAGAGUGUCCUGCCACACCAAAAACGCCAUAGACAAUGGAUAUAGAUAUAGCAAUCGAGACCGAAGCAUUCUCAAGAUAUUCAUCCGCCGUUGGAGUGUAUCCACUGUGAAACCAUCGUGCUUCUUUGAGAUAUCCUCUAACAUAACAAGACCACUACAAAAAUUGAAUGUCAACUAGUUAGUAUAAAUUAUAAUUAAUAGAUAAAGUUCUCAUUAUGUAUGUACUCCGUGCAUAAUUUUCAUUUGUUCUUUAAAAUUAUGUCAUAUUUUUAAACAUCUAAUAUUCUUUUUUAUAUUUGAUAAAUUAUUAUUUAUGAUUUAUUUUUUUACUUUUUGGCAUUAAAAAUCAUAAAACAUCAAUUAAUUUGCAAAAUUGUUUUGAAAUAUUUUCUAACAAAUAGACUAAAACUAAAGGUUUUUUGUUUUUAUCUUAAUUUCCAUAAAAGUUCAAGAAGGUCAAAUAAAUAAUAUUUUAUUUGGCCUUUCCAUUAUAUACCGAACUUGCUAUAUUUAUUUAUUCUUUUUAUGAACAUACCUGUUCCUUAAUAUAGGGUGAAAUAUCCAUGCCAUUAUCUUUCAAGGCAUCUUGGACCAUUUCACUAACAUGGUUGUACAUCGCUGAGAAGGAUACUUUCAUGUACUCUGGAAGUUCCUCCAUUGCCUUAUUAAGAUCCCAUCUGCAAUUUGGAAAAGUUUGUAAUUAAAAGUUUGUAAUGAACACAAAUUUUCAAGAGCUUUGCUAUGACUAAGGAAAGAAGUCGUUGAAAAUCUAAAUUUCUCACCUAUUUACUGCAUCCGUGUACUUCUCAAGCUCAUCGAGUGAGCCAUAUACGUCAAAUAUGUCAUCUAAGGCUGUUACCAUGGAUGCGAAUUUCGCGAGGUUCCUCCUAUAUCUGGAGAAUUGGGGCCCCGGAGGGCAACUCCCCAUUGUCCAAAAAUAAGACUCAAGUAGCCUAUCCCGAGCAAAAGGUAGCCUUUCCUUAUAGUUCAAGUCCUCCCACCACCUGCCCAAUCAAUUGAAAAACAGUAACAAUUUCAAUGAUUUAAGUUGAUGAGAAAAUUAAAUUUCCUAACUAUCAGAUUUUUAUUUUUACCCAUAAAAAAAACUAUAACAUUUUAAAAUCUUAUUUAUUUUCAAUCUAAUUUAACUAAUGAUAUCUAGUAAUAGUAAUUUAAACAUAUGAUUUCUUACCAAUGUAAUUUAACUAAUUAAUGAUAUCAAGUAAUGGUAAUUUAAAAUCCUGAUAACAAUCUUAGCUUAAGAGUUCUUAUUUUUUUCCUUUUAAGAUUUAUUUUUUAAUAGAUCUUACUCCACUAGUUCCUGCAGCUCCUUCAGAUAAACAGAUUGCAUGAUAUUGAAGUUCAACUUGGCAAGCUCGAGCAAAACCGAAUUCAUCUUAGCAUCAUAUUGGUAGAUAGCAAUGAAAUCUCGUGCUUCUGUCCAGGGCAUCCUCCAGUGCAGUGGAUAUUCCAGUGAUUGUUGUAUUUGCUCAGCUUUAUUUCCAUCCAUCUUCUUUCUUAACACUAACAGAUGUUUUGUACUAAAAUUCAGGGCCUCGUCAAAAACAUCUUCUUCUGGCAUCCCAAGGUGCGAAGCUUCGUAUAAACUCAACAGCCCAAAAACAUCUUCCCGUAAGCUGUCCAUGAAUUUUCCAUCUCUCUCCAUGAACUUAUUAAACACAUCUGCACAUUUUCACCCCGUAUCUUGAGUAUGUAUGGUACCUAAAUAAACAAGGAGGGGAAUCCCGUGUAGGGAUGUAUGCCCUCCCUACAAAUGCAAAACUAUGUCACAGCAUCUGGUCCCGUCAUUUUUUACAUUGACAAACUAUUCCUUUCAAGAGAGGUAGGUAUAGGUUGGUAAAAGAUAUUGUAUUCAUGGAUAUAUAUUUAUUGCCAUAAAUUUCAAUAAAGCAAAAUAAAUCAGAUUUGUCAAAAAUUAUAUAUAAAUAAAUAAGGAGUAAAAUUAAAAAUAAAAAAGAUGUUUACACGAUCAUUUGAGCCUUGUUAGUCAAUCUGACAUGUUAAAUUGGAUGAUCGAUUAUUUUAAAAGGUUAAAUUAAUAGAAAAGAACUUGAUUAUUUAUUUAAAUUCUAACACGCUCCUUCACAUAUAAUUCAUAUGAAUAUUUAAUGGGCUUGCAGGUGGACUCAAGUGUUGAAAUAACCUGCGACCAAAAAGAAUGACAGAAGUAUUGCAAAGUUUAAUUUGUAACCAAACACUUGAAACAAUAUUAAAGGGAGAAAAACACAUCUUUUACAAUUCGAAAUUAAAGCUCUAAUAUCAUGUUAAGUUGGCUGUCCAAUUAUUUCAAAACUUUAGUUGAUAGGAAAGGGACAAGUAUUAUAUUUAAGUUUUAAUAUGGGGUUUGAUAAGGUUAUCGAUGACGAAAUGACAAACUUUUCAAAUUCGAAAACUUGCAGAAAUAAAAAAAUCAAAAGAAUGACCAUAAAUUAGAUAUAAUGUCCUUUAAUGAAAUGCUAUUCAAAAAAUUAAAACUAUAUAUUAAAAAUAACGAUAACAUUUUGCGCAUUUAACCUGUACUAAUGAAGAAACCAUUUUGACGUGUUAGUCUAAAUUGCAAGGCAACAGUGUAAAGAUCAGUGGCAAUGUUAGCAUCAACAAGUUUAGCAAGAAUGUCCUUGAUAUCCUUUUCAAAGUGGUAAGCCACUCCUAAGCGUUGCAGUGUGUUGAUCAGAUCCAGUUGGUCACGUGGUUCCUUCAUGGUAGCAAGUAAAUCCCUACCACCUUGCUUAAGUUCCUCAAGACGAGUGCCAUGGCUCUCGAACUGCAAGGUUAGCCAAAAUAAAGUGGUACAGGUUAAACACAGAGUAAUUCUAAGGUGAUGAAGCUUGGGCAUCUAAUGAAAGUAAACUUACUGAGUAGGGUGUGGUAAAGGACUUGACGAGUUCACCAUCCCAAACAGUAGGAAGGUUACCUGCUGAUCGCCGUUCAAUACCUUUUGCUUCCAUAAUAAUAUUAAAAUGAUUAAUAUUGCAUUGUAACUCGACCGGUUACAGGUAUUUAUAGAGAUGCUGAAGAAUUUAUCCAUAACCUAAUAGCAGAAAUAGCUGAUCUUGUUUAGCAAUUGGAUAGUAGAAAAUGAUAAAAAAUAUGUCUUUUGGUUUUGUUAUUCAAAUAAUUAAUUUUUAAAUUAUUCACUUAUAUAAGCAUUAUGCCAACAAAUAGUAGAACCCACGUGUAAAUCAUGUUGAUGGAUAGGCAUCAUAGACCAUUGGAGAUUUGUACUACGGAUUGAAAGAUGGAUAGAGCUAGCCCAUUUGAUCCGAACUCGUAAAACCAGUUUGAUAAUUUAAUAAAUUUAAUUUAAUACAGCACAUUUUUAAAAUAUGUUGUUAAAAAUAUUUUUAAUAAUAUAUUUUUUAUAUUUUAUAAAAUAUUUUUAUAGAUUUGUGUUCACCAUAUAAAUUUUUAGAUCCACUAUGAAUCAAAUGUAAUAAUAAAAGUUGCAUACAUUAGUAAAGGCUAUACUUUUUUAUAUAGAUUUGUAUUUAGUGUACUGACUUGCAGCUCACCAAAUGUUGCCAUCUCAUUAAUAAGAUAAGACUAAAAAUUUUCAAGGACUUAAGCUUAAAAAUUAAAAAGUUGUUAAUAAUUAAUUAAAUAAAAAACAAAAAUAUCUCUUUUCUUUUCUCUCCAACUCCCCCACAAUGUUAUCUUAUUGUUUUCUUCUUUUUUUUUUAUCUCUCUCUAACUCCAUCUUCUUCAUCCCUUCUUCUUUUGUUAAAAUUACAAAUUAAAAUAUUUCACUUUUUCCCAACCUCUUUCACUUUUUUUUUUUCUGGUUCUUCCAUUGGCAUCCAAAGUAAAAUUUUAUUAAAUUCUUAAGAAGGUAUGUUGCUGAAACCUUAAGAGAAAGAAAAAAAGACCGCUACCAAAUGGGGUGGGCAACUGACUGAUUUGACCACCAAUUGUGAUAACGAAUCCUUCCUUAAAUUGUGGCUGUGGGAUAGUAUUAGUGUUGAAAAAAUUUUGAAAAAAUUUUGUCAUAACUUUUGUUAGAAUUUUAAUUGAUAUUAAAUUGAUCUUAGUUAAUUACUUUUACCACUUUUAUUAGUUAUCACAUCAAAAUCCUAACUCAAAUUAAAAGUAAAACCCUAAUUUAUUUAUUUGAAAAAAAUUGAUUAUCACAUUAUAACUCUAAAUAAUUUGUAAAAAUUACUUAAAAUGUAAAAAUUAUCUGAAAAUCUCUUAAAGUUGAACAAUUUUGUAAACUUAAUUUUAAUGCUAAAAGAAGAAGAAUGGGAGUAGAAGAUAAUCAAGUUAGGAUUAAAAAGAAAAGAAUAAUCAAAGAACGUUGUAAGGGAGUUAAAGAGAGAAAAAAAGAAUUUUUUUAUUUAACUAAUUAUUAAAAAACUUUUUAAUAUUUAAAUUUAAUUAUUUAAGAUUUUUAGUUUUAUCUUAUUAAUGAGGUGACAGUAUUUGGUAAGCAAACAAUGUAUAAAAACCUAUACACUGUCAGUACAUUAAAUAUUAAUCUUCUUUAUAUUACUACUAAAUAUGGAAAAAAGCGAAGCUAAAAGUUUAAAUAGGUACAUUUUUUAAAAUUUUACUAUAUAAAAAAAUAUAUCGCUUAAAGAAGUGUGAUUAAAAUUCUAUUUUAUUGUAUUGUCACUCAAAUUCGAAUAGGAUCUAACUCGAUUUGACUAUAAACAAUCAACAAUCAAUUUUUUUUUUAAUGCUAAUUGUCAAAGUAGAAAACUUUGUAUUUUAUGCUUACAAUAACAUAAAACAAUUGAAAAAAAACCCCAUAAAACACUAAAUACGGACUUAAGAAUAUCCGGAAGCCCAAAAGGAAAAAACCUGAUCAUAAUUCAAAGAAAUUGGCUAAGGAAAAUAUUUGUGAAAACCACCGGUUCUUGGUAAUUCAAUAUGGAUGGAGCUUCUAAAAGUUGCCCCGGUGAGACUGGGAUUAGUGGUGUUCUUAGAGACAGUGAAGGUAGAUUAAAGAUGCAAUUCUCUAAAUCUACAGGUUGGGGAGAUGUAAAUAUGAGUGAGUAACUUGCUGUCAGAGAAGCAUUUCUUCUUUUUACUGCUUCAACAUGGAUGAGUUCUCAUAAUCUUAUUAUUGAAAGCGAUUCAAUAAAUGUGGUUAAGUGGAUUCGUGAUCCAGGGACUGUUCCUUGUCAUUUUCGUAACAUUAUGUUUCAGAUUAAGAGCAUCAGUUCUAAAGUGAUCAAUUGGGAGAUUUUUCAUUUACCAAGUUCUGGUGAUAGCAUUGCUGAUUGCUUGGCUAAGGAGGGGGUCGGCAGAGUUUCUGAUUUCAUCACGAUUUUUGCUGCUUUUCUGUGUUGUUGUUUACCCAUAUUGAUUCUUCCUGUUUCCCCUGCUGAUGGGCUUUUUUCUUGUGCCUUCUGGUUCGUGUUCUUGGUUGUUUUUUGCAGGGCUGUUUCUUGUCAUUGUUUUUCCUGUUUUGGCCAGGUCGGAUUCCUCUGUUGUGUUUUCUCAUCCUUUGGUCGAGUUGUUUUGUUGUUGUGCUGUUUUCUGGUCGUAAUUGCACAGGGAUUGAUUCCUUCCCUGUUUUAUUGAUAAUAUCUUUACCUUUGAAAAAAAUAAUGCACAUUAAAUCACCAGAUUAUCUCACAAAAUUGGCUAUCCACUAAGCCCUCCAUUUCUGUUUGUAUUAGGUUUGGCUAGCUACCUGUAACGGCUGGGGUCUCCUUGAACUCCAACAAUCACUUUUAAUGUCUUGUUUAACUACAAGAAUCACCUGAGAAUGGUAAAGCUUUUGUUUGAUUCAUGGAAAAUUUACAAGAAAUUAAGGGAAAUAGGGAUAUAUACCAAAUUUGCCACUAUAUUAUUGUUUAAUGUUCCCACCGUUCUUCAAUUGCUUUAAAUUUGGCCAUCCUAGUUUUAUUUUGAUUAAUUUUUAAUUGUGAAAAAAUAUUUCAUUUUUACAGUUGAAAUAAGUUUUCAAAAACAAUUUGUGUCAUAAUUUUUUUAUUGCCAAGUCACUUCUUUUAUUGUUUGUUCAUAGAAAAAUACCCGAGGUAAUGGUCAUGGAACCUCACAUGUACUAUUUCAUUAAUUUUUAUUCAAAUUUAGGCCAAAAUAUAAGAUCUCAGACAAAGCCAAAUUCCAAAUACCAAAACCUGGUCAUAAAUCAUACACAUUAAAUCACCAGAUUAUCUCCAAUUUUAUUUGUCUAAUCACUCUCCUUGUCCAAACCGAGCCAAAUUUCUGUCCGAGGGAAUCUUUCCGUCAGAGAAAACCACUAGUUCCAUGCAUUAACCAGCCGCAGGAGGUGACCUGUCCGAACCGUAGCAGCCUCAUUACAGCUGUCUAAGAUCUCCACUAGUUAUACCGUCCAAAACCAAGACAAGGCUCUUAUCAUAGUAUCGCAAUAAGGCUGUUCUAUAAUUAUAGCUGAAAAAUUUUACUUGAAUAUGAUUUAAUCACGAAAUUCUAAGCCCUCCAUUUCCGUUUAUAUUAGGUUUGGCUAGCUACCUGUGCGGGCUGGGGUCUCCUUGAGCUCCAACAAACACUUUUAAUGUCUUGUAUGACUACAAAAAUCACCUAAAAUGAGAAUGGUAAAGCUUUUGUUUGAUUCAUGGAAAAUUUGCAAGAAAUGAAGGGAAAUAGGGAUCUAUACCUAAUUUGCCACUAUAUUAUGGUUUAAUGUUCCCAUCGUACUUCAAUUGCUUUAAAUUUUGCCAUCCUACUUCUAUUUUGAUUAAUUUUUAAUAGUGAAAAAUAUUUCAUUUAUACAGUUGAAAUAAGUUUUCAAAAACAAUUUGGGUCAUAAUUUUUUUAUUGCCAAGUCAUUUCUUUUAUUGUUUGUUCAUAGAAAAAUACCCGAGAUAAUAGUCAUGGAACCUCAUAUGUACUAUUUCAUUAAUUUUUAUUGAAAUUUAGGUUAAAAUAUAAGAUCUCAGACGGAGCCAAAUUCCAAAUUCCAAAACCAGGUCAUAAAUCGUACAUAUUAAAUUACCAGAUUGUCUCCAAUUUUAUUUGUCCAAUCACGCUCCUUGUCCAGACCGAACCAAAUUCCAAAUUCCAAUACCUGGCCAUAAAUCAUACUAGUAUUCCAAGUUCCAAAUUCCUAUUUUAUUUGUUCCAUGCAUUCGCAGCCUCAUUACAGCUGUCCAAAAUCUCCGCUAAUUAUAGUAUCGGAACCCGGACAGCCAUAUUGCCUAAUUAGACAGCAUAUCUUACAUUAAACAUGUAUUUAUAGGGAUGCAGUAAAGAAUUUUUCGAUUACAUAACUUAGUACUAUUUCAGUGUAACUCGAUACGUCACAAGUAUUUAUAGGGAUGCAAUGAAGAAUCUUUCGAUCACAUAACUUAGUAAUAUUGCAUUGUAACUCGAUAGUCACAGGUAUUUAUAGGGACGCAAUGAAGAAUUUUUCGAUUACAUAACAGAGUAAGGAUAAUAAUUAAAUAGUGAUCAACAAUUAAUGGCGUGAAUAAAACUGGUCAUGUUUAGCAAGAGGAAAUUAACUAGGAAAUGACAAAAAAUGGGUGUUUCCAUCUUGUUAUUCAAAUUAUUAAUUUUCGAAAUUUAUUUACUUAUAUAAGCGUUAUCCUCCCAAAUAGUAGAACCUAUGGAUAUGCAUGGUUUUUGGGGAUUUGAACUACAGAUAUAAAGAGGGAUAGAGCUCGCAAAGUUGAUCCAAACCACAAAAAAUGUUUCGAUUCAUUCCAAUUCAAAUCAAAUCUAUUUCGAUUUCAUCACAAAAAUGUUGAAGAAAUGACCCUUUAUCUAGAAAUUCAGUAACAGAUAAAUAUGGCGGGAAUCAACUGAUGACUUAAGAUUGAAGAAGGCUUAGUUGCAUACGGUGUCAUUUGUUUCCUUGUCAAGUUUAAAAGUGUCUAAACGUUGGUUAUUAUGUUAUUUUAUUUCUUUUAAUUAGUUGUGGUGAAAUUAUAGACAAUUGAGCCAUUUUGGUUGUCUUGUUUAGUUGUGCAACACUUUUUUGCGUCGUUUAAGUCAUGUUCUUUUAUUUUCUCCAUAUGCACAUUAGAGUUAUCAUUUUGUUGUUUUUGUUAAAGGCUGAACAACCAUAUUUGCUAUUCUUAGUUCGUUAUCGUUUUGUGCAAUCAUUUUGUGCUUAGCUAACUUGACCCAAUUUAGUCUCCCAAGACUGAAUCUAAGGGCUUUGCAAAUAUUUUGGAGAGUAUAUAAAUGAAAAAUGCAACCGCUAUGGUGUGGUUGCCUUUGAUUCUCUGCUUUGUAGCGUCUUCUUUUUUUUUUCUCUAUUCUUCUAGCUUUUUCAAUUUUUCUUCAAAAAGUUUCUUUUCAAAACCUAUUCAUGGUAUCAAAGCAUCAUUCUUAAGGGACCUAUUGCUGGUUUUGCAAAUCAGCUCUUGAAAGCUCAUCAGUUGAUUAGAGUUAAGUCUCAAUGGCUACUGCAGGCUUCUUUAACUUCAUCACCACGAAUUUUCUCAAGCUUAAACUACCAGAUUUAGGCAGUGAAGAUGGGAUCGUAUCUGAAAGCUUUUGAUCUCUGUGAAGUAGUUGAAACGGGAGAACUUUCGAUACAAAGGCCUACAAAUCCUACAUUGGCACAAAUAAAGUAGCAUAGUGAGGAGGUUGUAGAAAGGUAUAAGGCUUUGUCCUGCCUUCAAUCUACAGUUUCUAAUGCUAUAUUCGCAAGAAUUAUAAACUUUGAUGAUCCUAAACUUGUUAGGGACACAUUGAGGGAUGAGUUUCAAGGGAAUGACAAAACCAAGAUGAUUCAGAUACUGAAUCUAUAAAGGGAAUUUGAGCUUCUGAAGAUGAAGGAUAAAGAAGGAAUUCAGGCUUAUGUAGAUAGAAUAUUGAAGGUUGUGAACCAAUUGAGACUCCUUAGAGAAGAAAUGGCAAAGAGAAGAGUUGUAAAUAAGUUUCUUAUAAGUCUACUAGAGAGGUUUAAAGCUAAAAUAUCCUNNNNNNNNNNNNNNNNNNNNNNNNNNNNNNNNNNNNNNNNNNNNNNNNNNNNNNNNNNNNNNNNNNNNNNNNNNNNNNNNNNNNNNNNNNNNNNNNNNNNNNNNNNNNNNNNNNNNNNNNNNNNNNNNNNNNNNNNNNNNNNNNNNNNNNNNNNNNNNNNNNNNNNNNNNNNNNNNNNNNNNNNNNNNNNNNNNNNNNNNNNNNNNNNNNNNNNNNNNNNNNNNNNNNNNNNNNNNNNNNNNNNNNNNNNNNNNNNNNNNNNNNNNNNNNNNNNNNNNNNNNNNNNNNNNNNNNNNNNNNNNNNNNNNNNNNNNNNNNNNNNNNCGUUUUUUUUUUUUCUUUUUUUUUUUUUUCUUAGUGAUAAAGACUAAAGGUCUAAAAGUCAAAAGAAAUAGCUCUAAGAAGAUUGAAGUAGAAGGUAACAAAACUGGUGAAGGGAAAUGAGGUAAGUAAGUAGGUAAAUACUUUUUUUGCCCUAAUUGUAAGAAGAGAAAUCAUGCAGCAAGAUAUUGCUGGUAUAGGCCUAAUGUUCAAGGCAAUACAUGCUAGCAAAUGGGAGACGUUGAGAAGCUCUGCAAAGCUAAGAAAUUAUAAGGUUCAGGCUAAGCUUCUGUAGCUAAACAGACUGAAAAAGCUAAAAAAGUCUUGUUCAUGACCAAAACAAGUGAGGAUUCUGGUAAAACAAGUAUUUGGCUAAUUGAUAAUGGUUGUUCACAUCACCUUACUGGCAACAAAUCUUAAUUCACUAAACUUGAUACUAGUUUUGAAUCUAAAGUUAAAAUUGGAAAUUGUGAUUUCUUGAAAAUCAUUGGUACUGGUGUUGUGGUUGUAGGAACUGUAUUAGUUACAAAAUACAUCACCAGUGUUCAUUAUGUCCUUGAGGCAAGUCAAAAUUUGCUUAUUUUAGGUUAGUUGGUAGAUAGUAAUCAUGUUUUACUAUUCAAGGUUAAAUAUUAUACUAUUUUUGAUUUUCUAGGUGUUGAGUUGUUUACUGUUGAGAUGAAAAAAUUGUUAUCUUUUGAACUUAUUUGAAACUUAUCAUUUAACUCUUUUAUAGUGAAAAGAAUGUAUUUGAACCCUGGUACAAAAAGUUAAGACAUGUGAAUUAUAAUUCACUAUCACUUAUGGCUUCAAAAGAGCUUGUUGAAGGCCUACUUGGAAUCACCAAACUAGAAAAACUCUGGCAGGCAUGUUGGUCUGGUAAGGAGACAAGAAAGACCUUUCCUAAGGACAGUAGAUGGAGAGCUACUCAGAAAUUGGAUUUAAUUCAUAUUGACAUAAGUGGUCCAAUAAAAACUCCAUCAUUGAGUGGUAGUAGAUUUUAUAUUCUUUUUAUUGAUGAUUUGACAAGAUUCUACUGAGUUUACUUUAUGAAAUAGAAGUCAAAGGCCUAGUUCAUUUCAAAAAAUUCAAGGCAUUAGUUGAAAACUAUACCAAUCUGAACAUUAAAACAUUGGGAAGGGACAAUGGAGUUGAGUACACAACAGGGCAGUUUGAGACAUUUCUGGCAGACCUUGGUGUUCAACAUCAGCUUACUAUGACUUACAACCCACAACAAAAUGGUAAGUCAGAAAGAAAGAAUAGAACUUUUGAUGAAAUGGGUAGAUGUCUAUGAUAUAAGAGGAAUCCACCAAAACAAUUUGGGGUAGAAGUAGUAAAUACUACCAACUAUAUAUUGAAUAGGGUUUAUACAAGAGUCAUAACUCAAAAAACUCCAUUUGAGAUGUGGUAUGAACACAAACCAUCUGUUUCACACUUGAAAACUUUUGGUUAUGUAUGCUUUGCCAAAAUUCCUGAUGAAAAGAUAUCCAAACUUGAUUCUAAGUUUGUUACAGCUAUGCAUAUAUGGCUAUAGUGAAUUGUCUAAAGGUUAUAGACUUUAUGACCUUGAAUUAAAAAGGGUGUUCAUAAGCAUGGAUGUCAUUUUUUUUAUGAAGGGCAAAGUUGGAAUUAAAAGAUUAGAAUUGUGGAAAGUUUAAGGAAUGUGGUUAUGUUUGAUGAAAAUCAUGUGCAAAUUGAAAAUAUGAUGACUUAUCAGAUAUUAAAGCUGAAGGCAAUGCAGUUAGAGGUACAAGAUCAUUGGAAGACAUCUGUAACAAAUGUAACAUUGUAGUAUUAGAACCUACUAGUGUCAAAAAGUUAUUUUUGACAGCAAUUGCACAACUGUAAUGGAUACUGAAAUGGAAAUGAUUACCAAAAAUAGAAAAUGAUCUUGUUUAAUAGGCCAGAAAAUAAGAAUAUGAUUGGAAUCAAGUGGAUAUUCUAAACAAAACUCAAUCUGGAUUGCUUAGUGAACAAAUUCAAAGCAAAACUAGCUGUUAAAGGGUAUGCUCAAGUGCAUGGGGCUGAUUAUAUGGAAAUUUUUGCUCUUGUGGCAAGACAUGACACCAUUAGAAUGCUUGUUGCUUUGUCAGCUAAAAAGGGAUGGAAAAUAUAUCACUUGCAUGUCAAAUCAGCAUUUCUUAAUGGAUAUCUAACUAAGCACAUUUAUGUGGAAUAGCCUAUGGGUUAUGACGUGAAAGGAGCUGAAAAUAAGGUCCAUAAAUUAGUCAAAGCCUUGUAUGGCUUGAAGUAGGCACCUAGAGCCUGGUAUGAAAGAGUUGAUAAACACUUCAUGAAUCGAGGGUUCCAAAGAAGUGUAAAUGAGUUUACAUUAUAUAUAAAAUGCUCAAAUGACUCAGUGUUACUUAUAGUAGCACUUUAUGUUGAUGAUCUUUGAUCACUAAUCUUGGAGGUGAAUAUCUAGAGGUGUUUAAAACUCAAUUGAUGAAUGAGUUUGGAAUGACAGAUUUAGGGUUAAUGACGUACUUUUUGGGAAUUGAAGUUGUACAAGCUACUGAUCAGGUUUGUUUACAUUAGGCCAAGUAUGAAAAGGAUCUAUUAAACAAAUUUAAUAUAAGAUCCUGCAAGGUUGUCAACGCUGCACUUGCCUUUGGGUUAAACUUGUGUAGAGAAGAUGGCUAUUCCAAAACAAAUGGAUUGAUUUACAAAAGUAUUGCUGGUUCUCUUCUUUACUUGUUAGCAACUAGGCUUGAUAUCAUAUAAGCUAUGAGUCUAUUAUCCAAAUUUAUGAAGACCCUUCAGAGUUACACUUUACUAUGCCAAAAAGAAUCCUCAAGUAUGUCAAAGGCACACUCAAUUUAGGCUUGAGAAAUUUAAACAUGAAAGCAGUUAGUUACUAAGCUAUAGUGAUGGUGAUUGGGCUAGUUUAUUGGAUGACUCAAAAGCACAAGAGGAUUCUGUUUGUCAUUUGGUAGUGUUGUCUUUACUAGAAACGACAUGAUUAGAGGAUCAACGCAGCGGAAUAACAAAAAUUGAAACAAAAUAAAAACCAUGCCUCCUAUCUUUGGACCACCUUAGUUACUUAAUGCAAAGUUAAACACUAUAGAAAAUUAGAAAAAGGUGUUUACCUUUCCAAUUGAUAUUAUAAUCAAAUGGAUUCCUUUUUGUGUUGAAAAAUAUGAAUACCUUCUUGUGUGAAAGAUAUGAGACCUCGACCUCUAUAGACCCGUAACUAAAAGUAGACGCGAUAACACAGACCAGGGGUAAUUUCAUCAUUUCUCAUGGUGAGCUCCUAGAAAUAGCAUUAUAAUGUUAUUAAGGUCUAACUAGGCCUAAGAAAUAGAUGAAUGAUGGUAAAAUGAAUGAAGAAGAUAGAAAUAAUGAUAAUUUUCAUAUUAGAGGCAAAAUGAUCAUUUUUUAUCUCGAGUCUAAAUUUUUAAGUUUUUGUGAACUCAAGUAUUUUUAGACUACUAUGGACUUUGUCUCAAUGUCAAAGAAGUAAAAAGAUUGUAUAAAGGUAAGGGGAAGACAAAGUGACCUUGUUAAGGGUAUUUUGGUAAUUUAUGUGAGAAUUAGAUAAAUUUUUGGCAUAAUAUCUAACUCUCCAACAGCUUCUUCUCAUUUUUUUAGUAGCUCUUCUUCUUCCUUCCAUCCUUCUCAUGUUUUCUCACCUUCCAUAGAAGCUUGCUUUGAAACCUUCAUAAAUUUUCUCAAGUCAACCCCAAUUUUCAUGCUUUUGUGCACCUUUUCACAAAGUCCUUUGUGUUCUUUUACUAUUUCACCUUAAAACCCUCAAAAGUCUUAUUUUGAUACUUUCCCUCACUAGUUAGGUGUUUUAAAGAGAGAAAGAGAGACUUCCUAUACUAGUUGGAGGACUUUUGAGAAGGAAUUUAAUAACAAAGCUACUAAGGUGAGUAAUGAAAUUGAGUUGAUUUUAAGUUGUUGAGAAUGGCUAGUGGCUAGAUUUGUGAGUGUUUUGUAGUUGAGGUAGUUUAUUCAUUUUAAUGUGACUAGAAUAUUGAUAAUAGAUAGCCACUUAAUGGUAGUUGGAAGCUAGCUAGGAAUAACUAGUAGAACAUGAUUUAAGACAUAGCUUUUAGAAUUGUGGUUAUGUGAAUUGAGUUGAUUUGUGAUGUUAUUGUGUGUAAUAGGUUCCAACGAGACUCCACAUCCCCAUUUUGACCAUUAAUGGAUGUUGGAGUCGAUUUAAGAAUCAACGAGGACCGGUGAGUGAACUUGUAGUAAAAAAUGUUUUGGAGUAAAUGAUUAUGUGCUUGAUUGAACCACUAGAAAUAUUUUAUUGGUUUUUCUUUAAAUUGCAUGGGAACAAGCCAUUGAUAAAAUGUUGUAUAUUGUGAAUGUGUAAUAUGAUUAAUCUUUGUGCUCCUAUAUUAUGUGGAUAUAUAUAUAUAUAUAUGUUGUGUAUGGAUAGUUAAUAUUGUGUAAUAAAUAUAGCUGUGAAUGUGCACGAUGUGGGGGAGUAUAUGCCGGUGAUGACGGGUGUGGAAGUGUGGACGAUGAUAUUGCUUGUGCACGAUGUGGGGGUUGCACAUGAACUGGGUGAGGCGGUGGUGGUAUUUGUGUUUAUAUAUGUGUAUAUAUAUAUAUAUAUAUAUAUAUAUAUAUAUAUGCAAUAUAAAGUUUAUGAAUAUGGUAUAUGGUUGUAAUGUAUGUGGAAUCUUGCAUGUUGAACAUUGGAUAUUGCUAAGUAUUUUCAAACUAAUUUUUUUUAUUGCAGCAACAUGGCCUUUUCUUGAUGUAAUAAGAAAUUUUUUCUUGGUGCUCUGUUUCUCGCNACUGAGUAAUUUCAAAUUGAGUUUUUUAUUGCAGCAACAUGGCCUUUUCUUGAUAUAAUAAGAAAUUUCUUCCUAGUGUUCUGUUUCUCGCUGCAGCAAGAAACUUUCAAGUUGGGAGGGUGGCUGCAGUCCUUUAACUAGCUACAGCGAGAAACUCUCGGGUGGUUUGGAAUUUUGGUCUAAAUUUCACUACAGCGAGAAUGCCUUUCCGCUGCAGCAAGGAACCCUCUGUUUUGCUUGUCUUGCGUGGACAUUUGCUGAAAUUUUCAUUCUUUUCAACUUCAUGGUUUAUCAAGGAUUUUAAAUGCUAAGGAAUUAAAUAAUCAAAGGUUGAAUUAAGAGGCUUUACAAGAAAGAAAACUAAAUUGCAUUGUUUGUAACUAAAGUGCAUCAUGUUUUCGAAAUCUCUUCGUAUCGUUUGCUUGUUCCCUUCUUUUGUUUACUCACUGGGUUUAUACUCACUGCUUUUAACUUCAUGUUUUCAAAUCAGGGGGCAAUUGGAACCUAGUUCAAGGUGUCCUCAUAGAUUCAUCUCCUUGGUAGGUAUCUCAGCAUUCAAUAGUGUACCUUCACCAAGGUCACCCUGCUGGAAGUCGAGUAUCUUUUUGUUGUGUAUAGAUAAACGCGAUGUAAAUUACUAAGAUAUAUGUCUUAGACAAUAUAUGUAUAUUUUGAUUGGUAAUGCCACUAUGAGUUGGCAAUGGUUAACAUUAUUUUUGGUUAAUGUAAAUGCAAGUAUUUGAUUGUUGUAGCACAUUAUUAAAGUACUUGUAGGUUGGAAUUAUGAAAUGUGACUUUAGGAACAUUUGAUAGAAUGAUGAAUAGGUUAUAUAAAUAAGCUUGCUUGGGCUUAGUGGGCUAUGCCCACUGGGUCCAUGCGCCGGUCGUGGCUCAAAAAUUGGGCUGUGACGAAAGAAUUUCAACCAGUUAAAUGUUUGGCCACCAAUGUUGCACACCCAAAUGCAACGGAUCCGUCUCAAGGAGAAAGCUUUAUGCCACAGGUUUGUAUUAGCAAGUGGACAAUCAUUUAUCCUUUUUUCUUCUUUGAUUUCUAGUAAAGAAUGAAUGAAGAAGUUUUUUGAAAAACUCUCUCAUAAGUGGUAGCACUCAAGAGAAACACUAGUAGUUUUUUUUUUCUUUUAUUGCCUCAGAAAAGAGUGCUUAUAAUGUGAUAUUUAUAUCUAGAUUUAAUUUAAUUAGUAGACUUAUUAAAAUUUGAAAAAUAAAUCCUUAAUAUUAUAACAAUUAUAAUAUUUAACUAAUGCCUCAUUAAACUCUUUUAAUUAGGUCCUUAAUAGCUAGAACCAAGAAUUUGAUUUAAGUCUAACUUAAAUCAUCACACUCUUAAUUUAAUCUAAAUUGCAAUCUUUAUGUGUGACCCAUUAGAUUCCUAACAUAUUGGCAAUGAAAUUGAGUUAUAACUUUAUUAAUUGAUUAAUUUAAAUAAAUCAUAUUCAAUUUAACAUUAACUAUUUAAAUUCCAUAGACCAAGAUUGGCAUCUAGCAAUGCAUCAUGGCUUCUUAAUUAUUAAGAGAGUUAAAGGAUUCUUUGACAAAUUUUUAGUGUACAAUUUAUCAGUAUAAUUCAUGCCCUCAUCAUAUAUCCCGGAGAUGAUAAGAGCUUGGUGUAGUACCUACUCUUAUUGACCUCUAUAUUUGUUUUUACAGUUAGAUCAUUAGCUUUAUGGAUACUUAUGAAACUCAUUUCAUAAUCUCCUAAUCACCUUGGCCAAGUAUUUGAUUUAGCUAAUGUCAAUCAAGAACUAAUGAGAUAUUUUCCUUUGAAUCACUUGAGGUGAUGAUUCCAAUCUUGACCACUUAUUUUCCUUCAUAUGCUUCAUAUUGUACCCAAAAACAUCCUAUUUUCACAUCCUUGGUUAGACACCAGUAGGGAUGAAGUCAAAACAUAGUACUUCACAGACAAGACAACUUAGUCUCUCAAGUCUACGGAGUAUUUACACAACUGACACAUGAGAAGUAUUACAUAAACACUUGAGUGAGGUACCAAAUGCACUUCUCAUGGUGGGUCUGAUGGGUUUGGCUAUGGAUGGCAUGUUGGCUCCAUUAGUUUUUGAUGAUAAUAAAACAUUCCCAUUUAUUUGUGUCUAAUACCUUUACUUGAGUGUGCAAGAAAUUAAUAUAUGAAAUUAAUUUAUUAACUCUUCAAAUAGUAUUUUUGAAGGAAAAAGAGGGAUAAAAUCAACAAAGAUGUAACUAAAUAACAAGGAGGAAGCUUAUUGGUGAAACAAGGAAGAACAUUGGUGGACCAAAUUUCAAAUUGGAGAAAUGACGGGCUGAAGAGUUUGAGAAACAGAACCAUCUUAGUAAACCAAGUCAGUCGAUUAAGUGCCCUCUGUCAGAAUCUGCAAACCAGAAACAGAAUCAACUUAGUCAACCAAGUUAGUCAACUAAGAGCUCUCUGUUUGCAAUUUGAAUCAAAGAACUAGAAGACAGAUUAACGGCUAGAACUCAUCCUCAAUUGUUUCCAACGGAUAUAAAUUGCCAAACUGCCAUCAAAGUUUCAUCUCCAAGUAUAAAAGGGUCUUCCAACAAUAAGAAACAAGUUUUUGAGAAGCCUUGAAUGAGAUUUGAGCUAUAGAAAGUAGAAAAACCAGAAAAGCUUCACUGCACUUGUUUGCACUUAAAUGCAUACUCUUUGCAUUUGUAUUUAGCACUCAAUCGUGUACCAAUCAGAUCAUCUAGUGAUCAUAGGUACUUUCUUUUACUACUUCUCUUGUAUUCUUAAAGUGAGGGAGUCACUCUGAGGGGUUGUUCAAGCUUGGGAUAGCUUGAUUGUUAAAGGUUGUGGUUGAGCCUUGGAAAACCACUUUGGGUUUUAGUUGAGCUCGUGAAAAACUAGUGUAAAAGGUUGUGGCUGAGCCUAGCAAAAGCCAUUGUAAAAGCUUGGUGGAAGCUUGUGAAUUUCACCGAUUGUUAGUGAGUUUGUGAGAAAAUUCUUGGUUGGAUAAUCAAGGUAGUGGAUGUAGGUCUUGGACCGAACCACUCUAAAUUGUUGUGCAUUUUAUACUCUAUUUUUUGUUUUCUUAAGUUCUAGAAAUUAGUUUCCAAUCUGUCAGAAGCCAAAUUGUACUAUUCUCCCCCUCUCUAGCACAUAUUAUAGGGACAAACAAUUGGUAUCAGAGCUAGUUCCCUAUUUUUAAGGCUUAACAUCCUUUGGGAGGAUCCAAAUGGCUCAACAAAAAGCCACAGUUGCUGAGGGACAAUCAACAAAUAGACCACCUCUGUUUGAUGGCUCUAAUUACUCUUAUUGGAGCAUAAGAAUGUCAAUCUAUAUUAAGGCUAUAGACUAUGAAAUGUGGGACGUCAUAACUGGUGGACCCUUUAUGCCCUCAACCGUGAAUGUAGUGACAAAUGAGUUGAUGCCCAAGCCAAGGUUUGAAUGGACUAAGGCUGAAACUAAGAAAGUUCAAAUAAAUUUUAAGGCUAUCAACACAUUACAUUGUGCCUUGACCCUUACUGAAUUUAACAAAGUCUCAAGUUGUACCACAGCUAAACAAGUGUGGGAAAAACUUAGAAUAAUCCAUUAAGGGACUUCUNNNNNNNNNNNNNNNNNNNNNNNNNNNNNNNNNNNNNNNNNNNNNNNNNNNNNNNNNNNNNNNNNNNNNNNNNNNNNNNNNNNNNNNNNNNNNNNNNNNNNNNNNNNNNNNNNNNNNNNNNNNNNNNNNNNNNNNNNNNNNNNNNNNNNNNNNNNNNNNNNNNNNNNNNNNNNNNNNNNNNNNNNNNNNNNNNNNNNNNNNNNNNNNNNNNNNNNNNNNNNNNNNNNNNNNNNNNNNNNNNNNNNNNNNNNNNNNNNNNNNNNNNNNNNNNNNNNNNNNNNNNNNNNNNNNNNNNNNNNNNNNNNNNNNNNNNNNNNNNNNNNNNNNNNNNNNNNNNNNNNNNNNNNNNNNNNNNNNNNNNNNNNNNNNNNNNNNNNNNNNNNNNNNNNNNNNNNNNNNNNNNNNNNNNNNNNNNNNNNNNNNNNNNNNNNNNNNNNNNNNNNNNNNNNNNNNNNNNNNNNNNNNNNNNNNNNNNNNNNNNNNNNNNNNNNNNNNNNNNNNNNNNNNNNNNNNNNNNNNNNNNNNNNNNNNNNNNNNNNNNNNNNNNNNNNNNNNNNNNNNNNNNNNNNNNNNNNNNNNNNNNNNNNNNNNNNNNNNNNNNNNNNNNNNNNNNNNNNNNNNNNNNNNNNNNNNNNNNNNNNNNNNNNNNNNNNNNNNNNNNNNNNNNNNNNNNNNNNNNNNNNNNNNNNNNNNNNNNNNNNNNNNNNNNNNNNNNNNNNNNNNNNNNNNNNNNNNNNNNNNNNNNNNNNNNNNNNNNNNNNNNNNNNNNNNNNNNNNNNNNNNNNNNNNNNNNNNNNNNNNNNNNNNNNNNNNNNNNNNNNNNNNNNNNNNNNNNNNNNNNNNNNNNNNNNNNNNNNNNNNNNNNNNNNNNNNNNNNNNNNNNNNNNNNNNNNNNNNNNNNNNNNNNNNNNNNNNNNNNNNNNNNNNNNNNNNNNNNNNNNNNNNNNNNNNNNNNNNNNNNNNNNNNNNNNNNNNNNNNNNNNNNNNNNNNNNNNNNNNNNNNNNNNNNNNNNNNNNNNNNNNNNNNNNNNNNNNNNNNNNNNNNNNNNNNNNNNNNNNNNNNNNNNNNNNNNNNNNNNNNNNNNNNNNNNNNNNNNNNNNNNNNNNNNNNNNNNNNNNNNNNNNNNNNNNNNNNNNNNNNNNNNNNNNNNNNNNNNNNNNNNNNNNNNNNNNNNNNNNNNNNNNNNNNNNNNNNNNNNNNNNNNNNNNNNNNNNNNNNNNNNNNNNNNNNNNNNNNNNNNNNNNNNNNNNNNNNNNNNNNNNNNNNNNNNNNNNNNNNNNNNNNNNNNNNNNNNNNNNNNNNNNNNNNNNNNNNNNNNNNNNNNNNNNNNNNNNNNNNNNNNNNNNNNNNNNNNNNNNNNNNNNNNNNNNNNNNNNNNNNNNNNNNNNNNNNNNNNNNNNNNNNNNNNNNNNNNNNNNNNNNNNNNNNNNNNNNNNNNNNNNNNNNNNNNNNNNNNNNNNNNNNNNNNNNNNNNNNNNNNNNNNNNNNNNNNNNNNNNNNNNNNNNNNNNNNNNNNNNNNNNNNNNNNNNNNNNNNNNNNNNNNNNNNNNNNNNNNNNNNNNNNNNNNNNNNNNNNNNNNNNNNNNNNNNNNNNNNNNNNNNNNNNNNNNNNNNNNNNNNNNNNNNNNNNNNNNNNNNNNNNNNNNNNNNNNNNNNNNNNNNNNNNNNNNNNNNNNNNNNNNNNNNNNNNNNNNNNNNNNNNNNNNNNNNNNNNNNNNNNNNNNNNNNNNNNNNNNNNNNNNNNNNNNNNNNNNNNNNNNNNNNNNNNNNNNNNNNNNNNNNNNNNNNNNNNNNNNNNNNNNNNNNNNNNNNNNNNNNNNNNNNNNNNNNNNNNNNNNNNNNNNNNNNNNNNNNNNNNNNNNNNNNNNNNNNNNNNNNNNNNNNNNNNNNNNNNNNNNNNNNNNNNNNNNNNNNNNNNNNNNNNNNNNNNNNNNNNNNNNNNNNNNNNNNNNNNNNNNNNNNNNNNNNNNNNNNNNNNNNNNNNNNNNNNNNNNNNNNNNNNNNNNNNNNNNNNNNNNNNNNNNNNNNNNNNNNNNNNNNNNNNNNNNNNNNNNNNNNNNNNNNNNNNNNNNNNNNNNNNNNNNNNNNNNNNNNNNNNNNNNNNNNNNNNNNNNNNNNNNNNNNNNNNNNNNNNNNNNNNNNNNNNNNNNNNNNNNNNNNNNNNNNNNNNNNNNNNNNNNNNNNNNNNNNNNNNNNNNNNNNNNNNNNNNNNNNNNNNNNNNNNNNNNNNNNNNNNNNNNNNNNNNNNNNNNNNNNNNNNNNNNNNNNNNNNNNNNNNNNNNNNNNNNNNNNNNNNNNNNNNNNNNNNNNNNNNNNNNNNNNNNNNNNNNNNNNNNNNNNNNNNNNNNNNNNNNNNNNNNNNNNNNNNNNNNNNNNNNNNNNNNNNNNNNNNNNNNNNNNNNNNNNNNNNNNNNNNNNNNNNNNNNNNNNNNNNNNNNNNNNNNNNNNNNNNNNNNNNNNNNNNNNNNNNNNNNNNNNNNNNNNNNNNNNNNNNNNNNNNNNNNNNNNNNNNNNNNNNNNNNNNNNNNNNNNNNNNNNNNNNNNNNNNNNNNNNNNNNNNNNNNNNNNNNNNNNNNNNNNNNNNNNNNNNNNNNNNNNNNNNNNNNNNNNNNNNNNNNNNNNNNNNNNNNNNNNNNNNNNNNNNNNNNNNNNNNNNNNNNNNNNNNNNNNNNNNNNNNNNNNNNNNNNNNNNNNNNNNNNNNNNNNNNNNNNNNNNNNNNNNNNNNNNNNNNNNNNNNNNNNNNNNNNNNNNNNNNNNNNNNNNNNNNNNNNNNNNNNNNNNNNNNNNNNNNNNNNNNNNNNNNNNNNNNNNNNNNNNNNNNNNNNNNNNNNNNNNNNNNNNNNNNNNNNNNNNNNNNNNNNNNNNNNNNNNNNNNNNNNNNNNNNNNNNNNNNNNNNNNNNNNNNNNNNNNNNNNNNNNNNNNNNNNNNNNNNNNNNNNNNNNNNNNNNNNNNNNNNNNNNNNNNNNNNNNNNNNNNNNNNNNNNNNNNNNNNNNNNNNNNNNNNNNNNNNNNNNNNNNNNNNNNNNNNNNNNNNNNNNNNNNNNNNNNNNNNNNNNNNNNNNNNNNNNNNNNNNNNNNNNNNNNNNNNNNNNNNNNNNNNNNNNNNNNNNNNNNNNNNNNNNNNNNNNNNNNNNNNNNNNNNNNNNNNNNNNNNNNNNNNNNNNNNNNNNNNNNNNNNNNNNNNNNNNNNNNNNNNNNNNNNNNNNNNNNNNNNNNNNNNNNNNNNNNNNNNNNNNNNNNNNNNNNNNNNNNNNNNNNNNNNNNNNNNNNNNNNNNNNNNNNNNNNNNNNNNNNNNNNNNNNNNNNNNNNNNNNNNNNNNNNNNNNNNNNNNNNNNNNNNNNNNNNNNNNNNNNNNNNNNNNNNNNNNNNNNNNNNNNNNNNNNNNNNNNNNNNNNNNNNNNNNNNNNNNNNNNNNNNNNNNNNNNNNNNNNNNNNNNNNNNNNNNNNNNNNNNNNNNNNNNNNNNNNNNNNNNNNNNNNNNNNNNNNNNNNNNNNNNNNNNNNNNNNNNNNNNNNNNNNNNNNNNNNNNNNNNNNNNNNNNNNNNNNNNNNNNNNNNNNNNNNNNNNNNNNNNNNNNNNNNNNNNNNNNNNNNNNNNNNNNNNNNNNNNNNNNNNNNNNNNNNNNNNNNNNNNNNNNNNNNNNNNNNNNNNNNNNNNNNNNNNNNNNNNNNNNNNNNNNNNNNNNNNNNNNNNNNNNNNNNNNNNNNNNNNNNNNNNNNNNNNNNNNNNNNNNNNNNNNNNNNNNNNNNNNNNNNNNNNNNNNNNNNNNNNNNNNNNNNNNNNNNNNNNNNNNNNNNNNNNNNNNNNNNNNNNNNNNNNNNNNNNNNNNNNNNNNNNNNNNNNNNNNNNNNNNNNNNNNNNNNNNNNNNNNNNNNNNNNNNNNNNNNNNNNNNNNNNNNNNNNNNNNNNNNNNNNNNNNNNNNNNNNNNNNNNNNNNNNNNNNNNNNNNNNNNNNNNNNNNNNNNNNNNNNNNNNNNNNNNNNNNNNNNNNNNNNNNNNNNNNNNNNNNNNNNNNNNNNNNNNNNNNNNNNNNNNNNNNNNNNNNNNNNNNNNNNNNNNNNNNNNNNNNNNNNNNNNNNNNNNNNNNNNNNNNNNNNNNNNNNNNNNNNNNNNNNNNNNNNNNNNNNNNNNNNNNNNNNNNNNNNNNNNNNNNNNNNNNNNNNNNNNNNNNNNNNNNNNNNNNNNNNNNNNNNNNNNNNNNNNNNNNNNNNNNNNNNNNNNNNNNNNNNNNNNNNNNNNNNNNNNNNNNNNNNNNNNNNNNNNNNNNNNNNNNNNNNNNNNNNNNNNNNNNNNNNNNNNNNNNNNNNNNNNNNNNNNNNNNNNNNNNNNNNNNNNNNNNNNNNNNNNNNNNNNNNNNNNNNNNNNNNNNNNNNNNNNNNNNNNNNNNNNNNNNNNNNNNNNNNNNNNNNNNNNNNNNNNNNNNNNNNNNNNNNNNNNNNNNNNNNNNNNNNNNNNNNNNNNNNNNNNNNNNNNNNNNNNNNNNNNNNNNNNNNNNNNNNNNNNNNNNNNNNNNNNNNNNNNNNNNNNNNNNNNNNNNNNNNNNNNNNNNNNNNNNNNNNNNNNNNNNNNNNNNNNNNNNNNNNNNNNNNNNNNNNNNNNNNNNNNNNNNNNNNNNNNNNNNNNNNNNNNNNNNNNNNNNNNNNNNNNNNNNNNNNNNNNNNNNNNNNNNNNNNNNNNNNNNNNNNNNNNNNNNNNNNNNNNNNNNNNNNNNNNNNNNNNNNNNNNNNNNNNNNNNNNNNNNNNNNNNNNNNNNNNNNNNNNNNNNNNNNNNNNNNNNNNNNNNNNNNNNNNNNNNNNNNNNNNNNNNNNNNNNNNNNNNNNNNNNNNNNNNNNNNNNNNNNNNNNNNNNNNNNNNNNNNNNNNNNNNNNNNNNNNNNNNNNNNNNNNNNNNNNNNNNNNNNNNNNNNNNNNNNNNNNNNNNNNNNNNNNNNNNNNNNNNNNNNNNNNNNNNNNNNNNNNNNNNNNNNNNNNNNNNNNNNNNNNNNNNNNNNNNNNNNNNNNNNNNNNNNNNNNNNNNNNNNNNNNNNNNNNNNNNNNNNNNNNNNNNNNNNNNNNNNNNNNNNNNNNNNNNNNNNNNNNNNNNNNNNNNNNNNNNNNNNNNNNNNNNNNNNNNNNNNNNNNNNNNNNNNNNNNNNNNNNNNNNNNNNNNNNNNNNNNNNNNNNNNNNNNNNNNNNNNNNNNNNNNNNNNNNNNNNNNNNNNNNNNNNNNNNNNNNNNNNNNNNNNNNNNNNNNNNNNNNNNNNNNNNNNNNNNNNNNNNNNNNNNNNNNNNNNNNNNNNNNNNNNNNNNNNNNNNNNNNNNNNNNNNNNNNNNNNNNNNNNNNNNNNNNNNNNNNNNNNNNNNNNNNNNNNNNNNNNNNNNNNNNNNNNNNNNNNNNNNNNNNNNNNNNNNNNNNNNNNNNNNNNNNNNNNNNNNNNNNNNNNNNNNNNNNNNNNNNNNNNNNNNNNNNNNNNNNNNNNNNNNNNNNNNNNNNNNNNNNNNNNNNNNNNNNNNNNNNNNNNNNNNNNNNNNNNNNNNNNNNNNNNNNNNNNNNNNNNNNNNNNNNNNNNNNNNNNNNNNNNNNNNNNNNNNNNNNNNNNNNNNNNNNNNNNNNNNNNNNNNNNNNNNNNNNNNNNNNNNNNNNNNNNNNNNNNNNNNNNNNNNNNNNNNNNNNNNNNNNNNNNNNNNNNNNNNNNNNNNNNNNNNNNNNNNNNNNNNNNNNNNNNNNNNNNNNNNNNNNNNNNNNNNNNNNNNNNNNNNNNNNNNNNNNNNNNNNNNNNNNNNNNNNNNNNNNNNNNNNNNNNNNNNNNNNNNNNNNNNNNUAUGUAAAUAUGUGUGCUAUAGGAAGUUUAUGAGUAAUGGUAUAUGGUUGUAAUGCAUGUGAAAUUUGGCAUGAUGAAUCUUGAGAAAUUCCCAUUUUCUUGCAAAUUGAUCUUUAUUGAAGCACCAAAUGGAUUUUUUGUGCAAAGGAGGCCCCUUUUUCACUUAGGUACCCUGCUUCUUGCUGCAGCGAGAAACAUUCUGUUUUGGCAGCAGAAAACUCGCUGCAGGGAAAAUAAAUCUCGUUGCAGCGAGAAACUCUUGUGUUCUGAUAUAGUACCUUUACUUUGAUGAUAAUUUUGACCAUUUUCCGUUCCGAACUAGGAAAUGUGGUAAACAUAAAAGUUGUAGCCUUGUAUCUAAGAUUUCUAAUGGUCUAAAUAUUGGGUCAAUUGGACUACUGUAGCAUGAGAUAUGGUCAAAAAACUAAAAUAUAUGCAAACUAACACUAUUUCUCGCUACAGAGAGAAACUUUUUGUUUUGGCCCCUGAAUCUCGCUACAACGAGAAUGAACUUCACUGUAGCGUAAAAGUUUCUGCCAUGCUUGCUACCUUGCUUGAUUUUGACCUACUUUUGGCCCAUUUAACUUCAUGGAUUGAUCAUGGGUUUGUGAAACACUAUAAGGGUAUGAAUCAAGGUUUGAAAUGAGGGGUUUUUAGUAAGAAAUUAAAUCAAGUGCAUUGUUUUUGAAACAAGUGCAUCAUGAUUUCCAAAUUCUUCCUAUCGAUUUCUUGUUCCCUUUUUAUGUUCACUGACUGAGUUUCGUACUCACCUUUUUAAAUUUCAUGUUUUCAUAUUUGGAAGCUGUUGUGACCUAGAUUGAGUCGCACACAUAUGCUCAUCUUCUUGGUAGGUAUUAUGGCAUCUCAGUAGCUAUAUCUUCACCUAGAGUCACUCCGCUAAUGAUCUCGAGUCUAUUACUUGUGAACAUGUAUAUGUAAUGUAAACUACUAAGAGUCAUGUUCUAAAUUAAGUAUGUAUAUGUUGGAUUGAUGAUGACAGUACUUUGAUAUAAUAUAAAUAUGAAUAUUCAGUUGUUAUAAAAUAUUACUAGAACAUUUAGUUUUGAGAGUUACAACACUUCAUUUUAAAGAUGAUGGAUGGGAAUGAUAAUCAGAAUAGCAUAAAGAGGCUUGCUUGGGCUUAGUGGGCUAUGCCUAUUGGGCCCAUGCGUUGGUCAUGGCUCGAGAAUUUAGGUUGUGAAAAAGGUGGUAUCAGAGCUUUAGAUUUAGCCGAGUCCUAGGGAUUCUUGUGUCUGUCAGCAGAGUUGUUAAAGUUAAUGUAGAGUCUUAUCUAUGGUUUGUGACUACAACACAAGUCAUAGACGGAAGCUAUAUGAACUCCUAUUCCUAGUAACCUGCCCUUUUGUUAUCGUCAUGUAAAGGGCAUAAAUGGUAUCGCUACUCGGGUUUGAGAUGCCACCCGAGAUACAAACCAUUAUUGGAAGGAUUUUUAAGUAAAUGCUCCAAAAUGAAAGGUUAAUGUAAUAAUAAAUCCCUCCUAUUAAAGAUGGAGGAAAUUGGAGUUGAACUAAUAAGUUCGAAGUAACUCAUUUAUUUGGUGGAGUUAACCAUUGAGCCAUGAUUGUCAAUGGAAAGAAAUUUGAAGACUAUGGAUUGAAUUUGAGGUCAAUAUAGGGAGGACAUACGAUAAUGGUAAUAAGAGCUGUAUUUUGACUGGAAUGAAUAGUGAUUAUUAUGACUCACUUGAGGUUUAUAAAUUUAAGUAUCAAGGAAAAAUGCAAACAAAUGUUUAUGUGCACAGAGGUAAAUGCAAUGUGUUAUUUGAGCUUGACAUGCCCCCUAUAGAAAUGGUGUGGGCUUUUGAAAUAUUUUAUAAGUGUAUAAGUAUGGAAUUUGUGUAUAGUAGCUUAAAUGGGGUUGGUUUUGAUUCUAAUUAAGUAACUGUGAGAUUCUAAGGCUUGAAUUGAAUUAUUGUGGUUUAUGGUUAUAAUUGCAUGAAUUAGCUCAAGGGUGAAAAUCACGAAUUAUUAUAAUUGAUGUAUGGUCAUGAAGUAAAAGGCUAGUAAAUGAUGUACUCUAAGGAUGAGCUUGAAUUUUGCUAUGCUUAGUGUGGAGCCAAAGGAUUAAAGGACUAGAUAUGGAUUUAGUAGUUUGAAAUUAAAUGACAUGGAAAUGAAAAAUUUAGUCUAAGUGCCAUAUGGAGUUUUAUAUGAAGAUCGAUAUAUGAAUUGCUUUGAAGGUCAAUUUAAAAAUAUAUUUGGUUCAAUAUGCAACCUAUGAUGUAAAUGAUUUGUCUUGAAUGUGACUUCUCCAAAGGUAAGGGACUUAAAACAUGUGGAUUUUUGGAUAUGCUCUAAGAGGAAGUUUCUGCAUCCCAAGCUUAAGAAAUUUUGAUCUUAUGACUGCAAAGGCAAGAUACAAAAAAUUAUGUGAAUUGUUUAUCUUAUGGAUGUAAUUGGUUAAGAAUUGAUGAGUAAAGUCAAGAUCUCAACACUAAGUGGUGUACAAUUUGAUAUAUGUGUAUCUAAGCAUAAAUUUGGAGAUCAUUGCUUAGUCAAUUUGUACUGAAUGUUAUGGUAAAGGUAUGUGAAUGCUAGUAGUGAAGUAUGCCCAAAGUGAGAUAUGUUGAGACUAAUGUUCCGGUUGCAAACUUGUGAUAGAAAGCUAGUUUUGCAAAUUGUGGUUUUUAUGACCCUGAAAAAUAUGGAGGUUAUCAAUAUGUAAGCAUACACUUGGAGUUGUACAUCUUGUGAUCCCCAUGCAUCAUAUGGAUGGAGAUAUCCCAUAGGGGAGUUUAUCUUGAUUUAUGGUUACAUGAUUAUAGGCUUGGCAUGAGACUGAGAAUGCCCUAGCAUAAAUGUGGAAUGUAUUGUGAAAGGUUAAAAAGCCACAUAUACCUUAACAAGGUCAAUAACAUGAAUGAGGGGGAAAUAUGGAUGUUGAUAUGCUGAGCAUAAAGAGCUUAAGGAUAAUUAAUGCCAUUAUACUAAGUUAGAUGGUAUGAUCCGAACCAAGAACACAGACACCUUAGGAGAUUUUAAAAUAAUGUCCAGUGGGGUCGUGAGCUAAAGCAUUAUCGGGCAUACAAUGAAUGAUUAAAGUUAUGAGUGGCUUUGAAGAUAAGCCUUUGAUUGAUUAAGUUCUCAAUGGAACCCUAUUAAAAGAAGUGUUUAAGUGUUUUGGAAGUGUAUGUAAAAGCAUAAGAGAAUAAUUAGCUUGACUUGCUAUAAGAGGUCGAAAUUGGAUGGCCAUGAGUGGCUUGUGAACAAUCAAGCAGUGUAAAGUAUGUGCUCAUAAAGGGAGCUAUGAUUGGUAGAUAAAGGUGGAACUUUAGAAUUUCAUUGUCAUAGUUAUUAGAUUAUAUUUUGUAUUAUAUGAUAUAACGUAGAACAUCAAUGAUGAGGUUGUGUUCAAUGCUUUAGGCCUUGAACUGUAAGAUAUGGACAUGUAUCCACCUUGUGAAUACCUUGAUGAGAUAAAUUCAAAAGAUUUUUCACAAUGAGAAAACAUUAAAGCUCAAAGAGCAAAUGGCUAUAUAGUCAAGUUGGGCUCGUGACUGAUAUGUCACAUAAGUGUGAAAAUAUGAUACAAGAAUAAGUAUACUUGGAAAUGUUGGUUUGAGGCAAUGAUUAUCCUACUGUUUUGUGGACCUGAUGAGGUUUUGGUCUUGACAUAAUUGUAGACGCAAGGCAUAAAUUGUGAAAUGUGCUUCCCCCACAAGUUUCAAUUUAUUUUGAGUAAUUAUUAAGGUAAAGUGCUUGGUAAGGGUAGGCAAAGGUUGAAUUGUGUUUCAAAUGUUUAGAGAACGAGGGUGACACGGGUUGAUUAAAUGAUACUACUACUGGUGAGGGAAUAGAAAUACGCUACGAGAAUGGUAGAGAUCUACUAAGAAAAGAGAUGAUGAUUUGGGAAUUUAAGGACUCGUAUAUGAGUAAAGAUUUGGUAAUGAGACAUGACCUAAAGUUGGAAUACUACAAUAUGAAUUUUGACUAAGAAAAUCGACCUAUAAAACACGUGGUGUUUGGAGAUGGUGCCAAUUAGUGGUUGACUCUUGUAUGAGAAUGGAAUAUUGAAAUCAGCUUUGUGUAUUCACCACAAAUGAUGAGCAUGAUCUAACCAACCAAGAGAAGAAAUGAUUCUAAACUUGAUUGUUGGUUAUUUUGGUUUUACAGAUGGCUUAUUGAGCUUGAUAUGCCUAAGGCUAUUCGAAGUUAAAAUUUUUAAAAAUAUAUCUGUAUGGAUAUAUAUGUUGCAUAUUGGUAUAAAAGCUCAUGCGGAGUUAGUUAUAAUUUGAUUCGAUGAUGAUAUUCUAUCAAUGGUUAUAGUGCUAGACAAUGAUUAAGAUAAUUUAUCGCUAAUUUUGGUAGUGAACAAGUAGAUUAUAAUUCUGUUAGCUUAAAAGUAAGUGUUUAUACUUUUGGUAUGAGUUCAUCAAAUUCUAUUAUAUCAUGAUAAAACUUGGUGUUUUGAUAUAGCUUGAGAGGCUUGGUAUAUGACCUAGCUUAACUGUGAGCUAGAAAUUGUUAGGCUAUUAUGAAGUACACAAAUAGAGAAGUAUGACAUGAAUUUAAUAUCCUAAGGGGCAAUGGAAAAUGAUGUAUCAGUUUUGGUAUAACUUCAAUAUAUAUAGUUUUGAGAUAUAAAGAUGUGGGGAAAAGUUUAUAGCUUAUGCGUAAAGGUGUGCAUUUGGAUUCGUAUAAUUAAAAGUGUAAAAUCUGUCUUGAUUGAUAUAAAGCUCAUGAUUCAAAAUGAAUGAUUAUGGAUUUAAUUUUCUAAGGUAAAAGGGACUAAAAGAAGUUAAUAUCAGAAAGGCCUUAAUAGAUGAUUCUUAAAUUUUAAAGUGCACUUAAGGAGAGACAAAUGUUUAAUUUGAUCUUCAAAUUGAUAAACUAAUGAGGCCAUGAGAUCUGAUGUUUGGAGUAAAUUUGAGAAAUAUCAAGUUAGAUAUGUUGUGGGUGAUUGAUGACGAACAAAUUAGCUAUGACAUCGGAAAUGUAGAAAUAAUUAGUAAUCAAAAUGAGACUUGGAAAGGAACUUUAAAGGGAAAAUUUUGAGCAACUUUAAUCUUGAGAGGUUGAGUUAUUGAUUAAAGAGAUUGGUUAAGAUUAUAAGGGGGUAUGUGGAAUGUCAUAAUUUAUUGAAAUGCCUUAUGGUAUAAGUUGAGAUUUAUCUAGUGAGCACUCGAACAUGAAAGUAUUGGAGUUUGUUUUUGGGAAGAUGGUUACUAAUGGUUACCGGAUUUGAAUCAUCCGUGAUGUUAAACAUAUAUGAAUAAAUAAAGAGUGUUUGAUCCUUAUGUAUUAUGAAAUGCUUGAAUGGAAUUUGUAUGGAGGUAUGUGAAACGGAAUAGAGGUUGGUUGACCAUUUAGACCCAUAGUCAAUGGUGGAAUAAAUGCUUGAAUGUUGGAAGGUUUGAUAAAAGAUCAAAGUAGAGGAAUUGUGGAUGGUUAAGUAAACAUGCAUGAUUGAUGAUUUAAGGAUGAUUUGAUUGAGGUGUGACCGAAAUUAAUAGCAUAUUUGAAUUCUAUUCAUAAGAUAAAGAAGGAUAUUGUUUUGAUCCAACAAGAGUAGUACACAUAAUUAUAUAUUAUGACAUCAUUGACUUUUCUAUAAAGAUUGGAAGUUGAUAUAAUGCAUAAACCAAGAUUCUAUGUUAAGAAUGCCUGACGAGAGUGAUGUGGCAGAACUUGAGAACUUUGAUUCUUCACCCUACGUAGAUUUGAAUUCGAUGAGGUAACAUGGGAGGCCAAUGAGGAGAUGCAGACAAAGUAUCUCCACCUAUUUGACGCUUAGAGGUAUGUUUCCUUAUAGUUAAAUUUAAAUUUGGGGAUCGAAUUUUUAUUAGUGAGGGAGAAUGUGAGACCUCAGCCUCUAUAGGCUCAUAACGAGGCAUAGGCGUAAUAACUCGAGCUAGGGGUAGUUUCGUCAUUUCCUCUAAUAAGUUCCCAAAAAAAAGUUUUUUGAUAUUUAAGGUUUAAAUAAACAUAAAGACCAAAUAAAUGAUGUAUAAUGAUGAAAACAUGAAGAAAACUAGAUGUGGCAAUAAUUUUUACAACAGGGGCAAAAUGGUCAUUUUGCACCCCGAGUCAAAAUUUUAAGUUUUUGUAAACACGAGUAUAUUUAGACCAUUGUGGACUUAGCCUCAGUGUCAAAAUAGUAAAAAGAUUUCACGGAGGAUUGGAGAAGAACAAGCUAACUUGCUAAGGGCAUUUUCAUAAUUUCAAGUGGAAUGGAUAAGCUUGAGUUGUAAAUAUAUUUUUCUUUCAGUAGCUUAUUCUCCUUCUUCUUCUUCCAUCUCACGUUGCUUCCAUCCUCCAUGGGAGUUCCCUUCAAGCUUCCAUAACUCUCUUAAGCUAGCUACACUUUUCAUGUUUUUGUGCACCUUUUCAUAGAACCUUUGUGCUCUUUCACCCUCUCACUAUAAAAACCCUCCAAAGUCUUAAACUAAUACUUUUUCUCACUAAGUAGUGUUUUAGAGAGAGAAAGAGAGAGCUUCUACAAUAGCUUGAAAAUUAUUGGAAAGAAUUUUAAUUUUAAGCUACCAAGGUGAGUAUAAGUUAAGGUUUAGUUUCUUUAGUUAUUGAUAAUGCCUAACAAUUGGAAUUGUGAGUUGUUUUAUUGUUAAGGUUGUUUAUUUAUUUCUAGUGUUACUAGAGUAGAGAAAAUAGAUAGCUAGUCAAAUGGUAAUUGGAAGCUAGUUAGUAAUAACUAGUGGGGCUUGAUUUAAGAAAUAGCUUUUAGAAUUUAUAGUUGUAUGAAUUUAGUUAAUUGUGAUGCCAAUGUAAUGAUAGGUUCCAACGAAGCCCCACCACCCCAUUUGGACCAAUAGAGGAAGUUGGAGUUGAGUAAAGAUUUAACGAUUACCGGUGAGUGAACUUGCAUUUCAAAAUUGUUUUGGGAAUGUGAAUGUAUUUUCACAAAACAGUUGAAUGAUUUUGACCAACUUUUCCUUAAAAAUCUACCUAGGGAACAAGCCUUUGGUGAAUGUUUCUAUCUUAUGAAAGUGUACCAUAUAAUGGUUCAUGUGUUAUCACAAUAUGUUGAUAUGUAUAAUAUGCAUUAGAUGUUCCUUUUUGUGUGAUGACAAUGACCCAGCUAUGUGCGUGUGGGAGUGCACAUGAGCUGAUGAUGACCCAGCCUUGUUCGAGUGGGGAGUGCACAUGAGCUGAUGAUGACCCAGCUAUGUGCGAGUGAGGAGUGCACAUGAGCUGAUGGUGGUGGGAUGGUAUGCAUGAUGAUGUGUAUUUAUAUAUAUAAAUAUGUGUUAUAGAAAGUUAAUGAGUAUGGUAUAUGGUUGUAAUAAAUGUGAAUCUUGCAUGUUAAACCUUGAGAAUUUCUAAGCAUGUUCAAGUUGAUUUUGUUUUUGCAGCUAAAUGGCUUUUCCUUGAUAGAAUAAAAAUUUGUUGUUGGUGUCCUAUUUCUCGUUGCAGCGAGAUUCAUUCUCGCUGCAAUGAGAAACUCUCAGGUUUGGAAGGUUACAUUGGCUUGAUUCUCACUACAGCGAGAGAGUUGCUGAAGCUCCUCGCUGUAGCGAGAAACAUUCUGUUUUUGCUACAUGCAACUUGUUGCAGUGAGAAACUUUCUGUUUUAGCUGCUUGAAUCUCGCUGCAGCUAGAAACUUUCUGUCCAGCAUGAUACCUUGUUUGGUUGUUGCCCCAUUUUCCAUUUUAUUAACACCACCAUUGAUCAUGGACUCCCAGCAUUAAGGAAUACAUUUAAUUAAGUUUAAAAGAAAGGGGUUAAGAGAGAAACCCUUGACCAGUGGAGAAACCCUCGUUUCACUGAUAAUAUGUAUGGACAUUAGUUUCUAGACCUUUAAACCACCUUAUUGUUGGCACUAAAUUCGUGUUUAGGAAUAAAGUAGAUGAGCAAGGGAAUGUAGUUAGAAAUAAAGCUAGGUUGGUAGCACAAGGAUACAACUAAGAGGAAGGAAUAAACUAUGAUGAAACCUUUGCACCGGUUGCUAGGAUAGAAGCUAUAUGGCUACUACUUGCAUUUGUUUGCUUUAUGAACUUUAAGUUAUUCCAAAUGGAUGUAAAAGAGUGCAUUCUUAAAUGGUUUCAUCUAAGGAGAAGUUUAUGUUGAGCAACCCCCCUGGUUUUGAGGACUUUGAAAAACCAGAUCAUGUUUUCAAACUUCAUAAAGCCUUGUAUGGAUUGAAUUAAGCUCCUAGGGCUUGGUAUGAGAGGCUUUCAAAAUUUUUGGUUGAAAAAGGUUAUGUUAGAGGUAGUAUUGACACAACAUUGUUUAUCAAAAUAUACUUAAAUAAUUUAAUUAUUGUUCAAAUUUAUGUGGAUGACAUUGUGUUUGGUGCAACGAAUGAGGCUUAAUGCAAGAACUUUGCUAAAGAGAUGCAAGGGGAAUAUGAGAUGAGCAUGAUGGGUGAGCUAAAGUACUUUCUUGGUUUUUAAAUCAAACAAAGUGAAAGAGGAAUCUUCAUCAACUAAGAAAGAUACAUUCAAGGCAUGCUCAAAAGAUUUGAUAUACUGAUGAUGAAAUCAAUCUGCACACUAAUGAGUCUAUCCACUAGACUUGAUAUAGAUGAAAAAGAAAAAAAUGUUGAUCAAAAGCUCUAUAGAGGUUUGAUCGGAGCACUACUCUAUUUAACAGCCAGCAGGCCUAAUAUACAAUUUUCUAUAUGUUUGUGUGCUCAUUUCCAAUCUCAUCCCAAGGAACCACACCUGACUACUAUUAAAAGAAUUUUUAGAUACCUCUUAGAUACACAAACUUUAGGCAUAUCGUAUCUUAGGGAAUCAUCCUUUAGUCUAGUAGGAUAUUCAGAUGCAGAUUUUGCUAGCAGCAAAACAGAUAGAAAGAGCACUAGUGGAACCUACCAAUUUCUAGGUAGUAUGCUUAUGUCAUAGUUAAGCAAAAAGCAAAAUUCAGUUGCUCUCUCGACAACUGAAGCUGAAUAUGUAUCUCUAGGCAGCUGUUGUGCUCAAAUAUUGUGGAUUAAACAACAACUAAAAGACUAUUGAAUAUCAAUGCAUAACAUACCAAUAUAUUGUGACAAUACAAGUGCUAUCAACAUUUCAAAAAAUCCUGUGCAGCAUUCUAGGACUAAGCAUAUUGAGAUUAGACAUCAUUUUGUUAGAGAUCACAUAGUGAAAGGUGACAUUAAAAUUGAGUUUGUAAAUACUUUACAUCAAUUAGCUGACAUCUUCACAAAACCCUUAAAUGAGGAUAGAUUCUGUGAGAUUAAAAGAAAUUUAGGAAUGGUUAGUAUGCAAGAGCUUUAGGAAAACUUAUGAAAUUUUCUCAAAAGACAGUAGGCACUUAGUCGACUAAGAGAGGCACUUAGUCAACUAAGAGCAUUCUGUCACUUUAAAUAAUAAAACUCAGUGAGCUAGAGAAGAAUGAAUAAAAUACUAAACAGGAAUAGUAUACCGGAUGAAGGAAAUGGGCACAAUAUACUACCCAGCUAAAAAAUAGAAAUGAGAGGCGAUUUUCAAAUUUUAAACAGGAGAAAAACUGAUAAUAUUUAAGGGUGAGACAAACAGUUUGUUUUUUUAGAAUUAAACUACCCUUAACUCCUCUCUACGCUUUCUCUCUUCUGAAACCAACCCAUCUGAAAUUGAAACCCCUGCCUCUCUAACUCUCGAAACCCUAAGUUAAAAAUCCUUUAAACCAAAUGGCAAAAUCGAGACAAUCUCAAGAAGCUCUGGAGAAGAAAAAGGGUAAGCGGCCAUUGGAGGAAAGUUCACAAUCAAAAAUACAGAAGAAGAGAAAAAAGAUUCUGCACACUUCUGAAAUCGAAAAGUCUAGAAAGAAGAUGACUAAGAAGGGUCACAAAAUAAAGAAGAAAUGGCACGACCCAGUACUCCCCUCGAACCCGUGACAACCGUUGCGUUGUCUCGGUAGACAUUCAUUGCCCAAAACCCCGCAAGGCUUAAUAUCAAUUUCUCAUUUCCCCUGUGAGUAACCUUUGCCAAAUAUCAUGUUUUAAAAUAUUUUAAGCUGUUCCCAACUUAAAUCAAAUAAAAUAAUAAUUUUCAUCUCACAAAGGUAUUUUGGUCAUUUUUCCUCAAAAAUCUUGAAACCAGCUAAAAAAGUAGUAGGUGAGUACAAAACACAUAAUUCAUAAUCAAAAAUAAAUUUAGAUGUCUAAAACAUUCAUUUAAAAUGAAAUUAUGACUAUUAGAAUAAAAUAAAAAUAUAAAAUAAAAUAUUCAAUUUUCUCAUAAAAUAAUAUUUUUAGAACAUUGCGUAAAUAAUUUUUAUAGCGUAGAAGCUAAAUAAAUUCAUACAUACUGUAAUACAAGUAACCAAAGUAUAAAAUUUAAUUUAUAGUGACACAUAGGCCCACAAACGACCAAAAGUAAAAAAAGGCUGUGAGCCUAUGAUUUUUGAAGAAAUAAAGCCAACUGUAGCCUUUGACGAUAUGAACUACCUACCGACUAUCCUGAGCCUGAAAAGGGUGGAAAGGAGGGUGGUGAGAUUAUAUAAUCCCAGUGAGUAAACAAAUACCAUCAAAAAUAUCUAAAGUCGAGUUAAUGGAGACAGAUAAAAUAAAUCAUCAAACUGUAAUUCAUCACCUUUCAACUUGUUUCAACUAAAUAAAAUCAAUUCAUAUAAAUCGAGUAAUCAACAUAGCUUAUGAAUUUUUUAAAACUUGGCUCAUGCCAAAUAUUAUUUUCAUACUCAGUUAUCAGGGAUACCUUGGCCUAGGGUUAUCCCAAACCAAAUUUGCCAAGGCUAUUAAAAAGUUAUGUACGCAUAAAUCAUGUUUUCAUUUUGAAAACAUAGCCAUUCCUUAGCGUUGACUGAGUUCCCCCUCACGUGGUGCUUUUGCGUGAAGUGAACUCUAAAAGUGUUAGCCUCAGGAGUUAUCCAUCCGCACCUCUCACUGAGGUAAAAUAUAUCAAGAUUCCGUGCCCCUCUAAUAGGCUGGUCCAUAGAAAUCCCGCCUCCUACAGCAAGUUAAAUCCGCCAUACAAUAAAAUUUUGACAGCAUGACAUGACUAAUAUAACACUAUCUAGCCUGUAAAUGUAAAACAGAACAAUUCAUACAGUUCACCAAAAACACAACCCAGCCAGUCAUGCCAACACAUUAACAUAAGCCAUAAAUUCAUAUCAUAAAUUUACAACACCUCAAGUGGUCUCCAAUUACUCUAUUUUCAAAACCAUCAUUCAAUUUCAAGACAAUUUAUAAAAUCAUUUCAUUUAAAUACAUUUUGUUUAUAAACAUAAAGAUUUUCCAUUUAAACUCAUUUUCCUUAAAAUCAUAAAAUUGGAUAAAAACCACUUUAGAUAAUUAAGACGAUAGUAAGGUUACUCAUUGUACUAGGAGUUCGAUAUACUCCUAUUCUCGGUCUUCGGGCACAAUCUCUUUACCUUUAGCGGAGGAUUCACCACCUAGACAUGAUGCAAAUUCAAGCAAUUUACCACAUUGGUGCUAAACCGUUAUAAAGCUUUAUGGAUGCAUGAAAUGGAAUGCAAAUUGUUCGGAUUAUCGUCUAAACAUGGUGUUCGCCUAAUUCGAUCUAUCACUUAAUUAAUUGGCCAAUUCAACUCCAAUUAACUCCAUUUUUCUUCCAAUUCUCCAGACCAUCCAUCACAAAUCCAAUAGCAUAAAAUUUAGCAAAAUCACCUUCACAUUUUCCCUUGGGAAUUUCGGCCAUGGUGGUGCAUCAAUACUAUAAUUUUUUCUACUUGAUUUUCUCACCAUAAUUCAUCAUUUCCUAACCAAUUCACUUGAAAUAAAAUCAUAUCCACUGUCAACACUCUACAUGGAGAAUUCGGCCAAUGAUGGGUAAUGGGAGAAAAUGAAUUUUUCUUGUUGGCUUUUCAUGCUACACAUAACUAACUAACUAAAAACACUAAAAUACAUUAAAAUCUAACCAAAUCAUCAUCAAAUUCUCUCUCCUAGGUGUUCGGCCAGCAAGGGUAUCCUCAUGAAAACUUGAUUCUCAACCAUGGAAAAUGAAAAAGGAUGCAUGGGAAAGGUAGAUCACAAGUCAAAAUCAAGAAAGUUUACCUUUGAUUGCUUGAUUACUUUAAAUCCACCAAUUUUCUCUUGAAUUUUCAUCCUAGGGUUCUUGUUCUUUCUUUUCUCCUUUCGUUCUUGCUAUGGUCUUUCUUUGGCUGGCCAUAUGAAGAGAAAUAGGCUGAUUUUAUGUUAAUUUAUAAGGAAAAUAAUUAAUGGAUGAGAAUUUGCCAUGUGUCACCAUUCCAUUGGUCCAUUUUUAAUUUCUUAACUAUUAAGCUUUCUCUCUUCACCAUAUAAAUUCCUUCAAUUAUCCAUGAUAAUAUUGGAUAAAUUUCAUAUGCUGGACAAGUGUUGGGUGUGUAAAAUUACAAUUUUGCCCUUGUGGUGGCAAAAUGAUUAUUUUGCCAUUUAUGCUCGAAAAAUGCCGAAAUUAAAAUUUUUUACUUCUCAAACUCAAAUUAUACUCCAAAUGAUCAAUCUUAGUCAAAAAUUUCAUCCAACACUCACAUUUUUACCUUGGGUUACAAAAUGACCAUUUUGCCCCUAGAUCAUGAAAAUUCCAAUUUGACUUUAAAUCGGUCCUCGAACUCCGAAUCACCAUUUUAAGUCAUUCUGGGAAUUUAAAAUUCUCAAUUUCAUCUUAAAAUCUCUAUUUGGACUAGUUUGAGGCUUAAUUAAACUUAGUUGUACCAUUCAGUACACUACCGUCUUUUGACGAUUUUUCGGGGCUUCCCAAGUAUGUAAGCAUAUUGUCAAUCACAUGAAUGACAUGGCUAAUAUUUAUAAAGUCGGGCUUGACAAGAAGAAAGAAAAGGGAAAAUCAUUUAAGAAAGGUAAUAUCCCAUUCUCCAAAUUUAGAAACAAAGCCCAUGAAGAUAAAUACAGGAUAUUAGAGAUUGCCCCCAUCACUUGUGGUAAAUACAUUGACUAGGACAAUUUUAAUGAAAUUCCAAAAUAUCAAACAAGCUUAUCAGAUUAUUUUAAGGAAUUAAAAUUGAAAGAGUUUAGUACAUUUAAGAAUCGAUUCUACAGUGCUAGUUUUGUUAAAGAAUUUUAUGCAAGUAUAGCACUAGAUAAAGGUCAACUUGAGGAUUUUGAUGAUUAUAUUGAGGAUAGUCUGAAUGUCUUUUUGAAUGGAAAGGAAUUUACUAUUACUACUACAGAUUUAGGGAGCUUUCUCAAAAUCGAAUGUGAGGAGGGUGAGUUUGAAUUCCUUGAAAAUUAUGACCCCUCAUCCCUAUGGGAAAUUAUCAUAGGGAAAAAAGAAAAAUACUCCUCCAAAAGUAAUUCCGGCCUUAUUACAAGUCCUCAAAUUAGAAUUCUACAUUACUUUGUUAUUGCGAACAUUCAUGGUAGGAGUGGAAGUUUUAGCUACAUUAGCCUCCAAGAUUUAUGGCUAACGGAGCAUGCAUUCAGUGGUGUUUCACUUAACCUGGGCAGAUUUAUGAUUGGGAGAAUGAAAAGAGCAUGUAGACUAGAAAAAAUAAAUUUGCCUUAUGGGAAUAUCAUCACGUCUCUAGUGCAGAAGAAAGGUAUUUGGAGCUCUAGGUAUGAAGCAGAUAAUGUAAAAAGUAGAGACCAAGCCAUUUACCUUGGGAGUUUGCCUAAAAUGGGGUAUAAGCUAGAUGGAGAAACCUUUGUUAAAGCCCCCACGGUUGCUCCCAGAAAAGAAACCUCUCUACCUACACAUCCUAAAGCAUCCUCAUCUCAGUUCUCUAAUGAAAUGCUUUUUAACCAGCUCAUGAGGAUUGAUGGAAAGCUGACUGACCAAGGAGUAAAGAUGUUGAAAAUUGAAGAGAAAUUGGCAGAGCUUGAAAAUGUGUUGAAGGAAAAAGAAAAAAUGCCUUAUAAACCUACAGUUGCAGAUACCUCUGCAGCUCCAAGUCUUGCAGAAGGACAAGGUGCUGAAGGUUCUGCUUUCAAGGUUAAGGGUCAUGAACCUGAAGUAGAUCAACCGAGGAAAACACCCUCACCUAAGCCACAAAAGGAAGUUGAGUCGAAACAAGGGAUUGAGGUGCUUGGCUCACUUAAUGAAAAUCCCCCAUUCCUUCAAGAACCUCAAAAAGAACAGCCUUCUCCUCCUCAUUCUGAGGAAGUAUCAAUCAUGGGCAUUUUUCAUCAGAUGGUCAAGGAAGAGCAGGCAGAAAAGGAAGCAGCUAAAGCACAAGCACAGAAGUCUACAUUCACUGAACCAACUCCCAUAGCAGAAGAAAAAUCGGGUAAAGGAGAAAAAAUUGCUGCAGUUUCACAGGCCAAAUCAAAACCACCUAGCAAAGGAAAGAAAACAAUGGCCACUAAGACUAAGUUCCUCAAAUGAAGAAAAUCCUCCAGAAUAGCUGAAAAGGCUAAGCCAUCAGCAAUCUCUUCUUCACAAGACCCUUUGGAAAUUUCUGACAGAUCAUCACCAGAACCCUCACCACAAAAAUCACCACCAGAACGCUCACUUGAACCCCUAAAUAUUUCUAUGGAACUGAUGAGUCUACCCCUUCACGCUCUUUAGAAGAUGAUUAAGCAUCCUUAGGAUUUGAUGAUGACAAAAAGGGGGAGAAUAAUAUGGUGUAUAAUUUAGGGGAGAUCUAAGAGUAAUUUAGGAAUAUUGACUUCUGUUUUUAAUUUUCCUGCUAUCUUUGCUUUGACAGUUGAACAAUUAAAUUUGACUUUGAUGAUAGAUGUUUUUGGAUUCUGAUAGACAUUGCUAUUUAUGUUUUUGGAUGUCAACAAGUUGGAUGUUGAAUAUUUAAAUCUGUUAUUGAAGUUUCUGCCAUUGAGUUUCUGUUGUUACUUUGGUGCUGAUAUUGGGUUGUCAUACUAAUGAUUGAUUUUUAAUAUGACAAUGGGAAUGGAUUGUGUUUGUAAAUGAAUAUGGAUGUUAUUUAUACUAUAUUUGUUGGAUGAUAAAUGGAAUACAUAAAAUUUGGUAACAAUAUGCUGUUGACAGACACUGUUGAUAUAUUGUUGAUAAUUUGUCAACAGUCACCUACUGGCAAUUACUAUAUAUAUCUGCAUAUAUAUAUUCUUAAUGAAUAAUGUCAUUUUAUAAAUGACAAGAAUUAAAAUUUGCUAGAAUGAAUAAGUAAAAUAAGCACACACUAAGGGGGAGCAUACACUUAAGGGGAGAAAUCCUCAUUUUUGUGCAGAAUUGAAAAAAAAAGGACACUGUGCUGUUAAUCAAGGAAUGUUUUGUCAUCAUCAAAAAAAGAACAAAAGGGACUUCCAACGGCUAGAAAAGUAGAUUGAAGGCUUCCAAGAACAAGAAAGAGCUCAAAAACUUGAAAAUACUUUCUGCUCAUUUACUGCACUCAAAUCCUAUCUUUGUAAUUAUGAUCUACACUUCACUUUGUACCAUUUAGAUCAACUUUGUGAUCAUAGAUACACUCUUUUCACUUCUCUCCUUGUAUUUUUAGAGUGAACGGGUCACUCUAAGGGAUUGAUUCAAGCUAGGAUUGCUUGAUUGAGUAUAGGUUCUAACUUAGCUUUCACGACCCGAAACUCCCAUAGAGCCUGUAACAACCGCCGCGACGUUCCAAUAGGCACUCAUUACCCCGAAUGCGGAUCGAAACCUUGCAAGGCUUAGCAUCAGCUUCCGCAUCUCCCCAGUGAGCGACAGUUAUUAAAUCUCACAUUUCAAAAAAAUCAUAAGUUAUUUCCAAAUCAAAACAAUAAAAUAUUACUUUCUGGCUCAUAGGGGCAUUUUCGUCAUUUUUUUUCGAAAAUACCGAAACUCGCCAAAAACAUGGUGUAAAAGCUAAAUAUAUUCAUACAUACUUUAAAUCAAAUAAUUGAAGAAUAAAAUUACUUUUACAGUGACACGUGGGCCCCAAACUAACUAAAAAGAUGUAGGACUACGAACCCUUACUUUCUAAGAUGCAACUCUGAGAUUAAUUCUCGUCUUAAUCAACUAUCAACAAAUUGUCCUAAGCUUGAAAAAUGGAUAGGAAGAGGGGUGAGAUUAUGAUUACAUAAUCCCAGUGAGUAAACAAUUACCAUCAAAAGCAUCUAAAGCCGAGUAGAUGGAGACAAUAUAAAAACGUUAUAUCUCAAUAAUGUUCAUAACACAAAUUUCGUUUCAAUCUAUACCAAACAAUUUAUUUUCAUCAAAAUUUCUCGGCUUAUGAAUUUCUUAAAUUUGGCCCCUGCCAAAAUCAUUCUCGCGGGUACCUUCGUCAAGGUAUCCCACUAAGACCGCCAAGGCUGUUCAAUGACCCAUACCCAUAAACAUGUUUUCACAUCUAACACACAACCGUUCCUUGGCGUUGGCUGAGUCUCACUCUCACGUGGUGGCCCAAACGUGAGGUGCACUCAAAUCAUACCUCAGGAGAUACUUCACCCAACAUCUCCCCCCGGAGGUAAAUAUAUAAUUGAGUUACUGUGCUCUUCUCAUAGGCAGUCCACGAAAACCCACACCACUGCAGUGACCGUGAGGUGCAUUCAAAUCUUACCUCAAGAGAUACUUCAUCCAACAUCUCCCCCCGGAGGUAAAUAUAUAAUUGGGUUACCGUGCCCCUCUCAUAGGUAGUCCACGGAAACCCCCACCACUGCAGUGACCGUUUAAUAUAGCACCAGAGCCAUAAAAAUUCCAGUAGCAUAAUAUGGCGAAUGAAAUGUAAUUCAGUCUACUGAGACCAAUCCAAAACUGUUCAUAUAUUUCAUGCUAACCCAAAAAAUUUAGCCAUCAUGCUACCAUAGUGUCAUAAGCCCCAAUUUCAAUAACAUAUAAAAUCAUAAAUUCAACACAGUCUCCAUAUACUCAAUUUUCCCAAAACAAUAUUUGAUUUCAAAACCAGUAUAAAUCUCAUUUUUAUUAAAAAAAAAACAUUUGAAUUGGAAAACAUAAUAUUUUAUAAUUUAAACUCACCAUUCAAUAAAAGCAUCAAACAAGUAUAAUUACUCUAGAUAUUUAAGAUGAUAAAUUGUCCACUCACAGUUCUAGGAGUCGAUGUACUCCUAAUCCCAGUCUUCAAGCAUAAUUUAUGUACUUUUACCAGUGCAAUUUGCUCACCACCUAUCCACAAUGUACAAUACAUAAUUCACCACAUCAAUGCUUGACCAUUAUAAAAUCAAUUCAGGCUCGGUAUAUAUGCAUGAUAUGACAUGCAACUUAUCCGACUACCACUUAAAUGCGGUGCUAACCUAAUUCGACCUAUUACCCCAUUAAAUUACUAAUGCGUCCAAUUUAAUCUCAAAUUAAUUUUUUUCAGUUUCUAUACCUCAAUUGCACCCAAAUUGACUUAAUGUUCCUCAGUGUGGUGCAAAUUAUCAAUCUUGGUAGCAAAUUACGAAAAUACCCCUAAUGGGUAAAAAUUCAUAUUUUUGCUCCGAAAAUUCUCAUUAUUUUUCUAGACUCAUAAUUCAUCAUUAUUCAUCAUAAUUCCUCAAAUAAACAUCAAGAUCAUCAGCCAAUAUUCCCCUAGAAAAUUCGGCCAAUAAUGGUAAUGGAGGAAAAUAAAUUCUUUUCUUGUUGUUUUGUUCCUAAAUAUGCUAAACUAACUUAAAACACUAACAUAACUUAAAAUCAAAUUAAUCUAACAAGUUUCUCUCUCCUAACCCAUUUUUCCAGAAUUGAAUUCAUCCUCAAAUCACAUGAUUCANNNNNNNNNNNNNNNNNNNNNNNNNNNNNNNNNNNNNNNNNNNNNNNNNNNNNNNNNNNNNNNNNNNNNNNNNNNNNNNNNNNNNNNNNNNNNNNNNNNNNNNNNNNNNNNNNNNNNNNNNNNNNNNNNNNNNNNNNNNNNNNNNNNNNNNNNNNNNNNNNNNNNNNNNNNNNNNNNNNNNNNNNNNNNNNNNNNNNNNNNNNNNNNNNNNNNNNNNNNNNNNNNNNNNNNNNNNNNNNNNNNNNNNUUCUUAUUUCUCUCUCUCUCCUGCUGGUUUUGGCUGACCAUCCCAAUGAAGAAUUCUGGAAUUUUCAAGCCUUUUAAUAGGCUUAAUAAAAUAUUAUUAUUUUAUUUACCUUUUGAAUAUUUUAUUAUUUUAUUUUUUUCUAGCCAUCUUUUUGACUUUCUUUUUCUACCACUCAAUCCUCUUCACUUAUCCAUGUCUUCCAUGAAAUUUCUAGACUUUUCCAAAGUUUUGGUGGAGUAAAUUUUUAAAAAUUACACUUUUGCCCCUGUAAAGUGAAAAAUUACAUUUUUACCCCAAAAACUGAAAAAUUGGUCAUAGACAUAUUUUUCAUCCCUUAUACUCAUACCAUUCUCCAAUUUGUCAAAUGUGAUCUAAAUUCUCUCAAAAUCUCAAAUUUUGUUCGCGGGUGGAAAAAUUACAAUUUUACCCCUAGAUAGUGAAAAUUCUGGUUUGACUCCGAAUUGAUCCUCGAACUCCUAAUUACCAUUUUGAGUCAUCCCUGAACUGUGAAACUCUUAAUUUCACCUUAAAAUUCUUAUUUGAAUUAGUUUGAGAAUUAAUCGACUUAAUGAUACCAUUAGGGGCAAUAUCGUCGUUUAACGAUUCCUCGAACCUCCUAAAUAUGCAAACAUUCUAUUGAGCAUGUAAAUGACGUCGUAAUUAUUUUAUAGAACAGGGUUUGACGUUAGCCUUGAAAAGUUAGGUAUUGGGUUUUAGUUGAUCCCGGUAAAAACUAUUGUGAAAGGUUUUGUCUAAGCCUGGUAAAAGCCAUUGUAAAAGCUUGGUGAAAGCUUGUGAAUUUCACCAUUCUUAGUGGAUUGUUUGGAAAAUCCUUGAUUAAACAAUCAAGGUAGCAGAUGUAGGUCUUGGACCAAACCACUCUAAAUUCUGCUGUGUUGUCUACUCUGUUUUUGUUUGUUAUUUUCAUUCCUUUUUUAUCUUGUAUUUGUUUUCACUUAGGGCCAAUUUUUUAAAUAGGCAAAUUGUGCUAUUCACCUCCCUCUAGCACAUUUACUUGGGACCAACAUGAACUUAAUUAGCCUAUUUUAAUUUCAAUUCAUAUAGGAAUAUAGUGUUUUGUUUAAAGUAGAUAUUUUUAUAAGAGAUUCGAGAAAGCAUUAUAAUUAAUUAAGGACUCUAGGUUAGCUAUUCAACCCAUUGGUAUAAGUUAAGAGAAAGAAGUAACAUUUAGAUGAAGUGUGAGGGAUAUUGUAAUCCUAGGCCUUUUUAAAUUUGCUUAUUAACCAAUUAUCUUUUUGCUUUAAUUUUUAAUUAGUUUAGUUUUAGUUGAGCAAUUUUUAGUUUAAUUACAAUUCAAAUUUUAAUUAUUUGAAUAAAACUAAACUGUUCUAAUUUUAGUACUUAGUUAUAUUCUAGAUAAAUACUCUAUGGACACUCUACUUACCAAUAUAUUAUCCUUUCGAUACAUAUACCUGUGUAGGUAGAGUUUUAACUAAUAAUUCUAAUCUAUGCUACUCUUACUCAUAAAUCCAUAGACACCAAGAAAGUUAUUUCUCAUGCUAUACUUCAUACAAGCCGAAUCAAACGAGAUGGUAAAAGAUUUCCUUCCUGGAUAACUGCUUUGUGUGAAAAAACUAGUGUACGAUGGAAUGAUAGGGAAAAGUUGUAACAACCUAAACUUUCAAUCACCAUGGGAAUUUUGAGGCAAUUGGAAGAGUCCACAGUAGUGGUUGGUAGUUCUUCUUAAGCUGAUCUAUACCUCCACAGCGAGCUCUAACUUGUAGUAUAGCUUAAUGAAUGGAAUGGAUUGAUCAUCGCAUGAACCACUAAGAGAGGUAGAAUCGGGCACUUGAGCAAAUGAUGCAAGCCUAUGUAGAGCAUAUUGGGAUGGAUAUGGCUACUUACCCUUUGUUGCCCACAGAUUCAAACUUUGAUUACAUUUUUUGUGAGGAUGAUGAGGAUGACUAGUAGGGUGCUACUAAGCUUUAGGGGAGUGUUUCUCUUCUUUCCUUUUGUAAAACCCGACCUUAUAAACACAUGUCAUGACAUACAUGCACUGAGUAGCAUGUUAUUACGCUAGGAAAGUCCUAAGAAUAGACGAAACCCGAUAUUGUACCUAACGGUACACUUAAGUUGAUUCAACCUCGAACUAGUUCAAAUAGGAAUCGUAGCAUGAAAUUUAAUAUUUUACAGUCCAGGAAUGACUAAAAAUGAUUGUUCGCAGUUCGAGGAUUCAUUUGGGGUAAAAUUGGAAAUUUUGAUGUUCAGGGGCAAAAUCGUAAUUUUGCCACCCGCAGACAAAAUUUGAGAUUUUGAGAGAAUUUAGAUUAAAUUUGACAAAUUAGGGAAUGGUAUGAGUAUAAGGGAUGAAAAAUAUGUCUAUGGGCAAUUUUUAAGUUUUUUGUGUAAAAAUGUAAUUUUUCACUUUUACGGGGGCAAAAGUGUAAAUUUUAAAAAUUACUCCACCAAGACUUUGGAUAAGUCUGAGAAUUUUAUCUAAGCUAUGGAUAUGUAGGACAAGUGUGUGGUGAAAAUUUGGAAACAAAUGGAUGAAAUUUUAAAAACGGACCAAUGGGAAAGUGACACAUGGUAUUUUUUAAUGGUUUAAUAUUAUUUUAAUGAAAAGUCAGUCCAUUUAAACCCCAUUUUAAGUGAUGGCCGGCCAUAAGGAAGAACAAGAGAGGAAAGGAAGAAAAGAAAGAAAACAAAGGGAAACUAGAAAAAUUCAAAGGGGAAUUCACGUUUUUCACCCGUUUACACGUCUAACGGUAAGAUUUUUCAACUUUAGCUUGAUUUCUACCUUUCUUAUGCCUUUGUUUCCAUUUAGCAUGCUUGAGGAGAGAGAUCAAAAAGUGAUAUCAAGGGCUGGAUGAAAUUCAAGGGGGAGGAAAUUGAAAUUUUUAGGUUUUGACUUUUAGUUAAUUUGAUAGUUUUAGUUAGUUAAAUGUGUUUAGAAAUUAAAUUGAGCAAGAAAGCAUUAAAUUUUCACAAUACCCACCCUUGGCCGAAUCUGCAAUGAGGUACAAUGAUGAUAAUCUGAUUUUUAUUCUAAGAGAAAUGAAGAGAAAAUGAUGAAAAAUGGUUAAANNNNNNNNNNNNNNNNNNNNNNNNNNNNNNNNNNNNNNNNNNNNNNNNNNNNNNNNNNNNNNNNNNNNNNNNNNNNNNNNNNNNNNNNNNNNNNNNNNNNNNNNNNNNNNNNNNNNNNNNNNNNNNNNNNNNNNNNNNNNNNNNNNNNNNNNNNNNNNNNNNNNNNNNNNNNNNNNNNNNNNNNNNNNNNNNNNNNNNNNNNNNNNNNNNNNNNNNNNNNNNNNNNNNNNNNNNNNNNNNNNNNNNNNNNNNNNNNNNNNNNNNNNNNNNNNNNNNNNNNNNNNNNNNNNNNNNNNNNNNNNNNNNNNNNNNNNNNNNNNNNNNNNNNNNNNNNNNNNNNNNNNNNNNNNNNNNNNNNNNNNNNNNNNNNNNNNNNNNNNNNNNNNNNNNNNNNNNNNNNNNNNNNNNNNNNNNNNNNNNNNNNNNNNNNNNNNNNNNNNNNNNNNNNNNNNNNNNNNNNNNNNNNNNNNNNNNNNNNNNNNNNNNNNNNNNNNNNNNNNNNNNNNNNNNNNNNNNNNNNNNNNNNNNNNNNNNNNNNNNNNNNNNNNNNNNNNNNNNNNNNNNNNNNNNNNNNNNNNNNNNNNNNNNNNNNNNNNNNNNNNNNNNNNNNNNNNNNNNNNNNNNNNNNNNNNNNNNNNNNNNNNNNNNNNNNNNNNNNNNNNNNNNNNNNNNNNNNNNNNNNNNNNNNNNNNNNNNNNNNNNNNNNNNNNNNNNNNNNNNNNNNNNNNNNNNNNNNNNNNNNNNNNNNNNNNNNNNNNNNNNNNNNNNNNNNNNNNNNNNNNNNNNNNNNNNNNNNNNNNNNNNNNNNNNNNNNNNNNNNNNNNNNNNNNNNNNNNNNNNNNNNNNNNNNNNNNNNNNNNNNNNNNNNNNNNNNNNNNNNNNNNNNNNNNNNNNNNNNNNNNNNNNNNNNNNNNNNNNNNNNNNNNNNNNNNNNNNNNNNNNNNNNNNNNNNNNNNNNNNNNNNNNNNNNNNNNNNNNNNNNNNNNNNNNNNNNNNNNNNNNNNNNNNNNNNNNNNNNNNNNNNNNNNNNNNNNNNNNNNNNNNNNNNNNNNNNNNNNNNNNNNNNNNNNNNNNNNNNNNNNNNNNNNNNNNNNNNNNNNNNNNNNNNNNNNNNNNNNNNNNNNNNNNNNNNNNNNNNNNNNNNNNNNNNNNNNNNNNNNNNNNNNNNNNNNNNNNNNNNNNNNNNNNNNNNNNNNNNNNNNNNNNNNNNNNNNNNNNNNNNNNNNNNNNNNNNNNNNNNNNNNNNNNNNNNNNNNNNNNNNNNNNNNNNNNNNNNNNNNNNNNNNNNNNNNNNNNNNNNNNNNNNNNNNNNNNNNNNNNNNNNNNNNNNNNNNNNNNNNNNNNNNNNNNNNNNNNNNNNNNNNNNNNNNNNNNNNNNNNNNNNNNNNNNNNNNNNNNNNNNNNNNNNNNNNNNNNNNNNNNNNNNNNNNNNNNNNNNNNNNNNNNNNNNNNNNNNNNNNNNNNNNNNNNNNNNNNNNNNNNNNNNNNNNNNNNNNNNNNNNNNNNNNNNNNNNNNNNNNNNNNNNNNNNNNNNNNNNNNNNNNNNNNNNNNNNNNNNNNNNNNNNNNNNNNNNNNNNNNNNNNNNNNNNNNNNNNNNNNNNNNNNNNNNNNNNNNNNNNNNNNNNNNNNNNNNNNNNNNNNNNNNNNNNNNNNNNNNNNNNNNNNNNNNNNNNNNNNNNNNNNNNNNNNNNNNNNNNNNNNNNNNNNNNNNNNNNNNNNNNNNNNNNNNNNNNNNNNNNNNNNNNNNNNNNNNNNNNNNNNNNNNNNNNNNNNNNNNNNNNNNNNNNNNNNNNNNNNNNNNNNNNNNNNNNNNNNNNNNNNNNUAAAUUUUCUACUUUGUUUUUCUAUCACAUUUAACCAUUUUUCAUCAUUUUCUCUUCAUUUCUCUUAGAAUAAAAAUCAGAUCAUCAUCAUUGUACCUCAUUGCAGAUUCGGCCAAGGGUGGGUAUUGUGAAAAUUUAAUGCUUUCUUGCCCAAUUUAAUUUCUAAACACAAUUAACUAACUAAAACUAUUGAUUUAACUAAAAAUCAAAACCUAAAAAUUUCAAUUUCUCCCCGCUAGAAUUUCGUCCAGCCCUUGAUGUUACUUUUAGAUCUCUCUCCUCAAGCAUGCUAAAUGGAAACAAAGGCAUAAGAAAGGUAGAAAUCAAGCUAAAGUCAAAAAAUCUUACCGUCAGACGCGAAAACGGGCGAAAAACGCGAAUUCCCCUUUGAAUUUUCUUGUUUCUCUUUGGUUUUUCUUUUUUUCUUCCUUUCCUCUCUAUUUUCUCUCUUGUUCUCCCUUAUAGCCGGCCAGCACUUAAAAUGGGUUUAAAUGGGCUGACUUUUCAUUAAAAUAAUAUUAUAUCAUUAAAAAAUACCACGUGUCACUUUCCCAUUGGGUCGUUUUUAAAAUUUCAUCCAUUUGUUUCCAAAUUUUCACAAUACACUUGUCCCAUAUAUCCAUAGCUUAGAUAAAAUUUUCAGACUUAUCCAAAGUCUCGGUGGAGUAAUUUUUAAAAUUUACACUUUUACCCUCGUAAAAGUGAAAAAUUAUAAUUUUGCCCUAAAAACUGAAAAAUUGCCCAUAGACAUAUUUUUCAUCCCUUAUACUCAUACCAUUCUCCAAUUUAUCAAAUUUGAUCUAAAUUCUCUCAAAAAUCUCAAAUUUUGUCUGCGAGUGGUCAAAUUACGAUUUUGCCCCUACACUCCAGAAAUCACCAAAAUUACACUUUUUCACUUCCUAUCAUUAAAUUAUACUCCAAAUAGUUAAUCUUGGUAAAACAUUUCACUCCAUGAUCAAAUUAUUAUCUUAGGUGGCAAAAUGAUAAUUUUGCCCCUAAACAUCAAAAUUUUGAAUUUUACCCCAAAUGAACCCUCGAACUCCGAACAAUCAUUUUUAGUCAUUCCUUGACUAUAAAAUAUUAAAUUUCAUCCAACGACUCCUAUUUGAACUAGUUAAAGGUUAAAUCUAUUCAAGUGUACCAUUAGGUACAAUACCGGAUUUCAUCUAUUCUUAGGGACUUUCCUGGCAUAAUAACAUGCUACUCAGUGCAUGUAUGUCAUGACAUGUAUUUAUAGGGUCGAGUUUUAUAAUUAUUAUUGUAAAUUAUCUAGAGUUUAUUUUUAAAUACUCUUUAUGUAUUUUAUAAAAUGAAAAUGAGAUUAAAACGGGAUUUUUGAUGUUUUAGAAAUAAAUGUGACAAAUAAAAAUAUAUUGUGUUGAUUAUGAAAUUAAGUAAUUAGAGGUUGCCAAUUUUUUUGAAAUAUAUAUUUUCCUAUGAAUGGCUUAUGAAAUAUGAGUAUAUGUGACUACAUUUGAUAAAUUGCAUUGGGAAUUUAUGUAAGCUGUUUUUACUAUGCAGGCUGGGUAAAUAAAUAAAAGCCACGUUAUAUUGUCGAAAUUUUAUUAAAAUUGGUGGGUUUAGUCACUGCAGUGACGGGUUUCCAUGGACUGCCUAUUAGAGGGGUACGGUAAACCCGAUUACAUAAUUACUUUGGUUGUAGAGGCUAGGAGGGUAACUCCUGGGGUAGUGUUAGAGUUCACUUCACAUCGAACCCCCACGUGAAUGUGUAACUCGGCCAACUCCACGGCUUGUUUUCAAAACUAACAUGUGUUUAACAUGUAAAUAUCUUAACAACCUUGGCGGACUCGGUUAGAUGCCUUGGCCAAGGUAUCCCUGAGGACUAGUUUUGGCUUGAGCCCUAUUUUUAAUAAAAGUUAUAAGCUUUAACAACUGUUUUGGUAAAUUACAAAUAUUUUAUAAUUUAAGAAAUAAAUUGAAAACCUUAUGAAAUGGUUUGUAAUUUGUUGUUUAAACUUGCCUCCAUUUACUCGCCUUUAGAUAUUUAUGAUAAUGUCUGUUUACUCAUUGGGAUUGCAAAAUCUCACCCACCUCAUUUCCAAACAUUUCAGGUUUGCGGUAGCUUGUAGAUACCCUAUUUUGUCGAAGAUUCCAGUUGACAUCUCUACCACACAGACAGUAGGUUUCUAGCACCAACGCUGGGUGUAUUUUGGGCCACUUGUCAUUGUAGCCAUUAUUGUACAUUAUAACUUUGUAAAUUUUUGUAUGUGUGAAUUUAUUUUACUUACACGUUACAAAAAUUUCUUACACAUGUUUCUAUAAAUAUUAUUUUAUAUAAAAAAAAUGUUAUAUUUUAAUCAAUAUUUUGAAUAGUGAUAUUUAUCUAUAAAUCAUUUUAAAAUAUUUUUAUCUUUUGAUUUACUUGAGCAGGAAACAACUGGAAAUUGUUUAAAAUGGAAUGUUUAAAAAUAAUUGCUCACAGAAAAGGCAAGAAACUGAUAUGUAAGCCUUGCGGGGUUCUAAUUGGUAUUUCGGGUAAUGAGUGUCAAUUGGGACGUCGCGACGGUUAUCAUGGGCCCGAGGGAGGUUUCGGGUCAUGACAAUUCAGUUGGUAUCAGAUCUGUUGGUCUAAAAACUUAUGGUUUUGAAAGAAGUUUUUGAUUUUUAAAGUUCUUAGAUUUAAAGUUAUUUUAAAAUAAUUUACAAUGUCAAUGUGGCCCAGUUAAGAUUAGUUAGUUGCAUGUAGUUGCAUAUAGAGUCUUAAGUAGUCUAAACCAAUUUCGUUCUUCUUGUAGACCAUUAUGCCUCCUCGACAUGAGCUACCACCUAUCACUAGAUGUACCGGUAGGGGAAGAGGUCACCUCAGACAAAGUCGGUCGGAUUCCAUAGAAGAGGAGUCAGCUGCAUCUUCUUUUAGAGCAGUUCCUACUGCUGAGUCUACUGACAUUCCUAUACCUCUUCCACCACCUGUUGCUACUUUUGGCAUACUUGCCAUGUCACACGAGGCGGCUCAGGCUUUAGUGACUUUUCUCGCUGCCCUUGCAAGCUAGGCUCAGGCUGGUCCAGUUCCAUCCGCUGAUUCCCCAGUAACAGCCCCAGUACCACCACCUCCUAUUCCACCCCAAACACCGAACGUCUCCAUUUCUAAGAAAUUGAAGGAAGCUAGAUAGUUGGGUUGCGUCUUGUUUACUGGUAAGUUGGAUGCGACCGCAGCUAAGGAUUGGGUUAAUCAAGUUUCAGAGACUCUUUCUGAUAUGAGAUUAGAUGAUGAUAUGAAGCUAAUGGUGGCUACUAGAUUACUAGAGAAGAGGGCUCGUACUUGGUGAAAUUCGGUGAAGUCCCAUUCCACUAGUCCUCAGACAUAGUUUGACUUCCUCAAAGAAUUUGAUGGUCAGUAUUUUACUUACUUUCAUCAGAAAGAAAAGAAAAGAGAAUUUUUGAGCUUGAAAUAAGGAAAUGUAACUGUAGAUGAGUAUGAGACUCGUUUUAACGAGUUGAUGUUAUAUGUACCAGAUUUAGUGAAAUCUGAGCAGGAUCAAGCCAAUUAUUUCGAGGAAGGGCUCCGUAAUGAGAUUAGGGAACGGAUGACAGUGACUGGUAGAGAGCCACAUAAGGAAGUCGUGUAGAUGGCCUUACGGGCUGAGAAGCUCUCCACUGAGAAUAGACGGAUUCAAGCUGAGUUCGCAAAGAGAAGGAAUCCGUCUACGUUCUUGGGUCAGUCUUCAAAGAGAGGCAGAGAUUCGACAUCUACUGUAGGAAGUACUACCUCAGCGUCUGUGGCAUCCACUAGAUCUCCAUCUCAACAGUCACAGCCGAGAUCUUCUAGAUUUGAUCGGCCAGUGAUGAGUAGACACGGGGGACUUCAGGAGGAUUGGACAAAUGCCGUAAUUGCGGAGGAUUUCAUGUUGGGUCAUGUAGACAACCUGUAAAGUGUUUUCAAUGCGGCCAAUAGGGGCAUAUCAGGAGAGAUUGUCCUCAGUUGAGACGGGGUACAAUAACUACUUCUACUCCUCCGACUCAUCCUAGUAUACCGCGAAAAGACACUUCAGGAUCACAGUCCAGACAGGGCCCAGUAAUACGGUCAGGCAUGGUGAGUAAUACCCCAGAGCAGCCAUCUUCCAGACUGCAACCCCAGAUUUCGACCAGGGUCUUUGCAGUGACUGAGGAUGAAGCCCGAGUUCGACUUAACAUAGUGACAGGUACUAUGAUUGUGUUUGAUAGAGAUGCACAUGUUUUAAUAGAUUCAGGUUCUGAUAAAUCAUACGUUAGCAUAUCAUUUGCAUCAUUCUUAAAUAGGAACCUGUCAACAUUAAAGGAGGAGAUUGUAGUGCAUAAUCCUCUAGGCGAGCGGUUAGUAAGAAAUACGUAUUAUAGAGACUGUCGUAUUAAAGUUGGGGAAGAAUAAUUUAUGGGUAAUUUAAUCCCUUUGGAGAUUCGAGACUUUGAUUUGAUCUUGGGUAUGGAUUCGUUGUCCACUCAUCGAGCAAAGGUGGAUUAUUUUAAGAAAGCAGUGAUUCUCCAGAGUUCAGAGGGAGCAGAAGUGGUAUUUAUAGGGGAGCAUCGAGUAUUACCGUUUUGUGUAAUCUCAGCCCUCAAAGCUUUGAAAUUGGUACGGAAAGGAUAUCCUGCAUACUUGGCUCACGUGAUUGAUAUAUCGAGGGAGGAACCUAAGUUAGAGAACGUCCCCAUAGUAAGUGAGUUCCUUGAUGUAUUUCCUGAUGAAUUAUCGGGACUUUCUCUUGAUCGUGAGUUAGAAUUCACCAUUGACUUAAUUCCUAGUACUGCCCCUAUCUCUAUUCCUCCAUAUAGAAUGGCUCCAGCAGAGUUGAAGGAGUUGAAAGUACAAUUGCAAGAGUUAGGGACAAGGGUUUUAUACGCCCUAGUAUGUCUUCGUGGGGAGCACCAGUUUUAUUUAUGAAAAAGAAAGACGGUACACUUCGGUUAUGUAUCGAUUACCGACAGCUUAACAAAAUGACCAUUAAGAACAAGUAUUCGUUACCGAGGAUUGAUGAUCUUUUCGAUCAAUUACAGGGAGCUACAGUGUUUUCUAAGGUUGAUUUGAGGUCUAGGUAUCAUCAGUUGAAGAUUAAAGAACAGGAUGUACCCAAGACAACGUUCAGGACUCGAUACGGUCAUUAUGAGUUCUUAGUCAUGCCUUUCGGGUUAACUAAAGCACCGGCAGCUUUUAUGGAUCUCAUGAAUAGGGUGUUCCACCCUUACUUGGACAAGUUUGUUAUUGUGUUCAUUGAUGAUAUCCUGGUUUACUGGAGAGAUAAUGAUGAGCAUGCUAACCACUUACGUAUAGUAUUAUAGACUUUGUGAGAAAGACAAUUGUAUGCAAAGUUUUUGAAGUGUGAGUUUUGGUUACAGGAAGUGGUAUUCUUGGGACACGUAGUAUCGAGAGCUGGAAUAUAUGCUGAUCCCAAGAAGAUAGAGGCAAUUUUACAAUGGGAGAAACCUAAGACAGUGACGGAGAUUCGUAGUUUCCUCGGAUUAAUAGGUUAUUAUCAGAGGUUUGUUCAGGGGUUUUCCUUAAUAGCAGCUCUUUUGACCCGUCUAACUCGUAAAGGAGUUAAGUUUGAGUGGGAUGAUGUUUGUGAGAAUCGAUUUCAGGAGCUAAAGAACCGGUUAACCUCCGCUCCCAUUUUAACACUUUCUGUGAGUGGUAAGGGAUUUAUGGUGUAUAGUGAUGCAUCUAAGUUGGGGUUAGGGUGUGUGUUGAUACAGGAUGAGAAAGUAAUAGCAUAUGCUUCCCGACAGUUGAAGAAGCAUGAAGCAAAUUACCCUACCCAUGAUUUAGAAUUAGUAGCAGUGGUGUUUGCUUUAAAACUCUGGAGGCAUUACUUGUAUGGUGAGCAUUGUCGGAUAUUUACAGAUCACAAGAGUUUAAAAUAUUUGCUCACUCAGAAGGAGCUUAAUUUAAGGCAAAGGCGAUGAUUGGAGUUGAUAAAAGAUUAUGACUUGGUGAUAGACUGUCAUCCGAGAAAGGCGAACGUUGUAACUGAUGCCUUAAGUCGUAAGUCUUCAUCAUCUUUAGCAGCACUUCAGAGUUGUUAUUUUCCAACAUUAUUAGAGAUGAAAUCUCUUGGGGUCCAGUUGAGAAAUGGUGAGGAUGGAUCCUUGUUGGCAAACUUCAUUGUGCGACCUUUGUUACUUAAUCAGAUCAAGGACAUUCAGAGGUCUGAUGAUGAGUUAAAAAACAAAAUUCAAAAACUGACCGAUGGGGAGUCAGUGAGUUCAAAUUCGGAGAGGAUAACGUAUUGAUGUUUAGAGACCGAGUUUGUGUUCCUGAGGGAAACCAGCUAAGACAGGCGAUCAUGGAAGAAGCCCAUUCAUCUGCCUAUGCAUUACAUCUUGGAAGCACCAAGAUGUAUAGGACUAUCAGGGAGAAUUAUUGGUGGCCAGGUAUGAAGCAAGACGUAGCAGAAUUUGUAGCAAAGUGUCUCGUAUGUUAGCAAGUUAAGGCGGAGCAUCAAAGGCCAGCAGGUACACUUCCGUCUUUACCUAUUCCCGAGUGGAAAUGGGAGCAUGUAACUAUGAAUUUUGUUUUGGGACUGCCGCGGACACAGAGGGGAAAGGAUGCAAUUUGGGUGAUCGUAGAUCGGUUGACUAAGUCCUCUCACUUUUUAGCUGUCCAUAGUACAUACUCUAUUGAGAAGCUAGCUCAGCUUUAUAUAGAUGAGAUUGUGAGGCUACAUGGAGUUCCCGUUUCUAUAGUGUCAGACCGAGAUCCUCGAUUCACUUCUCGAUUCUGGGCAAAAAUUUCAAGAAGCUCUCGGAACCAAAUUGAAAUUUAGCACUGCUUUUCACCCACAGACGGAUGGUCAGUCAGAGAGGACUAUCCAGACUAUGGAGGAUAUGUUGAGGGCUUGUGUCAUGGAUUUUCUUGGGAGUUGGGAUAGACACUUGCCAUUAGUGGAAUUUGCUUACAACAACAGCUUUCAGUCUAGCAUCGGUAUGGCACCGUACAAAGCUUUAUAUGGAAGGAAAUGUCGUACUCCACUUUGUUGGGAUGAAGUGGGUGAAAGAAAAUUAGUUAGUGUGGAAUUGAUCGAUCUAACUAAUGACAAGAUCAAGGUUAUACGAGAGAGGCUAAAGGUAGCCCAAGAUAGGCAGAAGAGCUAUGCAGAUAAAGGGAGAAAAGACUUGGAAUUUGAGGUCGAUGAUAGAGUUUUUCUUAAGGUGUCUCCUGGGAAAGGUAAUAAUUUGAAUGCUUUGUGGUAUUAAGUUUUAUUUGAUUAUAUUAUUAUGCUAAAUUAUGAUAUCUUGUUGGAUAAUGAAAAGUGUGAUUCGAUUUGCGAAGCAGGAAAAGCUUAACCCGAGGUAUAUUGGACCAUUCCGAAUCAUUGAGAGAAUUGGACCAGUGGCCUAUCGGUUAGAAUUACCUCAGGAGUUAGAUCGGAUCCACAACGUUUUACAUGUCUCCAUGCUUAAGAAAUAUGUACCAGAUCUCUCUCACAUCCUCGAAGCACCUCCGAUCGAGUUGCAUGACGAUUUGAAGUUUGAGGUGCAACCUGUGAAUAUCUUGGAUUGAAAGGAUCGAGUACUGAGGAACAAGAGUAUUUCAAUGGUCAAAGUGUUGUGGAAAAGUGCUCGAAUGGAGGAAAUGACAUGGGAAGUAGAGCAUCAGAUGAGGAACCAAUACUCGCAUCUAUUUGUCGAAUCUGGUAAGUAAAAUUUUGAGGUCAAAAUUUUAUUUUUAUGGGGGUAGAAUUGUAAAACCCGACCCUAUAAACACAUGUCAUGACAUACAUGCACUGAGUAGCAUGUUAUUCCGCUAGGAAAGUCCUAAGAAUAGAUGAAACCCGGUAUUGUACCUAACGGUACACUUGAGUUGAUUUAACCUCGAACUAGUUCAAAUAGGAAUCGUUGGAUGAAAUUUAAUAUUUUACAGUUCAGGAAUGACUAAAAAUGAUUGUUUAGAGUUCGAGGGUUCAUUUGGGAUAAAAUUGAAAAUUUUGAUGUUUAGGGGCAAAAUCGUAAUUUUACCACUCGUAGAUAGAAUUUGAGAUUUUGAGAGAAUUUAGAUCAAAUUUGACAAAUUGGGGAAUGGUAUGAGUAUAAGGGAUGAAAAAUAUGUCUAUGGGCAAUUUUUCAAUUUUUUGGGAAAAAAUGUAAUUUUUCACUUUUACGGGGGCAAAACUGUAAAUUUCAAAAAUUACUCCACCAAGACUUUGGAUAAGUCUGAAAAUUUUAUCUAAGCUAUGGAUAUGUGGGACAAGUGUAUGGUGAAAAUUUGGAAACAAAUGGAUGAAAUUUUAAAAACGGAUCAAUGGGAAAGUGACACAUGGCAUUUUUUAAUGGUUUAAUAUUGUUUUAAUGAAAAGUCAGCCCAUUUAAACCCCAUUUUAAGUGAUGGCCAGCCAUAAGGAAGAACAAGAGAGGAAAUAGAGAGGAAAGGAAGAAAACAAAGAAAACAAAGGGAAACUAGAAAAAUUCAAAGGGAAAUUCACGUUUUUCAUCCAUUUACGCGUCUAACGGUAAGAUUUUUCGACUUUAGCUUGAUUUCUACCUUUCUUAUGCCUUUGUUUCCAUUUAGCAUGCUUGAGGAGAGAGAUCAAAAAGUGAUAUCAAGGGCUGGAUGAAAUUCAACGGGGAGGAAAUUAAAAUUUUUAGGUUUUCAUUUUUAGUUAAUUUGAUAAUUUUAGUUAGUUAAAUGUGUUUAGAAAUUAAAUUGGGCAAGAAAGCAUUAAAUUUUCACAAUACCCACCCUUGGCCGAAUCUGCAAUGAGGUACAAUGAUGAUAAUCUGAUUUUUAUUCUAAGAGAAAUGAAGAGAAAAUGAUGAAAAAUGGUUAAAUGUGAUAGAAAAACAGAGUGGAAAAUUAACCGAGUUAAUGUCCCAUUUUUGGCCGAAUUUUUGAAGGAAGAGAGUGAGCUGAUUUUGGUGAUUUUAGAGCAAUAUUGGCUGAUAAUUAAUGGUUAGAAAUGUUGGAGAGAGAAUGGGACAAUUUAUAGAUAAAAUGGAGCGCGUUAGCAAUUUAUCAGGGUAAAGUGUCAAAAAUAGGUUAAUACCGCGUUUAAACCAUUUUUGGCUAUUGCAUUUCAUACCAUGCAUUAGUAUAGGAUUUAAGUCAAAUAUAUAGUGAUUUAACAUUAAUGUGAUGAAUUGAGUAAAUUUUUGCAAUGUGUCUAGGAGGAGAGCCUUCUGGUAAAGGCAAGGAAGGCGUACCCGACCAACAGUGAUCGGGGCACCUAGGAAGCAUUUCAUCUGUACAAACGGUGAGUAAACCUAUUAUUGUUGUAAAUUAUCUAGAGUUUAUUUUUAAAUACUCUUUAUACAUUUUAUGAAAUGAAAAUGAGAUUAAAACGGGAUUUUUGAUGUUUUAGAAAUAAAUGUGACAAAUAAAAAUAUAUUGUGUUGAUUAUGAAAUUGAGUAAUUGGAGGCUGCCAAUUAUUUUGAAAUAUAUAUUUUCCUAUGAAUGGCUUAUGAAAUAUGAGUAUAUGUGGCUAUAUUUGAUAAAUUGCAUUGNNNNNNNNNNNNNNNNNNNNNNNNNNNNNNNNNNNNNNNNNNNNNNNNNNNNNNNNNNNNNNNNNNNNNNNNNNNNNNNNNNNNNNNNNNNNNNNNNNNNNNNNNNNNNNNNNNNNNNNNNNNNNNNNNNNNNNNNNNNNNNNNNNNNNNNNNNNNNNNNNNNNNNNNNNNNNNNNNNNNNNNNNNNNNNNNNNNNNNNNNNNNNNNNNNNNNNNNNNNNNNNNNNNNNNNNNNNNNNNNNNNNNNNNNNNNNNNNNNNNNNNNNNNNNNNNNNNNNNNNNNNNNNNNNNNNNNNNNNNNNNNNNNNNNNNNNNNNNNNNNNNNNNNNNNNNNNNNNNNNNNNNNNNNNNNNNNNNNNNNNNNNNNNNNNNNNNNNNNNNNNNNNNNNNNNNNNNNNNNNNNNNNNNNNNNNNNNNNNNNNNNNNNNNNNNNNNNNNNNNNNNNNNNNNNNNNNNNNNNNNNNNNNNNNNNNNNNNNNNNNNNNNNNNNNNNNNNNNNNNNNNNNNNNNNNNNNNNNNNNNNNNNNNNNNNNNNNNNNNNNNNNNNNNNNNNNNNNNNNNNNNNNNNNNNNNNNNNNNNNNNNNNNNNNNNNNNNNNNNNNNNNNNNNNNNNNNNNNNNNNNNNNNNNNNNNNNNNNNNNNNNNNNNNNNNNNNNNNNNNNNNNNNNNNNNNNNNNNNNNNNNNNNNNNNNNNNNNNNNNNNNNNNNNNNNNNNNNNNNNNNNNNNNNNNNNNNNNNNNNNNCUAUAUUUUAAUCAAUAUUUUGAAUAGUGAUAUUUAUCUAUAAAUCAUUUUAAAAUAUUUUUAUCUUUUGAUUUACUUGAGCAGGAAACUACUGGAAAUUGUUUAAAAUGGAAUGUUUAAAAAUGAUUACUCACAAAAAAGGCAAGAAACUGAUAUGUAAGCCUUACGGGGUUCUGAUUGGCAUUUCAGGUAAUGAGUGUCAAUUGGGACAUCGCGGCAGUUGUCAUGGGCCAGAGGGAGGUUCUGGGUCGUGACACCUUUUCAUAACACUUAGGACAAUGUUUACAUUAAGUUUGAAGGGGGAAGUUUUUAAAUUUUUAUGUUUAUAAAUUUUAUGUUUUUGAUUAUGUUUUAAAGUUAAGUUUAGUUGUUUAGCAUGAUAAUUUAAGAGUAUGUGAAUUUAGGAAAAAAUUGAAAAACUAAAGCUAAAUCAGUGCACCAAUGAAAUUGAUUCACCUAUCCAAGGAUGAUAACUAAUUGUCUUGUUGAUCUUUUACUCUUAGUAAUCAUGAAUAUUGUUUGAAUGUCAUGUGAAGUCAUAUGUUAUCAUCAUGAUUGGAUGAAGUUUUCAUACUUGAGCACUAUAUCUCUUGCAUUGAAAUAUCGUGUCUUUUUAGAGAAAGUUUAUGUAAAUGAAGGUUUUAGAACUAUGUUUAGAGUUUUAGAAUUUGUUUAAUUCUUCCAUGAAGCGAAAUCAUAAGGCUAUACUUAGUUAGGAAAAUGACUUAGGCCAUCCAUGGAAUGACUGAGACUUUCAAGCUAACAUAUUUAUAUCUUUAUCCUUAGUAUGCCCUUUUGAGCUUAAAUUGUCCUUUCUUUGAUUUAACCAAUAAAUAACAUCAGCUUAGCCUUCGAGAAAUUUCUCACAUUUUUAUAACUCUCACUCCUAAGCAUAUAUAUUGUAUUAGAAAAUGUAUGUUGAGCUAUUUGAUGAGAAAAGUGGAAAAGAUGAAAUGUAGAGAAAAAUGCAAAACUUUUGUAAAGUAUUCAUCCCACUAUUAAUGAAAGAACCAAGUUUGGGGGUGUUGAAAUAAAAAAAAAAAUUAUGUUUGAGGAAGGAAAAGUGAAAGUCAAAGAAAAAGGGUGUACUCGAUGAAGAAAAAUAAUAAGGCUAUAUAGGUCCUAAAAUAAUUAUGUGUUUAGGGUGACUUGAGCUACAUAUUAUCCCAUAUCCUACCUUAACCCUAGCCACACAUUACAAGCUAAAUAAAGUCUUAAGGAUCCUUUAUUUAGCCCUACAUUAGUGGAGAAAGAGAUGAAAAACAAAAUUAUGAAAUUUUAAACUAAUUUGAAGUCUGCAUGAGCAUAAACCUAUCUGAAGUGCAUGAGAUUUGUCACAACCCAGUUCCCGGGCCAUGAUCGGCGUAAGGACCCAAUAGGCAUAGCCCACUAGGCCCAAACAAGCCUCUCAAUAUGCACUUGUAUAUUAACCCAUCUAUCUAGCAUAUUUCUUUAAGAAUAAGAUUAAUAGUGUUCAAAUGUCGACUUCUCCAACGCAACUCAUAAAACCCAAGUGAAUGCUCACAUUAGCAUCAUAAUUCAAAUCAUACAUAGAUAGUUUGUCAAUAUAUCUUUGCAAUUCACAUUAAACAUAUACAAAGACUUUGACCAUCAACGGAGUGACUCUGGAUGGGGAGAUAUGACUAUUGAGUGUCAAGAUACCUACCCAAGGGAUGGGGGUACGCGGACACCUCAAUCUACGUAUCAACCACCACUGAAUCUGAAAACAUGAAGUUGAAAACGUGAGUAUAAACUCAGUGACUGAACAUAGGAAGGGAACAAGCAAUAUAAUAAGGAAAAGUUUGAAAUCAUAAUGCACUUAUUUGAAAACGAUGCACUUUAGCUUAAGUCCUUAUUAAAACCCUCAAUUGAACCCUUGGUUGCUAAAUCAUGUGAUAAUAGAGAAUUCAUAUUCAACAUGAAAUUGAAGAAGUAGAAAAUAUGGCAAAACCCAGCCAAAUGAUAAGCGAAACAGAAAGUUCCAUUCUCGCUACAGCGAGAAACAGAGCAACAAGAAAGACUUCCUUUCAUCCCAAAUAAACCAUUUCACUGCAAUGCAAAUCAAUUUGGAACACUUAAAAAAAAUGCUCAAGGUUCAGCAAGCAGGACUCCACAUACAUUAUAGUCACACAUGUUAUUCAUAAAAUCUUUAUUGCAUUAAUACAUGUGAACAUAUGCAAACAUAUAUGUAUAUAUAUAUACAUCCACCGCCUCCCCAGCUCAUGUGCAUCCCCCCACAUCGUGCACAUAGCUGGAGUCAUCGCGUGCAUCCCCCCACAUCGUGCACAAUUAGUGCCAUCGUGUACAUCCCCCCACAUCGUGCACAUGGGCACUAUCAUCAUCCAUCUCCCUCACCACCGCCAUCACUGACAUGUGCAUCCCCCCACAUCGUGCACAUGCACAGUUAUAAUUAUCACACAAUAACAACUAUCAUGCACAACAUAUAUAUAUAUAUCAACAUAAUGUAGUAGUGCAUGAAUCCAUAACAACCACAUUUCACAAUAUAAAGACAAAUUUUCAAGGGCUUGUUCCCAAGGCACCCGUUUAAGAAAUGUUGGAUAAAAUCAACCAAUGUUUUGUGCAAUAUAUUCACAUUCCCAAAAUUAUUUUGAAAUGCAAGUCCACUCACCUUGUAACAACAAGAUAUCAAGUCGCUAUUUGUUUGGAGGUGUCUAACUAUCUCUACUUGCCAGUCGCUUGUUAUUUACUUCGGCACGCCACCACAAUACUCUAACCUUAUCUUUGCACUUCCUAGCAAUAAUACGAACUCAAUAUAUUUGAGUACAUAUGCAUAUGGGCAGCACUCCAAACAAUUAAUCCUUGCUCUAAUUCACCAUUCACUCAUUAUUACUAUUAUGAUUAUUAUUUUAAAACUAGCUAAAUCUAUUAUUGAUUUUCUUACUAUUGACAUUUACCUUUAUAUAUUGUACAUACACAAAUUUUCAUGUUUUAAAUAUCGUCUAACAAUUCUAGGACAUUUAUAUCAAAUAAUUCAACUUAUUUUAUGUCAUUAUAUCACACAUUCAAUCCAAUGAAUUGGACUACCCAACAACAUACUUCAUAAUGGAUCCAUAAAAAAAAAGGCUUGGUUUUAAUUCUUUUUACCUCAAUUGGGCUCAGAUGCUAACCCAAGUAAAACAUUGCAGCCCACCGGGCCAACUUUGCCAAAUGCAUUGUUGGAGGCCAAAAGAAAUAAUUAUUAUAUUUUUUUUCUUUCUUCCCCAUCUCUUUCUCUCUCUCACUUUUGCUCCUCUUCCCCGCUGGUCGGCAACAACUUUCUUCUCUCUCUUUUCACUCACAAACCAACAGCUCAAGCUUUUGCUUUCUCCCUCACAAAUUCAACAGCACCAACUCUUGUUUUCUCCUCUCAAAAUUUACAACAAACUCUCUCUUUUUCCCUCUCAAAAUUUACAGCAAAACUCUCUCUAUUUCCCUCUCAAAAUUUACAGCACAACUCUUUCUAUUUCUUUCCAAAAUUUAUAGCAAAACUCUCUCUAUUUCCCUCUCAAAAUUUGUAGCAAAACUUUGUCAUUUUCCUCUUAAAAUUUUGCAACUCAAAGCCUUUCUUUUUUACUCCUCUAAGCGACGGCAGCUGCCAUUUUUUUCUACUCUCUUCCAACCCUCUCUUUCUCCCUUGGCUAAUGAUUUCCCCUUUGCUUUCUCUCUCACACUGACUUCUCUCUUCCUUCUUUAACUUUCCAUUUGCUCUCUUACACCAACCUUUCUCUUCCUUCUUCAACUUUCCAUUUGCUCUCUUUGUCAAGCCCGACCUUAUAAAAUACUUGCCAUGUCAUUCAUAUGAUUGACAAUAUGCUUGCAUACUUGGAAAGCCCCGAAAGAAAAAUCGUUAAAACACGACAAUGUACCAAAUGGUACAAUUAAGUUAAUUUAANNNNNNNNNNNNNNNNNNNNNNNNNNNNNNNNNNNNNNNNNNNNNNNNNNNNNNNNNNNNNNNNNNNNNNNNNNNNNNNNNNNNNNNNNNNNNNNNNNNNNNNNNNNNNNNNNNNNNNNNNNNNNNNNNNNNNNNNNNNNNNNNNNNNNNNNNNNNNNNNNNNNNNNNNNNNNNNNNNNNNNNNNNNNNNNNNNNNNNNNNNNNNNNNNNNNNNNNNNNNNNNNNNNNNNNNNNNNNNNNNNNNNNNNNNNNNNNNNNNNNNNNNNNNNNNNNNNNNNNNNNNNNNNNNNNNNNNNNNNNNNNNNNNNNNNNNNNNNNNNNNNNNNNNNNNNNNNNNNNNNNNNNNNNNNNNNNNNNNNNNNNNNNNNNNNNNNNNNNNNNNNNNNNNNNNNNNNNNNNNNNNNNNNNNNNNNNNNNNNNNNNNNNNNNNNNNNNNNNNNNNNNNNNNNNNNNNNNNNNNNNNNNNNNNNNNNNNNNNNNNNNNNNNNNNNNNNNNNNNNNNNNNNNNNNNNNNNNNNNNNNNNNNNNNNNNNNNNNNNNNNNNNNNNNNNNNNNNNNNNNNNNNNNNNNNNNNNNNNNNNNNNNNNNNNNNNNNNNNNNNNNNNNNNNNNNNNNNNNNNNNNNNNNNNNNNNNNNNNNNNNNNNNNNNNNNNNNNNNNNNNNNNNNNNNNNNNNNNNNNNNNNNNNNNNNNNNNNNNNNNNNNNNNNNNNNNNNNNNNNNNNNNNNNNNNNNNNNNNNNNNNNNNNNNNNNNNNNNNNNNNNNNNNNNNNNNNNNNNNNNNNNNNNNNNNNNNNNNNNNNNNNNNNNNNNNNNNNNNNNNNNNNNNNNNNNNNNNNNNNNNNNNNNNNNNNNNNNNNNNNNNNNNNNNNNNNNNNNNNNNNNNNNNNNNNNNNNNNNNNNNNNNNNNNNNNNNNNNNNNNNNNNNNNNNNNNNNNNNNNNNNNNNNNNNNNNNNNNNNNNNNNNNNNNNNNNNNNNNNNNNNNNNNNNNNNNNNNNNNNNNNNNNNNNNNNNNNNNNNNNNNNNNNNNNNNNNNNNNNNNNNNNNNNNNNNNNNNNNNNNNNNNNNNNNNNNNNNNNNNNNNNNNNNNNNNNNNNNNNNNNNNNNNNNNNNNNNNNNNNNNNNNNNNNNNNNNNNNNNNNNNNNNNNNNNNNNNNNNNNNNNNNNNNNNNNNNNNNNNNNNNNNNNNNNNNNNNNNNNNNNNNNNNNNNNNNNNNNNNNNNNNNNNNNNNNNNNNNNNNNNNNNNNNNNNNNNNNNNNNNNNNNNNNNNNNNNNNNNNNNNNNNNNNNNNNNNNNNNNNNNNNNNNNNNNNNNNNNNNNNNNNNNNNNNNNNNNNNNNNNNNNNNNNNNNNNNNNNNNNNNNNNNNNNNNNNNNNNNNNNNNNNNNNNNNNNNNNNNNNNNNNNNNNNNNNNNNNNNNNNNNNNNNNNNNNNNNNNNNNNNNNNNNNNNNNNNNNNNNNNNNNNNNNNNNNNNNNNNNNNNNNNNNNNNNNNNNNNNNNNNNNNNNNNNNNNNNNNNNNNNNNNNNNNNNNNNNNNNNNNNNNNNNNNNNNNNNNNNNNNNNNNNNNNNNNNNNNNNNNNNNNNNNNNNNNNNNNNNNNNNNNNNNNNNNNNNNNNNNNNNNNNNNNNNNNNNNNNNNNNNNNNNNNNNNNNNNNNNNNNNNNNNNNNNNNNNNNNNNNNNNNNNNNNNNNNNNNNNNNNNNNNNNNNNNNNNNNNNNNNNNNAAAAUCCCCACUCUAGACACGGUGAGUAACCUUACCAUCAUUUUAAUUAUCUAAAGUAUGUUUUUAUUCGGUUUUGGUGAAUUUUAUGAAAAUGAGUUCAAAUGGUAAAUUUUUAUGUUUUGUAAACAAAAUGAGUUUAAAUGAAAAUAUUUUAUAAAUUGUCUUGAAACGAAAUAACGAUUUUGAAAAUAGAAUAAUUGGAGACCACUGAUAUGUUGUAAAUUUAAAAUUGAAUUAAUGGCUUAUGCUAUUGUAUUGGCAUGACUGGCUGGGCUGUGUUUUUUAUGAAUUGUAUGAAUUACUUUAUUUUACCCUUGCAGGCUAGGUAGUAAUAUAUUAGCCCUGUCAUGCUGUUAAAAUUUUAUUGUAUGGUGGGUUUGACCUGCUGCAGUGGGCUGGGUUCUGUGGACUAGACUAUUAGAGGGGCACGGAAUCCUGUUAUAUUUUUACCUCGGUUGGAUAGGCGAGUAGGGUAACUCCCGAGGUAUAACUUUAAAGUUCACUUCACACCAAACCACCACGUGAAGGGGAACUCGGCCAACGCCAAGGAACGGCUAUGUUUUCAAAAUAAAAACAUGACUUUCUAAUAGCCUUGGCGGACUCAGUUGGGAUAGCCCUCGGCUAAGGUAUCCCAGAUAACUGAGUAUGAUAAUAAUUUUUGGCAUGAGCCAAGCUUUUUAAGAAAUUCAUAAGCUAUACUAAUUACUUGCUUUAAAUAAAUUGAUUUCAAUUGGUUGAAAUAAGUUGAAAGAUGAUAAAUUACAGUUUGAUGAAAUGUUUUAAUAGUCUCCUUUUACUCGACUUUAGAUAUUUUGAGUGAUGUUUGUUUACUCACUGGGAUUUUAUAAUCUCACCACCCUCCUUUCCACCCAUUUCAGGCUCAGAAUAGAUUGUAGAUAACUGAUAUCGGCGAGGAUUACAGUUGAACAUGCCACAUUCAAAGACUUUAGGUUCAUUUCUUUUGAUACUUUUGGUCAUUCGUGGGCCCACGCGUCAUUGUAAAUUAAAUUCUAUACUUUGGUUAUUUGUAUUACGGUAUGUAAGAAUUUAUUUUGCUUUUACGCUAUAAAAAUUAUUUAUGCAGUGUUCUUAAAAUAUCGUUUUAUAUGAAAAUUGAAUAUUUUAUUGAAUAUUUUUAUUUUAUUAUAACAGUCAUAAUUCCAUUUUAAACGACUGUUUUAGACAUCCAAAAUUAUUUUUGAUUAUGAAAUAUGUGUUUUCCACUUACAUACUAUAUUUUUAGAUGAUUUUGAGAUUUUUGGGAUAAAUGACCAAAAUACCCAUGUGAGACGAAAAUUAUUAUUUUAUUUGUUUAAGUUGGAAACAGUUUAAAAUCUUUUAGAAUGUGGUAUUUGGAAGCAGUUACUCAUAGGGGAAAUGAGAAGUUGAUAUUAAAGCCUUGUGGGGCUUCGGUUGACAUUCCGGGCAAUGAAUGUCGAUCGAGACGUCGCGGCGGUUUUCACGGGCUUGAUGGGAGUUUCGGGUCGUGACACUCUUACACCGACUUCUCUCUUUCUUCUUCAAAUAGUCCACUUGUUCCUCACAACUGACUUUUCCUUCAUCUUUAUCUUUUUUUUUCUUUUAUAUGGCCUUUCAUCUCAAUGGCUAGCCCCCCUUUACUUUCACACAUGAUUUAAAAUAAUAAUACUAAUAGCUUUGACUCUCUCUUUUGUCUCCAUAACCGGUUGGUAACAAAAGAAAUUGAUAAAAUUUUGUUUGAUGUGGUUUGCAAGUAGGGCCGACAAUGAUAAACUUGCUUGUCAUUUCUCCAUUUUUUUUUAUUCUUUUACAUGUGACCACCCAUACCAUCAUUCCUUUUUCUUUUAUUGUCUUACUUGACCAGGCAUGUGGUUAGAAUGCAAGUCAACAAUUGCUUGGAACCUUUACAGCCACUUUACUUGACUUUUCCUCCCCAUUUCACUAUUGUCUCAUCUUUUCUCCUCAUUUUCUUUGUCUUUUCCUUUCUUUGUACAGAAGCCUUACAUUUUCAGCAAAUCUUACAUGGAUGGCCGGCCAUGACCAAGCUUUGUAACAAAAUUACUAUUUUACCCUUCAAGGUUCUCAUCCUUUUAUUAAGUCGUCCCAAAAUCUUUAAAUCUCCAAUUUUCUUCUAUUAUUUUCUUUUACAUAUGUGCAAAUGAAAUACAAAGUUUGUACCCCAACGUGGUGUUUCCAUAAUAUUUAAAUAUUAUUUACCUUGGGCUAUCUUUAUUUAAUAAAAACACGCGGGCCCCAUUAACAUCAUUUUUCUAUGAAAUUUCCUCGUUCUUCCUUUCCCCCACUUAGAUUGACCAUAUACUCUUUCUUCAUGAAAAAUUUCAAAAAUAAUAUUAAAAUAUUAAUAUUUAAUAUUAUUUUAUUAAUAAAUAUAUUAUUUUAUUCCAAGAAUUUCCUCUUGUCUCCUUGGUACCCAAAAUACCUUAUUAUGCCUUAAUUGACAUCCGAUAAGCUUUAUUUGUCACCACAUCAAAGUACGGAGUAUUACAAGAUACAUGGCAAGAGAUUUCAUACACACAAGAAUUUAUCCAAAAAUGAGCUUGCAUUUGAAUGUAAUGUGAAUUUAGAUCAUAUUUAUGUUUUACUUUGAGUUGAGAAAAUGAGAUAGUUUAUGAAGAAAUUAGAGGCUGUCAAUGAAUUGGUGCAUCUGAUUUUGUUAGUUUGAUGUUUUGACUAUGUUAUUUUAUUUUCUUAGUUUUUGCUUGAGGACUAGCAAAAUAUUAAGUUUGAAGGUGUGAUAAUUAUAUGAUAUACAGUUAUGUUGCCACAUUUUACCUAUAAAAAAAUAGCUAAGUCCCUGUGUUUUCAAGGUAAUUUUAGGUAAUUUUUCUACUUUUCUUUAUUUAGUUUAACGUAUGUUGAAUUAUUUUUAAUUUGAGUAAUUUGACCUCAUUUUCAUAUCAAAAGUCUUAAUUUGGGAAAGCACCGAUUUAGUCUCUAUUUUGAAGGUUCUCAAGUGUAAAAAGCUUCACAGAAGUGAAUUGUGCAAGAUGGUUAGGCAUAGAAUUUGUUGAAUAUGUUGCGGUAUUUCUACCAUAACUCUCUCUAAAGAACUCCAAAUAAGGUGAUUCUUUGACCACUAGAAAGCUGAGAAGAAGGAUUACAACUUUUUUGUUUAUCACUUUGCCCAUUUUGGAUUGGAAGGUGGUCUAAAUCUAUGUCAAAAAGUAAGUACUCCACUAGGAUAGUAAAACAAAGGCAAAACACUUGAGAGUCGCGACGGUGUCGUUGAAAGGAAUUUGUGGAAAACUUCAAAAUCAGAACUAUUGAGAGACGUAGAACUGAAGCUUGUGUCCAAAAAUAAUUUUUUGGAAAUUAGUUAAUUUGUCUUAUUUAAGGGAUUUUUUUAGAGAAUUUUAGAAAGAGGACGAUAGCAACUAGUUUGGAGAAUUGGAGCUAAGAAUCAAGCAAGAGAAUAAGAAAAAUUGGGAGAGAUUCAAGAUAAAAAAGCUUCAACAUUAGUUUUUUUUCUCUAUUUUGUGUUUUUCUCAUUUUCUUUGACUUGAAUUCAUGGAUAAAUUUCUUUGGAUAAUAUUUUACUUAGAUAUCAUGAACUAAUUUGUUUUUCAAAGAUUAUGGUGGAUUUCAACUUGUAAUUUAAAGAUUAGUUUCUCUUUUAUUUAUCAUGAAUAGGUAUAAUUUUGCUUAUUCAAAUUUGUUCUUAAUGAGUUUAAUUGCCUUAUCAACAAUUAACUAAUUUGUGAAUCUACUUGAGACUCGACAGAGCAAUUUUUGAUUGGACUAAUAUUUGAAUAGUGCAUUUUCAUGUCACUUAGUUGAUCUAAUUCGGGAUUCGAGUAAUGUUAGAAAUUUGAGAAUAUGGUGCCCUAGAAAGCAGGUAUAUUCUUAUGUUUAAUUUCAUUUAAUUUAUUUGUAAUGAAAGUACAAUUUGAUAAUAAAACAAAGAGUUUGUUUUAAGUAAGCCUUCAUUAUCUAAUUAUUAAGGUUCCAUGAUUCUAUUGAGAUAUUAAAAUAUAUUUGUAUGAAUAGUCAUACAUAGGAGACAUGUAUUUCAAUUAAAUCUAAAAAUUUUUCACAGCCAUAUAAUAAAGUUGGUCACUUUAUUGUGUUAAGGCUGUAGUGUCCAAAUUACUUCCAAUGAAAUGAAUGUGAUUCACUUCAAGGGAAUGAUGAGUAUCAAAUUAUCGAAAUGGUUGACUUCGACUAAUGACACUAUAAAAUGAAUUAGAAUCAUGUGAGAAUCAAAUUUAAGUUUAACCAUUACUAAAAUCUUGAUCUCACACUUAUACAUUUCCUUAUAGUAUAGUCAAAAUCCUAAAGGAUAGUGGACUCAUGUUUAUUCUCCUUAUAAUCUUUGAUAUACCAUGAGCAUGAUCAUUAAAAUGUGUUGAUCUAGACUUCGUAUAUUGGGAUUAUAACUGAGAUGAACAUCUGGGAACAUAUACCUAAAUAGUGGAGUCAUAGCAUUAACAUCACUUCUAAUGAUUUCAUGAAAAUUGGUGAUUAAUCUGGGCCUAGUGAAAUGAUGAAUUAGCUACUCAUCACAUCUGGAUACUCAAAAGAUUAGAUCUAUAGUAUUGAAUCACUAAUUGGAUGAAAUUUGAUACUAGAUGACAAAAUUGACAUAAAAGGUAAAAAGGUAAUUUCACCUUUUGUCAUUAGUUGGUUAUGAGGGUUCACAAUAUAAGGUUUGCAAUUGGAUAGCUAAUAAUUAAUAUCAAGUAUUGAAUCAUUUCUUGUAAUUAUAGUUAAUCCAAGAGUGCAACAAUGAAUCGAUGGAGUGAUUUCAUGGUUAAUAAGUUGGAAUUAUCUUAAUGAGAUUACGAAUAAUUCUAAGUUUAUUGGAACUUGGAAUAUCUAUGUCCAAAUAGAUUCCCCACUUAACUUCAUAGAAUUCAACUUGUUUAAGUUGGAAUGCAUGCUUUAUUUGAUUAAUUAUAUUGUGUACAAAAAUGGCAGCUUUAACAUGCUUUGUCUUAAUUUAGACAAGAAAGCAUGUUGGUCUUAAUUUAGGAUAAGAAAAAUAUGCUUUGUCUUGAUCUGGACAAGAAAACAUGUUUGUCUCAAUCUAGACAAGAUAACAUAUUUUGUCUUAAUUAAAAACGAGAGUUGUCUUAAAUUAAGAUAAUGCUAAAAGGAUUCUUGCAAAAUAAAUCUAGACAUCCAUGUUGUUAAAAAGAGACUCCAUGUUUGACUAGCACUAUUUAUUUAUUAUUAAUUCUUUUUAAAUAAAGAUGGAUAAUAAUUAAAUAAGAGUUAUUAUUGAACAAGGAGUUUUAUUUUAUCAAGAACUCUAAAUUAUAAUUAAAGAAUUAAAUUAUUUAUUCUUUAAUUUUAAUUUUGAUAAUUAUGAAACAUGUUUGAUGCUUCCAUAAUUCUAAAUAGAUGGUCAAGAUUGAUUCAAAAGUAUUUGAUUUUGAUUAAACCUUUGAGGCAAGAGUUUUAAAAAAAAAAGAUAGAAGAUUGGAAGAAAAGAAACACACAUAUCUUUCUUGAAAACCUUUCAAGCAUCACUUCUCUCCUCCUCCUUCUAACUUUGUCGCACCUCUCUUCGAUUCUUGCCUGAAUUUUUUGAAAGAAAAAUAGCCAUUAAUUUUUAGGAAGAAAAGAGAGACAAAAUCGGUUGCCAUCUUAUAGUCUAGCAUUCCGCACCUUCUCCACUCAAGUUUCAAGUUGAAAGCAUUCUUGAAGAAUAAGUGGUAAGUUUGUUUGGUUAAGAAAUCAAUUGUUGGUGUAAUGGUGUCCAAAAAUAAGAAUCACAAAAUAAAAGGUACGUUUUAUGUUACUUUAAUAGAUUCUUAUUUCUAGGAUGUGAUUAUGUUACUUGCAAUAUGAAUUAUGUGUUUUUUCACUUGUGUAAUUGGAUUGCUUGCAUCCUUUAUAUAAGAAAACAUUUUGAAAUCCAUGUUUUACACAAACACAUCAAUGCACUUAGAUCCAACUCCAUAAGGCAGACAUGCACGAAUUACCAUAUAUAGUCAAAUUAAGACACAAGCUUAACGAACUUAAUUUAAUAGAUUCCAAUAGACAUAUAGUGAACUAAUUAAGUUAGGUAUUUGUGCAAGUAUCGUGACGGAGACUUUUACAUAGUUUUGGAUUCUAGGUUAGUAAAACCUCCCAAGAAGGUAAAUAAUAAGAGAAGCUGGCAUCAGAUGAAGUGUUGAAUGAACCCAUAAUCCUAGGUCUUUAGUCUAUUGUCUUUCUUAAAUAAAUUUAAUUUUUGUUAGUUAAUUUAGUGCUUCUUUUAAUUAAUUUUCUUAAAUUUUUUGUUACUUAAAUGAGAUGGAUUUUUUAUAAAAUUUUAGUACUUAGUAAAACUUUAAAAACAAACCCCUGUGGGAACGAUACUCUACUUGUUACUAUAUUACUUGUUUGUGAUCACGUUCACUCAUAUUAAAAAUCAACAGCACUCAUACAGGCACCUUGUGCUUUGGGGAUUGAUUCGGCCGUCCAUCAAGGUUGAUCCUUGGCUAUUCUAGUAGUUAUGUCAAGCUUAAAACCUUUAGGGAUCAACCCCUUCUUGCCAUGGGAUCGACCUUUCAUGCCUUAUUAGCAAAAAUUACUUUUCUUUGGUUUCCUUAUCUAAUCAUACUUUCAUCCAUUGAUACCACAUUAAUCCAACAACAUCAGAGUAGGAAGUCCAUGUCAAUAUAGUUGGGAAAGCUCAACCAACAUUCAAAUUAUAUUAACAUAUAAUUCAUUCAAACUUGUCCAACAUUUACUUAAGUUUAAACAACAUCAUUUCAUAAAAGGUUGGAGUUUCAUAAUAUGAAUGUAAGAGGCUUGCUUGGGUUUAGCAAGCUGUACCCGACUAUGUUUUUGUGCGGGUCACCGAUCCCUAAAAAUGAAUCGUGAUAGUAUUGUCAAGGGUAUUGUUGGGAAGGGUAGCUGACAAAGCUAUACGAUUACUACUGCAAGUUUAUUUUUUCUCAUUUGAAGUUUUUGAGACAUAGGGGGAGACUAUCACGACCCAAAUUCCGAGCCAUGACCGGCGCAAGGUUCCAAUGGACGUAAUCCACUAAACCCAAGCAAGCCUAUUAUUUAUCUUACUUCUAAUUUCAUCUAAUAUCACUAAGUCAUAUUUCAUAACUUUGAAUCAAAAUAGUGAUAUACAUUGCCAACUCGUACUGGCAUUACUCCUUAAAAAUUUACAUACAAUGUCUACAACAUGUAUUCUAAUAAUUUACAUUAAGUUCGUCUAUACAAAACAAAAUAAUGCUCGACUUUCAGCGGAAUGACUCAGAUGAAUAUACAGCUACCGAAUGCCGAGACACCUACCAAAAGAUGGACAUAGGUCUACAAGGACACCUCGUCCUAGUUACCGACUGCCUCGUGAUCUGAAAACAUGAAUUUGAAAAUGGUGAGUAUAAACCCAGUGAGUGAACAAAGAAGGGAACAAGCAACAACAACAAGGGAGAAUUUAAAAUCAUGAUGCACUUGUUUCAAAACAAUGCAAUUUAGUUCCAUUCAUAUUAAAAACCCCUCAUUUUAAACUUAACUCAUUUAGUCCUAAAUGUUGGAAGUCUAUGCUCAGAUAUGGUAGCAAAGAAGUGAAAAAUAGGGCAGCAAUUGGACAAGAUAGGAGACAAAACAGAAAGUUUUUCGCUGCAGCGAGAUGCUACAGUGACUAUCUCGUGGCAGCAAGAUUCAUGUUCGCUACAACGAGAACCAGUCUUGGUGAAAAUCCUCAAACCUGAGAGUUUCUCGCUGCAGUGAGCAUGAAUUUCACUGCAGCGAAAAUAAAGCAACAAGAGAAACAUUUUCCCUCACUCAACAAAGCCAUCCUGCUAAACUAACCAAAUCAACAUAAAACUCAUGAAAAUUCGCAAAGUACAAUGUGUCAAAUUUCACAUAUAUGUCAACCAUAUAUCACGUUCAUGAGCUUUCAUUUCAUAAAUCUAGAUAUGCAUAAUUACAUAGACAAACAUCAAUAUCAUCAUAAUCACUCCCGGCUCAUGUACAUCCGCCCACAUCGUGCACAUAACCGGCACCAUCAUGUGCAUCCCCCCACAUCAUGCACAAUCGGUGCUAUCGUGUACAUCCCCCCACAUUGUGCACAUGGCACUAUCAUCAUCUAUCUCUCACGCCACCAUCAUCACCAACAUGUGCAUUCUCCACAUCAUGCACACACACGGUUACAGUCAUUAUAUACAAUAUCAUUCAUCAUGCAUAACACAUAUAUAUAUAUAUAUAUAUAUCAUCAUAAUACAAUAACAUAAAACCAUUUUUCAAAAGCUUGUUCCCAAGGCACUUGUUUUCAUGAAAAACUUCAUAAUUCAUUCAAAUGGGUGGCAAUUACAUUACAUUUCCCAAAACAAGUUUUGAAGGCAGUCCACUCACUGGUGUCGAAAAUCCGAAUUCUGGGUGCUCUCGGACUAAUAGUCCUCAGGCGCAAUUCCUUUGCCUUUUCCGGACAUCUCACUACCUUGACAAAUAACAAAGUCGAGGAAUUUACUAUAUUGUCCCUAAAUUGAUAUAAACUAAUUUAAAUUACUAAUGCUUGAUAUGUAAAUAUAAAAAUACGUCCGAUUACCACUUAAUCGCGGUAUCUAUUAAAUUCGAUCGAUCACUCGAUUAAUUGGCGAUUGUGUCCAAAUCACCUCCAAAUUAAUCCAUUUCUCCUCUAAUACCUUAAUUUACCACUUACCAUUUAAAUAAAGCCAAAUUCAGUAUUAGAACCCUCACAGUUCCUUAUAGAAAAAUUUGGUCAUUUGGUGCACUAGCACUGAAAUUUUUUUCUACAUAACCGUUUCACCUUAAUUCAUCAUUUUCCAAGCUAUUAUCCUUGAAAUAAAAACAAUCCCCUAUUGAUAUUCAGCCCUCAUGGUUCGACCAACAAGGAACCCUAGAGAAAUUGAAUAUUUCUUUUGUGUUUUUGUUCAUAACCAUGCUUAACUAUCCCUAAACACUAACAUAGUCUAAAAUCAAAUUAUUCCAACAACAAUUCCUCUUCCAUACCCAUUUUUCAGAAUUGAAUUCAUCAUGAUAACUCAAUAUUCAACCAUAGAAAUCAAGAACAAAAGAAUGGGUAAGCUAGGUAUCAAGGAGAAUUAAAGAAAUUCUAACUUACCUAGCUUGUUUCCUUUAUUUCUUCACUUUUUCUUUGAAUUUCCACCUAGGUUUUCUUGUUUUUCCCUUUGUUCUUCCUUUGUUCUUGUUGCUGGUUGCCUAGGCUGAAUAUGGUGAGAGAAUUGGGGAUUUAAUGGGCUGAUUUCUAUAGAAAAUAAUAAAAUAAUCAAGCAUGCCACGUGUCACAUGCUUAUUGGACUAAUUUUUUUUCUUUUUAACUUUUUGACUUUUUCUUCUUAAUUUUUCACCACAAAUAUUCUGGUAUUUAUCCAAUCCUACCACAAUUAAAAUCUCUUGGUCUUAAUAAGUGCUGGGGUAAAAAAUUUACCAAUUUGCCCCCGGAGUGAAAAAAUUAUGAUUUUGCCCCUAUACUCCAAAAUGUACCGAAAUCACAUUAUUUCUACUUUUCAACCUCAAAUAACACUAGUAUUGAUCAAUAUUAACCAAAUGGGGUAAAAAUCGUUUUAUAAAAAUUUUCGUUUAGUCCUCUAGUGGCAAAAUUAUCAUUUUCCCCUUAUGCUCCAAAAAUAUCGAGAAUCACAAUUUUUCAUUGCUAAACAUCAUUUUAUUCUCCAAUAAUCAUAAUUAUAUUUCAUAUAAAUAUUCUUGGUCAAAUGUGAUCAAAUCUUGGGUAAAAAUCUACAUUUUAUCAUCAACUGGUAAAAUGACCGUUUUAUCCCUAAUCGGUCAAUUUUCCUGAUGGACUCUAAACUGGACCUUGAACUCCGAAUCACUAUUCUAAGCCAUUUUGUGGGUUUUAAAAUUUUCAAAUUCCUCUUAGAAUUUUUAUUUGAACUAGUUGAAGGCUCGAUUUAACUUAAUUGUACCACUCAGUACAAUAUCGUCUUUUAAUCGAGCUUGACAAGGUCUCACAAAGGCUAUCUAGGCCAUCCCUAUGUGUUUUCUUUGGUUGUUCCCAUCAUUAGUUCAAAGUCAUUACCUUACAAAAAAAAAAAAGGAUAACAUUUUAUAAAGUAAAUUCAAAUAGGUGGUCAAUCACACCUAGGCAAAAAAGAUUGAUAAUAAUUCUAUUUUACAUCGAAUGGUCGGGUUUCCAAACUAGCACAUUAUGACACAUAACCAGAUUAUAUAGAUGUAAGUAGAUAUAUAAUGGGAAAAUGUUUAUGGUUAGUAGUUCUUUUUCUAAUUACACUAGAAUUGCUAAUAGCAAGACCAAAUAUCCAUUUGGAAAUGGAGAUUGCAUUUAAUAUUUUGAUUCAAUACGUAGUACAUGGGACCCCUGCUAGCUUUAACAAAUUUUCCUUAUAGUAUAAAUAUAAUUUACUAGAAUUAAGUGCAAUAAAUAAUACAACAUAGCAUAAUAGCAACAAGCAAGACUCAAUUAGAAAAAGAUAAGCAACCUCUUAUUCAAAGGCCUCAUAAAGCAUAAAAUCAACUUAUUAAGCCAUUCUUGGGCUGAAAUUUCAAAACGUUAUUUCAGUAAAGCUUGAUCACAUUGUUCCAUCGGAAUGGGCUCAAGGAUUGACUUGACACAAUCUUGAUUUUCUUUGCUUUGAAUGCCAAACCAAUCGCCAUAAUGGUAGAUCCGAUGAACACAUCGUGUCAUUUCGACGGCAACUUUAACAAUGUCGGCUGCACGAACAGAAUCUUUAACUAUUGCUUUGUUCAAUUUUUUCCAUAAAUUUCUUAUCAAGCCUUUCACAUGAUCACGUGCUUCUUCCUCUGAAACACCAUCUUGGGUCACGUAAAAAUGGAUGAAAUUCAUUGAUUCUCCCCUUUUCAUUUCAACCUUCAAAAGAUAAGCAAUAUCUAACUUAACAAAUUAUUGAAAAAUAAUAAAAUAGGUAGUCACUAGUUUGGUAGACAAGUGAGAGAGAUUUGUUGAAACGUUAAAUUGGCACAGCAAUAAAGUAAUAGCAAUGCACGUAAGAACAAACCUCGGCAGUGUUUAGAUCAUCAAUGAGUUGACCAAUGUAGCCAGGCAACCUAACUAAGUCAGAGGAAGACCAAUGCUCCACAAAUUCUGACAAAUAUUCAUUUAUAGAGUGCCCUGCCAUUCCAAAAACGCCAUAGACAAUGGAUAUAGGUAUACCAAUCGAGACCCAGCCAUUCUCAAGAUAUUCAUCCGCAGUUGGAGUGUAUCCGCUGUGAAACCAUCGUGCUUCCUUGAGAUAUCCUCUAACAUAACACAACCACUACAAAAAUUGAAUGUCAACUAGUCAGUAUGAAUUACAAUUAAUAGAUAAAGUUCUCAUUAUGUAUGUACUCCGUGCAUAAUUUCUUUUUUUCUUUAUAUAUCUUUCUUUAAACUUAUGUCAUUUUUUAAACAUCUAAUAUUUUUUUUUAUAUUUUAUAAAUUAUUAUUUAUGGCUUUUUUUUUUAACUCUUCAGCAUUAAAAAUAAUAAAAUAUCAAGUAAUUUACAAAAUUGUUUUGAAAUUUUUUUAACAAAUAGACUAAAACUAAAUAUUUUUUUCCUUAAUUUCCAUAAAAGUUUAAGAAAGACAAAUAAAUAAUAUUUUAUUUGGUAAUUCGAUUAUGUACCGUACCUGCUACAUUUUUUUUUUUGAACAUACCUGUUCCUUAAUAUAGGGUAAAAUAUCCAUGCCAUUAUCUUUCAAGGCAUCUUGGACCAUUUCACUAACAUGGUUGUACAUGGCUGAGAAGUAUACUUUCAUGUACUCUGGAAGUUCCUCCGUUGCCUUAUUAAGAUCCCAUCUGCAAUUUCGGAAAAGUUUGUCAUUUUUACCUGAAAUGUUGUACAAAGAAUGAACACAAAAUUUCGAAAGUUUUAAAUAGAAGUUGUUAAAGUCUAAACUUCUCACGUAUGUACUGCAUCCGUGUACUUCUCAAGCUCAUCAAGUGAGCCAUAUACGUCGAAUAUGUCAUCCAAUGGUGUUGCCAAGGAUCCGAAUUUCCCGAGGUUCCUCCUCAAUAUGGGAAAUUGGGGCCCCGGUGGGCAACUCCCCAGUGCCCAAAAAUAACACUCAAGUAGCCUAUCCCGAGCAAAAGGUAGCCUUUCCUUAAAGUUCAAGUCCUUCCACCACCUGCCCAAUCAAUUGAAGAACUGUCAAAAAUUUGACAUACAGAGAUCAACUUAAUUCAAGUUACGGGCUUUAUUACAAUUUACAAGAUUUAGGAGCAUUUUCCUUUAAACCAUAUAUAUACAUUUAACAGCACUGCUAUUUAGUAACAAUUUAAAUGAUUUAAGUUGAUGCGAAAAUUAAAUUUCUUAACUAUCACAUUUUUAUCUUUACCCAUAAAAAAAAGGUAUAACAUUUUAAAAUCUUAUAUAUUUUCAAUCUAAUUUAACUAAUGAUAUCUAGUAAUAGUAAUUUAAAAAUCUGACUUCUUACCAGUGUAAAUUAACUAAUUAAUGAUACCAAGUAAUAGUAAAUUAAAAAUCUGAUAACAAUCUUAGCUUAACAGUUCUUAUUCUUUUCUUUUUAAGAUUUAUUUUUUAAUAGAUCUUACUCCACUAGUUCCUGCAGCUCCUUCAGAUAAACAGAUUGCAUGAUAUUGAAGUUCAACUUGGCAAGCUCGAGCAAAACCGAAUUCAUCUUAGCAUCAUAUUGGUAGAUAGCAAUGAAAUCUCGUGCUUCUGUCCAGGGCAUCCUCCAGUGCAGUGGAUAUUCCAGUGAUUGUUGUAUUUGCUCAGCUUUAUUUCCAUCCAUCUUCUUUCUUAACACUAACAGAUGUUUUGUACUAAAAUUCAGGGCCUCGUCAAAAACAUCUUCUUCUGGCAUCCCAAGGUGCGAAGCUUCGUAUAAACUCAAUAGCCCAAUAACAUCUUCCCGUAAGCUGUCCAUGAAUUUUCCAUCUCUCUCCAUGAACUUAUUAAACACAUCUGCACAUUUUCACCCCUUAGCUUGAGUAUGUAUGUUACCUAAAUAAACAAGGAGGGGAAUCCCUUAUAGGGAUAUAUGCCCUCCCUACAAAUGCAAAACUAUGUAACAGCAUCUGGUCCCCUUAUUUUGUACAUUGACAAACUAUUCCUUUCAAGAGAGGAAGGUAUAGAUUGGUAAAAGAUAUUGUUUUUAUGGAUAUAUAUUUAUUGCCAUAAAUUUCAAUAAAGCAAAAUAAAUCAGAUUUGUCAAAAAUGAUAUAUAAAUAAAUAAGGAGUAAAAUUAAAAAUAAAAAAGAUAUUAACACGAUCAUUUGAGCCUUGUUAGUCAAUCUGACGUGUUAAAUUGGAUGAUCAAUUAUUUCAAAAGGUUAAAUUAUUAGAAAAGAACUUCAUUAUUGUAUUUAAAUUCUAAAAUGCUCAUUCACAUGUAAUUCAUAUGAAUAUUUAAUGAGCUUGAAAGUGGACUCAAGUGUAGAAAUAACCUGCGACCAAAAAAGGAUUAAAGAUAUUGAAAGGUUCAAUUUGUAACCAAACACUUGAAACAAUAUUAAAAGGAGAAAAACACAUUUUCUACAAUUCGAAAUUACAGCUCUAUUAUUCCAAAACUUUAGUUGAUUGGAAAGGGACAACUAUUAUAUUUAAGUUUUAACAUGGGGCUUGAUAAGGUUAUCUAUGAUGAAAUGAGAAACUUUUCAAAUACAAGUAAUUUCACAAAUAAAAAUUUAAAAAAUGACCAUAAAUUAGAUAUAGCAUCCUUUAAUAAAAUACUAUUCAAAAAAUCAAAAAAAAAAAAAUAUAACGAUAACAUUUUGCGCAUAUAACCUGUACUAAUGAAGAAACCAAUUUGACGUAUUAGUCUAAAUUGCAAGGCAACAGUGUAAAGAUCAGUGGCAAUGUUAGCAUCAACAAGUUUAGCAAGAAUAUCCUUGAUAUCCUUUUCAAAGUGGUAAGCCACUCCUAAGCGUUGCAGUGUGUUGAUCAGAUCCAGUUGGUCUCGUGGUUCUUUCAUGUUAGCAAGUAAAUCCCUAGCACCUUGCUUAAGUUCCUUAAGACGAGUGCCAUAGCUCUCGAACUGCAAGGUUAGCCAAAAUAAAGUGGUGCAGGUUAAACACAGAGUAAUUCCAAGGUGAUGAAGCUUGGGCAUCUAAUGAAAGUAAACUUACUGACUAGGGUGUGGUAAAGGACUUGACGAGUUCACCAUCCCAAACAGUAGGAAGGUUACCUGCUGAUCGCCGUUCAAUACCUUUUGCUUCCAUGAUAAUAUUAAAAUGAUUAAUAUUGCAUUGUAACUCGACCGGUUACAGGUAUUUAUAGAGAUGCAAUGAAGAAUUUAUCCAUAACCUAACAGAGUAAGGAUAAUAAUCAAUAGCAGAAAUAGCUGAUCUUGUUUAGCAAUUGGAAAGUAGGAAAUGAUAAAAAAUAUGUCUUUUGGUUUUGUUAUUCAAAUAAUUAAUUUUUUAUUUAUUUACUUAUAUAAGUAUUAUGCCAACAAAUAGUAGAACCCACGUGUAAAUCAUUUUGAUGGAUAGGCAUCGUACAUCAUUGGAGAUUUGUACUGCAGAUUGAAAGAUGGAUAGAGCUAGCCCAUCUGAUCCGAACUCCAAAAAUUCGUUCAAUAUUAUAAUAAAUUUGAUUUAAUACAGCACAUUUUUAAAAUAUGUUGUUAAAAAUAUUUUAAAUAAUAUAUUUUUUAUGUUUUUUUGAAUAUUUUUAUAUAUUUGUCUUCACCAUAUAAAUUUUUAAAUUCAUUAUGAAUCAAAUGUAACAAUAAAAAUUACAUACAUUAGUAAAGGCUACACUUUUUAUAUAGAUUUAUAUUUAGUGCAUUGACUAUCAACUCACCAAAUGUUGCCACCUCAUUAAUGAGAUAAAACUAAAAAUUUUUAAGAACUUAAACUUAAAUAUUAAAAAGUUGUUAAUAUUUAAUUAAAUAAAAAACAAAAAAAUCUCUUUUCUUUUCUCUCCAACUCCCCCACAAUGUUAUCUUAUUGUUUUGCUUCUUUUUUUUUAUCUCUCUCUAACUCCAUCUUCUUCACCCCUUCUUCUUCUGUUAAAAUUACAAAUUAAAAUAUUUCACUUUUUCCCAAACCCCCUUCACUUUUUUUUUUCUGGUUCUUCCAUAGGCAUCUAAACUAAAAUCUUAUUGACUUCUUAAGAAAGUAUGUUGCUGAAACCCUAAGAGAGAGAAAAAGAGUAAAAAAUUUGAUGUGGAGAUUUUCUUUUUGUUGAGAAAAAGAGAGAGAAGAAAAGACUGCUACCAAAUGGGGUGGGCAACUGGUUGAUUUGACUACCAAUUGUGAUAAAAAAUCCUUCCUUAAAUUCUAACUGUGGGAUAGUAUUAGUGUUGAAAAAAUUGUCAUAACUUCUGUUAGAAUUUUAAUUUGAUAUUAAAUUGAUCUUAGUUAAUUACUUUUACCAUUUUUAUUAGUUAUCACAUCAUAACCCUAACUCUAAUUAAAAGUAAAACCCUAAUUUAUUUAUUUGAAAAAAAAUUGAUUAUCACAUUAUAACCCUAAAUCAAUUGUAAAAAUCACUUAAAAAUGUAAAAAUUAUUUGGAAAUCUCUUGAGGUUGAACAAUUUUGCAAACUUAAUUUUAAUGCUAGAAGAAGAAGAAGAAGAGGAGAAGAAGAUAAUCAAGUUAGGAUUAAAAAGAAGAGAAUAAUCAAAGAACGUUGUGAGGGAGUUAAAAAGAGAAAACAAAGAGUUUUUUUUAUUUUUUAUUUAACUAAUUAUUAAAAAGUUGAAGAGAAUGAAAAAGAAUAUGAAAUAUCAGUACAUCAAAUAUUAAUCCUUUUUAUAUUACUACUAAAUAUGAAAAAAUGAAGCUAAAAGUUUAAAUAGGUGCUUUUUUUAAAAUUUUACUAUAUAAAAAAAUAUGUCGCUUAAAGAAGUGGGAUCAAAACUCUAUUUUGUUGUAGUGUCACUCAAAUUCGAAUCAGAUCUAACUCGAUUUGAGUAGAAAAAAUCAUCAAUCAAAUUUUUUUUUAAAGCUAAUUGUCAAAGUAGAAAACUUUGAAUUUAUGCUUACAAUAACAUAAAACAAUUGAAAAAAACCCCAUAAAACACCAAACAUGGACUUAAGAAUAUCUGGAAGCCCAAAAGAAAAAACCUGAUCAUAAGUCAAAGAAAUUGGCUAAGGAAAGUAUUUUGUGAAAACCACCAAUUCUUAGUAAUUCAAUAUGGAUGGAGCUUCUAAAAGUUGCCCCGGUGAGACUGGGAUUAGUGGUGUUCAUAGAGACAGUGAUGGUGGAAUAAAGAUGCAAUUAUAAAGAGGAAAUUGUAAGGAAUGACCUCUCUUGUUAAACAUAUUUUUAAAAUAACCAUAAAAAUAAAUUUUACUAUUUUUAUCCAUAAUUAGCCAUGACUUGACAAAAAUACCCUUUAAACUAUUUCAAAUAAAUUAAACCAUUCAUCACAAUUUUUUCCCAUUUUUGCUUCGAAUUUCUCUCUCUCACCAUCCCACUCUCUCAAAUUUUAUCGAUUUCUCUCUUCGGCAUUCGUCUGCUAUGCUUUCGAUUUCUCUCUCUCACAUUUUCAGAUUUCUCUUUCUUACGCUUUCAAGACACCAAACAAUGGUUUUGACAUGCUUGGGUGGGUGGCUAUUUGGGAAAUUCAAGUUUUAGGUAUUUUGGAUAAAAUUAAAACAGUAGAAAUAAUCACAAAUGUAUGAAAUAGCUUUUAAUUGAAUCAAUUCGAAACCUAGACAGCAAUAAACUCAAAAUUUUGAAAUUUAUAAACAUAAGUUUUCAAAGAAAUUUUUUUUUUAAUUUUUAGUAAAAGUAGGUGUUUUAGAUAAAAACAAUUUGUAUUUUAAUUUAUGAAAACAUUUUAGAAACACUUUAAUCUGUGCCAAAUUGUCAAAAAAAAAAUGAAAAGAGUUGAGAGGAUUUGAAGUUUUGGUUCGUAAGUAACAACAACAUUUUAGGCAUUAAAGUGUAACAAAAUGUUUUUGAAUAUGUCGUGUAACAAUAAUAUUUUUUCAACAUGGCAUGUAACAACAAUAUUUUUGUCACGACGCGAAACUUCCCAUCGAGCCCGUGACAACCGCCGCGAGGCCUCGACAGACAUUCUUCACCCCGAAUGCCGAUCGAAACCACGCAAGGCUUAGCAUCAACUUCCGUAUCUCCCCGGUGAGCAACAAUUAUUAAAUCUCGCAUUUAAAAAAAUCAUAAGUCAUUUUCAAAUAAGAACAAUAAAAUAUUAUUUUCUGGCUCAUAGAGNUCUUGAUGAAAUGGGUAGAUGUCUAUGAUAUAAGAGGAAUUCACCAAAACAAUUUGGGAUAGAAGUAGUAAAUACUACCAAUUAUAUAUUGAAUAGGGUUUAUACAAGAGUCAUAACUCAAAAAACUCCAUUUGAGAUGUGGUAUGAACACAAACCAUCUGUUUCACACUUGAGAACUUUUGGUUAUGUAUGCUUUGCCAAAAUUCCUGAUGAAAAGAGAUCCAAACUUGAUUCUAAGUUUGUUACAGCUAUGCAUAUAUGGCUAUAGUGAAUUGUCUAAAGGUUAUAGACUUUAUGACCUUGAAUUAAAAAGGGUGUUCAUAAGCAUGGAUGUCAUUUUUUUUAUGAAGGGCAAAGUUGGAAUUAAAAGAUUAGAAUUGUGGAAAGUUUAAGGAAUGUGGUUAUGUUUGAUGAAAAUCAUGUGCAAAUUGAAAAUAUGAUGACUUAUCAUAUAUUAAAGCUGAAGGCAAUGCAGUUAGAGGUACAAGAUCAUUGGAAGACAUCUGCAACAAAUGUAACAUUGUAGUAUUAGAACCUACUAGUGUCAAAAAGUUAUUUUUGACAGCAAUUGGAAAGUUGUAAUGGAUACUGAAAUGGAAAUGAUUACCAAAAAUAGAAAAUGAUCUUGUUUAAUAGGCUAGAAAAUAAGAAUAUGAUUGGAAUCAAGUGGAUAUUCAAAACAAAACUCAAUCUGGAUUGCUUAGUGAACAAAUUCAAAGGAAAACUAGCUGUUAAAGGGUAUGCUCAAGUGCAUGGGGCUGAUUAUAUGGAAAUUUUUGCUCUUGUGGCAAGACGUGACACCAUUAGAAUGCUUGCUGCUUUGUCAGCUAAAAAGGGAUGGAAAAUAUAUCACUUGGAUGUCAAAUCGGCAUUUCUUACUGGAUAUCUAACUAAGCACAUUUAUGUGGAAUGGCCUAUGGGUUAUGACGUGAAAGGAGCUGCAAAUAAGGUCCAUAAAUUAGUUAAAGCCUUGUAUGGCUUGAAGUAGGCACCUAGAGCCUGGUAUGAAAGAGUUGAUAAACACUUCAUGAAUCAAGGGUUCCAAAGAAGUGUAAAUGAGUUUACAUUAUAUAUAAAAAGCUCAAAGGACUCAGUGUUACUUAUAGUAGCACUUUAUGUUGAUGAUCUUUGAUCACUAAUCUUGGAGGUGAAUAUCUAGAGGUGUUUAAAACUCAAUUGAUGAAUGAGUUUGAAAUGACAGAUUUAGGGUUAAUGACAUACUUUUUGGGAAUUAAAGUUGUACAAGCUACUGAUCAGGUUUGUUUACAUUAGGCCAAGUAUGAAAAGGAUCUAUUAAACAAAUUUAAUAUAAGAUCCUGCAAGGUUGUCAAUGCUGCACUUGCCUUUGGGUUAAACUAGUGUAGAGAAGAUGGCUAUUCCAAAACAAAUGGAUUGAUUUACAAAAGUAUUGUUGGUUCUCUUCUUUACUUGUCAGCAACUAGGCUUGAUAUCAUAUCAGCUAUGAGUCUAUUAUCCAAAUUUAUGAAGACCCUUCAGAGUUACACUUUACUAUGCCAAAAAGAAUCCUCAAAUAUGUCAAAGGCACACUCAAUUUAGGCUUGAGAAAUUUAAACAUGAAAGCAGUUAGUUACUAAGCUAUAGUGAUGGUGAUUGGGCUAGUUUAUUGGAUGACUCAAAAGCACAAGAGGAUUUUGUUUGUCAUUUGGUAGUGUUGUCUUUGUUAGAAACGACAUGAUUAGAGGAUCAACGCAGCGGAAUAACAAAAAUUGAAACAAAAUAAAAACUAUGCCUCCUAUCUUUGGACCACCUUAAUUAUUUAAUGCAAAGUUAAACACUAUAGAAAAUUAGAAAAAAGUGUUUACCUUUCCAAUUGAUAUUAUAAUCAAAUGGAUUCCUUUUUGUGUUGAAAAAUAUGAAUACCUUCUUGUGUGAAAGAUAUGAGACCUCGACCUCUAUAGACCCGUAACUAAAAGUAGACGCGAUAACACAGACCAGGGGUAAUUUCAUCAUUUCUCAUGGUGAGCUCCUGGAAAUAGCAUUCUAAUGUUAUUAAGGUCCAACUAGGCCUAAGGAAUAGAUGAAUGAUGGUAAAAUGAAUGAAGAAGAUAGAAAUAAUGAUAAUUUUCAUAUUAGGGGCAAAAUGGUCAUUUUUUAUCUCGAGUCUAAAGUUUUAAGUUUUUGUGAACUCAAGUAUUUCUAGACUACUAUGGACUUUGUCUCAAUGUCAAAGAAGUAAAACGAUUGUAUAAAGGUAAGGGGAAGACAAAGUGACCUUGUUAAGGGCAUUUUGGUAAUUUAUGUGAGAAUUAGAUAAAUUUUUGGCAUAAUAUCUAACUCUCCAACAGCUUCUUCUCAUUUUUUUAGUAGCUCUUCUUCUUCCUUCCAUCAUUCUCAUGUUUUCUCACUUUCCAUAGAAGCUUGCUUUGAAACCUUCAUAAAUUUUCUCAAGUCAACCCCAAUUUUCAUGCUUUUGUGCGCCUUUUCACAAAGUCCUUUGUGCUCUUUUACUAUUUCACCUUAAAACCCUCAAAAGUCUUAUUUUGAUACUUUCCCUCACUAGUUAGGUGUUUUAAAGAGAGAAAGAGAGACUUCCUAUACUAGCUUGAGGACUUUUGAGAAGGAAUUUAAUAACAAAGCUACUAAGGUGAGUAAUGAAAUUGAGUUGAUUUUAAGUUGUUGAGAAUGGCUAGUGGCUAGAUUUGUGAGUGUUUUAUAGUUGAGGUAGUUUAUUCAUUUUAAUGUGACUAGAAUAUUGAUAAUAGAUAGCCACUUAAUGGUAGUUGGAAGCUAGCUAGGAAUAACUAGUAGAACAUGAUUUAAGACAUAGCUUUUGGAAUUGUGGUUAUGUGAAUUGAGUUGAUUUUUUAUGUUAUUGUGUGUAAUAGGUUCCAACGAGACUCCACAUCCCCAUUUUGACCAUUAAUGGAUGUUGGAGUCGAUUGAGGAAUCAACGAGGACUGGUGACUGAACUUGUAGUAAAAAAUGUUUUGGAGUAAAUGAUUAUGUGCUUGAGUGAACCACUAGAAAUAGUUUAUUGGUUUUUCUUUAAAUUGCAUGGGAACAAGCCAUUGAUAAAAUGUUGUAUAUUGUGAAUGUGUAAAAAGAUUAAUCCUUGUGCUCUUAUAUUAUGUGGAUAUAUAUAUAUAUAUGGUGUGUAUGGAUAGUUAAUAUUGUGUAAUAAAUAUAGUUGUGCAUGUGCACGAUGUGGGGGAGUAUAUGCCGGUGAUGAUGGGUGUGGAAGUGUGGACGAUGAUAUUGCCUGUGCACGAUGUAAGGGUUGCACAUGAACUGGGUGAGGCGGUGGUGGUAUUUGUGUUUAUAUAUGUAUAUAUAUAUAUAUAUAUAUACUUAUGCAAUAGAAAGUUUAUGAAUAUGGUAUAUGGUUGUAAUGUAUGUGGAAUCCUACAUGUUAAACCUUGGAUAUUGUUGUGUAAUUUCAAACUGAGUUUUUUAUUGCAGCAACAUGGCCUUUUCUUGAUAUAAUAAGAAAUUUCUUCCUAGUGUUCUAUUUCUCGCUGCAGCAAGAAACUUUCAGGUUGGGAGGCUGGCUGCAGUCCUGUAACUCGCUACAGCGAGAAACUCUCGGGUGGUUUGGAAUUUUGGUCUAAAUUUCACUACAACGAGAAUGCCUUUCCGCUACAGCGAGGAACCCUCUGUUUUGCUUGUCUUGCGUGGACAUUUGCUGAAAUUUUCAUUCUUUUCAACUUCAUGGUUUAUCAGGGAUUUUAAAUGCUAAGGAAUUAAAUAAUCAAAGGUUGAAUUAAGAGGCUUUACAAGAAAGAAAACUAAAUUGCAUUGUUUGUAACUAAAGUGCAUCAUGUUUUCGAAAUCUCUUCGUAUCGUUUGCUUGUUCCCUUCUUUUGUUUACUCACUGGGUUUAUACUCACUGCUUUUAACUUCAUGUUUUCAAAUCAGGGGGCAAUUGGAACCUAGUUCAAGGUGUCCUCAUAGAUUCGUCUCCUUGGUAGGUAUCUAAGCAUUCAAUAGUGUACCUUCACCAAGGUCACCCUGCUGGAAGUCGAGUAUCUUUUUGUUGUGUAUAGAUAAACGCGAUAUAAAUUACUAAGAUAUAUGUCUUAGACAAUAUAUGUAUAUUUUGAUUGGUAAUGCCACUAUGAGUUGGCAAUGGUUAACAUUAUUUUUGGUUAAUGUAAAUGCAAGUAUUUGAUUGUUGUAGCACAUUAUUAAAGUACUUGUAGGUUGGAAUUAUGAAAUGUGACUUUAGGAACAUUUGAUAGAAUGAUGAAUAAGUUAUAUAAAUAAGCUUGCUUGGGCUUAGUGGGCUAUGCCCAUUGGGUCCAUGCGCCGGUCGUGGCUCGAAAAUUGGGCUGUGACAAAAGAAUUUCAACCAGUUAAAUGUUUGGCCACCAAUGUUGCACACCCAAAUGCAACUGAUCCGUCUCAAGGAGAGAGCUUUAUGCCAUAGGUUUGUAUUAGCAAGUGGACAAUCAUUUAUCCUUUUUUCUUCUUUGAUUUCUAGUAAAGAAUGAAUGAAGAAGUUUUUUGAAAAACUCUCUCAUAAGUGGCAGCACUCAAGAGAAACACUAUUAGUUUUUUUUUUCUUUUAUUGCCUCAAAAAAGAGUGCCUAUAAUGUGAUAUUUAUAUCUAGAUUUAAUUUAAUUAGUAGACUUAUUAAAAUUUGAAAAAUAAAUCCUUAAUAUUAUAACAAUUAUAAUAUUUAACUAAUGCCUAAUUAAACUCUUUUAAUUAGGUCCUUAAUAGUCAGAACCAAGAAUUUGAUUUAAGUCUAACUUAAAUCAUCACACUCUUAAUUUAAUCUAAAUUGCAAUCUUUAUGUGUGACCCAUUAGAUUCCUAACAUGUUGGCAAUGAAAUUGAGUUAUUACUUUAUUAAUUGAUUAAUUUAAAUAAAUCAUAUUCAAUUUAACAUUAACUAUUUAAAUUUCAUAGACCAAGAUUGGCAUCUAGCAAUGCAUCAUGGCUUUUUAAUUAUUAAGAGAGUUAAAGGAUUCUUUGACAAAUUUUUAGUGUACAAUUUAUCAAUAUAAUUCAUGCCCUCAUCAUAUAUCCCGGAGAUGAUAAGAGCUUGGUGUAGUACCUACUCUUAUUGACCUCUAUAUUUGUUUUUACAGUUAGAUCAUUAGCUUUAUGGAGACUUAUGAAACUCAUUUCAUAAUCUCCUAAUCACCUUGGCCAAGUAUUUGAUUUAGCUAAUGUCAAUCAAGAACUAAUGAGAUAUUUUCCUUUGAAUCACUUGAGGUGAUGAUUCCAAUCUUGACCACUUAUUUUCCUUCAUAUGCUUCAUAUUGUACCCAAAAACAUCCUAUUUUCACAUCCUUGGUUAGACACCAGUAGGGAUGAAGUCAAAACAUAGUACUUCACAGACAAGACAACCUAGUCUCUCAAGUCUACGGAGUAUUUACACAACUGACACAUGAGAAGUAUUGCAUAAGCACUUGAGUGAGGUACCAAAUGCACUUCUCAUGGUGGGUCUGAUGGGUUUGGCUAUGGAUGGCAUGUUGGCUCCAUUAGUUUUUGAUGAUAAUAAAACAUUCCCAUUUAUUUGUGUCUAAUACCUUUACUUGAGUGUGCAGGAAAUUAAUAUAUGAAAUUAAUUUAUUAACUCUUCAAAUAGUAUGUUUGAAGGAAAAAUAGGGAUAAAAUCAACAAAGAUGUAACUAAAUAACAAUGAGGAAGCUUAUUGGUGAAACAAGGAAGAACAUUGGUGGACCAAAUUUCAAAUUGGAGAAAUGAUGGGCUGAAGAGUUUGAGAAACAGAACCAUCUUAGUAAACCAAGUCAGUUAUUUAAGUGCCCUCUGUCAGAAUCUGCAAACCAGAAACAGAAUCAACUUAGUCAACAAAGUUAGUCAACUAAGAGCUCUCUGUCUGCAAUUUGAAUCAAAGCACUAGAAGAUAGAUUAACGGCUAGAACUCAUCCUCAAUUGUUUCCAACGGAUAUAAACUGCCAAACUGCCAUCAAAGUUGCAUCUCGAAGUAUAAAAGGGUCUUCCAACAAUAAGAAACAAGUUUUUGAGAAGCCUUGAAUGAGAUUUGAGCUAUAGAAAGUAGAAAAACCAGAAAAGCUUCACUACACUUGUUUGCACUUAAACGCAUACUUUUUGCAUUUGUAUUUAGUACUCAAUCGUGUACCAAUCAGAUCAUCUAGUGAUCAUAGGUACUUUCUUUUACUACUUCUCUUGUAUUCUUAAAGUGAGGGAGUCACUCUGAGGGGUUGUUCAAGCUUGGGAUAGCUUGAUUGUUAAAGGUUGUGGUUGAGCCUUGGAAAACCACUUUGGGUUUUAGUUGAGCUCGUGAAAAACUAGUGUAAAAGGUUGUGGCUGAGCCUGGUAAAAGCCAUUGUAAAAGCUUGGUGGAAGCUUGUGAAUUUCACCGAUUGUUAGUGAGUUUGUGAGAAAAUCCUUGGUUGGAUAAUCAAGGUAAUGGAUGUAGGUCUUGGACUGAACCACUCUAAAUUGCUGUGCAUUUUAUACUCUAUUUUUUGUUUCUUAAGUUCUAGAAAUUAGUUUCCAAUCUUGUCAAAAGCCAAAUUGUGCUAUUCUCCCCUUCUCUAGCACAUAUUAUAGGGACAAACAAUUGGUAUCAGAGCUAGUUCCCUAUUUUUAAGGCUUAACAUCCUUUGGGAAGAUCCAAAUGGCUCAACAAAAAGCCACAGUUGCUGAGGGACAAUCAACAAAUAGACCACCUCUGUUUGAUGGCUCUAAUUACUCUUAUUGGAGCAUAAGAAUGUCAAUCUAUAUUAAGGCUAUAGACUAUGAAAUGUGGGACGUCAUAACUGGUGGACCCUUUAUGCCCUCAACCGUGAAUGUAGUGACAAAUGAGUUGAUGCCCAAGCCAAGGUUUGAAUGGACUAAGGCUGAAACUAAGAAAGUUCAAAUAAAUUUUAAGGCUAUCAACACAUUACAUUGUGCCUUGACCCUUACUGAAUUUAACAAAGUCUCAAGUUGUACCACAGCUAAACAAGUGUGGGAAAAACUUAGAAUAAUCCAUUAAGGGACUUCUNNNNNNNNNNNNNNNNNNNNNNNNNNNNNNNNNNNNNNNNNNNNNNNNNNNNNNNNNNNNNNNNNNNNNNNNNNNNNNNNNNNNNNNNNNNNNNNNNNNNNNNNNNNNNNNNNNNNNNNNNNNNNNNNNNNNNNNNNNNNNNNNNNNNNNNNNNNNNNNNNNNNNNNNNNNNNNNNNNNNNNNNNNNNNNNNNNNNNNNNNNNNNNNNNNNNNNNNNNNNNNNNNNNNNNNNNNNNNNNNNNNNNNNNNNNNNNNNNNNNNNNNNNNNNNNNNNNNNNNNNNNNNNNNNNNNNNNNNNNNNNNNNNNNNNNNNNNNNNNNNNNNNNNNNNNNNNNNNNNNNNNNNNNNNNNNNNNNNNNNNNNNNNNNNNNNNNNNNNNNNNNNNNNNNNNNNNNNNNNNNNNNNNNNNNNNNNNNNNNNNNNNNNNNNNNNNNNNNNNNNNNNNNNNNNNNNNNNNNNNNNNNNNNNNNNNNNNNNNNNNNNNNNNNNNNNNNNNNNNNNNNNNNNNNNNNNNNNNNNNNNNNNNNNNNNNNNNNNNNNNNNNNNNNNNNNNNNNNNNNNNNNNNNNNNNNNNNNNNNNNNNNNNNNNNNNNNNNNNNNNNNNNNNNNNNNNNNNNNNNNNNNNNNNNNNNNNNNNNNNNNNNNNNNNNNNNNNNNNNNNNNNNNNNNNNNNNNNNNNNNNNNNNNNNNNNNNNNNNNNNNNNNNNNNNNNNNNNNNNNNNNNNNNNNNNNNNNNNNNNNNNNNNNNNNNNNNNNNNNNNNNNNNNNNNNNNNNNNNNNNNNNNNNNNNNNNNNNNNNNNNNNNNNNNNNNNNNNNNNNNNNNNNNNNNNNNNNNNNNNNNNNNNNNNNNNNNNNNNNNNNNNNNNNNNNNNNNNNNNNNNNNNNNNNNNNNNNNNNNNNNNNNNNNNNNNNNNNNNNNNNNNNNNNNNNNNNNNNNNNNNNNNNNNNNNNNNNNNNNNNNNNNNNNNNNNNNNNNNNNNNNNNNNNNNNNNNNNNNNNNNNNNNNNNNNNNNNNNNNNNNNNNNNNNNNNNNNNNNNNNNNNNNNNNNNNNNNNNNNNNNNNNNNNNNNNNNNNNNNNNNNNNNNNNNNNNNNNNNNNNNNNNNNNNNNNNNNNNNNNNNNNNNNNNNNNNNNNNNNNNNNNNNNNNNNNNNNNNNNNNNNNNNNNNNNNNNNNNNNNNNNNNNNNNNNNNNNNNNNNNNNNNNNNNNNNNNNNNNNNNNNNNNNNNNNNNNNNNNNNNNNNNNNNNNNNNNNNNNNNNNNNNNNNNNNNNNNNNNNNNNNNNNNNNNNNNNNNNNNNNNNNNNNNNNNNNNNNNNNNNNNNNNNNNNNNNNNNNNNNNNNNNNNNNNNNNNNNNNNNNNNNNNNNNNNNNNNNNNNNNNNNNNNNNNNNNNNNNNNNNNNNNNNNNNNNNNNNNNNNNNNNNNNNNNNNNNNNNNNNNNNNNNNNNNNNNNNNNNNNNNNNNNNNNNNNNNNNNNNNNNNNNNNNNNNNNNNNNNNNNNNNNNNNNNNNNNNNNNNNNNNNNNNNNNNNNNNNNNNNNNNNNNNNNNNNNNNNNNNNNNNNNNNNNNNNNNNNNNNNNNNNNNNNNNNNNNNNNNNNNNNNNNNNNNNNNNNNNNNNNNNNNNNNNNNNNNNNNNNNNNNNNNNNNNNNNNNNNNNNNNNNNNNNNNNNNNNNNNNNNNNNNNNNNNNNNNNNNNNNNNNNNNNNNNNNNNNNNNNNNNNNNNNNNNNNNNNNNNNNNNNNNNNNNNNNNNNNNNNNNNNNNNNNNNNNNNNNNNNNNNNNNNNNNNNNNNNNNNNNNNNNNNNNNNNNNNNNNNNNNNNNNNNNNNNNNNNNNNNNNNNNNNNNNNNNNNNNNNNNNNNNNNNNNNNNNNNNNNNNNNNNNNNNNNNNNNNNNNNNNNNNNNNNNNNNNNNNNNNNNNNNNNNNNNNNNNNNNNNNNNNNNNNNNNNNNNNNNNNNNNNNNNNNNNNNNNNNNNNNNNNNNNNNNNNNNNNNNNNNNNNNNNNNNNNNNNNNNNNNNNNNNNNNNNNNNNNNNNNNNNNNNNNNNNNNNNNNNNNNNNNNNNNNNNNNNNNNNNNNNNNNNNNNNNNNNNNNNNNNNNNNNNNNNNNNNNNNNNNNNNNNNNNNNNNNNNNNNNNNNNNNNNNNNNNNNNNNNNNNNNNNNNNNNNNNNNNNNNNNNNNNNNNNNNNNNNNNNNNNNNNNNNNNNNNNNNNNNNNNNNNNNNNNNNNNNNNNNNNNNNNNNNNNNNNNNNNNNNNNNNNNNNNNNNNNNNNNNNNNNNNNNNNNNNNNNNNNNNNNNNNNNNNNNNNNNNNNNNNNNNNNNNNNNNNNNNNNNNNNNNNNNNNNNNNNNNNNNNNNNNNNNNNNNNNNNNNNNNNNNNNNNNNNNNNNNNNNNNNNNNNNNNNNNNNNNNNNNNNNNNNNNNNNNNNNNNNNNNNNNNNNNNNNNNNNNNNNNNNNNNNNNNNNNNNNNNNNNNNNNNNNNNNNNNNNNNNNNNNNNNNNNNNNNNNNNNNNNNNNNNNNNNNNNNNNNNNNNNNNNNNNNNNNNNNNNNNNNNNNNNNNNNNNNNNNNNNNNNNNNNNNNNNNNNNNNNNNNNNNNNNNNNNNNNNNNNNNNNNNNNNNNNNNNNNNNNNNNNNNNNNNNNNNNNNNNNNNNNNNNNNNNNNNNNNNNNNNNNNNNNNNNNNNNNNNNNNNNNNNNNNNNNNNNNNNNNNNNNNNNNNNNNNNNNNNNNNNNNNNNNNNNNNNNNNNNNNNNNNNNNNNNNNNNNNNNNNNNNNNNNNNNNNNNNNNNNNNNNNNNNNNNNNNNNNNNNNNNNNNNNNNNNNNNNNNNNNNNNNNNNNNNNNNNNNNNNNNNNNNNNNNNNNNNNNNNNNNNNNNNNNNNNNNNNNNNNNNNNNNNNNNNNNNNNNNNNNNNNNNNNNNNNNNNNNNNNNNNNNNNNNNNNNNNNNNNNNNNNNNNNNNNNNNNNNNNNNNNNNNNNNNNNNNNNNNNNNNNNNNNNNNNNNNNNNNNNNNNNNNNNNNNNNNNNNNNNNNNNNNNNNNNNNNNNNNNNNNNNNNNNNNNNNNNNNNNNNNNNNNNNNNNNNNNNNNNNNNNNNNNNNNNNNNAUCAAAAGUUUCUUAUUUCAGAUAAUCAACACAAUAUAUUUAUUUGUCACAUUUAUUUCUAAAACAUCAAAAGUCCCAUUUUAAUCUCAUUUUCGUUUCAUAAAAUAUAUAAAGAGCAUUUAAAAAUAAACUCUAGAUAAUUUACAAUAAUAAUAGGUUUACUCACAGUUUGUACAAAUUAAAUGCUUUCUAGGUGGCCCGAUCACUGUUCAUCGGGUACGACUUCCUUGUCUUUACCAGAAGGCUCUCCUCCUAGACACAUUGCACAAAUUACACAAUUCACCACAUUGAUGCUAAAUCACUAUUUAAUUGAGUUAAAUCCUAUACUAAUGCAUGGUAUGAAAUGCAAUAGCCUAAAACGGCUUAAAUGCGGUAUUAACCUAUUUUUAGCACUUUACCCGAUAAAUUGCUAACGCGCUCCAUUUUAGCUCUAAAUUGUCCCAUUUUCUCUCCAACAUUUCUAACCAUUAAAAAUCAGCCAAUAACCCUCUAAAAUCACCAAAAUCAGCUCACUUUUCUCCUUGGAAAAUUCGGCCAAAAAUGGGACAUUAACUCAGUUAAUUUUCCACUUUGUUUUUCUAUCACAUUUAAUCAUUUUUCAUCAUUUUUUCUUCAUUUUUCUUAGAAUAAAAAUCAGUUCAUCAUCAUUGUACAUCAUUGAAUAUUCAGCCAAGGGUGGGUAUUGUGAGAAUUUUAUGCUUUCCUGUCCAAUUUGAUUUCUAUACACAUUUAACUAACUAAAACUGCCAAUUUAACUAAGAAUCAAAACCUAAAAAAUUCAAAAUCCUCCCCCUUGAAAUUCGGCCAGCCCUUGGUAUCAGUUUUUGAUCUCUCUCCUCAAGCAUGCUAAAUGGAAACAAAGGCAUAGGAAAGGUAGAAAUCAAGCUAAACUAAAAAAAUCUUAUCGUUAGACGCGUAAAUGAUCAAAAAACGUGAAUUCCCCUUUGAAUUUUCUACUUGUCCUUUGGUUUUUCUCUUUUCUUCCUUUCCUCUCUAUUUUCUCUCUUAUUUUCUCCUUAUGGCCGACCAUCACCUGAUGUGGGGUUUAAAUGGGCUGAUUUUCCUUUAAAAUAAUAUUAAACAAUUAAAAAGUGUCAUUGUCACUUUUCCAUUGGCUCGUUUUUAAUAUUUCAUCCUUUAAACUUCUAUUUUUCACCACUUGAAAUACCAUAGUUUUUCAUAUCAAAAAUAAAUAAAUCCUAUGAUUUUGACAAGUUUUGGGUGGUGCAAAUUACGGUUUUACCCCGAGGUGACAAAAUUACCAUUUUGCCCUUAUGUUUCAAAAAUUGCUGGAAUUGAAAAUUUUCACUUCCUAUCAUUAAAUUAUACUCCAAAUAGUUAAUCUUGGUCAAAAAUUUCACUCCAUGAUCAAAUUAUUAUCUUAGCUGGCAAAAUGACGAUUUGCCCCUAAACAUCAAAAUUUUCAAUUUUUCCCCAAAUGAACCCUUGAACUCUAAACAAUCAUUUUUAGUCAUUCCUGGACUGUAAAAUAUUAAAUUUCAUCCUACAAUUCCUAUUUCAACUAGUUCGAGGUUAAAUCAAUUCAAGUGUACCGUUAGGUACAAUACCAGAUUUCGUCUAUUCUUAGGGACUUCCAUAGCGUAAUAACAUGCUACUCAGUGCAUGUAUGUCAUGACAUGUGUUUAUAGGGUUGGGUUUUACACACAACUUUCUCUCUCUAGCUCUAAUUUUCAUACCUUUGUGCCCUUUUGACUAGAACCCUUGUGCUCUUUCACUCUUUCACUUUAAAACCCUCAAAAAAGUCCUUGUUCAGCACUUUCUCUCACUAGUUGGAGGUUUUAGAGAGAGAAAGAGAGAUUUUUCACAUUUGUUUGGAAGCUAUUGGAAGAGAAUUCAACUACAAAGAAACCCUAAGGUGAGUGAUGAACUAGGCUUGGUUUUAAGUUGUUGAUAAUGGCUAGUAAUUGGGAUUAUGAGCUGUUUUAUUGUUGAGUUGUUUACUCAUUUUUAGUGUGAUUAGAGUAGUGCAAGGAAUAGCCAUUUGAUAUAGUUGGAAGCCAAUUAGGAAUGACUAGAAGAAUUUGAAUUAGAAACUAGCUUUUGGAGUGAUAUUAAUGUAAAUUGGAUUGGUUGUGAUGUUGUGUGUGUAUAAGUUCCAACAAGGCCUCACUUGCCCGUUUGAACCAUUAGUGGAGGUUAGAUUCGAUUAGAGGUUCAGCAAUACUAGUGAGUGAACUGCAUUUCAAAAUCGUUUUGGGAAUGUGACUGUUUUGUACAAAGCAUUUGAAUGAUUUUAUACAACUUUUUCUUAAAACAAGUGCCUUGGGAACAAGCUUUUGCUAAAUGGUUUUAUGUUGUGAUAUGUGGUUGUUAUGGAUUCAUGCACUAUUGCAUUAUGAUGAUAUAUAUAUAUAUAUAUAUAUAUAUAUAUGUUGUGCAUGAUAGUUGAUAUUGUGUAUGAUGAUUAUAACUGUGUGUGUGCACGAUGUGGGGGAAUGCACAUGCCGGUGAUGAUGGUGGUGUGGGAGAUGGAUGAUGAUAGUGCCCGUGUGCACGAUGUGGGGGGAUGUACACGAUGGCACUGAUUGUGCACGAUGUGGGGGCAUGCACACGAAGGCACCUGCUAUGUGCACAAUGUGGGGGGAUGCACAUGAGCCGGGUGUGAUUAUGAUGAUAUUGAUGUUUAUUUAUGUAUUUAUGCAUAUCUAUGCUUAUGAAAUGAAAGUUCAUGAAUAUGAUAUAUGAUUGAAAUGCAUGUGAAAUUUGGCAUGAUGAAUCUUGAGAAUGUCCUAUUUUCUUGCAAAUUGAGUUCAUUGCAACACCAAAUGGAUUUUUAGUGCAAAGGAGGUCCUUUUUCACUUAGGUGCCCUGCUUCUCGCUGCAGGAAACAUUCUGUUUUGGCAGUAGAAAACUCGCUGCAGCGAGAAACUCUCUGGUUCUGAUGCAGUACCUUCACUUUGAUGAAGAUUUUAACCACUUUCGUCUCUGAAAUGGAAAAAGUAGUAAACAUAAAAGUUGUAGCCCUAUUGCUUAGCUUUCUAAUGGUCUAAAAAUCAAGUCAAUUGAACUUCUGUAACGGGAGAUAUACUAGAAAAACUGAAACAUAUGCAAACUAACACUAUUUCUCACUAUAGUGAGAAACUUUCUGUUUUGGCCACCCGAAUCUCGCUGCAGCGAGAAUGAACUUCACUACAGUGGGAAACUUGUUGCCACGCUUGCUACCUUGCUUGAUUUUGACCUAUUUUUCACCCAUUUAACUUCAUGGAUUGAUCAUGGGUUUGUGAAACACUAUGAGGGUAUUAAUCAAAGUUUGAAAUAAAGGGUUUUUAGUAAGAAACUAAAUCAAUUGCAUUGUUUUUGAAACAAGUGCAUUAUGACUUCCAAGUUCUUCCUAUUGAUUGCUUGGUCCCUUCUUAUGUUCACUCACUAAGUUUUAUACUCUCUUUUUUAAACUUCAUGUUUUAAGAUUCGAAGGCAGUUAAGACCUAGAUUGAGUCUCACACAUAUGCUCGCCUUCUUGGUAGGUACUACGAAAUCUCAGUAGCGGUACCUUGACUUAAAGUCACUCCGCUGACGGUUGAGAGUCUUUUAUUUGUGUACAUGUAUAUGGAAUGUAAACUACUAGGAGUCAUGUUAUAAAUGAAGUAUGUAUAUGUGGGGUUGAUGAUGAUCCCUUAUGAAACGACAAUGAAUGACAAUAUUUUGAGAUAAUACAAAUAUGAAUAUUCGAUCGCUAUAAAUUAUUAUUGAAACAUUCAUCAUUGAGAAGUAAAAUAUGUGGUUUUAGAAAUGAUGGUUAGGAUUAAUGAUUGGGAUUGUAUAAAUAGGCUUGUUUGGGCUUAGUGGGCUAUGCCCAUUGAGCCCAUGCACCGAUCAUGGCCCGAAAAUUUAGGUCAUGACAAUGUUGGUAUCAAAGCUCUAAGUUUAGUCGAGUCAUAGGGAUUCUCGUGUCAGUCAGGGGAGUUAUCAGAGUUAAUGUAGAGUUUUGUCUAUGGUUUGUGACAGCAACACAAGUCAUAGACAAGAGGCUAUAUGAACUCCUAUUCCUAGCAAUUUACCCUCCUACUAACAUUAUGUAAAGGUCAUAAGUGGUGUCGUUGUUCAAGUUUGAGAUGCCACCUGAGACACGAACUGUUCUUGGAAAGAUUUUAAGCAAAUGCUCUUAAUGAAAGGCUAAUGUAAUAACAAAUUCCUCUGAUUAAAGAUGGAGGAAGUUGGAGCUGGACUGUUAAGUUCGUAAUAGUUUAUUCAUUCAGUGGAGUUAUAACUUGAGCCUAUAAUUGUCAAUGAGAAGAAAUUGGACGAUAUUGGAUCCUUAUUGAGGUCAAUAUAAAGAAACAUAUACAGUAAUGGUACAAGGGGCUCACUUUGAUUGGAAUAAAUAGUGAUGAUUGAGAUUCACUUGAAGCUUGUACAUCUAAGUAUUAAGGGAGGUGUAAACUGAUACCCACUUGCACGGAGGCAAGUGCACUGUGUUAUUUGAGCUUGACAUGCCCCUAUAGAAAUGGUGUGGGCUUUUGAAAUAUUUUAUAAGUGUAUAAGUAUUGAAUUUGUGUAUAGUAGCUUAAAUGGGGUUGGUUUUGAUUCUAAUUAAGUAAUUGUGAGAUUCCAAGGCUUGAAUUGAAUUAUUGUGGUUUAUGGUUAUAAUUGCAUGAAUUAGCUCAAGGGUGAAAAUCACGGAUUAUUAUAAUUGAUGUAUGGUCAUGAAGUAAAAGGCUAGUAAAUGAUCUACUCUAAGGAUGAGCUUGAAUUUUGCUAUGCUUAGUGUGGAGGCAAAGGAUUAAAGGACUAGAUAUGGAUUUAGUAGUUUGAAAUUAAAUGACAUGGAAAUGACAAAUUUAGUCUAAGUGCCAUAUGGAGUUUUAUAUGAAGAUCGAUAUAUGAAUUGCUUUGAAGGUCAAUUUAAAAAUAUAUUUGGUUCAAUAUGCAACCUAUGAUGUAAAUGAUUUGUCUUGAAUGUGACUUCUCCAAAGGUAAGGGACUUAAAACAUGUGGAUUUUUGGAUAUGCUUUAAGAGGAAGUUUCUGCAUCCCAAGCUUAAGAAAUUUUGAUCUUAUGAUUGCAAAGGCAAGAUACAAAAAAUUAUGUGAAUUGUUUAUCUUAUGGAUGUAAUUGGUUAAGAAUUGAUGAGUAAAGUCAAGAUCUCCACACUAAGUGGUGUACAAUUUGAUAUAUGUGUAUCUAAGCAUAAAUUUGGAGAUCAUUGCUUAGUCAAUUUGCAUUGAAUGUUAUGGUAAAGGUAUGUGAAUGCUAGUAGUGAAGUAUGCCCAAAGUGAGAUAUGUUGAGACUAAUGUUCCGAUUGCAAACUUGUGAUAGAAAGCUAGUUUUGCAAAUUGUGGUUUUUAUGACCCUGAAAAACAUGGAGGUUAUCAAUAUGUAGGCAUACACUUGGAGUUGUACAUCUUGUGAUCCCCAUGCAUCAUAUGGAUGGAGAUAUCCCAUAGGGGAGUUUAUCUUGAUUUAUGGUUACAUGACUAUAGGCUUGGCAUGAGACUGAGAAUGCCCUAGCAUAAAUGUGGAAUGUAUUGUGAAAGGUUAAAAAGCCACAUAUACCUUAACAAGGUCAAUAACAUGAAUGAGGGGGAAAUAUGGAUGUUGAUGUGCUGAGCAUAAAGAGCUUACGGAUAAUUAAUGCCAUUAUACUAAGUUAGAUGGUAUGAUCCGAACCAAGAACACAGACACCUUGGGAGAUUUUAAAAUAAUGUCCAGUGGGGUUGUGAGCUAAAGCGUUAUCGGGCAUACAAUGAACGAUUAAAGUUAUGAAUGGCUUUGAAGAUAAGCCUUUGAUUGAUUAAGUUCUCAAUGGAACCCUAUUAAAAGAAGUGUUUAAGUGUUUUGGAAGUGUAUGUAAAAGCAUAAGAGAAUAAUUAGCUUGACUUGCUAUAAGAGGUCGAAAUUGGAUGGCCAUGAGUGGCUUGUGAACAAUCAAGCAUUGUAAAGUAUGUGCUCAUAAAAGGAGCUAUGAUUGGUAGAUAAAGGUGGAACUUUAGAAUUUCAUUGUCAUAGUUAUUAGAUUAUAUUUUGUAUUAUAUGAUAUAACGUAUAACAUCAAUGAUGAGGUUGUGUUCAAUGCUUUAGGCCUUGAACUGUAAGAUAUGGACAUGUAUCCACCUUGUGAAUACCCUGAUGAGAUAAAUUUGAAAGACUUUUCACAAUGAGAAAACAUUAAAGCUCAAAGACCAAAUGGCUAUACAGUCAAGUUAGGUUCGUGACUGACAUGUCACAUAAGUAUGAAGAUAUGAUACAAGCAUAAGUAUACUUGCAAAUACUGGUUUGAGGCAAUGAUUAUCCUACCAUUUUGUGAACCCGAUGAGGUUCUGGUCUCAACAUAAUUGUAGCUGCAAAUCAUAAAUUGUGAAAUGUGCUUCCCCACAAGUUCCAAUUUAUUUUGAGUAACUAUCAAGAUAAAGUGCCUAAUAGAGAUAGUGGAAGGUUGAAUUAUACUUCAAAUGUUGAGAAAAGGAGGGUGAUAUGGUUUGAUUAAAUGAUACUACCCUUGGUAAGGGAAUAGAAAUAUGUUACGGGAAUUAUGGAGAUCUACUUAGAAAAAAAAAGAAAGACGAUGAUUUGAAAAUUCAAGUACUCGUAUAUGAGUAAAGUUUUGGUAAUGAGACAUGACCUAAAGUUGGAAUACUACAAUAUGAAUUUUGACUAAGAAAAUUGACUUAUAAAACACUUGGUGUUUGGAGAUGGUGCCAAUUAGUGGUUGACUCUUAUAUGAGAAUGGAAUAUUGAAAUCAGCUUUGUGUAUUCACCACAAAUGAUGGGCAUGAUCUAACCAACCAAGAGAAGAAAUGAUUCUAAACUUGAUUGUUGGUUAUUUUGGUUUUACGGAUGGCUUAUUGAGCUCUAUAUGCCUAAGGCUAUUCGAAGUUAAAAUUUUUGAAAAUAUAUCUGUAUGGAUAUAUAUGUUGCAUAUUGGUAUAAAAGCUCAUGCGGAGUUAGUUAUAAUUUGAUUCGAUGAUGAUAUUCUAUCAAUGGUUAUAGUGCUAGACAAUGAUUAAGAUAAUUUAUCUCUGAUUUUGGCAGUGAACAAGUGGAUUAUAAUUCUGUUAGCUUAAAAGUAAGUGUUUAUACUUUUGGUAUGAGUUCAUCAAAUUCUAUUAUAUGGUGAUAAAACUUGGUGUUUGAUAUAACCUGAGAGGCUUGGUAUAUGAACUAGCUUAACUAUGGGCUAGAAAUUGUUAGGUUAUUAUGAAGUAUACAAAUAGGAAAGUAUGACAUGAAUUUAAUAUCCUAAGGGGUAGUGGAAAAUGAUGUAUCAAUUUUGGUAUAGCUUCAAUAUAUAUAGUUUUGAUAAAUAAAGAUGUGGGAAAAAAUUUAUAGCUUAUGCGAAAAGGUGUGCAUUUGAAUUCGUGUAAUUAAAAGUGUAAAAUCUAUCUUGAUUGGCAUAGAGCCCAUCAUUCAAAAUAAAGGAUUAUGGACUUAAUUUUCUAAGAAAAAAAAAGGCUAAAGAAAUUGAUUUCGGAAAGGUCUUAGUAAAUGAUUCCUUGAUUUUAAAGUACACUUAAGAAGAGGUAAGUGUCAAAUUUCAUCUUCGGACUGAUAAACUAAUAAGGUUACAAGAUUUAGCAUUUAGAGUAAAUUUGAGAAAUAUCAAGUUAGAUAUGUUAUGGGUGAUUGAUGACGAGCAAAUUAGCUAUGACAUCGAAAAUGUAGAAAUGAAUAGUAAUCAAAAUGAGACUUGGAAAGGAAUUUUAAGGGGAAAAUUUUGAGCAACUUUAAUCUUGAGAGGUUGAGUUAUUGAUUAAAGAGAUUGGUUAAGAUUAUAAGGGGGUAUGUGGAAUGUCAUAAUUUAUUGAAAUGCCUUAUGGUAUAAGUUGAGAUUUAUCUAGUGAGCACUCGAACAUGAAAGUAUUAGAGUUUGUUUUUGGGAAGAUGGUUACUAAUGGUUACCGGAUUUGAAUCAUCCGUGAUGUUAAACAUAUAUGAAUAAAUAAAGAGUGUUUGAUCCUUAUGUAUUAUGAAAUGCUUGAAUGGAAUUUGUAUGGAGGUAUGUGAAACGGAAUAGAGGUUGGUUGACCAUUUAGACCCAUAGUCAAUGGUGGAAUAAAUGCUUGAAUGUUGGAAGGUUUGAUAAAAGAUCAAAGUAGAGGAAUUGUGGAUGGUUAAGUAAACAUGCAUGAUUGAUGAUUUAAGGAUGAUUUGAUUGAGGUGUGACCGAAAUUAAUAGCAUAUUUGAAUUCUAUUCAUAAGAUAAAGAAGGAUAUUGUUUUGAUCCAACAAGAGUAGUACACAUAAUUAUAUAUUAUGACAUCAUUGACUUUUCUAUAAAGAUUGGAAGUUGAUAUAAUGCAUAAACCAAGAUUCUAUGUUAAGAAUGCCCGACGAGAGUGAUGUGGCAGAACUUGAGAACUUUGAUUCUUCACCCUACGUAGAUUUGAAUUCGAUGAGGUAACAUGGGAGGCCGAGGAGGAGAUGCAGACAAAGUAUCCCCACCUAUUUCACGCUUAGAGGUAUGUUUCCUUAUAGUUAAAUUUAAAUUUGGGGACCGAAUUUUUAUUAGUGAGGGAGAAUGUGAGACCUCAGCCUCUAUAGGCUCAUAACGAGGCAUAGGCGUAAUAACCCGAGCUAGGGGUAGUUUCAUCAUUUCCUCUAAUAAGUUCCCAGAAAGAAGUUUUUUGAUAUUUAAGGUUAAAAUAAGCAUAAAGACCAAAUAAAUGAUGUAUAAUGAUGAAAACAUGAAGAAAACUAGAUGUGGCAAUAAUUUUUACAACAGGGGCAAAAUGGUCAUUUUGCACCCCGAGUCAAAAUUUUAAGUUUUCGUAAACACGAGUAUAUUUAGACCAUUGUGGACUUAGCCUCAGUGUCAAAAUAGUAAAAAGAUUUCACAGAGGAUUGGAGAAGAACAAGCUAACUUGCUAAGGGCAUUUUCAUAAUUUCAAGUGGAAUGGAUAAGCUUGAGUUGUAAAUAUAUUUUUCUUUUAGCAACUUUUUCAUUCUCCAGUAGCUUAUUCUCCUUCUUCUUCUUCCAUCUCACGUUGCUUCCAUCCUCCAUGGAAGCUUGAUAUGAAACUUUCACAACUUUCUCUCUCUAGCUCUAAUUUUCAUACCUUUGUGCCCUUUUAACUAGAACCCUUGUGCUCUUUCACUCUUUCACUUUAAAACCCUCAAAAAAGUCAUUGUUUAGCACUUUCUCUCACUAGUUGGAGGUUUUAAAGAGAGAAAAAGAGAGUUUGCACAUUUGUUUGGAAGCUAUUGAAAGGAAUUCAACUACAAAGAAACCCUAAGGUGAGUGAUGAACUAGGCUUGCUUGUAAGUUGUUAAUAAUGGCUAGUAAUUGGGAUUAUGAGCUGUUUUAUUGUUGAGUUGUUUACUCAUUUUUAGUGUGAUUAGAGUAGUGCAAGGAAUAGCCAUUUGAUAUAGUUGGAAGCCAAUUAGGAAUGGCAAGUAGAAUUUGAAUUAGAAACUAGCUUUUGGAGUGAUAUUAAUGUAAAUUGGAUUGGUUGUGAUGUUGUGUGUGUAUAGGUUCCAACAAGGCCUUACAUGUCCAUUUGGAGUAUUAGUUGAGGUUAGAGUCAAGCAAAAGAAACAACAAGACUGGUGAGUGAACUUGCAUUUCAAAGUAUUUUUGGGAAUGUGAAUGUGUUUGCACAAGACAUUAAAUGAUUUUAUCAAACUUUUCUUAAGAAUGGGUGCCUUGGGAGCAAGCCUUUGAUAAACUAUCUUUGUGUUGUGAUAUGUGGCUAUUAUGGAUUCAUAUACUACUACAUUAUGUUGAUAUAUAUAUAUAUAUAUACGUAUGAAUAUAUUGUUGUGUAAUGAUAUUGACUCGGCUAUGUGCCAGUAGAGAGUUCGCAUAAGCCAAUGAUGACCCGGUUAUGUGCGAGUAGGGAGUGUGCAUAAAUCGGUGAUGACCCAGCCAUGUGCGAGUAGGGAGUGCACAUGAGCUAAUGAUGAUGGGAUGGUGUGCAUGAUGAUGAUGAAAUGGCGUGCAUGAUGAUGAUGGGUAUAUAUAUAUACAUAUGUAAAUAUGUGUGUUAUAAGAAGUUUAUGAGUAAUGGUAUAAGGUUGUAAUCAUAUGAAAUUUGGCAUGAUGAAUCUUGAGAAAUUCCCAUUUUAUUACAAAUUGAUCUUUAUUGCAGCACCAAAUGGAUUUUUUGUGCAAAGGAAGCCCCUUUUUUCACUUAAGUGGCCUGCUUCUCGCUGCAGUGAGAAACAUUCUGUUUUGGCAGCAGAAAACUCACUACAGCGGAAAUAAAUCUCGUUGUAGCGAGAAACUCUCAGGUUCUGAUGUAGUACCUUCACUUUGAUGGAGAUUUAGACCACCUUCCCGUCCGAACUGGGAAAAGUGGUAAACAUAAAAGGUUGUAGCCCUUUAUCUUACCUUUCUAAUGGUCAAAAACUAGGGUCAAUUGGACUUCUGUAGCUUGAGAUAUGGUCGAAAAACUAAAAUAUAUGCAAAGUGACACUAUUUCUCGCUGUAGCGAGAAACUUUCUAUUUUGGCCCUUGAAUCUUGCUGCUACGAGAAUGAACUUUGCUACAGCAAGAAACUUGCUGCCAAGCUUGCUACCUUUCUUGAUUUUGACCUAUUUUUCACCCAUUUAACUUCAUGUAUUGAUCAUGGGUUUGUGAAACACUAUGAGGGUAUUAAUCAAGGUUUGAAAUGAGGGGUUUUUAGUAAGAAAUUAAAUCAAGUGCAUUGUUUUUGAAACAAGUGCAUCAUGAUUUCCAAAUUCUUCCUAUCGAUUGCUUGUUCCCUUCUUAUGUUCACUCAUUGAGUUUCAUACUCACGUUUUUAAAAUUCCUGUUUUCAGAUUUGGAGGCAGUUGGGACCUAGAUUGAGUCGCACACAUAUGCUCAUCUUCUUGGUAAGUACUAUGGCAUCUCAGUAGCUGUAUCUUCACCCAGAGUCACUCCGCUGAUGAUCUCGAGUCUAUUACUUGUGAACAUGUAUAUGUAAUGUAAACUACUAAGAGUCAUGUUCUAAAUGAAGUAUGUAUAUGUUGGAUUGAUGAUGACAGUACUUUGAUAUAAUAUAAAGAUGAAUAUUCAGUUGUUAUAAAAUAUUAUUGGAACAUUUACUUUUGAGAAUUACAGCACUUCAUUUUAAAGAUGAUGGAUGGGAAUGAUAAUCGGAAUUGCAUAAAGAGGCUUGCUUGGGCUUAGUGGGCUAUGCCCAUUGGGCCCAUGCACCGAUCAUGGCCCGAGAAUUUGGGCUGUGACAAUAACUCUUGAUGAAAAUACAGCUUUUAAAUGUUUGAAAAAUGAAUCUUCAAAAAGAGAUGUAUACCACAAUAAAAAUUCAGCUAAAGCAUUACCUAGAUGUUACAAUUGUGGUAAACAUGGUCAUUUAUCACAUGAGUGUUUUAAGAAAAGGACAGUGCAGAAAGUUAAGAAAAUCUAGGUUUCUAAGGGAUCUUUUGUUGCAACUAACAUUCAAGGACCCAUCAAAGUAUGGGUACCUAUAAAGAAAAACUGAAAUUAUGUUUUGUUGGUUGAGCUGGACCUAAAGGAGACAUGUUCAAAAGCUAAACUCAAGAAGAAAUAGCCUUGGUACUUGGACAGUGGCUGUUCAUGGCACAUGACAGGACAUGAAAUGCUGUUUGCUCAGUUGGAUAAGAGAAAAGGAGGAACCAUAUCCUUUGGAGAUGAUUCAAAAGGAAGAAUACAUGGUAUAGGUACGGUUGGUAAGAAUUACCAAACUCAAAUUAGUCAUGUGUUGUUGGUUAAAGGCUUAAAGCAUAAUUUACUAAAUAUUAGUCAAUUAUGUGAUAAAGGAUUUAGAGUGUGCUUUGAUUCAACUAAGUGUGAAGUGAUAGAUAUGAGCACAAAUAAAAUCUCAUUUAUAGGAAAUAGAUUGAAGAAUAUGUAUGUAAUUUUUCUUGAAGAUCUUGAAGUAAAUAGUGAAGUAUGUCUUGUUGCAAAUGCUGAAAAUGAUAGUUGGCUGUGGCAUAGGAGAUUAGGACAUGUGAGCAUGCAUACUAUGUCAGAAUUAAUUAAGAAAAAUCUUGUCGCUAGACUGCCUGAGUUAAAAUUUGAAAAUGAUAGGAUAUGUGAUGCUUGCUAACUAGGAAAACAAGUUAGGACAUUCGUUGAAGUCUAAGAAAAUUGUGUCAACAUCUAGACCUCUUGAAUUGCUUCAUAUUGAUCUAUUUGGUCCAAUAAGCACAACUAGCUUAGGAGAAAAAUCUUAUGGCUUUGUAAUAGUUGAUGACUAUUCUAGAUAUACUUGGGUGUAUUUUCUUGCUCAUAAGAAUGAUGCUCUACAAGCAUUUUUAAGUCAUUGUACGAAAGUUGAAAAUGAAAAAGGACUAGCCAUAGUUAGCAUAAGGAGUGAUCAUGGAGGAGAAUUUGAAAAUGAUGAGUUUGAAAAGUUUUGCAACAAAAAGGGGUUGGAUCACAAUUUUUCUGCACCUAGAACACCCCAGUAAAAUGGAGUUGUAGAGAGGAAGAACCGAAGCUUAAAAGAAAUGGCUAGGACCAUGCUAUGUGAGAAUAACCUACCUAAAUAUCUUUGGGCUGAGGCAGUAAAUACAACAGCUUAUAUCCUUAAUAGAGUCUCAAUAAGACCCUUAUUUUCAAAGACUCUAUAUGAACUUUAUAAAGGUAGGAAACUAAAUAUUUCUCAUCUUAGGAGUUUUGGCUGUAAAUGCUUUGUAUUGAACAAUGGAAAACAGCCCCUAGGGAAGUUUGAUCCAAAGAGUGAUAAAGCAAUAUUUUUAGGAUAUGCUUUAAACUCAAAAGACUAUAAAGUUUUUAACAAAAGGACCUUGACCAUUGAAGAAUCAAUUCAUGUAGUUUUUGAUGAGUCAAAUACAUUGCAAAAAGAAGUUCAUGAUGAUGAAGACGACUUAAAAGUACUAGAAAAACAAAUGGAGGAAAUGUGCUUAGAAAACAACAAGCAUAAUGAAGAAAGCUCACCUAGAGGAGAAAAUGAAACUCCACCUCUAAAAAAUCUGCAAAGAGUAGAAAAUCAGCAUGAUGAUCUACCAAUGAGUUGGAGAUUUGUGAGAGAUCACUCGCAAGACCAAAUAAUUGGUGAGAUUUCACAAGGAGUUAAAACUAGGAAAGCAACUAGAGAAACAUGUGAGUUUUCAGCUUUUAUAUCUCAAAUUGAACCUAAAAACUUUGAAGAAGCUGAAAAAGAGGAGAGUUGGAUAAUGGCCAUGCGAGAAGAACUUGACCAAUUCACUAGUAAUCAUGUAUGGUCAUUGGUACCUAGACCUUCAAAUCACCCUAUUGUUGGUACAAAAUGGGUAUUUAGAAAUAAGGUAGAUGAGCAAGGAAAUGUAGUUAGAAAUAAAGCUAGGUUGCUAGCAAAAGGAUACAACCAAGAAGAAGGAAUAGAUUAUGAUGAAACUUUUGCUCCGGUUGCUAGGAUUGAAGCUCUAAGGUUGUUGCUAGCUUUUGCAUGUUUCAUGGAUUUUAAAUUGUUCCAAAUGGAUGUUAAAAGUGCAUUCUUAAAUGGAUUAAUUCAAGAGGAAGUAUAUGUAGAACAACCACCUGGUUUUGAAGACUUUGAAAAAUCUGAUCAUGUUUUCAAACUUCAUAAAGCCUUGUAUGGAUUGAAACAAGCUCCUAGAGCUUGGCGUGAAAGGCUUUCAAAAUUUCUAGUUGAGAAAGGGUAUGAUAGAGGCAGCAUCAAUACUACAUUGUUCAUUAAGAGAUAUCUAAAUGAUUUAAUUAUUGUGCAACUAUAUGUGGAUGAUAUUGUAUUUGGUGCAAUUAAUGAAGCUUUAUGUGAGAACUUUGCAAAGGAAAUGCAAGGUGAAUUUGAGAUGAGCAUGAUUGGAGAGUUGAAGUACUUCCUUGGUCUUCAAAUCAAACAAAGUGUGGAAGGAAUCUUCAUCAACCAAGAAAGAUAUACUAAUGAUAUGCUUAAGAAAUUUGAUAUGCUAAAGUUGAAAUCAAUUUCCACACCAAUGAGUCCAUCCACCAAACUCAACUUAGAUGAAAAAGGUAAGGAUGUAGAUCAAAAGCUCUAUAGAGAUAUGAUCGGCUCUCUUCUCUACUUAACAGCAAGCAGACCAGAUAUUCAGUUUAGUGUGUGGCUGUGUGCUAGAUUUCAGUCACAACCUAAAGAAUCACACCUAACAGUUGUUAAGAGAAUUUUUAGAUACUUCAUAGACACUUAAGAACUAGGAAUAUGGUACUUUAGAAACUCAACUCUUAACUUAGUUGGAUACUCUGAUGCUGACCUUGCUAGUAGCUGAAUUGAUAGAAAAAGCACUAGUGAAACAUGCCAAUUUUUAGGAAGGAUGCUUGUGUCUUGGUCUAGCAAAAAGCAGAAUUCAGUGGCACUAUCUACAGUAGAGGCUGAAUAUGUAUCAUGAGGUAGCUGCUGUGCAUAAAUCCUUUGGAUCAAGCAACAAUUGAAAGACUAUGGAAUAACUAUGCAUAAUGUACCAAUAUAUUGUGAUAACACAAGUGUAAUCAAUAUAUCAAAAAGUCCUGUGUAGCACUCUAGGACAAAGCAUAUUGAAAUUAGACAUCAUUUUAUUAGAGACCAUGUGUUGAAAAAUGAUAUUAAGAUAGAAUUUAUGAAUACCUUACAUCAAUUAACAGACAUUUUUACCAAAGCUCUGAGUGAAGAUAAAUUCUGUGAGAUUAGAAGAAAUUUAGGGAUAAUUAGUGUGAAGGAAUUAUAAGAAAACCUUUGGCUUUCUCAUAAGAAACAAAAUGCUUUCAGUUGACUAAGGAUUUCUCAAUCAACUAAGAGUGGUCUGACAGCCUUAAAUAACAAGACUCAGUGAGUAUUGAGAAAGAAGAGUGAAAUGUGGUAAAAAUAUGUGUUUACUAGGUGCAAAAAAAAUGAAGAAAACUUGUCAAGGGUAAUUAACCAAAUUUUAGAGGGAAGUUUGAAAUUAUGAAGAAAUAAAAUAAGGCAGUACUUAAUGGAAGGUGAGUAGUUUUCUUUCUUUGCAAUAACUGUAGACUACCUCUCCUCCUCUCUCCCCUAAAACUCGCUACUCUAGAGACAAAAACCUAAAUCUCCAUGUUUACCUCUAAAACCGACUCAAACCCUCAGAAAUUUUUGCAACCAACAUGGCUAGAACAUCUCGAAGCAAAGAGAUAUCAAAAAAGAAGAAAGGGAAAAGGCCAAUGGAGGAAGAAAUAGGAACUGAAAGUGUGAAGAAGAAAUUGAAAAUCAUGCCUGGUUCAGUGAAAGAUAUCUCCGAGAAACUUAGAAAAAAGAAGUUAAAAACUUGCAAAAAAAGAGAAACAGAGCCCUCAUUCCACAAAGGUACCAGUUUUUCUUCUUUGAAAUUUAGGAAUAAGCUGCAUGAGUAUAGAUUCAAAAAUAUCAAGAAUGCACCAAUCUCUUGUGGAAAAUUCAUUGACUAGAAGAGUUUUAAGGAAAAUGUAGAAAUCCAGACCAGUCUAUCUGAAUACUUUGAUGAACUAAAACUAAAAGGUUACAUCACCUUUAAGAAUAGGUCUUAUAGUCCAAGUCUGGUCAAAGAGUUUUAUUCUGGAAUUUCUUUGAAAGGAAAGGAAUUAAUAGAUUAUGAUGAUUAUGUAGAUGAUAUGUCACGACCUAAAUUCCAGGCCAUGACCGGCGUAAGUCACAUUUUAUAACUUUAAAUCAAAAUAGUGAUAGACAUUGCCAACUCGUACUGGCAUUACUCAUUUAAAAUAUACAUACAUUGUCUACAACAUGUAUUCUAAUAAUUUACAUUAGGUUCAUCUAUACACAACAAAAGAAUACUCGACUUCUAGCGGAGGGACUCAGAUGAAUGUAUAGCUACUGAAUGCCGAGAUACCUACCAAAAGAUGGAUACAUGUCUACAAGAACACCUCGUUCUAGUUACCGACUGCCUCGUGAUAUGAAAAUAUGAAGUUGAAAACGAUGAGUAUAAACCCAAUGAGUGAACAAGGAAGGGAGCAAGCAACAACAAGGGAGAAUUUAAAAUCAUGAUGCACUUGUUUCAAAAUAAUGCAAUUUAGUUCCAUUCAUAUUAAAAACCCCUCAUCAAGCCCUUAAAUGAUUAAUCAUUUGAAAAUCAUGAACCCAUACAUAUCGAACCAUUUGAAGAAUGAAAGCUUUAAUGAUACGCAAGCAAGUCAAAUACGACAAUGAAUCUUCGCUGCAGCGACGUUGGGAUUAAGUUAUUAGCCGAACGAGGGUUUCUCAACUAGCUGAGGGUUUCUCACUAAACCUCCUCAUUUUAAACUUAACUCAUUUAGUCCUUAAUGUUGGAGGUCCAUGCUCAGGUAUGGUAGCAAAAAAGUGAAAAAUUGGGCAGUAAUUGGACAAGAUAGAAGACAAAACAUAAAGUUUUUCGUUGCAGCGAGAAUGAAUUUCGCUGCAGCGAAAUUGUGACCCAGAAACAGAAAGUUUCUAGCUGCAGCGAAAAUGAAUUUUGCUAUAGCAAGAAGCUACAGUGUCAUUCUCGCUACAGCGAAAAUGCAUUCUCACUGCAGUGAGUUUUCGGCCAGUCUACCCCUCCAAACCCCGAGAGUUUCUUGCUGCAGUGAAAAUGAUUCUCAUUGCAGCGAGAAACAAGGCACCAAUGAAAAAUUUGCCCUUCUUCCCAAAGAAAAACCACUCUGCUGAAAUGUCCAAACCAACAUGAAACGCAUGACAAUUUUCCAAAGUUUAACAUGUCAAGUUUCACAUGCAUUACAACCAUCUACCAUUGCUCAUUAAUUUCCUACAACACACAUAUUUACAUAUGUAUAUAUGCAUAUGUAUACCCAUCAUCAUCAAACACACCAUCACAUCGUCAUCAUCACCAGCUCAUGCGUACUCCCUACUCGCACGUGGCUGGGUCAUCACCGGGUUAUGCGCACUCCCUACUCGCACAUAACCGGGUCAUCCUCAGCUUAUGCGUACUCCCUACUCUCACAUAGCCGAGUCAAUAUAAUUACACAACACUAUAUUCAAACAUAUAUGUACAUCAACAUAAUGCUGCAGCAUAGAGAUUCAUGAUAACCACAUGUCAUAACAUAAAAUUGAUUUAUCAAAGGGUUGUUCCCAAGGCACUUGUUUUAACAAAAGUUGUAUAGAAUCAUUCAAAUACUUUGUACAAAACGAUUAUAUUCCCAAAAUAAUUUUGAUAGGUAGUCUACUCACCGGUAUAUUGUUGAGCCUUUAAAUGACUUCAAUUCCCCUAAUUGUCUAAAUGGGAUGAUGGGGCUUCCUUGAAACCUACCAUCACAUUAACAUCACCAUUAUGUUAAUUCACAUACUAUAAACCCUAAAAGCUAUCUCUCAACUAGCUUUCAAUUGUCACUUUAAAUGGCUAUCUAUGUUCACUAUCUUAAUCACUAUAAAAGGAAUGAACAUACUCAACAAUAAAACAGCUCAUAAUCCCAAUUACUAGCCAUUAUUCGCAGCUAAAAAUCAAGCUUAGUUCAUCACUCACCCUAGGGUUUCUUUGUAGUUGAAUUCUCUUCCAAUAGCUUUCAAACAAAUAGUGUAAUUCUCUCUUUCUCCUUCUAGAAUGCCUAACUAGUGAGAGAAAGUACGGAAAUAAGAUUUAUCAAGGGUUUUGAAGUGAGAGAGUGAAAGAAUACAAGGGUUGUAGUCAAAAGGGCUCAAAGGUAUGAAAACUAGAGCUAGAGAGAGAAAAUUAUGCAAACUCUAUAUCAAGCUUCCACGGAGGUUGGAAGCAACAUGAGAUGGAAGAAGAAGAAGAAGAAGACAAGCUACUGGAAAAUGGGAGAAGAAGCUGCUAGAAACAAGAUAUUUAUAGCUCAAAUUUAUCCAUUCCCUUGAAAUUACCAAAUCGCUCCUCCAUAAAUUAGCUUAUUCUCCUCCAAUCAUUUAUGCACUCUUUUUAUUCUUUUGACACUGGGACAAGGUCCAUAAUGGUCUAAACAUGCUCGGGUUCAUGAAAACUUAAAAUUCUAACUCGAGGUGAAAAGUGACCAUUUUGCCCCUAUUAUGAAAAUCAUCAAAAUUUUUGUUUCCUUGUCAUUUUACCCAUAUUUUCAGCAUUCAUUUAUGCCUUAGGCCUACUUAGGCCUUAAUAUUGUUUAAAACUUACUUUUAUGGGUUUGGUAAAGAAAUGACAAAAUUACCCCUGAUUAGGGAUAUCGCGUAUACUUCCCUUUACAAGUCUAUAAAGGUCAAGGUCUCACAAGAUAGUUUGACUGUUUAUUUGAAUGGGAAAGAGUUUGUUAUGACUACUGAAGAUUUAGAGAAUCUGCUAAAAAUAGAGUGAGAAGAAGGUGAAUUUGAACUGCCUGAAAAAUAUGAUCCGUCCUCAUUGUAGGAGAUCAUCAUUGGAAAAAAAGAAAAAUAUUCUUCAAAAAGUAAUUCUGGUUUGAUAAUAAGCCUUCAUAUCAGAAUUCUACACUACUUCAUAGCAGCAAAUAUACAAGGCAGAAGUGGAAGCCUUAGCUACAUCAGCCUCCAUGACCUUUGGCUGACGGAGCAUGCUUUCAAUGGGGUGUCUUUGAAUUUGGGAAAAUUUAUGAUUGACAAAAUGAGAACUGCCUGCAGACUUGAUAAGGUAAAUCUGCCGUAUGUGAAUGUGAUUACAUCCCUUGUGCAAAAGAAGGGAAUAUGGGCAAAGAGGUAUGAUAUGGACCUAGUAAAAACCAGAGAUCAAGUUACUUAGUAUGGCAGCUUGGUUAAAAUGGGGUAUGUGCUCGAUGGAGAAAAGUUCAUUAAGACCUCUAAAAUUGGCCCAAGAAAAGAUCACAGCCUGCUUGUUCAACCUGAAGAAGCUCCUUCCAGAUUUUUGAAUGAAGUGAUUUUUAAUUUACUUAUGAGGAUUAAUGGUAAGCUGACUGACCAAGGAAUGAAGCUACAGAAAAUGGAAGAUAAAAUCAUUGAGUUGGAAAACAAACUGAAGGAAAAGGAAAACAUGCCAUCUGAACCUGUGGCUGUGGACAGUUUUACCCCAUCCAGCACUACACCUGUUCAACAAGGUGCUGAAAGUUUAGCUAAGUUAGUAGAAAAAUUAGCGCCUUAUGUUGGAAGUUCUAGCAUUCGGGCUGAAGGUUCCACUUACAAAUCUGCCAAUCCUGCUCUACAGACUAAAGACUCACCCCGAGGGGUUGAUCAACCAACCAAGACAACCUCCCCUGAACCUCAAAGUAAAAAAUCAUUCAAAGAUAGAGAAACAUCAGGCCUCUCCCCCAAACUCAGAGGAAGUCUCCAUCAUGGAUUUCUUCCACUAAAUGGUUAAGGAGAGAGAAACUGAAAAAGACACUGCCAGGACAGAUCUUGAAAAGCUGGUGAAGGUGUCGGAAAAAGAAAGAAAUCUGCAUCAACUGCUAGAGUAAAGACAAAAGCAGGGAAAGCCAAAGCCACUGCAGCACCACCAAUUGAGGCAAAACUACCAACCAAAGGCGGGAAGACAAUGGCAACCAAGACAACUUUUCUUAAAAGAAGAAAGUCUUCUAGGUUGGCAAAAAAAUCCAAACUAGUUUUAGCCUCCUCUCCAAUCCCUGUCUCAGACAAGUCCUCCCUAGAACCUUCCCCAAAACAGUCAUCACCUCUCUGAGAGCGCUCUCUGUUUCCUCUCAACCCUUUCUACAACACUGAAUCCUCACCCUCUGACACAUCAGAUGAAUAGAAGCCCCUCCCUUUGAUGCUGACAAAAAGGGGGAGUAGAAUAUAAUGGGUGUAAGAACCAGAAACCAGAAGAAUUAAAAAAAAAUGUUAGGGUAGAGGAACUAGGAAGGAACCUAGGAAAGGAAAGAAGACAGAAUCAAAGAUGAAUGAACUUAGAAAAAUAGGAAAUAGGAAGCAAAAAUAGUCUAGGGCAAUUUUAGAAUACUUGUUGGUUAACUAUUAUUUGUGCCAUGGUGGCACUUGAACACUUGGUUUUAAUCUUGUUAUCUAUAUGGUUGUUUAACAAAUGGAUGCUGAUAUGAUUAUAAUGUUUGAUUGCUGGAAAUUGAAAUCUGCUAAUAUUUUGCUAUCUUUGGUAUUUUUACUGCUAUUGACAAAAUCUGCUACUGCAUUGAUAUUGAAUUAUAUGCUGAUAAUUGAUUUUUGUUGUGGCAUUGUGAAUAAUUUUUGUUUGAAAGUAGAUAUAGAUGGUGUAGAUAACAUAUCAAUUGAAACAUGGAUAAUGUAUACAAAAUCUGAAAUCAAUAAGUUGAUUGACAGCUACUAGAAUAGUGAUUAAAAUCUGUCAACACUUAAAGCUAAAAGUUUAAUGAUGAUCUGCUAAUACUUAGAUGCUGCAAAUCAGUCCAUGUUGUUGAACAUAUGUAUACUCUAAAUAUACAAUAUCAUUUUCUAUAUGACGAGAAUAAAAUUGGUUGAAGUAAAAAAAAUAAAAAGCAAAAGCAAAAUAUGCACACACUAAGGGGGAGCUUAUACUUAGGGGGAGCAAUCUUCAAUUCUUGCAGAAAAUUAUAAAAAAUUUAAAAUGACAAUAUGCUGUUAACCAAGGAGUGUUUUGUCAUCAACAAAAAGGGGGAGAUUGUUGGCUCCAUUAGUUUUUGAUGAUAAUAAAACAUUCCCAUUUAUUUGUGUCUAAUACCUUUACUUGAGUGUGUAGGAAAUUAAUAUAUGAAAUUAAUUUAUUAACUCUUCAAAGAGUAUUUUUGAAGGAAAAAGAGGGAUAAAAUCAACAAAGAUGUAACUAAAUAACAAGUAGGAAGCUUAUUGGUGAAACAAGGAAGAACAUUGGUGGACCAAAUUUCAAAUUAGAGAAAUAGCGGGCUGAAGAGUUUGAGAAACAGAACCAUCUUAGUUAACCAAGUCAGUCGACUAAGUGCCCUCUGCCAGAAUCUGCAAACUAGAAACAGAAUCAACUUAGUCAACCAAGUUAGUAGACUAAAAGGGUUUUCCAACAAUAAGAAACAAGUUUUUGAGAAGCCUUGAAUGAGAUUUGAGCUAUAAAAAGUAGAAAUACUAGAAAAGCUUCACUGCACUUGUCUGCACUUAAAUUCUUACUCUUUGCAUUUGUAUUCAGCACUCAAUCUUAUACCAAUCAGAUCAUUCAGUGAUCAUAGGUACUUUCUUUUACUACUUCUCUUGUAUUCUUAGAGUGAGGGAGUCACUCUAAGGGGUUGUUCAAGCUCGGGAUAGUUUGAUUGUUAAAGGUUGUGGUUGAGCCUUGGAAAACCACUUUGGAUUUUAGUUGUGCUCGUGAAAAACUAGUGUAAAAGGUUAUGACUGAGCUUGGUAAAAGCCAUUGUAAAAGCUUGGUGGAAGCUUGUGAAUUUCACCGGAUGUUAGUGAGUUUGUGAGAAAAUCCUUGGUUGGAUAAUCAAGGUGGUGAAUGUAGGUCUUGGACCGAACCACUAUAAAUUGCUAUGCAUUUUAUACUCUAUUUUUUGUUUUCUUAAGUUCUGCAAAUUAGUUUCCAAUCUUGUCAAGAGCCAAAUUGUGCUAUUCACCCCCCCUUAGCACAUAUUAUAGGGACCAACAUGGCAUGGUCAAAAUAUGCAGCGGAAAGAAAAUUAAAAACUUUAUAACUAAACAACAAAACAUGCCUCCAUCCAUGGAUCACCUUGGUGAUAUUUAACACAUAAAAGCACAAAAUAAAUUAUUGUUUAGAAAGUUACCUUGCCAUGUCAUUUCGUAAUCACGAUGGCACUUUUCGAAGUAAUCCCGCGAGCACCACAAGGAGCAAAAACCCUAGCCAAUCAAGUGCUUGGCCUCCAAUGGUAGUACACACGAUUGCACUUGAACCUUCAACAAGGAAGGAGUUUUUAACUAUACUUUGUGCUAGCAAAGACGACAACAAUUGCCCUUUUCUUCUUUUUCACAAUCUUAGCUAAUCCUCUCUUGAAAAUUGCUUCAUAAGCAAUUUUCUCUUUCACAUAAAGGGACUGGUGGCAAAGAAAGAAAACGUUUUUCUUUUUCUGACAAAAACUACGUUUUCUUCAAUUGUGAAAAACUCUCAUAAGGAAAAAUAGUUAAAAUGUAACUUAUAUAGUUAGGUUAAAAUAACUUCAAUUUUGCAAUUAAGCCCUCAAUAUUAUAACACAUUAUAAUAUUGGGCCUAUUACUUAAUUAAACUCUUUUAAUUAAGUCCUUGGAAAUUAAAAUCAAAAUUAAUUUCCUUUAUAUUUUGCAAUCAAGGCCUUAUAGUUAUAACUAUUUAUAAUUAUGCCAAAAACUUAAUUAAACUUUUUUAAUUAAGUUUAUAGAAGUUAAUUACCUAGCAUGUGAUUUAAGUCUAANNNNNNNNNNNNNNNNNNNNNNNNNNNNNNNNNNNNNNNNNNNNNNNNNNNNNNNNNNNNNNNNNNNNNNNNNNNNNNNNNNNNNNNNNNNNNNNNNNNNNNNNNNNNNNNNNNNNNNNNNNNNNNNNNNNNNNNNNNNNNNNNNNNNNNNNNNNNNNNNNNNNNNNNNNNNNNNNNNNNNNNNNNNNNNNNNNNNNNNNNNNNNNNNNNNNNNNNNNNNNNNNNNNNNNNNNNNNNNNCUAUUAGUGUAAUUCAUUCCCUCAUCAUAUAUCCCAGAGAUGAUAAGAGCUUGGCACAGUGUCUACUCUUAUUGACGUCCAUAUUUGUUCCUGCAAUUAUAGCAUUAGCUUUAUAUAGAGUUACGAAACAUUUUUCAUAAUCUCCAUGUUGCAUUGGCCAAGGACUUCAAUAAGCUAAUGUUAACCAAGAAUUGAUAGGAUAUGUCCUCUAAAACACUUAAGGUAAUGAUUCCUAUCUUGACCACUCAUUUGCCUUCACAUGCUUCAUACUAUACUCAAAAGCAUCCUGUUUUGGCAUCUUUGGUUAGGCACCCAUAGGGAUGAAAUCAAAGCAUAGCACUCCACACAUAAGACAACCUGGUGUCUCAAGUUUAGGGAGUAUUUACACAACUAACACAUGAGAAGUGUUGCAUAGACACUAGAGUGUAUUACCAAAUGCACUUCUCAUGGCGAGUCAUAUUCAGUGAACUUGCUCUCCUAGGAAAGCACCUAUGUUAUAGUUCCAAGUAUCGUUAUACUUCAAUCUAUGAGAUCGAUUGCUUACUUCCAAAGUAAGAAACAUAGAAUAUACCAGUCUCUAAGCAUCAUUGAUGCCCAGUCUCAAUGAUACAUUAACCAGGAACAUUUUGAGAUUAUGCUUUGAUGCAUAGGAAUCUCAUAACUGCAACCCAUUAUAGUUUCCUUGCAAGGCAUAUUAAUCUCAUGGACUUCAUCCAAUUAGACUUAUAACUCAUUAUAAUUAAUGUCUUAUUGAUGAUAGAAACCCCCUAAUCAUUCAACAUGAACUACUGCAUGAUCAAAAUCAAGCCUUAACCAAUCCCAAUUGGCUGCAGGGCUCAUCCCAACAGGGUCAUGUUCAGUGAACUCGCUCUCCAAUGGCAAGCACCCACAUGCUAGUUCCAAGAAUCUUCAUACUUCAACCUAUGAAAGUGGUUGCUUACUUCACAUGAAAUGAACAUAGCAUGUGUCGAUCUUUGAGCAUUAUUAAUGCUCCAUCUCAAUAAUAUAGUUAUCAGGAACUUUUAUGAACAAUGCUUUGAUGCAUCAGGAUUUCAUAAUUGUUUCCUAGUACAAUUUCUUUGCAAGGCAUAUAUAGUUCCAUGGGCUCUAUCUACAUAAGUACAAAAAGUAAUUAAAUCACAAACUUAUGGAUAAAAAACUACCUAAUAAUUAUUAUAAAUUAAUAAAAUGUCAUGCAUGUAUAACUCAAAAUGUAAUUCCCAUACGACAAAAGAUUGGCUUGUAGGGCUCUUACUAACAAUAUUUACAUGCAAUGCAAAAAAACAAGUUAUGGUAGCAUAGUUUUUAGUUGAAAUAAAAUAUGUUGCUUGUGCUGCUAUUGCAAAUCAUGCCUUGUGGUUGAGAAAGAUACUACUGAAGUUGGGGUUCAAACAAGAGAAAGGUACUCUAAUUUAUGUUGACAAUUUAUAUACAAUUGCUAUAGCUAGAAACACUGUUCAACAUGGUAAAACAAAACAUAUUAGGGUUAAAUACCACGCAUUGAAAGAGGUUGUGAUGGAGAAUGGUAUUGACUUCUAGGAUUGUCAUACUGAUGAAUAACUAGCUGAUAUUUUCACUAAUGGCUUUGGAAGAAAGAGGUUUGAGUAUUUGAGAACAUGUUUGGGAGUUCACCUGAUCAAAGAUCAUGGGGCUGUAUUGAAUAAAUGACCUUUUUUUGGAAUUUAGUAGCAGAUAAAUAUGGUGAGAAUUAAAUGAUGACUGAAGAUUGAAGAAGGCUUUCUUGCAAACGGUGUCAUUUAUUUCCUUGUCAAGUUUAAAGUGUCUAAACGUUGGUUGUAAUGUCGUUUUCUUUCUUUUAAUUAGUUGUGGUAAAAUGAUAGACAAUUGAGCCAUUAUGGUUGUCUUGUUUAGUUAUGCAACACUUUUUUGUGUCAUUUAAGUCAUGUUCUUUUAUUUUCCCUAUACGCACAUUAAUCCUGUAGUUUUGUUGCUUCUGUUAAAGGCUUAAUAGUAAUAUUUGCUAUUCUAAGUUUGUUACCGUUGCUAUUGCAUAGAAAACAAUACAUUGUUUUCUAUGCUUAACUGACUUACCUCGAUUUAGUCUCCCAAGGUUGAAUUUAAGGGCUUUGCAAAUAUUUUGGAGAGUAUAUAAAUGAAAAUGCAACUAUUAUGGUAUAGUUGCCAUUGAUUCUCUAGUUCAUAGCUUCUUCUUUAUUUUUCUCGACUCUUUUAGCUUUUUCAAUUUUUCUUUGCAAAAUUUCUCUUCAAAAAAGUCAAUAAUCUGAAUUGGAACUCGAAUCUAAAAUGACUUAAACUUGAAUUGACUUAAAUUCAAACAACUUGAAUAAUUAACUUGAAAUGACUUAAUUCUAAAUAACUUGUCCUAAUCUAAUUCCAUUUAACUUUAAAAAAGUCAACAACUUGAACUUGAGAUAACUUGAACGUAAAAUUGACUCAAAUAGAAAACAUGACCUAAAUUUAGGGUCAUUCCAUCACCAAACUCUAUUACAAAACAACAAAAGUUAAGUUUGAAUUGUUUCGUCACUAAAUUCAAUCACAAUAACUAAACUAUCACAAUUCAUGUCACAACUUUGAUUGCAAUUUGAAAAAGAAUUGUAAGAAUGUUGUCACUAAUUUUGGUCUAAAAAUUGAAUAAAUAUAUGAAGUCCCAUCAUAAUUGUUAGUCACAAACAUCCACUUGAAAAAAUCCAAACUUGAACUCCAUCAAACUCGAAUGGAUCAAAAAUUCAAAGACCAUAUUCUAAAGAAAUCCAAAUUCAAGAAAACUUGAAGUUGAAAGAAUUUGAACUUUAAAUGAUUUGAACCCAAAACUGAUUUUAUCUAAAGUCAUAAUAAUCUAAACACAACACUAAAAAUGCAAAAUUUAAUUAUUAAUUUUGUUUUAACUUGUACUUGAACUUAAAAUUAUUUGAAUUUGAAAUGAAAUAAACCUUGAAUGACUCGAUUUCAUUAUUUAACAUAAUUUGAAUGGAACUAACAUAUUUAUAUAUGGCCAAAGUAUUUAAAUAGUCCUUAUUCACAUGGAUUUUUGUCAAUUUAGUUCUUGUACUUAAAAUCUGAUCAAAUUAAUCCCUCAAAUUUGGGAAUUGGAACAAUUUAGUUCUUGGCUUAACUCCAUCCCAAUUUGCCAUUAGAGGUGAUGGUGUCAAUGCUGAUGUUUUGCUAAUAUGGUAGAUUUGCUAAUAUGGUUGUGCCAUGUGACACCAACAUGAUGACAUGGUAGUGCCACAUGGCAUUGACAUGAUGACAUUGUGGUGCCACGUGGCAACAUUGACGUGGUAGAAUGAGAAAAAAAAUUUUAAGAAAAAAUAUGUGUCAUAUCAUAAAGACUAAAUUGAACAAAAAUAUACAGUAUAGGGACUAAAUUGAACGAAAUUGAGAUAUUAAAGGACUAAAUUGAAAAAAAUAUAUUUGAAAAAUAUAAAGCUUGGAGUAUAUCAUACAUAAGCUUAUUAAUAAGCCAAAUAUUUAAGUUUAAAAGAUUUAUGGUGUUAAGAAAUAUAUAUAAAUAUUUCUUACUUGAUUACUUGAUUCCAUAAUAGGUACAUUAAUGUAACACCCCUCAAUUUUUGAUGUAAACUAAGAAUGAUUUAUGAAAUAUGUGAAGUUUUGAGAACUUUGAUGAUAGGAUAUGUAUGUCUAGUGUUUAAGAGUGUACAUAUUGACACUUAGGCAAAUUUGAGGGAAUAUGUGAUGAAUCCCAUAAUUUAAGGUUUUGAUCCAAGUUUGAUGUUGUGUUUGUGGAUUUAUAUGUGUAAGAGAUUAAGUUAAAUGAACAAUUUGAGGUGUGAUAUUAACAAGGAAUGAUUUUGGGGUGUUAAACAUGAAUUUUUGGAAGUUUUAGGAGCUUGGAACAGCCUACAGGGGUGAAAGUAUCGAUACAUUCUUGGCAAGAUGAACAACAAAGGCUUGGGGGAAAACAUUCUAUCAAUACAUUCUCAUAUGUAUCGAUAGAUUUGGCCAAAGAUGAACAUGCAUCGAUACAUAUGAAGCAGAAAGCACCCAAGGCCAUUAUACUCGAAAUGUAUCGAUACAUUGCCCUAAUGUAUUGAUACAUUCAUUCAAAAUUAGGGCAAAUUUGGCAAUUUAUCAAUACAUUAGAGAGAAAAGGCAAAAAAAAAAAAAGGGAUUUCGGGCCAUUUCACCAAAAUUUUUCUCUUAACUCUUUCUCUCCCUCUUUCUCUCUAAAAAGUCUAAAACCCUAGCCUUGCAAGAUGAAUUUUUGAGCCGUUUGAAGCUAUUUGGAGCUUGGAAAACCAUUUUAGGGGAUAAGGUUUAACGUUUUUAUCAAUUAUUUUCUAAUUUAAUUGAUUAAUAAUUUCGAAUCUGACUUUUUUUUCAGAUUUUGUAUUUUUCCCUCUUUAGCUUGGAUUGAGGAAUUUGGGAGCUAAGACUCAUGCGAUCGAACUUCCAAAGUAUGGGUUUAGCUCAUUAAUGAAGAAUUUGAGCUUGAAUAGUUGGAUUGCUAAGAUUUAGUUCAUUGUGUGAAAAGUUGGCAUUUUUCAAAAGCGAGGAAUAAUUAAUCUUUUGACAUUCUGAUGUGUUUGAAAGGGGAAAACGGAGUUAAAUCGACUCAUUGGCAAGCUAGAUGAUGAUCAAAGGCUAAGGAUCAGAGCUUGGUUGAAAGUGCCUCUUACUAUCAUUGUGAGUGGGAUUUGAGCUAAAUGCACGUGAUGCAUAACUCAUUAUAAGUGCGUUGCACUAGUACUAGAUUUUUUACAUCGACCUAGAUGAAUGAACCUAGGCUAGAGAACAAUAUAUGUGUAUAUGUAUAUAUGUGAAGUGCGUGCAAUUGCGUUGUGAUGUGAACCACAUGGGUGGCCUAUGUUGUGUAUGUCACGGCCCAAAUCCCGGGCCAUGAUCGACUUAUGGGCCUAAUGGGCAUAGCCCACUAAGCCAAAGCAAGCUUAUUUAUGUGACUACAUUCAUCGAUUUGAUCACUCGCUUUCACAACUGUAUUUCAUAAUUCUUAUCAACAAGUAUUCCAAUACUUUUCCAUCGAAACCAUAAGUUCAUAUUUGUGAUUCAAAAUAAUGUCAUUCGUACCAUCUCGUAAUGGCAACAUUAAUCAACAUAAACGUCUAUUGCUUAAGAUAUAUAUAUAUAUCUUAACAAUUUACAUCAAGUUAGAUAUGUUCAACGAAAAGGACUCUAGACUUCCAGUUGAGUGACCAUAGUGAAGGUGCAGCUACUAAGAUGCCAUAGUACCUACCAAGAAGGCGAGCAUAUGUGUGCAACUCAAUCUAGGUCACAACUGCCUCCAAAUCUGAAAACAUGAAUUUUAGGAACGUGAGUACGAAACUCAGUGAGUGAACAUAAGAAGGGAACAAGCAAUCAAUAGGAAGAAUUUGGAAAUCAUGAUGCACUUGUUUAAAAAACAAUGCAAUUUAAUUAAGUGCUUAUCAAAACCCCUCAAGAAAACCCCAAUUGAUUAAAUCACUUAAUGUAAAGGGUCCAUGCUCAACAAAAGAUUUGAAGAAUGAAAACUUUUAUAACAUUCAUGCAAAUCAAGUCAAGUAGACGACGGGUCCUCGCUGUAGUGGAAAGGCAUUCUCGCUGCAGUGACAUUUAACUUAAAUUAUCAACUGGCCGAAGGUUUCUUAGCUGACCAAGGGUUUCUCAGCAAACCCCUCAUUUUAAACUUAAUUUGUUUAUUCCUUAAUGUUGCAAGUCCAUGCUCAACAAUGGUACCAAAGAAGUGGAAAAUAGCACAGCAAUCGAUCAAGAUACUAAGCGAAAUAGAAAGUUUUUCGCUACAACGAGAUUCAUUCCAUAAAACAUAAACUUUUUCACUGUAGUGAGAACCAUGUUUGGUGAAACCCUCGAAACCCAAGAGUUUCUCGCUGCAGCGAGAAAUAGGGCAAUAGUAAAAAUUCCCCAUUCCCUCAAGAAAAGACCACCCUGUUCACAAGACAAAUGCAAAAUGAAACACAUAUAAAUUCCCAAAGUUUAACAUAUCAAAUUUCACAUUCAUUUCAAUCAUAUAUCAUAUUCAUGAGCUUUCAUUUCAUAAACAUAGAUAUGCAUAAAUACAUAGAUAAACACCAAUAUCAUCAUCAUCACACCCAGCUCAUGUACAUCCCCCCACAUCAUGCACAUAGCCGGAGUCAUCAUGUGCAUCGCCCCACAUCGUGCACAGUCAGUGCCAUCAUGUACAUCCCCCCACAUCGUGCACACGGGCACUAUCAUCAUCCUUUUCCCUUACCACGCCAUCACUAGCAUGUGCAUCCCCCCUCAUCGUGCACACACACGGUUAUAAUCAUCAUACACAAUAUCAAUUAUCAUGCACACCACAUAUAUAUAUAUAUAUACACCACCAAAAUGUAAUAGUGCAUAAAUCCAUAACCAACCACAUGUCACAACAUAAAGGCAGUUUCCAAAGGCUUGUUCCCAAGGCACUUGUUUUUAAGAAAAGCUGGAUGAAUCAUUCAAAUGUUUGUGCAAUUUCAUUCACAUUCCCAAAACAAGUUUUGAGAUGUAGUUCACUCGCCGGUAUUAUUUGAGCCUUUCGCCGAUCUUAACUUCCCUAAUUGUCCAAAUGGGAUGAUGGGGCUUCAUUGGAACCUAUCAUCACAUUAGCAUCACCAAUUUGUCAAUUCACAUACUUAUAAAGUUUAAAGCUUUCUCUUAGCUAGCUUCCAAUUGCCAUUUAAAUGGCUAUCUAUUUUCACUACCCUAAUCGCUCUAAAAUGAGUGGAUAACCUCAACUACAACAUUCACAAGUCUACUUACUAAUCAUUCCCAACACAAAAAAAUAAAUUCUAAUUCACUACUUACCUUGGUAGCUUGUAGCUUUGAAAUUCUUUCCAAUAAAGUUUCCAAGCUAUUAUGGGAGCUUUCUCUCUUUUUCUCCCUCUAAACACCUAACUAGUGAGAGAAAAUAUGAAAGUGGGAUUUUUCAAGGGUUUUGAAGUAAAAGAGUGAAAGAGCAUAAGGAUUCCAUGAAAAGGUGCACAAAGGUAUGAAAAUUGGAACUAGAGAGAGAAAGUUAUGAAGUUUUCAUACCAUGCUUCCAUGGAGGGGGAAACAAACGUGAGAUGGAAAGAGGAAGAAGAAGAAGCUGUUGGAAAUUGAAGAAGCUGCUGGAAAGAGAAGAUAUUUAUAGCUCAAACUUAUCCAAUUCCCUUAUAUAUUACGAAAAUGCCUUUUAGCAAGUUAACUUGUUCUUCUCCAAUCCUUUGUGCAAUUUUUUUAUUCUUUUGACACUAGGACAAGGUCCACAAUGAUCUAAACUACUCGGGUUUAUGAAAACUUAAAUUUUUGACUCGGGGUACAAAAUGACCAUUUUACCCCUGUUAUGAAAAUUAUUGUCACUUCUAGUGUUCUUCGUGUUUUCAUCAUUACACAUCAUUAUUCAUUCCUUAGGCCUAUUUAGACUUUAAUAGCAUAAAAAAAAACCCAAUCGUAGGAGCUCACCAAGAGAAAUUACAAAAUUACCCCUAGUCUGCAUUAUCGCGUCUACUUCUAGUUUUGUGUCUAUGGAGAUCCAGAUUUCAUGAGUUCACUUCUGAAUUAUCCUUUUAACUCAGUAACCAACCUCAAUUGGCAUCCGUAAACUUUAUUAGCUACUGUAUCAAAAUACGGGGUACUAUAGUGUAAGCCUAAAAUAAGAAGCUUGUAGGCUAUAUUGAACCCCUUGGACUGGAUUACCCUAGGGGAUUCAUAUGUUGGGGUGAUUUGAUUGAAUGAGGCUUUAGAGACUUAAAGGCACCAAGAAUCUAACCGAGCUUAAGAUGAUUGAACCCUAAGAGAUGUGAAUUAAGGUUUUAUAUAGAAAAUAUGGAUGAUAAAGGCAUGUUGGCCUUAAUUAUGGAUUUAUGUUUCUGUCUGAGGGAUGAAUUUCGAACGUUGAUCUGAUUCGUGGAUGAGUGGAGUCCAAUGCUGUGUGACUAUAUCCAUGCCUCAAGGACGGUGGUAAGUAAGGGAGUGGUUGAUAUCCCGCCUAUGAUUCUCGCCUAUAGUGUAUGAUGCCAUUCGUUUAGAGAUUACUCUGAAUGAUGAUUGUGAUGCCAUAUGUUGAGAUUGCUCUAGGGGAUGUUGGCUUUAGAAGCUUACUUCAAUCGAUGAUUUGUUUUUCAUCUGUUACUUCGACACAUGUGUGAUCUCUUUCUUUUCUAACGGCUUUGCCCUGAGCGUGAUUUGAUUUUUCAAAGCUGGCCACUGAGCGUGAUUUGAUUAUUUUCAAGGGAGGACCACUCAUUGAUUUGAUUCGUGUAUGACUUGAGAUAACCAUGAGAGGCUUGAUGUACAUAUGAUAUGACAUUCAUGUGAUGCUCUAGCAGCUAGAGUGCGCCGUGGAGAAUGGUUUAAACGAGUUGGUUGGCUUCGAGGGUAAACCCCACGAUAUGUGAUGGUAAUGAUGACUUUGGGGAGGAUGAUGUACCCCCCGUAUUUAGUGAACCUAGGGACAACUAUAUUCUCGUAUAUUUAGAGAUGUAUUGAAAGAUUAUAUGGACACACUGAGAGUGCAAUAUAGUUAUUAUACAUUUGAUGUAUAUCUAAAUAAAAUUGAUUUUAAUUAUUUGUACUACUCACUAAAUAUUAUAGUACCCACCCAUUUGUAUACUUUGUGUAGAUAAAUAAACCAUGAAGAAGUAUGGCAAAGAUCAUCUGCAGACAGACCAAUUUUGGCACCUGAUAGGUCUUUCAUUUUGAUAACUUUGCUAAGCCGGUCAAUAUCUUCUGCUGUGGAUAAUGUGUGUAGGCACUGAGUGCCAUGUUUUGUUAUGUAUUAAGGGUUAAUAUGUAUGAACCCAUUUGGAUGGCCAACAUAAGGCCCUAUAAACAUUUGUAUGGAAAUUAAACCAAGGAUGUUGUAUUUGACUCAGAUUUAUUAUGAAUAUUUGAUGAUUGAAUCCCUUGGCCUAUGUAUGUUUGAAUAUGAACUCUAAGGCUUGCUUUAGUCUAGUGGGCUUGCCUGCAGGGCUAGUGUAUCGGUCAUGGCCCCCGGGUUUGGGUUGUGACAAUUAAUUUAUGGUCAAAUUACCAAAAUAGUCCCUAUACCCAUGAAUUUUCAUCAAUUUAGUCCUUAUACUCAAACUCUGAUCAAUUUAGUCCCUCAAUUUUGGGAAUUGGAACAAUUUAGUCCCUGCCUCUAAUGGUGUUUAAUUUUGCUAUUAAAAGUGAUGACAUCAAUGUUCACGUGGUAGUGCCAUGUGGCAUUAACAAGAUGAUGUAGCAGUGUCACGUGGCACUGAAUGAUGGCAUGGCACUGACAUGCUAGCAUGGUAGAUCAAGAAAAAAUAUUUUCCAAAAAAAUAUGUGCCACAUCAUAGGGACUCAAUUGAACAAAAAUGUAUAGUAUGUGGCCUAAAUUGAAUAAAAUUGAGGUGUUUAGAAAAUAAAUUGAAAAAAAAAUUAAAAACUACAAAGCUUUGAGUAGAUGAUAUAUAUACAUAUUAAUAAGCCAAACGUUUAAGUGUAAAAGAUUUAUGAUGUUAAGAAAUAUAUAUAAAUAUUUUAUUACUUGAUUAUUUGAUAAGUUUGAAUUCCCCCUGGAUAAAAAAAAAUUCCAAUAUUUUAUAGAGUUUCUUUGUAGAAAUAUCAUGAUUAAAACCAUUAAUUAUCACUUAAAUUUUCUUUUUUAUUAAACUUGAUAUUAUUUUUAAUGAGAUUAUAUCUGUGAAAUCGCACCCUAAGUAAGAGGAUAAGUUAAGAAACCCUCAAGUGAGUAUAAAGAUUUCAUGUUUUGAACAUCAAAUUAAGUUUUAACUUUCAAAAAGAAUUCAUUGUCACCUUAGUUGUCAGCACCUUUGAAGUAGAAAUUUUUCUAAGUCUGAAAAGGUCAAGAUAAGUGAUUUUAUAGAACAAUCUUUUCGAACUAAAAAAAAAUUAAUGAUAACGAUUCCCUUGAUAUUUAGAUGAUAAAAAAUGAUUUUUUCAUAAUUUUUGGAGUACGUUAGCUAUGGUAAAUGAGAGCUAAAAUUUUAAUUCCAAUCGAACUUUUUUCGAUUUUAUUCUUGAAACCAAAAUUUAGAGUUUAAUUAUUUUGGAUUUUUAUUUUUUUAUAUUUUUAUUGAAUCGAAACGGGGUUGUUUGCUUAUUUAGAUUAAAUACCACUUAAGUAAAUGUCCAUUUUUCCUUCUUUGCUUUUUACUCUCAAUUUGAAAACAAUUACUUAAAUGGUAUUUAAUCUAAAUAAACGAACAACGAGUUUUAUAGGUAAUUUAUCUCAGAAAUUACAUUCCAUCUCAAAUGUAUCAAUAUAUGUUCAUAUGUAUCAAUACAUUUAGCCCAGAAAGGGCUUUUAAUGAACAUAUAUCGAUACAUAUUCAUUAUGUACCGAUACAAUUUUUCCAAAACCAAAUGUAUCGUUACAUGGACCAAAAGUAUUGAUACAUUUCGUCAUUUUCAAAAGAAUAAAAGGGGCAAAAGUGUAUUUUAAUAAGGCUUGUUCAGGACUUGGCGGGUUCUCCCAAAAGUCUCGGACGUCGGUAGUGAUCAAGGAGCGAUCAGUACAGACUUGGUAUCAUAGCCCUAGGUUUAGUUAAGUCCUACAAUUUCCUAUGUCUGUUAGCAGAGUUGUUAAAGUUAGUGUAGAGUCUUGUCCUUGGAUUGUGGGUGCACAACACGAGUCAAGGGAAAGAGGCUACAUAAACUCUUAUUCAUUCAGAAGCCUACCUUUGUUUUAGUACGUAAAAGGUUAAGAAUUAAUGUAUGAUUAUGUACAGGUUUUGAGGUGCCCCUGUGACACAACAUAAGCAACAGCGAGGAGAGAGAGAAUGAUUCCCAUAGUACUAAAGAAGGAUCAAUGGAUUCCACUACUCGAAGCCGUUACGUGCAAGAGUGUGAAAGCCUAGUAAACAACUUCACCCGAAUUCCUAUUGGAUGGAUUCCCUCGAGAGGUGAAAUAAUAUUUAAAAGAUGGAGAAGCCUUGAAAGGAUGGUGUAUGAAACAAAUGAUCCUAAAAAAUAAGACAAGGAGAAAGUGGAAGAAGUAGCCGUCGGAGGUUAUCGACCAAGGAAAGUAUGUGCUGUUCGGGAUUUUCCUCUUAGUUGUGGGAGAGGUGCUGUGUAGCAUCCCCCUCGGGGCCCACCGUCCAGGUAUUAUAUGGUCUGGGUUUAUUCUCUGGGCCCCGCUGCAGCAGUUCUGGCAGUUGAAAUGGUUAAAGGCGUCCCCUUUGGGGGGAGCAAAAGGUCUUGGGUUCGAUCCGCGGGAUCCGAAAGGUUCAUGGGCCAGAACUGUUGCAGCGGGUCCCAAAGAAUAAACGCAGACCAUAUAAUACCUUGACAGUGGGCCCCGAGGGGGAUGCCACAAAAUAAUAAGUUUACUCACAAUUCUAAGAGUCGAUGUACUCCUAAUCCCAGUCUCCAAGUACAAUCUCUGUACUUUUACCAGUGUAAUUUACUCACCACCUAUCCACAAUGUACAAUACAUAAUUCACAACGUCAAUGCUUGACCAUUAUAAAAUCAAUUCAGGCUCGGUGUAUAUGCAUGAUAUGAUAUGCAACUUAUCCGACUACCGCUUAAAUGCGGUGCUGACCUAAUUCGGCCUAUUACCCGAUUAAAUGACAAUUGUGCCCGAUUUGGCUUCAAAUUGCUCCAUUUCAUUUCUAAUAUUUCAAUUCAGUAAAUACAAUUCCAAUAAUCUAAAAUUCAGCCUAACAACCCUCACAAUUCUUCUUGAAAAUUUCGGCCAUUGUGGUGCACUAUCACUAAAAAUUUUCCCAUUCCAUUUUCUCACCAUAAAUCAUCAUUUCAUCAAUUUUUCAACCAAUUCACUUGAUCACAAAAUCAAUUCAUUACUUCUACACUUCACAUAGGGUUCGGCCAUUGAAGGUUCAUGGGGAAAAUGGAUUCUUUUCUUGUUGUUUUGUUUCUAAACAUGCUUAACUAACUAAAAACACUAACAUAACUUAGAAUCAAAUCAAUCUAACAUCAUUCUCUCUCCAUACCCAUUCCAACCAGCCAUGAAUUCAUCAUGAAAACAUGUAAUUUAACCAUGAAAAAUGAGGAGAAAUGCAUGGGAAAGGUAGAUCACAAGUCAAAAUCAAGAAAUUUUACCUUUUGUCACUUGUUUCCUUGAAUUUUCACCAAUUUUCCCUUGAAUUUCUCCACCUAGGGUUUUUGUUUUUCUUUUCUCCCUUUGUUCUUCUUUGUUCUUGGUUUGGCUGGCCAUAUGAAAGAAAUGGGCUGAUUUUUAUGCCUUUUUUAUAAGGAAACAAUAAAAUAAUAAAAGCAUGACACAUGGCAUUUCCUUAUUGGUUCAAAUUUUAAAUAUUUGACUUUUAAUUCUUUAAUUCUCCACCACAAAUUUAUCAUGUUUAUCCAUUUCCAUAAUGAAUAAAAUCCCUUGGUCUUGACAAGUGUCGGGGGUGAAAAUUUACCGAUUUGCCCCCGAAUGGCAAAAUUACCAUUUUGUUGUUAUACUCCAAAUUAUACCGAAAUUAAAAUUUUUCACUUCUAAACCUUAAAUUAUACUCCAAUACUCAAAUCAUACUCCAAUAAGUCAAAUGGGGCCAAAAAAAAUCUUUUCUAAAAUUUUCAUUUUGUCCUCAGGUGGCAAAUGACCAUUUUGCCCUUAGAUAGUGAAAAUUCCAGUUUGACUUCAAAUUGAUUCUCAAACUCCGAAUUACCAUUUUGAGUCAUCCCUGGAUUGUGAAACUCUUAAUUUCACCUUCAAAUUCAUAUUUGAAUUAGUUCGAGGUAUAAAUCAACUUACUUGUACUUUUAAGCACAAUAUCGACUUUUAAAUAUUCUUCCGGGGCUGUUCAAAUAUACAAUCACUCUAUCAGUCUCAUGUGUAACAUGGUAGAUAAUUUAGGGUUGGGCUUGACAUGCUGCACCCAUUAGUAGGGAAGAAAAUGUGAAUGAACAGCAAGGUGAUAAUAGUGAGGAUGAGGAGGAUCCUUUAGAGGCCUAGGACGAUUUGGAAUAUGAUCCAUCAAUGCGUACGGCUCCAGAUAACAAUAGUUCUUAGUAAAGUUAAAUUGUUUAUUUGGAAGUAGUAUGAUUAUGAGACUACGUUGAUGUAGUUGGAUUGAAUUGUAGUUGUGAUUUAUGUGUUUGAAGGAUUUGAAACAUGGUUGAUUUUCAUUUGGUUUGAACAAGUUAUGUAGUAGCUAAUCUAAUGAUUUGUUGAGUGUUUGAAAUUUUUCAUGCAUUUUUUAUUGGGAUUUGCAUUGCUAGAAGUAUGAAAAUCUUCUAAUUGAUUCUUGUCGAGUACGAUAGAUGGCAAGAAUGGAGGCACAUAGUGCCAGGACAUUAUAAAAUGAUGAUUGAUACAAUAUAUAUUAUUGGAAGUAAUUAAGGAAAUAAGGAAGUGAGUUCUUGAAUUAAUAAUAAUGUGUGCAUACGGAGUUGACCAAGAUGAACUAUUUCCAUAAUAAUUUUAAGUUGAAAGUCAGUAAACUAUUUGAGUUGCAAGACAAGAAAGAGAAUUGGUUAUAAGUAAUGAGAAUUGUGGGAUGUUAUAAAUGGUGAAUAAUUAUGAGUGUGGUGUUAUAUAUAUUGUGAAUUCAUUACAAAAUAUGGAAAAGAUGUCCUAAAAUAGGACUAUUUGAUUGAUGAUAAGUGUUAAAGGAUAAUAUGAGUUUGAAAAUAUUGACUUGGCUUAGUACAUAUGAUAAGCAAAAGGGAAGAUACAACUGGUUAUGGAAAUUUUGGUAUAGGUUUAGAGGAAAGCCAAAUGGUUGAGCUUGUUAUUUGGGGUUUUAAGUGUUUUCGAGAAUGUUUAUAUGAAUGAAUAGAAAAGUUUCUUUAUUGUCUUAUAUAUUGGCAUGCAAUUAAAAGAGAUGUUGAAAGUUCUUAAGAUGGCUACAUUGAGAUAAGUUGCAAUGUGAAGUAUUAAGAUGAACACUAUGUUGACUAAAGUCAAAUCCUAAGAAAUAAAAGAGACAAGAGAUAAAGCCUUGUCAAAGGCUAAGGCAAGAGUAAGUGGAAAUUUAGAUGAAAGUAUGAGACCUUGAUAAAGGAAUGCCACUACUAAAUGAAGAAAUUGGGAAUAAAAGAUUAUAAGGUUGGCAUAACAAAUGAGCUAAUAUAGCUAAAACAUUGCUAUGAGGAUUUGCAAAUUUUAUCUUGACAUAGUUAGAAGAAAAAGAUUAGUAACAAGACAAGGCCAAUUAUGUGCCAUACUAGAAACCUAUGAACAUAAAUUGAGGUAUGAAUAAAUGAGCAUGCAUUCAAAUAACUCGGAGAAUAAGUGUAUUCUUUUUGGAAUGAAUGUGCAUGAAAGGUUAAUGAACAAAUAAGUAAUUAAGUGUUUCGAAAAUGUAUUAAAGUUUGGAAAAGGAUGUACCAAACUAUAUGUGGCAAGAAUAAAAGUUAAUAUUAUUUUGGAAUAUCUUAUAUGCAUAUUGAUGUAAUGUGGUGUUUGGAACUUGCUAAGGAGCCUAAUGGCUAAACCACGGGCUAUGUGGUCAUAUGUUGGGAGACAUAAGCUUAAGGUGGGUAUUCACAAGGAAAUACUCAAGAGGAAUCUGCUAUGAAUCUUAUAAAAAGAAGCAUUAAAUUGUAUAGUUACAGAAAGGAAGAUGUAAGUUUGAAAGUGGAUGCUUGCAAUGACAUUGAGAACUACUGUGAGGAAGGUUUAUCGUGGUGGUGUACCAGAGGAGGUAACGAGUGAUCAGCAAGUAAGAUUAGCUAGAGACGCACCGAAAUCGAUAACGAUGUAGCGUCCUGUUAUUGUAAGGUGAGUAAGGGGUGUCUAUUUCAAAAGUUCCAUAAACUAUAUAUUCAUAUAAAUUUAAUAAACGUGCCAGUUUUCUUUAAGUGCAAUUGUGGAUAACAUGUGUUGUUAGUCUCAAUAGGCAAUUUUUAAAUGGAUUGCAAUUGAGUUAUAUUGUUAUUGUGGUAAGCAUGAGUUGGUGGAACACUAGGCACUUGUGAAUGCCAUGCUUUUUAGACAUGUUUUGUAUAUAUAUAAGUUAUAUAUGUAAAAGGUAGAAAUUGGGAAAGAAGCUCUUUACCACGGUUUAUGUCAAAAUGUGCCUUAUUUGUUUGUGUGAUGUGCGUUCAUGAAUAAAGUCUAUGUUCACGAUGCUGAUUUGAUAUUUAAACCUUAUGCAAAGGUUUUACAUUAUAAAGUCUUGCAAAUGGAUUUAUCAUGUCACCAUGAUUUGUAUUUUAGGAAUAUAUUUAAAAUAAGCUUUUGAGUACUCAACUUGCUUAUAAAUGGUUCUGUCAAAUCAGGAGAUUGAAGAGUAGGUUAAAUGUCAUAUCAGAAUAAUGUGACCCUUGUGCACAAGUGAGCUCUAUCUAGAGAAUCUUUGAGUCUUCGAUAGGCUGUUAGACAUGGCUAGACCACAAUCUAUGAUAUAUAUACGUGGCAAGGCCAUGGGAUGAUAUACGUGGCUAGGACACAAGUUGAUAUACGUGGUUAUGACCACAUGAUUUCUCUGAUGUACACCAACAACGUCGAGACUGCCUUGGCUAUGGGAAUUUGAUAGAUGGGGGCCUCUAGGAUGUUAAUAUGUGGAAGUGGGUCCAUAGGUUGUUGUUUACGAUUGCCUACUCGAGAGUGACAUCUCUUUGGGUUUUCAAACAUGAAUUUUUUCGCAUGGUGAGAAAUACAAGUUUUUCCAUAGCUCCUUUAUUUAUACGAUGACUUUGUAUUUAAUUCCUUGAGGGUGAGAUGAUUUAUGAGCUUGUGUAUAAGCUUUGAAUAUGCUUGAAUUUACGAGGGCAUGUGUACAUAUGUUUGUUUGAUUUGAAUAAGGGAUGUUAAAUGACUUCGAUGGUAGAAAUCUUUUACUUGCACUAGCUUUUAUAUGUUGAUUGAUAUGAUUAUUUUGCAUUGAAAUUUUUGGGUUUUACAUGUAAGGCACAAAUCUUCCUUUUGAGUUACAUUGUUUAUGUAUACUCUUAUGUUUUAAUGUUCAAAUUUUCUGUCCUUACCUUGUUUCCCAUUUACACCUUGCUCACGGAGUCGAUGAGUACUAUGUUUCUGAGACUCACCCUUUUAUCUCCCUUUUUACAAAUAAGUGAUCAGCUUAGCAUGUAUCCAUCGGCACUAGUUGUCCACCGCGGAUAGGUAAAGGCAUCUUUUAGCACUUUAUCCUGAGUCGCUCCACUAUUAGAGGUCAAGUCAUUUGUAAUGCAUUUUAUUUUUGUAAAUGGACACUAGUCUCAACAUAAACGUACAAAUUUGAGAUUUUAGACUACAAUGUAUUUUUUUUUUUUUACAACUAUGCGAAUAAAGGUUAAGUCAAUCUAUUAUUACUAUUUUUCCAAAUCAUAUCACAAGGAGUUAUAGGGAUCAAAGCAUUUUCAUAGAAUGGUGGAACGAAUAUAAUGAACUUACAAAAGUUUCUAAUAAGGCUUGCUAGAGACUUGGCGGGUUGUCCCGAAAGUCUCUAACGCUGGUAGCGAUCGAGGAGCGGUCAUUACAAGUUUUGAGUUUUUAAGGAAAAGAUGAUGUUUUUAACUUUGAAAUCUUUAGAUCUUGAGCUUUUAGAACUAAAAUGUUAUUUUGAUGCUAGAUUUUUCUGUGGGUUGCUAAAGCUCAAGGUUUUUGUGGUUUUACUAAAUAUCUAAGCUCACUUAAGGUAAGGAUGAAGGACUUAUGGGUUUUUAAGGAUUUAUAUGGUUAAUUAGUAGUGGGUUUAAGCUAGAAAUUUAGAUUUAGCUGAAUUCAAAUAGUUUUGAAAAUGUUAGAAAUGAUUAUUAUGAAUUUUUAAGUCUAGAUAAUGAUUGUGAUGAUUGUUGUAUGCUAAGAAUGAUUAAAAACUCGAUUUCGCCGUAAUGGAGUUAUGAUUGGAGUUAGAGGUUAGAUGUCUAAUUAGGUGAGUGGAUACACAUUUUCAGGUAUUUUAAUAUGUAAAGUGAAUAUGAUUUCUAUGGAAAUGAAUAUUUAUACAUGAUGAAAUUGUGAGACCUCAACCCCUAUAAGCUCAUAACUACGCAUAGACGCAAUAACAUGGGCUAGGGGGAGUUUCGUCAUUUCUUCUAAAAAGCUCCUAGAAGAAGGUUUUAUGAUAUUUUAAGGUCUAAAUAGGCAUAAGACCGAAUAAAUAAUGUGUAAUGAUGAAAACACGAAGAAAACUAGAAGUUUUAAUAAUUUUCAACACAGGGGGAAAAUGGUCAUUUUUCACCUCGGGUGAAAAUUUUUAAGUUUCGUAAACCCAAGCAUGUCUUUACCAUUAUGGACUUGUUUUAGUAUUAAAAGAGCAAAAAGAUUGCACCAAGGAGUGAAGGAGAACAAGUUAAUGUGCGUAGGGCAUUUUCGUAAUUUCAAGUGGAAUAGAUAAUCUUGAGCUAUAAAUAUUUUUUCUUCCAGCAGCUCCUUCAUUCUCCAGCAGCUACUUCUCCUUCUUCUUCUUCCAUCUCAUAUUGCUUCCAUCCUCCAUGGAAGCUUGAUAUGAAACUAUCACAACUUUCUCUCUCUAGCUCUAAUUUUCAUACCUUUGUGCCAUUUUGACUAUAACCCUUGUGCUCUUUCACUCUCUCGCUUUAAAACCCUCAAAAAAAGUCCUUGUUCAGCACUUUCUCUCACUAAUUAGAGGUUUUAGAGAGAGAAAGAGAGAUUUUCCACAUUUGUUUGGAAGCUAUUGGAAGAGAAUUCAACUACAAAGAAACCCUAAGGUGAGUGAUGAACUAGGCUUGGUUUUAAGUUGUUGAUAAUAGCUAGUAAUUAAGAUUAUGAGCUAUUUUAUUGUUGAGCUGUUUACUCAUUUUUAGUCUGAUUAGAGUAGUGCAAGGAAUAGCCAUUUGGUAUAGUUGGAAGCCAAUUAGGAAUGACUGCUAGAAUUUGAAUUAGAAACUAGCUUUUGGAGUGAUAUUAAUGUAAAUUGGAUCAGUUGUGAUGUUGUGUGUGUAUAGGUUCCAACAAGGCCUCACAUGUCCAUUUGGAGUAUUAGAUGAGGUUAGAGUCAAGCAAAAGAAACAACAAGAUCGGUGAGUGAACUUGCAUUUCAAAGUAUUUUUGGGAAUGUGAAUGUGUUUGCACAAGACAUUAAAUGAUUUUAUCAAACUUUUCUUAAGAAUGGGUGCCUUGGGAACAAGCCCUUGAUAAAUUAUCUUUGUGUUGUGAUAUGUGGCUAUUAUGGAUUCAUAUACUGCUACAUUAUGUUGAUAUAUAUAUAUACGUAUGAAUAUAUUGUUGUGUAAUGAUAUUGACUCGGCUAUGUGCAAGUAGGGAGUGUGCAUAAGCUGAUGAUGAACUGGUUAUGUGCGAGUAGGGAGUGGGCAUAAACCGUUGAUGACAUAGCCAUGUGCGAGUAGAGAGUGCACAUGAGUUGAUGAUGAUGGGAUGGUGUGCAUGAUGAUGAUGGUUAUAUAUAUAUAUACAUAUGUUAAUAUAUGUGUUAUAGGAAGUUUAUGAGUAACGGUAUAUGGUUGUAAUGCAUGUGAAAUUUGGCAUGAUGAAUCUUGAGAAAUUCCCAUUUUCUUGCAAAUUGAUCUUUAUUACAGCACCAAAUGGGUUUUUAGUGCAAAAGAGGUCACUUUUUCACUUUGGUGCCCUGCUUCUUGUUGCAGCAAGAAACAUUCUGUUUUGGCAGUAGAAAACUCGCUGCAGCGAAAAUAAAUCUCGCUGCAGCGAGAAACUCUCAAGUUCUAAUGUAGUGUUUUCAGUUUCAUGAAGACUUUGACCACCUUUCUCUCCGAAAUGGGAAAAGUGGAAAACAUAAAAGUUGUAGCCCUACCUCUUAUCUUUCUAAUGGUUUAAAAAUCAGGUCAAUUAGACUUUUGUAACAGGAGAUAUAGUAGAAAAACUGAAACAUAUGCAAACUAGUACUAUUUCUCGCUACAACGAGAAUGAACUUCGCUGUAGCUAGAAAAAUUAUGUCCUGCAUGCUAGCCUAUUCGGUUUUUGACAUAUUUUUCACCCAUUUAACUUCAUGGAUUGAUCAUAGGCUGUUGCAACACUAUGAGGUUAUUAAUCAAAGUUUGAAAUGAGGGGUUUUUAGUAAGAAAUUAAAUCAAUUGCAUUGUUUUCGAAACAAGUGCAUCAUGAUUUCCAAAUUCUUCCUAUUGAUUGCUUCUUCCCUUCUUAUGUUCACUUAUUGAAUUUUAUAGUCACAUUUUUAAAAUUCAUGUUUUCAGAUUUGGAGGCAGUUGGGACCUAGAUUGAGUCACACACAUAUGCUUCUCUUCUUGGUAGGUACUAUGGCAUCUCAGUAGCUGUAUCUUCACCCAAAGUCACUCCGCUGACGGUCUCGAGUAAAUUACUUGUGAACAUGUAUAUGUAAUGUAAACUACUAAGAGGCAUGUUAUAAAUGAAGUAUGUAUAUGUUGGAUUGAUGAUGACAGUACUUUGAUAUAAUAUAAAUAUGAAUAUUCAGUUGUUAUAAAAUAUUACUAGAACAUUUACUUCUGAGAGUUACAGCACUUCAUUUUAAAGAUGAUGGAUGGGAAUGAUAAUUGGAAUUUGCAUAAAGAUGCUUGCUUGGGCUUAGUUGGCUAUGCCCGUUGGGCCCAUGCGCUGGUCAUGGCUCAAGAAAUUGGGCUGUGACAGAAAUGUAAUUUCCAUAAAUGAUUUAUCAAAGGAUUUGAGUUUCAAGGUUUUAAAAGAAUAUGAUCAAGAACUUGAUUUGAUAAUGAUUUGUGAUAUGAGAUAACACAAUCAUUUUCAAAUUGUUUAUGAAUCUACUAUGUAUGUAAAUAUUCUACUAUGCAUUAGUUUUCAACAUAGGGGACAAACCCUUUCGAUGAUUUUAAACUCUCUCAUUCGAUCACUUCGACUUUCGUGCUAGUGUGGGUGUAUCAAGGUGCAUGUAAUGUUGGAGUUGGAUCUUAGUGGAUUAAUGUGAUCAUAUAAAGAAUGGAUUUCUAAAAUUUCUUUUAUAAAGGAAGCAAGUAAUCCAAUUACACAAGCAGAAACACACAUCAUUAUUAUUGCAAGUAAUAUAAUCACAUCUUAAAAAAAAUAAAUAAUCUAUUAAAUAGCAAAAACCAUACCUUUUAUUUUGAGAUUCUGUAAUACCCUGUACUUUGAUAUGGUGAAUAAUAAAGCUUAUCGGAUGCCAAUUGAGGUUAUUUAUAAUGUUUAAAAGUGAUGAAAGAUGAAAGGAAUAGUUUAGGAUAAAAUAUUUUGCAUGCUAAGAAAUAGUAAUAAAAUAAUAAUAUUUUUAUCGAGGAAGAAUUUGCGAGAUAAAAAAAAGUGAUUUGGAAGUGAAUUGAGGCAUAAUAAGGAAUUUUGGGCACCAAGGAGACAAGAGGACUGUGAGACUUCAACUUUUAUAGACCCGUAACUAGCAGUAGAUGCGAUAACACGAACUAAGGGUAAUUUCAUCAUUUGUCAUGAUGAGCUCCUAGAAGUAGCUCUCAAAUGUUAUUAAGGUCUAAAUAGAUCUAAGGAAUAAAUGAACAAUGGUAAAAUAAAUAAAGAAGAUAGAAACACUGAUAAUUUUCACUAUAAGGGCAAAAAGGUCAUUUUGCAUCUCGAGUCGAAAUUUUUAAGUUUUCGUGAACCCGAGUAUUUCUAGACUAUUACGGACUUUGUCUCAGUGUCAAAGAAAUGAAAAGAUUGUAUAAAGGUAAAGGGAAGACAAAGUGACCUUGUUAAGGGCAUUUUGGUAAUUUUUUCAAGAAAUGGGAUAAACAUUAGGCAUAAAUAUCUAAGUUUCUAGCAACUUCUUCUUCUUCUUCUUCCCUUCUCACGUUUUCUCACGCUCCAUGGAUGCUUGCUUUGAAACCUCUAUAAAUUUUCUCAGGUUAACCCCAAUUUUCAUGCUUUUGUGCACCUUUUUACAGAGUUCUUUAUGCUCUCUUACUCUUUCACCUUAAAACCCUUAGAAGCCUUUCCUUAAUACUUUCUCUCACUAGUUGGACAUUUUAGAGAGAGAAAGAAAGAUUUUUUACAAUAGUUUGAAAGCUUUUAAAAAGGAAUUCAAUUACAAAGCUACCAAGGUGAGUAAUGAAAAUUGAGUUGAUUUUUAAGUUGUUGAGAAUGGCUAGUGGUUAAAUUUGUGAGUGUUUUGUAGUUAAGGUGGUUUAUUCAUUUUAGUGUGACUAGAAUAGUGAAAAUAGAUAGCCACUUAAUGGUAGUUGGAAGCUAGCUAGGAAUAACUAGUAGAACAUGAUUUAAGAGAUAGCUUUCAGAAUGAUGGUUAUGUGAAUUGAGUUGAUUUGUGAUGCUAUUAUGUGUGAUAGGUUCCAACGAGACCCCACAUCUCCAUUCGGACCAUUAGGGGGAGUUGGAGUCGAUUUAAGAAUCAACGAGGACCGGUGAGUGAACUUUUAUUAAAAUGGUUUGGGGUAAAUGCACAUAUGUUUGAAUGAUUUACUUGAAAAGUUUUAAUUGUGUUUUUCUUUAAAAUGUAUAUGGGAACAAGCUCUUGAUGAAAUUUUUGUGUUGUGAAAAUGUGACUGUCAGUUAAAAUUCUACUAUGCAAGUAUACGUAUCAAAUAAAUAGUAUAUUAGCAAGCAGAGUAUCGAUCCCAAAGGGAAUUGAUCUAAAAAUUUACUAAGUACUAAAAUUAGAACAAUUUAAUCUCAUCCAAACAAUCAAACUCAAAUAACUAAAUUAAUUAACUAAAACUAAUUCAAUUAAAAAUUAAAGCAACAAAAUAAUUGGGUAAAAAGCAAAUCAAACAAGCCUAGGAUUACAAUAUCCCUCACACUUCAUUUAAAUCUUACCUCUCUUUCUUAACUUAUUUCAAUGGAUUGAAUUGCUAACCUAGAGUCUUAAAUUAUUUAUAAGGGUCUCCCGACUCAUCUUAUAAAAAUAUCUAUGUUAACCAAAACACUAUAUCCCUAUGUGAAUUGAAAUUAAAACAGAUUCAUUAAGUUCAUACUCUAAUCUGGCUACAUAUGGCCUGUAGGUAUAUCACUAUCCUAUACGCAAAUCAAUUAAUAUGAUCAUAUGCUAUCCCAAUUUUAGUCUACUAUAAACUCUAUUUUCAAGUUUGUGUAGAUUCCUAAAUCAAUUUAAUUGGUGGCCAAGCAAUUAAAAGCAUUAAGAACAAAUUGGAAUAAACAAUUCAAAUCUCGUUAAAAAUAAGUAAGAAAGAGAUUAAAAACUUAGAUUACAUGUGAGUUCAAUUGCAAUCCUAGAAAAAAAAAGUAGCCACUUAUAAUUGCAAAAACAAAUAACAUCAUAAUAAAUUCAACAAUUGAAAGUAACAAGAAAAUUAAAAGUCAAGGAAGAAAACAAAACAAUAAUUGCCGUCUUGAUCUCCAAGUUUCAGCCUCAACUUCUAGCUUCUUGAAUCUCUCAAAAGUUGUCUCCAAAAUUGUUAAACAUAUCCUAUUUAUACUAAUAAACUUAACCUAAAGUUCCUUAAGUUGACCUAGGGUUUAAUUGGGCUUCAAAGUGUAAUAAAAGGCCCAAAAAUCAAUUAUCAGUCUUUACAAAUUUCCAUUCUCGGCACAGUACAUUUAGUCAUUUUCUGACGUAAUUUUCUCUAUAUUCAAAGCCGAACAGGGCAAAGUAAUCUGUAUGAAAGUUGUAUCUAUGUCUCUUAGCUUUCCAAUGGUCUAAGAAUCGCAUCAUUUGGAGUUCUAUAACUAGAGAUAUGGACAAAAUACUGAAGCAUAUGCAAGUAGAUUUUGGGUCUUUCAACAACUUACUUUCCAAAAUUAAGCCCAAUCACUUUUAAGCCUAAAAAAAAUAUAAAAACUAAUACAUAAUAACAAAAUUAAAAGGAAUAACACAAAAUUAAAAUAACUCACUAAAAAAGUAAGCUACUUAUAAAAACAACUAAAAAUAAUUAAAUUAUAAUUGAAUAUUGAGGACUUAGGUAAUAUUUACUAACAAAAUUGGACUAAAAUAAUUCUAUAAAAUAAAAUUAUCACACCCCCAAACUUAAGAUUUUGCUAGUCCUCGAGCAAACUAAAAUCACAAGAAGAAAACUAAACAUUAAAAAAAUUCUUGAACAAAAGAUAGAAGUACCAAAUCAUGAUUUCUCAAUUUUUUCUCAGAAAUUAACUCAAAUUCCAACUUAAGGUAACAUACAGCUAAUUCUUAAAUUCAUGCAUCAAUUCAAAUGAAAACUUACUUUUUGAAUGGACUUUCGUGUGUGUGCGAAUGCUCUCUUACCAAGAAUAUCAUGCAAUUCAAAUUAAUUUAUGCUAAAUCUAAGCAUAGAAUAAUAUUAAGAUCCCAUAAGUUUACUUUUCAUCUCUCUCUCCAUUAAUGUAGAUUAACACUUAUUCAAGGAUCAAUAGGUCUUUAUCAAGCUUGUAAUGUAAGGCUAGGGUCAAAGUAUGACAAAAGAUAUAUUUAGGCUCAAAUUCACCCUAAGCACUUAAUCAAUCUAGAUCAUAUAAAGAGCUCAAAAAAAGUUUUUUUUUUUUGUAUAGCACCCUCGAACUUGAAGUAAACUUUCCUUUGUACAACACACUUUAUUUCUUUUCUUUUCUUUUCCUUUUUUCAACCCCCAAACUUAUUUUUGACAAUUAUAAACAAGGGGUAAUUUUGCUAACAGCCAUCACUUUUUUUUUCUCUUUUGCUUUUCACUUUUCUCCCUCAAUUUAUCUUUAAGCUCAAACCAUUCCUUAGAAAGAUUAAAAUACUUAGAGGGUGAAAGGUUCAAAUUGCUAGAUUUAAAUAGACAAGUCAAGGCUAACAUAACUGUGUAAUUAAAAAAAAAGGUAAAUUAGGCUCAAAAAGGGUGACUAAGGAUAAAUAUAACAAGGUAGGCUCAAACGAUCCAAAGAUGACCUAAAUCACUUCCUAUUCUAAGUGUUAAUCUAAGAUUUCGCCUCGAGAGAGAAUCAAACAAAUUCUAAAAUUCUUGACUUCACUAUACUUUUUCAUCAACAUAAAAUUUCUCUAAAUCACACAAAAAUUCUAAGUAAAAGAGUAUAGUGCUCAAAUUAUUGGAAGUCACAUUCUAAAAUAAAGCUAACACAAGAAUAUCACAUAAAAUAAAAUCAUAACUAAGUGCUUCCCAAAAGCUAAGAAUCAAAAGAUAAUUAAAAUAUCAUCCUAGGAUUGGGACAAUCAUGAAUGAGGUGCAACUAUCUCAAAAUUGUUUUUUGAAACACGAUAAAACAUGCAAGACGUAAAUAAAACAUGCAAAAUAUAUCUUAAAAUAAAACUACUAAAAUAAAUAAACUAACAAAAUGCUAAACUACUCCCCCAAACUUGGAAUAAACAUUGUCCUCAAUGUGAUAAAGGAAAAUAAAAGAAAAAGGAUAAGAAUACUCCCCUACUCUAAAGCUGCAGUCUCCAUGUCCUCCGCAUCGUCACCACCCAUCAUCUACUCUCAACAACAAAAUAUUCAUCAAUUAUGUAUGCAGCAAACAAAAAGUCCAUGAAUUCAAUAUAUGGGUAACAAGAAAUUAGCACUAAUUUUCAAAGUUUUUGGCAUUCUAAGCAUUAAUCAUGAGGAAGUCUGAAAAACUCAUUAACAAACAUGCACAAUGGACUUAUUCAGGAUUAAAAAAUUAUAAAAUUUGCCAUUAACACCAACCUCAUCCUUUCUCUACACAAAAUAAUUGAAAACCAAGUGUUUGGAGAAGUACUUACCUUAGGAGUGUAGGAUUUCAAAUGGAAAAAAAAAAAAAAAAUCUAAGUAAAAAAAAUGUAAAAAGUUUGAGUGAGAAAGAGAAAACAGAGGAAGGCAAGCGAUUGGCAAAAGGGGGAAGAAUGGGAGUGGGGAUGGUGGCCGAAGAAGAAAAAAUAAAAUAAAAUAAAAAUUUUCACCCAAAGCAUUACGCUUCAGGUUUGAGCAUCGUCGCUCUCAAGGUUGAGCGCCGCGGUGCUCAACUGUUCUAUUUGCCCACCUUUUAUUUAGCAUCGUGGCUCUCCUUUUGAGGGCUGCGAUGCUGAAACCUUCUGUUUUAGGUGGCCAAUUUCUUCAUUUUAAGGCUGCGACACUCAUUUAUGAGGGCAGCGACUCUUAUUUUUUUAACAAAAAAAUUUUUCUUUUUUGGAUUUUUUUGAAUCCAAUGACUUGUAAUAGGGAACAUAAAAAAAUCGAUUAAAAGAAAUAAAGUAAAAAGCAUGAAAUAAAAUAAAAUAAAAACAAGUAAGGUUGAGGAGCUUAGGUUGCCUCCCAAGAAGCGCUCGUUUAUAGUCACUAGCUUGACUAUAGCACCCCCUUUUUCAGUUCUUCAUCCUUCAAAUAAGGUCUAAGGCUCAACCCAUUAACCAUGAUUGUUCCCAUAUCCUCACUAUAAAUCUCAAUUAUUCCACAAGGAUAAGCUUUUACUACUUUGAAAGGACCCCACCAUAUUUCUUUGCGUUUCCAUGAAAAAAGCUUGAAGUAUGAUCGAGAAAGCAUCAUUACUUGUUGUCCAAUCACGAAAGGAUAAUUAGAUGGUGGUGGAGGAUGCUCCAUUGAUAACUACUUGGGUCUGACAAGCGGAGGUGGUGGCUUAAACUCAAAGAUUGGUGCUUGCUCAAUUGUAUGUGGAGAAAUAGGUUCACCUUUCCCUUCAUCAAUUAACUCCAUUCUAUAGCAACAACUUGUAGAGCUAAGAUUUUUAUUUGCAUUGAAAAUGUUAAACUCAACUUCCUCUUCUCUAACUUUGAAAGUUAUCUUGCCUUCUCUUACAUCAAUGAUUGCACUUGCAGUGGCCAAGAAUGGUCGGCCCAAGAUUAAAAGAAUUUCCAGAUCCUCUUCCAUUUCAAGCACAAUGAAGUCCAUCGGAAUGUAAAAAUGCCCAACUUUAACCAAUACAUCCUCAAUAAUGCCAACAGGAUGCCUGAUUGUCCUAUCUGCUAAUUGCAAAGAAACUGUGGUGGGUUGUAUCUCAUUAAGUCUAAUUUUCUUGGCAAUUGACAAAAGCAUAAUUGAAACACCUGCACCCAAAUCACAUAAAGCUAUAGUAAAUUUAAAUCUACCAAUAGUAUAAGGUAUAGAACAACUCCUUUGAUUUUUAAGUUUUGGUGGAAGCUUGUUCUGAAUUAUUACGCUACACUCUUAAGUAAGUGCCACUGUUUCAAAAUCUUCUAGUUUCCUCUUCUUGGUUAAGAUGUCUUUCAAGAAUUUAACAUAACUUGGCAUGUUUUCCAAAACUUCAGCAAAAGGAAUGUUUAUGUGGAGCUUCUUGAAAACAUUGAGAAAUUUCUCAAAUUGUUUAUCAAGCUUUUGCCUUUUCAACCUUUGUGGGAAUGGUGGUGGAGGAUAAAUUGCUUGAGAAUCCCCUUGAUUCUUAGCUUGCCCAUUAUCUGUCAUUUCCACUUCAACUUCUUUCUCAACAAUUGCCUUGUCAUUAUCUAUAUGCUCCUUUCAAGAUACAAUUGAUUUUUCAUUCACCCCUCUCACUUCUUUUCCAUUCCUAAGUGUAACUGUAUUACAAUAUUCCUUACCUUUGGGAUUGACUUGUGUAUCACUUGGUAAGGCACCUUGGGGUUUACUGUUGAUGGAGUUUGCAAGCUAUCCUAUUUGGGUCUCAAGAUUUCUCAAAGAGGCUCCAUAGCUCUGAAUUAUGGCAUCAGUCUUAGAUAUAUAUUACAAGAUAAGUUCUUCCACUUGGGACUUCUUUUCAGGAAUCGAUGGUCUAGAUUGUUGUUGAAAACUAGGAGGCACAUUGGGGUUUGAAUUGGAAGGCCCGACAUUGUUGUUCUAUGAAAAGUUAGGGUGGUUUCUCCAACCAGGAUUGUAUGUAUUAGAAUAAGGGUUAUUAUGCUGCCUAUUAAAGUUCCUCACAAAUUAGACUGAUUCAGAAUUGUAUGGACAUUGAUUAUAUGAAUGGCCAUCCCCACACAUCUCACAAACUACAAAUGAAUUUUGAACUGCAUGAACUCCUAAUGUGUCAAAUUUUGUCACGACCCGGUACUCCCCUCGAGCCUGUGACAACUGCCGUGACGUCCCGGUAGACAUUCGUUACCCGGAGUGCCAACUGGAACCCCGCAAGGCUUUAGUACCAUUCUUUUCAUCUCCCCUAUGAGUAAUCAUCGCCAAACCUCAUUUUUAAAGAAUUUCAAGCUUUUUCCCUUUCAAAACUGUGAAAAAAUCAUUUUUGCCUCACAGGGGCGUUUUCAUCAUUUUUCCUCAAAAUUUUUUGAACCCAACUAAAAAUGUAGUAGAUGAGUGGAAAACACAUAUUUCAUGAUUUAAAAUAAAUUUGGGUGUCUAAAACAUUUAUUAAAAAUGAUAUUGUAACUAUUUGAAUAAAAUAAAAAUAUUCAAUAAAAUAUUCUAAUUUCUUGUAAAACAACAUUUAUAAAGUCAUCAGUAAAUAAUUUUUGUAAUAUAAAAGCUAAAUAAAUUCAUUCGUACUAUAAUGCAAAUAACCGAGAUAUGAAAUUUACUUUACAGUGACUCGUGGGCCCACAAGGAACAAAAGUGCACAAAGGCAAUAAACCUAUAGUUUUUGGAGUAGUAAAGCCAACUAUAAUCCUUGACGAUAUCUGCUAUCCAUAGACUACCUCAGGCCUGAAAUGGUUGGAAAGGAGGAUGGUGAGAUUAUAAAAUCCCAGUGAGUAAACAGAUACCAUCUAAACCAUCUAAAGUCGAGUAAAUGGAGAUAGAUAAAACAGUUUAACAUACUGAAAUUCAUCACCUUUCAACUUUUUUCAACCAAAUAAAAUCAAUUCAUAUAAAUCGAGUAAUUAACAUGGCUUAUGAAUUUCUUAAAACUUUGGCUUUUGCCAAAAUCACUAUCAUACUCAGUUAUCAGGGAUACCUUGGCCAUGGGCUAUCCCAAACCAAGUUCGCCAAGGCUAUUAAAAAGUUAUGUACUCAUAAAUCAUGUUUUUAUUUUAAAAAUAUAGUCGUUCCUUGGCGUUGGCUGAGUUCCCCCUCACGUGGUGGUUUGACGUGAAGUGAACUCUAAAAGUGUUAGUCUCAGGAGUUAUCCACCCGCACCUCAUACUGAGGUAAGAUAUAACGGGGUUUACUGUGCCCCUUUAAUAGGCUAGUCUACGAAAACCCGCCCACUGUACUAAGCUAAUAAUUAUCCCACCAAUCAAUAAAAUUCAAUAACAUGAUAUGGCAAUUAUUGUAAUUCACAGCCUUUCAAGGCAAACAAACAAUCCGUAUUUCAAUACAAUUGCUAACCAGCCAAUCAUGCCUGAUUUAUCAUAAGUCAAUCAAUUUAAACAAUCAAUUUACACACAUCAAGUGGUCUCCAAUUACUCUACUUUCAAAGCCAUCAUUUAAUUUCAAAACAAUUUAUAAAAUCAUUUCAUUUAAACACAUUUUAUUUAUAAAACCAAAAAAUUAAUCAUUUAAUUCAUUUUCCAUAAAAUUAAUCAAGGUGGUCUGGUCCUUUUAUUGUCAAUGAGGUUUUCUCACAUGGAGCGAUCGAAGUUAGAGGGAUAGAUGGUUGAAAAUUUAAAGUCAAUGGACAAAGAUUAAAGCAUUAUUAGGGAGGCAAAAUUAAUCGUCAACAGUCCUCAAUUCACUUGCUUGAUACGGUCUAGAGUCUAAGACAGUCCAGUCGAAGACUAUAAAUGAAGUGCUUUUUGAGAGGCAACCCAAGCUUCUUAAGCUUACACGAUUUUGGUUUUUUUUAUUUUAUUUUUUUUUUAUUAUUAUUUCUUUUUUACUUUCAUAUUAUUAUUAUUAUUAUUAUUUUAAUCUAUUCUUUUCUCUUUUUGCAAGUCAUUCAAAAAAAAUUUAAAAAAAAAUUCAAAAAAAAUUAAAAAUUAAAAAUAAAAAAAAAAAUUCAACGCCACGGCCCUGAAAUAUGCAAAGGACGGCAUUGAAAUAGAAUGUUUCAACGUCGCGGUGCUGAACUAAAUAGGUAGGCAGAGAAGUUGAGUGUCGCGGCACUCAACACCCAAAACGUGAUGCUUCGGGACAAAAAGGUUGAGUGAGGGCCGCGGUGCUAGGUCGGGGCCCAACCCCAACCCUUUAAAACCUGUUUUGUUUUUUUUGGCUACUUCUUCUUUCAUUUUCUUUAUCUCCUGCCGCCAAACACACACACUCCCCCAUUCUUUUACUGCAACUCUCUUGCUUCUCUCUUUUUCCUUUUCAAUCCAAAAUUCUGCAGUUGAUUUCUACUUAGAUAUUUUUUUUAAUCCUGCACUUGUUACACUCUUAAGGUAACCAUUCCUCAUUCUCUCCUGCAUAUAUUUCUUUUUCCAUUUUUUUUUUGUAGAGAGAAGCAAAGGUUGUAAAUCAUAUAAUUUUUGCUUAUUGAAUGAGUCUAUUAUGCGUGUUAGUUAAUGGGUUUCUCACACUUCUUCCUGAUUAACAUUUAAAUUGAAGACAAUUUUGACGUUUGCUACAAUUUUUGUGAUACCCAUAUAAUAAAUUCAUAGAUUUUUGGUUGCUACAAAAUUAUUUGAUAAAUGCUUGAUUGUUGGAAGUAUAUGAUGGGUUUGUUUACAUUCUUAUGCUUGGUUGAGCCAGUAGAAUUAAAUUUUGGACUUAUGGAGCAACACAUGCCAUAUUUAUAAUGUUGGAUGAGUACAUUGUCAUAGAUAUAAUUUUUGAAUUUCUUUUGUGAAUUAUGGCAUUGUGCAAACUAUGAUUAUGAGAAGGCUAUCUUAAUUGUGUGAGGCAUAGAGACUUUAGGCUGCAUCUCAAGAAGUAAGAUUGUCAAUGGAAAUCUUGAAUUUGAUUUGUUCCAUUGGACAGGCACUAAUUAAGCUCAUGCAUAUAAAUCUUUCAUAUUUUCAUGCUUGUUGAUACAAUACUACUUACCUAUUUUUCCUCUGAAUUUAUGUUGAUAAUUAACUUUCUUUUGUAGCAAUGGCACCAAAGCGAUCCAAGCCAAGUUCAAGUGGAUCUUUUGAUAGAUCAAAGUUUAUAUCUACCGAAGCCUUUGCGCACUAUCAUACAUCCUUGAUCAAUAAAGUGCCCAUUCCAAAACGAGGCAUAGAGAUCCCCAUUCUGCCUUACAAGGAGAUUAAUGACAUGAUUCGUGAUAGAUAUUGGCAUCAAUUUUGUCACCAACCUGAUGCAGCAGUGGUUCCUAUAGUACGAGAGUUUUAUGCAAAUGUGGUUGAGCAUGUUGAUGGUGUGGCAUUUGUUCGUGGUAAACGUGUUCCUUUUCAUAGCCAAGCUAUCAACGAAUUUGUGAGAACUCCAAAUAUUGAAAAUGAUGAAUAUGUGUAGUAUUUGGGCGAUCAUCAGGAUUGCAAUGAAGUUAUAUCAAUGUUGUGUGUUGAAAGCGCCCAAUGGAAGACAUCGCAUGGUGAGCCAGUUUCAUUCAAAUAGAGUGUCAUGAAAAAAGAGUUGAAAGUUUUGUUACAUUUUGUAGCGGCACGGUUACUCCCUUCCACUCAUAUCAAUGAUGUCACGAAGGAUCGUGCAGUGCUUAUUUAUGCCAUUGUCACACAUAAAUCCAUUGAUGUUGGUAAGGUUAUCUCUCAUGCCAUCUUACAUACAGGUCGCACUAAACAAGAUGGUAUCAAUUUUCCUUCCCUCAUCACUGCCUUGUGUGCGCGAGCUGGUGUGCAAUGGUGAAAUACCCCAUACUUUGAAACAGUGAUUAAUAAAGUUGAUCGGAUGUAAAUUGAGGUCAAUUAAAAUGUUUAAAAGUGAUAAAAGAUGAAAGGAAUAAUUUAUGAUAAAGUAUUUUACACGCGAGUAAAUAAUAAUAAAAUAAUAAUAUUUUAUCGGAGGAGAAUUUGAGAGAUAAAAGGGUGAUUCAGAGGUCAAUUGAAGUAUAAUAAGGAACUUUGGCAACCAAGGAGACAAGAUAAAAUUUUUAGAAUAGAAUAAUAUUUUAUUAAUAAAAUAAUAUUAAAAUAUUAAUAUUUAGCAGGAUGUCGAAAUCAGUCAUGAAGAAGGAUCAUAUGGUUGAUCCAAGUGGGGGAGAAGAUGUCAAGCCUGACUCUAUAAAAUACUUGUCAUGAAAUACAUGUGGUGGAUAGCAUGUUUGCAUGCUAGGAGAGUCUCGAAAAAUCGACAAAAGUCAAUAUUGUACCUAGAGGUACAACAAAGUUGAUUUAAGCCUUAAACUAGAUCAAAUAGAGAAUUUAAGAUGAAAUUAAGAAUAUUAAAGUCCCAGAAUGGUUUAAUAUGGUGAUUUGGAGUUCGAGGAUCAAUUUAGAGUCAAACCGAAAUUUUCACUAUCUAAGGGCAAAAUGGUAAUUUUACCACUUGAGGAUAAAAUUGGAAUAUUGGAAGAAGUUUUUGAUCAAGAUUGAUCACAUUUGACUCAUUGGAGUAUAAUUUGAGGUUGAUAAGUGAAAAAAAAAUUGUAAUCCCGGUAUUUUCGAAGCAAAGGGGUAAAAUGGUAAUUUUGCCACCUCAGGGGUAAAAUUGUAAUUUUACCCACCCGACACUUGUCCAGCACAUGGAUUUUAUCCAAUACUAUCAUGGAUAAUUGAAGGAAUUUAAGUGGUGGAGAGAGAAAACUUUAUAGUUAAGAAAUUUAAAAAGGGCCAAUGACAUGAUGCCACGUGUCAUGCCUUUAUUAAUUUAUUAUUUUUCCUAUUUAAAAGGCACAAAAACCAGCCCAUCUUCCACCCCAUGGUCGGCCAAACCAGCAAGAAGAGAGAGAAAUCAAAAACCAAACCCUAGAGAGAGAAAAUCAAAGAAAAAGUGUGAAUUUUCAAGGAAAUUAAGUGAAAAAUGUAAGAUUUUUUCUAUUAAGCUUGAGUUUUCUUAUUCCCAAGCAUUUCUCCUUAUUUUCCAUAAUUAAAUUGCAUGUUUUCAUGGCUGGUCAUAUGGGUCUAGAGAAAGAAAAUUGUUGGAUUGAUUUGAUUUUGAUAUAUGUUGGUGUUUAGUGUUAGUUUAGCAUGUUAGUAAACAAAAUAUGUAGAAAAACAUUCAUUUUUUCCAUUACCUAGCCUUAGCUGAAUUUUCAAGUCAAUGGUGAGGAAGAAUGUGAUGUUAUUUUAGGUUAUUUGAUUAUGAAAUCAUGGUUUUUGAUAUGGAAAUUAAUGAAUAAUGGAAAGAAAAUCAAGUAGGAAAAAUUGUGACAAUGAUGCACCAUUUUGGCCGAAUUUUUUCAAGAAGGAAUAUGAAUGUGGCUUUGCUGAUUUUUGGGUUAUUUGGCUGGACAUUGGUGAUUUGAAGCAUUAGAAAAAGAAAUGGGAUCAAUUGGAGCUAAAUUGGAUGUGUAUUUCAAUUUAUCAAGUAAAAGACCAAAAUAGGUCAAUACGGUGUUUAGGCAAAAUUUAGACCUUUUGCAUUCCAUAUCAUGCAUUAGUAGUCUAAAUUAGUUUAAUUUCAAUUUAGUACCAAUGUGGUGAAUUUCUUGAUUUUAUACUAUGUCAAGGUGGUGAGUCCUCCGAUAAAGGCAAGGGAAUUGCAUCCGAGGACCAAUAGUCUGAGUAUUUUGAAAAUCCCCACUCUAGACAUUGUGAGUAACCUUAUCAUCAUUUUAAUUAUCUAAAUUAUGUUUUAACUCAGUUUUGGUGAAAUUUUAUGAAAAUGAGUUAAAUGGCUAAGUUUAGGUUUUGCAAACAAAAAUAUGUUUAAAUGAAAAGAUUUUAUAAAUUGUCUUGAAAAGAAAAAACGAUUUUGAAAAUAGAGUAAUUGGAGACCACUGGUAUGUUGCAAAUUUAUGAUUGGAAAUUGAUGGCUUAUGUUAUAUUGUUAUUGUGUUGGCAUGACUGGUUGGGCUGUGUUUUAUGAAUUGUAUGAAUUAUUUUAUUUUACCCUUGCAAGUUGGGUAGUAAAAUAUUAGCCCUGUCAUGCUGUCAAAAUUUAUUGUAUGGUGGGUUUAGCUUGCUGCAGUAGGCAGAUUCUGUGGACCAGCCUAUUAGAAGGGCACGGAAUCUGGAUAUAUAUAUAUGUACCUCGAUCGGAUAGGCACGUAGGGUAUCUUCUGAGGUAUGGACAGAGUUCACAUCACACUGAACCACCUCGUGAUGAUGAACUACGCUAACACCAAGGAAUGACUGUGUUUUUCAAACUAAAAAUAUGUUUUACGAGUAUACAAAAUUUUAACAGCCUUGGCGGGCUCGAGUGUACGCCUCUGAUCAAGGUGUCAUCGAGUAUAUUUGAUGGCAUGAGCCAACUGUUUAUGAAAGUCAUAAGCCCUAAUGAGAAAUUAAAUGAAAUACAACCGUUUGCAUGGGUUGGGAUGAAUUUUCAAAUUGUGAAAUACUUAAAAUGAUGGGAUAUUUUAAUUGUCUCCUUUUACUCGGCUUGAGCUGAUUUAAAUGGUGUUUGUUUACUCACUGGAAUUUUAGAAUCUCACCACCCUCUUUUUCACCCAUUUCAGGUUUAAAGUAGGCUGUAGAUUGCUGGUUCUAUCGGGGAUUUCCAUUGGAUUAACGUCCUCCACACUGUAGGUUCACAGUUUCUUUAAUUCUAGUUAUUGUGGGCUCACUCGAUGUUGUAAAUUUAAAUUAAUUUAAAUACUCUAGUUUAUUGCGUUAUAGUAUGAAUGAAUUUAUUUUGCUUUCAAGUUACAAAAAGAUUUGCGUAUAACUCUAAAAUUACUAUUUAUAAGAAAAUAAAAUAUUUUAUUGAAUAUUUUGUUUUAUCUUCUUAUUAUAUUCAAAUAAUUAUAAUUUCAUUUUAAAUAAAGGUUUUAGAUGCCUAAACUUAUUUUUAAUUAUAAAUUAUGCGAUUGGUACUUGUUUGCUACAUUUUUAACUGGUUUCAAAGUUUUCAGUGGAAAAUGACCAAAAUACCCCUAUGAGGCAAAAAUUUUUAUUUUAUCAGUUUUAAGUUGGAAAUAGCUCAAAAUCCUUUAGAGCAUAAAAUUUGGCAACGGUUACUCACCGGGGGAAAUGAGAAACUGAUAUUAAGCCUUGCGAGGUUCCGGUUGGCAUUUCGGGAAAUGAGUGCCCAUCAGAGCACCGCGGGGGUUGUCACGGGUUCGAGGGGAGUUCUGGGUUGUGACAAAUGGAGUGAUAAAGAAGACUUUCAACAACCAAAACUUCCUAUCACCAUGGGCAUUCUCUAGAGAUUAGAGGAAUCUACACAAGUUGCUGGUAGUUCUUCCCAAGUCGUUUUCCCACCUCCACAGGCAGUGCCCACACAUAGUGUUGCUCAAUGGAUGGAGUGCCUCGAUCGUUGUUUAGAUCGUUAGGAAAGGCAGAAUCGAGCAAUUGAACAGAUGAUGUGAGCCUAUGCUACACACGUUGGGAUGGAUAUGUCUACGUUUCCUUCGUUACCUACGGAAUAUGACUCUGAAGAUGAUUUUAGUGGUGCUGAUGCGGCGGACUUGUAGAGUACUGAUUCUGAGUGAGGGGAGUAUUCUUGUCCCUUGUCUUUUAUUUUUGUUAUCACAUUGAGGGCAAUGUCCAUUUCCAGUUUAGGGGAGUAGUUUAGACUUUUGUUAGUUUAUUUUUUGUUGCUUGAUUUUAUUUGCAUGUUUUGUUGUGUUUUUGAAAAAGAAAAUAAAAAUAAUAAUAAAAAUAAUAAUAUUUUGAGAUAGUUGUACCUUAUUCAUGAUUGUCCCAAUCCUAGGAUGAUAUUUUAAUUAUUUUUUGAUUCUUAGCUUUUGGGAAGCAUAUAGUUAUGAUUUAUUUUCAUAUGAUAUUUUUGUGUUAACUUUAUUUUAGAAUAUGACUUUCAAUAAUUUGAGCACUACACUCUUUUACUUAGAAUCUUUUGUGUGAUUUAGAGAAAGUUUAUGUUGAAUAGAAAGUAUAGUGAAGUCAAGAAUUCUAGAAUUUGUUUGAUUCUCUCUCGAGGUGAAAUCUUAGAUAACACUUAGGAUAAGAAGUGAUUUAGGCCAUCUUUGGAUCGUUUGAGCCUUUUUGAGCCUACCUUGUUAUAUUUAACCUUAGCCACCCUUUCUGAGCCUAAUUUACCUUUUCUUUGUAAUUACACAGUUAUAUGAGCCUUGGCCUGUUUAUUUAAUUUCAGCAAUUUGAACCUUUCACCCUUUAAGUAUUUUAAUCUUUCUUAGGAAUGAUUUGAGCUUAAGAAUAAAGUGAGGGAGAAGAUGCAAAAAAAAAUGAUGGUUGUUAGCAAAAUUACCCCUAGUUUAUAAUUGUCAAAAAUAAGUUUGGGGGUUGAAGAAAAAAAAGGAGAAAAGAAAAGAACAAAUUCUGUGGUACAAAGGAAAGUUUACUUCAAGUUUGGGGGUGGUUUAAAAAAAAAAUUUGAGCUCUUUAUAUGAUCUAGAUUGAUUAAGUGCUUAGGGUGAAGUUGAGCUUAAAUAUAUGCUUUAUCAUACCUUGACCCUAGCCUUACAUUACAAGCUUGAUAAAGAUCUAUUAAUCCUUAAAUAAGUGUUCAUCUACAUUAGUGGAGAGAGAGAUGAAAAGCAAACUUAUGGAAUCUUAGUACUAAUCUAUGCUUAGAUUUGGCAUAAAUUGAUUUGAAUUGCAUGAUAUUCUUUGUAAGAGAGCAUUCACACACACACGGAAGUCCAUUCGAAAAAUAAGUUUUCACUUGAAUUGAUGCAUGAAUUUAAGGAUUAGCUGUAUGAAUUUAAGGAUUAGCUGUAUGUUACCUUAAGUUAGAAUUGGAGUUAAUUUCUGAGGAAAAAUUGGGAAAUCAUGAUUUGGUAUUUCUAUCUCUUGUUCAAGCAUUUUUUUAUGUUCAGUUUUCUUUUGUGAUUUUCUUUUGCUUGAGGACUAGCAAAAUCUUAAGUUUGGGGGUGUGAUAAUUCUAUUAUAUAGAGUUAUUUUACUUUAAUUUUAUGUUUUUCUUGUUAAUUUGGUUAUUAUUUAUUGGUUUUUAUUUCUUUUGUAGGAUUAAAGGUGAUUGGGCUUAAUUUUUGGAAAGUAAGGUGUAGACAGACCCAAAAAUCUGUUUGCAUAUACUUUGGUAUUUUGGCCAUAUCUCGAGCUACAGAACUCCAAAUGAUGUGAUUCUUGGACCAGUUGAAAGUUAAGAGACAGAGCUACAACUUUUAUGAGAUUAAUUUGCGCAUUUCUGCUUUGAAGAUAGAAAAAAUAGUAUUGGAUAAUGGCUAGACGUACUGUACCAAGAAUGAAAAUUUGUAAAGACUGAUAAUUAAUUUUUGGGCCUUCAUUACACUUUUAAGCCCAAUUAAAUCCUAGGUCAGCUGAAGGAACUUUAGGUUAAGUCUAUUAGUAUAAAUAGGAUAUGUUUAAUAACAUUAGGGGCAGAACUUUUGAGAGAUUCAAGAAAGUAGAAGUUGAGGCUAAAACUUGGAGAUCAAGUCAGCAAUAAUUGUUUUGUGUUCUUCCUUAGCUUUUAAUUUUCUUGUUACUUUCAAUGGUUAAAUUUAUUAUAAUGUUAUUUGUUUUUAUAAUUAUGCGUGGCUAAAUUUUCUUUUUCUAGGAUUGCAAUUGAACUCACAUGUAGGCUAAAUGUUUAAAUCUCUUUCUUACUUAUUGUAAUGGGAUUUGAAUUGUUUAUUUCAAUUUGUUCUUACUGCUUUUAAUUGUCUGAUCACUAAUUAAAUUGAUCUCGGAACCUAAACAAACUUGGGAAAGGGAGUUUAGAGUAGACUAAAAUUGGGAUAGCAUAUGAUCAAAUUAAUUGAUUUGCUUAUAGGAUAGUGAUAUACCUAUAGGCCGUAUGUAGCUAGAUUAGAGCCUAAACUUAAUGAGUCUAUUUUAAUUUCAAAUCACAUAGGGAUAUAGUGUUUUGGUUAAAAUAGAUAUUUUUAUAGGUUGAGUUGGGAGACCCUUAUAAAUAAUUUAGGACUCUAGGUUAGCAAUUCAACCCAUUGAAAUAAGUUAAGUAAGAGAGGUAAGAAUUAGAUGAAGUGUGAGGGAUAUUGUAAUCCUAGGCUUUUUUGAUUUGAUAUUUUCUCAAGUUAUUAUUUUGAUAUUUCUUGUUGGUUUUAAUUUUAGCUUUAUUUAAUUAUUUAAUUUUGAUUUUUUGGAUAAGAUUAAAUUAUUCUAAUUUUAGUACUUAGUAAAGUUUUAGAUUAAUUCUCUGUCGGAUUGAUACCUUGCUUGCUAAUAUACUAUCUACUCGAUACGUAUACUUGCGUAGUAGGAUUUUAACUGACACAGUACUCAAACUUUAACAAGAUUUUUGAUCACCUUCCAUGCCAAACUAGGCAAAGUCGUAAACAUGAAAGUUGUAGCACUUUUUCUCUUAUCUUUCCAAUGGUUCAACAAUCAUCUCAUUUGAAGCUUUGUAGAGAGAGUUGUGGUCAAAAUACCGAAACAUGUGCAGUGGAAGUCUGCAUCUUGAAAUUGCUCUCCUUCUUCCAUGAAUAGUCUUCCUUCAUUAAACACCUACAAAAGCACAAAUAAAUCAAUAACAACCUUUCUUAAUCAAAUAAACACCAAAUUAAGCAUAAAAUUAACUAAGAUUAGAUUGACUCACCUAAAUUAACUAAUAUAAAAUAGUUAAAUAAAGCCUACUAAUUUUCAUGCAUUAUUACAAGAACUAAGCUAAAAUACUAUCAAAAUUAUGUCCAAAUAACUCCAUAUCAUAGAGUUAUCACACCCGCAAACUUAAUAUUGGGCUAGUCUUCAAGCAAAACAUAGAAAAAAAACUAACUUACGAAAAUAAAUUUCAGAUGGUGAAAACAAAAUAAGUAUAGUUACUCCUACUAGAGAUAAAGUGCAUCAACUCAAUGAUUCCCCAUAAUUUCCUCAAAAGUAUGUCUAUCAAUCAUUAGCCUAAGGAAAAAUAUAGGCAUCAUUCAAAUUCAUGUUUCAAUUCCAAUGCAAGCACAUUCUCGAAUAGAUUUUUUUGUGUGUGUGAAAUAUUUUACCAGGAAUAUCAUGGUAUCUGGAUAAGUUUAUGCCAACACAAAUUUCAAAUUAGUACUAGAACUCCAUAGGUUUACUUUUCAUCUUUCUCUCCACUAACGUAGACUAACACCAAGUUUGGAAUCAAUAGGACUUUAUACAGCUUGUAAUGUAUGCCUAGGGUCAAGGUAGGAUUUAAGAUAAUAAUGUGGCUCAAAUCACCCUAAGCACAUAAUUAUUCUAGGACCUAUAUAUCGAGCUCUAUUUUUCUUCUCCUAGUGCACCUUUUCCUUCACAUUUGAACUUUACUUUCAUUCAACAUCUUUUGUUUUAUUUUUUUUUCACAAUUUCACACCUCUAAACUUAUUUUCUUUGUAUUGUAGGUAGUGGGGUUAUUUUUCAUAUUUUGAACUUUUUCUUUUUCACAUCAACAUCACCUUUCCACCUUUUAUAACAUUUAGCUCAAUUUAUACUUCCCAAAACAAUAUACAUGCUUAGGAAUGAGAGUUGCAAAAUUGGAAAUUUUAUAUAGAGUUAGGCUCAAUUAUUAUGUAGUUAAAUAAAGAAAAGGGAAAUUAAGCUCAAAGGGAUACACUAGAGAUAAAGAUUUAACAAGGUUGGCUUUUUAGGCUCAAACGGUCCAAAGGUGGCCUAAAUCAUCUCCCUAACUAAGUAUUACUUAGGAUUUUGCCUCGAGAGAGAAUCAAGUAAAAUUUAGAAUUCAUGACAUGAUUGAAAAUUCACAUCAAUAUAAACCUUCUCUAGAUAUUCACAAUAAUUUAAAGCAAAAGAUAAAGUGCUCAAAAUUGUUGAAAUCACAUUCUAACAAUGAUACUUAAUAAUAAAAUUUUGCCUGAAUCCAAACAAAAACCUAAUUCACUAGAAGUGAAGAAUUCAAAACGCUUAGUUAUCAUCAUUGGAUAAAGAAAUCAUCGAAAAAUUGGCGCAACUUUAUUCUAGAUUCCUAAAAUUCGAACAAAUAAGAAAUUCAUUUAACAACUAAUCGUAAAUUAUUUAUAAAUCUAGAUACACAUGCAAAUAAAACUAAACCUAAAACUUCCAUAGAAUAUUCACCACUAGAAAAAUAAAUUCACCCCCCAUGCUUAAACUAAAGAUUGUUUUCAAUGUUAAAAAAAAUAAAAGAAAAGUAAAGAAUACUUCUCUGAUGGUUGGAUGAAUCUGGAGAAACUCUAAUUCUCCUUCUCAUCUCCAUCAUCCUCUGUAUCAUUGUCCUCAUUGUCUUCUGCCUCGUUGGCACCCCUAGGAGGAUUAGAUGCUAGUGGAAGAGUAGACAUGUCCAUUCCCACAAAAGCAUCAUAAGAUUGAAACAUGUGGUCCAUAUGUUGAUUAUAUUGGAUUUGAUCAAACAAACAGUUGGAAUUUUGUCUUGCUUGGUCAGGUGCCAUUCUCAAUUUUUCCACAGUCCUAAUUUCAGGUUACCAAAGAAUUAUAGAGCACAAAUCUAAAAAAUCUACCAUACUCAAAAAUAAUUAAGCACAAUGACUCAAGAAUCAUCAAUAACUAACACAAUUUCUCAAGAAAAUAAAUAAUGUGAAGAAAGUUAACAAAAUUUCUUAAAAAUAAAAAAAAAAGAAAAGAAAAAAAUAAUAACAAUAAAAAAUAAAUAAAAGAAAUAUUGAAACUUACUUGAAAUCUUCAGUAAAAGUGUUGAAAAUAAAUUUGGGUAAUGGGUAUAGAGGAAUGAAAAUGAAAAGGGAAUAAUGGUAAGUGGAGAAUAAUAGGUAGGAAAGAAGAUAGAAAAGUCCAAAAUUUUGCAUAAAAAAAUGGGACAGAGCUAUAGUGAGAAAAAAGGGGUUUUAUAUUGGAAGGUGAAGGCUUCCUUAUUGUGGUAGUGCAAAUAAAAGGGGGGUUUGUUUGGGUAAUGGGUUGCCCAUUAUUAGCAACUCAUAUCAAUAGGGGCAAUGGCCUGGCCUUAAUGGGAGUCGUGGCCCAUGUUAUAAAAACCCGCAAGGUCACGACCCUCAGUCAAGCCCAACUCUAUAAACUAUUUUCCAUGUCAUUCAUAUGCUUGCAUACUUGGAAAGCCCCGAAAAAUCGUUAAAAGUCGGUAAUGAACCUAGUGGUACAACUAAGCUGAAUUAAGCCUCAAACUAGUCCAAAUAGAGAUUUUAAGAUGAAAUUGAGAAUUUUAAAACCCCAGAAUAACUUAAUAUGGUGAUUCGGAGUUCGAGAAUUGAUUCGGAGUCAAAUUGGAAUUUUCAUGACAUAGGGGCAAAAUGGUCAUUUUGCCACCCAAGGGUAAAAUUGGAAUUUUACAUCACCCAACACUUGUCAAGCCCUUGAAUUUUACCUAUUAUACUUUGGAUAAUUGAGAUAUUUUAGUGGUGGUGGGAGAAUGCUUAAUUAUUAAGUUUAAAAAUGGAUCAAUGGGAUGGUGACAAGUGGCAAGUUUUCAUUUCUUUAUAAUUUACAUUAAAAACCAGCACACACCUCUCUUAUUCAUUCUUCAUGUUCGGCCUCACCAAGGAAAAGAGGAAAGAAAGAAAGAACAAAUCCCUAGUUAGAAAAUUCAAGAGAAAAUUUGUGGAUUUCAAGGAAUUAAGUAAGUAAAGGUAAAAUUUCUUGAUUUUAGCUUGUGAUCUACCUUUCCUAUGCAUUCUUUUUCAUUUUUCAUGGUUGAGAAUCAAGUUUGCAUAAGGAUACCUUUGCUGGCCGAACAUGAGGGGAGGAGUUUUGAUCUUGAAUUUAGCUAGAUUUCAUGUUAUUCUAGUAUAUUUAGUUGGUUGGUGAUGUGUAGCAUAAAAAGCAAAUAAGAAAAAUUCAUGUUCUUACAUCACCUUCAUUGGCCGAAUCUUCCUUAUGGUAUGUGGAUGGUGGAUUUUAUUUUAUUUCAAGUGAUUUGGUUAGGAAUUAAUGAUUUAUGGUGUAAAAAUCAAGUAUGGAAAAACCAUAGUGUUUAUGCACCCAUCAUGGUUGAAUUUUCCAAGAGAAAAUGUUGAGGAUGAUUUUGCUAUAAUUCAUGUUAUCUAGCUUAUAUUUGAUGAUUUGGAGUAUUGGAAGUGAAAUGAAUUUGUUUGGAGUUACUUUGGAUGUUUUGGUUAAAUCAAAGGUGAAGAGUUAGAAUUAGGUUGAAAACUGACCAUUCCGAUCAUCCUUGAACCAACGUGAAUUCCAUUUUUCAGUGACUAUCCAAACAACCACAUGCAUUCAUAUAAAGCCUGAAAUAGAUUUAUAAUUAUAUGACACAAUAUAUUGAAUUAUUUGUCGUGUAUUGUGUAUAAGUGGUGAGUCCUCUAACAAGGCAAAGACAUUGUGCUAGAGGACCAAGAACAGGAGUAUUUCGAACUCUCGAUAUUGAGAGUAACCUUAUUAUCAUCUUAAUUAUCUAAAGUAGUUUUUAUUCGUUUUUGUGAUUUUAUAGAAAAUUGAGUUUAAAUGGUAAAUCCAUAUGUUUUAUAAGUAAAAUGUGAUUAAAUGAAAUGAGUUUUAUAAAUCAUUUUGAAAUUGAAUGAUGAUUUUAGAAAUGGAGUAAUUGGAGACUGUUUGUUUGUGUUGUAAAUUUAUGGUUUGAAUUGAAUGGAUUAUGGUGAUAUUGGCUUGAAUGGUUGAAUUGGAAAUUAUGUUGAAUAUAUGAACUGUUUUGCUUUGCCUUGACAAGCUGGUAAUAUUAUAUUAGCCAUGUAAUACUGCUAAAAUUUUAUUGAUUUGGUGAGAUAUCGAUUAGCUGACUGCAGUGGACGGGAUUCUAUAGACUAGCCUGUUAGAGGGACACGGUAAACCCUGUUUCAUUUUAUUUUACCUUAGUACGAGAGGCGCAGAGGGUAUCUCCUGAGGUAAAGCUUCAGAGUUCACUUCACGCCGAACCACCACGUGAGAAUGAAUUCAGCCAACGUCAAGGAACGGUUGUGCUUUUAAACGUAAAAAUGUGUUUUAUGCGUAUAUGACUUUUUAAACAGCCUUGGCGAUCUCGAUUGGAUGCCUCUGAUCAAGGUAUCCCCGAGAAUGAGUUUUGGCACGAGCCAAGUUUUUAAGAGAUUCAUAAGCCUCAAUGUAUAUUUUGGAUGAAAUGUAACUGGUUUAGAUGAUUUGAAAUGUGUUUUGAGGUUAUGAACCAUUUUAUGAUGAUCUAUUUUAAAUUGUCUCCAUUUACUCGGCUUUAGAUAUUUUAGAUGAUGUUUGUUUACUCACUGAGUUUAUAUAAACUCACCACCCUCAUUUUCACUCAUUCCAAGCUCAGGAUAGUCAGUAGAUAGUUGAUUUCGUUGAGGGCUACAGUUGGAUUUGCAUCCUCAAAAACCGUAGGUUCACAUCCUUCGUUACUUUUGGUCAUUCGGGGGUCCACAUGUCAUUGUAAAUUAAGUUACACACUUUGGCUCACUGUGUUACUGUAUGUAUAAAUUUAUUUUGCUUUUACGCUAUAAAAAUUAUUUACGCGUAGUUUUAUAAAAAUUAUUUUAUAAGAAAAUGGAAUAUUUUAUUCAAUAUUUUUAUUUUAUCUUAAUAGCUAUCAUUUCACUUUAAAUGAACGUUUUAGACAUCUAAACUUAUUUUUGGUUAUGAAAUAUGUAUCUUUCACUCAUAUAAUACAUUUUUAGAUGGUUUUGAAAUUUUUGGGGAAAAAUGACCAAAAUACCCCUGUGAGACCAAAAUUAUUUUCUUUAUUGUUUUGGUUUGGAAAUAGCUUAUCAUCUUUUAAAAUGUGAUAUUAUCAACUGUUGCUCGCAGGGGAGGUGAGAAAACUGAUAUUAAAGCCUUGCGGGGUUUCGAUUAGCAUUCCGAGUAAUGAAUGUCCAUCGGAACAUCGAUGCGGUUGUCAUAGGCUCGAGGAGAGUACCGGGUCGUGACACCCUCACUCUCGUAGGCCAUUAAGCUGCGACUUUCCUAUAAGGGAGCCACUGCUUUGAUGGUUUUUUUCUUUUUUUUUCCAAAUGAGGCCUCAACCUAAAGCCCAAUAGGCCACAGCCACAUCAAUUAGAGUUCGGGAGGCCAUGGCCAGCGUCAAUUAGAGUCUAGGAGGCUACAGCCUACCCCUUUUUUGAAAAUUUUUUUUUGAAUUUUUUUUACAUUUUUUAUAGGGAUUUAAAUUUACUUGUAAAAUAAAAAUAAAGUGUUAAUAAUUUAACAAUUAAAUAAAUAAAGAAAAUAAAAGAGAGUAAGUUAAAGUGCUUCGGUUACCUCCCAAAAAGUGCUUAUUUAUAGUCAUUAGCUUGACUAUGACACCUUGUUUUGCGCUACUUUAUGUGACUCUAGACUUUCUUUAUUGACCUUGACUGCUCUGGUAAACCCACUAUAAAUCUUGAUUACAUCAUAAGGAUGAAUUUUUACCACCUUGAAGGUUUCCCCCAAUAUGGCUUAAGAUUCCAUGGUAAAAGAUGGAUUUGUGAAUAAGAAAAUACUACUCACUGUCCAAUCACAAAAUCAAGAUAAUUGGAAAGUGGUGGCAGUUUUGUCUCAAAAGCUGACGCUUGCUUCAUUGAAGGUGGUGGAAUAGGCUUACUGUCAAGCCCAACUCUACAAUAUGUUUAUUAUGCCAUUUCUACAUGAGAAUGCAUGUUUGCUUACUUGGGUACGUCAAAAAUCGUUAAAGGAUGACAAUGUACCAAAUGGUACAAUUAAGUUGAAUUAAGCCUCAGACUAGUCCAAAUAGAGAUGUUAAGAUGAAAUUAAGAAUUUUAAAACCCCAUAAUGACUUAAAAUGGUAAUUUGGAGUUCGAGGAUCGAUUUGGAGUCAAAUUGGAAUUUUCAUGACCUAAGGGCAAAAUGGUCAUUUUGCUACCCAAGGUUAAGAUGUGAGUGUUGGAUGAAAUGUUUUACUAAGAUUGAUCAUUUGGAGUAUAAUUUGAGUUUAAGAAGUGAAAAAUUUUAAUUUCGACAUUUUUCGAAGCAUAAGGGUAAAAUAGUCAUUUUGCCACGCCAAGGGCAAAAUUGUAAUUUUACACCACCCAACACUUGUCCAACACAUGGAUUUUACCCAAUAUUAUCAUGGAUAAUUGAGAAAAUUUAAGUGGUGGAGAGAGAUUGCUUAAUGGGUAAGUAUGACACAUGGACCAAUGGAAUGGUGACAUGUGUCAAAUUCUCAUCCAUUUAUUAUUUUCCUUAUAAAUUAGCACAAAAUCAGCCCAUUUCUCUUCAUAUGGCCGACCAAAGGAAGAACAAAGGAAGCAAAGAAAGAACAAGAACCCUAGGGUGAAAAUUCAAGAGAAAAUUGGUGGAUUUCAAGUAAUCAAGCAAUCAAAGGUAAAAUUUAUUGAUUUUGACUUGUGAUCUACCUUUCCCAUGCAGUAUUUUGCAUUUUCCAUGGUUGAAUCACAAGAUAUCAUGAAGGAUUCAUGGCUGACCGAAUUUAGAGAGAGAAGAUUUGAUGAUUUAUUUGGUUAGAUUUUGAGAUAUUUUAGUGUUUUUAGUUGAUUUAUCAUGUUUGGAAGGAAAACAAGUAAGAAAAAUCACAUGUUCUUCAUGGAUUCUUCAUUGGCCGAAUUUCAUAAAGACAAUAUUGAAGAUGAAUCUUGUGAUGUCUUAUGUUAUUUAGUUAGAAUUUAAUGAAUUGUGGUGGUGGAAACCGAAAAUGGUAAUGUUUAGCAUGAAAAAAUCGUAUACCCUUCAAGAACCUCCAUUGGCCGAAUCUUUCCUAUGGUGUGUUGAUGGUGGAUUUGAUUUUAUUUAAAGUGAAUUGGUUAGGAAAUGAUGAAUUAUGGUGAGAAAAUCAAGUAGGAAAAAUCAUAGUGUUGAUGCACCCACCAUAGCCGAAUUUUUCAAGAGAAAAUGUGAGGAUGAUUUUACCAUAUUUCAAGUUAUUUAAUUUGUGUUUGAUGAUUUGGAGUAUUGGGAGAAAAAUGGAAUUAUUUGGAGUUGAAUUCGACGUAUUGGCCAAUUAAUUAGGUGAUAGAUCGAAUUAGGCCAAUACUGUUUUAUUUAGGUACAUAAUUGAAUUUGUGUAGGACACCGUGUUCAGACGAUAAUCCAAACAAUUUGCAUUCCAUUUCAUGCAUUAGUCAAGAGCCUGAAAUAGAUUUAUAAUGAUAUGACACAGUAUAUUGAAUUAUGUGUCGUGUAUUGUAUAUAGGUGGUGAGCCCUCUAACAAGGGUAAAGACAUUGUGUUAGAGGAUUGAGAAUAGGAGUAUUUCAAACUCCUGAUAUAGUGAGUAACCUUACUAUCGUCUUAAUUAUCUAAAAUGGUUUUUAUCCGAUUUUGUGAUUUUAUGGAAAAUGAGUUUAAAUGGUAAAUCUUUAUGUGUUAUAAAUAAAAUGUGUUUAAAUGAAAUGAUUUUAUAAAUUGUCUUGACAUUGAAUGACGGUUUUGAAAAUAAAGUAAUUGGAGACCAUUUUAUGUAUUGGGAAUUUAUGGUUCUAAUUGAUUGGCUUAUGACAAUAUUGGCAUGAAUGGCUGAAUUGGUAUUUGUGUUGAAAAUGUAUAAACUGUUGUUUGCCUUGAUAGGCUAGAUAAUGAUAAAAUUGCCAUGUCAUGCUAUUGAAUUUUAUUGAAUUGGUGGGUUAUUGAUAAGUCGCUGUAGUGGACGGGUUCUGUGGACUAGCCUAUUAGAGGGGGCACGAUAACCCUAUUAUAUUCUUACCUCAGUAUGAGAGGCGCAGAUGGAUAACUCCUGAGGUUAACACUUUAGAGUUCACUUCACGCCAAACCACCACGUGAGGGUGAAAUCAGCCAACGCCAAGGAACGGCUAUGUUUUCAAAAAUAAAAACAUGAUUUUAUGCGUACAUAACUUUUUAACAACCUUGGCGGACUCGGUUGGGAUAGCCCUCGGCCAAGGUAUCCCUGAUAACUGAGUAUGAGAAUGAUUUUGGCACAAGCCAAAGUUUUAAGAAAUUCAUAAGCCAUGUUGACUACACGAUUUAUAUAAAUUGAUUUUAUUUAGUUGAAAUGAGUUGCAAGGUGAUGAAUUACAGUUUGAUAAACUAUUUUAUCUGUCUCCAUUUACUCAGCUUUAGAUAUUUUAGAUGGUAUUUGUUUACUCAUUGGGAUUAUAUAAUCUCACCACCCUUCUUUCCACCCGUUUUAGGCUCAGGAUAGUCAGUAGAUAACUCACUUUGUUGAGGGCUACAGUUGGACUUGCAUCCUUAAAAAUUGUAGGUUUACCGUUUUUGAUACUUUUGGUCGUUCGUGGGCCCACGUGUCACUGUCAAUUAAAUUUUAUACUUUGGUUAUCUGUAUUACAGUAUGUAUGAAUUUAUUUAACUUUUACGCUAUAAAAAUUAUUUACCGGUAACUCUAUAAAUAUUGUUUUAUAAGAAAAUAGAAUAUUUUAUUGAAUAUUUUUAUUAUAUUCAAAUAGUUAUAAUUUCACUUUAAAUGAAAGUUUAGAUAUCUAAACUUAUUUUUUAUUAUGAAAUAUGUGAUUUCCAAUCGCAUACUACAUUUUUAGCUAGUUUUGAAAUUUUUAGGAAAAAUGACCAAAAUGCCCCUACGAGAAAAAAAUUAUUUUUCUAUUAUUUUGAUUUGGAAAUAGUUUAUAAUCUCUCAAAACAUGAUUUUAGUAACUAAUACUCAUAGGGGAAGCGAGAAAAACUAAUGUUAAGCCUUACAAGGUUUCGAUUGACAUUCCGAGUAAUGAAUGUCUAUCGGGACGUCGCGGCGGUUGUCACGAGCUCGAUGGGAGUUCUGGGUUGUGAAACUUACCUUUACCUCCAUUAACUAAAUCCAUUUUACAGCAACUAUCUGUAUAGGGAUACUAAGUUACAUUGAACAAAUUAAACACUACUUCCUCUUUCCCAACCUUGAAAGUUAUUUUGCCAUUCUUCACAUCAAUAAUUGCUCCAACUGUAGCUAAGAAUGGUAUUCCCAAAAUAAGACGAAUUUCAACAUUAUCUUCAAUCUCGAGCACAAUGAAGUCUACCGAAAUGUAUAUAUGCCCAACUUUAUGCAAAAAAUCAUCUAUAAUCCCAACUUGGUGCCUCAUUGUUCUAUCUACUAAUUACAAGGUAACUAUAGUAAGUUGUAUCUCUUUAAAUCCAAGUUUUCUAGCAAUAGACAAAGACAUUAUUGAAACACUAGCGCCCAAAUCACACAAAGCUUUAGAAAUUUAAAAACUACCAAUAGUGCAAGGAAUAGAAAAACUCCUUAAAUCCUUAAGUUUUCGUGGAAACUUAUUUUGGAUUAUAACACUGCACUCCUUAGUAAGUGUAAUUGUCUCAAAAUCUUCCAAUUUCUUUUUUUGGUUAGGAUGUCUUACAAGAAUUUAAAAUAACUUGGCAUUUGUUCAAAAGCUUCAGCAAAAAGAAUAUCAAUGUGUAGCUUGUUAAAUACCUCAAGAAAUCUUUGGAAGUGGUUGUCAAGUUUUUGCUUUUGAAAAUGUUGAGGAAAAGGUGAUGGAGGUGUGGAAGUAGGUUUUAAUUAUGAUUUUUCUUCUUUUGAAUUUUUAGUAAAUUGUUUAACCACAAUUUCUUUUCUAGCAUCUUUUUCAAUUUCUUUUUAUCAGAUUGAAUUGAAAUUUCAGAAUUCAAAGCUUUAUUACUUACCUUUUUUCCAUUAUGGAGAGUGAUUUCCAUACAAUGUUCUUUAAUUCUCUUUUUAGGUUGGGUUCAGUAUCACUUGGUAAGGUAUCAUGAGGUCUAGCUUGUAAAGCACUGGCAAGUUGACCCAUUUGUGUCUCAAGAUUUCUAAUUGAAGCUACUUGAUUUUGAAUGGAGGCAUAAGUCUUUCUCAUAAACGCAUCAGUCUUUGUCAUGAAUGCAUUAGUCUUUGUCAUGAAUUGCAUGAACAUAUCCUCCAUUGAAGGCUUUUUCUCUGGCAUGGGGGCUUUAAAUGGAAAUCCAAGAGGAAAGUUUGAUUUAAAUGCUGAUAAAGACCUUUAGUUUUUAUUCCAUGAAAAAUUAGGAUGAUUCCUCCAACCAAGAUUAUAAAUGUUGGAACAAGGAUUGUUUUGUUGCCUAUUUCCAACAAAUUGACAAUACUCAAAAUAGAUGGGACAAUUGUCAUUGGAAUGUCCUUCCCCACAAAAUUCAUAUGUAAUAAAGGAGUCCUGAACAACAUUAACACUCAUUUUAUCUAUUUUCUUUGUGAGAGAACCAAUUGUAUAGAAACAGCAUUUAUCACAUCUAAUUCAUGAAUUCUAGCAAUUUUUCUUAUACCCAAUUUUUUAAGUGGCCAUUGAUAAUUAUUGGAAGUUAUCUCUUCAAGCAAAUCAUAAACCUUAUCAAUAGAUUUACUCAUGAGUGCACCUCUAGCGACAGCAUCAAUGGUAGUUCUAAAAGAUCCCCGCAAACCAUUAUAAAAAGUCUAAACUUACAACCAGUUAAGUAAUCCAUGGUGACGAUACCUUCUUAUUAAAUCCUUAUACCUGUCCCAAGCCUCAUAUAGUGAUUCAUAAUCAAAUUGCAUGAAAGAAGUGAUAUAAUUCCGCAUCUUUACUGACUUAGUGAGUGAGAAGAAUUUUGUAAGAAUUUUUUAGCCAAAUCAUCUCAAGUAUUAAUGAAACUAGUAGAAAGCAAAUUUAACCAACUCUUUGCUUUAUCUUUCAAUGAAAAAGGAAAAAGCCUCAAUCUUAUGGCAUCAUCAAUAACACCAUUAGCCUUGAAUGUAUGGCAAAUUUUUAAGAAAUUUACAACAUGAGCAUUCGGAUCAUCAUUAGGCAAACCCCUAAACUGUACAGCAGUUUGAAUCAUCUGAAUGAUUGAUGACUUAAUUUCAAAGUUGUUGGCUUACAUAGGUAGUCUUCGAAUACUAGAAUGGAGAUUUUGUACUUGCGGGACAACAUAAUCCCUUAGAGACUUGGUCUCUUCCUCUUGUUGAUCAGCCAUUGUUUUACUUGGAGUAGAAAUUUUUUUUAUUUUUUUCUCUGAAGUCUUCGAAAAGUCUUUUCAAUUUUUAGAUCAAAAGGAACAAUUUCAAAUUUUAAACUCUUCACAUAAAAUGACAAAAAGUACCCAAAAAUUAAAGAAAAUAAGAGUUUGGAUUAAAAUUAAGAAUGCUUGGUAUUAAUAUUAACAAGAAAGAACUAAAAGUCAACUCUCCGGCAACGACGUAAAAAACUUGUUGAAUUGUCUACCCAUGCAAGUAUCGUAAAGAUAAUAUAAUGAUGAGUAGUGUUAAUCCCACAGCGAAUUGAAUUAAUUCUUACUAUUAAUUACUAAAAUUACAAGCCCUAAUUUUAUCCAAACAUUAAAAAUUGAAUUAAAAAGAAAAACAGAAAAACUAAAAGUACUCUAAAUUUACUUAGCAAAACUACUUUGCUAAACUUGAUUGACUUUUAGACCUAAGAUUAUGAUAUCCCUCAAUACUUCAUUUAAUUAUUAUCUCCCUCUCUUAACUUAGUUUAAUGAAUUAAGUUGCUAACCUAGAUUCUUAAAUUAUUUACAAGUCUUUGUCGAGUUUCUCAUAAAAAUAUCUCUUCUAGUUAAUUUACUAUAUGCCUAUUAAAUUAAAUUAAAGACAGAUUCACUAAGCUUGUGCUCUAAUUUUAGCUACAUAUGGCUUAUAGGUGUAUGUAUACCCUAUAUGUCACGACCCGGAACCUCCCUCGGGCCCAUGAUAACCGCUGCGACAUCCCAAUUGACACUCAUUACCCGGAAUGCCAAUCGGAACCCCGCAAGGCUUACGUAUCAGUUUCUUGCCUUUCUUGUGAGCAAUCGUUGUUAAACAUUCCGUUUUAAACAAUUAUCAGUCGUUUUCGGCUCAAGUAAAUCAAAAGAUAAAAAUUAUUUUAUUUUAUUUUUAAAAGGAAAAUUUAUAGAGAAAUGUUACUAUUCAAAAUAUUGAUUAAAAUAUAGUAUUUUUAUAUAAAACAAUAUUUAUAGAAAAACGUGUAAGUAAUCUUUUGUAACGUGGAAGUAAAAUAAAUUCAUACAUAUAAUAAUUUACAAAGUUAUAAUGUACAAUAAUAAUUACAAUGACAAGUGGCCCGUAAAUACACCAAGUGUUGGUGAUAGUAACCUACUGUCUAUGAGAUAGAGGGGUCAACUGAAAUCCUCGACAAAAUCGGGUAUCUACAAGCUACCACAAGCCUAAAAUAUUUGGAAAGGAGGUGGGUGAGAUUUUACAAUCCCAAUGAGUAAACAGACAUUAUUAUAAAUAUCUAAAGACAAAUAAAAUGGAGGCAAGUUUAAACAACAAAUCACAAACCAUUUCAUAAGGUUUUCAAUUUAUUUCUUAAACCAUAAAAUAUUUGUAAUUUACCAAAACAGUUGUUAAGGCUUAUGACUUUUAUUAGAAACAGGGCUCAAGCCAAAAACUAGUCCUCGGGGAUACCUUGGCCGAGACAUCUAACCUAGUCCGCCAAGGUUGUUAAGAUAUUUACAUGUUAAACACAUGUUAGUUUUGGAAACAAACCGUUCCUUGGCGUUGGCCAAGUUACACAUUCACGUGGGGGCUCGACGUGAAGUGAGCUCUAACAUUACCUCGGGAGUUACCCUCCUCGCCUCUACAACCAGAGUAACUAUGUAACCGAGUUUACAGUACCCCUCUAAUAAGCAGUCUAUGGAAACCCGUCACUACAGUAACUAAACCCAUCAAUUUUAAUAAAAUUUCGACAGUAUAACGUGACUUUUAUUUAUUUACCCAGCCUGCAUAGUAAAAGACAGCUUACAUAAAUUCCCAAUGCAAUUAUAAAAUAUAGCCACAUACACUCAUAUAUCAUAAGCCAUUCAUAGGAAAAUAUAUUUUUCAAGACAAUUAGCAGCCUCCAAUUACUCAAUUUCAUGAUCAAAAGUUUCUUAUUUCAAAUAAUCAACACAAUAUAUUUAUUUGUCACAUUUAUUUCUAAAACAUCAAAAGUCCCAUUUUAAUCUCAUUUUCGUUUCAUAAAAUACAUAAAGAGCAUUUAAAAAUAAACUCUAGAUAAUUUACAAUAAUAAUAGGUUUACUCAUCGUUUGUACAAAUUAAAUGCUUUCUAGGUGCCUCGAUCACUGUUCGUCGGGUACGGCUUCCUUGCCUUUACCGGAAGGCUCUCCUCCUAGACACAUUGCCAAAAUUACACAAUUCACCACAUUGAUGCUAAAUCACUAUAUAAUUGACUUAAAUCUUAUACUAAUGCAUGGUAUGAAAUGCAAUAGCCUAAAACGGCUUAAACGCAGUAUUAACCUAUUUUUGGCACUUUACCCGAUAAAUUGCUAACGCGCUCCAUUUUAGCUCUAAAUUGUCCCAUUUUCUCUCCAACAUUUCUAACCAUUAAAUAUCAGCCAAUAACCCUCUAAAAUCACCAAAAUCAGCUCACUUUCCUCCUUGGAAAAUUCGGUCAAAAUGGGGCAUUUACUCGAUUAAUUUUCCACUUUGUUUUUCUUUCACAUUUAACCAUUUUUCAUCAUUUUCUCUUCAUUUCUCUUAGAAUAAAAAUCAGUUCAUCAUCAUUGUACAUCAUUGAAUAUUCGGCCAAGGGUGGGUAUUGUGAGAAUUUCAUGCUUUCUUGCCCUAUUUGAUUUCUAUACACAUUUAACUAACUAAAACUACCAAUUUAACUAAGAAUCAAAACAUAAAAAUUUCAAAAUCCUUCCCCUUGAAAUUCGGCCAGCCCUUGGUAUCACUUUUUGAUCUCUCUCCUCAAGCAUGCUAAAUGGAAACAAAGGCAUAGGAAAGGUAGAAAUCAAGCUAAAGUCGAAAAAUCUUACCGUUAGACGCGUAAACGGACGAAAAACGCGAAUUCCCCUUUGAAUUUUCUAGUUUUCCUUUGGUUUUUCUCUUUUCUUCCUUUCCUCUCUAUUUUCUCUCUUAUUUUCUCCUUAUGGUCGACCAUCACCUGAUGUAGGGUUUAAAUGGGCUGAUUUUCCUUUAAAAUAAUAUUAAAUCAUUAAAAAGUGCCAUGUGUCAAUUUUUCAUUGGCCCGUUUUUAAAAUUUUGUCCUUUAAACUUCAAUUUUUCACCACUUAAAAUACCAUAGUAAUUCAUACCAAAAAUAAAUAAAUCCUAUGAUUUUGACAAGUUUUGGGUGGUGAAAAUUAAGGUUUUACCCUAGGACGACAAAAUUACCAUUUUGCCCUUAUGUUUCGAAAAUUGUCGAAAUUGAAAAUUUUCACUUCCUAUCAUUUAAUUAUACUCCAAAUAGUUAAUCUUGGUCAAAAAUUUCACUCCAUGAUCAAAUUAUUAUCUUAGGUGGCAAAAUGACGAUUUUACCCUUGAACAUCAAAAUUUUCAAUUUUUUUCCAAAUGAACCCUCGAACUCCAAACAAUCAUUUUUAGUCAUUCUUGGACUGUAAAAUAUUAAAUUUCAUCCUACGAUUCCUAUUUGAACUAGUUCGAGGUUAAAUUAACUCAAGUGUACCGUUAGGUACAAUACCGAGUUUCGUUUAUUCUUAGGAGCUUUUCUAGCGUAAUAACAUGCUACUCUGUGCGUUUAUGUCAUGACAUGUGUUUAUAGGGUCGGGUUUUACACUGUAUGCAAAUCAAACUACUUAAUCAACUAAAUGCAUUCGAUCACAUGCUAUUCUAUUCAAGGUCUACCUAAAUCUCCAUCGUCAAGGUUUAACCUAGGUUUCCAAAUCAAUCUAAUUGGUGAUCAAACAACUAGAAGCAUUAAGAACAAAAUAAAAUAAACAACUUAAAUCUAUCAAACAUAAGCAAAAGAAAGAUAAAUAAAUCAGACUACGUAUUGAGUUUAAUCAUAAUCUUAGAUAAUUAAAUUAGUUCCCCAUCAAGUCACACAUCACCAUUAAAUAAAGUUUAAACAUUAAAAACAAAACCAAGAAAACAAGAGAAUAACAAAAAGAUAGAAAAAAACAAGAAUUGUAAACUUGAUCUGCAAAUCUCCUUGAAUCCUUCAAAUUCUUCUUAGCUUCAAUGACUUUGUAGCUUGAUUCUUUACUUUCAAUCCAAUGUUUCAUUAUCUUCUGAAAGGUUGUUUUUAUUAGGCUUUGAAGUUAAGCCAAGUUGGGUGAAGAAAGAAGUCAAUUCAAAUUAGGAUUUCCUCAUCAAACUAUGUGGGCCAUAGCCUUGACCAAUUAAUUAACAGAAAUUGUAAUUGCUCUAGGAUUGUUGUAGUGCUCAAACUUCAACAAGAUUUUUUACCACCUUUCACACUAAAUUAGGCGAAGUCGUAAACAUUAACGUUGUAGCUUUUUCGCUUAUCUUGACAAUGGUCCAAAAGUCAUCUCAUUUUGAAGCUUUGUAGAGAGUUAUGGUCGAAAUAUCAAAACAUGUGCAGUGAAAGUCUACACCUUGAAAUUGCUCUCCUUCUUCCAUUAAAAUUCUUCCUUCAUUAAGCACUUAGAAAAGCACACAUAAAUCAAUAACAACCUAUCUUAAUCACAUUAACACCAAAUUAAGUAUAAAAUUAACUAAGAUUAGAUUUACUCACCUAAAUUAACUAAUUUAAAAUAAGUAAAUAAAACCUACUGAUUUCUAUGCAUUGCUAUAAGAACUAAGCUAAAAUACUCUCAAAAUUAAGUCCAAAUAACUCUAAAUCAUAGAAUUAUCACUAGGUAAGCAGUUGGUUUUCAUAAAUUAUUCUCUACUAAAUCGAUCGUUGUUAAUUCUGCUUUGGUUGAAAGAACUCUCUACUACUUCUUGAUUCUAGAUUGACUAAAGGCUAUCAAACCUUGCAUUCAUGGUAGCAACAUCUAUUACAUUUCCUUAAAAGGUCUCUCCUAUUUUGCAGCAAGUGAGGAAACCACUUUCUUGAUACUGCCCAUUCAUUGCUCCUCCAUACUCGGCUCUGAUACCAAAGGGUCGUGUGCAAAAGUAAUAGACCUUGAAGCUAGACGAGAAAUAGGAAGAAAAGAAGUUGGUACUGAAUAUAGCUUUUUACGUCCACCUAUUUUUAAUGAAGUAAGUAAACAGGUAGCUACUUCGAGGGAGCCAAAAAACCUCCAAGUACCAGUAAUUGAAUAAAAAAAUGAUGCUCUUAUUACUGGAAUGCCUUAACAAUUUAUAACAUUGACUCUAAUUGACUUUUCCUAUGUUCUAGCAACAAAUAAUGAAAUUAUCUCAAAAAAAUCCACAACUACUCCAUUUAUUUCUCAACAACUCAAGAUUAGUUAAACUACUAGUUGGACAUGUUUCUUUUACUCUUUGAAAUUAACUUCAACAGCCAAAGCUAGCACGUGACAAAUUACAUGUUUCAAAACCUUAUAAUCUUGAUGGUGCCCCAGGAAUGAAGAGAAUGUGAGAAAAUGUAGAGAAUGAGAGAAAUUGUUUUGGUUUUUCUAACUCACAAAACAUCUCACUUUCACUCUUGGUUGUGUGAAAAAAAACUUGUAUGCCUGUUCAGUAUUUUUAGAGACAUUAGAGAUUUAAAGAUAGGAUAUAUCUUCUAAAUUUAAAUGUAAUUAAUUCUUAUUUAAAUUUAAAAAAUUAAAUUUAAAUGUAAGAGACUAUUACAUAGAUAAUCUUUAUUUAAAUUUAAACAAGUUAAAUUUAAUUUAUAUCCUAUCUCAAAUGUUUUUCAAUUAUUCGAUUAAGAAAUAUCAUAACAAUAUCCAACAUUAAUUAAUUAAAUAUUUGCUAAUUAUUUAAAAAUAGUUAAAAUAAUUCCAUGUGAUGUAAGCACACCACAUUUAAAUGUAACAGUGUGCAAAGUAUUGAAAACAGAAGCACCUAGGGAGCUAACUACACGUUUGGUUCACGGAAUAGAUAGGAAUAUAAUAGAAUAACUAUUCCGUGAGAAUAGAAUAAGGUGAGAAUAUAAUAGAAUAGUUAUUAUUUUGUUUGCUAUGAUAAAUGGAAUAGAGUAGGAAUAGUUAUUGUGACUUAUUACAGUAUUUUGUUGGUAAAAAUAACUUUAGAAUAAGAAAAGGAUAAAAGAUACAAAGACAAAAAUACCUUUUAUUAUUUGUAUUAUUAUUUUUUAUUUUAUUUUUUAUUUUAUUUUUUAAAUAUUAAUAUUUUAUUUAUAAUUUAAUCAUUAACAUUACAAAAUAUCAAUAUUUUAUUUAUAAAUUAACUAUAAUUAUGAUUAAAAUAUUAAUACUUUUAAUUAAUUUGUAAACUCAAAAUAUUUUUUUAAUAUAUAAUUGAAAACUUAAAUUUUUUAUUAUAAUAAGAUUUAUUUUCAUCAAAAACAAAAAAAAGUCUUUAUAUAAUUUAGUAAAAUUUAUACCGAAAGAUAAAAUUAAGUAAAUAUUUUCUUUUUGAAUCAUUUAAUUUUAUUUUUAUUAAAAUUAAAAUUUAGUAAUUUAAUAAAUUAUUAUUAAGUAUUAGUAUAAUUUUUUAUUAUUUAUUUUUUAUUUGUAUAUUUUAGUUUAUAUUUUCACUUUAAAGUUUUAAAAUUAAUAUUUUAAAAUAUUAAUAUUUUAUUUUAUACUUUAAAUAUUAUUAUAAUUAAAAUAUUAAUUUUUUUAAUUUUUUAAUGUAAAAAUUAAUUUUAUAAGUUUAGGAUUGUAAUUUUUCAAAGAAAGUAAGGACAUUUUAAUUCAAAAUGUUUUGAAUUCUAUUCCCAUGGCCAUGGAAUAGCUAAUACCAUGGGGAAAGGUGGUAUUAGCUAUUCCUUCCUCCAUAAACAUACCAAACAUAGGUAGAAAGUUUUUGGGAGAAUAGAGGGACCAAACAUGCUAUAACAGUUGGAAUACAUCAUUGAAGUAAAACUAGUAAUUAAAAGUAAACUUUAUGAAAGAAAGCUUUCUUAUUAAAUUUAUACUUUAUUACAAUAAGAAAGAUACUAAAUGAGAGUUGUUAAACUGAAAUACAAGUGAAGUUUUGUCUCAAACAUGAAAGGAACAUCAUAGUUAUCAUUUUUGCUUAAGUAUGUAGAAAUUAUUAAUUUGAAGUCACAGAUGAUGCGGAAUGGGAACUAAGCACAGAUCUUCUUUUCUUUGCAAUGUAGCACCGAAAAGCUCAGUCAUGUCUAAAUCUUCAGGCUUCUUUCCAUUGGGAAGCUUCCAAUCAAAAUGGUAGAGCAGAUUUGCAAGUAAAAGCUCUACACUGGCAAUACCAUACGACAUACCAGGACACAUCCUCCGUCCAGCACCGAAUGGAAUAAAUUCAAAGUCUGUUCCUUUAUAGUUAAUUGAACUAUCGCAAAAUCUCUCAGGAUAAAACUUCUCAGCUUCAGCCCAGUAAUUUUGAUCUUGUCCUAUUGCCCAUACAUUAACUAUGACCCUAAAUUUGGCAGGUAUGACACAUCCGUUAACCUCACAGUUCACUUGGCAUUCUCUUGGAAGUAGCAAAGGACCUGUAGGGUGCAAUCUUAGUGUCUCUUUGAUAACUAGUCUGAGGUACUUCAACUCAUGAAUGCCUAAUUCAUCAACAUCUCUUCUACCAGCAAAGACAUGCCUCACCUCUGCUUGUGCCCUUUUCAAUACUUCAGGGUUUCUUAAUAAUUCUGACAUUGCCCAUUCUACAACUGUAGAUGAGGUUUCACCCCCGCCGAGGAACAUAUCCUGAAAUAGCUAGGAUUAUUAAGUUUCAAUUAAGCAUGCACAAAAGGCUGAUUUUGUGAGUGUCAACAUUAUGAUCACACAGCCAAAAUAUAGAAAAGAGACAAAACGAAGCAAUUGACUAUAAAGGAACAGACUUUGAAUUCACUAACCAGAAUAAUAGCUUUGAUGCUGCUGGUUGAUAAGGGAACUUCAAGGUCUCCAUGAUCCUGAAUAUCCAGAAGGACUUGGACGAGAUCGUCUGCUUCACUUUCUCCUGUCCUUGUUGAUAAUUUUGUAGCUCUAUGUUCCUGAAUGACGCUUUCCAGAAUCUCAUCUACCUUGUUAUGCAGUUUUUUAAUUUUAGGCCUCAUGGCAUUGAUCAGAUGGAGCAAUUUAACGGAAGGAUAGACAUCAACAAUACUGAGACCUCCAAACAACGCUAUAAUGUCUGGGAUAUGUUUCUUGAAUGCAUCCUGGUGCUUACAUUUCCCACCAAAGGCUGUUCUGGAGAGUAUGCUGAGUGCUGAAGAGUACAAGAAGUUCUUAAGGUUAAUAGGCGAUCCUGCUUUCGAUGAGAUGGUUCUUACUAAAUUAGAUAUUUCUUCUUCCCUGAUUGGUCUAAAUGACUGAACUCGUUUCUUACUUAACAGCUCCAGCACACAAAUUUUGCGUAUUUGUCUCAUGUAAUCUCCACGGGCAAAUGCAAUAUCUCUAAAGUUGUAAGUUAUGAACUGUGCAGCAUAGAGAUAAGGCCUCUCAGAGAAAACAGAGUCGUGGGUUUUCAUCACCUGUUUAGCAGCUUCUGGUGAAGAAAUCACAACAGUUGAUACUUCCCCAAGUUGCAGAAGCAUCACUGGACCAUACUUCUGAGCCAAUCGGGCAAGGCAGCGAUGAGGUUGAGUCCCAAUAAGAAGGUGCAAGUUUCCUAUCAGAGGUAAUUUUGGAGGACCAGGUGGUAGCGUUGAUGGAAGGCUACUAGAUUUGGUAUUCGUCCAUGUCCUCAAAGCCCUGAAUGUGACGAACAAAAGGGUAAGAAGGAAUAAGAGAAAGGGAAGUUGGUUUUCCAUGCGAGCAAUGGGAAAGAAUUAAAUGGAGGGGAAAUUUCCUUUAUUGAUUAUGAAUCUCCUCUCUUACUUGGAAAUUGCGGUUGGAGGGAUGAGACUUGGGGUGAAACUAUGGGGAAAACGCAGUGCCGAAAGUAUUUAAUUUGCUGUUAGUGGCCUCAUUUCAUAUAUCUUGUCAACAGCAGAACAGUGCUGUUAUUGAUAUUUGCAUGUUAUAUGUUCCAACCAAAUGGCCUUUUGCAUUUUUUUUUUUAUAAUUAGAUAAAAGAUUCAAACUUUACUCUUUAAGUAAGGGAUAAUGCACCAACUAAUAAGUUAAAUGUUGAGGUACAUCUUUUACGUUUUGUUUUACUAGAAUUAGCAAAACCAUAAUGGAAAAAUGUAAAUUUUGUUUGAUAUAAUGAGAAAUAUUUACUAUUAUAAAAAUAAAUGCUAACUUUCCUACCAAUAAUUGUGAACAAGCAAAUUGUAACUACUAUAUAAUGGAAAGCUAAAGCUUUUCUUGUUUAGCUGGCUUAAAGAUUUACACGUGAAACUAUUGAAAAAAAGAGGUGUAAAGUUAUCUUUUUCAAUCUUAAGAUUUACCCAUGGCUCGACUUGUGGACCAGAAGAAUAAAAUCCUGGUGUUAGUCGUGCCCCACAGCUGUUGCACCAUGGAAAAGAUUAAAGUCUCUAUCAUUUGCUAUUUUUUAAUAUUGUGUUGUCAGUUUUUUAUUCAACUUUGCAGUUAGUGUAAUAUUUUUAUUGGGGUAGUUUGGCUACGUGUUAUGACAUUAUAGGCCACUAAGUACUAGACACAUCACUUGGUAUUUUAUGAUUUUUUGUCUCUUGUAAUGAGAAAUAUUAUAUUUGCAUAAUCAAAAGUGAGCUGUGACUUUGCAAGGCUUCUGCAAUUCUUCUCAUCUCUCACGUGUUUUUGGUUUUUUAUAUUUUAUGUUUUUCUCUCUCUUGUAAUUAGAUGUACUAUAUUUGUUUAAUAAAAAGUGAGCUGUGACUUUGCAAGGCUUCCUGCAAUUCCUCUCAUCUCUCACGUGUUUUUGGUUUUUUGUUAACUCAGUGUUUCUCGUUCAACUUGUUAAUUACUCAAUGAAUUCAUAACCUUUUGAUUUUUGAACAAUUGUUUGGGAAAUCUUUCUCCAAAAUUGAGCAAGUGAAAAAGAUAUUAAAUAGCUUGUCCAAGUCAUGCCAGGCCAAGGUGACCAUCAUAUCAAGAGUUCAGAGUCUUCGUAUGUUACAGUUAGAUAAGUUUACUGAGUUCUCUUUUAACCUGUGAGAUGAAUCAUGAGAGGAUUCCAUUUAAGAAGAUGAAUCAUGAAAGUUUGGUUGUAGAUAGAAAUCAUGAGGAGAUAAAGCAAUGUCCAUGCUAGACAUAAUAGGAUUCAACAAGUUCAUGCGAAAGAAACAAAACCUACGGAAGCAAAAGAAGAAGACAAUGAUCGAGACGUGGAGUGAUAGUGAGAAUGAGAUCUUCGAAGAUGUGGCCUUUAUCUCUCAUGAGUUGUGAUUCAAUUUCACAUACAUUUGAUGCGUUCUCAAAUUGAAAAUAUGAAUCUAGUUAUUCAAAACUUUAAAAAAAAAAAAUUUGAAAGUUUAAUACAAUUUCAAAAAGGGUACUUGAUAAAUUUUUUACAAGUAAUAAAAAUAAUGAAUCAGAAAUUAUUAAAGAAAUAUUAAAAUAACUUGAUUAUAAAAGUUUAAGUAGAAAUUUUCAUCUAAAAAUGCUAGAAUAAUAAAAUUUUUUUAAUUUUAAUAAAAAGGACCUCAUUUGAAUAUUUUACUUUAAACUUUUUAGGUUAUUGAGCCGUCUCUAGUAUUUGAAAUAUAAGAAAAUGAUCACCUCUUAACUUAUUUUUGAUAACUAAACGAGAUUGAGUGUGCCUAUAUAAAAUCGAAACAUAAGUUUAUAAUCCAUGAAUAAUAGUUGUUUAAAGUUGGUAAAAUAUCAAGACCAAAGAUUAAACACAUAAGCACAUCCAAUGCUUUAGCUAAUUACAAAUUUCCAAACAUAUCAAGAAUAAUUAAGCUACAACGUUCUUGAUUAAGCAUAGAUCAUUCCAGGUAUAAAUGAUAGCCAAUCAACUCAAGUUGCGGAGAACAGUUAACAACUUAAUAGAUAUAGACAGGAUGCUUUAUUUUUUUUAUUUUUAAUAAUUAAAUUACCCCAUUUUUUAAUUGAAUUUACAUAAUUUAAUUAUAUUUAAUUUUGCAACUUGUUUUUGGAUCAUUCGAACAGAGUUACAUUUAAUAUGAGUCUCAUCUGUCCUGUCCAUCAUUUGAGGCUCGUGUGACUCAAAUUGUAAGAAGUACAUAUUAAAAAGAGUCUUAGUAAAAUGAAAUAGAAUAAUUCUAAAAAAAAAAUCUUAAUAAAAUUUCAAAAAUGCCAAAAAUGACAAAAAAAAUAUAACGUUUACAAAGAAAUAAAAGUACAAAAAAUUAGAAAAAGAAAGACGAAAAUAAGAGAAAAAACAAGGAUUGCUGCCCUUCCUCCAUAUCUUUCUCCACUACUUUGUGCCGACAGGUGAGAAAAUCCAUAAGAAAUCAUUUGAAAGUUGGGUAGUAUUUAAUUAUUUUGUUUAUAAAAAUAAACAUAUAUAGUAUUUAAUCAUAUAAAUCUCCUUUUCUUUUUCCGUAUGGGACAUGAUUUUAUGUUUAAACUUUCUUGCUAAAGGACAAAAUUAUUAGUUUAAAGGUCCUUUUAUGGAAGGUGUUUAAAGGUCAGAGUCAAAGUCUGAAUCUUUAAAUUAAGUUUAAAAAUUUUACUGUAUAUGAGUUUCAUCAAAUUUUAUAUUUUAUAUUAAUUUAUUGAUUUAUUUAUUUUAUUUAUAAAAAUGUCAAAUUUUAUUACUGAAAAUUUUAAAUAAAUUUUCUUAAUUAAUAAUAAAAAUACACAUAAAUAUAUGCAAAUGUCAUCAUGAUUUAUAAAAGUAAUAAUUUUAUGUCAAAUUACUUUUAUUUUGGGUCAAAUAAACUCUUAUAACUUAUGGUUAACUAACUAUCUUUAUUAAAAAGUCACUUGUCAUUCUAUGUCACAUGGUAGUAAUAUGAUAUGUUAACAUGUUAUAAUUGAUAAUGAUAUAACAUGCUGAUAUAGUAUGAUGGUAUGAUCAUGUGACAUUUUCAUCAUCCACGUCAACAUCAUAUUAACGCCACGUGAGUAUAAAGUAAUAGGCAACAUUUUGACUAAUAGUAAUUAGUCAACCAUUAGUCAUAAGAGCCUAAUUGACCUAAAACAAAAGUAUAAGAGAUUGAUUGAAUGGAAUAUAAAAAAAAGAGUUUGUUCAAUUUUUUUUAAAGUAAUUUAAAAACUUUUUAAACUAUUAUGCCCUAUAUGAACUUAUUUUCUAAAGUUGAUAACCAAUAGUAAAACACUAGAUUACAAGUAAGAAUGAAUAGAAAAGAGGGGAAACAGUUUUCCAUGAGAGAUUUGGGUUGGAUUUUCAAGAAUAGGCGACUACUCGAAGGUUUACAAAUAUUUGGUUUCAUUACUUUCAAACAUACGUUGAUGUUAGUUUUCAGUUUAUUUAACAUUUUAUCAAUAUAAUGUCAAUUAUUGAAUUUGAUAAUACAAUUAAGUGAUAUUAACUUAAUUGAUUAACUUAAUUUAUUUAAUAUUUAUAAAAAUACACAUAAAUAUGUACAAAUAUCAUCGUGAUCUAUAAAAAGUAAUAAUUCUAUGUCAAAUUAGUUUUAUUUCGGAUCAAAUAAACUUUUAUAACAUACGGUUAACUAACUAUUUUUAUUAAAAAGUUGUUAUUUUAUAUCACAUGUCAUAAUUGAUAGUGACAUGGUAUGUUGAUGUGGUAUGAUGAUAUUAUCAUGUGACAUUUUUUUCAUCCAAGUCAAUAUCACAUUAACGCCACAUGGGUAUAAAAUGAUAGACGAUGUUUUAACAAAUGACAAUUAGUCAACCGUUAGUCAUAAGAGCUUAUUUAACUUAAAAUAAAAGCAUAAGAGAUUGAUUGGAUGAAAUAUAAGAAUAAGAGGUUUUUUUUUUUCUAAUUAAGGGAACAAGGAUUCGAAUCUUACUCUUUAAGUAAGGCAUCAUGUACCAACUAGUGAGCUAAAUGCUCAAGUGCAGAAUAUAAGAAUAAGAGCUUGUUCUUACUCAUGAUGCAAGCUAAGGGUGAGAACGAUCCUAAGCUUAAGAGAUCUUUUGAUGAUUGUGGGUAAGGUCAAUGUGCCACUCACACAACUAUAAUGAUUGUUCAUGUGAGGUGAACUAGAUGGUAGUGAGGACUUUAACCACUACCCAUCUAAAGGGGGUGGGACCACUUGAUAAAUCGUGGAUGAGGCUGAGGUGCCAUUCACGAGAGCUUGCUAGGAACUCGAAAUAGUGGAGGUUAAACCACUAUUUGUCAGAACAAGGCAGACCCAUUCAUAGAUGGAAUGUUAUGAUGAAUGAGUUUAAUGAGUUUAAGGAAUGAUUGAAUGAGUAUUGAUUGAUGACUUAUGUUUAAAUGCUUAUUUUAUGAUAAAUGAUUAUCGAAAAUGUUAUUCACAUUAUAAUAUGGUGAUAUUGGUUUGGUUAGAUAAAACCUUAGCUUAAGGAAUAAUCCUAUAAUUUUGGAAAGACUUAUGAAUGGUUUAGGUUCAAAACAUUGCCUAGAAAAUUGAAUUUUGUGGAAAAAGUAUCGAUACAUGUGGAGCAUGUAUCGAUACAUUUUCAACAGAAUGCUACAAGAGGUGUUCUGUGUGAAAUGUAUCUAUACACUCUCAAAAGUAUCGAUAGAUUUCUUGCAUGCAUCGAUAAGUUUCAAAAUGUAUCAAUAGAAUUGUUGCAAAAAAUGAUUUCUAAGUGAUUUUAAAGAGGUUUUCCAGGAUAAAUGAGUUCUAAUGUUUUAAGCAAAGUUGUUUUCCAUUCAAAGUUAUUUAAAGGAUGUUUUAAAUGCUAUGUUACAUGAUCAUUUUGGUAAUGAUGCUGAAUUUAUGAAUCAUAUGUAUUUACAAUUGCGUGGUGUCACAGCCCAAUUUUCGGGCCAUGACUAGCGCAUAGGCCCAAUGGGCAUAGCCCACAAGCCCAAGCAAGUCUCUUUAUGUAAUCCCUGAUCGUCAUUUCAACAAUCAUUCCUAAAGUCACAUUUCGUAAUUCUCAACUAUAAAAUAUUCAGUGAUAUACUAUGGCAAUCAAAUACUUACAUUUAGAUCAUCCAAAAUAAUAUCAUCCAUUGCCAACUCAUAGUGGCAUCAUCAAUCAAAAUAUAUAUACAUUGUUUAUACUAUGAAUCCUAGUGAUUUACAUCACAUGUAUGUAUACACAGGCAAAAGACUAUUGACUACCAGCGGAGUGACUUUGGGUGAAGGUACAACUACUGAAUGCCAUGGUACUUACCAAAAAGAUGAAUAUAUGUGGACACCUCAAUCUAGGUCCCAACUGCCUCUGAAUCUGAAAAUAUGAUGUUUAAAAGAGUGAGUAUAAACCUAGUGAGUGAACAUAGGAAGAGAACAAGCAAACGAUACGGAAAGUUAUAGAAAACAUGAUGCACUUAUGUUAAAAACAAUGCAAUUUAGCUUAAUUUCUUGUAAAGCCCCUUAAUUCAACCUUUGGUUAUUUAAUCCCUUAGAGUGAAGGAUCUAUGAUCAACAACGAAGUUGAAAAGAGUGAAAACUACAGCAAAUAUCCAAGCAAGAUAGGUAAGGCAGAGAGUUUGUCGUUGGAUUGAAAAUCAAUUUGGAAACAAUUAACAAUUUCAACAUUCAACAUUCAUUGCAAUCACAUAAUAUUUUCUCUAGCAUUUCCAUGGUAUGUGUAAGCAUGUAUACAACCAUCGGCUCAUUAGCUUAUGUGCACUCUCACACCGCACAUAGUUAGAAUCACCUGUCAUCAUCGGCAUGUGCACUCCCACACCACACACGCGCGGUUAGAAUUAUCACACAAUAUUAUUAUUCAAAGCAUAACAUAUAUAUCUUCAGAAUAUAGGAACUCAUGGGUUCAUCACAUUACACAUUUUACAACAUAAAACGUUUCAUCAAAGGUUUGUUCCCAAGCAUGAUUUAGAGAAAAAAAAGUCAAAUAUAAUCAUUUAAGUGCUUCAUCUCAACACAUAUGUAUUUCUCAGAAAUAAUUUAAUGCAAGUUCACUCACUUGUCCUUGUUGAUUGUUUUGAUCGACUAUAACUUCAACUAAUUCUCCAAAUGGACAUGUGGAGCCUCGCUGGAACCUAUCACACACAAUAUAACCAUAAAAAAUAUAACAGCCCACAAAUCUAAUUAUUAGCCAUCUUUAACAACUUAAAAUCAAUCCUAACACAUUUCUCACCUUGGUGGACUUGUAGUUGAAUUUUCUUAGUGAGGAUUAAAAGGGGAAAACUCCUUCAAGAGUUUUCAAGCUAAUUUGAAGUGUUUCCCUCUCUAAAAAAUGUUCAGUAGUGAAAGAAAGUACAAAGAAAAAACACUUUUUUUGAGGGUUUUUAAGGUGAAAAAGUGAAAGAGAAUGAAAAACCCUAUGAAAAAGUGUGCAAAAACAUGAAUUUUGAAGUUAGUAUGUGAAGGCUAUGGAGGUUUUAAGGUUUCUUUCCAUGGAGGAUGAAAAGUUCUGCAAAAAUGAGAGAAGAAAUGAGAGGAAGAUGAAGAAGGUGCUGGAACUUUAUAUAUUUAUCUCUAAAGUCAAUCAAAAUUUCACAUAAUUUAUAAAAAUGCCCUUUUUGUUCUUCUGGUGCAGUACCUUCAUUUUGACAAAGAUUUUGACCACUUUACUAUCAGAACUGGGCAAAGUAGAAAACAUCAAAGUUGUAGCCCUACCUCUUAGCUUUCUAAUGGUAUAAAAAUUAUGUCAUUUGGACUUCUUUAGUGGGAUAUAAUCUUGAAAAACCAAAAUAUAUGCAAAUAAAGCAAUAGUUCAUUAUGCACCUUUCUUCACCAAUUGAAAUUAUUUUUGAUCCUACUCCUAUAAAAACAUAAAAUAAUUAUAAAUAACAUAAAACUAACAUCAUUAACUUAAAAUAAACAUUUAAAUAUAAAUUAAACUAAACUAAUAAAAUAAAUAAAAAUACCUAAAUUAUAUCCUAAAUCUAGUCCAACUUAGACUAAUUAGGUAUUUAAUCUUCCAUUAAAUAUGUGAAUUUGAUGCACUCAUCAGUCUACCUCAAGUCACGCAUCUAUGGAGGUCGAGGUUUCACACAUGGUUACGAAAAACUCUUCCCUUUGGCCUGUCCCCUUCUCCAUAUCCAUUCACAAAGUCUUUGUGACUCACACGUUAUUUUUCGUCACUAUUUUCGUUAUGGAUUAAUGAUAGUAUUUUGUAGUAGCUAGUGUCAUGGAUACAAGUGUCUAGUUUUCAUCCUGUGUUAGAUGUCUAAUAGCCACUUGAUGCCUAGAGGGUCGGUCAUGUUUUGUUGAUGAGUCAGUCUUAUCUUUAUGUUUAUGUUUACGAAUUAUGAACAUGUUAUGAUAAUGCAACCAAUGUUUAGGCACUUUACAUUAUGAAUUUUAUGAUUAAAUGUAUAGAGCUGGUUGGAGAGCCUAAAUGGACAGUUGAGGGCGUUAAUAAAUGUUCAUAUGAUACUGUGCACUGAGAUAGUGACACUUUAAUGUUUUAUUAGAUGUUUCCACAUACAUUGCUUAUAUUGAGAGGUUCUUUAACUGUGUAUGAUGCCUAUGAAUGCAUACUUGUUAUAACAAUGUAUGCUUAUGAAACUUUAUAUAUGCUUUCGAAAUGAUGAAUAUUAAAGAGGCUUACUUAAGCUUAGUGGGCUAUACCCGUCUAGGCCUAUGCACUGGUGAUAUCCCAUCGUAAAAUGGGAUGUGACAAAGUUGGUAUCAAAGCUUUAGGUUCAUAGAGUCCUAGGUUUUCCUUGGUUGUCAACGGAAUGUUUAGAGCCGUAUGUAGGAAUCUUGUUUUUGUUUUAUGUACCUAGGCACAAAUUGAAAAUGGGAGACCUACAUAUAACUCCUUGUUUUUUGACCUACUUUAUGCUUAAGAGUUAUGUCUAGAAUUACUAUGAGUUUAUAGAUUUGAGUCUUACAGUAUAUGAUUGUUGUUGUCUAAAUGAGAUAUGUCGCCUAGGACACGAGCUAGUGGUAAAGAUGCGACAGAGCACGAGGCUCCCGUGGAGACUACUAAUAGACCACAUACACCUACUACUAGAGACCAUGGUAGACGUGACAAGGCUGCCAAUUCGGGGAAGAUAGACAGCCCUGCUUGUAGCUCCCCUGCUUGCUUUUGUUGUUGUUGGUGUUGCUUGAUGCUAGUGCUUUUAUUCAUUCCCCUCAUAACUUAGUUAUAAUACUAAAUAUUUGCGCAAACUUAAAAGUACGAUUUAAAUUGAAAAUUGUUGCAACAUAGCUUAGAAAAAAGUCUCAAUAUGCUUUUGCAGAACUUGCUUAUUCUUGCUUACAAUAUCAAUUCUAUAGCGGAUAAUAAAAGAUAAAAGGUAACUAAAAUUUGUUUAACACAGUUUACUCACUAGGCAAAGGAUGGUAAGGAAUGGGAAUUAAGAAGAGAUCAUUCUUUCUUCUUACAGAUAGGCCAAAACAUUCAGUCAUGUCCAAGUCUUCACAUUUGCUUCCAUUUGGGAGCAUCCAAUCAAAAUGGUAUAGCAAUUGUGCAAGGGGUAGCUCAAUGUUGGGGAGUGCAAAUGAUAUGCCUGGACAUAUCCUCCUUCCAGCACCGAAUGGAAUAUAUUCGAAAUUUGUUCCCCUAAAAUCAAUAGAACCGUCCAAGAACCUAUCUGGGUUAAAUUUUUCAGCAUCUUUCCAAUACCUAGAAUCUCUUCCUAUGGCCCAUGCAUUAACAAUGACUUUAGUCUUUGCAAGUAUAUCAUAUCCACUGAUUACACACUUUUCAUCACACUCUCUUGGUACUAGAAGAGGUGCAGCAGGAUGUAACCUCAAGGUUUCUUUAACUAUUAAUCUCAAGAAUUUCAAUUCAUGAAUACCAGCUUCAUCCACGUUACCUUUUCUAUCAAAAACCUGUCUCACCUCGGCUUGUGCUUGUUUCAUCACCUUUGGAUUUUUUAGCAUUUCUGACAUUGCCCACUCCAUUGUUGUUGAUGAUGUCUCACUCCCAGCCGCCAGAAUGUCCUACAAGAUGAUACAUUAUCAUUAGUUUUUUGCUGUUUAUGUUUUCACGAAUUUUAUAUAAACAUAUUGUAAUUUUCUGAUAGAAACUUAAUUUGAGUUUGAAUGGACAGAUUGUCAACUUCGCUUCAUUGUGCAUACAAUUUUUUAUAAGCCAAAAGUAUUUCAUUAAAGAUGGGUUACUUUAAUUCCGUAACCCUUCAAAAGUUUACAUGUCAGCCUGUACAAAUCACCCUUGUCACCAUGGGCUCCGCACUAUAAACCUAUAUUCUUCCUUCAAGAAAACAAACGCCACAACCCUAAUCAAGCCCAUAUACAGCCGCACUCAUCAGCUCAGAGCAUUGCAAAAACAUGUUAAGCUCAUUGUCCAUACAAUUUAAAAGAUGAUUUUACUUCUGUCCAUAUACGUAAUUGUUCUGAGUGGUGCAUCACCGUUAAUUUAUAUACUAUAAAAGAUAAUUCAACAAAAAUAAAUAAACAUUUCAAGUCAUCAAAUUUGUUUUUAGAUAGCUUUUCAAAAAGCAAAAAAAGGUUUGUUCUUAGAAAGCUUAUGGCUACUAAAGAAGUUAUGAUAGAAGUUGAUCUGUAGAUACAUGAGAGAAAAUGAUACUAACCAAGAUAAUUGCUUUUAUUUUGUCAUUCGUCAGAGGAAUUUCAAGGUCAGAACUCUGUUGAAGUUUAAGAAGAACUUCAAGAAGAUCUUCCUCUCCUUGUUGCUUGCCCAUUUCUGAUGUACUGUUUGUUUUCUCUUUGUGCUCGUUAACUAUGUCUUCAAGUAUCCGAUCAGAAGCCCGUUGCAAUUUCUCAAGUUUAAGCCUUACGCCACUGAUCAGUUUAAGCAGCUCAUUAGAAGGAUACAUAUCAGCUAAGCAGAAACCACCUGCGAGCUUUGUAGUUUCUGUUAUGAUCCUUAUGAAUUCUUCUUGGCCUUUGCUUUUCUUGCCAAAGGCUGCCCUUGAUGUUAUCCCAUAUGUCAUUGAGAAAAUUUUCUCGCUGAGAUUAAUUGGGGAUCCUUCAUUCAAAGAUAUGGUUUUGAUGAGAGCAGAAACUUCUUCUUCCCUGAUGAAUUGAAAUGACUGAACGCGACUUGGACUCAAAAGCUCCAUCGUGCUGAUUUUCCUCAACUGUUUCCAAUAGUUUCCAUAGGGUGAAAAUAUAAUGCCUACAGAAUCAUAUGACAUUAUCCUAGAAGCAAGAAGAUAAGGCCUUUGAGCAAAGGUGGUUGCGUGGUCUUUCAAAACCUCUUUUGCAAUUUCCGGAGAAGAUAUUACAAUGCUGGGAACUUCACCAAGUUGUAGAUGCAUCAAAGGUCCAUGUUUCUUGGCCAAAUCUCUGAGGGUGUGAUGGGGCAGAGAGCUUAUGAGCUGAUGCAGGUUACCUAUGAAAGGAAGUUUUCGUGGUCCUGGAGGAAGCCUUGCUGGGGGGUUGUUGGCUUUCGAUCUUUUCAGAACUUUUAGUACCAUGAACACGAAAAGAGAGGUGAGGAGUAGGGCGGUGAAGGAAGGAAAUUGAAGCUCCAUGAUGCUCAAGGAAAACAGAAGAAAUGCCACUUUUUUUUUCACCCCCCUUGGAAAGAAAGACAAAGAUGCAAGUUUCUCUCUCCUUAGCUAGCUAGAGAAAAGGCCUUCUCUUAGUAGCUCUGAAUUAUAAUAUUUAUGUGGAUACCAUUUAUAUUUAUAGCUAUAUGAUGGAUAUAAUAUAUAUUUAGUUUUUAAGUAUAUAUUUAUUAUGUUUAUUAUACCAUUUACUCUUUGUAGAAUUAUAUAAUUAUCUAAAUAUUUAAUAUUUAAGUAAGUUUUUAAUAAAUUUGUUAUAAAUUGAGUUUAAUAUAUGUUUAUUUUCAAUAUAACUUCUCAUGUACAAAGCACUAUACGGACGUCAGUUUCAUGGAAAGAACAAAGAUUUCAAAUAUAACCAAACUUGCAGCGUACAAGUCGGAGACAAGAGGAAUCUGAAAUGCUUCUUCAAAAUGCAUUGUAUCAGCUAUGUUCAUGCAAUGGCUCCUCUUCACUAGCUUUCCAGCUCACUAUCAAAUUAUUUUAAAAAUAUGAAUCCUUGGGAUUCCUUUUCACACGUUGAUGCCAGCCAAGUUGCUGCUGCAGGAGAUCUGUCGACAUUGUUUCAUGAAAUAAGAAAAAGCAACAAUUAAUCGUUUGCACGUGUGCAUAGGCAUAGAUUAUUCGUUUCCAUUAUCAGUAAAGGUUUUUUUUUUUAAAUAGUACAUUAUCUUUCAUGUCAUUCGAUUUUUCAAAAUUUUUAUUUUAAUCAUUCAACUUUGAAAAAUAUAAUUUUGAUAAUAAAUAUUUAUAAACAUUUGGUUAUUCAAUUGCUAAAAGAUAACAAACUUAGCUUUCUCUUGAUAGUAAGUUACAUAUUCAUAUCAACUACUUUGUCAUCUGUCCAUGCGUAAUAAAAAAUUAUAGCUUACUAAUAGAAAAUUAAAAUAAAGAAAAAAUAAAAACAAAUACAAAUAAAAAAUUAUAUUAAUAAUUUAUUAAUAAAUUGUUAAUAUUUAUAUUUUUAAUGAAAAUAAAAAUUAAAAGAUUAAAAAUAGAAAUAAAAUAAAGAAACAAUAAAAAAAUUAAAAUAAAAAAUCAUAUUAGUAAUUUAAUAAUAAAUUUGUAAUAUUUUAAUAUUUAAUGAAAAUAAAAAGUAAAAAAUAUUAUUGAGUUAUAGAAAUAAAUAAUUUUUUCUAAUUUAUUAAUUUAUAAUAAAGGAAACUUUUUGUUUUGAUGAAAAUAAAUUUUAUUAUAAUAAAAGAUAAUUUGACCAUUUUAUUAUUUAUUCUUCAAAAAUAAGUCAUAAUAAUAAGGCUAAAAUUUUUUUUUAGCCCUCAAGUAUAAGUUGUUUUUAGAAAUAGCCCUCAUCUUAAUUUUAACUGUUUUUAGCCAAGAGAUAAAAUUUUGGGAUAAAAAUACCCUUAAUGAGACUUCUUCAUUGAACUAUAUUUGAUGGCAUGUUUAAAAAUUUCCCACGUAACACACCAUGGUGAGAAUUUGUGACAUGCCAUGGAAGAAAUAUGCAACACGCCAUAGAAGGAAUAUGUGACACGACACUGAGGGAGUAUGUGACACGACACUGAGGGAGUAUGUGACACGCCAUGGUGAGAAUAUGUGACACGACAUGAAGGGAAUAUGUGACACACCAUGGAGAGAAUGUGUGACACGCCAUGGUUAGAAUAUGUGACACGCCAUGGUUAGAAUAUGUGACACGCCAUGUUGAGAAUAGGUGACACACCAUGGUGAGAAUAUGUGACACGACAUGGUGAGAAUAUGUGAGACGACAUGGUGAGAAUGUGUGACACGCCAUGGAAGGAAUAUGUGAGACAACAUGGUGAGAAUAUGUGAGACGACAUUGUGAGAAUAUAUGACACGCCACGUUGAGAAUAUGUGACAUGCCAUAAGGAGAAUAUGUGACGCCAUAAAGGGAAUAUGUGAGACGACAUGGUGAGAAUAUGUGACACCCCAUAGAGGGAAUAUGUGACAUGACAUGGGGGAAUAUGUGACAUGAUAUGCUGAGAUUAUGUGAAACUACUAAUAACUCUAUUAUAUAGAGUUAUUUUGACACAUUUUGAGGGCUUAAGUAGUUAUACUUUCGAGAUUUGAUGUUUGAAUUUUUACAUUUUAGGUGUUUUUUUAGUUUACGUUUGAUUACUUAUUGAGUGGUUAAUUUAAAUUAUUUUACUUUAAUUUUAUAUUAUUUUGUUUUAAAUUACUUUAAGAGUAGUAUUGCUAAUUUCUCUUAUUGCUUUUGUAAGAAAUUUGAUGAAAAUCCUCGUAAGUAUGUUGAUGGCUUCAUUCGUAUAUGUUGCGGUAUUUUGACUAUAUCUUUUUUUACAAAACUCCAAAAUGAAGUAAUUCUUAGACCAUUAGAACGCUAAGAAGAAGGGAUACAACUUUUAUGUUUACCACUUUACCCAGUUCUGGUCAGAUGAUGACAACAAUAUUUGUCUAAAUCAGAGCACUAUAAUAGUAUGCAUGUACUAAAUAUGAUGCAAGCAUAUAUUUCAACCCUAAAGUACAAUUGACGUGAUUCUUAAGCCAUUGGAAAGAUAAAAGAUAGGGCUACAACUUUUAUGUUUGCAAUAUUUCCAAGUUCAGACCAGAUCAUGGUGAACAUCACGUUCAAAUUUGAUAGACUGCCACAAUACUGGAAAACAUGGCCAUGGUGCUGAGCUAAAAUAGCUCACCAUGCAUUUUCCUAAGAGCUCAAAGCCAUAGCGCUAAAGAAGCAGCACCGUGAUGCUACUGUAGCAAACAUGUAGCACCUCAGUGCCAAAAAAUUCAGGCCACAGCGUUGGGAGAUUUUCCAAAAAUAAAAGUUUGAUAGGAUUUUGGAAAUUAGGUUACUUGGAGCCUAUUUAAGGGACCUUUUUUAGAGAAAAGGGAAGGCAGCAAGCAACUAUUCUGGAGAUUUUGAGCCAAGAACAAAGCAAGAAAACAAGAGAAUUUGAUAGAGAAUUAAGAUUGCAAAGAAGCUUUUAUAAUUAGUUUCUUUCUCUACUUUUGUGCUUUUUUAAUUUUCUUUGACUUGAAUUAAUGGCUAAAUUUCUUUGGAUAUUGUUUUUAUUACUUAUUAUGAGCUAAAUUAUCUUUCUAGGAUUGUGGUGGAUUUUUACAUGUGGUUUGAAUAUUAGUUUCUCUUGUAUUUAUCAUCAACAUGUGUAGUUUUGCUUAUUUAAAUCUGUUCUUAAUAUUUUCGAUUGUCUGGCAAACAAUUAACUGAUUUGUUAAUCUAAUUGAGACUUAACAAAGAGAUUUUAGAUUGGACUAAGAUUUGAAUAGUGUAUGUUCAUGUCACUUAGGUGAUUUGAUUCGCGAUUUGAGUAAACAUACACUAAUUGCCAUACAUAGCUAAAUUAGAACGCUAGCUUAAUGAACCUUAUUUAAUUGAUUCCUAUAGACAUAUAGUGAACUAAUUAAGUUAGGUAUUUGUACAAGCAACUCGAUGGAGACUUGUCCAUAGCUUUGCAUUAUAGGUUAGUAAAACCACCCAAAAAAGAUAAAUAAUAAGAAAAGCUGGUAUCAGAUGAAAUGUUGAAUGAACCCAUAAUCCUAGGUCUUUAAUAUACUACUUUUGUCAACUUAUUUAGUUUAUUAGUUUAUUUAGUGUUGAUUUUUAAUUGUUCUUAAUUAGUUUUUCUUCGAUUUUCGGAUUGCUUAAAUAAGAUUAAUUUAUUUUAUAAUUUUAGUACUUAGUGAAACUUUAGAAACAAAUCCUCAUGGGAACGAUACUCUACUUCAUCACUAUAUUACUUGUUAGAUACAUGUGCAAAAUCGACAACAACGACAUGGAAGAAAUAUGUGACACGACAUGGAGGGUUUAUGUGACACACCAUGGAUGGAAUAUGUGACACCGCUUAAAUUUAAAUGGAAAAAAAUUGCAAACAAAUAAGGAAACCGUUCGAAAUUCCACGACAUGCAUAUUAGUGGUUGAGGUGUUUAAAAUGCCAUCACAUUUUAUUUUCAUCAUUUGCAAAUGAUAGUGUCAAGUAAGAGUUUUUGAUUCAUUCUUCAUUCCUAAAGGGACCAGAGUGUUCGACUUCGUUCUGAGCAAAGUCAACGAUAUCACAGCAACAAUGUCGGUUAUGCGUGAAGAGAUCAGUUAAUCAUCAAUUAAAAUUUUCUUUUGUUUUGUGUUUUUUUGCUAGGUUGCUCUAGGAAAUGUUUGGGUUUAUGAUUAUGCUAUGAUAUAUUUUUCCUGUUUUCUUCGUGUUUUUAAGGUUUUUGCCUAAAUUAUGAAGAAAACUACAGCAUUUUUACUUACAUGGUUUAAGGUGGUACUAACAUUUUAGUGGGUCUGCAUAACGUGUAACAAGAAUAAAUUUCUUCGAUCUGGUGUGUAGUGGGUUAACUGCUUUUGUGUCUAGCUUAGCAUUACUUGCAUGGCAUGUAGUAUGUAAAUUGCAUAGUAGGCAUAUUCCCUAGUGUGCAACAAUAUGGGUAUUUUAUUAAUGGCGUGUAACAAAUAAGUAAUUAUACUUGGCGUGUAAGAACAAAAAAAUUGCAUGUUACAACAUUUUACUUGGUCUGAAUAGUGUGUAACAGCAAUAAAUUUCUUCAAUCUAACAUGUAGUGGGUUAAAUGUUUUUGGGGUUUAGGGUAGCAUUACAUGUAUGGCGUGUAGUAUGUAAAUAGCAUAGUCAGCAUGGCAUGGCAUGUAACAACAUAAGUAUUUUGUUCAUGGUGUGUAACAAAUCAAUAAUUAUAGUUGGCGUGUAAUAACAUAUAGGCAUGGUGUGUAACAACAUUUUACUUGGCUUGUUCAGUGUGUAACAACAAUAAAUUUCUUUUAUCUGGCAUGUUGCACAUUAUGGGUUAACUGUUUUUGGGGUCUAUCUUACAUGUGCAUGGGUGCUAUGUUUUGCAAAUGGAGUUCAGAGAGUAUGAUAACCUUGACACUUUGCUUGUUGUGCCGAGGGAGAAAUGGGCCUUCAAGGUCUCCAUUAACGCCCAUUGUAAGUGGUCAGAACUGCAUUACAUAAACAAGAUGCUCCAAGAGAAAGGGAGUACGAAGCAGUCAAGCGUACGUGCUUCGGUCUGCUGCUGGAUAUCUAUCCACAAGGCUACUUUUGCAUUAGUCUGAUACAGAACAUCAUGGUUUGUUGAAUCAUUGAAACCGAGUCAAUAGACCAUGAGUUAUAGUUAUGGUUUGCCAUUGGCAAGAGCAUGGUGCGUUUAUCAAAGCAGCAGUUCUGCCUUAUAACCAGACUGAAGUUUAGCUCACUGCCUAAUAUAUUCAUACAACCAUACGAGGUCACUCCCGAUGAAAUUCAUGCAAAAUACUAGAAUGGGUAGUAGAAUGUUAAGUUGUAGGAGUUGUUUGAUAUGUUCUGAGGAGGCAAGUUUCAACAACCAGGAGAUACAACCAAAAUGGCACUCGUCUUGAUCGUGAAUAAUAUUUUAUUUAGUCAAGACUAUCAAAGAUGGGGUGACACCUUAGCUUUUGGCAUUGGUAGAGGACAUGGACAUUUGGAAUGUUUUCCCCUAGGGUUUAGAGGCUAACUGAGGACUACCUAUUGAAGGGGUUCGAAGUUCCUACCACAAACUUGCAGAAGGAUAAUCGUUUAUGCUACAACCUUUAUGGAUUUGCUAGGACAUACAGGUACUGUCAUGUAGCAUUUUCUAGUUUCCUUUUGAUAUAAAAAUUUAUGGUGGCAGUCGUUUAUCAUUUACGAUAUGAUAAUGGUUGUAAUUAACUUGCAGUUCUGGGCAAUGGAGGCGAUUCCUACUUUAUGAAAAUCAAUUACCCCCUCCAUUCGAAAAGACGUCUUCUACCCAUGCAUGUGUAGAUGGUAAUGCAAUCAGAAGUCGAAGGACUUCUACAAGGCAAUUGAGAAGUUGGAGUCAUCUCAAUAGGUUAGGAAACAACUACUAAUUUGUCCGGUGAAUCUCUAAACUAUUAAGGGUUAUAAUGCAAUGCAUGUAUUUUGCAAUUGCGGGCACAAUGAACCUCGGAGCCCACACUAGAGGAGGCCACACAGGAAUAUCUGUUGGACAUCGAUGCCCCUCUAUUUGAGGGGCUCUAAUAUGUACCAAUAGGGCAGAUGGAGGAUCGAGCAAAAUGAGGUAUUGAUGCGAGAAUAAGGAAGAAAAACUUGAAUGUGAAAAAAGUCGCUGGUCUAGUUAAGCGGAGGUGCACUAUUGCUUCUGGAAAUGAGGAGCACUCAUGUGAGAUCUCGACCUCUAUAGACUCAUAAUUAGAAGUAGACGUAAUAAUACAGACUAAGGGUAAUUUCGUCAUUUCCUCUAACAAGCUCCUAGAAGAAGGUUUUCUAAUAUUUUAAGCUCUAAGUGGGCAUAAGGACUGAAUGAAUGAUGUAUAAUGAUGAAAACAUGAAGAAAACUAGAAGCGAUAAUAAUUUUCAUAAUAGGGGCAAAAUGGUCAUUUUGCACCCCGAGUCAAAGAUUUUAAGUUUUGUGAACUCGAGUACUUUUAGACUAUUAUGGACCUUGUCUCAGUAUCAAAAGAGUAAAAAAAUUGCACAAAGGAUUGGAGGAGAACAAGUUAACUUGCUAAGGGCAUUUUCGUAAUUUAAGUGGAGUUGGAUAAGCUUGAGCUGUAAAAUCAUCUUCCAACAGCUUCUUAUCAUAUUUCCAGCAGCUUUUUCUUCUUCUUCUUCCUCUUAUCUCACGUUGCUUUCAUCCUCUAUGGAACCUUGAUAUGAAACCACCAUAACCUCUCUCAAAAUAGCUCCAAUUUUCAAGCUUUUGUGCACUUUUGCAUAGAACCCUUGUGCUCUUUCACUCUCUCACUUUAAAACCCUUGAAAAAUCUUACUUCCAUACUUUCUCUCACUAACUAGGUGUUUAGAAAGAGAAAAAGGGAGCUUCAUAAUAGCUUGGAAAAUUAUUGGAAAGAAUUUCAAAUUUACAAGCUAUCAAGGUGAGUAGUAAAUUAGAGUUGAAUUUUAAGUCUUGAGAAUGGCUACAGAUUAGACUUAUGAAUGUUUUGUAGUUGAGGUCGUUCAUUCAUUUUAGAGUGAUUAGGAUAGUGAAAAUAGAUAGCCACUUAGAUGGCAAUUGGAAGCUAGUUAAGAGAUAGCUUUUAGAAUUUAUAAGUAUUGGAAUUGACUUAAUUGUGAUGCUAAUGUGAUGAUAGGUUCCAACAAAGCCCCAUCUCCCCAUUUGGACCAUUAGGGAAGUUAGAGUCGACUAAAGAUUCAACAUAAUACCGGUGAGUGAACUUGCAUUAAAAAGGUUUUGGGAUAUGUAUACAAGUAUGUUUGACUGAAUCCCUAAAGCGUUUUAAUUAUUUUGUCUUCAAAACUGGCACGGGAACAAGCCCUUAUGAAAUGUUUUUAUGAUAUGAAAUGGAUUGUGUGAUGAAUCCGUAUGUGUCUGUGUAAUGUUGAUAUAUAUAUACUAUGUCAUAAAUGGUACCAUUGUGUGACAAAUGAAACCGCGCAUGUGCGGGGUGAGUGUGCACCUGCAGGUGAUGACGGUGGUGAGGGAGAUGGAUAGUGAUAGUGCCCGUGUGCACGAUGUGGGGGGAUGCACAUGAUGGCACUAACUGUGCACGAUGUGGGGGGAUGCAUACGAUGACUCUGACUAUGUGCACGAUGUGGGGGGAUGCACAUGAGUUGGGUGAAACGAUGGUGGUAUUGGUGUUUAUCUAUGUAUAUAUGUAUAUAUAUGUUUAUGAAAUAAAAGCUCAUGAAUAUGGUAUAUGGUUGUAAUGCAUGUGAAAAUUUGACAUGUUGAACUUUGGAAAUUUUAAGUGUUUCACGUUGAUUUUGUCAUUUCAGCAGGAUGGCCUUCUUCUUGAGAGAAUGGAAACUUUUCUUUGGUGCCUUGUUUCUCGUUGCAGCGAGAAUGAUUCUCGCUAUAGCGAGAAACUCUCGGGUUUGAGAGGUUUGUUUGACCUGGUUCUCAUUGUAGAGAGAAUGCAUUCUCGCUACUGUAAGAAAUUUGUUGGAGCUUCUCACUGUAGCGAGAUUCAUUCUCGCUACAGCGAGAAACUUUCUGUUUUGGUCGCUUGAAUCUCGCUGCAAAGAGAAAGAAUCUCGCUGCAGUGAGAAACUUUCUGUCCAAUAUGCUAUCUUGCUGGUUUUUGUCAUAUUUUUUCAUUUCAUUUACAUCAUAGUUGUUCAUGGACUCCCAACAUUUAGAGGUUUAUCUAAUUAAGUUUGAAAUGAGGAAUUUUAGAGAGAAACCCUCGGCCAGUGGAGAAACCCUCAUCCAGCUAAUAACUUGAGCCAAAAAUUUUGCUGCAGCUAGAAUGCCUUUCCACUGCAGCGAGGACCCGUUAUUUCAUUUGACUUGCUUGUAUAUCACUGAAGCUUUCAUUCUUCGAAUUUUUGUUAUGUAUGGAUUCAUCAUUAUCAAGUGAUUAACCAUUUAAGGGUUUAAUGAGGGGUUUUAAUAAGAACCAAACUAAAUUGCAUUGUUUUGAAAACAAAUGCAUCAUGAUUUCUUUAAAGUUUCCUUCUCGUUUGCUUGUUCCCUUAUAAUGUUCACUCUCUGAGUUUGUACUCACCGUUUUCAACUUCAUGUUUUCAGAUUAGGAGGCAGUAGGUAACUAGGUCGAGGAGUGUUCGUAGAUUCGACUCUUGGUAGGCGUGCCGGCAUUUAGUAGCUGUACUUUCACCGAAGUCUCUUCGCUGGAAGUCGAGUACUCUUUUGUUGUGUAUAGACAAAACCAAUGUAAAUUAUUAAAAUAUAUGUUUUAAACAAUAUAUGUAUAUUUUGAUUAGUAUGCCACUACGAGUUGGCAAUGGUUAGCGUUAUUUUGCUUCGAAGUUAUGAAAUGUGACUUAGCAACUUUUGAUGGAAUGACGAACAGGUCAUAUUAAUAGGCUUGCUUGGGCUUAGUGGACUACGUCCAUUGCACCCAUGCACCGGUCAUGGCUCAAAAUUUGGGUCAUGACAACUUAGACCCUGAGUUGAUGAAGGAAGGGGAUGACCAUGGCAAUGUGAGUGAAUGACAUUCUUCCCACACCGAUGAGUAGACCCAUACACAUUGACCUCCUCAAUGAUCGAUAGGACGUUUUCAGACGCAUAGUUGCUUUGAUCUGCUGGUAAAGACGGUUUUUGUGGCAUACGAUUAAAAAUUCCAUAUUUGAUUAUUGAAUAACACAGUAAUAUUUGUUAUUGUAGUUGAGCAAGGUGAGGAAAGACAAUGACGGUGUAGUCACAGUCUGUCAGUUGCGACAGGUUGUGAGGAUGCAUAGUGAGACAUGUUGGAGAUGAAGGGUUCUAUUUAGUCAUUGAAGUACGUAAUGCAGACAUUUGAGGACCAUAUUGUUGGUCAGAUUCUUGACAACAUUAAAUUACAAGUCUAUUCUUCUAACUUUGUUCAUAUAUUGAUGGUUUACGUUUAGCAGGCUUAGGCCUAUUGUUUAUUUUGGGUUUAGGGUUUAACGUAUGCUAUGAGUUAAUGGAUUUUUUCAUUUGUCUCUUUCUCUAGGGUGGUGUUUCCUCUCACCAUGAUGGUUCACAGCACGAUUAUGCUAAUGAUGGGCAAGAUGAUGAACUUGGUGUUGGGGUUCGAGACAUUGACCAUGACGUGGUGGGUGCUGAAGUUGACAAUGUACCUCACGUCGAUGAGGUUGUCAAUGAAGCUAUGGAAGGGGAUGGGAAAUUUCAAACAGUUGAUGCUAAAGGAGAACAUGUACCUCAUGCUUAUGCAGUUGUUGAUGAAGUUGUGGGAGGUUAUGUGAACCUUUAAAUAGUUGAUGCUGAAGGAGACCAUGUACCUUAUGCCAAUGCGAUUACUGAUGAAGCCGUAGAAAUGGAUGGGAACCUUCAAUCAGUUGAUGUUGAAAUAGACCAUGUACCUCAAAGCACUCCUGAAGGCAACAUGUCACGGUCAUCGUCACUAGAUUUCUCUUAUGUCCAGUAUUGUGAAUCAUUAAUUUCAAACCCAUCUGAAUGGGCACUGGGACACAAUGGCCAACAAACACAUCGCAAGCCCGUACGUUGACCCGUUGGUGAACCACUAGGAUGUCAAGAACUCGAUGGUGGAAGCAUACAAAGCAUUCAAGAAAGACAAGCAUGCAAGGUAAGCUCAGAAAUAACAUUGCAAAUACUAUUUAUUUUGAAAUUUUAAUUCACCCAACCGUUUGAAUCUGGUAUGUUGCAUGUGCAAGCGUAACGUCGGGAUCUUAAGGGAUCAAGGGCCUAAGUUUUUCAUGUCAUUAGAGGGCCUUGAAGAGAACAUGACAAGUGAAUAAAUUGACGCAUGCCUCAGUGUACUGUGCAAGUGACUUACAUGGUAGAAGUUCAAGUUGUACAACACCUUGUGUAUGCAUGGUUGAUACGAUAUUCGUCGUAAGUUUGUUUGAGCAGUUUUCAAUUUUGAAACUAUGUGUGUGUUUGGGACUACAUGACGUGUAAGUUGAUGUAAAUAUAUUUCACAAGACACCAUUUGUAUGCUAUACACCGUAUAUCCAACUGACCAUAAAUGGUCCAGUAUGAAAUUUCCAUUUGAGUUGCUUAUGUACGUGCAGGGUGACAAGCUAACAUAUGGGAAAAAAAUGGGAAAAUGUCAAUUUCAUCCUCGCUCCUUGUGAUGUGGGUGGGCACUGAGUUGUUGCGAAGAUUGACUUGAUGAAGUGGAGGAUCAAGGUAGUGGACUCCGUAAGAACUUCUGUCGUGAAGGAAACCAAAUUGCGUGUGACUCAAAUGACAUCCCUUACUACUAUGAUGCCUAUACUCUGCCACCAAUCUAGUUAUUUCAAGAAAAGAUGCCGCAAGAAAUAAGAUUUGUCGUUGAUUCUAUUUGAAAUUCAUUUGCCAAAAUCAUUAGUGCAUCGGCAAAAUGAUAGUGUAAGUUGCGGUAUGUUUACAGUAAGGUACAUUGAUGUUAUUUUGCAAUUGGGACCGAUCAGAGUUAGGCAAACAAUGAUUGCAAAUAUGUAGUUGAUAUACACUUAUGAAAUUUUUAGCAAAAGUUGUGAUAGCGAACCCCUCCCUGCACGAUGAACAUAUGGGAAGUUGUAUGUGCAUUUUUUGUACAUAUAUUAACUUUAAUAUACGUACAUUUAAUGCAUUAAUUUUUCAUUUCAAACAUAGUGCCUAUAAUGAUCGCAAGAUGAAAAUUAAUUGGUUGUUUUACCUUCAAGAAGUCAUUUGUUACUAUUGGUGUGUAACAAUAUAAGACUGUAAUGAAAUGGAGUGUCACAACAAGAUGUAAAUGACAUCUAACAAAGCAUGGCAUGCAACAAUAUAAUAUUUCAACAAUGCUGUGUUACAAGAUGUAAAUGACAUCCAAGAAGCCAGGCGUGUAACAAUAUAAGACUUUUGAAAUGGUGUGUCACAAUAAGAUGUAAACAACAUCUAACAAGCUUGGUGUGUAACAAUAUAAGACUUUUGAAAUGGUGUGUUACAAUAAGAUGUAAACGAUAUCUAAUAAGCCUAGCAUGUAACAAUAUAAGAUUGCAAUGAAAUGGUGUGUCACAACAAGAUGUAAACGACAUCUAACUAGCGUGGCGUGUAACAAUAUAAUACUUCAACAAAAUGCCAUGUCACAAGAUGUAAACGACAUCUAAGAAGCCUAGCAUGUAACAAUAAGAUGUAAAUGACAUUUCACAAGCAUGGCAUGUAACAAUAUAAUGCUGAAUGAAAUGGUGUGUCACAAGAUGUAAACGAUAUCUAAUAAGCCUAGCGUGUAACAAUAUAAGACUUUGAACUGGCGUGUCACACUGUAUGAGUAAAAUGAAAUGGUGUGUAAGAAGAUGUAACACCGUAUGAGUAAAAUGAAAUGGCAUGUAAGAACAUGUAAAUGACAUAUAACAAGCCAUGUACGUGUGAUCACAUUACAAUGAAAUCUAGAAAAUAUGAGAAGCAAUUGAGAAACAAAUAUUUUCAUUUCAUACCUCCAUACUUCUGACCAGAUACAAGAACAACAUUUUCUCUAGAUUUACCAUUACAAACUAGAAUAACAAGCUAGAAUAACAAGAUGUUGAAAUAUCAACUUAGUCCAUUAUUAGAUAACAAACACAAAACCAACACAAAAUAUCAAUGUAAGAAACUUUAAAAGGAAAUUAUGAGAAAGAUACUAGACAUGGCUCACACAGUUAGUUAGACCGACUCAUUGUCUUCAUCUACAAGACACCCUACGUUCUCAAACAUUGUUUUUUGUAUUGGAUAGGUGUUGAAUGUGUAACUGGUUUAUCUACAAGUUAAACAUGCUUUCAGUCAUCGUCUUCGUGGAGGUACCAAUGGACCUGAAGAUGGUGCUAGAUUUAUGGAUGGAACUGCAAAUGAGGAUGGGCAAUUUUAUCUAUUAUGCCCAUACCUCUAGCAUUGUGAACGUCUUCGUGAUCAACUACCUUUACCAGUCAAUGGAAUCCUUCUCCUCUUAGGUCUUCCCGCUUGACAUUGCCAAGGUGGUGGCAAAACGACGAUUUCUUUUAAAUGAGGGGGAAUGUCCUAAUCACUAAGAUGCCUAAUUGGUGAAUGGACCCAGCAUAACCCUUUGCUAAAAAGGUUAUCUUGUAGUAGUCUACGCAAAAUUCAAUGACUUCAUGUUUGCACUUACUAAAAAAUCCAAUGAACUCAAUGUUGAAGCACAAUGUAAAAGUUACGUUCAUUACUAAUCAAAUAACAAAUAAAGAUAUUCGUACUUUAUUGCCACAAUGGCAUGGCUACAUGGUAGUAGAUCUAUCUAGAACACCCAACAUGAACACGUUUUCAUAGACAAGUUUACAAGUCCAUCCAUUUUUUCGUCUUUAACUUUGGAAUCCACUUGAUUGAUUAGUUUAACUACAAAGUGAUGUGCAUCAUUGAAACAUUUGCUCAAUUGCUUGGUAGCCCAAGGGCUGAGGGGCAUGGUCACCUUGACAGCCUCCUUGUACCGAUCAUGGAACCAAUGCUAGAAUAUGUCUAUGAUGAACUUGAUCAGAACAAUGAUUGGCAUUUGUCUUGCAUGCUUCAAGCAAGAGUUAACGCAUUUUGCAAUGUUGGAUGUCAUGAGUUGGUAUUGCCUUGCCAGUGACCAUGCACAUCCCUAUCUCUCAAGGCUUAUUCUCAUAAGGUAAGCGUGGGCUCUUACGUGAACCUGCUUAAGUUGGUUCAUAUGUCUAUUGAAAUUGAAAACCUUAUAACAGUCUCGAGCAAGGGUGAAAUCACUAAAGCGUCAUCGUGUUUGAACUUGUCUUUAAAGUUUUUCUUAAAGUGGUAACUACAUAAAUAGUGGUGCAUUUCUGUGUAUGCUUUACGAAUUGCUUUUUUAAUCCUGAUAUGCUGAUUAGAAAUGAACAUAGUGUUUUUAGGACAACCAACUGUAUCAAGUAGGUUGCUAAGAAACCACAUCCACGAGUUUUCGUCCUCAACUCGAUCUAUGCCAAAUGCAACUAGACAUACGCACUCGUUCGCAUCUUUGCAUACAACGACAAACAAAACACCCUUGAACCUACGUUUCAUAUGUGUCACAUCAAUUGCAACUACAGGAUGCAUUACGCCCUUAAACCCCUCGAUACAAGCACCAUAUGAUCUAAACCAAUAUUUGAAUCAUUGUGCCUCAUCAAUAGCCACUGCAGUGAUUGUACUGAGAUUUUUUUGUUCCAGCAUAUAAAACUACGAGGGUAGUAGUUAAAAUGACUCCUCCGGGGGAUCAAAGAAACCUUUUUGCAUAUUCCUUUGCUUGCUAGGCCUUACCAUACAAGCAUUCCAAUACCCACCAAACCCUCAUCUCACCAAUUACGUCCUUAGGUCUCAAUGUUACUUCAUUAGCUUAAAGCUUGUGUGACAUAAGUUCAUUAAUUAUCUUCACACUCGCAGUUUAGAAUCGCCCUUGCAAACCAUCGACAGUCCAUGUGUGCACUUUAUGGAAUGUUCGAACUUGCCAAUAUUCUCCUUCAAGUAACCUCAUUGCACGCACACCAAACUUACAUGCGUUGCCCAUACAAGCAACCGUAAAACGAGCUUGACUUAACCUUUUUACUCUUAUCUCUAGAUGCUCUUUUAAUGCUAAUAUGUUCAAAACUCAUUUCAACUUGGUCUUAGAGGAAAACAUUCUUCUUGUGUAUAAUCAGUCUUCGGCAAAUAUUGAUUCUUUAGUGGUAAUGGUUUAGAUUGAGAACCUUUCUACACCUAAAAUAAGCCACGUCCUAGAUAUCCUUGCAUUUUCCCUUUCCUGAUAACUAUCAUCGGGCAACAUCUUAUGUGAACAAAUCCCGUUGUCACUAGAAAUGGUUUUAUUGUAUAUGGGGUCAUCGCAUUAAACAUCUCCUACAUCAACACCUCCAACAUGUUUUGUUUUGCCUUCAACAUUAUUGCAAUUUGGAAUGUAACUAUCUUAAAGCUAGUGAUCAUCUAAAUUGUCAUCAUGCCAGUCAUCAGGCUUGUCAUUUGAAUUGUCAUUAAAUCUAUCUUUAGCAGCACAAAACAAAUCCUCAUUAGCCUGAUUAAAUGCAGUAUUAUCCUUAAGCAUCGCAGUGUCAUCCUCAAGUAUUGCGGUUUUAUUUGAAAAUGGCAUUACACCCUUUACAGUUUCACCCGAUGGUUGCAUUUGUUGGACAGAAGCAAGUAAUUGGUUUGAUACACAUGCCGAUCGGAAUUGUUCAACCAACUAUUUUGUGAAUGUCGUAUGUCUAAUUGGCUGCACAAACUCAUGUGCAUACGUCGAUUGCCAUUGUUGUGGGUUAGGAACCAAAUGCUGUGGUAUAUGUGAAGCACUAUAAAUCUCAUUUUGAUUAAGGUAAUUACCAUGUUGGACAACUUCUUCAUGUGGCAUAACAUUUGUGUGGCAUUUCUUAAUGGUGACGUACACUGCCGAAAGAUUCGUCUGCUCUAGCAAAAUUAAUGCAACAUUCUCCUCAUCCUUGAUAAUUGGGCGUGAUAGCUCUCCAAGUGUACUGAUUAAUGCAUGUAACUCAAUCUCCUAAAUCUGUGAGUUUACCCCAACAACAUCUUCAACCAACUUUAUCAAGCCCACAAAUGAUAAAUCAUUCCUAACUCCCCACAUUCGUGACUCACCACCCUUAUAAAUGCCAUCGACCCACUGACCAUCGUGUCUUAUCACAAAUCACACAAUUGGAAUGCCACUGAAAUUUGAAAAAAAAAAUGUUAGUCAAUUUACACAUUACAUGCCAUGUUCUAAAAUUUUGCUACAUGCCUUGUUGAAAACAUGUUUAUUACACGUUAUGUUGAAAAAGUUUUGUUAUAAACCAUGUUUUAAAAAAAAGGUUACAUGCCAUAUACUAAAACAUGUUAUUUCAAUAUAUUUUUUACAAGCCAUAUGCAUUAGAGAUGUUACUUGCAUGGCGUGCAACAUUUCUGGCAAAUGUUCUAAUGAUUUUGCUACACGCCAUGUUUACUACACCUUAUGUAUAGACAAAUUUUACUACUAGCCAUGUAAUAAAACAUGUUAUUUCAAUAUAUUUUUUACAAGCCAUAUGUAUUAAAGAUGUUACAUGUAUGGCAUACAACAACUCUGGCAAUGUUCUAAUGAUUUUGCUACACACCAUGUUUACUACACCUUAUGUACAAACAAAUUUUACUACCAACCAUGUAAUAAGACAUGUUAUUUGAAUACAUUUUUUACAUGCCAUGUGCAUUAGAAAUGUUACAUGCAUGUCGUGUAGCAACUUUAGGCAAUGUUCUAAUUUACACACAAAGUUUCAGAAAUUAAUGGGUUGUAGCAAUAAACCUAAUAGCAUAACUUGAUGUCAUCUCUUCUCUAGGAUCUAUAUAUUGAUGACGAUAUGGCGACAUGCCGAGAGAUAGACCAAAGCACGAUGAUGAUUGUUCUUAACAGAUAGUUGGCUGGCAAGAGAGAGCUAACAUAGCGAAGAGAGCUGAGAAAGUUGAGCAUUUAAUUUUUCUCUAUGGUGGGAGGGAGAUAUCAAAAGAUUAAUUUGCCAAAAAUGUAUUCAAGGGCAUUUUUGUCUACUCAUGCCAAAAUUAGGUAAAAGUAGUUAACUUCAUAUGGUAGGCUAUUUCUGAAAUCACCUUAUGAAAAGGGUUAUUUCUUACAAUUUUUUCUAAUAAUAAUUCCUAACCUAUUCCAUUUUAUAAAUUAAAUUACAUAAUAACUAUUCUAUUUUGUUCUUUUUUUUAUUUUAUUCUCACAAAAUAACUAUUCUAUUAUAUUUUGGAACCAGACAUGCCAUUACUUCCUUAUAAUCCAAAAUUCAUAAUAAAAUGUGUUUAAUUGGAGAGCCAUAAGGGCACUUCAGAAAGGUGAAGCCCAAGAUGCUGGAAUUAAUUUUAAGAGUUUUGUUUAUGACCCUUGUUUUGAUUUUUUGAUUUGAUUAAACAAUGUUAGCAAGAUUAAUGAAAACCUUAGAGAUCAGAUAAAAUUUAGAAAUUGAAACAAAACCAGAUGACAAACAUUCUGGAGCCAAAAAACUGGCCAAUAAGAUAGAAAAAAUGUUGAAGAUAUUGCUUGCAUGUACCCAAAUGGGCAAAAAGCCAAGUGGCAAACCACGAAAAGCAUGCACAUUAGUAUGUGUCUUUGACAAUGUUGAAGAACACUACAUGGGACUUUGCAUGCUUAUUUAUCAGUUAUGUUUAACACUUGUAAAUCUCUCCUUUAACAAGUGUUUACUAUGUGUUUAUUUAUGCCUUGUAUAUAUAUUGUUAAUGGUAAACGAAAAUCAUUGUGGCCUUUUCUAUUUGUUCAUCUUUGUUUAGAGAUAUAAAAUAGAGGCUACAUCACAACAACCAUAUACUCUCUUUCUCCCAAAAUUACAACAUGGUAUCAAAGCCUAAUUUGAGUUCUUAAGGGACCAAAACUUUGAAUAUCACCACAAAUCUUCCAAACAACAAGCCACCCUUUGAUCAUGGUAAAUAGUAGUAUCUUCUUUCAUCAAACAACAAUAUUAAAAAAGUUUAAGGUCUUGAAGAUGAAGGACAAUGAAACUUUGAAGGAUUGCAAAGAUGAGUUAAUGCAAAUAACAAAUCAGGUGAGAUUGUUGGGUGAGAAUAUUCUAGAAAAAAGUUUUAGGGAGAAGGUCUUUGGAAGUGCCAUAAGUGCAAAAUUCAAAGCCAAAGUCAAGUGUGAAACAACACCAAGAAAGGGACUUGAUGAGUCAUGGGACAAAGAAAAGAGAGACCAUCACCAUAACAAGUCUUAGUCCAAGAGUUUACCAAUGGGGACUUCUUGCAUAGCUAAUAUUCAAACCCCUUCAUGCAUUAGUUUUUGAAGUAUAACUCACUGAUAUAAUGGCCAAGUCAUUGAGCAAGUCAAAAUCUAAAUGUUAUAAGGAUAGAUUGAAGGUCCUCAAUGCAAACAUUAAGGGUGUCACGACCCGGAACUUCCAUCGAGCCUGUGACAACCACCGCGAUGUCCAGAUAGACAUUCAUUACUCGAAACGCCAAUCGAAACCUCACAAGGCUUAACAUCAGUUUUCUUGCUUCCCCUAUGAGUAUUAGUUACUAAAAUCAUGUUUUAAAGUGAUAUGAACCAAUUUCAAUUCAAAAAUAGUCAAAGAGAAGUUUCAACUACACAGGGGUAUUUUGGUCAUUUUUUCUAAAAAUUUCGAAACCAGCUAAAAUGUAGUAUAUGAGAGAAGUUUACACAUUUCAUAACAUAUUGGUCAUUUUUGAGGUACCCAAGUAAGCAAACAUGGAUUCUUAUGUAAGAAUGGCAUAAUAAACAUAUUGUAGAGCCGGGUUUGAUAGCACUACCCCCCUUAAAAUAAAAUUUUGACCUCAAAAUUUCAUUUACUGAACUCAGAGAAAAAGUGGGGGUAUUGUUUUCUCAUCUAAUGCUCGACUUCUUAUGUCCUCCCCUUUAUAGGGAAUUUCGUUUUGUUCAUUCUCAUCCAUAACCAAGAUUCAAUAGAAUAAUCUUCAUAAUUCAUACAAAUUCUCAUCAUGCCUGUGCAUAGUUCCACAUCAUUUACAUACUUAUACUCUCUUCUUAUCAUUUCCAAUUUUAUGCUUAAGUUUCCUUGUACUAUAUAUCAUUGUAUCACAAUGUCGUCUCCAUUGAAUUAUAAUCUAUUAUGCGUGUAUACUUUAUAAUCCCAUUGAUGCCUCAAAGAUUUGUCUUAACUUGAUCAUUGCAUCUCAUGCAAUACCACAAUUCCUAAGAGUCAUCCUUUUCUUCGAUUAUCUUUCAUGCCUCUACAUUACCUUGUAUCCUUCUUGCAUUUUGAUAUUGAUUUGUCACUUAAAACUCAGACUCAUUUGAAUCAUGUAUGCCUCAAGCAUUUUCGAAUUCCAAUUUCCAUAAUAUAUUAGGAAAGUUUCAUUAUCCGACUUCAUUAUCAAGGUCGACUUCUAUCAUCCUUUGUUCCACUCUUUCAUACGAAUAUAACAUCAUUCUUCCUUAACCAAUUUACAAAUUGUACUUGAAAUUACAAGACUUGAAACUAGAAUAUACUCAAGUACUUUUUAAUAUUAAUACUAAUAUCACUCUCAGCUUACAGCUUCCUUUUUUAUAACCACAUAACUUAGUGCUUGCUUUCACGAGAUCCAUGGCAGAACUUCCCUUGAGUAUUUCCUUGGGGAUAUCUAUCUUAAACUUAUGUCUCACAGCAGGUGAUCACUUAACUCAUGACUUAGCUGUUUGGCUCCUUAGCAAGUUUCAAAAUCACACAUCUUAUACUCAUCUCGUAUAAUUUAUAAUUCUUUCUCAAAGAUGUUUAAACAUUCUUGAAACACUUAAUCACUUAUUUGCUCUUUCAUACUCCAAGUAUAUCAUUUCCAUAAAGGCAUGCACUUGCUCACCAAAAUAUUUAAACGCAUGCUUCAACUUAUCUCCAAGGGUUUCUAACAUACCACGUAGUUUACUUGUGUUGUCACUAAUCCUUUCCUUUCAAUAAAGUCAAGACAAGAUUUGUAAAUUCUCGUAACAAUAUUCUAUAUAAACUCAUUUUCUAUAUCAUUCUUGAAAUCUUCAUUCACACUUUUAUCACUUGGUAUUGACAUCUCUUAUCAAUAUCUCAUACAUUCAUCUAACCUUUCCCUCACUUUGUUUUUAAACUUUUACAAGGUUUACUUUAUUUCUUAAGAUUUGACUUUAGUCAACAUAUUAUUCAUCUUAACACUCCCCCAAUGCACUUAAGACUCCCAAUAAUGAAACUCGACAUCAAAACCAAUGACCAUUUUCCAACUUGUGAGUCCAAUCUUUAUACCGCUCACAGUUUGCUCAUGUUUUCUAGCCAUUAGGGGCUCUUAACCAAUUACAUAUAUAAAGUGGAUAAUUCACUUAAUUAUUACAUCUCGUCCUUGCAGUUAUAAGAUCAAGAUUUCUCGAAUUUAGGAUGCAGAAGUUCCUUCCUAGAGCAUAUCCAAAAAUCCACAUAUUUCAAGUCCCACCUUAGGACAUCUUUCCCAUAUGGUGUAAUGAAUUCACAAUAUGUACAUCAUCAUACACAUAAUUACUUAUUAUUUAUGGUAUCCCACUAUUUUCAUUAUCCAUUAAUGAUCAUCUUCCUUGGCUUAUAACUCCAAUAGUUUAUUAACUUCCAGUACAAAGACCACGAAAAUAGUUCAUCUUUCACUACACUUAUACUCACAAUCCUUAUUAAUAAAAAAAUUAUCUUUUUCAGGUUUCUUCAUUUAUCUCUAAUAGACCAUAUUUGUAUUAGAUUAUCUUCCUAUAAUGUUAUGGCAUCAUUUUAUACUUCCUCCACCCUCAAGCUUACAAUCUUUGACUUUAUCACAUUAAUCGCUCAAAAUGUUAUCUAGAGCCUCAUUGAUUUCUUCCAUAUCCUUUCGAAUUGUAACCACAAUUAAGAAUCCCAAUUUCACAUCUCCAUGAUUAAUUGUUAGUCUUACCACACUAUCUCCCAAUAUCUCAUGCAAUUACAACACACUGAACCCGCUUAUUAUAACAUAGUCCCCUAGUUCAAUGUGUUUGCUCAAGAAUCAUCUUCUCUGAUACAAUUUGUCCCAUAAACCAGAAUUUUAUUUAUUUAGCUUUGCAUUCGGAAUCAUAUAAAAAACUCUCAUACUACGAUAAGUAAUAAUUUCCAACAAACAUCAUCAAUUCAAAUGGCAUUUUAUACCUCGUCAAAAUCUAGGGUUAUCACUCCAAAAGUUCAUCAUGUUAAUCGGUAUCCAUUUCUUAGUACUGCAAAAUACAUUCAUUAUUAAUUAGGGUAAUUGCUUGAAUCAUUAAUGACUUUCCACACCAGUCUUCAAUAAUUAUUUAAGAUGAUCAACCAUGCCACUAAGAUAAAUAUCUUUCCUUAAUAGUCAUAGUGCUAGUCCACCUCUGUCCUACCAAAAAUUUUCCAUAUACAUCCAGUCAUUUAAACAGCUACUUUAUAAUACAUUCUAGUCUUACACUUUUAAAAGCCAAACUAUUAACUUCUUUUUACUGAUAACUAUUACCUCCUUUACACUACAUCUUCCUAGUGUUAAAGUAGUACAAAAUCCUACGAAAAUAUUAAGUACCAUUAAGAUCAUCAUCUUAGUCUGAACAUAUUGGAAGAUUCUACUCCAGGUCCUCUUCCUCCUGAGAUUUUCUCCUUUGUUCCUCAAUCCAAGCUUGUUGUAUUCUCCUACAUUCCUCAUAACUCACAGGUGCAGCAUUUCUUCCACAACUGGGAGGAAAAUGUCGUACAACAGAUCCCUUCCUAGGGCGGUGAUUUACAACAUUUACUUUUUCUUUAUUCUUUUCUUAUUGUUCCCUUACAUUACUCCCACAGCCUGGAGGAAAGUGUCGAACAACGGAUACAGAUACCUUCCUAGGAUGAUAAUCCCCUUCGGCUAUCAUUAUUUUCCCCCUUUCUUCAGCGUAUUCCUUAAACUCUUUCAAAAGGGAAUUUCUCAUGCUUACAUUAAUGUCAUUACUAUAAGCACUUUCAAUGGUCUCACAAGGGUCGAAGCUUUCUUUUUCACAAACCCCCAUUCCCAAAUCCAGUGGAAUCCUAGGCAAGAUACUUCUUGGACUACUUGGUUCGGGUUGCCAUCGGCUUCUAACAGUAGAAUCUAGCGAUCUCUUGUUAAUACUAUGAGAGGCAUCGAGACUAUUGUCUCUCCUAGACAUGAUGUGUCCAACCAGCACACCUCAAAACCUAUACGCAAUCAAACAGUAGUUUCUUAAUUAUUUACGCAUCACAUGAGCAGGUAGGUUUCGAUAUGUAGAUGCAUGAAUUCAACUUAACCUAACCUAACUUAACUUGGGGCCACACUAACACUGUAAAUUUUUAAAAUAACUUUAAAACAAAAAGCUCUGUGCUCUGAUCUUUAAAACCAAAAGCUUUGAUACCAACUUAAUUAUCACGACCUGGAACUCCCAUCGAGCCUGUGACAAUCACGGCGAUGUCUCGAUAGACAUUCAUUACCCGAAAUGCUAAUUGAAACCUCACAAGGCUUAACAUCAGUUUUCUCGCUUCCCCUGUGAGUAUUAGUUACUAAAAUCAUGUUUUAAAGUGAUAUGAAUUAAUUUCAAUUCAAAAACAGUCACAGAGAAGUUUCAACAACACAGAGGUAUUUUGGUUAUUUUUCCCAAAAAUUUCGAAACUAGCUAAAAUGUAGUAUAUAAGAGAAAUUUACACAUUUCAUAACCGAAAAUAAGUUUAGAUAUCUAAAACAUUCAUUUAAAGUGAAAUUAUGACUAUUUGAAUAUAAUAAAAAUAUUCAAUAAAAUAUUCUAUUUUCUUAUAAAACAAUUUUUAUAGAGUUAUCUGUAAGAAAUUUUUGUAGCGUAAAAGCAAAAUAAAUUCAUACGUACUGUAAUACAGAUAGUCAAGGUAUGUAAUUAAAUUUACAAUGACACGUGGGCCCCCAAAUGACUAAAAGUAAUGAAGGCUGUGAACCUACAGUUUUUGAGGAUGCAAGUCCAACUGUAGCCCUCAACGAAAUGAGCUAUCUACUGACUAUCCUGAGCCUAAAAUGGGUGGAAAGGAGGGUGAUGAGAUUAUAUAAUCCCAGUGAGUAAACAAAUAUCCUCUAAAAUAUCUAAAGUUGAGUAAAUGGAGACGAUUGAAAUAAAUCAUCAUACUGUAAUCCAUCACCUUUCAACUCAUUUCAACCAAAUAGAAUCAAUUCAUUUAUAUCGAGUAAUCAACAUGGCUUAUGAAUUUCUUAAAAUUUGGCUCGUGCCAAAAUUAUUCUCAUACUCAGUUGUUAGGAAUACCUUGGCCUAGGGCUAUCCCAACCAAGUUCGCCAAGGAUGUUAAAAAGUCAUGUACGCAUAAAUCAUAUUUUUAUUUUGAAAACAUAGCCGUUCUUUGGCGUUGGCUGAGUUCACCCUCACGUGGUGGUUGGGCAUGAAGUGAACUCUAAAUUUUUACCUAAGAAGUUACCCUACGCUCUUCUUCAAUCGAGGUAAGAAUAUAAUAGGGUUUACAGUGCCCCUCUAAUAGGCUGGUCCACAGAAACCCGCCACUGCAGUGACUAAUCAAUAACCCACCAAUUCAAUAAAAGUUUAGACAGCAUGACAUGGCAAUUUUAUCAUUAUCCAGCCUAUCAAGGCAAACAACAGUUUAUGCAUUUUCAACACAAAUACCCAUCCAGCCAUUCAUGCCCACAUUAUCAUAAGCCAUUCAAUUCAAAACAUAAUUUACAAUACAGCAAGUAGUCUCCAAUUACUCCAUUUUCACGUCAUCAUUAAAUUUCAAAACAAUUUAUAAAAUCAUUUCAUUUAAACACAUUUUUCGUAAAAUUACAAAAUCGGGUAAAAACGUACUUCAGAUAAUUAAGACGAUAAUAAGGCUAUUCACAGUAAUGGGAAUCGAAUUCGGGAUACUUUGAUUCUUGAUCCUCGGAUACUACUUCUUUACUCUUGCCAGAAUGCUCACCACCUAGACAUAAUGCACAAUAAGCAAUUUGCUACAUUUGUGCUAAACCGUUGUAAAACUAAUCUAAGCUCUAUAUGAAUGCAUGAAAUGGAAUGCGAAUUGUUCGGAUCAUCGUCUAAACACGGUGUUCUACAUAAAUUCAAUUGUGUACCUAAAUAAAAUGGUAUUGGCCUAAUUCGAUCUAUCACCCGAUUAAUUGACCAAUAUGUCCAAUUUAACUCCAAAUAACUUCAUUUCUCACCCAAUACUCCAAAUCAUCAAACUCAACUUAAGUAACAUAAAAUUUAGCAAGAUCAUCUUCACAUUUCUUCUUGGGAAUUUCGACCAUGGGGGGUGCAUGAACACUAUGGUUUUUCCCACUUGAUUUUUACACCAUAAAUCAUUAAUUCCUAACCAAAUUACUUGAAAUAAAAUCAAUUCCACCAUCAACACAUCAUAGGGAAGAUUCUGCCAAUGGAGGGUGAUGGAAGAAAAUGAAUUUUUCUUGUUUGCUUUCCAUGCUACACAUCACUAACUAACUAAAAACACUAGAAUAACAUGUUUUCUAGCUAAAUCCAAGAUCAAAACCCCUCCCCCCAUGUCCGGCCAGCAAAGGUAUCUUCAUGCAAACUUGAUUCUCAACUAUGGGAAAUGAAAAAGAAUGCAUAGGAAAGGUAGAUCACAAGCUAAAAUCAAGAAAUCUUAUCUUUUGUCACUUGAUUCCUUGAAAUCUAGUGAUUUUCCCUUGAAUUUCUUAGCUAGGGUUUUGUUCUUCUUCUUUUUUUCUCUUUUUCUCUCUUUGGCCAACCAAGAUAAAUGAGUUGGGAGGGUUAUGGGCUGAUUUUUAAAGCCAAAUAUAAAUGGAUGAAAAUUUGACAUAUGUCACCAUUCCAUUGGCCCAUGUGUCAUACUUACCCAUUAAGCAAUCUCUCUCCACCAUUUAAAAUUCCUCAAUUGUCCAUAAUAAAAUGAGGUGAAAUUCAUGUGUUGGACAAGUGUUGGGUGGUGAAAAAUUCCAAUUUUGCCCCUAGGCAGAAAAAUGACUAUUUUGCCCCUUAUGCUCAAAAAAAUGUCAAAAUUAAAAAUUUUCUCCUCUCAAACUCAAAUUAUGUUCUAAAUGGUCAAUCUUGGUGAAAAACUUCUUCCAACUUUCCAAUUUUAACCUUAGGUGACAAAAUGACCAUUUUACCCUUACGUUAUGAAAAUUCUAAUUUGACUCUAAAUCGGUCUUCGAAAUCCGAAUCACCAUUUUAAGUCAUUUUAGGGUAUUAAAAUUCUCAAUUUCAUCUUAAAAUCUCUAUUUGGACUAGUUUGAGGCUUAAUUCAACUUAAUUGUACCAUUUGGCACAUUGUCGUCCUUUAACGAUUUUCGAGGUACCGAAGUAAGCAAACAUACAUUCUUAUAUAAGAAUGACAUAAUAAAUAUAUUGUAGAGCCGGGCUUGACAAUGGGAGAAUGUUGAAGCUACUGCUUGCAUGUACCAAGUGGACAAAAAGCCAAGUGGCAAACCACUGGAAAACAUGCACAUUAGUACGUGUCUUUGACAAUAUUGAAGAACAGUAUGUGGGACUUUGCAAGUUUAUAUAUCAGCUAUGUUUAACACUUGUAAAUAUGUCCUUUAACAAGUGUUUACUAUGUGGUUCCUUAUGCCUUGUAUAUACUGUUAAUGAUGAAUGAAAAUCAUUGUGGCAUUCUCUCUUUGUACAUAUUUGUUUAGAGAUAUAAAACAGAAAUUGCAUCAUAAUAGCCAUAUACUUUUUUUCUCCCAAAAUUACAACAAAAAAAAAAUUAUAUGAACAUGAAACAAGGCCCUUUACCAAGUGUGAUUUCUCACACCAAAGAGAAGCCAAUAAUGAAUCAAAUGGCUAGUAGAGGAGGUGUCACUGGUAUAAAAAAAAUUGUUGGUAAAAAAAAAGGAAGGAUCUUCAGAAAAAAAAAAAACCUAGCAGCCUUUGAGAAAAGGGUUCGGAUCUAGCAAUCGAAACCGCACAAAAAUCAUACACAAAAAGCACAUAAAAUGAUAAAAAAAAAUAGGGAAAGAGGUUGAGGGACUUUUUGAUCAAAGAGAGAGAUUUCAAGUUUUUGAAGGAAAAGGGUUGAUGUCUCGAGUUUGUGCAUUAGGAUCAAAGGAAUUACUUCCAACGGUUUCUUUGUUAGUGGCUAAGGUUCUUGUGCUUAGAGAGAAAUAGGGAGUUAGGGUUUCUGGAGAGGCGAAGAGUGCUGGAAGUGCCAUUCAAGACUGGGAUAAGGUUAGGGAAAAUAAAUGACAAGAAUAGAAGAAAAAGCAUAUCUUUUAUAGUUAGGGUAUUUGUUUAAACAAUGUCGUUUUACUACAAACUAGAAGGCUUAAAUGGUUUUGUUUCUUGCUGUAAGGGAAACCUCCUCUUCACUAUGUCAAACAGUGGGUUUUAAGCUUGGAAAGGCUGAGAAAUGGGCCAAUUUGAGCCCAUGAUAAAAAAGAAGCUUUGAAGCCCUUGGGCUAUUCUAAGCCUAAGGUAGGUAUGGACUUUGGACUUUCUAGUUUGGAUUGUAUCAUAUUUUGGGGUUUGGACCUUAUUUGGGCUAUGCUGUUUGUUGUAUGAUGUUGGGCCAUUUGUCUUAUAGUUUAGUUUGUAUUAAGCCUUUACAUUUACAUAAUAAACAUUAGUUCUUUUCGUUUAGUUAAUAUUUUUUUUAAAAUAUAUACAUGUAUGAGAAUAAUAUAUAUACAUAUGCAUAUGCAUAAAAAAAUAAAAUGGUAGCAGUUGAAAAGGUGAAGAUAUAGAAUGAAUGAUUAGGAAAAUAAAAUAUUAUAUAAGAUGAUGGAGUUUUUACCGGGACAUGAGAAGUCACAAUUUUAGGUCAAUUUUCUUAGGUGAAAUAUUUGACUAAGACUCUACCAGUAUGAUGAAAGGGUUUUAGUUGUACGUCAAAAUAUUUAUUAAUCCAACUAAUAUCUUAAAUUAGUAACUAAGAAUAUAGAAAAUUGUUUACUUAGAGUAGAGAAAUAGAAUAUUCAUGUCUAAAAGAUAAUAAUAAUAAAAUAUAGAAUAUUUAUGUUCAAAGAAACGCAAGAAGUCGUAAUUGCGGGUUAAUUUUCUUAGGUGAGAGAUUUAACUCAAGCUAUGAUGGAAGUACUUUAGUUUUUAAGACUCAAUAUUUCUUAAUCUGAAUAAUAUUUUAAAUUAGUUAAUAAAAGUUGGGGAUACUAUAGAUUUAGAAUAGAAAUAUAAAAUAUUUAUACUUAAAAAAAGAAUAUAGAAUAUUUAUGCUUUUAAAAUUAAAAUACAUAAUAAUAUAAAACAUGUUAUUUCAAUUAUACCAAAGAUGGAAUUUUAAUCUGAGUCAUGAAAAGUCCCAAUCUUGAGUUAAUUUUCUUAGGUGGAAGAUUUGAUUUAAAUUCCACCAGUAUAGUGGGUGGGUUUUAAUCUUAAGUCUCAAUAUUUUAAUUCAAAUAAAAUUUUCUUCCUAAAUAUUAAUGGAAGUGUAUUAAUAAAAUGGGUAAGUAAACCGUCUGAAGCUCCAUGGAAUCUCAGACAACAUCUAAUUCAAAUACACAAUUUGCAGAAGGAUAUAAUGAGAUGGAAAGAAACGCAUGUCUUGAAGACCACAAAUGAUGUGGCUAACAAGCUGGCCAAGGAAGGAGUUACUAGACGUUCAGAUUUAAUUUGUGUGAUGGAAAGAGAUGAAGAAAGUUAAGGAACUCAAUCAGAUUCGCUUAGAAUUUGAUUUGGUCAUAAAGAGCUGUUAGGAUUCGAGUUGCCGUAGGACUGUUGUACCUUCAAACCGAAUGAAAUUGAAUUUAAAUGGAAUACCAAAAGUGGAUCUGUUUUGAUUGAGCUUACCUUUAAAGGAAUUCAGCUUAGCUUUAAGGAAGAGUCGGAUGUUGGUGUGAACACGGGUUUUGAUAUUAUAACUGUUGCGGACAGUCACGUUCUGGAUAUUGAGACAGCAAUGGUUUGGCUAAAAUAAAAUUCGUACAAGAGGAUAGCUUUGGACAAGCUCUGAUCGGGUUUGGAUUGGACUUUUACAAAGCAGUAUGGCUUUUUGUGAGCCUCAAUUAUGUUCUUAGAUUUCGGACAUCCCAACAUCCGCAGACAAUUUACUUAGGGGUUCUUUAUUUUAUUUCUAUUUAUUUAUCUUAUAUUUUCUUAUUACUAGUAGUAAUAAGUCCAAAGUAAAUUGCUUGGACAUCUAGUAACAAAAUUAUAUAUUUAUCCAAAACAUAAAAGCAUAUUAAUGAAAUGAAAAAUAAUAAUAAUAACAAUAUUAAAUAUAUAGUAUAAAAAAUUAUAAGUAUCGAAAUUUAUUCUAAGUCACCAUCACCUUAUUUAAUUGUCAUUGCAUCUAUUUGGAUAUAUUUUGUACACAAGUUGAGGUCUUAAUGAUAGGACUUUUUGAGAGGCUUGCGACGACAAAUUCUCUCGAAAAAUUCCCUAACUGAAAGAAUACUUUCGGGUCCCAUGAAUAUAAAGGGAGGGCCUCAAGAAUAUUUUUAAUAAAAUGCCUUUACUCGUAUUAAGAUUUACAUGACAUGAAAAUGUUUUUACCCGCAAAUGAUUAUCUUGGGUUUUACUUCAUAAGCUUAGAAAGGUGAGUUUUCUCGAAUAAUUUCCUAUAUAAAAGAGUAUCUCUGUAUCCCACUAGUACGAUGGGCAGAUUUGAAAAAUAUUCUCAAUAAAAGGUUUCAUGUGACAUUUAAUUGAGAUUUAUACCAUACAUUCCAUAAUUGCAUCAUGUGCACGUCAUAGAAAUAAACCAAUUAAUGGAAUUUAGGUUGCGAAUAAAAUUAAAAGAAUAUAAUGAAUAAUAAUUAAGAAAACAUAAGAAUAAAAUUAAAAAUUAAGGUAAAAUAGGAUAACAUAUGAUUAAAUCUACCAAAAAUCAAUAUAGGAUCUGAUCGAAUAAAAUGAAUUUAAUAGGUGACGAAUCGCAUCAUAAAAAAAAUAUUGGUAGUGACUCCGACACUUUCUCGUCCCACCCAGACUUUCUCGUCGAGACUGACAGAUUCUCAAACCGACACAUAGUGACAAGAAGAAAAUAAAUUUAUUUUAUCCCAAUAUGGUAAAGCAAUUGAUUGUGCAUAUGCAACAUAAAAUUGAGACAUGCUGCUAUUAAAAUUUAUUCAAACAUAAUACUUGAGUUAUUUUCUGUCAACUAGUAUAUAUAAUGUUAGUAAAAUUUUUGUAUUGAUGAAAAUGAAAAUAUUUACUUAUUAUAAUUUUAAAUAUCUUUUAUUAUAAAUAUUAGUAAUAAAAUUUAUAUAAUUUAUACCAUAGAAUUCUGAUUAUAUUGAACGAUUUUUAUUAAAAAAUUGUUUUUUCUAAUUCUAUUAGUAUUAUAUAUUUUAGUAAUAAAUAACAUAUUUUUAUUUAAUUUUAAUUCCAAAUAUAUUUAAAAUAUUAAAAUAUUAUUUUAUUAAUGGGCAUGAUUUUGUGAGGAGUUCUUUCAUUAGAAAUCAGAUAUGGGUAGGUUUGAUUUUUUUGGUCAUAGGGGUUUUCGUAUUUUUAUUCUUUGUUUAUUUCAAUUUCCUUGUAACAAUAAAUCCAAAGUAUUUUUCUUUGACAUUCAACAAUAAAUUUGGGUAAUUUUUUAAAAAAUAUUAAUUAAAUAUUUUUAUAUUAUGAAAUGAUAAAUAAUAAUGAAUGAGCAACCCAAGCCGAGCAGAGCUUAACUUUUAACGAGAAGGCCUAAUUCGUAGAUACUUACAUGUUUUCAAUCCUUUCUUGCUACAUUAACGGUCACGUAUCCCAGUUGUAAUAUACAAGUCUCGAAAUCAUUAAGUUAUAAGCUUAAGUUUCGGUGUAAGUAGGUUUACUCUAAUUUUAUAUGGGAUUUUUUUAAUUAUAAAUUCAAAUUUAUUUAUAUGUGAUAUAAUAUUUAAAAAAGACUUGUAAAUUAUUUAAAAAAAUUCAAAUAAGUCUUUAUUCUUUCUAUUACUAAUAGUUGACUAAUUAUCAUUAAUUUAAAUGUUAUUUGUAAUUUUGUACCCAUAUGACACUGAUAUGACCUUGAUGUGAAUGAUAAAAAAUGUCACGUGGAUAUGUCAUCAAGUCACAUUAGCCAGGGACGGAGGAUAGUACUCCAAAAUUUUUAAAAUUAUUUAUUUAUCAUAUAUUUUUUAAAAAAUUUUCUUUAAAAUAUUAUUUUUUAAGCCCCUCAAAAUAAAUUUUUAUUUAUCAAUUAAUAAAAAUAAUAAAUAAUAAAUUGACCCACAAGCCUUACUUAAUUUUACCCCAAUUGUUAAGUUUCUCCACACCUCUUUCCCUUUUUCUUUUUCUCUUUCUAUUUUAUUUUGUUCUUUUAUUUUUACUUUACUCUCUUCUCUGUAACGUAACACUAAAACACACCUCAUUCCUCAAAAAAAGAUUUAUGAGCUUGUGAACUUAAACAAGGAAAGAUGAGGACCACACCAUUGUCUGAAAUUAAGAAGAAGUAAAGUUAUCCUUUAUGUUCUUUUUUCUGUUUAUAUUAUUUAACUAUUUAUAUAUUUAACUACUGUGUGAAAUCCUUUAUCUGGUAAUUAACUAUUUAUAUUUUAUGCAUUAUAGUUUUAUAUUUAGUAUUUUAAGUUUAAAUAGAAAUAAAAUAAGAAUAUUGGAUGUUGACUGCAUUAAUUUUUUUUUAUAUUUGAUUAAAGUAUGAGUAAGCUAAAAAGAAUUGACAAAUUCUUUAAAAUAAAAAGAUGGAAAUCGUCCAAAUGAUUCUCCUACACUUAAACCACCAAGCCUCAAUGCUUCAACUCAUGAACAAAAGCAAUUAAAAUUGAAACGCCUAAGCACAAUCUUGAAAAAAUUGUUGGUUAAGUUCAACAUUUUAACUUUUAAAAAUUUUUCGCCUUUAUUCCUCUUAAUCUUUAGGCCCCCAAAAAAAUGGAUUAACUUCGUCCCUGACAUCUAAAUGCCACGCCAUCAUCUAUUAUAAUAUUUUAACAUUCCACGUCAACAUCAUAUGACAUAAAAUGAUAAAUGAUAUUUUAAUUGAGUCAACCAUUAGUCAGAAGCACUUAUUUGACAAUAAAAAAAAAGUAUAAGAACUUGAUUGAAUGCAAUAAAAGAAUAAAAAUUUAUUUGAAUUUAAGGAUUUUUUUCGAUAUUAUUUCUUAUUUAUUUAUUAAUUGAACAAGUGUUUUCUCCAAAAAAUAAAAAAUAUUAAUACAGUUGAACAACAGUUAGUGAAGUAAAAAUUUGCUCUCUACGUUUGUUACCUUCAAGAUCAUGAUAAACUUGUUUAAGAUUUGGUGAUUAAAAAAGUGACACAAAUUUAAAUAUUAAGUAUCUUAAAUUUGAGUGAUCUAAUUUUGAAAAUUAAAUUUUUUAACGUUUUCUAUUAUUUCAAAUAAAAAAUGAAAGAUUAGAAUCCAAUCUUAAGUAAUGAAUUCAUAUAUUUAUCCUUAAAUCAAAUACUCAAAUGUAAAUAUUCAAAACUAAAAAUUUCACCAAAUUUUUAGGUUGUAUUUAAUUUCUAAUUGUCUUCCCUUCAAUUCAAGUUAGUGGAGAAAAAGACUUGAUUGUUUGGAUCAAGUGCUUAGGAAGCAGGGCAAUCAAGAAAUGAGGUAGCCAAGUAGAAAUUCUAGUUAGGGAGGAUCCUAGAUAAUUUGGGGGAUAGUACCAAUCUGGGGACACAUUUUUUUUAGCCAUCAAAUAUAAGGUGUUUUUAGAAAUAACCCUUCUCAUAAUUUUGACAAAUUUUAGCCAAGAGAAAAGAUUUUGGGACAAAAAUGCCCUUAAUGAAAUCUCUUCCUUCAUGUGCACUGUCAUACACACACAAAUAGGCGAAAAUAAAUCUACCAAGAAUUUGCUACAUGACAUUUUGUUAAAAACAUCCUCAUGUUGUAAGAAAUGAUUUUUCUUAUUUUCGGACAUUAACGUUAACACAAAUGUAGGUAUGUUACACAGCAGGUAUACUAAAUGAUUGUUUGAUCCAUUCUCAAAGAUAGGAAAGUGUUGAAUAAUUUCAUAGCAAAGUAAUCAAUUAUAGCAAAGAAGUUCACAACAAACGGUAAGUUAAUGAAUGUUGAAUUUUUUGUUGUGUUUUUUAGUGGGUUUAGUGAUUUGAAUGCCAUAUUGCUUGAGAAUGUGGUUAAGCGUUUUGGCGUUAAAUGGCAUUUGGUUUUGUUUGAAGUUGUUGAAAUCCCCAGAGAUAUUACAUGCCAUGGCCAUUUGGGUUGAAUGUUGUAAGCACAUGGAGAGAAAAUAGGCAUGGCGUGUAACAACUCUUGAGAUUUCUCUAAGUGCAUGAACAUGGCAUGUAGCAACCAGUGAAUUUUAGGCAUUAUGUGUAUCAUCUUAGGAUUAUAUGCAUGGCAUGUAGCAUGUUAUUAAUUUUAGGCAUAUCUUGUAACAAAAAUGGUAUUUUAUGCAUGGCGUGUAACAAAUUAUUCAUUAUACAUGGCAGUAGCAACCAAGAAUUUAUAGGCAUGGCAUGUAAGAAAAUAAAUAUUUUUGAAAAUGUCAUGGAGCUUCUCUGUGUUAACUGAUCAUUGCAUGUAGCUUACAUGUGCAUUAUUGUCACGACCCAAAUUCCGGGCCAUGACCGACGCAUGGAUCCAAUGGAUGUAAUCCACUAAACCCAAGCAAGCCUAUUAUUUAUCUUACUCAUCAUUCUAUAAUAAACUACUAAGUCACAUUUCAUAACUUAGAAUCAAAAUAGUGAUAUACAUUGCCAACUCGUACUGGCAUUACUCAUUUAAAAUUUACAUACCAUGUUUACAACAUGAAUUCUAAUAAUGUACAUCAAGUUUGUCUAUACAUCUCAAAAAGAAGACUCAAUUUCCAGCAGAGUGACUCGGAUGAAUAUAUAGCUACCGAAUGCCGAGACACCUACCAAAAGAUGGACACAGGUCUACAAAGACACCUCAUCCUAGUUACCGGCUGCCUCGUGAUCUGAAAACAUGAAUUUGAAAAUGGUGAGUAUAAACCCAGUGAGUGAACAAGAAAGGGAACAAGCAUACCGUAAGGAAUCUUUAAUGAAACCAUGAUGCAUUCUUUUUCAAAACAAUGCAAUUUGUUCUAUUCUUAUUAAAGACCCCUCAUUAAACCCUUAUAUGAUUAAUCAAUUGGUAAUGAGGAACCCAUACAUAACAAUUAAUUCCAAAAAUAAAAGCUUCAGUGAUACACUAACAAGUCAAAUGUGACGACGAAUCUUCGCUGCAGCGAGAAUGAAUUUUCGUUGCAGCGACAUUGGGAUUUAGCUAUUAGCAGAACGAGGGUUUCUUAACUGGCCAAGGGUUUCUCACUAAACCUCCUACUUUUAAACUUAAUUCAUUAAAUCCUUAAUGUUGGAAGUCCAUGCUUUGAUAUGGUAGCAAAUAAGUGAAAGAUAGGACAACAAUUGGACAAGAUAGGAGAUCAAAACAAAAUGAUUUUCGCUACAGCGAGAUUUAAUCUCGCUGCAGUGAAAUUUCAACCCAGAAACAGAAUGUUUCUCGUUGCAGCGAGAUUCAAUCUAGCUGCAGCGAAAUUGCUACCCAGAAAAUAGAAAGUUUCUCACUACAGCGAGAAUGUAUUUCGCUACAGCGAUAAGCUAUAGUGUCAUUCUUGCUACAGCAAAAAUGCAUCCUCCCUGCAGCGAGUUUUCGACCAGUGUACCCUUUCAAAACCCGAGAGUUUCUCACUGUAGUGAGAAUGAUUUUUGCUGCAGCGAGAUACAGGGCAGCAAUGAAAAUUUCCCCUUUUUUCUCAAAGAAAACCACCAUACUGAAAUGUUCAAACCACAAGAAACACAUUACACUUUUUCAAGGCUUAACAUGUCAAGUUUCACACGCAUUACAACCAUAAAUCAUUGUCCAUUAAUUUGCUAUAACACACAUAUUCACAUAUGUAUAUAUAUAUAUAUAUAUAUAUAUAUAUAUAUAUAUNNNNNNNNNACAACCAUAAAUCAUUGUCCAUCAAUUUGCUAUAUCACACAUAUUUACAUAUAUAUAUAUAUAUAUAUAUAUAUAUAUAUAUACGUAUAUAUAUAUAUGUAUAUACCCAUCAUCAUCAUCUCACCAACCCAUCAUCAUCAUCACCAGCUCAUGCGCACUCCUUACUCGCACAUAACCGGGUCGUCCUCGGUCUAUGCGCACUCUCUACUCGCACAUAGCUGAGUCAAUGUAAUUACACAACAUUAUAUUCAAGCAUAUAUGUAUAUCAACAUAAUGCAGCCACAUAGAAAUCCAUAAUAUCACAUAUCAUAACGUAAACCAUUUCACAAGAGCUUGUUCCCAAGGCAUUCAUUUUUGAGAAAAAUUGUAUAAAAUCAUUCAAACACUUUGUUCAAAACAGUCAUUUUCCCAAAACAAUUUUGAUAGGUAGUCCACUCACCAAUUAGUUGUAGAACCUUUAGAUGACUCCAAUUCCCUUAAUUGUCCAAUUGGAAGGAUUGGACUUCCUUAAAACCUAGGAUCACAUUAACAUAAACAAUAGAUCAAUUUACACACUAUGAACUUUAAAAGCUAUCUUUUAGCUAGUUUUCAAUUGCUACAUUAAAUGGCUAUCUAUGUUCACUAUCUUAAUCACUAAAAAGUAAUGAACAUACUCAACAAUAAAACAACUCAUAAAUCACAAUUACUAGCCAUUUUCUGCAGCUAAAAUCAAGCUUAAUUCAUCACUUACCCUAGGGUUCCUUUGUAGUCAAAUUCUCUUCCAAUUGCUUCCAAGUCAAUAAGGUAAUUCUCUUUUUCUCUCUCUAGAAUGCCCAACUAGUGAGAGAAAGUCUGGAAAUAAGCUUUAUCAAGGGUUUUGAAGUGAGAUAGUGAAAGAAUUCAAAGGUUAUAGUCAAUAGGGUUCAAAGGUAUGAAAACUAGAGCUAGAGAUAGAAAAUCAAGCAAGCUUCAAAUCAAGCUUCCAUGGAGUUUUGAAGAAACGUGAGAGAGGAGAAGAAGAAGAAGAAGACCAGCUGUUGGAAAUUCAAGGUAUUUAUAGGCAAUCUUAUCCUUUCCUAUAAAAUUACGAAAAUGCCCCUCCACCAAUUAACUUACUCUCCUCCAAUAUUUUAUGCAAUAUUUUUGCUCUUUAACACUGGGACAAGAUUCAUAAUGGUCUAGACAUGCUCGGGUUCAUAAAAACUUAAAAUUUUAACCCGAAGUGAAAAAUGACCAUUUUGCCCUUGUUAUGAAAAUUGUUGAAACUUCUAGUUUUUCUUAGUGUUUUCAUCAGUACACAUCAUUUAUACUGUCUUAUGCCUAUUUAGGCCUUAAAAUAUCAUAAAACUUUAUUCUGGAAGCUUAUUAGAGAAAAUGAUGAAAUUACCCCUAGCUCAUAUUAUUACAUUUAUGCUUAGUUACAAGCCUAUAGAAGUUGAGGUCUCACAAUUAUUGUAUUCUGUUGUAGAUGGAUUUUAGGGAGUAUGAGAACGUUGAUGUGAAACCAAAGGAAUAACAGAUCGUGGAGACUCAAAAAGAGGACGAUAUGAAAUUAGAAUUCCCUACUAUUGUGGUGACUGAAAAUGAGGAAAAUGUGAAACCAUAAUUCCCUAAGGGUUAUUUAUGUGUCGAUCUCCUGCACGACAUCAUGCUUUGUAGAAUCAAUGACCUAGUACAAUGGAGCAUUAGUACAAAGUAACCGAGAGAAACAAGCCAAAAUGGAUACAAUGUCCAAGGAUUAAUCGCAAUGUCUGCUAUUGCUAAUUAAAGCUUAACCGACUUGGCGAAGUGCGAAUAAGAGACAAAAAGAUUAAUCAUUUGGACAUGUGGCCAUGUUUGCAUCAUUGCACUUGUUUAGGCUUGAGUGUUGAGUGUUUAGGGUUUAUGGUUGAAGGUUUAGGGUUUAAUGAUAUGAGAAAAUUGGAAAUCACUAAAAUAUGAGUGAAGUAGAAUUAAUAGAAUUUUGCCAUACUUUGAGAAUGACUUACAAAUGACUUCAUUUACAUGUUGAAUUACGUAGCUAUUUAUAGUAGUAGAAAAGGUUUAGCUAGAAAGAAAAACAUAUAAAUAAAUGAAUAUUCAAAAUGGAGCAACUUCAAAAUGAAACAGUUUUCAAGGAAUGUAAGUGAAAAGACAUUUAGUCCUUAUACAUUUAAUCACAAUAAUGAAAAUGAAGACUACUAAUUUAGCGUCUCAAAACUCUGCACCUAAAUUAGAAGUGGGUGGUGAUUGAGGUUUGUCUAAUGCGUUUUGAUAAAUCAAAAUGCAAUUUUUUUUCCGAUCAAAGGCACCCAUGUUGUUUAAAAAUCAAAGAAAAUCCCUUAUGAAACCUUAGGUUUAGAAGUUUCAAAUUCUUGGGUUUAGGGUUGCUGAGGGCACGUAUUGAUCCGGUGAGAAGCUACUUCAAACCUUUGUGAUCAUUUCAACCGUUUGAGUUUCAUUAAAAACAACUCAAAAUAAAAAUCCCUACAUGGCCACUAGCCCCACGUGCACCAAAACCAUUGCUCGGUAAUUUUUAGGCAGGAGCAGAGUUGAUAGUAGCAUUGAAAGACCUAAUGCUUGACCAGAUUCAAUUCCAUUUAAAAUCCUGUCCUUGCUUCCCGCAAUAGAUGUAGUUAACACCUUCGUUUUAUCAAGUAUGUGGAAGUUUCUUUCUUCGCUCGUUAUUACUCUUGCUAAUAUGAAGAUCUUGAAAGUUAUCAACCUUUUAGGUGUACAAUAUCUGUUACAUUAUGGCAAAGUGUUCAAGAACUUUAUUUACAAAUGUACAUUAUAAAUGAUUAUAAGGGUUUGUUGCCUGCGAGUCUCUUUAGAAAUAAAACACUCAUGAAAUUGGAACUAUCUGUUUAUACUAUUAUUGUUUGGAGCAUCUCGACUGACAGAUCCUUUCUACUAAAGACUAUCAAUAAUGGUGGUUUAGACUUUGUCAAUGAUAAUUUGGUUGGAAGGCUUUUGCUUGAUUGCCCUAUGCUUGAAGAGUUCUUGAUUCGAUCUUCUCGUCAAUCUAAAAGUUUUACCAAUUUAAAUAUUUGUAAACAUGACUGAAAAGAUUGAAUUGAGAUGAUCAUGGUGAUAUGUCCGAUAUAAACCUUUUCAUCUUGGCCUUGAUGCCUUAAGUAUUGUCUACGUCAAAUCCAAUUAUUGUUGUGUUCGAUUAAAAAGCUACUAAUUAGUAAACUUACAUUCUCUUGUCAAUCCUGACAUGAGUGAUCAUGUAAUGGCCUUUGAGAUGAGUUCAACGUUGAUGCUACAUGUAAUUUGUUUAAUGGAAUGAGUAAUGUUCGAUCACUUCAGUUCAAUGAUGAGUUACUAUGGGUAAGUUCAUUGAAUUUUUCUUGUUGAUGCAACAUUUUGAUGGGAGGAAAUUUUGAUAAAUGGUCACACAAAUAUCCUUUUUGAAAAUAUAGUCUUUCAUGUCUCAUAAUUGAGAGUUUCAAAAAAGAUCUCAAAGAAAUGCUUGUAAAUUCUUUCAUCAUUGAUCUAUGUUUAAUAUUUUGAGUAGUGUAAUAUAAUGAAUUUACCUAAUGAACAAUAGUUACAUGUUGGUCAAAAGAAUUUACCAUGGUAUGCUGACUAUGUCAAUUUCAUUGUAAGUAAGCUUCUCUUUCUAAAUUUAACUUUUCAGCAAAGAAAGAAAUUUUCACAUGAUGUUAAAUUAUAUAUUGGGAUAAACUAUUUUUGUUUAAGCAAUGUGUUGACAGAAUGAUAAGAAGGUGCAUUCCAAAGGAGGAAGUUGAAAGUGUGAUGAGACAUAGUCACUCGUCAGAAUAUGGGGGCCAUUUUGGAGGAGAUAGAACAAAUGUAACAUUCCCAAAUAUGAUGUAAAUUAAGGUAAUUGAGAAUGAAUUACAAAAUAUGUGAAGUCUUGAGGACUUUAAUGAUAUGACAUAUAUGCCAAGUGUUGGAGAGUGAACAUAUUGACACUUAGGCAAAAUUUUAAGGAAAUAGGUGAUAAAUCCCAUAAUUUGAGGUUUUGAUUUAAGUUUGACUUCAUAUUUGUGAAUAUAUAUGUAUGGGAUUAAGUUAAAUGGAUGAUUUGAGGUGUGAUAUUAAUAGGAAAUAAAAUUAGGGGGUUAGACUUGAAUUUUUGGAAAUUUGGAAAGCUGAAAAUUGACUACAAGAGAAAAUGCAUUGAUACAUCCCCAAAUAUGUCGAUACAUUCUUGGCAAGAUAAACAAUAAAGGCUUUCAGUAGAUUUUCUAUUGAUACAUUCAAGAAUAUAUCAAUAGAUUUGGCCAAAGAUGAACAUGUAUUGAUACAUUUGAAGCAAAAAUCACCCAACGAAAAAAGUAUCGAUACAUUCCCUUUAUGUAUCAGUACAUGUUGGGUAGUGAGCCAUUCUACCCGAAAUCUAUUGAUACAUUGCAAAUGUAUCAAUAGAUUUAGUUGAAAUACGGGCAAAUGUAUCGAUACAUCACUGAAAGCAAGGCAAACAUAAAAAAGGGUUCACGAGCAUUUCACCUAUUUAACAAAAACCCCCAAACUCUUUCUCUCUUUACCAUCUCAAAAACCUAUUGCCCCAUAUGAAUUCUGGGAGCUAUUUGGACCUAUUCUGAGCUUGUGAAACACCUCUAGAGGUAAGAUUAAACGUUUUAACCAAUUAUUUUUCAAUUUAUUCUGUUAGAUUCUAAGAAAUCUAGUUUUUCCAACAUUGGUGAAUCUCCCUCGAUUCAGCUCGAAUUUGGAGCUAAGAUCCAGGUAAUCUAACUUUGAAGGUAUGAGUUUAGCUCAUUGUUGAUGGAUUUAAGCUUAAAUAGUUGGAUUGCUAAGAUUUGGUAAGUUUUGAAAAAGCUGGCAUUUUUUAAAAGCUAGGAUUUAACUAAUAAUUUAAUGUUUGAUGUGUUCUAAGGGGAAAACAGAGUUAAUUCAACUCGUUGGUGAGUUGAAGGACAAUUAGAGGCUAAAGAUCAAAGUUUGGCUUGGAGUACUUCUAAUUUGUCAUGAUGACUGGGUUAAUUAAAUGCAUGUAAUGCAUAACGCAUGGAAAAUGCAUUGCACUGGUAUUAUAUUAUGCAUGUAAGCCUAGAUGAACAUGCCUAGGCUAAAGAACAAAUGUUUUAUGUGCAAGUAAGAAUAUAUGUAUGUAUAUUUAUAUAUGUGUGUAAAUGAUAUGUGUUGAGGUUAUGUGCCUUAGUGCAAUGCCAUGUGGAUGGUUUAUAUUGUGUAAGCCUAGGCUAGAAUGUCUAGAAGCUAUGGUUAACCCCUAAGAGUAGGUUACCCUAGGUUAAUGAUGUGCUAAGAGAAUUUGACCAAAUGAUGCCUUAAGGAUAUAAAGUACUUUAGAAUGUUAAACAAGCUUAUAAACGAUUAAAGCUCGAUAAAUAUGAUUUGAGAUAUGUUGUGGACAUAUGGAAUGGUAAAGGCAUGAUGACCUCAUUGUGGAUUGUGUUCCGUCCGAGGGAUGAAUUCUGGACGUUGAUCUGACUUGUGGAUGAAUGGAGUUUUGUCCCCCUGUGACCUUUGUGUGCCUAUAGGGAUGGUGGUAAGCAAGGAUGGUGGCAUUAGUCCCGCUUAUGAUUCCCACCUGUGGUGUUUAGAUGCCACCUGUAGGAGAUUAUUUCAGGUGAUGCCGACCGCUAGGAGAUUACGUCGUUUGAUGACUUUGAUUCUUCAUCAACUACUUCGACGCUAUGUGUAAUCUGUUCUCCCUAAUGGCUUUGCCUUGAAUGUGAUUUGAUUCUCCACCGGUUGGACACUGAAUGUGAUUUGACUACGUCUAAGGGAGGAUCACUCGUUGAUGUGAUUUGCAUAUGAGAUGAGAUAGUCGUGGAAAGGCUUAAAUAUAUAUGAUGUGAUACUCCGACGACUAGAGUGUGUCAUGGAGAUUGAUUUAGAAUAUCUUGAAUUGGCUUCGAGAGUAAGUCUAAUGAUGAGUGUGGCCAAUGUAUGGUCGUAUGAACAUUUGUACAGAUUGUGAGCCAAGGAUAAUGCAUAUUAUUUGAAUUUUAUGAUGAAUAUUUGACUAUUAAAUCCCUUGGCAUUUACGUUGUAUGAUUUUGGACUCUGAGGCUUGCUCGAGUCUAGUGGACUUGUCUGUUGAACUCGUGCACUAGUCAUGAACUUUCAGGUUUUAGUCAUGACAGAACAGCAGCCAAAGUUCUUAAAUUAGGUUUGUAUUGGACAACACUAUUCAAGGAUGCUCAUAAGUUUUUUUUGCAUUGUGAUAGAUGCCAAAGAAUGGGGAACAUUUCUAGAAGACAUAAGAUGCCAGAUAGCAACAUGUUGGAUGUAAAAAUUUUUUAUGUCAGGGGAAUUGAUUUCAUAGGACCAUUUAUAUCCUCCUUCAACAACCACUACAUUUUGGUGGCUAUUGACUAUGUGUCAAAGUGGGUCAAAGCCUUAGCUCUACCCUAAAAUUUCUACAAAAGAGCAUCUUCACCAAAUUUGGUACUCCAAAUGCUAUUGUGAGUGAUGAAAGGAGUUACUUUUGUAAUAAGUAUUUUACAACAUUAUAACUAAGUAUGGAGUGACACACAAGGUUGCCACGGUCUAUCACCCUCAGAUGAGUAAGCAAGUUGAAUGGUCAAACCAAUAGAUCAAGAGAAUUUUAGGGAAAGUGGUAUCUCCAUCAAAGUAGGAUUAGGCCAAUUGACUUGAUGAUGCAUUAUAGGCAUAUAGGACCACUUAUAAAACUGCAAUAGGUAUGUCCCCAUAUCAAUUGGUAUUUGGAAAAGUGUGCCACCUCCCGAUUGAAUUAGAGCACAGUGCAUUUUAAGCCAUCAAGAAUUAAAUUUUGAUUUAAAGGUAAUGGGUGAGAAGUGUUUUCUUCAAUUAAAUAAGAUGGAUGAAAUUCACUUGGAUGCUUAUGAAAAUGCCAAAUUAUACAAGAAAGAGACAAAGCGAUGGCAUGAUCAAAAGAUUGUCGAGUGGCAUUUCAAGCUAGGUCAGCAUGUGUUGUUGUUCAAUUUAUGAUUAAAGCUAUUUUCAAGCAAGUUAAAAUCAAGAUGGUCAAGACACUUUAUUGUAUCCAAGGCGUUUCCCCAUGGAGUAGUAGAAAUAGUAGAUGGGUCAACUAAUAAGACAUUUGAGGUGAAUGGGCAACAAUUGAAGCACUACUAGGGAGGAAAUACUGAUCGCCAACAACCUUCCAUCGAUCUUUUCGAUUCUAAAUGAGCUUAAAAAAAUCCAGCUAAUAACUAUAAAGGAAGCACUUCUUAGGAGGCAACCCAAGUUUCUCAUCUUAAUUUACUUUAGUAGUUAUUUUUUUAGUUUUUAGUUUAUUUACAAUUUUUUUCUUAUCAUUUUAUGUUUCUUUUCUAUUCUAUGUUUGAUUUUGCAAGUCUUAGAAAUACAAUAGAGUAAAGUGAUAUUGAAAAAAAAAAAGUGAGAGUCACAACCUUCACAUUGAAAGCCACAGCUCUAAAAGCAGGUAACAUAAUAUCUACAAAUAGAAUGGUUGAGCACCGCGACCUUCAUUUCUUAGAGACACAACGUUGGCACAUGAAGAAAAAAAAUGUCCAACAUAGAAUGGUCGGCACUGGAAUUAGGAAUUAAAUUUGCUAGAAAUAGAAAGCUUGAGUGCCACAGCAUUGAAACAUGAAGUGUAAUGCUUCAAGUGUAGACCAAGCGAGAGUCGUGGCUCUCAAAGUGAGAGCCAAGGCGUUGAGUCGAGGCCCAGCCCCAACCUUGUUUAAGACAUGAUUUUCAUCAGUCUUCUCACAUUCUGCAAUAGCUUCAACACAUAACCUAAGCUCCUAAACAAUCCUUUUUCUUCCUCAUCCCCUGGUUCUUGCCUCUACAAUACUCACCCACUUGUGCUUUUAAAUUGUAAGUGUGUGCAUUUAUCUCAUUCACCAUUCCUCAUCUUCUCCAUAUAUGCAAUCAAUUAAGUGCUUUCUUCAACAAUUUUCAUUUGUUUUGAGAAUUUUUUGUUGAUAGUAAUUGCCAUUGCUAGAUUCCAUAGAUUUUACAUAUUGAUGGUAACUUGCACGUGGUUGGUGAUGGGUUUGAAGAUUUUCUUCUUGAUUAUGCUUUGGGGGAGGUGAAUUCUUGUUUGAUUGAUGAUGAUUAUAGUGAAAUUAUUACUGAUUAUGGGUUUGGUUCAUAGAAUUUUGUGUGCUUGCUAAUGCAUAUGUUGAAAGUCUUGUUUCCUAUGGUGUGAGUUGGUAGAAAUUUGCUUGGUGGAUAAUGGGCAUGUAGCAGAAGUUGCAAUUUUGGGUUGGGAAACAAUUAGACUAUGGCAUUUACAAACAUGGUGAUUUUGGAAAUAAUUUGUGCUAAAACAAUUUGGUUUGGUUUCUUUUACACACUUAUUAUAUUUUGUGCUCAAAUUUUUUUUAGAUAUUGGAAAUAAUUGAACUCUUGUUAUUUUGGUUGCAUUUUAUCUUUGUUGGUUUUUGGAAAUUCUACAAUAAUGGCACCUAAGCGCUCAAAACCAAAUUAAAGUGGCACAUUCGAUCGAGCAAAGUUUGUCUCAAUGGAUGCUUCAACAAGAUAUUAUAAUUUGAUGAUUAACAAUGUGCCUAUCCUUGAACGAGGUUUAAAUAUUCCUCUAGUCCAUUAUGAAGAGAUACAUAAGAUGAUUGAAGAAUGACAUUUGCAGCAAUUUUGUGCCUAACCUAAAGCUGGGGUUGUGCCAGUGGUAAAGGAAUUCUAUGCGAAUGUAUUUGAGCAUGUUGAUUGGGUUGUUUUGGUCCGUGGCAAACAGGUACCAUUCGACAGUUAGGCCAUUAACAAAUUCUUUGGAACUCUAAACCUUAAAAAUAAUGAAUACAAGCAAUAUUUGGGAGAUCAACAAGAUAGUGAUGUGAUCAUCUCGGAGCUUUGUGUUAUGGGAACCCAAUGGAAAACAUCUCAUGGAGAGCUUGUUUCGUUCAAAUGAAGUGCCAUGAAGAAGGAGCUAAAAGUGUGGUUACAUUUUUGCGGCAGCAAGAUUGCUCCCAUCUACCCACAUCAGUGAUGUUACCAAGGAUCGUACAAUUCUUACGUAUGCUAUUUUGACUCAUAAAUACAUCGACAUCGGGAAGGUUAUUUCUCAUGCUAUACUUCACACAUGUCGAAUCAAUCGAGAUGGUAUAGGAUUUCUUUCUUUCAUAACUGCUUUGUGUGGAAAAGCUGGUGUAUGAUGGAAUGAUAGUGAAGAGUUGCAGCAAUCUAAAAUUCAAACCACCAUUGGAAUUCUGAGGCAAUUGGAAGAGUCCACAGUAGUGGCUGGUAGUUCUUCUCCAACUGUUCCAUAACCUCCACAGCGAGCUCCAACCCAUAGUGCAAAUGGAUGGAAUGGAUUGAUCAUCAUAUGGACCGCCAAGAAAGGUAGAAUAGAACACUUCAGCAAAUUAUGUGAGGCUAAGAAAAAACAUAUUGGGAUGGAUAUGGCUGUUUUCCUUUCGUUGCCCACGAAUUCAAACUCUGAUGACGAUUUUAGUAAGGAUGAUAAAGAUGACCAAUACGGUGCAGCUAUAGUUUAACGGAGUAUUUUCUUUUCCUUACUUUUCAUAAUAUUAGGGAUAAUGCUUACUUUAAGUGUGGGGAGGAAGUUUUUAAAUUUUCAUGUCUUUGAUUAUGUUUUGAAGUUAAGUUUAGUUGUUUAGCAUGAUAAUUUAGGAGUAGUGAAUUUAGGAAAAUGUUGAAAAACUAAAGCUAAAAUUAGUGCACUAAUGAAAUUGAUUCGCCCAUCCAAUGAUGAUAACUAACUAUUUUGUUGAUCUUUUACUCUUAGUUGUUUGAAUGUCAUGUGGAGUCUUGUUAGCAUCAUGAUCGGAUGAAAUUUUCAUACUUGAGCACUAUAUCUCUACAUUGAAAUAUCCUAUCUCUUUAGAGAAAGUUUAUGUAAAUGAAGAUUUUAUAAAUAUGUUUAUAGUUUUAGAAUUUGUUUAAUUCUUCCUUGAUGCAAAAUCAUAAAGCUAUACUUAGUCAGGGACUUGACUUAGGCCAUUCUUGGACUAAUUGAGCCUUUCAAGCCAACCUAUUUACAUCUUUAUCUAUAAUAUGCCCCUUUGAGCUUAAAUUGUCUUUUAUUUGAUUUAACCCAUAAAUAACAUUAGCUUAGCGUUUGAGAAACUUCUCCUAUUUUUACAACCCUCACUCCUAAACAUAUAUAUUGUUUUAAGAAAUGUAUGUUGAACUGUUUGAUGAGAAAAGUGGAAAAGAUGAAAUAUAGAGAAAAAUGCAAAACAUUUUGAAGUAUUCAUCCCACUAUUAAUGAAAAAACCAAGUUUGGGGUUGUUGAAAAAAAAAUAUGUUUGAGGAAGGAAUAGUGAAAGUGAAAGAAAAAGGGUGUACUCGAUGAAGAAAAAUAAUAAGGCUAUAUAGGUCCUAAAACAAUUAUGUGUUUAGAGUGACUUAUGCUACAUAUUAUCCCGGAUCCUACCUCCACCCUAGCCACACAUUACAAGCUAAAUAAAGUCCUAGGGAUCCUUAAUUUAGUAUUAGCCUACAUUAUUGGAGAGGGAGAGGAAAAACAAACUUAUGAAAUUUUUAACUAGUUUGAAGUUUGAAUGAACAUAAACCUAUCCGGAGUGCAUGAGAUUCAUGGCAAGAGAUUUCACACACAUUCACACACACACACACAAUAAUUUAUCCAAAAAUGAGCUUGCAUUGGAAUGUAAUGUGAAUUUAGAUAAUAUUUAUGUCUUACUAUGAGUUGAGAUAACGAGAUAGUUUAUGAGCAAAUUAAAGGUUAUAAAUGAAUUGGUGCAUCCGAUUUUGUUAGUUUGAUGUUUUCAAUUAUGUUAUUUUGUUUUCUUAGUUUUUGCUCGAGGAAUAGCAAAAUAUCAAGUUUGGGGUUGUAAUAACUCUAUGAUAUAGAGUUAGUUUGCCACAUUUUGAUUGUAAAAAGCAUAGCUAAGUUCUUGUGUUUUGAAGUUAAUUUUAAGUAAUUUUUAUACUUUUCUUUAUUUAGUUUAUUGCAUGUUGAAUUAUUUUUAAUUUGAGUAAUUUGAGCUUAUUUUCACAUCAAAAGUCUUAAUUUGAGAAAUCACAAAUUUCGUCUUUAUUUUAAAGGUUCUCAAGUGUAAAAAGCUUCAUGGAAGUGAAAUGUGCAAGAUGGUUAGGUGUAGAAUUUGCUAAACAUAUUGUAGUAUUUCUGCCAUAACACUUUCUAAAGAACUCCAAAUGAGGUGAUUCUAGACCACUGGAAAGUUGCAAGGAAAGGCUACAACUUUUCUAUUUAUCACUUUGCCCAGCUUGGAUUGGAAGGUGAUCAAAACCAGUGUCAAAAAGAGAGUACUGCACUAAGAGAGUAAAACAAAGACAGAACACUUGAGAGCCGCGGCGCUGAAAGGAAUUUGUGGCGAACUUCAAAGUCAGAACUGUUGAGAGCCACAGCGCUAAAGCUUAUUUCCAAAAAUAAUUGUUUGACUAGAAAUUUGGAAAUUAAGCUAAUUUGUGCUUAUUUAAGGGACAUUUUCAAAGAAUUUUAGAGAGAGGACAAUAGUAGCUAUUUUGAAGAAUUGUAGCUAACAAUCAAGCAAGAGAACAAGAAAAAUUGAGAGAGAUUCGAGAUCAAAAAGCUUCAACAUUAGUUUCUUUCUUUAUUUUGUGUUUUCCUUAUUUUCUUUGACUUGAAUUCAUAGCUAAAUUUCUUUGGAUAAUGUUUUACUUAGAUAUCAUGAACUAAUUUAUUUGUCUAGGAUUAUGAUGGAUUUCAACAUGUAGUUUGAAUAUUAGUUUCUCUUUUAUUUAUCAUGAAUGGGUAUAGUUUUGCUUAUUCAAAUCUAUUCUUAAUGCUUUUAAUUGCUUGAUCAAUAAUUAAUUAAUUUGUGAAUCUAAUUGAGACUUGACAAAGAGGUUUUAGAUUGGACUAAGAUUUAAAUAGUGUAUGUUAACAUCACUUAGGUGAUCUGAUUCGCGAUUUGGAUAGACAUACGCCAAUUGCCAUACAUAGCCAAAUUAGGACACUAGCUUAAUGAACUUAAUUUAAUUAAGUCCUAUAGACAUAUAGUGAGCUAAUUAAGUUAGGUAUUUGUGCAAGCAUCUCGAUGGAGACUUGUAGACAGCUUUGGAUUCUAGGUUAGUAAAACCACCUAGGAAGGUAAAUAAUAAGCGAAGCUGGUAUCAAAUGAAGUGUUGAACGAACCCAUAAUCCUAGGUCUUUAGUCUGUUGUCUUUCUCAAGUAACUUUAAUUUCUGUUAGUUAAUUUAGUUCUUGCUUUAAUUUAGUAUUAAUUAAUUUUCUUAAAAUUUGAGUUACUUAAAUAAGAUUAAUUUGUUAUAAAAUUUUAGUACUUAGUAAAACUUUAGGAAGAAAUCUUUGUGGGAACGAUACUCUACUUAUAACUAUAUUACUUGUUUGUGAUAACAUGCACUUAUGUGAAAAAUCAAUAACACUCAUACAAGCACCUUGUGCUGUGAGGAUCGAUAUACCCGUCCAUGGGAGUUGCUCCUUGGCUAUUCCUGUCACAACCUAAUUUCCUGACCAUGACCAGUGCAAGGGCCCAAUGGGCUCAGCCCACUAAGCCCAAGCAAGCCUAUUUAUAUAAUCUGGUACACUAAUCCAUAUGUCUUUAAAAUCCAAAACUUGUAAUGUUCAAAUAUAAUUCCUUUGAAAACAAUUCAUAAGACCCAAUAAUGUAUUCAUAAUAACAUCAUCAACCAUAAUAUACAUAUAUAGCUUGACAAAUGAGUCUUAGCAUUUCACAUCCAGCAUUCAUAUACACAUAAUUAGACCUUGAUCGUUAGCGGAGUGAAUCUGGGCACGGUUGCUAACAUUUAGUGUCAUGGUAAACCUACCGAGCAAUGGAUAAGGAAGAGCACUUCUUCCUAGGACCAACCACCUUUAACUCAGAAAACCUAAAACAUGAAGUUUAAAAACGUGAGUAUAAACCCAGUGAAUGAACAUAAGAAGGGAACAAGUAUCAAUUCGGGAAGUUUUAGAAAACAUGAUGCACUUAUGUUGAAAACAAUGCAAUUCAACUUAAUUUCUUAUCACAAUGAAAAUCCAUUUUUGCUACAGUGAAAAUCAAUUGGAAAGCAUUUCUCAAAUUUUAACAUUCAAUAAUCAAUGCAAGCACAAUAUAAUUUCCAUAACCUCUCUAUAUAUAACAUAUAUAAACAUACAUACGACCACCGGCAUCACCCCAACUCUCCCUCAGCUCACGUGCACUCCCACAUCGCACAUAACUGGGUCAUUAUCAGCUCAUGUGCACUCCUACACCACACAUAGCUGGGUCAUCAUCAGCUCAUGUGCACUACCACACCACACAUAGCUAGGUCAUCAUCAGCUCAUGUGCACUCCUACACCGCACAUAGCUGGGUCAUAAUUAUCAAACAAUAAUAUCAUUCAAUGCAUAACAUUCACAUCAACAUAAUGUGGAAACACAGGAAUUCAUCACAUUCAUAUUUCACAACAUAAAAAUGUUUCAUUAAGUGCUUCUUCCCAUGCAAAUUUUAAAAAAAAACCAACCAAAUAUCUCAAGUGGUUCAAUCAAGCAUCUAAUCAUUUAUUCCAAAACAUUUUGAUGCAAGUUCAUUCUGUUGUCUCCAUUAGUUUUUUAUGAUAAUAAAACAUUCCCAUUUAUGUGUGUCUAAUGCCUUUACUUGAGUGGGCAGGAAAGUAAUAUAUGAAAUUAAUUUAUUGACUCUUCAAAGAGUAUUUUUGAAAGAAAAAGAGGGAUAAAACCAACAAGAUGUAACUAAAUAACAAGGAGCAAGCUUAUUGGUGAAACAAGGAAAAACAUUGGUUAACCAAAUUUCAAAUUGGAGAAAUGGCGAGCUGAAAAGUUUGAGAAACAGAACCAAUUUAGUCAACCAAGUUAGUCAACUAAGUGCUCUCUGCCAGAAUCUGCAAACCAGAAACAGAACCAACUUAGUCAACCAAGUUAGUCGACUAAGAGCUCUCUGUCUGCAAUUUGAUCCAGAGCACUACAAGACAGAUUAAAGGCUAGAACUCAUUCUCAAUUGUUUCCAAUGGAUAUAAACUACCAAACUGCCAUCAAAGUUGCAUUUCCAAGUAUAAAAGGGUCUUCCAACAAUAAGAAAGAAGUUUUUUAAAGCUUUGAAUGAGAUUUGAGCUAUAGAAAGUAGAAAAAACCAGAAAAGCUUCACUGCACCUUACUGCACUUAAAUGCCAAAUUUUUGUACUAGAGUUCAACACUUCAUCUUGUACCAUCUAAAUCAAGUAAGUGAUCAUAGGUACUUCUUUAUUACUUCUUUUGUAUUCUUAGAGUGAGGGAGUCACUCUAAGGGGUUGUUCAAGCUUGGGAUGGCUUGAUUGUUGUAGGUUGUGGUUGAGCCUUGGAAAACCACAUUGGGUUUUAGUUGAGCCCGUGAAAAACUAGUGUAAAAGGUUGUGGCUAAGCCUAGUAAAAGCCAUUGUGAAGCUUGGUGAAAGCUUGUGAAUUUCACAAGUCCAUAGUGGAUUUGUGGGAAAAUCCUUGGUUGGAUAAUCAAGGUAGUGGAUGUAGGUCUUGGACUAAACCACUCUAAAUUGUUGUGCAUUUUAUACUCUGUUUUUGGUUUUCUUAAGUUCUAGAAAUUACUUUCCAAUCUUAUCAAGAGCCAAAUUGUGCUAUUCACCCCUCCCCCCCUCUAGCACAUAUUAUCAUGACCAACAAUUGGUAUUAGAGCUAGUUACCUAUUUUUAAGGCUUAACAUCCUUUAGGAGGAUCCAAAUGGCUCAACAAAAAACCAUAGUUGCAGAGGGACAAUCAACAAACAGACCACCUCUGUUUGAUGGCUCUAAUUACCCUUAUUGGAGCACUAGAAUGUCAAUUUAUAGUAGGGCUAUAGAUUAUGAAAUGUGGGAUGUCAUAAUUGAUGGACCCUUUAUGCCCUCAACAGUGAAUGUAGUGACAAAUGAGUUGCCCAAGCCAAGGUCUAAAUGGACUGAGGCUGAAACUAAGAAAGUUCAAACAAACUUUAAGGCCAUCAACACAUUACAUUGUGCCUUGACCCCCACUGAAUUUAACAAAGUCUCAAGCUAUACAACAGCUAAACAAGUGUGGGAGAAACUUAGGAUAAUCCAUGAAGGGACUUCCCAAGUCAAGGAGUCCAAAAUUGCUCUCUAAACACAUAAUUAUGAAAUGUUCAAAAUGGAGCAUGGUGAAGACAUCACCAGCAUGUUUGAUAGGUUUACAAACAUCACAAAUAACUUGAGCCAGCUAGGCAAACCUAUCUCUGAACAUGAAUUAGUUAAGAGACUGCUUAAAAGCCUACCAAAAUCCUGGAAACCAAAAGUGAUUGCCAUUAGAGAGGCUAAAGAUCUAAACAUCAUCACUCUCGAUGAGAUUUGUGGUUCUCUUCUUACUCAUGAGCUGGAGCUUAAGGAAGAAGAAGAAAAAGACCGAAGGGAAGCAAACGAAAAGAAAAAAAGUAUUGAACUUAAAGCUAGCAUCCUUGAAGAAGAGUUGGAAGAGCUUUCUUGUGAUGAUGAUGAAGAAUUAGCUCUAGUUGCAAGAAAAUUCAAAAAGCUAAUGAGAAAAAGAAAUCAAAAGCUAAUUAGAAGAGGUUUCAGGAAAGACCAAGGUGCUUCAUGGAAAAUAAGGAACAAAAAAGAGGAGAUGAUCUGCUACGAAUGCAAGUAACCUGGUCACUUCAAGUCCGAGUGUUCAAUGCUGAAAGAUGAAGCCCCCAAGAAAAAUAAGAAAUCCAAGAAAGCAAUGGUGGCUGUUGCAUGGUCGGAUAGUGACACAUCAAGCUCGAAAAUUGAUGAUGAAAAAUCUGAGGAAAGAGCAAACAUUUGUUUAAUGGAACAAGAGGAUGAAACAGAGGUACCCUCAUCCCCUUGCAUUAAUUCAAAUGAUGAUUUUUAGGAUGAGUAUGAGUGCCUUUAUGAUGAAUUUGAAAAGCUUUUUUCAAAAUACAAAUCAUUAAAGAAAAAGGCUGCAUUUCUUGAAAAUGAUUUGGAACAAAUCAAACAAGAAUUUACUUCUGUUUUUAAGCAAAGAAAUAUUUUGCAAAUUGAGUUAGAACACUCAAAAACAGACUUUGAGGUUUUUAAACAAGAGCUGGAAAACAAGUCUGAAGCUUUGCAAAUAACUCCUAAUGAAAAUACAGCUCUUAAAUGUUUGAAAAAUGAAUCCUCAAAAAGAGAUGUACACCACAAUAAAAAUUCAACUAAAGCAUUACCUAGAUGUUAUAAUUGUGGUAAACAUGGUCAUUUAUCAUAUAAGUGUUUUAAGAAAAGAAUAGUGCAGAAAGUUAAGAAAAUCUGGGUUCCUAAGGGAUCUUUUGUUGCAACUAACACUCAAGGACCCAUCAAAGUAUGGGUAACUAUAAAGAAAAACUGAAAUUCUAUUUUGUAAGUUGAGCUAGACUUAAAUGAGACAUGUUCAAAAACUCAACUCAAGAAGAAACAGCCUUGGUACUUGGAUAGUGGCUGUUCACAGCACAUGACAGGACAUGAAAUGCUGUUUGCUCAGUUGGAUAAGAGAAAGGGAGGAACCGUAUCCUUUAGAGAUGAUUCAAAAGGAAGAAUUCAUGGUAUAAGUACGAUUGGUAAGAAUUCCCAAACUCAAAUUAGUCAUGUGUUGUUGGUUAAAGGCUUAAAGCAUAAUUUACUAAGUAUUAGUCAAUUAUGUGAUAAAGGAUUUAGAGUGUGCUUUGAUUCAACUAAGUGUGAAGUGAUAGACAUGAGUACAAAUAAAAUCUCAUUUAUAGGAAAUAGAUUGAAGAAUAUAUAUGUAAUUUUUCUUGAAGAUCUUGAAGUAAAUAAUGAAGUACGUCUUAUUGCAAAUGAAAAAAAUGAUAGUUGGCUAUGGCAUAGGAGAUUAGGACAUGUGAGCAUGAAUACUAUGUCAAAAUUAAUUAAGAAAAUUCUUGUUGUUGGACUGCUUGAGUUAAAAUUUGAAAAUGAUAGGAUAUGUGAUGCUUGCCAACUAGGAAAACAAGUUAAGACAUCCUUCAAGUCUAAGAAAAUUGUGUCAACAUCUAGACCUCUUGAAUUGCUUCAUAUUGAUCUAUUUGGUCCAAUAAGUACAACUAGCUUAAGAGUAUUAUCUUAUGGCUUUGUUAUAGUUGAUGACUAUUCAAGAUAUACUUGGGUGUAUUUUCUUGCUAUUAAGAAUGAUGCUCUACAAGCAUUCUUAAGUCAUUGUAAGAGAACAGAAAAUGGAAAAAGAAUAGCCAUAGUUAGCAUAAGGAGUGAUCAUGGAGGAGAAUUUGAAAAUGAUGAGUUUGAAAAGUUUUGCAAUGAAAAGGGGUUGGAUCACAAUUUUUCUGCACCUAGAACACCCCAGCAAAAUGGAGUUGUAGAGAGAAAAAACUGAACCUUGAAAGAAAUGGCUAGGACCAUGCUAUGUGAGAACAACCUACCUAAAUAUCUUUGGGCUGAGGCAGUAAAUACAAUAGCUUAUAUUCUUAAUAGAGUCUCAAUAAGACCCUUAAUUUCAAAGACUCUAUAUGAACUUUAUAAAGGUAUGAAACCAAAUAUUUCUCACCUUAGGAGCUUUGGCUGUAAAUGCUUUGUAUUGAACAAUGGAAAACAGCCCCUAGGGAAGUUUGAUGCAAAGAGUGAUGAAGCAAUAUUUUUAGGAUAUGCUUUAAACUUAAAGGCCUAUAGAGUUUUCAACAAAAGGACCUUAACCGUUAAAGAAUCAAUUCAUGUAGUUUUUGAUGAGUCAAAUGCAUUGCAAAAAGAAGUUCAUGAUGAUGAUGAUGAUGUAGAAGUCCUAGAAAAACAAAUAAAGGAAAUGAGCUUAGAAAACAACAAAAAUAAUGACGAAAGCUCACCUAGAAAAGAAGAUGAAACUCCACCUUUAGAAAAUCUGCAAAGAGCAGACAAUCAGCAUGAUGAUCUACCAAGGAGUUGGAGAUUUGUGAGAGAUCACAAAGAUCUACAAUACCAAAUAAUUGGUGAGAUUUCUCAAGGAGUUAAAACUAGGAAAGCAACUAGAGAACUUUGUGAGUUUUCAGCGUUUAUAUCUCAAAUUGAACCUAAAAACUUUGAAGAAGCUGAAAAAGAGGAAAGUUGGAUAAUGGCCAUGCAAGAAGAACUUGAUCAAUUCACAAGGAGUCAUGUAUGGUCAUUGGUACCUAAACCUUCAAAUCACCCUAUUGUUGGUACAAAAUGGGUAUUUAGAAAUAAGGUAAAUAAGCAAGGAAAUGUAGUUAGAAAUAAAGCUAGGUUGGUAGCAAAAGGAUACAACAAAGAAGAAGGAAUAGAUUAUGAUGAAACUUUUGCUCCGGUUGUUAGGAUUAAAGCCAUAAGGUUGUUGCUAACUUUUGCAUGUUUCAUGAAUUUUAAAUUAUUCCAAAUGGAUGUGAAAAGUGCAUUCUUAAAUGGAUUAAUUCAAGAGGAAGUAUAUGUAGAACAACCACCUGGUUUUGAAGACUUUGAAAAAUCUGAUCAUGUUUUCAAACUUCAUAAAGCCUUGUAUGGAUUGAAACAAGCUCCUAGAGCUUGGUAUGAAAGGCUUUCAAAAUUUCUAGUUGAAAAGGGGUAUGAUAGAGGUAGCAUCAAUACUACAUUGUUCAUUAAGAGAUAUAUAAAUGAUUUAAUUGUUGUGCAAAUAUAUGUGGAUGACAUUGUUUUUGGUGCAACUAAUGAGGCUUUGUGCAAGAACUUUGCUAAGGAAAUGCAGGGUGAAUUUGAAAUAAGCAUGAUGGGAGAGUUAAAGUACUUCCUUGGUCUUCAAAUCAAACAAAGUAAGGAAGGAAUCUUCAUCAACCAAGAAAGAUACACUCAUGAUAUGCUCAAGAAAUUUGAUAUGCUGAAGCUGAAAUCAAUGUCUACACCAAUGAGCCCAUCCACCAAACUCGACUUAGAUGAAAAAGGUAAGGAUGUAGAUCAAAAGCUCUAUAGAGGUAUGAUUGGUUCUCUUCUCUACUUAACAACAAGUAGACCAGAUAUUCAGUUUAGUGUGUGCUUGUGUGGUAGAUUUCAGUCACACCCUAAAGAAUCACACCUAACAGCUGUUAAGAGAAUUUUUAGAUACCUUAUAGACACUCAAGAACUAGGAAUAUGGUACUCUAAAGACUCAACUCUUAGCUUAGUUGGAUAUUCAAAUGCUGACUUUGCCGGCAGCAAAACUAAUAGGAAAAGCACUAGUGGAACAUGCCAAUUUUUAGGAAGGAUGCUUGUGUCUUGGUCCAGCAAAAAGCAAAACUCAGUGGCACUGUCGAUAGCAGAGGCUGAAUAUGUAUCAUUAGGUAGCUGCUAUGCACAAAUCCUUUGGAUCAAGCAACAAUUAAAAGACUAUGGAAUAACUAUGCAUAAUGUACCAAUAUACUGUGAUAACACAAGUGCAAUCAAUAUAUUAAAAAAUUCUGUGUAGCACUCUAGGACAAAGCACAUUGAAAUUAGACACCAUUUUAUUAGAGACCAUGUGGUGAAAAAUGAUAUUAAGAUAGAAUUCGUGAAUACUUUACAUCAAUUAGCAUAUAUUUUUACCAAACCUCUAAGUGAAGAUAAAUUCUGUGAGAUUAAAAGAAAUUUAGGGAUGAUUAGUGUGAAGGAAUUAUAAGAAAACCUUAGGCUCUCACAUAGAAAAUAGAAUGCUUUCAGUCAACUAAGAGUGGUCUGAUAGCCUUAAAUAAUAAAACUCGGUGAGUUUUAGAGAAAGAAGUGUAAAAUGUGGUAAAAAUUUGGGUUUACUGGGUGCAAAAAGAAUGAAGAAAAACUGUCUAAGGUAAAUAACCAGAUUUUAGAGGGAAGUUUGAAAUUAUAAAGAAAUAAAAUAAGGCAGCACUUAAAGAAAGGUGAGGAUUUUUUUUUCGUAACAGCUGCUGACUGCCUCUCCUCCUCUCUCCCUUGAAACUCGUUGCUCUAAAAAUAAAAACCUAAAUCUCCCUUUUUGCCUCUAAAAUCGACUCAAACCCUAAAAAAUUUCUACAACCAAUAUGGCUAGAACAUCUCAAAGCAAAGAGAUAUCAGAGAAAAAGAAAGGGAAAAGGCCAAUGGAGGAAGAAACAGGAACUGAAAGUCUGAAGAAGAAACUGAAAAUCAUGCCUGGUUCAGUGAAAGAUAUAUUCGAGAAACUAAGAGAAAAGAAGCAGAAAACUGGUAAGAAGAAAGAUAUAGAGCCUUCACUCCACAAAGGUACCAGUUCUUCUUCUUCAAAAUUUAGGAAUAAGUUGCAUGAGUAUAGAUUCAAAAAUAUCGAGAAUGCACCAAUCUCCUAUGGAAAGUUUAUUGAUUGGAAGAGUUUUGAGGAAAAUGUCGAAAUCCAAACUAGUUUAUCUGAGUACUUUGAUGAACUAGAAUUGAAAGGUUACAGCACCUUUAAGAAUAGGUCUUGUAGUCCAAGUCUGGUCAAAGAGUUUUACUCUGGAAUUGCUUUGAAAGGAAAGGAAUUAAUAGAUUCUGAUGAUUAUGUAGAAGAUGGGUUGAAUGUUUAUCUGAAUGGAAAAGAGUUUAUUAUGACUGUUGAGGAUUUAGGGAACCUGUUGAAAAUAGAGUAUGAAGAAGGUGAAUUUGAAUUGCUUGAAAAAUAUGAUCCGUCCUCAUUGUGGGAGAUCAUCACUAGAAGGAAAGAAAAUUAUUCUUCAAAAAGUAAUUCUGGUUUGAUAACCAGCCCUCAUAUCAGAAUUCUACAUUAUUUCAUAGUAGUUAAAAUACAAGGCAGAAGUGGAAGCCUUAGCUACAUCAGCUUUCAGGACCUUUGGCUAAUGGAGCAUGCUUUCAAUGGAGUGUUUAUGAAUUUGGGAAGAUUUAUGAUUGAGAAAAAGAGAAGUGCCUGCAGACUUGAUAAGGUAAAUCUGCCAUAUGGGAAUAUGAUUACAUCCCUUGUGCAGAAGAAGGGAAUAUGGGUAAAGAGGUAUGAUAUGGACUUGGUAAAAACCAGAGACCAAGCUAUUCAUUUUGGCAGCUUGGUUAAAAUGGGCUAUGUACUUGAUGGAGAAAGGUUCAUUAAAACCUCCAAGAUUGGUCCAAGAAAAGAACACAGCCUACCUGCUUAACCUAAAAAAGCUCCCUCCAGAUUUUAAAAUGAAGUGAUUUUUAAUUUGCUCAUGAGGAUUGAUGGUAAGCUGACUGACCAAGGAAUGAAGCUACAGAAAAUGGAAGAUAAAAUCACUAAGUUGGAAAACAAGCUGAAGGAGAAGGAAAACAUGCCAUCUGAACCUGUGGCUACAGAUAGCUCUGCCACAUCCAGCACUGCAUCUGCACAACAAGUGCUGAAAGUUUAGUUAAGUCAGCAGAAAAAUUUGCUCCUCAUGUUGGAAGUUCUAGCAUUUAGACUGAAGGUUCCACCCAUAAAUCUGCCAGUCCUACUCUACAGACUGAAGACUCUCCCCAAGGGGUUGAUCAACAAGCCAAGACACCCUCCCCUGAACCUCAAAGCAAAAAUAAUUCAGAGAUAGAGAAACACUAGGCCUCUCCUCCAAACUCAGAGGAAGUUUCCAUCAUGGAUGUCUUCCACCAAAUGGUUAAGGAGGGACAAGCUGAAAAGGACACUGCCAGGACAGAAACUCAAAAGGAUGGUGAAGGUGUAGGAAAAGGAAAGAAAUCUGCAUCAGCUACUAGAGUAAAGACAAAAGCAGGGAAAGCCAAAGCCACUGCAGCACCACCAACUGAGGCAAAACUACCAACCAAAGGCAGGAAGACCAUGGCAACUAAGACAGCUUUUCUCAAGAGAAGAAAGUCUUCCAGGUUGGUAGAGAAAUCCAGACCAGUUUCAACCUCCUCUCCAAUCCCUGUCUCAAACAAGUCCUCACCAGAACCUUCCCCAAGACAUUCAUCACCUCUCCGAGAGCCCUCUCAUUUUCCUCUCAACCUUUUCUACAGCACUGAAUCCUCACCCUCUGACACAUAAGAUGAAUAGAAGCCCCUCCUUUUGAUGCUGACAAAAAGGGGGAGUAGAGUAGAAUGGGUACACGAACCAAGAACCACAAGAACCAGGAACCAGAGAAUAAAUUUAAAAAAAAAAUGUUAGGGUAGAGGAACCAGGAAGGAACCUAGGAAAGGAAAAAAGACAGAAUCAAAGAUGAAUGAACUUAGAAAAAUAGAAGAUAGGAAGCAAAAAAAGUCUAGGGGCAGUUUCAGAAUACUUGUUGAUUAACUGUUAUUUGUGCCAUGGUGGCACUUAAACACUCAGUUUUAAUUCUAUUAUUUAUGUGGUUGUAUGUGAAAAAUGAAUGCUGAUAUAGCUAUGUUGCUUAAUUGCUAAAAAUUGAAGUCUGUUGAUAAUUUGUUAUUUUGGUAUUUUGACUGUCAUGAACAAAAUCUGCCGGUGCUAUUCUAAUAUUGAUUUACAUGCUGAUAAAUUAUUUUUGUUAUGCCAUUGCGGAUAAUUUUUGUUUGAAAAUAGAUAUAGAUGGUAUGAAUAGUAUAUCAAUUGAAACAUAAAUGAAGUGAACAAAAUUUGAAAUCAAUAAACUAUUAAUAGCUGCUGGAACAGUGAUGAAAAUCUGUCAACACUUAAAGCUGAAAGUUUAAUAAUGAUCUGCUAAUACUUACUUGCUGAAAAUCACUCUAUUUUGCUGAACAUAUGUAUACUCUAAAUGUACAAUAUCAUUUUCUAUAUGACAAGAAUAAAAUUGGCUGAAAUAAAAUAAGCAAAAUAUGCACACACUAAGGGGGAGCUUAUACUUAGGGGGAGCAAUCCUCAAUUUUUGCAGAAAACUAAAAAGAAUUAAAAUGACACUAUGCUGUUAAUCAAGGAAUGUUUUGUCAUCAUCAAAAAGGGAGAGAUUGUUGACUCCAUUAGUUUUUUAUGAUAAAAAAACAUUCCCAUUUAUGUGUGUCUAAUGCCUUUACUUGAGUGUGCAGGAAAGUAAUAUAUGAAAUUAAUUUAUUGACUCUUCAAAGAGUAUUUUUGAAAGAAAAAGAGGGAUAAAAUCAACAAGAUGUAACUAAAUAACAAGGAUCAAGCUUAUUGGUGAAACAAGGAAGAACAUUAGUUGACCAAAUUUCAAAUUGGAGAAAUGACGGGCUGAAGAGUUUGAGAAACAGAACCAAUUUAGUCAACCAAGUCAGUCGACUAAGUGCUCUUUGCCAGAAUCUGCAAACCAAAAACAGAACCAAAUUAGUCAACCAAGUUAGUCGACUAAAAGCUCUCUGUCUGUAAUUUGAACCAGAGCAUUACAAGGAAAAUUAACAGCUAGAACUCAUCCUCAACUGUUUUCAACAGAUAUAAACUGCCAAACUGCCAUCAGAGUUGCGUUGCCAAGUAUAAAAGGGUCUUCCAACAAUAAGAAAGAAAUUUUUUGAAGCCUUGAAUGAGAUUUGAGUUAUAGAAAGUAGAAAAAACCAGAAAAGCUUCACUGCACCUUACUGUACUUAAACGUCAAUCUUUGUAACAGAGUUCAGUACUUCAUCUUGUACCAUCUAGAUCAAGUAAGUGAUCAUAGGUACUUUUUUAUUACUUCUCUUGUAUUGUUAGAGUGAGGGAGUCACUCUAAGGGGUUGUUCAAGCUUGGGAUAGCUUGAUUGUUGUAGGUUGUGGUUGAGCCUUAGAAAACCACAUUGGGUUUUAAUUGAGCCCGUGAAAAACUAGUGUAAAAGUUUGUGGCUGAGCCUGGUAAAAGCUAUUGUAAAGCUUGGUGAAAGCUUGUGAAUUUCACCGGUCUAUAGUGGAUUUGUGGGAACAUCCUUGGUUGGAUAAUCAAGGUAAUGGAUGUAGGUCUUAGACCGAGCCACUCUAAAUUGCUGUGCAUUUUAUACUCUGUUUUUGUUUUCUUAAGUUCUGGAAAUUAGUUUCCAAUCUUGUUAAGAGCCAAAUUAUGCUAUUCACCCUCCUUCUAGCACAUAUUAUCAGGACCAACACAUUCACCGGUCCUCGUUGAUUCUUAAAUCGACUCCAACUGCCCCUAAUGGUCCAAAUGGAGAUGUGGGGUCUCGUUAGAACCUAUCACACAUAAUAGCAUCACAAAUCAACUCAAUUCACAUAACCAUAAUUCUAAAAGCUAUCUCCUAAAUCAUGUUCUACUAGUUAUUCCUAGCUAGCUUCCAACUACCAUUAAGUGGAUAUCUAUUUUCACUAUUCUAGUCACACUAAAAUGAAUAAACCACCUCAACUGCAAAACACUCACAAAUCUAACCACUAUCCAUUAUCAACAACUUAAAAAUCAACUCAAUUUUCAUUACUCACCUUGGUAGCUUUGUAAUUGAAUUCGUUUUCAAAAGCUUUCAAACUAUUGUGAAAAUUCUUUCUUUCUCUCUCUAGAACAUCCAACAAGUGAGAGCAAGUAUUAAGGAAAGGCUUUGGAGGGUUUUAAGGUGAAAGAGUAAAAUAGCACAAAGGACUUUGUAAAAAGGUGAAGAAAAGCAUAAAAAUUGGGGUUAACUUGAGAAAAUUUAUGGAGGUUUCAAAGCAAGCUUCCAUGGAAUGUGAGAAAAUGUGAGGAGGGAAGAAGAAGAAGAAGAAGAAGAAGUUGCUAGAAACUUAGAUAUUUAUGCCUAAUGUUUAUCCAAUUUCUCACGAAAUUACCAAAAUGCCCUUAACGAGGUCACUUUGUCUUCCUCUUACCUUUAGAUAAUCUUUUUACUUCUUUGACACUGAGACAAAGUCCAUAAUAGUCUAAAAAUACUCGGGUUCAUGAAAACUUAAAAGUUUUGACUCAAGAUGUAAAAUGACCGUUUUACCCCUACCAUGAAAAUUAUCAGUAUUUCUAUCUUCUUCAUUUAUUUUAUCAUCAUUCAUUUAUUCCUUAGGUCUAUUUAGACCUUAAUAACAUUUGAGAGCUACUUCAAGGAGCUCACCAUGAGAAAUGACGAAAUUACCCCUAGUCCAUGUUAUCGCAUUUACUUUUAAUUACGAGUCUAUAGAGGUCGAGGUCUCACACUCCUCUUGUCUCCUUGGUGCCCAAAAUACCUUAUUAUGAUGUCAAAUCACUUUUUUUAUCUUGCAAAUUCUUCCUUGAUAAAAAUAUUAUUAUUUUAUUAUUAUUUCUUCACGUGCGUAAUAUUUUAUCUCAAACUAUUCCUUUCAUCUUUUAUCACUUUUAAACAUUAUAAUUAACCUCAAUUGGCAUUCAAUAAGCUUUAUUAAUCACCAUAUCAAAUUACAAGGUAUUACAAUGCCAGUAGCUAUGUCAAGCUUAAAACCUCUAGGGAUCGACCCCUCCUUGCCAUGUGAAUAACCUUUCAUGCCUUAUUUGCAAAAAUUACAUUUCUUUGGUUUCCUUAUCCAAUCAUACUUUCAUCCAUUGAUACCACAUUAAUCCAACAACAUCAGAGUAGGAAGUUCAUGUCAAUCUAGUUAGGAAAACUCAACCAACAUUCAAAUUAUAUUAACACGUAAUUCAUUCAAACUUGUCCAACAUUUACUUAAGUUUAAGCAACAUCAUUUCAUAAAAGGUGGGAGUUUCAUUAUAUGAAUGUAAGAGGUUUGCUUGGGACUAGCGGGCUAUACCUAUCUAAAUUCUAGUGCUGGUCAUGGAACCCCAAAAAGGGAUCGUGAUAGUAUCAUAAAGGGUAUUGUUAGUAGGGGUAGCUGACAAAGCUAUAUGGUUGCUACGCAGAUUUAUUUUUGCUCAUUUGAAGUUUUUGAGAUCACAGGGGAAGGCUAUCUAGGCCACCCUUAUGUGUUUUCUUUUGUUGUUCUCAUCAUGAAUACAAAGUCAUUACCUUUCAAAAAAAAAAAGGUAACAUUUUAUAAAGUAAAUUCAAAUAGGUGGUCAAUCACACCUAAACAAAAAAUAUUGAUAAUGAUUUCAUUUAACAUUAAAUGGUUUAGUUUCGGAACCUGCACAUUAUGACACACACAACUAGAUUUUAGAUGUAAGUAGAUAUAUAAUGGGAAAAUGUUUACGGUUAGUAGUUUUUUUCUAUUUACACCAAAAUUGCUAAUAGCAAGACCAAAUAUCCAUUUGGAAAACGAGAUUGCAUUUAGUAUUUUGAUUCAAUAUGUACUACAUAGGACCCCUGCUAGCUUUAAAAAAUUUUCCUUAAUGUAUAAAUAUAAUUUACUAGAAUUAGGUGCAAUAAAUGAUACAACAUAGCAUAAUAGUUACAAGCAAGACUCAAUUAGAAAAAGAUAAGCAACCUUUUAUUCAAAGACCUCAUAAAGCAUAAAAUCCAAUUAUUAAGCCACUCUUGGGCUGAAAUUUCAAAAUCUUAUUUCAGUAAAGCUUGAUCACAUUGUUCCAUCGGAAUGGGCUCAAGGAUUGGCUUGACACAAUCUUGAUUUUCUUUGAUUUGAAUGCCAAACCAAUCGCAAUUUUGGUAGAUCCGAUGAAUACAUGGUGUCAUUUCGACAGCAACUUUGACAAUAUCGGGUGCUCGAAGAGAAUCUUUAACUAUUACUUUGUUAAAUUUUUACCACAAAUUUCUUAUCAAGCCUGUCACAUGAUUAUGUGCUUCUUCUUCCGAAACACCUUCUUGGGUCAUGUAAAAAUGGAUGAAAUUCAUUGAUUCUCCCCUUUUGAUUUCAACCUUCAAAAGAUAAGUAAUAUCUAACUUAACAAAUUAUUGAAAUAUAAUAAAAUAGGUAGCCACUAGUUUGGUAGACAAGUGAGAGAGAUUUGUUGAAACGUUAAAUUGGUACAGCAAUAAAGCAAUAGCAAUGCAGGCAAGAACAAACCUCGGCAGUGUUUAAAUCAUUAAUGAGUCGACCAAUGUAGCCAGGCAACCUAACUAAGUCAGAGACAGACCAAUGCUCCACAAAUUCUGACAAAUAAUCAUUUAUAGAGUGUCCUGCCACUCCAAAAAAGCCAUAGACAAUGGAUACAGGUACACCAAUCGAGACCCAAGCAUUCUCAAGAUAUUCAUCUGCAGUUGGAGUGUAUCCGCUGUGAAACCAUCGUGCUUCCUUGAGAUAUCCUCUAAUAUAACACAACCACUACAAAAAUUGAAUGUCAACUUGUCAGUAUAAAUUACAAUUAAUAGAUAAAGUUCUCAUUAUGUAUGUACUCCAUGCAUAAUUUCCAUUUUUUCUCUAUAUAUCUUUUUUUAAAAUUAUGUCAUUUUUUUAAACAUCUAAUAUUCUUUUUUGUAUUUUAUAAAUUAUUAUUUAUAAUUUCUUUUUUUACUUUUCAGCAUUAAAAAUUGUAAAACAUCAAUUAAUUUACAAAAUUGUUUUGAAAUUUUUUUAACAAAUAGACUAAAACUAAAGGUUUUUUUCCCUUAAUUUCUAUAAAAGUUCAAGAAAGACAAAUAAAUAAUAUUUUAUUUGGUCAUUCGAUUAUGUACCAUACCUAUUACAUUUUUUUUAGUGAACAUAGCUAUUCCUUAAUAUAGGGUAAAAUAUCCAUGCCAUUAUCUUUCAAGGCAUAUUGGACCAAUUCACUAACAUGGUUGCACAUGGCUGAGGAUACUUUCAUGUACUCUUGGAAGUUCCUCCAUUGCCUUAUUAAGAUCCCAUCUGCAAUUCGGGAAAAGUUUGUCAUUAAAAGAGUUUGGAAACGUGUACGUAGAAUGAACACAAAUUUUCAAAGCAUUGCUCAGACUAAGGAAAGAAGUUGAAAAUCUAAAUUUCUCACCUAUUUACUGCAUCUGUGUACUUCUCAAGCUCAUCAAGUGAGCCAUAUACGUCCAAUAUGUCAUCUAAGGCUGUUCCCAUGAAUCCGAAUUUCGCGAGGUUCCUCCUCAAUAGGGGUAAUUGGGGCCCCGGAGGGCAACUCCCCAGUGCCCAAAAAUAAGACUCAAGUAGCCUAUCCCGAGCGAAAGGUCGCCUUUCCUUAUAGUUCAAGUCCCUCCACCCCCUGCCCAAUCAAUUGGAAAACAGUAAAUAUCUUUACAUACAAACAGCAACUAAAUUCAAUUUGUAGACUUUAUUACAAUUUACUACCUAUUCGCGAUUUAGGGGCAUUUUCCAUUAAACCAUGUAUAUCCAUUUAACAGCACUGAUAUUUAGUAACAAUUUAAAUGAUUUAAGUUGAUGUGAAAAUUAAAUUUCUUAACUAUCACAUUUUAUUUUUACCCAUAAAAAAACUGACAUUUUAAAAUCUGAUUUAUUUUCAAUCUAAUUUAACUAAUGAUAUCUAGUAAUAAUAAUUUAAAAAUCUGAUUUCUUAACAAUGUAAUUUAAGUAAUUACUGAUGUCAAGUAAUCGUAAUUUAAAAAUCUGAUGACAAUCUUAGCUUAAAAGUUCUUUUUUUUUUCUUUUUCAGAUUUAUUUUUUAAUAGAUAAUCUUACUCCACUAGUUCCUGUACCUCCUUCAGAUAAACAGAUUGCAUGAUAUUGUAGUUCAACUUGGCAAGCUCGAGCAAAACCAAAUUCAUCUUAUCAUCAUAUUGGUAGAUAGCAAUGAAAUCUCGUGCUUCUGUCCAAGGCAUCCUCCAGUGCAGUGGAUAUUCCAGUGAUUGUUGUAUUUGCCGAGCUAUAGUCUUCUUUAGCACUAACAGAUGUUUUGUACUAAAAUUCAGGGCCUCGUCUAAAACAUCUUCUUCUGGCAUCCCAAGGUAAGAAGCUUUGUGUAAACUCAAUAGCCCAAUAACAUCUUCUCGUGAGCUGUCCAUGAAUUUUCCAUCUAUCUCCAUGAACUUAUUAAACAGAUCUGCACAUUUUCACCCCUCACAUCUUGAGUAUGUAUGUUACCCAAAUAAACAAGAAGUGGAAUCCCUUAAAUGAUCCAGCUGCAGGGUCCCUGCAAGGGCACAGCUGUUGAAAAUGCUAAAUGAAGAUGAGGCGUCGGUAAGGAUUCGAAUGCAUAGUAAAGCAAACUAUUCCUUUCAAGAUAGUUGGGUAUAGAUUGGUAAAAGAUAUUGUAUUCAUGAAUAUCUAUUUAUUGUGAUAGUUUCAAUAAAGCGAAAUAAACUAGAUUUGUCAAAAAAAAUUAAAUAAGGAGGAAAAUUAAAAUUAAAAAAGAACACGAACAUUUUGAGUCUUGUUAGCCAAUCUGAAGUGUUAAAUUGAAUGAUUGAUUAUUCCAAAAAGUUAAACUAAUAAAAAAAACUUGAUUAUUAUAUUUAAAUUCUAAUACACUUCUUCACAUGUAUUUCAGAUGAAUAUUUAAUGGGCUUGCAGGUGGACUCAAGUGUAGAAAUAAGCCACGCCCAAAAAAGGAUUAAAGAAGUAUUGUAAAGUUCAAUUUGUAACCAAACACUCGAAACAAUAUUAAAAGGAGAGUAACACAUUUUCUAACAUUCGAAAUCAAAGCUCUAAUAUUAUAUUAAGUUGGGCGUUCAAUUAUUUCAAAACUUUAGUUGAUAGGAAAGGGACAACUAUCAUAUUUAAGUUUAACACUAGGCUUGACAAAAAAAGAUGACCAUAAAUUAAAUAUAGUGUCCUUUAAUGAAACGCUAUUCAAAAUGAUAAAAAAAUAAGUUAACUAUAGUGAAAACAUUUUGCGCAUAUAACCUGUACCAAUGAAGAAACCAUUUUGACGUAUAAGUCUAAAUUGCAAGGCGGCAGUGUAAAGAUCAGUGGCAAUGUUGGCAUCAACAAGUUUAGCGAGAAUAUCCUUGAUAUCCUUCUCAAAGUGGUAAGCCCCUCCUAAGCGUUGCAUUGUAUUGAUCAGAUCCAGUUGGUCACGUGGUUCUUUCAUGCUAGCAAGUAAAUCCCCAGCACCUUGCUUAAGUUCCUCAAGACGAGUGACAUGGUUCUCGAACUGCAAAGUUAACCAAAAUAAAGUGGUGCAGGUUAAACACAGAGUAAUUCUAAGGUGAUGAAGCUUGGGCAUCUAAUGAAAGUAAACUUACUGAGUAGGGUGUGGUGAAGGACUUGACGAGUUCAACAUCCCAAACAGUGGGAAGGUUACCUGCUGAUCGUUGUUCAAUACCUUCUGCUUCCAUGGUAAUACUAAAAUGAUUAAUAUUGCGUUGUAACUCGACCGGUUACAGGUAUUUAUAUAGAGAUGCAAUGAAGAAUUUAUCCAUAACAUAACAGAGGAUAAUAAUUAACAGCAGAAAUAGUAGAACCCACAAAUAGUUCUAAAUGACAAAACAGCAUGUCUUUCGGUUUUGUUAUUCAAAUAAUUAAUUUUUAAAUUAUUUACUUAUAUAUAAGCAUUAUACCAACAAAUAGAAGAACCCACGUGUAAAUCUUUUUGAUGGAUAUGCAUCAAACAUAAUUGGAGAUUUGUACUACGGAUUGAUAAAAAUCCAUUUGACUUAUUCAAAUUCUGAUCCGAUUUAAUUUGAUUUGAUUAGAAAAAAUCAUCAAAAUGUUAUGAAUAUUUUUGUGAAUAUUUAUUUAUACCAUGUAUAUCUAGAGUUGGAUGUAAAUUAGAUUGGAUGAAUAUUAAGAUUUAAUCCAUCUAAUCCCUUAGUAUUAUCUUCUUCUUGUAAAUUCAAUAUAGAUAAGGGGUUAUUAGCCUAUAAUAGGCCUCUUCACUUCAUUUGUAAAUAAACACUUGAAUAAGAUCUUCUUACUCCCUCUAAAUACUUUCUCUUUCCUCUAAAUACUUUCUUUUAUAUUUCUCUUGUAAUUGUUCUUUCAGAUUUAUUUCAUAACACGUUAUCAGAACGAUUAUCCGAUCUCUCAAAUUUUAGAAUUAUUAUGUUUUCAUCAUCUUCAAGCUCCAAAAGAAUUUCAAUGAUUGGGUUUUGAUUUCUGAUUCUAGAGAAUCAGGUAAGUGACUUGAUAUCUCUUUAGUAUUUUCAUUCUUUUAAAAUCAACCUUAAUAUGAAUUUUACUAUUAUGUUGUAUAUAUUAUAUUUUGUCCCUUGAUUGGAAAGUGAAUUUGCUAUUAUAUAGUUCAUUCCCUAAAGUGAAUGUGACAAACGAGUUGCUAAUAAAAAACUUACAUCUCCUUACCUUAUUUGUUGAGUUUGUAGGUUUGGAAAGCAUGAAGAUAAGGAGGAUAAAAUGGUACAAAUUACUCUUAUUUAAGUAACUAAAAUUUUAAUUACCUCUCCUUUAAUAUGCUCAAAAGCUAAUCUAUAUUCAUUUAAAUAAAUUUAAUUUCUAAAAUUAAAUAACUUGAUGAAUGAAGAUACGCAAUUGAAAUGGUAAAAAUUAAUUCAUAUUCAUAACUCUAGGCAACACUCAAAUAUUAUUCAAUUGCACCAUUUUAUUUGAUUAAUCCAUAUUCAUUUAUAAUAUUAUUCAAUUGCAAUCACAUUACUUACAAUCACAUUACUUGUAAUCAAAUAGCAUUGUAAAGUAACAAACGCCACCAUAAUAUGAUUGCAAGCAAUAUGAUUAUAGGAAAAAAUAACAUUACAAUAUUUGGUAUACAAGCAAAAUAAUAAUUAAAAUGUAGGGAGAUAAUAUUACAGCGUUUGAUUUACAAGUAUUUUGAUGUAAAUGUAAUAUUAAUUUUCAAAAUUACCCUUACUAUUAAAAUGAAAAUUUAAUAUACUUGUAUUUUUUAUUGUUAAUUUUUAUAUAAUAUCAUCUCUUAAAUAUAUUUUUAAUGUCAUAUAUUUUAUUUUCAUUUCUUAUUAUAAUCUUAUAUAUUUUAUUUUCAUUUCUUUAAUAUAAUUUUUUACAUUAUAUAUUUAUUUAUUUUAAUUUCUUUUACCUAUAUUAUAUAACUUUUAAUUUCUUAUAUUUUAUUUUAUUUUAAUUUCUAAUUUUUAUAUUAUAUAUUUUAUUUUAAUAUUUUUUAUUUUAAUUAUAACAUUAGAAAAUGUUUUUAAUAAAGUAAUAAAGUUGAAGGGUAAAAAUGUCUUUACUAACAUUGCAGAGUGCAAUGUAAUGGGAUUGUAUUGGUUUUGGAUUGUAAUCACAUUACAUUACUUGGCUACAAUGUGAUUGCAUUGCAAUCUUACAUUGCAGUGGUCUGUUGCAAAAACAAAUAUUGCAGUGUAAUUUAAUUUGACACAUUAUAGGGAAUGGGCUCCCACUUCUCUUAUACCAAAUGCUACAUUAAAGUAGUCAAUUCCCAUGAUUCGUAGGGUAGCUUCUUGAUGUUAGAAUAAAAGAUAACAAGAAUUUCAAGUUUUUUCAAACUUCUGGAUGCCCAAGCUUUCUCCAAACGACAACGUACUAAGUAUAGAGUUCGAAGGUUUGUUAAGAAUUGAAGUCCUUCUAACAACAAAAGAUUCUUGUAAGAACUAAAACUUUAAGGGUUUUCAUUCCUUCAAAGAACAUAAUUGGAACUCUUGUUAAACUGCCUUUGUGAUAUUGAUAACCAUAACUCAACAAGAGAGUUUUGAGAUGUGGAUACUCUAUUUUGUGAAGAAGAAUAUUUAUGUUACUCUUUAUUAAUGACAUUGUUGUGUAGCUUUCAAACCUUUCAUUCCUAGGCCAUUUCUCUAACUCACUUUUCACCAUGAAUGUGUUUUCCCCUUCUGAUUUCAUCCAAUGAAUAAAAUCAUGAGCCACAUCAUGCAUUUUCACAUGUCUUUUAUUACUACUUUCCAACAACAAACCUAACUUUUGGAGGUUUUUUUUAUUGUUACAUGCAUUUCCCUCCUUGCAUCUUCAAGUUAACAUCGUCGAACAUUCCUUCCCCAAUUCCAUACAUAGUUAAUUGGUCGAUACUAACUUCAUAAUCUUCUGGGAAAAGAAUAACACAAUAAUCAACAUGAAUGACUAUUGUUUCCUUUUAAAUAAUCAUAACUAAUCUGAAGUCCGUUGUAGAUACCUCCACAAACAUCUUGAUUCUCUUUAUGUCUAGAGCCUUUUAGUCAUUGAUUUACUACUUCCCACCCAUCUAGAGUUUCAGUUUUCAAAGCUCUUCCCACAAUCACAAUUGUAAGAGGCAAACCCUUGCAUUCUUCGGCAACCUCCUUAGCUACAUCAUGCAAAAGGGAAGUGACAUCUUUUAACCGAACAUUAUCUUUGAAUAAAGCCCAUGCUUCAUGUUCAGAUAAGAUAUUGAGCAGAACAUCCUUUUGACAAUUCAUUUGAGUGAAAACUUGUUUAAGGCAGGUGGUUAGAAAAAUUUUGCAACCAUUGUGAUCAUCACCGAAUGGAAUUCUGAUAACCUUCAAGUCAAGUUCUUCCCAAACAUCAUCAGGGAUUAUAAGGAUGCUAUUCACCUCUUUUAUUCUCAACAACAAUUGCUCUGCUUUUCCUUUGAUAGCGUUCUUUUUAAAAGCUAAAUCUAAUAAGUUUGCGAUUUUGUCUUGAAUAUUGUUGAAAUUUGGAGUUUGGGACACGGUUGUGAUCACAACUUUAUGGAAAAGUUGUUUGGCUUGGUUUCCCACUUCUUUUGCCAAAGUGCUUUUACCGUCUCUUCCCAUCCCAUAUAGUCCAAUCAUGUUGAGAAGAAUUCGAAGAUUCAGAAGACAUGAAAUCCUUAGAUGGAAUGAACUCUAAUCCUAGAAUAGUAGCUUGGUAACCUACUCGUUGAAAAUUACAAGUCUUUAAAAGUUGAGAGAUAGAAAGUGUCUUCUUCGCUACUUUCUUACUUAAUCAAUAAUGCUAACCGCAACAAGGACACUAAUUGAAACACUUUUUACAUUCUAUUUCAUUUUCCAAACUUUGAGCUUCUUCUAGUUCUUUCUCUGCCCUUGUUAGCCAGUCCUCAACGUCCUUCUCAAUUACCUCAGUUUGCCUUAAAGCCUCAUCAACAUCAUUUUUCACCCGAUCUUUUCUCAAUUCAAGUUGGUUUUGCCGAUUCUUGAACUGCUCAACAAUUUUGCCCAAACGAAUAAAGCAAUUGACAUAAGGUGAUGCGUAUUUAGUUUCCAGGUUCCCUACAAUGUUGGCAGCAAUAGCAAACUCAGCAGCCAUUCUUUGAUGAUUUGAGAUUGAAAAGCAACUUUGAUGAGAAAAAAGAAAAGAAAAGUGACUUCAAUAAGUAAAAAGUGUUACAGAGAGAUAAAUACAAUUAAUGAAAGAGAAAAUUAUGAAAGUUGGUCGUCUUCAAAACUUGACUUCAAAAAUAACCAUCAAAAUAAAAUUAACUGUUUUUAGCCAUAUUUAACCAUAACUUGACAAAAAUAUCUUUGAAACCAUUUCAAAUAAAUUAAACUAUUCACUACAAUUGCUCUCGAUUAUCGUAUCUGCUUUAGAUUUCUCUCUCUCACCAUUCAGCUCUCUCUAAUUUAUCGAUUUCUCUUUUCAACAUUUGUCUAUCGUGCUCUUGAUUUUUCUUUCCUAUGCUUUCAGGAUGCCAAGAGAUGAUUUUAAUGUGCUUGGGGUGGGUGGCUAUUUAGAAAAUUUGAUUUUAGGUGUUUUGGAUGAAACUAAAAUUAUAGAAAUGAUCACAGAUGUUUGAAAUAGUUUUUAAUUGAAUCAAUUCGGGCCUAAACACUAAUAAACUCAAGAAUUUAAAAUUUAUAAUUCUAGGGUUUCAAAGGGAAUUUUUUUCAAUUUUUAGUUAAAAUAUGUGUUUUAGAUUAGGAAAAUUGUGUUUUGAUUUAUGAAAACGUGUUAGAAACAUUUUAAUCAGUGCCAAAUCGUAAAAAAAAAAAAAGAAAUGAAGAGAGUUGAAAAGAUUUGAAGUUUUGGUUCGUAGGUAACAACAACAUUUCAAGCAUUAAAGUGUAACAAAAUUUUUUAAACAUGGUGUGUAACAAUAAUAUUUUUUCAAUAUGGUGUGUAACAACAUCAUUUUGUUCAACAUGGUGUGUAACAUAGUUUUGUACAUGGUGUGUAACAACAAUUUUUUUUUUUUCAAUAUGGCAUGUAACAACCCUUUUUUAACCAUAGCGUGUAACAUAUUUUUGAACAUGGCGUGUAAUAACUUUUUUUAACCAUGACAUGUAACAUAUUUUUGUACAUGGCGUGUAACAAUAAUAUUUUUUUUCAACACGACAUGUAACAUCAUGUACACUUGAUAUAAAGAGGUUUAAUACAUGACGUAUAAUAUGUUUUUGUACAUGGCAUGUAACAUUAUGUGCACUUGAUAUAAAGAGGUUUCAUUAAGGGUAAUUUUGUCAAACUUAGUUAAACAUAAUUAAAAUUAUAAAAGGGUUAUUUUUUUAAAACAUCUUAUCUUUGAGGACUAUUUUUUAAAAUGCCCCAUUAUGAAAUAUUUACAAAUUAAGUACCUUACCUUCUGAGCAAUAUCUUAAUGAAAAUGUGAGUCACAUGAGAAUAAAUUGUCGAACGACCAGCUUGAAAAUUGAAAAUGCAAUUGACAACUUCCUUAUGAAACAAAAGCUCUGCAGAUGAAGAACAUUUUUAUUUCUUCAAGUUUGUUUUAUCAAUAAUCAAUUGAUUUCAUUUCACUCUUUGUUUAAGAUUUACUAGCCUAAUCUCACCCAUAUAAACAAAAUCAAUUUCGAAUUGUUUAUGCUUUCUAGUUUAGUGAUAUUCAAUGGCUGGAGGCCAUGAGUUCAUGGAUGAAGUAUGGAUAAUCGUCAAUUAAUUAACAAGGCAGUAGAAAUGUAUUUAUAUAGUUAAAAUCAAAAUAAAAAAUUGGAGCCAAAGCCUUUUACCCUUUUUAUAGUUGAUGCUCCUUCCAUCUUUCAUCACUUGACUUUCUCCUUGGUCUUUGAGGUGAUGGCCUUGGAGUACUAGUGGCUUCUUCCAAUAAUUAUUAGUCAUUUUACAAUUAUGAGAAAAUACCUUAUUUAAACAUCUAUAUAAUAUAUUGUCCUUUUCUAAAUAAUGAAGACCUCAAUAAGCUAAGUUUUAAAUUGAUUAAAUUAUGGAAAACUAUUUAAUAAAUUGCUGAUGGAGUUUAAAAUCUCUACCAGUCGAGUUAAAAGGUUGUCAAAUAUCUUAUUAAGUGCAUUUAAAAAAUUAAUAAUAAAUUAAUAUGAUGAAUAAAAAGAUACGUGACAAUAUUCUAAUCUAUCUUGUGUUGUUUAGAAACUAAACUGAUAAUGUAUAAAAUAUUAUUCUAAAUUUCCCAAGAAUAAUUAUAUUUUAUGAAGACUAACACGCCUAUUUUUCGAAGUGGUAAGAACUAAAAGCGUAAUCAACCACCUAUUUAUUGAUGUAUAAACAGUAAAGAUGGUUAGGAAGUUAAUACAAACGAACCACCCAAAAAUUAACAAGUAAAAUAGAAGAAAGAUGGAAGAAAGAAAUGAGAAUACUUGGUAAUUUGCUAACAUGUAGCAGCAGCAGCUAGUAAAAUUCAGAUUAUGCUUUAACGUAGUUUUACAUUCUUGUUACACUGUAUUGUGAUUCUUCUGAUGCAACGUUGCUCAUUUUGCAUGGAGCCUUCCAAACCAAAGAAAGUAAGAAGAGUAGGUACAGGAAAUUUAAUUAAAUAUUGGCAACUUGGCUCAACGUCGUCCCAUUGAGAAAGCUACAAUGCCUAAGCUACUUCAAUGCAUUGAGAAACUUUGUUUUAUUUAUUGUUUUCCAGCUACAAUCCAAAACAUUGUUUUCAUUAAUAGUGUAGAAAUAAAUUUGUUAGAGAUCCUUUGAUUUGACAACUUGUAUACAAAACAAGAAUUUUGGAAAUGGCAACCAUUGUGUUUACACUGAAAAUAUAGAGCUAUUAUUUAUAUAGAGAGACAUGUGAGGUUUAUAUCAAUCACAAGAGCUCGAAGUACAUUUUUCAACAAAAGCGUCCUUAACCUUAAACAACAUCGAUGGAUAGAGUUACUUCAAGACUAUAAUUGCACCAUUUUGUAUCACUCCGACAAGACAAAUGUGGUGAUGGUGUAGACACCUCAUUUUGUCCAAGUCAAUUUAAGUCAUUAUUUUUAUUUUAUUUUAUUUGUAUCCAUAUUUAUUUAGUAUUGGGUCAAAUUAGGUGUGGGUUUAAGUGAUUAAGCCCCUUUAGGAUGGAAGUUUAAUUAAAAGGUUAGGUCUUUUGAGCUUUUAAAUCCAAAGUGUUUUGGGCCACUAUUACAUGAACCUUUCUUGGACUUUCCAGGUCCAAAGGCCUUUAAUUAAAUGGAUUUAAUAAUAAAACAAAAAAAUAGAGAGAAAAUCAAUAAAAUAAAAAAUAAAAAAAAAAACAACAAAUUUGAAAAAUGGAGGUCAUUGCUAAAAACCUACCAUGGCAACCGCUACCUUGUGUGUAUUGAGUCAACCUUGUAUAGGGCUAUGACAAGGUAGAAUUCCUUAGGAGAGUGAGUCUUUUGUACCUCUAAGGGAGAUGUUGCCCACUUUCAAACAUUGCAAUGGCUCUUGGUGACAUCUUUAGAAAUACUUGUUAAGUCUUUAGGGGAGAAAACCCUUUAGGAAAAGAUUGUUCCCAUCUCAAGCAUUGUAAUGGCUAUUAGCGAAAUACUUAAAAAAUCUUGUAAACUCUUUAUAGAGGGUGUGCAGUUGACAGGCUGUUGGGCUAUCUCACUGGUUUAGGUACGUUUGUGGCUAACCAUCUAGGGGUGCCCCUAUAGCUCGAUGAUGGUGCGUUCCUUUUCUUGGUUCCUUUGUACUUAUUUGCAAUAUUAAUAUAACACAAGUGGUUGCAUAUAUGGCAUUUGGUAUGCCUUUUGAUUUUAAUAUUGAUUUCCAUGACUUAACUCAUGGCUAUUAUUCAUGUUGUUCAAAUAUAAUUGAACAAUUGGGUAGCUUGAGUAGAAAUGUCCACCCAAGUGCUGCACGGAUUAUCAUGUACUUAAGCAAAUACGGCGUAGUAUGUGACAGUUGGUAUUAGAGCAUGGGUGAGAUGUGCUAAGCAAAACAAUAAUCAUGGUGACCACAUAGAGUUCACCAAAGGACCAUCAGAAGAUUGAUGAGCUAAAGACCGUGGUGACCACAGUAAAAGCUUAGAUGGUCCCACGUGAGUGAAUAAAUAAAAUUGAGACAGUCUAGCAAAAACUGUCCAAGAUUAUUAAUACCUUGAAUGAUGAGACCAAGGAUGUGUUGAGCACUCUCCAAGGCGAGAUUGGAGAAUUGAAAACUUAAGCAAAUCUUUUGGUUAUUGUUGCAGGUAAUACUAGUGCAAACUAUAGUCGAAAAAGUCGAGGAAGAGUCAACAUGAAUGGGUUCCAUUCGUUUCCUCAGCGCCUUACAAGCGCAAUUGGAAUAGAUGGAGAAGGAGGCCCAAUGAGGUUUAAUGUAUGUAAAGGUGUCAUUGAAUGAGAAAAGAACCAAAGCCAUGCUUGACACAAAGGCCUCAAACACUUUCAUCACCUACGGAUAAGUAAAGAAUUAAGGUCUAAAGAUUCAGAAAGACUUUGGACAGAUGAAAGCAAUUAACUCACCAACCUUCGUUAUUAUGGGGAAUUCAAAAAUUGUGAAGAUCAAGUUCAACUCUUGAGAAGGGAGUGUAAAUUUGACUAUAGCUACUAUAGAUGACUUUGACUUUGUCUUUGGUUUGGAUUUCAUGACAAAGGCAUAGGCCAUUCCAUUUCCUGUGGCUAACUACUUGAUGUUUUUGGGAAGACAACCAUGUGUGGUACCAAUUACAAUCCUACCUAAGAGUGAGAAGAAGGUUAUAUCUUCCAUUCAGUUCAAGAAGGGGAUUAAAAGAGGAAAACUGUUUUAUGUGGCGAUUUCGAUUUAUAAAGAUGGAAGAAGCCAUGAUCUAGUACUUGUAAGACUAAAGUUAGUUUUGGAAGAAUUUAAGGAUAUGAUACUAGAACAAUUACCUAAAAUACUACCACCUUGACUAGCAAUUGAUCAUGAGAUAGAACUAUUUCCGGGAGUUAAGCCUUCGACAAAGGGACAGUAUAGGAUGGCUCCCCCAAAGCUAGCAGAGCUAAAGAAGCAACUUAAUGAGUUGAUACAAGCAGGAUUUAUUUAACCUACAAAAGCACCUUUUAGGGCACCGGUACUAUUUUAGAAGAAGCAAGACGAAAGUUUAUGGUUGUGAGUAGACUCCCGGGCUCUAAGCAAGGUCACAGUAUGAAACAAAUAUCUUAUGCCUUUAAUAGCAUGUUUGUCUACCCAACUGAGUCACACAAACUAUUUAUCUAAAUUAGAUCUUAGGUCUGGCUAUCAUCAAGUUAGAAUUGCUGAUGUGGAUGAACCAAAAACCACUUGUGCCACACGGUACAGUGCAUUUGAAUUUCUUGUUAUGCUUUUUGAACUAACUACUGCUCCUGCCACAUUUUGUACAUUGAUGAAUCAGGUUUUUCAUGACUACUUGGACAAGUUUGUGGUAAUCUACUUGGACAACAUCGUAGUAUACAAUUCAACAUUAGAAGAGCAUAAAAAACAUUUGCGAAAGGUGCUUCAAAGGCUUCGGGACAAUCAAUUAUAUGUGAAAAGUGAGAAGUGUGCUUUUACGCAAACCAAAAUUCAGUUUCUAGGCCAUAUCAUUGAAUAGAGUCAUAUCCAAAUGGAUAUACAAAAGGUGAAGGCCAUUAAGGAGUGGGUGACCCUAAGAAUACAACUGAACUUCGUUCAUUUUUGGGGUUAGCUAAUUAUUACCAGGAUUUGUGGAAAGUUAUUCAAAAAGGAUGGUGGCAUUCAUGAAAUUGAUGAAGAAGGGGCAAAAGUGAAGUUGGACACUGCAGUGCCAAGCAGUUUUUGAAAGCCUAAAACAAGUCAUGAUGAUAGACCCUGUUUUAGCCCUCUCAAACAUCAAAAUGCCUUUUGAGGUACAAAUAGAUGCAUCAGACUUUGCUCUUGAAGAAGUAUUGUUACAAGAAGGAUACCUAGUUGCAUUUAAGAGUCGAAAAUUGAAUGAAGUCAAGAGAAAAUACAUUGCACUAGAGAAAGAACUUUUAGCAGUGAUUCAUUUUCUACGGGUGUAGCAACAUUACUUGUUAAGAUCUUAGUUCAUGGUUAAGAUAGACAACAUAACUGUAAACCACUUUCUCACAUAGCCAAAACUUAUAGCUAAGCAAGCAAGAUGACAAGAGCUCUUGACUAAAUUUGAUUUCUCCUUUGAGCACAAAGCCAGAAAAACCAACUGUGCAGCAAACGCCCUAAGUAGAAAGGUUGAGUUCAUAGCUCUUAGGGUAAUCGAGCCAAUGAUAGGCAACAAAGUGACCACAAAUAUCCGUAAUCUUGUUGAAGAAAACUUGCAUUGAGAUCCCCAAGCAAUUUCCAUUAUAAAGUUGGUUGAGAGUGGAAAGUCAAAAUACUUUUGGGUGGAACAUAGACUCCUACCAAUAAAAGGACCACGUUUAUUUAUUCCAAGAGCGAGAGAGUUGAGAUAGAAGUUGAUGCAGGAAUGUCACAACACCUCUUACGCAAGACACUCAAGUUGGCAGUGGAUCGUUACAUUACUAAAACAAGGUUACUAUUGGCCUCAUAUGUAGCAGAAUGUGAUAGAUUAUGCCAAGACAUGCCUCAUUUGCUAAUAAGACAAAGUAAACAAAUAGAGAUUAAUGAGCAUGCUCGAACCUCUACCAGUGCCAACCAAACAAUGAGAAAAUAUUUCUCUGAACUUCAUAGUAGGACUUCUUAAAGUGAGAGAUAUGAUAGCAAUCUUGGUAGUGGUGAACCGUUUCUCGAAGUACGUGAUGUUCAUCCCAUGUAGAAGUUUGGUUAUACAGAAGAAAUGGCUUGUAUAGGUUUUAAACAUGUGAUAAAAUAGUGGGGUGUUCUUAUGAGUAUUAGUAGUGACAGGGAUCCGAGGUUUACUUGUUUCUUCUAUACAGAGUUUUUCAAGCUAUUGGGGUCAGAACUCAACAUAUCUUCUAAUUAUCACCCGUAAAUAGAUGACCAAACAGAACGCUUAAACGAGUUGUUAAAAGAAUAUCUACGACACUUUGUAUAGGCGAACUAGAAGAAUUGGCCCAACCUGCUAGAUGUGGCCUAACUAUGUUUUAAUUCGUACAAAGCUCAAUGACUAAUAAAACCCUUUUUGAAGUCAUCAUUGGAUAGCAACCUAGACUUCCCCAUACCUCAGUGGAAUCAUAUAGUGGAAACAGUCCUCGAGCCUUUAACUUUGUAAAGGAGUGGAGACAAAACACUAAUAUUGCCAAAGCCUAUUUAGAGAAAGCCUCCAGUCGCAUGAAAACUGGGCAGAUAAAGGUCAAAAGAAGCAACACUUAAAGACAUGAGACCUGGUGCUAGUGAAGUUGGUACCUGAACAACUUUGAUUCUUAAGAAAGAGAUAUUGAAGACUAAUGCGAAAGUCUGAAGGCCUAGUACCAAUUAUGGUAAAGGUGGGGAAGACUUCCUACAUGAUUGAUUCACCCAAGUUGAUGAAGGUACACCUUGUAUUUCACGUCAGCAACCUAAAACCAUUCCACGUAGAUCCAACAGAUGUAAGUAGGAGUCAAGCCAUGAAAGCCACUAUCAUCACCAAACCACUAUCAUAGCGCAGAAUAGAGGAGAUCUUGGCAAGGAUAAUGACAAUAAUCAACUAACGACCAACACAAGAGUAUCUGGUGAGAUAAGAAGGUUUGGGGCCAGAUGAAAUCACUUAGGAGAAGGAAAUUGAUCUCUGCAGCUCAAAACAGAAAAUUGGAGUAUUCUAAGCCAACUAGUGAACGAGGACGUCGAUAGAUUGAGUCGGGGAGGAUGUCAUGAGCCAACCUUGUAUAGGGCUAUGACAAGGUAGAAUUUCUUAAGAGAGUGAGUCUUUUGUACCUCUAAGGGAGAUAUCCUUUACUUUCAAACAUUGUAAUGGCUCUUGGUGACAUCUCUAGAAAUACUUGUUAAGUUUUUAGGGGGGAAAACCCUUUAGGAAAGGAAUGUUGCCAUCUCAAGCAUUGUAAUGGCUAUUGGUGAAAUGCUUAUAAAAUCUUGUAAAUUCUUUAUAAGGGUAAGUAGUUGGUGGGUUGUUGGGCUGUCUCACUAAUUCAAGUGCAUCUGUGGCUAGCCAUCUAAGGCUGCCCCUAUGGCCCGAUGAUGGUGCGUUCUUUUUCUUAGUCCUUUUGUACUUAUUUGCAAUAUUAAUAAAAUAUUUUCUUUUAUAUAACACUGGUGGUUGUAUAAAUGGUAUUCGGUAUGCCCUUUGAUUUUAAUAUUGCUUUCCAUGCCUUAACUCAUGGUUAUUAUUCAUGUUGUUAAGAUAUAAUCGAGCAAUUGACUGGCUUGAGUGGAAGCGUCCACUCGAGCGCCACAUGGACUAUCGUAUACUUAAGCGAAUAGGGGGUAGUUCGUGACAUUGUGCCUCAUGCUUUCCCCUUUUGCUCGAGCACUGGUUUGGAAUUUCUGAAUCCUUCCCCAAAAUGGAAACACAAUAAAAACACGCAAACUAAAAGAUGAUGAAACUAAGAAAAGAUAGGGAAAAGACAAGUCAAAUGCUACCAAUGGCAGUAGUCAAGCCUCUUGUUCGCUACCAAUGGGAGCAACAUCAAAGUGAUCCCCUCUCCUUUAGUUAUAAAACUAGGAGAUAGGAGCAUGGUGAGGGGGAAAAAGAAUCCUUAAAAGAAAAGAAGGAGAAUAUAACAAAUUUAAUAGAUAGCCCAUCACACCUUAUAAAAAAAAAAUUGGUGACAACUCCAAAACCUUCACAUCAAGAUGGACGGAUUCCCAAACUUGCACGUAAUAACAUUAAAAUUUGUUUUGAUGUCGUGGGUUUUGAAUUUUGUCUACUGUGAUUGCUUUGAGUAUGUUUUUUGCGGGCUUCAGGCUGCGUGAUUUUUUUUUUUGAUGGUUGCUAUUUGGCUCCCGAUAUGGUGGUUUUUGUGUAUGGAGUUUUUGAGAGCUUUGAUGCAGGAUUGAUGUGGUUGUGAUGUACGUCUCGUUUAUGAGACUCUAUUGAACAUUUGUAUCCUUGCCAUGAUUCAAUGAUAUUUAAACAUUUUAAAAAAAAUGCUUGAAAUUAAAUCAUAGAAAAUUUGGCUCUCCCACCAAAACAACUUGGUGAGACCAAAACCCCUAAAGAAUUAUUGAUGCCCAACUCUCUCCAUCUAUUAUUUUGCGGCUGUGGCUGUCUGAUUCAAAAGCUUGCCGUGGACCAGCUUUUGCCGCCUGGUUUGACUAAUUGAAUCCAUAGCAACUGUCGACAUGAGCACAUAUUCCCAUUGACUAAAGAUAUACUUACUGUACAUUUUUCAACUCUUCAUUUCAGAAAUAAUGGAUAUGGAGCAAAUUGUGGCUUGGAGAGAAAUAAUUGGACGAAUAAUAGAUGGAUAAAAUCUGUUAUUAAAGAGAAAUAAAAUAUGCUGAUCAAUCAUGGUUGGAUGCAAGUUGUUAAUAAUUAAACAGAAAUAAAUAGUUUAGCAGUUUCAAAAUCCAAAAGGUUAUCAAUAUAUAUAAUAUGCUAAUGCUAUGAAAAAUCCAUAUAUCUAUAGCAGCUAAUUAAGUUUACCCAGGCGAAAACAUUUAUAUGGCACUCCAAGCCAGUAUUUUCACUAAGUCCUGCUUCCACCGAGGCGUUUAUAUGCCAACUCUUCCGUCCAAAUUUCGGGGGAGACAAUGCUUGGCUUCCACAAACUCAAUGGCUGCAGCAGCCCUGCAAGGCUCUCCGCUGUCGGCAAACACUCACCAAGAAGUCUUUCGUCCUUUGGCAGACUUCCCCCCGGAUAUAUGGGGCGACUGUUUCAUGUCUCUCUCGCUCGAUAACUUGGUAACUCACGUUUCUCACGUAAAUUAUAUGCAUUUGUAUGUUAAUUUUCACAUUUAUUAUAUACGAUAUAAGUAAGUGUUUAUAGAUAAACAAACAAAAAUAGAAUAUAACAUGUUUUUCGUAAAAAAAAAAAAAAGAAAGGUAAAAGUACGAUAGUUGGAAAAUUAAUAAAUAUGAAACAGAACAAACAUGAAACUUUUUGGUGUUUGAAAAAGAAAUAAAAACAUGAUUGAAAGACGUAUGAAAGUACAAAUAAUCAACAGUUUAUUUGAAAUUGAGGAGUAAAGUAUGAUAACGAGAAAGUAUCGAAGAUCUCUAAUUAUUGUACCUUAAGUUGCUUUCCUUGUGCGUUCUGCAGGAAUUUGAAUCACUCUGUAGACAAGUAGAGGUGUUGAAAAAGAAGGUGAAGGGCAUGUUAUCGGCUCCGAGUGACCAAGUAGAAAAAAUCCUCUUGAUCAACUCUCUAUGCCGCCUUGGAUUAUCGUACCACUUUGAGAAUGAGAUUGAAGAGCAAUUAAGUUACCUUUUUGUUUCAUUAUCUAAACAUAUGGAUGAUAAAGACUAUGACUUGGAAACAGUUGCAGCGAUAUUUCAAGUUUUCAGGCUACAUGGUUAUCGAAUGCGCUGUGGUAAGUCUCAUUUACGAAUAUAUGUAUAUGCAAAUUUUAUUGAAUUAGUUCAUUAAGAACAUUUUUUAUCACUAGCAUGCAAUGAAGGAUGCUAGCUAAUCCAAUAUUGGAUUUUAUAUCAGAUGUGUUUAACAAGUUUAAGGAGGGUGAUGGUGAGUUCAAGGAAGUGUUAGCUAGUGAUGUCAAGGGCAUCCUAAGCUUGUAUGAAGCUAGCCAGUUCAGAAUAAAUGGCGAGAAAAUUUUAGAUGAAGCCCUUGCUUUCACAACGAAGCACUUAGAGUCCUUGACAGACCAAUCAAGUCCCCAUCUUAGAGAAUACAUAGGAAACGCUUUGAACCGACCUUAUCACAAAGGCAUGCCGAGAGUGGAAGCAAGGCAAUAUAUAACUUUCUAUGAAAAAGAAGAAUCGCCCAAUGAAACAUUGCUCAAGCUCGCAAAAUAUGAUUUUAACCGAGUCCAAUUUCUACACCAGCAAGAAUUAAGCAUCCUUUCGAGGUUAAUAUUAGUUCUAAGCUUUAAGGAUGAUAGGUGCAAGGUAUUCUUCUUUUGAGAUAAACAUGUUAGAUGAUAAUUGAUUGCAAACUCUAUUAUUUGUGUUGCAGUUGGUCCAAAGACUUGAACAUAGCAUCACAACUUUCUUACGCCAGAAACAGAACGGUGGAGAUCUUUUUUUGGACAGUUGGAUUUUAUUUCGAGCCACGUUAUGCACUUGCCCGAAACAUAUUCACUAAGCUGCUGAUCAUCUUAGGAUUUAUAGAUGAUACCUAUGACGCAUAUGGUACCUUCGAAGAACUCCAAUGUUUCACAGAUGCAAUACAAAGGUACCCUUUUUAUCCUUUCCUUUUUUAUACAAGUCUUUCUUUCCAUUUGUUUCACAUAUGGAAGGUUUUUUCUUUUUUUUUCUUUCGAUGAUGUCUGAUCAAGUAAAUUCUUCAUGUUUAGGUGGGAUAUUAGUGCCCUUGAUCAGCUGCCCGCAGAUUAUUUGAAAUUUCUUUAUGGGGCACUCCUUAAUGUUUAUGAUGAAGUGGAUAGAAUGGUGAGCAUGGAUGGGAGAUGUUACAGCAUGUCUUUUACCAAAGAUGAGGUGAUCAUUCUUUCUUAUCCUCCACCUAGUUACACAAUUAUCGAUAGUUUUAUUUACAUUGAUGAGAAGCAUAUAUCUUAGAGUAAAGUUGUGUAUAUGUUACUUCCAAAGCUAUGCAUACUUAUGAUUUUUGUCCCUAUGGUUUCAAAUUUCACAUUUUUUAUUGAAGACUUCUCAUUUGACUAAAAACUCUAUGCCCAAUAAAACAUGGGACAAAAAAAACAUGCACCUUGUUAUUUCUUUGAUGCUUAAGGGCUCAAUGUACUGGAGUUGACACUGAGACUUUACCUUUUUGUGGUAAAUUAGUUGAAGAAAAUUGUUAUUUCCUACCUGGUUGAAGCUCAGUGGACGCAUGAAGGUUAUAUGCCAACAUUCGAUGAGUAUUUGGACAUUGCAUUACAUUCAAGUGCAGCCAUUCUAGUGAUUGCUGAAGUCUUGGUCGGAAUGGAAGAAGCAGAUGCCAAUGUUUUUGAAUGGUUGAGACAAGGUGACAGUAAAUCUCUUGCAGCAAUAAAAAUAAUUGGCCGUCUCUAUGAUGACAUCGCAACCAAUGAGGUAAUAUUUAUAAUUUUAUUUUCAAAGGGAAAAUAGAAAAAUAUUCUAAUUACCAUAUUCUCUCAUUCGACCAAAUAAGCUUUAUAGUUUUAGCUAACUAUAUGCCCUUUGAUAUGAUGGAAGGAUGAGGAAAAGAGAGGACUAGUUGCUUGUGGAAUCAAAUGUUAUAUGAAGCAAUAUGGCGUUUCAAAGGAAGAAGCUAUUGAAGAAUUUCGAAAAAGACUUGUCAUUGCUUGGAAUGAGCUUAAUGAAGAUCAUAUGAGGCCAACGACUGUCCCAAUGGAAAUCCUUAAUCGUGUUCGUAACAUUGCAUGUGUAAUAGAUCUUACAUACAAGGAUGAGGAUGGAUUUACCAUGUCUGAGAAAAUUUUGAAAGACCACAUUACCAAAGUGCUCAUUGAGCCCAUUCCUAUUUGAGAAAAGGCAUUCCAUGUCUGUACAAGUACGACUACAUAUUGUAUUUGCAAGUUAGGUUAGGGUUCAUUUUGGUUUGCUGCGCUACUUUUGAUCAUGAUAUAGCUCUUAAUGUUGAGGUAUUUUCUGAAUCAGGGUUGUGAUGCUUCAGUCAUCUUAACUGACAGCAAAGGUGAACGAAGCAAUUUCACUGAGAGGCAAGCUGUGCCAAAUAGGACAUUGAAAGGUUUUGACAUAAUAGAUUUGAUUAAGGAGGAGGUUGAAAAGGCUUGUCCUGGAGUAGUAUCAUGUGCUGACAUACUUGCACUUGCCACCAGAGAUGGCAUUCUUCUGGUCUGUUUAAUCUCUCUCUUCAUAGAUGUUCUUUUUCUUUCUGAAAUUCCUCUUCCAUUCAAGGGAUAUCAAGGUUCAAAAAUUGGAGGGGUCGUUUUAGUUUUGAGUAUGAUAUAUACUUGUGUUGGUGUGUAAGGCAUAGACUGGUAAAAGAGUACUUCUCUCUGCACAAUUUUAUAAAUGGAGACUCUGGUUAAAUACUCUGGGCUACUCCUCUAACUGGUUGCUCAAAAAUCAAAGUGUACAGCAAUUUAAGUUGGUUUUGUAGUAUAACUGUAAUGGGCUCUUUAACAGAUAUAGGCUUUUACAUAUAUGCUUCUUUCUCUCAGUAUUAUGCCCUUUUUGUCAUUGCCCAUAAUUAUACUUUUUCCAAAACUUCAAGAGUACUGAAACUUCAAAAUGAUUUUAGAUUUCACAUUACGCUUGAAUUAAUAUGUCAUUAGCAUGAAGACAAACAGAUGUAGAUUGGAAUUGGAUAUUGGGAGGAGGAUUAAUAUCUUUUACAAUAUUAGCAGUAAGAGUAUGAUGCUUUCACUGAUAGGGCUUUCUAUUUGGUACAUCUCAAAACUGAAUUGUGUGGACUUCGGAGACAUGCUAUUGUUCUUUGGACGUCUUUCUUUUUGUCCUUCCUUUUGUAUUCUGAAAACCAAAGAGAAAAAAAGAAGCUAAGAUUGUAGCUGAACAUGUUACCCAAUCCAGAUAACUGCGUGCGUGGUUCUCUUUGAGGAUACUCAUUCAUAUUUAUUUUCAAUGCUUAUAUCAUGAAACAAUGUUGCUUUCAGAGUUUAUCAUUAUAUAUUUGAAAGUAUGCUGGUUUCUUAAUGCGCUAUCUUCCGUUUGAAUCACAGGUUGGUGGCCCAUUUUAUCCUGUAUUCACGGGUAGAAGGGAUAGCAUUCAGUCUUACUUCAAUGAAGCAGUUGCUGAGAUUCCAAAUCCUGAUGGUAACCUCUCGGAGACACUUUUCCUCUUUGGCCUUAAAGGUUUUGAUGAAAGAGAGACAGUCAGUCUUUUAGGUAUAUACCUGGAAUUUUUGUCCCCUUGCCUUAUCUCCCUCUAUAUGGUCCUUGAAAAGUGAAACUUAAGAUGUCAUAAUGGUUCUUUCUGAUUAUCUGAAGGGGCACAUAAUAUUGGAAAAAUUAGCUGUGAGUUUAUUCAGAAUCGCCUCUACAAUUUCUUAGGGACUGGACAGCCAGACCCAAGCGUUCCAUUGGAUUUUCUCAAUGAAAUGAGAAUAAAUUGUCAAGAAAUUCGUGACAGCAGCAAUGGUAUGUCUCCUACUGCCACAAAUCCAUGUAUCUCGGAAAGUACUGUCUUCCAAGGACUAACUUCAAUUUCCUCCGGAGCUGGUUUUGACAAUCACUUUUAUCAGAACUUGGUAAGGGGUAGAGGACUCCUCUUUUCUGAUCAACAACUAAUGGCUGAUGAGAAGACUGCUAGAUAUGUAAGGGAUUAUGCCUUUGGUAAUGGAUCAGCCUUUAGAACAGACUUUGCCAGGGAUAUGGUAAAGAUAUCUGUACUCGAUGUAUUGACAGGAUUCCAAGGUCAGGUCCGAACUAACUGUUCCCUGCCUCUCUAUGGCUCUUAAACAACAGUCUCCUAACCAGGUUGUGCAUUUUGAGAUUCUCCAAUUCUUUACUAGUUUAAUGUACUACUAUCUCGAGGAGUUGUACAAUUGAUGAAAAACUUUUUGCUUCAAUACCUUCAACUACUAUUAAACCCAAUUGUGGAGCAAUAAUCAAGUUGAGGAUGACAUUUUGAUCUGUUUGUAAGUUUGAUCAGGAGAAUUCUGGAUAAGUAAUAUCUGUAGUGUACGAGCAUGAUUUCACUUCAUCAUUUUUGCCUGGUAUUUGGAAACUAUUCUGUGUGAGUGUGAAGCAUUAAUUUGCAAAUUCCUAGCUGUCAUGGUAAUCACUCACAGGCUUCCUAGAUGUCGGAUUAUUAUCAUCUGUCUGUGUAAAGACUGUUGUCUCUAGAAAUGCAACGAAGAUUCUGUCAACCCUUUUGGUUGUUGAAAAUGGGAAUGUCAGAACAUAAAAUCUUUUAGUUAUCAUAAUCGUCAUCUUCUUCUUCUUUGUUUUACAUGCAAAAGUUUUGUGUUCAUGCUUGUCUCAUAUUUUAAUCUGUCAUGAGCAGGACUACAAACUCCAUGUAGUCUUGCAUAUUCGAAUAAUGGUGUGCUUAAUUUGGUUUAGCAAAAUGAAUUUCACUGCCAGAUCAAAUCAAGUCAACAUAAAGAUGGAAGCUAAAACCACUAGGGAAUGGGGCACAACAGACAGUGCACAAAUGCAGGUUCUGAUACAUAGAUGAACUAGAUUUUUAGUGCGUACUCUAAUUUGCAAAAACUUGCCCCAUUCUUCUUUUCAAGCAAAGUUCCUUUUUUCGCUUAAAGCAUGUCGCAAUUAUUAUUCUGAAGUCACAGAUGAUGCGGUAUGGAAACUAAGCACAGAUCUUUUCUUUGCAAUGAAGCACGGAAAUGUUCAGUCAUGUCUAAAUCUUCAGGCUUCUUUCCAUUAGGAAGCUUCCAAUCAAAAUGGUAGAGCAGAUUUGCAAGUAUAAGCUCUACAAUUGCAAUACCAUACGUUAUACCAGGACACAUCCUCCUUCCAGCACCAAAUGGAAUAAAUUCAAAGUCUCCUCCCUUAUAAUUAAUUGAACUAUCACAAAAUCUCUCAGGAUAAAACUUCUCAGCGUCAGUCCAGUUAUUUUGAUUUUGUCCUAUUGCCCAUGCAUUAAUUAUGAUCCUAGAUUUGGCAGGUAUGACACAUCCGUUAACCUCACAGUUCACUUGGCAUUCUCUUGGAAGUAGCAAAGGAGCUGGAGGGUGCAAUCUUAGUGUCUCUUUGAUAACUAGUCUGAGGUACUUCAACUCAUGAAUGCCUGAUUCAUCAACAUCUCUUCUACCAGCAAACACAUGCCUCACCUCUGCCUGUGCCCUUUUCAAUACUUCAGGGUUUCUUAACAUUUCUGACAUUGCCCAUUCUACAACUGUAGAUGAGGUUUCAACCCCCGCAAGGAAUAUAUCCUGAAAUAGGUAGGAUUAUUAAGUUUCAAUUAAGCAUGCACAAAAGACUGAUUUUGUGUGUGUCAACAUUAUGAUCGCACCUAGCCAAAAUAUAGAAAAGAGAAAAAAAAAAAAAAGCAAUUGACUAUAAAGGAACAGACUUUGAAUUCACUAACCAGAAUAAUAGCUUUGAUGCUGCUGGUUGAUAACGGAACUUCAAGGGCUCCACGAUCCUGAAUAUCCAGAAGGACUUGGACGAGGUCGUCUACUUCACUUUCUCCUGUCAUUGUUGUUAAUUUUGUAGCUCUAUGUUCCUGAAUGAUGCUUUCAAGAAUCUCAUCUACCUUGUUAUGCAGUUUUUUAUUUUUAGGCCUCAUGGCAUUGAUCAGAUGGAGCAAUUUUGCGGAAGGAUAGACAUCAACAACACUGAGACCUCCAAACAACACUACAAUGUCCGGAUGAAGUUUCUUGAAUGCAUCCUGGUGCUUACAUUUCCCACCGAAGGCUGCUCUGGAGAAUAUGUUGACUGUUGAAGAGUACAAGAAGUUCUUAAGGUUGAUGGGCGAUCCUGCUUUCGAUGAGAUGGUUCUUACUAAAUUAGAUAUCUCUUCUUCCCCGAUUGGUCUAAAUGACUGAACUCGUUUCUGACUUAACAUCUCCAGCACACAAAUUGUGCGUAUUUGUCUCCUGUAAUCUCCACGGGCAAAUACAAUAUCUCUAAAUUUGUAAGUUAUGAACUGUGCAGCAUAGAGAAAAGGCCUCUCAGAGAAAACAGAGUCGUUGGUUUUCAUCACUUGUUUAGCAGCUUCUGGUGAAGAAAUCACAACUGUUGAUACUUCCCCAAGUUGCAGAAGCAUCACUGGACCAUACUUCUGAGCCAAUCGGGCAAGGCAGCGAUGAGGUUGAGUCCCAAUAAGAAGGUGCAAGUUUCCUAUCAGAGGUAAUUUUGGAGGACCUGGUGGUAGCAUUGAUGGAGAGCCACUAGAUUUGGUAUUCAUCCAUGUCCUCAAAGCCCUGAAUGUGAAGAAGAGAAAGGUAAGAAGGAAUAAGAAAAAGGGGAGUUGGUUUUCCAUGCGAGCAGUGGGAAAGAAUUAAAUGGAGGGGAAGUUUCCUUUAUUGAUUAUGAAUCUCCUCUCUUACUUGG